CAUAACCCAUGAACUCAGCUAACCUCUUCACAAAGGGCAAAGGUUCAGCUCUCAUCGUCUCGUACCUAAGGAACAGAAUCCUCUCCGGAUUCUCUUUGUAAGCCUUCCAGUAACCCAACACAUGGUCCAGGUAAGGACCGUACACAGACAGGCCUUUACAGAACAUAUCAAAAGCCUCUUCAAGACUCGCUAGUUGCUGACCCUCUUGAGACUUCUCCUUGUGGAGGAAAGUCCACAUGGAGAUGAAAGUGUCCUUCGGGUCUCUCCAAAUGUAAACCAUCUUGCAACCGGACUUCACUAUGGACUCGGGUAACGACCCGUUGGGUAUAUGGGUGGAGUAAAGCUGGUUCUUUCCGUCUUGGAGGACGUCGACGGUCGGGUAGAAAGCGAAGUCGAUCUCGACGUAAGGCACGAACUCGUGAGGGUUACGUUUGAGGAGCGGGUUCGUGGAGUCGUCGAAACGAGAUCGGUUUACGAUGGCGUAGGUCAAGGCUUUGAGCCAGGUUGUGCCGGUUUUCGGGUAGCUGCAGACGAGGAAGUCGGUGGGUCGUGCUUGGAAAUGGUCUUUGGCGUGGAGGAGACCUUCGAGGAGACAUUCUUGCCACCAGUGUCCGUUGUAUUGAGUUAGGAUCUCGUUGGGUCUCCAUCCUUUGCUCUUUGGGAGGGCGGAGAUGAAGUCUUGGUACUUCUUUUGGGUCUUCUCGAACUCUGAGAGCUCGAGUUGGGAUCCGUUUUGGGUCGUGUUGGGUUCCAUUGGGGAUGGUGUUGAGUGAUGGAGUCAGAGGAUGUGUCGGGAAGCUUUUGUGGAGUUGUGGAGGAUGAUGAUGUAAGAAGAAGAUGGACGGUUCUAUAAAUAGAAGGGAAGGUUUAGUAGGUGAUGAUGUCUCGCAUCAUUUGAGUAGAAACUAUAGUCAAACCAAAUAAUUGUGUUGAGCUUAUAGAAAAAUUGAUUUUACCGGUUUAAUACUUAAUAAAUUUUAAAUUCGUUUUGUGUCUGUAAAAUUCAAUUAUUUUUUUAAUUCGAUUUUUUGUAAUUUUACAGAAUUAAGAAAUUUCGUUUGAUAGCUUAAACUUAGAUAAAUAAAUACAAAAGUACGCAAAUUGAAUUUUUUUUUUUUUUUUUUUUUUUUUCCAACAUCGCUCCAUCUCUAUAUGGUUAGGUUUCUAUGACUUAGUUACUCUUUUCAGCUCAAUGUGUCUUGAAAACAAGUUCUUGAUUCUUGUUUUUUUUUUUUUUUUGUGAGAGGGGAGGAGAAGUGGUUGUUGUUGCAGCUAAAAGGUCACGUUUUAGAAAUGGACUUUGUAGGUAGAGGUUUGGUUGGUCUCGUUCGUUAACUGAGUUCGGUCCACGUUUAUCUCUAGGCUGGUGCUGAAUUUUCUAUGCAGCUUCGAAACAAACAAACCCGUCAACACUUUAUUUUCUGAUGAAAACAACAUUUUUUCAUUGAAUUUUUGCAGUCCAAUUAAGGCCAUAUGCCUAUAUAUCCAUCAUCAAAUCUAACAUAUCAUUUGUGAGUUCGACAUUUUUCCUCUACAAAGAAGGUUUUCCUCCUAUGUAGAUUUCAAUUUAUCUUAAUCAAGUAAUAAAUCAUCCUUGUAAUUUUCUUUUUGUAUAGCAGGAUGUCUUUGAACUAGUCUAAUCAGGCUAACCUAAAGGAUAUCAUGAUUAAUUGGUCUCUUUCCUACUACCAGAAGAACUUGAACCACAACAAUAAGCCAAACUAUCAAAAGACUGAAAAAGAGAUAUAUACAACCUAUAUAGAGAAUAGCAUAAAACAUUUCAAAAUUAGUUUUUGUUCCAAACCUAGUAAACCAAAUCUGAAACUCCAGACUAAUGUAACUUUAUGUGAAAAGUUCUUGUUUUUACUAAAUAAAUUUCAAACAAAACUAACAAACCAUGAUUACCCUUUUCCAAAUUAUGGUUUAGAUUUCCUCAACAAGACAUUUUAAUGUUGAAUUUAUUCAAAUACUUAAAAUUCUAAAAAUUGUAAAACUAAAGUAUAUAUUUCCGAGUAAAAUGUAACAAGUUUACGUAAAUGAACAUUUUGGUAUUAAUUGCAUGAGAAAAUAUUACAACAUAUUUGGUCAAUAAAACUUGAUAGAAUGAGAAAAUAUAAUAAUUCGAAACAAACUUUCUUAUUGGAAUUCUGAUACUUAAACACGGUAGAAACUUUUUAGACUAAUUUAUUUAGAUGUAGCUAGUGACAGAAAAAAAGGACAGUAAUUAGAUAUCUCCCACGGUAAAUCAAACAAAACCGAGAGAGAGAGAGAAAAUGGCAUAGUUUGAUUUAGCCAACAAAACACUUAUUAAACCCUAGGAAUUGCCUUACAAACAAGAGAGUUCUUCAUCUCCAGUGAGAGCUUCAAAGUCUCGCUCAAAUCUACUUCACCACAGGGAACCCACUUGAAGCUACCUAGCAACUGAGCCAGCCAUAACUCCACAGUAGCUAUACCCAUAGACUUACCAGGACAGACCCUACGUCCAGCACCAAAGGGAGCAAGCCUCAAAUCAGAUCCCAUAAUGGGAAAGUUAUCACUUUCUUGUGAACCAAGAAACCUCUCUGGCUUAUACUCAUGAGCCUCCGGCCAGACCUUUUCAUCAUGGGUUAUCGCCCACAUGUUAACCAUGGCAGUGGUCCCAGCGGGGAUAAAGUGGGUCCCAAUUUGAGUGUCGUGAAUAGAGAGACGAGCCCAUGAGAGGAGAGGACCAGGUGGGUGCAUCCUUAGGGUUUCCUUGACGAUGGCACGAAUGUAUGGAAGCUUGGAGAGGUCUGAGUCUGAUACUUGACGUCCCAUCUCACCCUCGAUGGCAUCGAUCUCGGCCUGCGCCUUGGCUUGAAUAUCAGGGUGAAGAAUCAUCCUCGCAAGGAUCCAUUCCAAUAAAAUUGCCACGGUGUCCGUUCCCCUAAAAAUCAUUUCCUAUAUCGAAAAACCAAUGUUUAGGUUUUGUUACUUACUCGACCAAUUCAUAUAUUUAUCUAAAAAAAUUCUAAAUAUUAUUAUUUUAUUAAUUUAUCUCAUAAUUUCAUAUUUUUAAUCGAACUUUAAACUAAAACACUUAAUUAAUUUAUAUAGUUUACACACACUUGUUCUUACCCAAAGGACGGCAAUCAUGUCAGAGUCUGAAAGUUUGAUAUUGCCUUGCAUACCAAGCAAGACAUCAACAAAGUCAUCAUCAUUAGUGCCCUCUUCUUCUUUAUUAUCACGAAGAGACCUCUUUGAUUUGUGCUCCUCGAUAAUAUUUCCGACAAACACAUUCACCUUACCAACCAAGCUACGGCAUCUUCUCCUUACGCCUUGUAAAUCUAACCACCUCAUUCCCGGGAAAUGAUCACUCCAGUUGAAUAUUCCAAGAAGCUCAUAGCCUUCGGACACCAAAUGCUCCAACUUCGAGUUAACGAUACUACCAUCGUUGAAGUCAUAUGUUUUGCCAAAAACGCUAGACAUAACAUUGUUGAGUGAUCCAAAAUGCAAGAUUCUUUUGAUAUGCACCUCUCCAUAACUUGCCAUUGCGUUCUUGAUCUCUCCUACCAUGUUUUCCCCGAUUUUUCGACGAGACUCUCCGAAAGAGGAGAUCCUCUUAGGACUAAAGAGAUGAGUAGAAGAGAUUCUCCUCAGCUCUCUCCAGUAAUCACCAAAUGGAGCAAACCCCAUAGCUCUAUGAAAAAGCAGCUCGUAAGCCGACUCUUUCACAGGCCGGUCCGCGAAAGCCGAGCUGUUUAAGAUCUCUUUGGCCGUCCCCGGUUCGCUAGUUAUCACAAACCGGGUAGACCCGACCGAGAACGCCAUGAGAGCUUUUGCUUUGCGAGAGUUAGCGAUAUUGGCGAGGAUUCUGUGUGUCAAGGCGUUGUUAACGAAGGCUAAGAGGAGGCCAAUGAUGGGGAGACCAGGCGGGCCAGGAAUGGCGGGUAGGGUUUUGGAUUCUGGUCGGGUGUGGAAACGAGCUUUGUAUAGUGCCCAAGCAAAGCCACCUGGUGUUAACCAGAAAACGAAAAGGGAGAUGAAGAGGACAAUGCUGAGACAAAGGUCGAGACUCACAAAUGGAUAAGCGAAGGAAAGACUCAUGUCAAUAGCCAUUUUUAUAGAAUAAAUUAGGGUUUCUUAGAUAGUGAGCCAAAGAGAAGACACAGACGAUAAUAUGAUGAUAUGAUGGCAAUGGUGAGAGUAUUUCUUAUAUAGUGGAGGAAUCUAACUACGGUUAGAUGGGGUGAUAAGUAAAAUUUAAUUAAUUUAAAAUAUCAGUCCUAAUACAGUCUAACCAUGGUUAAUACUCUUUAGAAAGAUACAAGCAUACAAGCAUACAAAUCCGAUGGAUUUUUUUUUUUAACAUUUCAAAAUCUGAUGGAUUUGCCCUUUCGAGGAUGAUUGGAAGUAGCUGUAGCUUUAUAUUUUUGCUUUAGAAAUAAAUCUGUAGAUUUUUUUUGCUGUGGCUGUAGAUAAUUUUGCUGUAGAAUAUUAGCUGUAGGUUUAAAAAGAUUCAAAGACUUACAUAUAAAUUUUCUAAAGCAAAAAAUAAAUGCUCUAGAUUUAUGGCUUUCCACAGCUAAAAAUAAAUAAAAAGGAAAGAAAAAUUUGUAACUUUAAAAAAUCUUUACAAAGCAUGAUUGGCAAAAUUUUGGGCUGUAGAAAUAAUUUAGGCUGUAGAGAAAUCUUACAGCACUUCUAAAGCAUUUGCCAAUCAACCCCUUUGUUGCAUCGUGCAUGGUAUGUUUUCUUACUUCCCAUGAAAAAGAACAGGCAAAGUGUUACAAAAAAAAAACAAUUCAUAUUAUAAUUAAAAUAAUUCAAUCGGUUGUGAUAUCAUAUAUAGAGCCGUAUCAAUCUAUUAUAUAUAUAUAUACCGUUAAUUAAUUUUCCAAGGUAUAAAUCAUAUGCCGUAAACAUGCGAAAGAUUGGAUGGAACAAAGAUGCAUGGGCUAAGAUUAACAUAAUAUAAAAAAGUUAGAAUAAAUUAGUCUCAUCAAUUUCACUUCAAAACUGUAGUGAAAUGUUUCUUUUUGGAAUUUUACUUAUUUUUUGUUUGUAAAUUGAUGGAAUACGUUAUUUUAUGUUCCAUUAUGUAUAUUGUCAAUCCUAUUUUAGCAGUUUAAGGAUCAUAUUUUUGGAUUUUUUUUCUUUGUUCUUUUCAAAGCAACUAGCUAAGUGGUACCCACUUACCAGCGACAUGUUGGAUUGGUUUUAUUAGGACUUCCAACUGCACUGUUAGACAAUACAUUUGCGGACACUGAUGCGUUAGCAGUCAAGUGGAACUAGCGAUGUCGGAUCAGAUUUUCGUUAAUAAUAUCUUCCGAGGAUUAAUAGAAUAUAUUUUAAAAAUAUUUAUUUGUUCUUUUUCGUAUGGAAAGUCGGUCACCGGUGAAAGUUGAACAAGGUCAAAGAAAAAGUUUGUAUAAACAUAAAUAAUAGUAAGAAUUAAUAUGUAAAGCGCCAUGAUAAUUGAUACUCGUUAUCCAACAUGGUCGGUUGAAGUUUUGGAUACGAUUUGACCGGAAUGUGAAGCUUGUAGAGUAGGCUACCUGUCGGUACCUACAAAAUGCUACUAGGUAGCUAGAGAAAGGCUAGAACUAAUACUAUUUUAAAAAAUAAGAUAUAUUUUGCUCAUUUCUGUUUCUAAUAUAAUGGCAAACCCUCAUUUAUCGUGAUUGUUCUUUUAAGGCUUAUGAAUGAAAUGCAAAUCAAGAAAACAAAGUUCAAACCCAAAACGCAGAUCAAUCAGAAGAAAUGCACAUCAAACAGAUUAUACAGAACAAAUGCAGAUCUAACUCGUUAAACUAAUUUAUUGAAUUAUUGUAUUUAACCAAAUGUUAAAAAUAAUUUUGUAAAUUAAAUAUCUAAAACAAAAAUACAAAUGCUUAAGAAUUAUUAUUUUUAAUUAAUUUAAUAAAUAUAAAGAAAAUUUAAACAUUAUAUAAAAGGUAAACACAAUUACAAAAAAAAAUCGUAAAACAAAAAAAUGUAUUAUCAUUCUAAUAAAUAUAUUAAAUGGGUUUUGUAGGGUGUUAUAAAAACAUAUCCAAACCAAAAGUGUUAUAAACCGAUCUAAACGGGUGAAAAAUCUGAAAAAUAUCUGAAAAAACGAUCUGAAUAAUAUGUAAGAGCAAAAAAUAUCUAAAAAAAUACAACUUACUAUAUAUAAGUAAUAAAUAUCAUGUAUAACAUACUGAAACAAAAUUAUAAGAAAAUUAUGAAUAUACAAAAUAAAUAUAUAUUAUUUACUAUAGUCAGAUUUAUUUUAUUGAUUUAAUGUAUUUUCUUAAUUAGUAUAUGUGAAAAUACUAAAAAAAGUUAUCUUUAUGGAACAAAAAUAAUAUGUAGGAGGAAAAAAAUAUGUUUCAUAUUUUUCAUUGUGCAUGCAUUCAUUAAAUUUCUAGUUUUAGUUUUAGUUGUUACAAGUUUUGCAAUAUAUGUAAUCAAUACAUGAAUUAUCAAUAACAUGCAUGAAUUCAUUAACUGAUUUAGUUUUUAUACACAACUAUUAAUUAAUUUAUUUAUUAAUCAUCAAAAAUAAAAAUAACAAUAAUUAUAAGAUAUAUGUUUUAUAGUUUUCAAAAUAUUAUAUAUGAUUAAUUAGUGAAGUUAUAUAUUUUUCUAUUAUACAAAAAUAACAGCAUAAAUAGUUAUUAUAUAAAAACUAUGAAUAUGUAAUGAGAAUAUAAAUAAUUGUAUAUGAAAAUAUUAUAGUAUAUAAUAUAUCUUUACAAAGUGAAAAGACAAACUAUUAAACCAUAUUUUGAGAAUCUUUAGUUUGAAAAAGGAUAAAAAAUAGUUAAUUAAUAGUAGACAAAAUAAAUAUUUAACUAAUUAAAAAAAAAAUCAAAACAGGGAUUGGUCACCUGCAUCACCACCGCCCGUUUCUCCCUUAUACAUGCAGGACUUGUAUUAAAAUGUUCUGCAUGCAAUCAAUAAUUAUUUUAUUAGUUUUUCUUGUCGUAGCCUCUAAAACAGUGAAUGAGUACUAAUUGCAGAUUGGACUGCAUAACAAUUUCCCCCUCUUUCUGCUUUUUCUCUGCCUCACAUUCAGACCCUAAGGCUUCGAAAGGUAAAAGCAUUUCAAGCGGGACAGAUCAAGCAGAUCAUGCAGAUCAAGCAGGACAAAUGCAGAUCAUGCAGAUCAAGCAGGACAAGUACAGAUCAAGCGAGACAAGUGCAGAUCAAGCGGAUCAUGCAAGAGAAACAAAUCAAACCGAUCUUAUAAUUUAUUAUAACUUAUGAAAGACAAAGUCAGUUCAAAACUAUAUAUCAUAUAUUAAAACAAUAAAAAUUACACCUACAUAUCUAAACAAAUAUCUUAAAUGUUAUAGGAUCGGCCGAAAUGCCUGUAAAUGUUUUAUAAGAUACUUAUACUUCUUUUAUUUUAUUUUUAGGUGAUCAAGAUUUUCUUGAAAGAACCGGUAGGUUACACUAAUAUUGAAUUUUUGGUUAAAUUUACCACCGGGAAACUCUCUACCAGUGGGUGUAAGAUAUUUGAAACGGUAAUUAGUCAUGAAAAUGAUUUGAUCGUACAAUUCAAUAAAUACACGUUCUCGAUUAAGAUUUCAUUUAAGAUUGUCUUCUCUCAAUAUAUUUACAAAAUUUCAAUCAUUUACCUAUACAUAAACUAUUUUAAAACAUAAAAAAUAUUAACUACUUACCCUUGUUGAUAUUUAUGUAGGAAGAUUUAUAUUCUUCCUUUGAAAAUGUUGUGUUUUGUGAGCGAUUGAACGUCAUGCUUAUAAUUUUAAAACAACACAAACAAUAUUAGUGUAAACUAUAUAGUUUGAGCUAAUCAUUGUACAUUAUUUAUAAAAUCAGAUAAAUAUAUUUUAAAAUUAAGUGUUUGUAACAAAAUAUUUUUUAUCAAAAAGAAAAAAAAAGCAGUGCAUUCAUUAAAUUUCUAGUUUUAGUUUUAGUUGUUACAAGUUUUGCAAUAUAUGUAAUCAAUACAUGAAUUAUCAAUAACAUGCAUGAAUUCAUUAACUGAUUUAGUUUUUAUACACAACUAUUAAUUAAUUUAUUUAUUAAUCAUCAAAAAUAAAAAUAACAAUAAUUAUAAGAUAUAUGUUUUAUAGUUUUCAAAAUAUUAUAUAUGAUUAAUUAGUGAAGUUAUAUAUUUUUCUAUUAUACAAAAAUAACAGCAUAAAUAGUUAUUAUAUAAAAACUAUGAAUAUGUAAUGAGAAUAUAAAUAAUUGUAUAUGAAAAUAUUAUAGUAUAUAAUAUAUCUUUACAAAGUGAAAAGACAAACUAUUAAACCAUAUUUUGAGAAUCUUUAGUUUGAAAAAGGAUAAAAAAUAGUUAAUUAAUAGUAGACAAAAUAAAUAUUUAACUAAUUAAAAAAAAAAUCAAAACAGGGAUUGGUCACCUGCAUCACCACCGCCCGUUUCUCCCUUAUACAUGCAGGACUUGUAUUAAAAUGUUCUGCAUGCAAUCAAUAAUUAUUUUAUUAGUUUUUCUUGUCGUAGCCUCUAAAACAGUGAAUGAGUACUAAUUGCAGAUUGGACUGCAUAACAAUUUCCCCCUCUUUCUGCUUUUUCUCUGCCUCACAUUCAGACCCUAAGGCUUCGAAAGGUAAAAGCAUUUCAAGCGGGACAGAUCAAGCAGAUCAUGCAGAUCAAGCAGGACAAAUGCAGAUCAUGCAGAUCAAGCAGGACAAGUACAGAUCAAGCGAGACAAGUGCAGAUCAAGCGGAUCAUGCAAGAGAAACAAAUCAAACCGAUCUUAUAAUUUAUUAUAACUUAUGAAAGACAAAGUCAGUUCAAAACUAUAUAUCAUAUAUUAAAACAAUAAAAAUUACACCUACAUAUCUAAACAAAUAUCUUAAAUGUUAUAGGAUCGGCCGAAAUGCCUGUAAAUGUUUUAUAAGAUACUUAUACUUCUUUUAUUUUAUUUUUAGGUGAUCAAGAUUUUCUUGAAAGAACCGGUAGGUUACACUAAUAUUGAAUUUUUGGUUAAAUUUACCACCGGGAAACUCUCUACCAGUGGGUGUAAGAUAUUUGAAACGGUAAUUAGUCAUGAAAAUGAUUUGAUCGUACAAUUCAAUAAAUACACGUUCUCGAUUAAGAUUUCAUUUAAGAUUGUCUUCUCUCAAUAUAUUUACAAAAUUUCAAUCAUUUACCUAUACAUAAACUAUUUUAAAACAUAAAAAAUAUUAACUACUUACCCUUGUUGAUAUUUAUGUAGGAAGAUUUAUAUUCUUCCUUUGAAAAUGUUGUGUUUUGUGAGCGAUUGAACGUCAUGCUUAUAAUUUUAAAACAACACAAACAAUAUUAGUGUAAACUAUAUAGUUUGAGCUAAUCAUUGUACAUUAUUUAUAAAAUCAGAUAAAUAUAUUUUAAAAUUAAGUGUUUGUAACAAAAUAUUUUUUAUCAAAAAGAAAAAAAAAGCAGAUCAACACCAUCAAAUGUUAGCGGAUGAGAUCUACAUGCAUAUUUCCUGUUUUUUUCACAAAAAGACAAAAAUAUUGAACUGCAUGCAGAUCUUUUGCUUAAACUGCUUUUGCAAACAGAAAAACGUGAAUGGUGAAUGUAUUGCGGGAGAACUAUUAUUUUACUUUAUACCACAGCAAUAUAACAAUUUGCAAACUAUCUUUCGAAAACACAAUUUAAUUAUCACCGCAUUUUCCCCUAAUUGCAUACUGUAAAUAAGAGUAUGAUAUUAUUGUCGUCCGAAUUCGGACCAUCUCAUAACCCUAUGAAAACUCUAUCUUAACCAAACCCAUACCAAUGUCAUUAGGCCAUGAUUAUCGCCGUCUUUUAAUAAGGUUCUUAAGGGGUGGGUCCCGCAGAUUUUAUUAAAACCGGUUGCAGAAGUCGCGAGAUAAGAGCCGCUUUUGAUCUGUUUCUUGUACUGUUUGCAGGCCCCACUGACACGUGGCGGUCCGCGAUUGGUUUCUUUUUUUUUUUAAAUGAGACAAAACAAAAAAAUAAUUAAGAAACCCAAACCAGUUUUAGCGAUAAUGGUGCUCUAAGAGCAUAAUUAACCCGGAGUUCUUAUGAUGGGGUUCUUAGCGGAAGUUAAGAAACUGUUUUUUAACUUUUAACUAAAAAAGUUAAGAACCGCUUCUUAAAUAAGGACUUUAAAAACCGGUUUUUAGCUUUUUUAGUUAAAAGUUAAGAAACAGUUUCUUAACUUCCGCUAAAAACCUCACUCUAAAAACCCCGGGUUAAUUAUGGUCUCAUGUAUGUAUAGUGCUUUCCUUAGUGAAAUUUGAAAUCUUAGAAAUUAAAUAUUAGAGUUAUUAGUUAAUGAAUUUAGACGCCCAUAAAUAAUUAAAUAUGAAUCAUGGACGUGGUUUCUACCUAGAUAUUCCAUUGGGACUCUUAACCAAAUUAAUAAUGAAAUCGUUGAUCAACAAGAUAGAUUUGCUUCCCUUGGACCCAACAAAAAAGUCACUGUUUCUUCAGUGUCUCUAAGAAACGCACAUGAGUCGACAGUGUCGGUCCUUCAUGCAUACUUAUACUCUAAUACUUGGAAAACCGGGGAUGGGCAUAUAUCGAUCCUUGGUAUAAAUUUUAUUUAUGCUGGACGUUACAGACAGCAUCGUCAAUUAAUUUCACCCAAAAAAACGACGUUAUUAAUCGAAUAUAACAUUUUAUAGGUUCGUUAUAUAGUAUAAUCAUGGUUUAUGAGCUAAUAUUAACCAACUAAUAGUUGAUGGAAAUUGUUCGAAACUGGGUUUCCAUACCAAUAUGGUUUCAAUCAGCGUAUGGUUUUGAACACGAGUAAAAAACAAAAUAGGAAGUAGUGGCGGAACCACCUCAACUUUUUACAGGGUCAAUUACAUAAUGAACAUAUGGUAUACGGGUCAAUAAGUUAUUUGUAACGAUUCUGAAAAUACAAGGAAAGAAUUAUUUUUAUACAAAUUCAUAUGGGUUAUAUGACCACCUUCACAAAGCGGUAGCUCUGCCACUACGAAAUAUCAUAGUUACAUCUAAUAUAAGAUAUACAUAAAAAUUACGUCACCAAAUAUAGUAAUAUGGUGGCCAACUGGCCAUGCUUGAUGCAGGGUGUGAACCAAACAUAGCCUCGACCUCGUUUACCACAAAAUUGUCUCCUUCAACAUUGAUACCACGCAGGCACAGACAGAGUAAUGACACAUAGGCAAUAUAAAGUUGAGGCAACGGUAUGUGCAUAUGUGUUUAUGAACGGUCGUCAUAGGUUGUCUAAAUCAAGAGACAUUAUAAGCUGGGAUGAUACGUAAGAAGAAAGCAAAUGUCACAAACCUUGUGGGUCUUACUAAAGUAAAUUCCAUUUCUAACUGAAAAACCGUUGUUUAAAUACGUUGACCAAGUCUAAGAUGUUAUUUGACCAACUGUCGCUUAUUUUUUAUUUUAUUUUUUUAAGUGUCGCUUAUUUGCAUCCACUUCUAGUGCUUCAGCCUCUCAGAUUGUAUUUUUUUUUUUUUUUUUGUAAAAAGCCUCUCAGAUUGUUGUUUUCUGUUUUGUAAAUACUUAUUGCUAUCCACCUUUAACCUUUUACAAAUAUUGUUUGAUUAAAAAAAAAACCUUUUACAAAUAUUGUAAGAGAAAUAAUUACCUGUCGAUUCUCUUAUUUUAUUAAUAUUUCUAUUAAUGGAAGAAAUCCACCGAAUUUCUCAAAAAUAUAUUAAUAUUUUUAAUUAUAUACUAGUUUUUAACUUUUAAAAUAAUAAUCAAAUCAACAAUUUAAUGCUUAUUUGUAAAAUAAGUUUUUAGAUUCUUUUUAAGUUUUCAAACAAACAACUUUCUCUAUUUUCUUCUUUUUAAAAUUAUUUUAUUUACUUUUAAUUAUGAAAUACUUUUUAAGAAUCUCCGGAUGAUAAUUAAUGCUCUUAGGACAUAUUCAUCCACUCUUAUAGAGGAUCUGUCAGCAUUUUUUAAAAUAAAAUAAAAUAAAAAGUGUGUCAAUGAAAUGUAUGGUAUAAGGAACUAUAGAAAACUUGCCAAAGACUUAAACAUGAUGUGCCUUCCAAUAAGUGGUAUUAUAAUUCUCUUCAUAUUUAAAUUUAAAUUAUAUAAAUUUAGAUAUUUUGUUUUUUUGGGUUAAAUACAACUUUAGAUAUUUCAUGAGAUACUCAUAUCAAUAAUAAUGCUCUUAGAGAACCCUUAUUCAUAAAAACUCAAAUUUAGGUUUCUCAACUUGAAAGUAUUAUUAUUUUAUUGUAAAUCCGUAACAAAAUUCAUUUUUUUUAUGAAAGUAAGUAGUUAAUAAAAUAACAUAUAUGUUCAGAAUCGUGCGAGCCUUUAUAGUUGCCCAAAAAGAAUACAAAUAAAAUCAUUUAACAUAAAUACAUCAAAGAUAAUAAAUAGUAUCGUUGUUGACGGAAAAAAAAAUCGUUAUACAACAAAAAACUUAAGAACUAAAUUAGCAAAAGUAAUUUUAAAAUAUAACAUUUUUAUAUUCAUCCUAGAAAAAACAUAACCAAAUUUUCAAAAAAAAAUUUAAAUGGCCUUCAGAAUUAUUUCAAGUGACUCAAUGUUUUUAAUUGCUAUAUUCAAAUGAAGAUACAAACUUAAAUAUUGAGAUAAAUAUUCCAUUACUAUACAAACUUAAAAUAUUAUACAAUAAAUAGAACUACAAAUUUGAGAUAAAUAUUGAGAAAGAAUAAUAACUUGUUAACUUCAAGUGAUGUAAAGCCUAGUUAUUUUUAGUUAUUUAUUAUUUGCCUCAGUUUAAACUACAUCUAUAUAUAUAUAAAAAUGUUUGCCUCCCUCCUGGUGAUGCCACAUCAGAUUCCAGCUAGAUAAGUAGUCUCAUGUAAACGUGACACGUGGCAUAAGAGUCGAUCCGCUGUGUUUCAUUAAACGUGUAUGUAAUCUUUUUGGGCUUAUGUUUUAUUUGGGCUUUGUGUUACCUAAGAUAAAAGGGAAGCCGACUUUGUUAAUCAACUCCUCAUAACAGCUGUCGUCUCUCCUUCCACCGCCUUAACUUGGCCGAGUAACUGCUGUCGGUAACGCAUUUCAGUGAAUUCACCCCAUUAAAGUUGGAUUAUUUGGCUUCACUUUCAAGCUAAGUUGCUAUAUAUAUAAUGGCCCUCUUAUGUGGAUGAAACUCAAAGUCUUUUGCAUCUACUUAUCACACGAUAUCUCCCUCCAUCUCUUUCUACAUGUUAAAUCGUUUUAACUAUGCUGAUUUACAGGAUACAAGGCUGGGAGCCAUAACCAUGGACUCCAUCAGAUCUGACUCCAUCAGACAGAUGUACCGAGCAUCUCCCGGUUUCAGUGACUCUUGCGUGGCUCAACAAUGGCGGCAGUGAAGAUGGUAGAUUCUUGCUUGGCUCAACGGCGGCGGCUGGAGCAUGGUGAAUCAAGAGUAGUUAGAGCUGAAGGACGGGUUUGCUUGAAGCGCCGACGGUACGAUGACAAAACUGGAUCUCGGUGGAACACCAAUCACCAAUGGAAACGUCACCGGAAUAAUAUAUAUUUAUGCAUCUGAAGGACGGGUUUGCUUUACAUUUUUUUGUUUUAAAUGCGGAUUCGUUUUGAUAUGUGUUUGAAUAUACCGAGUAAUAAUUCACUAACCUCGAUUAUGUAAUUAUAAUGAUUUAUGCGGAGGGUGUGAUUUGAGGCGUAAUUAUCGUAUAAAUUUAAUUCCUGAUUAACCGGGAUUGUCUUUUAAAAAAAAAAAUGGUAUGUUGUUUAUGUAAAUAUGAUAUAUUGACGCGUAUGCCUUAUUUAAAAUGACAAUUCUUAUCAUUCGCAAAAGUCCAAUGUCUGUAAAAUAAAUUUAUUUUAUCAGCCAAAAUCUAGAAUAUCUAAUAUCAUUCGAUGUCAGUCGAAGACUUUGGUUAGCAAACUCAAUGAGGUUGUAACCUAUCCAAUGAAUAUUUUAGUUAGGUCAUCUAUUUUAUUUUGUAUGAGUUAUUAGUAGUCCUAAUGUCAGUAUUGUUUGUCUUGAGACACAAGUCAUAAGUACUUGGAUACUUAUGCAUAAAUCUUAAAUUAUACAAAAUAAUACCUAUUGUAAUCUUUAUCAUCCUAAAGGAAUGAUGCACCUCAAAAUUUCAGCAACAAGAAACUAUGCAAAAGGUAAUUACAUGUACGCAGUACUUAAGCUCCUCGCAGGUGACCAUGCUGGAAGGAUGAAUCGUUUAGACCUUCACAGAUGAAAAACUCCUAUGUUACAUUUCAACUAUACAAACUCCAAAGGCGAGAAUAACAUGACACCCAAACAACAUAAACGAAAGAUGCACCUAUGCUUCCUAUGAAAUUCAACCAGUUAAUUAUUAUUUUUGGAUCAAAUUUCAACCAGUUAUUUAUUAUCUUCAAUCAUUUAGUUACAACAUAUGUUAACGUACAUAACUAAUAAAAUAUAUUAUUAGUAUACUUCUAUUAAUAUUAAAAUCAAAAUCUACACAUCAACCAAUUGAUUGAUAUCUGAUAAUAUGAACAAUACAACUUUAGGUUAUUAAACAUCAUAUCUCAACUUCAAAGAGCCACUUUCCCCAUCACACAUAAUCUCAUUCAUCCAUAAUUAGUGCCACACUCAUGAGAGUACUAAAUUAGAAAAGAAAAAAAUUAGUCAACUCAAUUAGCAAGUCUAAGAUUUUACUAUAUAAACAAUGGUAUAUAAUCAAAGAUUCACAAUAAAAUUAAACAAAUUAACUAAUAUCCCGCCCGUAGGGCGGGCCGACCCUAGUUGAAAUAAAACAAAAGCGUAAUUUAAUGGUGAGAGACUGAGAGUAAUAGCGGUGGCCAAUAGGAUAUGUUAGUUAUUUAUUAUUUGUUCCACUUUAACUAAAUUGAUUUAAAUAAAACAGUAUAUAAAAGAUAAAUUCCUUAGAAUAGAAUUAAAUUUUUUUUCUGUCAUAAAUAUAGAUCUUAAAAAUAAAAAUGACCAAAAUAGACUUAAAUCUUUUAUGAAAAGAAGUAAAUAUACACUUAUACCUCUAGAGUUAAUUAAUCUAGAUAUUAGAAUUUAGAGUUAAGGGGUGGAGUUUAGGGUUUAGGGUUCAAGGUUUAGGGUUUAAGAGUGGGGUUUUGGGGAUAAAAUUUCAAAAUUUUUAAAAAAUUAAAAUUUUCAAAAUAAAAAAUGACAUUUUGGUUAUUUUAGUUUUUAAAAUUUAUUUUUGUGACAAAAAUUAAAAAAAAUCUAUGCCAGAGAAUUGUGCUAAAAAGUUUAUAGGAUGAAUACUAACUGUGGCCUUUUGAGACUUAUAAAAUGCUUUUGAGAAAAUGAUGGGCUAAGCUAAAGUUUCUUUUCUUUCAAGGCAGGCACGGCGCUGCAUAUGCUGAGUAUCCAAUUGAUUUCUCAAAGUUCUUAAAUGAGAGUAUCAUUAACCCUCUCUCAUAUUUUUAUUUAUUUUGUCAUUAUUUUUUAAAUUGAGAUAUCCAAUAAGAUAUCUCUAAUGGACAUUGCUCUUACAAGUCUAUUCUAUAUACACUCGAGUAUUUUUGUACUUUUUUUCAAAAUUGUUGGGAUUGAUUGACAAGUUCUUUAGAAGUGCUGUAAGAUCUCUCUACAGCCUAAAUUAUUUUUACAAUUCAAAAUUUUGCCUAUCAUGCUUUGUAAAGAUUUUUUAAAGCUACAAAUUUUUCUUUUCUUUUUAUUUAUUUUUAGCUGUGGAAAAUCAUAAAUCUAGAACACUUAUUUUUUGCUUUAGAAAAUUUAUAUGCAAGUCUUUGAAUCUUUUUAAACCUACAGCUAAUAGUCUACAGCAAAAUUAUCUACAGACGCAUCAAAAAAAAAAUCUACAGAUUUAUUUCUAAAACAAAAAUAUAAAACUACUGCUACUUCCAAUCAUCCCCGUCGAUCCUACAAGUACCCGUUGAUCCUCCAUACUUGUUUACUGUAACACAGGCCUGCACAUGCAUUGGAUUUUCUAAAAGUUGCCGAAUGGGACACCCGGCCCACUAAAUAAUUGAAACUAGUAGUUAAUGUAGGAACAGACUCUUGUUUGUUUUAGAACCAAAGUUAUUACAUUUGAUCAGCAAAUCCAUCAGGUAUAGACGUAUCACAUAGACAAUGAAACAAAAAGCAAUGGGUCUGUCCUUAGCAGGGCCGGGCCUGAAUAGAAACCCAUCAAGCAUGUGCUUGGGAUCCGAAAAAUAUAUAUAUGUUUUAAAGACCAAUAAUAAACAAAGAGAUCAUGUAAUUCUAGUGGUAACUUUAUUCUCAGUGCGAUCCCAACCGUUUUUUCAAUAUUUUCACUGUUUUUAUGAAAUAAAAAAGGCCAAAAAUAAUUUUUUGCUUGUGGGCCAAUAUUUUUCAGGCCCGGCCCAGGUCUUUAGUAGAUGUUUUCUCAAGAAGGAUGGAUGCAUUGUCCUCUGAGUAAUCAAAGCCUAGUACUCAAAAGAACUUGAUAUCAUAAUCGAUAUAGCUCAUGGGAGUUUCCAGAUAUAGACUCAGAGCAGCUCGUAGUAAAUAAAGCCAGGGAGCGAGAGUGGCUUUGAUCUGUGUCAAUCUAGUUUUCGUUUAGUGCAAGAUCGCACCAAACUAAGCAAGCGACUCUACAAAAGACUUCAUGUUCACAACAUCUUCCUCCGUUGUGACAUGGCUAGGCGGCUUCAUAAGCUUCCAAAGCCCAGCAGGAUGUCGCUGCUUCCUCACCCUUGCAUCCUCCCUCCUCUUCCCAAAGAUUCUCUCACACUCCGGAUACGGCUUCACAUACAAGUUAUAGAACCUCUUCAUACUCGGUUUAAUCAAACCUUUCAACCCAACAUCACACCCAAUCCCGCCUCUAAGCCUCAAGUACUCAACCACAUCGUACCUCGGCACAAUCUGCUUCCGAAAAUUCACCCCAAGAUACUCCGGCACAUCAGCUAAACACUUCACAUGAAACCCCAUCCUGUUAGUCAAAAACUCAACCUUCUUCUCUACCUCAUCCACCUCGUACAAAACCACCCUCGGCUCUUUCCACACGACCUUGAAGGCCUCUCUCCGAAUCAACCCGUGUCUGCAUAAACAAUCAACUCUAACCUUUACUUCAAACCCAGCACGAAACAAUCCUUCUUUAAGAAUCUCAUCUUUAAUCACUUCACGGCAUUUCAACGACUUGAUCAACUCCAAACAUCUUGAAAGCUCUCCUAACUCUAAACCAAGAACCCUCGGCUCUCUGAAAAUCUCUUUCUUGAUCUCCUCUUUGCUAAACCCGAUCCUUAUAAACUCAUCGAGUAACGGCUUAAGCUUGGAGUCAAUACUAAUCCCUAAGAUCUCUGGAAAAACGUGAAAGAACCUCUCAACGUUAGGAACAUCGAUUCCAACUAAAAACUCAACCUUUCUGUGGAUUUCAACCUCGUUCAGUGCAAGAACGUUAGGGAAGGCUUCAAGAACUUUACUUACAGUACUGUCGCAAAAGCCUAAACCUUUUAGGACGUUAGUGCAUUCGUGAAACUUAUCUGGGUUGAUUCCGAAUCUAAUUGAAUGUUCGAGGACGCUUUUGAUGGCUGAAGAUGAGGAGAGACCAGAGAGAGGAAGUCUCCAUUUUUCCAGGAAGUUUGGUCGGAGGACGUUGGGGCAGUCGUGGAUCAAUGAAACGAGUUGUUUCUGAGGGAGUUUGAGGGAUAGUAAGAUGGAGAGAGAAGCUUCGGUUUCGGAUAGAUCUGAGUUUGAGAGGAAGGUGUUUUUAGAGAGGAAGUGUUGGAGAAAAGAGGGAGGGAACCCGUGACGUUGGAGGAGGUUCGCGAGUGAGAUUUGUUUCCUGUAGUUCGAUUGGGAAGUGGGGUUUGAGGAUAGUGAUCGAAUUGGUGUGUAGCGACGGAGAUUGGUGAAAGGUUUAAGCUUUGAGGCCAUUCUGAAAUUUACAGAGGAGGAACAGAACACCUGAACACGAUGUCGUGUAAGAAAAAUUAAGGUUAUGAUAAUUACACUUGUAUCCUCAAAAGUUUUAUUUUAUUUUUAAAAAGGCUCUUACUUUCAAGUUUUGAAGAUUUUGCCCUCUUAUUCGUAUAUGUUUUGGAAAAUGAUUUUUUUUUUUAAAUAAUCGACUGGUUUGAUAAGUUUGCAUCUGUCAACGGAUUUGGCCCUUUGGAGAUUCUCUUGAUUUUGCGACUGACUAAUAAGAAAGAAUUGGUUAAGGAUAAUUUUUAUUUGGUUCAUUAUAUAUCAUAGUUACCACAAACUUCAAAGAUAGUAACUGGAAAGAGUAAACAUUCACAUAUUGAGAGUAACGCUCACCAGGUCACCACAAUGAUUAAUCCCUUCCAGAAAGUAAUGAUAUUCAAGAAAGAACAACAGAAUGUCCAAAUUGCCUCAAGAAGCAUGUUAGUCUAUUUGAAACCAAUAAUUCAAACAACUGGCAUAAAUUCCAAAAACUAUCAACUUAGCCUGAACAUAUACCAUCCUGAAAGAACUAUAUAUAGUCUAUUAUUCUCCUGGUUUAUUCCAAUAAUUAAUUGUAAAGAAACGGUAAGAAAAAUAGUUUGAUCUAAUGUAGAUUACAUACUAACUAUUCUGAAUGGUGGUCAAACUUUCUGGCAUUGCAGAGUAACAUCUCGCGUUCCUCUAACCUUAAAAGAUCCGUGGCUGCUAAUGGCUGGCAUGUACAUGGUGAUCUUUCUGAUUUUUUGUAGCUUAAUUAUUUCAUUUGAAUGUAUAUAUAGUUUAUAUUGUUAAUCUGAUUGAUAGAUGUAUGUUAUCCCAACAAUCUUGAGAAAAUAUUUAUUUUUUACCUUAAAAUAAAAGUUGUAAUCAGUAAACUAGUGUGAUAUCAUUUUUUGUUUACAAAUAUUGCAAAGCUGACGUUGGUAAUUAACACACAUACCUCAUGAUAAUAUAAUAUACGUUACAGAAGUUACGUCCUUUUUGUCUUCUUCUAUAUCAUAUAUGCUCAAUUUGGUAAAAUUUGAAAUGAAUUUGUUGGCAGAAAAAGACAAAAGAAAAUGCAUGCGCUUUUCUCUCGCAGGUUCAUCGUUAGCUCUUCUUCGCAGCUAACUAAAUCUCUGAUGAAGAAGAAGAAGCUCGCUUUUUCUCACUGGAGCCAGAGCCGCUAUAUACUCAGCCAUCUUCUUCCUUCUGGCCUCGCUUCUUCGUCUUCAGUAACCCGCGUUGGUCCAUCUCUUGUAUUACGGUCGGAGAAAAUCAAUAGGUUCUUUGUCAGCACGUUGAGGAGAAGUCUCUUGGAAACUAGAGCUGGGUUCUUCGAUCCUCAGCUUCCUCCUAAGCCUUGGGUUUUCACUGGCUUUCAAAAACGUGGAUGGUAUUGUUUCUUAUUUACUCUACAUUUCUUAUACAAACUGAGCUUGGAUAUGAUUUUCUAUUUAGUACUAAUCUACCUUUCUUUUGUUUUCUGGGAGAAACUUGUCUUUGAGUUUGUAAAGUUUCUAGCUUUAUUUUUAGGGUUUUAAGGCAUGAUUUACGUGGUUAAUUUCACUACUUUCUUAAGCUUUCCAAAAUCAAUAAUUGUUUUGUAUAUAUGUGAGGAAUCAGAAAAAGGACAAUGAGAAAUCAAUAGGCUUUUUUUUUUUUUUUACCAUUUCUGUGUAGUUCUUGAUUUUGAGUAGCAGCAGAAAGCUCUUUUGAUGCCUUUCCUUUUAUAGAAGGAGCUGUCCCAUUUUGAUUUUUGUUAAAGGAGUAGGCUUUUCACUUGUGCUCCAUGAUAUUCACUCUUUUUUUUUUGGGUUUCCUCUGGCAGGAUGUCUUGGUUUAAUGGAGCUAAUGGUGUUGUCUUUGGAUUGAUAAUAGCUAAUGCUGCUGUAUUUACUAUGUGGAAGGUUUACGACCGGAAAUGGAUGUUCAAAAAUUUUGUGGUCAGACCAACAACGUCCAAAGCUCUAAAUCUUUUAUCUUUUUAUUUGAUCUUCAGCUCUUGUCUUUUGAUCUUUGUGCAGCUAUCAUUGAAAAGCUUUAUGACUGGACGUAUACACACGCUGAUAACUUCGGGUUUCACUAAUGUUGGAACCAGUCAACUCAUCAUUAACAUGAUUGGACUCUACUACUUUGGGACCAGAGUAUGACCUCUUUCCUUAACGUUUAAAUGAAAUGUUUCCUUGAAUGAAUGAAUAUUUAUAACCCCAUUGUUGUUAGAUCGCAACAACCUUGGGACCGGUCUACCUUUUGAAGCUGUACUUUGCUGGAUCACUUGCUGGCUCUCUUCUCUUCUUAAGUGCUCAUGCUGUAAUGGCAAUACUCAAGGUAUAUAUAUAUAUAUAUCAACCAGAAUAGUUUCCUUGCUCUCACAUCAUGCUAGGUCCACAGAUGAGUAGUUUUUUUUUCACAUUAUUAGUAUUUACGUUUCUAUAUUGGUUGUUCAAUCAUACAGAGCCAAGGAGUUUCCUACAAGGAUCAAUCAACACCCAUUGGAAUGCUGGUAUGUUUCUUUUAUUCAUCCAGUUAAAUGAACUUGUCAGAGCAUCUUUUGGAGACAGAGAGAGAGACGCAUGCAGAGGUUCUUGUUUGGAUUAAUCACGAAAGGUAAAAACUCUUUCUAACUUGUGUGGCAGGGUCCAGAGGGAUCUGUAUAUGCCAUUGCACUGCUGGAUAUGUGCCUCUACCCCAAAGUUACUACAUACUUUGCGUUUAUUUGCCGAGUACCCGUAAUUUUUGUAAGGAGGACUAUUUACAUACUCGUCAUAAUGAGAGUGAAACUCUUUGCUAAUUACUCUCACUCUUUAAUAUUUCAUCUGUUUGGAAACAAUCUGAAUAUCUCUUAAACUGGACUAACUUCUUUGAAAUUAAAAAAAUAAAAAAACUUCUUUGAAAUUUGCAGGGGGAACAGAAGAGUAUCACCGUGGCCCGUGGGUAUGAUUCACGCUGUAGGAGGAGCUAUGGUUGCAGCCAUUGCGUGGAGACGUAUUAAGAAAGGUCGAUUCAACUAUUGAUUGGUUUCAUUACUGGUCCAUCUAUGAGUCCUUGGAUUUGCUGCAAAAGACUCGGUUGAUAUGAUCAUAACAGUGGUUUUUUUUUUUUGACUUUAUGAGUCACAAUGAGAUUUUAUUACCAUUGACUUUUUUGGACAACGAAAUUAAUUAGGGUAGUUUGUGUUUUGUCUUUAACGUUUAAUCCAAGUUCCAUGGCAAUCAUUUUUUCUCUCUUCUUUUGAUGUCAAUCAAGAAGAUCUUAUGGAACAAACAAUGAAUUAUAGUUUGCACUUGGCCUCUUAAACUCUUCCUCAGUAGCUAGAGGUCAACUCUGUUUCUUAAGAUUGAAUGAAAGUUUGGUAGUUGCUCAAAAAAAAAAGUUUGCACUAAACUGACGUAGAAAAGACAAGGAUGAUAAUAAGAGCAUAAAUUAGAAAGAGAAAUUGCUUCAAAUACAAUAAGCUGGAUAUCACUUUUUUAAAAUACAUUUAAUCAAAAAUAUUCUAAUAUUUGAGUUUAGGGUUUAGUGUUGUUUAGAGUUUAGUAUUUAGUGGUUGAAUUUUAUUGAAAUCUUAUAUAACUUUAAAUUAAUUAAAAGUUAAAAAAGGUAAUAUAUGUGUGAAUAACAACAGUAAAUAUCAAUCGGGAGUAUUUUCUAAAUUGUAUAUACAUUCACGACAAAGUUACUGACAUUGUAGAGUAACAUGUCGGGUUCCUAUCACUGCGGGGGAUCAGCCAUUGCGUGGGCACGGAUAGUGAGUGGCAAAAAAUACUUGUGAACUUUCUGGUAGAUGCAUGUUAUGGUUUAAUGAAUAUUUGCAAGUUAAUUUACAAUUUCCCUAAACUCUUGAGGAUUUUUUUGUGUUUACCUUAAAAAAAUACAAUUGCUACUUUGUAAAUUAAAUUGUAAGUAAAUCGCUAAACUAGUUUGAUAUUAAUGUUCAAAAAAACAUUAAUAUCAAUUAAAUUGGUUUUCGUCUAGAGAUUAGAUGGGAUUAAAUCAUUGAUUUUGUUCUAGUUCUAUCACAGAUUAGACUAAAGAUGCAUUAGUUCGUACAAAAGUAUUUUUUUAUUUGAAAAAAUCUAUCAUUUUUUGUUCAAACAAAAAACAACAACUAGUGUAUAUAAAAAGCUGACUUUGGUAACAGACAUAGCUCAUGAUAGUAAUAAUAUACAAAAGUUACAUCCUUUUUGUCUUCUUCUUCUAUAUCUAUGAGCCAUUUUGGUAACAUUUGAAAUGAAUUUGUUGGAAGAAAAAGACAAAAAGAAAAUGCAUGCGCUUUUCUCUCGCAGGUUCGUCGUCGUCGCUGGCUCUUCUUCUUCGCAGCAAACAAAAUCUCUAAUGAAGAAGAAGAAGCUCGCUUUUUCUCACUUGAGCCAGAGCCGCCACGUACUCAGCCAUCUCCUUCUUCUGGCCUCGCUUCUUCUUUAUCUUCUCUUGUAUUACGGUCGGAGGAAAUCAAUGGGUUCUUUGCCAACACGUUGAGGAGAAACACCCAUCUGAAGCUGAAACCCGGAAGUCUCUUGGAAGCUAGAGCUGGGUUCUUCUAUCCUCAGCUUCUUCCUAAGCCUUGGGUUUUCACUGGCUUUCAAAAACGUGGAUGGUAUAUUGUUUCAUUGAGCUUCGAUAUGAUUUCUAUUUAAGCAAAAAAAAACUUGUCUUUGAGUUUGUAAAGUUUCUAGCUUUAAUAGGAGCUAGUCCCAUUUUGAUUUUUGUUAAAGGAGUAGGCUUUUCACUUGUGUAACUUCCAUGGUAUUCACUUUUUUUUUUUUGGGUUUCCUCUGGCAGGAAGUCUUGGUUUAAUGGAGCUAAUGGCGUUGUCUUCGGAUUGAUAAUAGCUAAUGCUGCUGUAUUUGCUAUGUGGAAUGUUUACGACAAGCUAUGGAUGGUCAAAAAUUUUGUGGUCAGACCAACAAUGUCCAAAGCUCUAAUCUUUUUUAUCUUUUAUUUGAUGUUCAGCUCUUGUCUUGGAUAUAUAUAUUUUUUGAUCUUUGUGUAGUUAACUUAACCAUAUGAUGUUUUCGGCAGCUAUCAUUGGAAAUCUUGAUGCUUGGACGUAUACACACGCUGAUAACUUCAGGUUUCACUAAUGUUGGAACCAGUCAACUCAUCGUUAACAUGUUUGGAGUCUACUACUCUGGGUCCAGCGUAUGACCUCUUUCCUUUAACUUUUAAAUUUUCCAGAGUGAAAUGUUUCCUUGAAUUAAUAUUUAUAACCCAUUGUUGUUAGAUCGCAAGAACAUUGGGACCGGUCUACCUUUUGAAGCUCUACUUUGCUGGAUCACUUGCUGGCUCUCUUCUCUUCUUAAGUGCUCAUGCUGUAAUGGUAAUACUCAAGGUAUAUAUAUAUAUCAACCAGAAUAGUUUCCUUGCUCUCACAUCAUGCUAGGUCCACAGAUGAGUAGUUUUUUUUUUCACAUUAUUAGUAUUUACGUUUCUAUAUUGGUUGUUCAAUCAUACAGAGCCAAGGAGUUUCCUACAAGGGUCAAUCAAAACCCAUUGGACUGCUGGUAUGUUUCUUUUAUUCAUCCAGUUAAAUGAACUUGUCAGAGCAUCUUUUGGAGACAGAGAGAGAGACGCAUGCAGAGGUUCUUGUUUGGAUUAAUCACGAAAGGUAAAAACUCUUUCUAACUUGUGUGGCAGGGUCCAGAGGGAUCUGUAUAUGCCAUUGCACUGCUGGAUAUGUGCCUCUACCCCAAAGUUACUACAUACUUUGCGUUUAUUUGCCGAGUACCCGUAAUGCUUGUAAGGAGGACUAUUUACAUACUCAUCAUAAUGAGAGUGAAAAGUACUCUUCUCUACUAAUUAAUUAUUCUCACUCUUUAAUACUCAGGGAAUCUUAGGCCUAGGACAAGACUUGUUAACGGUGCUAAAGGUGUGUGUGUAUCUGAUAAUCUAAUCUACAUUAAUUUGCUAGGAAACAAUAUGACUUUCUCUUUGUCUGGACCAACUUAUUGGAAAUUGCAGGGGGAGAAGAAGAGUAUCACCAUGGCUUCGAUUCACACGGGGGGAGGAGCUAUGGUUGUAGCUAUUGCAUGGAGGCAGAUUAGGAAAUGUCGAUUCUACUAUUGACUGGUUUCAUUACUGGUCCAGGAAUCCUUGGAUUUGCUGCAAAAGACUCUAUUGAUAUGAUCAUGACAGUGGUUAUGUUUAACUUUGUGAGUCACAAUGAGAUUAUUAUUAUUAUUAUUGGUUUUUUUGGACAACGAAAAUAAUUAGGGUAGUUUGUGUUUUGUCUUUUACAUUUAAUCCAAGUUCCAUGGCAAUCAUUUUUCUCUCUUCUUUUGAUGUCAAUCAAGAAGAACUUAUGGAACAAACAAUGAAUUAUAAUUUGCACUAAACUGACAUAGAAAAGGCAAGGAUGAUAAGAGCAUAAAUUAAAAAGGAGAAAUUGUUUUUUUUUUUGUUUUUUUUUUGCACAACGGAGAAAUUGCUUCAAAUACAAUAAGUUGGAUAUUACUUUUCAAAAACCCAUUUAAUCAACAAUACUCUUAAUAUUUGAGUUUAGGGUGUUGUUUAGAGUUUAGUAUUUAGUGGUUGGAUUUAUUGAAAUCAUAUAAAAAUUUAAAUUAAUUAAAAGUAAAACAAAAAAAGUAAUAGACAAGAGCAAAAAUUUAGUUUACCUUUAUAUGUGUGAAUAACAGUAAAUAUCAAUCGGGAGUAUUACUUACUCUCUCCGUUUCAUAAAGAUCCACAUUCUAGAAAAAAAUUGUUUCAAAAAGAUACAUUUUUUACUUUUUCAAUGUAUUAUUUAAGGGCUUUUUGCAAAAGUGACUCAAAACUUGAAGUCAAACAGAAAACUAACUUUUUCUUUUGACUCCUUUUUUUUUGAGAUUUUAACCCCACACCUGCAUUUUAUCUACGAAAAUGCCAUUAACAUUUUUUUUUUCUUUUUUUCGAAAAUGGCUUCUUUACUGUCUCAACCUCAUCUUCUUCAAGUAUUUACAAUAUUGCCACUGCAAUGAAUAGUGGCAACAACCUUGUACGAACUGUUUGGAGCUUUUAAUGCCCUUUAAUGCACGUAAAUCUCUUUACACUCUCUCUGUUUCAAUUGUUAUGAACUAAAAACAACAUUUCUUUCACUUUCUCUCUAUAUUCAUCCAAAAAACUCAAGCUUUUGAUUCAAAAUAUGGGCUAUGGUUGACAGAGCCAUAUUUCUUUCGUUUUGACUUACGGUUGCUUUCGUUUGAGGUUCUGGGUGGUUGGAGAAGACCCUGUGUGCAAACGAAGUCAUCUCACCUAGUUUAAGGUACGAAUUUGAAUUUUUUUUCAAGAUCUGUUCGCGUAGAAGACUUACUAGUAAGUCAUCUGUAUGUAGAAGACUUACUGAUGAGUCUUCUGGUCAAACGGACGACUUAAAUUAAGUCGUCAAGCUUUGUUUGUUAAAAAAAAACACUCCAGACNNNNNNNNNNNNNNNNNNNNNNNNNNNNNNNNNNNNNNNNNNNNNNNNNNNNNNNNNNNNNNNNNNNNNNNNNNNNNNNNNNNNNNNNNNNNNNNNNNNNNNNNNNNNNNNNNNNNNNNNNNNNNNNNNNNNNNNNNNNNNNNNNNNNNNNNNNNNNNNNNNNNNNNNNNNNNNNNNNNNNNNNNNNNNNNNNNNNNNNNNNNNNNNNNNNNNNNNNNNNNNNNNNNNNNNNNNNNNNNNNNNNNNNNNNNNNNNNNNNNNNNNNNNNNNNNNNNNNNNNNNNNNNNNNNNNNNNNNNNNNNNNNNNNNNNNNNNNNNNNNNNNNNNNNNNNNNNNNNNNNNNNNNNNNNNNNNNNNNNNNNNNNNNNNNNNNNNNNNNNNNNNNNNNNNNNNNNNNNNNNNNNNNNNNNNNNNNNNNNNNNNNNNNNNNNNNNNNNNNNNNNNNNNNNNNNNNNNNNNNNNNNNNNNNNNNNNNNNNNNNNNNNNNNNNNNNNNNNNNNNNNNNNNNNNNNNNNNNNNNNNNNNNNNNNNNNNNNNNNNNNNNNNNNNNNNNNNNNNNNNNNNNNNNNNNNNNNNNNNNNNNNNNNNNNNNNNNNNNNNNNNNNNNNNNNNNNNNNNNNNNNNNNNNNNNNNNNNNNNNNNNNNNNNNNNNNNNNNNNNNNNNNNNNNNNNNNNNNNNNNNNNNNNNNNNNNNNNNNNNNNNNNNNNNNNNNNNNNNNNNNNNNNNNNNNNNNNNNNNNNNNNNNNNNNNNNNNNNNNNNNNNNNNNNNNNNNNNNNNNNNNNNNNNNNNNNNNNNNNNNNNNNNNNNNNNNNNNNNNNNNNNNNNNNNNNNNNNNNNNNNNNNNNNNNNNNNNNNNNNNNNNNNNNNNNNNNNNNNNNNNNNNNNNNNNNNNNNNNNNNNNNNNNNNNNNNNNNNNNNNNNNNNNNNNNNNNNNNNNNNNNNNNNNNNNNNNNNNNNNNNNNNNNNNNNNNNNNNNNNNNNNNNNNNNNNNNNNNNNNNNNNNNNNNNNNNNNNNNNNNNNNNNNNNNNNNNNNNNNNNNNNNNNNNNNNNNNNNNNNNNNNNNNNNNNNNNNNNNNNNNNNNNNNNNNNNNNNNNNNNNNNNNNNNNNNNNNNNNNNNNNNNNNNNNNNNNNNNNNNNNNNNNNNNNNNNNNNNNNNNNNNNNNNNNNNNNNNNNNNNNNNNNNNNNNNNNNNNNNNNNNNNNNNNNNNNNNNNNNNNNNNNNNNNNNNNNNNNNNNNNNNNNNNNNNNNNNNNNNNNNNNNNNNNNNNNNNNNNNNNNNNNNNNNNNNNNNNNNNNNNNNNNNNNNNNNNNNNNNNNNNNNNNNNNNNNNNNNNNNNNNNNNNNNNNNNNNNNNNNNNNNNNNNNNNNNNNNNNNNNNNNNNNNNNNNNNNNNNNNNNNNNNNNNNNNNNNNNNNNNNNNNNNNNNNNNNNNNNNNNNNNNNNNNNNNNNNNNNNNNNNNNNNNNNNNNNNNNNNNNNNNNNNNNNNNNNNNNNNNNNNNNNNNNNNNNNNNNNNNNNNNNNNNNNNNNNNNNNNNNNNNNNNNNNNNNNNNNNNNNNNNNNNNNNNNNNNNNNNNNNNNNNNNNNNNNNNNNNNNNNNNNNNNNNNNNNNNNNNNNNNNNNNNNNNNNNNNNNNNNNNNNNNNNNNNNNNNNNNNNNNNNNNNNNNNNNNNNNNNNNNNNNNNNNNNNNNNNNNNNNNNNNNNNNNNNNNNNNNNNNNNNNNNNNNNNNNNNNNNNNNNNNNNNNNNNNNNNNNNNNNNNNNNNNNNNNNNNNNNNNNNNNNNNNNNNNNNNNNNNNNNNNNNNNNNNNNNNNNNNNNNNNNNNNNNNNNNNNNNNNNNNNNNNNNNNNNNNNNNNNNNNNNNNNNNNNNNNNNNNNNNNNNNNNNNNNNNNNNNNNNNNNNNNNNNNNNNNNNNNNNNNNNNNNNNNNNNNNNNNNNNNNNNNNNNNNNNNNNNNNNNNNNNNNNNNNNNNNNNNNNNNNNNNNNNNNNNNNNNNNNNNNNNNNNNNNNNNNNNNNNNNNNNNNNNNNNNNNNNNNNNNNNNNNNNNNNNNNNNNNNNNNNNNNNNNNNNNNNNNNNNNNNNNNNNNNNNNNNNNNNNNNNNNNNNNNNNNNNNNNNNNNNNNNNNNNNNNNNNNNNNNNNNNNNNNNNNNNNNNNNNNNNNNNNNNNNNNNNNNNNNNNNNNNNNNNNNNNNNNNNNNNNNNNNNNNNNNNNNNNNNNNNNNNNNNNNNNNNNNNNNNNNNNNNNNNNNNNNNNNNNNNNNNNNNNNNNNNNNNNNNNNNNNNNNNNNNNNNNNNNNNNNNNNNNNNNNNNNNNNNNNNNNNNNNNNNNNNNNNNNNNNNNNNNNNNNNNNNNNNNNNNNNNNNNNNNNNNNNNNNNNNNNNNNNNNNNNNNNNNNNNNNNNNNNNNNNNNNNNNNNNNNNNNNNNNNNNNNNNNNNNNNNNNNNNNNNNNNNNNNNNNNNNNNNNNNNNNNNNNNNNNNNNNNNNNNNNNNNNNNNNNNNNNNNNNNNNNNNNNNNNNNNNNNNNNNNNNNNNNNNNNNNNNNNNNNNNNNNNNNNNNNNNNNNNNNNNNNNNNNNNNNNNNNNNNNNNNNNNNNNNNNNNNNNNNNNNNNNNNNNNNNNNNNNNNNNNNNNNNNNNNNNNNNNNNNNNNNNNNNNNNNNNNNNNNNNNNNNNNNNNNNNNNNNNNNNNNNNNNNNNNNNNNNNNNNNNNNNNNNNNNNNNNNNNNNNNNNNNNNNNNNNNNNNNNNNNNNNNNNNNNNNNNNNNNNNNNNNNNNNNNNNNNNNNNNNNNNNNNNNNNNNNNNNNNNNNNNNNNNNNNNNNNNNNNNNNNNNNNNNNNNNNNNNNNNNNNNNNNNNNNNNNNNNNNNNNNNNNNNNNNNNNNNNNNNNNNNNNNNNNNNNNNNNNNNNNNNNNNNNNNNNNNNNNNNNNNNNNNNNNNNNNNNNNNNNNNNNNNNNNNNNNNNNNNNNNNNNNNNNNNNNNNNNNNNNNNNNNNNNNNNNNNNNNNNNNNNNNNNNNNNNNNNNNNNNNNNNNNNNNNNNNNNNNNNNNNNNNNNNNNNNNNNNNNNNNNNNNNNNNNNNNNNNNNNNNNNNNNNNNNNNNNNNNNNNNNNNNNNNNNNNNNNNNNNNNNNNNNNNNNNNNNNNNNNNNNNNNNNNNNNNNNNNNNNNNNNNNNNNNNNNNNNNNNNNNNNNNNNNNNNNNNNNNNNNNNNNNNNNNNNNNNNNNNNNNNNNNNNNNNNNNNNNNNNNNNNNNNNNNNNNNNNNNNNNNNNNNNNNNNNNNNNNNNNNNNNNNNNNNNNNNNNNNNNNNNNNNNNNNNNNNNNNNNNNNNNNNNNNNNNNNNNNNNNNNNNNNNNNNNNNNNNNNNNNNNNNNNNNNNNNNNNNNNNNNNNNNNNNNNNNNNNNNNNNNNNNNNNNNNNNNNNNNNNNNNNNNNNNNNNNNNNNNNNNNNNNNGGCGCUAGUGUUUAGAGGAAGCGGCGGUGAGAACGUUGGUGACCACGGUGGCGAGGGCGACGGUUUGUUCGGAAAUAGUGGAAGCGGCGGCGCUAGGGUUUAGAGGAAUCGGCGGCGCUAGGGUUUAGAGGAAUCGGCGGCGCUAGGGUUAGAAGAAGCUGCGGCGACAACGGUGAGAAUGAAGUGAGAUAGAUAGCCGAUGUUGAGAACGAUGGUUUGUUCGGGAAUCGUGGGAAUUCGAAAUCGCCUUUGAGAGAGAACUGUUAGGGUUUCUGAAUUUCGCGAAAAAUGAAACAAAAAAAAUAAAAAUCACCUUAUAUAUUGGGUAAAUAAUCCGGUUAGCUUUAAAAGUACAUUGGUAAACUUUAUGGUUUGGUCCGGUUUAGACGUCUUAUUCUGGCUGAUAAUGUACAACAGACGACUUAAUAUUUAGUCGUCUGUUUUCAGACGACAAAAUAUUAAGUCGUCCUAGACCCUAAAAUGAACCCCUAAACUAAAAUGACUAGAUUAACUAACUAACCACGUUAUAAAAUCAAAUUAUACUUAAAUAGUGUUUACUAUACACAGAAAUGAACACGCAUAAGUAAUUUUAAAAAUUUUCAAAAACGGUUUUAAUGCUUUCCAAAAUCUAACCCUAAGAACACAUACAAUACUACAACAUAUGUUGAUGAAACAUAAACUAAAGAAUAUCAUGACUCACUACUUUCACUCAUCUAUGCUGAAAACAAUUGAAAUUUGUUAUAUCUUAAUUUAUACCUCCUAAGACAUAUGUUAAUUACAUAAUUCCCAUUUUUCACUUAUCAAAAUAUUUUUUACAAAAUUUUUAAAUUAUGUUUAAGACUAACUGUCCAGACGACUUUCAGUUAAGUCGUCUGGACGACUUAUUUUCAAGUCGUCUAAACAGACGACUUGCGAGGGGUAGAAACGUAAAAAAAAUUCCGUUUUUUUGUUUGGUCACAAGGGGAUAGUUGUAAUUUCAAUAGCCUUUUAGGUUACUUUUGCCUUUGACCCAAAUUGAGGUAUUGUUUUGGGUUUGACUCCAAGUUUUGAGUCACACUUGGCAAUUCUCCCAAAAUAAAGACAUUCACUUUGUUUAUUGCAAUUCGAGGUUUGCGUUAUCAACUUUAAUGUACAGCGUUACUAGUCCUUCUUAAGCCAUAGUCUGCAAUUAUAUCAUGAAACAAAAGAAGUGUAUGAUGCUCAUUUUAUUCAAUUUUCUCGUUGAUAACAUGGUAGGAUCCAACAUCGAAUUCGAAAAUAAUAAUCGAACCAUAUGAAAACGUAUAAUAUUAUUAUGGCCAUUUCAAAAUUUAUAUGACUUAGAGAACUAGCAAUCGAAAAGAUAAUUGAUGUAUGGCCUAGAUCACAGAAGAAUUGAAUUCUUCACCAUUCCAACGCAUUUGGUGGACUAACACGACAUAGUUUACGAUAACAAAAAAAUUGAGGAAAUAAUUUUCCGAACACUGAGUCCUCUGGUUUAGGGUUAAAUAGACAAAACUUUGAAAAAGGAAAGGAACUAUGAAUUUUCUUUUGACAUCAGGAAAGAAACUAUGAAUUAAAAUUAAGAAAAUCAAGUGUAUGCAUUUGAUUAGGCAUGUGCAUUUCAGAUAUCGGCUCGGCUCGGUUCGGUUCAAGUAUUUUGAGUAUCGGUAUGGAACUAAAGGAUCCAUUUACUAAUGGCCUAUUUUUGGUUUGCGUUCAGUGAGGUUCGGAUAGUAAAACUAAGAACCAAAAAAUAUCCAAAAAGAAUAUUGGUUCUCAUUUGAUUUAUGUUUGAUUAUUUCAGGUGGUUCAGGCAAUUCAUGUUAAAUAUCGGGUAUGGAUAAAAUAUAAGGAUAAUUUGGAUAAAAAUAUCGAAUAUUUCGAAUAAUUUUGGAUAUUUCAGAUGAAAAUUAUAUGGAUACUUUGGAUAAUUUAAAUACUUUAUAAUAAUUUAGCUUUUCAAAUAUUUUUAAUAGAUUUUAAAGUAUAAAUAUAUAUUUAGUUAUAAUAUAUGUAGAUAUAAAUAAUAUUUUAUAUAUUUGAAUACUUGUUCAGUUUUCGAUUCGGAACCUACUUCAUUCAAUUAUUUUGGAUAUUGAAAUAUAUGUACUAUUCAAAUAUUUGAGAUUUCUGUCCGAUUUCCAUUUUGACUCUCCUCUCCAACUGGUACUAAAUGACAAAUUUGUAUACCAGAUUUGAUGUAACGUGUAUCUUGUGCUGCACUAUUCUAGUGUGUACACGAGUUAAAUAUAUAACGACGUGGGCCGUAGAAAAACCAUCGGCCGGAAGCACAAAUUUUUUUGAAAGCCUAUAAAAAGGAGUGAAUUGAGUGAAAAUCACAGAAGAAGUAGCAAAUUAAGAAAAUACCUAUAACAUAAAAAUUGUGGACUUUCAAAAUGAUCUAGUAUAGUCGAAAUGACAAAAUUGUCCUUUGGUCUAUAAGAGAGAGAUUUACAUUACGAUUGGUGAUAAUAGGUUAAAAGCUAAAAGAAAUAUAAAUGUAAUUGAAGGAAUAAGACCUGUUCGAAAACGAGAUCAAAUUGAUUUGAGGUCAUAAGACCCAUGCCCUCGUUCGAGCCGAGUCUCGUGAGUACGAGCCACUUUCCACGCUCACUGGAACAACAAACAAGAAGAGGACGAUUACGCGCCGGCAAGAUGCUUGGCGGUGGUGUGUCGUGGCUAUUUCACCAUAAUCGGCAAGAAAAUCGGAGCCAGCAAUUUGUUUUUAUUUUUUCUAAGUUUUAAAUGAUCAAAAUACUGUGUUUAGUGAUAGAUUUAUGUAAUUGGAACAUAAACAAUACGAAAUCGCAUAAAAAUUUUGAUGAUAUAAGAGAAAACUGAAGCCGGCCGCCAUGAAUAUAGUUUGAGCUGUCGAAAACCCUAAAAAUAAUUGGAGGGAAGAAGAUGAGUUAUUUACAUUUAUACCAUUCAUUAAAGAAAAUAAAAUAAAAUCAGUCCAGCAUGCCACUUGAACCAGGGAAACGAGCUUCAGAGUAUCAAGCUAAACCACCAGACCACUGUAACUUAUUCGAUGAUAGCUUUCAAACUCUAUACUAUAACCCUUUAUACCCGAAAAUGGUAUUCAACGAAAUUUAGCGACAUGUUAGAUUGACCUUAGAAAUAGUUUGGUGGUUUGUAUUUAGCUAGGUAACAUAAACACGGAUUGGGUUAAAAUAAAAUUUAUGUUGCUAAAGAUAGUUGUGGACUUUGCUUUAGGAUUUUAGCAUGUUUUAUGAUGUAAUAUCCACUAAAGUCUAAACAUAUUAUUUUAGAAUGUUUUAUGAUGUAAUAUAUGCUAAACAGAUUAAUUUAGAGCGUAGAAGAUUUUGUUUUAAAGAGAAAAACAGGUUAAGAGUUCGAGAAAUAUAUUUGUCGUCUGAGAUUUGGUAUUGGACAACAAAUACUUAUAUUGGGAACAUAAUAAAACUCACAAUUCUGUUUCAAUGCUAGUCUGACAUAUUAAGAACGAAUUUAGGCAAAUCUUACAUAUUAAGAAGGGAUUAAUGUGUUACUUGAAUACUUAUAACGAACCGCACGCUAAUUGUUUGGUUGAAAUUUUUUUUUGUCUCCAAUAUAUAGAAAACAUGAUAGAUGAUAACGCAGCGACCAAAAUUAAGGUGAAACUGCAAGUUAAUUGUUUGGUUAAAUGCUACUCUUUCGUGUUAAAACUAAAGUUAGCAUGUAUAAAGUUGUGAUCGGUUUACAUAGAUGCAGAAAUCGACAAAAGAAAACAACAGGUUAAGAGUUUAAAAAAUAUUUUUUUUUCUGACCUUAAAUAUUGGACAUCGAGUACAUAUAUUAGCAACACAAAAAAACCUAACAAUUCUGUUUAAAUGCUAGUCUAACAUAAAUAGUUAACAUAUUUAAUGACAAAAGUAGCAACCAGAGUUAUAAGUUCUGGUUAUAUCUAGAAUUGAUCAACCCCAAGGAGAGGCAAGGAACUGAUCCUCUGCUCACGACAAAAUGAGUUCAAAACAGAUAGAGAGAGAGGCAGAGAGGUCGAACUGUUGUGGUCGUGGUGGUGGUGGUGUCGGACGACAAUGGUGGUGACGAGCGAUGGUGGUAAAAACAAUAGAACACUCCUAAAACUAUUGAAGAUUGAAAACAGUCAAACACUUCUUUGCAGCCUCUGUUCCUGAAAUGAACGUUGCCUUUUUUGCCUUUUCCCCCCAUUACUUCAUGCCGGACCUGUAAAAGAACAGAGUAGAAUCUUUGAGAUACUGACCAACAUAAAGACUUAUAUACACAUAAAAGAACCACAAGAAACCACAAUUGAUAUAAUCUGUCAGAAACUCACUUUGGUUCAGAUCUCUCUCUAUCUCUCAAAAUAACAAGAAUUUUCAUAUAUCAGAACAACUGAGGAAGCAAAGUUUCUAUACGUUCAUAACUAGUAAUUAGAAAAUCAUAACUUGUGGAAAAGUACCUGCCAUCAAACAGAAACAUAGAGGAUAAUAAAACAAGAGACUAAUAGAACCAACAUUUAUGAAACUGUAAAAUAGAAACAUGGAGGAUAAUAAAACAAUUAGCAAGCAAACAAAAGAAGAGGCAGGCUAUACGUCUAUUUGGCAGACUAAGUCCAGUUGACAUACAAUUCAGAUGCAAGCUUAUCUGAUAGUACAAACAAACGAUUAGCAAUACAAGCAGAGUCAUUGUGUGUCUAGACAUUGUAAAUGACAGAUAAAAUUGAAUGGUAGCAAGGUAUUUGCCAAGUGUAUGUUGCUUAAUAUACGUACAUAAGUUAAAAAAUAGAAAAUUAGCUAGACUUGUAGCAAAUGUGGAUGGCUAACCCGGUCUUCUGCUUGUCCAUGGUCAUCUCCCAGGGAGAGAAAGGGUUGUUCUCGAGGUAAGCUUCUUGGGUACAAAGUCGAAGAGGUUGUUGUGGAGAGGGUCUGUAACCGGGUUAAACCGGAGAGAUCUGGCUCUGGAAAAGCUCCAGGACGAUUAGCUCCGUGAGGGUUCCUUGGAUUCCUUUCGUUUUGAGUUGGAUUCUCGUGACUAUGUUGCUUUCGUCACAUUGAACGGUUGGCCAUUUACAAGGGUUGGGGUUGGACCAGUCUACGUCUUUAGUGAGGUUUAGGCUCGAUUUGAGGGCUUGCAUAGUUGAGCGUCGACGCUGGUCUGAGAAGCUGCGAAGUUUAGUGAGGAGAGGAGGAAACAGAGAUGAGAUUUUGUCAUUACGAAGUUAAAAGAUGGAGCUUUAUUCUAGGGUUUUAUGGUGGAAUUGAAGGAGGAGAAGGAAGGCUCUUCCUUUUUACAGGGAAAUGAGAAAGUUAAGAGAUUGAAUCGGCGGAGAUGGAGGGAGAGAUAUAAGAGUAUGAAAUCAUAAAAGAUAAAAAAAUAAAUAGAUUUUUAUUCUUAUGGAGAAAAAUGGAGGACUUUAACUCAAUAUGCCUCAAGGGCUCUCGUAAAUUUCCCAUAUAUCCCUGUUAUUAAAAAUAAUAUAUAAUAAUUUAUUUUGAAUUAAAUUUAAAUGCAUAAAGCGUGUAAAGUCGAAAAGACAGUUAAUGAAAUGAGUUUAUUAUUAGAUCCAACCUAAUCUAUCCGGUCCACCCAAACCUAAACGGCUUAAAACCCGGAUCCUAACCUAGUUUCCUCUUGCUCGGGAAAGCCUCCCAUUUGGUCCAUCUCUCCAUCUCAACUCUCUUCUAUUGCGACAGAUAUACGAUGUCGUAAACGUAACGAGUCGUUUACGAAAAAACCUCCGUUACGACGGACGUUUAACAACGAAACUUCUUUCGAGGUUAAUUCGUUGUAACACUCCGUUUACGACGAAUACUGCCCUAGUAAAAAAUAUGUUUUCUUGUAGUGUUUCUAAACGUUGAAUGGAUGUAGCCCUAUCCCAAGAUUUUUUCUUUUAGACCGAUCAUCAAUUGUUUUACUUUUUAGUAUCUCUUUCGACAUUGUGCAAUCUUAACUCUUUGGCUUUGUUGCAAACGCAGAGAGUGACUAAUAAUCUAUAAUUGUGGUUCAGGUUGUGGAUCUGGCCUGAGCGGGGAAACAAUCUCAGAGAAUGGGCACCGAUGGAUAGGUCUUGACAUCUCAGCCUCUAUGCUUAGUAAGUUAAACUAUUAGUUUCUCUAUGAAGGAUUCUUCUGCCCUUCAUUCUUUUAGAUCUCUAAGCCACUUUUAAUAACAUUGCAGACGUUACUUGGUGACAUGGGGCAGGUUUGUAUGUCUGUCUCUCUCUAUGAUAUUGUGGUGGUUGCUUUUUGCUAAUAGUUAUAUCCUUUAGGCUUUAGGAAAAAAGAAUCUUGACUUAUUAUUAUGUUGCUUCACGCAGUGAUUAUAAUGCUGAUCAAAAUGACCUUUGCGAUGAUAAAACGAUGCUCAAGAUGCAAAGUGAGCAGCGGAAGCGUGCUGAUAAGGAGAACAGAGAAAGGAGAGGCCCUUCUUUGAUUCCUAGCUUGAAUCACUUAUGUUCAUAUGUGUUAUUAUCAAUUCUUUAAAAAACCCUAUUGUUGAUAAUCACUACUAAUCUUCUCAGUAACCUAAACGCUAACAGUGUCAACCCGAUUCCUACUUGACAUGUUGGUAAAGUUUAUCUUUUUAAUCUACUGAUGAUGAUUAUGAAUUUAAAUAUUAUUGUAUGACUUUUAAAUGCCUUUUUAAAAUAUGUUUUUCAAUUUCAUAUUUCGUUUUAAAAUUUAAAUUAUUUUAAAUUCUGAAUAUUAAAUAUAAAUUAAAAUUUAUUAUAUACUAAUUAAUAAUAAUAUAAUAAGAAUCGAUGUAAACUCCUCGUAAACAUUACAUGGAGUUUACAUCGAAUGUUUACGAGUGAUUAACAUCGAAAGAUUUACGAGGGUUUUACAUCGAAAUGUUUACGAGUGAUUUACAACGAAAGUAUUUACAUGUGCUUUACAUCGAAAUCAUUACGUGGGUUUUACCACGAAAUCUUACGUGUCGUUUACGACGAAUUCUUUCCCUGCGCUUUACGAAGAAUAUAUUUCGUCGUAAACGUAACGAGUCGUUUACGAAAAAACCUCCGUUACGACGGACGUUUAACAACGAAACUUCUUUCGAGGUUAAUUCGUUGUAACACUCCGUUUACGACGAAUACUGCCCUAGUAAAAAAUAUGUUUUCUUGUAGUGUUUCUAAACGUUGAAUGGAUGUAGCCCUAUCCCAAGAUUUUUUCUUUUAGACCGAUCAUCAAUUGUUUUACUUUUUAGUAUCUCUUUCGACAUUGUGCAAUCUUAACUCUUUGGCUUUGUUGCAAACGCAGAGAGUGACUAAUAAUCUAUAAUUGUGGUUCAGGUUGUGGAUCUGGCCUGAGCGGGGAAACAAUCUCAGAGAAUGGGCACCGAUGGAUAGGUCUUGACAUCUCAGCCUCUAUGCUUAGUAAGUUAAACUAUUAGUUUCUCUAUGAAGGAUUCUUCUGCCCUUCAUUCUUUUAGAUCUCUAAGCCACUUUUAAUAACAUUGCAGACGUUACUUGGUGACAUGGGGCAGGUUUGUAUGUCUGUCUCUCUCUAUGAUAUUGUGGUGGUUGCUUUUUGCUAAUAGUUAUAUCCUUUAGGCUUUAGGAAAAAAGAAUCUUGACUUAUUAUUAUGUUGCUUCACGCAGUGAUUAUAAUGCUGAUCAAAAUGACCUUUGCGAUGAUAAAACGAUGCUCAAGAUGCAAAGUGAGCAGCGGAAGCGUGCUGAUAAGGAGAACAGAGAAAGGAGAGGCCGUGUGUUCUAGACGACAGAGAAGCCGAUCAAGAUAACUUGCACAAUUUUCCAGAGAAAAAAAGUCUUCGAGAAGAGCGGAAGGUCCUAAGCAGUUCUUUGAGCGUUGUGAGAGUAUUGGUAUUGGAUCUGUAAUAUCAGGGAGGCGAGUUGUCGAACCGUAACUACUAAAUGAACACAUACAGUUUUGUAAUCACAUCAUAUUAAAUAUAGAAAAAGAUUUAAAUAUAUCUUUUAUUUAUUUUUGGUUAUUUUUUAUUUAAAUAAAUGUUAAUAUUUAAUUAUACACUCAAUUUUGAUUAGUAUAGUUUUCAUUAUCUUCUUUAGAUGUGACACAUUCUCCUUUUAUCUUUGAUUAAUCCCCAUUGUUAUUUUGAUUAAAAACAUUUAUCUUCUUAUUUUAGAUUUUUAAAACGUUUUAUGUUUCAUAAAAUGGCAAUUCUCUCAAAUAGUCUUUUUUAAGUUUUUGUCACAAAAAUAGCUCUAAAAAAAUAAAAUGACCAAAAUAGUGUUUUUAUUUUGAAAUUUUUAAUAUUUAAUUUUUAUUUUUUAUAAUUUGAAACCAUCCCUAAACCCCACCCUUAACUCUAAACCCUAAGUCACGAUUAGUUAAUCCAAGAUGUAUAAAUGCAUAUUUUACCCUUUAAUAAAACUUAUUUUGGUCAUUUUCCUCUCCGAAAAGGUAUUUUUUUGUGAAAAUAAACUAAAAAAAUAUAUCCAAAAGGAUAUCCAAAAGAAUUUCUCUUCAUAAAAUUCGUUUUGUUUUGCUCAUGUUAAAUUAAUAAUAUAAAAAUACUCAUAUAAAAUGUAUAUGCAUAGCAUAUAUUAAAAUAAUAAUUUAAAAAAGAUUCAUGUAAAAAGUGUAUGCAUAAUACAUGUUAAAAUAAUAAUUUAAAAAGUAAUCAUGUAAAACGUGCAGCUGUUAUAUACAUAAAUUUAACAUUUUAAUUAUACUUAGUAAUUCUUGGUAAACUUCAAGGUAGUAGUAAAACUACUUUACACAUAGUAAUACUUUGGCAAAUUUUAAGUUUUAUUAGUAAAACUAUGUCCAGAUGAAAUAUUUGGUAGUAAAACCAGUGAUUUUAUACAGUGAAUGUCAUUAAUUAAGAGUAUUACAUAUAAAGUUUACGAGAAAUAAGUAUUUUUAUAGAUUAUUCUUAUUAAAGCCUUAUGAUUCAUACAACAACCAUGAAAGUUAAGGAAUCAUUUUGGAAAACUAAUAAAUAUUCCUAAAACUAUAGAAAAUAAUUAUCUAAAUAGUUUUAAUAGUCUUAUUUACUAUAUAGAUAGUCUACUAAUAGAUAAUAUAUGGAUUCUAUAUGUUAAAUAUACGCACUACUUGCAAUAUACAAGAGUUUCAAAUUACACAUAAUAAAACCAAGUAAUCUUAGUAAUCUGAAUUACACAUAAUAAACCCAGUAAUCCGAGUAGUCUGGAUUACACACAAUAAAACCAGUUAUCAUAGUAAUCCGAGUAGUCUGGAUUACACACAAUAAAACCAGUUACAUACAAUUUGUUCAGCUAUUGAUAUCGUGCACGGUAUGGUGUCUUCCAUAUUCUCACUGAUAUCAAGGUAACUUUCUUUUCUCAGGAAUUAUAACGAACUUAUGAGGCUUAUCCUCUUACAUUUUCUCUGUGAAAUGGACGGACAGAACUCGAUCAUUAUUGUAGGUGGUGCUAAUAUGAGAGGGUGGACUGAGAAGAUGAGCGAUGAUGAGCUUGAGAUAGUGAGGAAUGCCAGUGGUGUGCUGCUUCAAAGAGAGAUCCCAGACUCAAUCAACAUUCAAGUUGCUAAAGUUCGUAUCAAGUUUUUAAAUUUAUUUGAUUCUAAUCUUGAUUUUAUUCAAGGAUGCUUCUUUUUGUUUAGAUAGAGAAAUUGUGUCGUGGAUAAGAUAUAGCAUUUGGAACUAGAAUGUAGAUUGAUCAUAUAUUAUUUGAAUCAUCACGAUGAGAUUGCCAAUGGAACUUUAUGUUUCUCAAUUUUUUAUAUUUCUCAACCCGGUAUAUAAAUAUUUUUCAUGCAUUUUUAGUAAAAUAUUUAUAUUAUACUUAUUAAAAUGAGUAAUUUGUUAGACUGAGUAAUUGCAUUUCUUGUAUUUAUAUUAUUAUCAAAUUAAUUUUAUUAUAACUUAUCGACUCUAAAAUUUUAUUAUAUGUGGAAUUUUUAUUUUAUUUGAACUUUUUUUUUUAGAACAUUGUUAUCUUGUCUAAAUGUUUUUUCUUUACAUACAAAACUUGAAGAAUAUUCUUUUGAAACUUUCCCUAUUACAAUUUUCUCCUAAGAAAAAUCUUAAUUGUUUUUAUUUUUUUUAAUACUAAUACAUAAAUGAACAUGUUAUUACCAAAUCUAAUAUUUCAAAUCCUUUGUUAUUACCAAAUCUAAUAUUUCAAAUCCUUACUAAAGAAAAAUAAUUAAGGUAAAAUUCAAUUGAACAUAUGUAAUAUCAUACAUAAUUUAAAAAUAAUUUUCUAAUAGCAUUUUAGUUAUAUAUAUCUAAAACAAUAUCGUCAAUUAAGUAGAUUAGUCAAAUUGGUUAUUUGAAAAUUUUAAUUAGGUACAAAUUUAUAAUUAUCAAGUAAAAUGGAUCUUUUUUAAUAUGUUCUCAUUAUUAAGUUUUUAUUCCCAAAUACGGCAUAUCCUUUAAAUUUUUUAAAUAUUGUUAAUUGAUUUCAUUAACAAUAAAAUUUUGAAAAAUGUAAUAAACAUUAUUUAAUAGAAGAUAAUAUCCACGAAUUUAUGGAAACAAGUUUUCUAUUUACAUAUUAAGGUUUAUAGUAUUAAUGUGCAUUAAGUAUAAUAUUUAUCAUGAUUUUGUUGUGGAAUAGAUUUAGGAAAAAAAUUAAUUUAGAUUUAAGUUUAUUAACUAUUUCAAUGACGUUGUAUUGUAAUUAAGUUGUAAGUCUUAGGGUUGUUUUUUAUUUGUACUUAUAUUUUAAUAAAGUAGAUACGUAUAUGUUUUGAAUUUUGAGGGCCAAAAACCCUAGGUAGGUAGGUGGCUUUAAUCAGAUCUUAUUUUCAGUUUUUUUUUUUUAGUUAAAAGCAGAUUUUGAGAGAACAGGGAGAAUAUUAUAUUCUUUAUUUCUAGAUAAAGAUUCUAAAUCUUUGUUUCUAUUUUUAAAUUUUUUUUUCCUUUUGUGCAAUAUAGAUUUCCAGUUAUGAAACAAAUUCAAUGAAGACAUAUCCACUCGGCGGAGCAAAAUAUUCUGAUCCAGAAAUCUGAACCGAAUCUAAACAAAAAAAAUAGUACCAAAUCUGAACCGAACCUGGUAAAAUAUCCAAACGGAUCCAAAACUUUAAUAUAAAAAAAAAAUUGAACUGAACUGAAUCCAAAACGAAAUAUUUGAGAUACCCAAAUCAUAAUUAUAUAUUUAAAUAUAUUAACUAGUUCAAAUUUAUUUUCUACAAAAUAUCUAAAAUACUUGAAAAUAUUUAAAAUUUAUCCAAAAUGACCACAAGUAACUAUCCAAAUAGUGAAAAUAAUCAAAAUACCAAAAAUAUCUGAAAGCCUUACAUGUUCUUCAUUCAAAUAUCUAACCUGGAAAAAGAAUUAAUGUCUAUUUUAGGUAUUUAAUAAUGCAUUAUUAAAAUUUAGAUAUUGAAUAUUAUUUUUAUUUUUAAUUUUUAAAUAAAUCUGAAUUUUUAUAUAAUUUAAAUCUAAAUUUGGACCGAACAUAUAAUGAUCUGAACCGAAUCAGAACUAAAAUUUAUGAAUAUCCGAAUGAAACUUGAAUGUUUAUCAAAUAUGAACCGAACGUCCACCCAUACCUAAAUUCAUGACAUCUUUACUCAAAUUCAUUACUAUCACCGAGACGUCAAUAAUUUUUUUUCAGAACAAUUUGUAAAGAACUUAUACUCCCUUCGUAUAUAAAAUAUUGAUGUUCUACAUUUUUCCUUUGUAUACAAAAGAUUGAUGUUUGGAAUAUAAUUAAUACCUUUGUCUUCCAAACUAAAACAUAAAUUAAGUUGUAAAAUUAUGUGUGGUAAAACUUUACUGCGAUGAGAUUGCCAAUGGAACUUUAUGUUUCUCAAUUUUUUAUAUUUCUCAACCCGGUAUAUAAAUAUUUUUCAUGCAUUUUUAGUAAAAUAUUUAUAUUAUACUUAUUAAAAUGAGUAAUUUGUUAGACUGAGUAAUUGCAUUUCUUGUAUUUAUAUUAUUAUCAAAUUAAUUUUAUUAUAACUUAUCGACUCUAAAAUUUUAUUAUAUGUGGAAUUUUUAUUUUAUUUGAACUUUUUUUUUUAGAACAUUGUUAUCUUGUCUAAAUGUUUUUUCUUUACAUACAAAACUUGAAGAAUAUUCUUUUGAAACUUUCCCUAUUACAAUUUUCUCCUAAGAAAAAUCUUAAUUGUUUUUAUUUUUUUUAAUACUAAUACAUAAAUGAACAUGUUAUUACCAAAUCUAAUAUUUCAAAUCCUUUGUUAUUACCAAAUCUAAUAUUUCAAAUCCUUACUAAAGAAAAAUAAUUAAGGUAAAAUUCAAUUGAACAUAUGUAAUAUCAUACAUAAUUUAAAAAUAAUUUUCUAAUAGCAUUUUAGUUAUAUAUAUCUAAAACAAUAUCGUCAAUUAAGUAGAUUAGUCAAAUUGGUUAUUUGAAAAUUUUAAUUAGGUACAAAUUUAUAAUUAUCAAGUAAAAUGGAUCUUUUUUAAUAUGUUCUCAUUAUUAAGUUUUUAUUCCCAAAUACGGCAUAUCCUUUAAAUUUUUUAAAUAUUGUUAAUUGAUUUCAUUAACAAUAAAAUUUUGAAAAAUGUAAUAAACAUUAUUUAAUAGAAGAUAAUAUCCACGAAUUUAUGGAAACAAGUUUUCUAUUUACAUAUUAAGGUUUAUAGUAUUAAUGUGCAUUAAGUAUAAUAUUUAUCAUGAUUUUGUUGUGGAAUAGAUUUAGGAAAAAAAUUAAUUUAGAUUUAAGUUUAUUAACUAUUUCAAUGACGUUGUAUUGUAAUUAAGUUGUAAGUCUUAGGGUUGUUUUUUAUUUGUACUUAUAUUUUAAUAAAGUAGAUACGUAUAUGUUUUGAAUUUUGAGGGCCAAAAACCCUAGGUAGGUAGGUGGCUUUAAUCAGAUCUUAUUUUCAGUUUUUUUUUUUUAGUUAAAAGCAGAUUUUGAGAGAACAGGGAGAAUAUUAUAUUCUUUAUUUCUAGAUAAAGAUUCUAAAUCUUUGUUUCUAUUUUUAAAUUUUUUUUUCCUUUUGUGCAAUAUAGAUUUCCAGUUAUGAAACAAAUUCAAUGAAGACAUAUCCACUCGGCGGAGCAAAAUAUUCUGAUCCAGAAAUCUGAACCGAAUCUAAACAAAAAAAAUAGUACCAAAUCUGAACCGAACCUGGUAAAAUAUCCAAACGGAUCCAAAACUUUAAUAUAAAAAAAAAAUUGAACUGAACUGAAUCCAAAACGAAAUAUUUGAGAUACCCAAAUCAUAAUUAUAUAUUUAAAUAUAUUAACUAGUUCAAAUUUAUUUUCUACAAAAUAUCUAAAAUACUUGAAAAUAUUUAAAAUUUAUCCAAAAUGACCACAAGUAACUAUCCAAAUAGUGAAAAUAAUCAAAAUACCAAAAAUAUCUGAAAGCCUUACAUGUUCUUCAUUCAAAUAUCUAACCUGGAAAAAGAAUUAAUGUCUAUUUUAGGUAUUUAAUAAUGCAUUAUUAAAAUUUAGAUAUUGAAUAUUAUUUUUAUUUUUAAUUUUUAAAUAAAUCUGAAUUUUUAUAUAAUUUAAAUCUAAAUUUGGACCGAACAUAUAAUGAUCUGAACCGAAUCAGAACUAAAAUUUAUGAAUAUCCGAAUGAAACUUGAAUGUUUAUCAAAUAUGAACCGAACGUCCACCCAUACCUAAAUUCAUGACAUCUUUACUCAAAUUCAUUACUAUCACCGAGACGUCAAUAAUUUUUUUUCAGAACAAUUUGUAAAGAACUUAUACUCCCUUCGUAUAUAAAAUAUUGAUGUUCUACAUUUUUCCUUUGUAUACAAAAGAUUGAUGUUUGGAAUAUAAUUAAUACCUUUGUCUUCCAAACUAAAACAUAAAUUAAGUUGUAAAAUUAUGUGUGGUAAAACUUUACUGAUAUAACAAAAAAAAUUAAUAAUUAAAAGAGUGUAUUGUUUUUUUUCUUAAUAUAUAUGACAAUGUCAAAUCUUAGACCAUCAUUAAACCAAAAACCCACUAUAGGUCUCUUAAUCAUUUUUAACUAUUAAAUGUCACUUAAAAGAUUUAGUUAAGAGACACCAACAUUUUGAUGCUCCAAUGGGAGUUUUUUAUUUAGGGGUUCUUAAAAAAAAAGUUAAACAUUGAGAAACAUGGAAUGCAAUAGGAGUAAAUGACAAGAUUUUUCAUACAACUAUCAUUGAAGCUUAAUGAAGACUAACUUACCAAUGCAUGUAACAGCCUUCUUCCUGACUGUGGCUUGGUUACAGCCCAACUGCAACAGCAAGGCGUUCAGUAGCUUCUAGUGAUCAUCUGCCAUUAAACUUCCAUACUUUUGAACAACAAAACUAUCAGGUAAAAUCAAGUGGAUUAGGGUAGAGACAUAAUUACAAGUAAGGCGUUCAGUUAUUUGCAAAACAAAUAGAUUAGGGUAGAGACAUAAUUACAAGCCUCUACUGUUCUCUGCUUUACUCAGAGUUGUUCAGAAAGAGCUAUUAAACUGUAACAGCGCCAACAAAACUAUCAGGUAAAAUCAAUUCAACUAUAAGUAUCAGUCCAGGUAUAAGUAUAGGUGCCGCUUGGGUUACCAGGAUUCACAAGAGUAGUAGGGCUGGAACAUGACAACUGGAUCGCAUAGUGCAAGAACAAGAUUCACGAACGCCUGCAAAAACACAAGAGUGUGAGACUAAAAGACAAGGAGACAGCAUAAAAGCAGUACAUAAAGCUCCAAGUGUCAAAAAGGAAGACUUUCUUCCCAUAGAGCAAUCCAUCUUCCUCCUCCAAUGCUUCCUGGCAUACAACAAAAAUAUCAGAAGCUAGUACCAAACUGAAAAACCUGUCGACUCAACAAUAGAAACAAAAAAAAAGAAUGUAAACAAAUCAACUUACUUCAAGAUGUUUGAAGUCCCAAUUGAAUUCAUAAAGCGCAUCUAAUUGGUACCACUGCCACCACAAAUGAACAAAACCAUAAGCAAAAUACAUCAAUGAAGACAGUGAACUCCGACGUUGAAGCCAAAUUCUUCAAAAAACAAUAUACCUCAGUCCCCACCCGGUUUAGAAUCUGAAUCGCCUGCUGACGUCUGAUUACUCAAACCGUAUCCCAUUCGGAUCCCAACCAAAUCCGAUUGAUGCUGUGUCUGAAACCUGAGAUUAGGAAGAAACGGCGAGCCGUAACGGUGAGACGAACCACCGAUCUUAGAAGAAUCACGUUGAUAGCUGCUUGUUGCUGCUGAGCCGCUUGAAAAUCAGCUAGAGUACGAUUCAUCUGAUGCUGGGAAGAAGACGAGUGGGAGAGGACGACUGGGAGACGGAAACAAGAGCCGUCUCUUCUGUCUCUUGAUUAAGAGACGUCCCUUAACAUAAUUGCCUUUUUUCUUUUUUUUUUUAAUUUCAAAAGAGACGGGUUAGGAGACCCCGUUAAUGGUGCUAUUAAACAGCAAUCUUUUAAUUACAAAGGAAGUAUAUAGAAUUGAAAAAGGUUGACCUUAGAAAAGGUGGAGCUGUUGUUGCUAGUUGGCACACACUCACUACAACAUAAACUAUCUUUUACUUUAGUCGCUUUAAAAAUAAUAAUAAAGUUUUGCUCAUCUUUCAUGCAUUCCAUUUGGAUUGCAUGAGUACCUUAACUUCUUAUAUAUUUCAACAACUCAAAUCCCUUUUUCUCAUACCAUUCACGAACUCCGGAGCGUGGACUCCUCUCAAACAAUGAACAGCCUGACUUUUAUAGACCUGCAUCUAGCAGCCUGUCUUAGACCCUCUACCAGUUUCUUCUUGUCGAAGUCAAGAUGGUCGUUCUAGACAAACUCCUAUAGUAUGGGUAGAAAAGCUUAUCAAGAUCCAGCCGCGCGAAAUUUUGCAGUCCCAAAUCUCUCAUACAUCCAUCCCUAAAACCUUCAAGAACGAAGAUGCGACCCCCUUCACGAUCACUUCUCGAGCUAGAAUUGAUUUUAGAAAUUUCAAAUCUAGCAAAGUAGCGGAAAGAAUAUGAUUGGGAGCCUGUUUCUUCCUCUCUUUUAAAAGGGCCCCUUUUAAUAAUACAUAGUUAGCUAUAGUAUCUCUAACCCAUAACAUUAUUUUAGUGUUAAAACUACUAGCGUAAUUUCAGCACUAAAAAAAGUUUUUCUCCAACCAUAACGUCAAAUUUCACACUAAAAGCUAUUUUAUAAUAUUAUAUAUAUUUAUGUUUUUAUUUGUAAUUUAUUUAAUUAUCUAUUUUAUUAAUAAAUUAAGUCAAUAGUGUUUUAAUGGGGUGAAUAGUAUUUUAGUGUAGUGAAUAAUAUUACACCAAAUUUGGUGUGAAAUUAUAGUGUUGCACUAAAAUAGUUUGAUUUUUAGUGUUGGGUUGGAGAAUAUUUUUGUGUCAAAAUCACACUAAAAUAUAUUGUUAUGGAUAGAGAUGUCAAACAUGUUUACCCAUCUCUUUUCGUUCCGUACCGCGGCGGGUUAGUCGUCGAGCGGAUCACAGCAGGCCUGCUCCGCGCGGACUGCAGUCUUCAAAAUACCGGCCUAAACCUGUACCGCAGAAUAUAUAGGCCUUCGCGGGGCCGUCCUGCGGGACGCCUCCUUAUCAAACCGUCUGCUGCAUCUUUUUUCAUGAAUGUUCAAGUAGAAAAGUUGUGUAAGAGAGUUGAAGAGAGCUCAUUAAGUUUCACUAAAGUCUUAUCAAAAUCAAUGCCACAAAUCUCCGUUUAUGCUUGCAUUUUUGAAUUAAAAGCAUUCUUUUAUUAUCAGCAUAAGCUUUUGUUAAGUUUGAAUCUGAUUGAUUGAGUUGUUGUCUUUGUAAUAAUUUGGCUCAAGUGUUAUAUGUCUUCAUCAAACCAUCUUUCUUUUUAAUUAUUUGGAUUGCAAAAAAUCACUUUUUCUCACUUUCUUUAUCGUGUUUCAGGUAAAAUAAGAAAUGAAGAAAAAAAAUGCGGGUCCAUGUAAUCCCGCAUGACCCGUUUCGGCCCAUCCCGCAAAAGGCUCAGUCCCGCAAAGACCUAUCCCGCGACAGUCAUUUUCGGACCUGGCCCGCGAUCCAGAUCCAUAAUUGCCAUCUCUAGUUAUGGAGUUGAGUUUGAGAUGACCUUAGUCGGAGAUAUAAGAAACAUUAAAAAGAAAACAAAAAGUAUAAUAUAUUUUCUCAUUUCUAUUUUCGAAAAUGGACAUCCUUUUAAAUUUAGUCACGAAGACACCAAAAUGUAUAGUUUUGAAUAUUUUUUAAAAUAAAAGAUGCCCGAAUUGAUAUUGCUUGACAGCUGUGAUCGAUUAAAAAAAAUAAGAAAAAUACAUUAACAUCACUGACCAUAUGUUUAGGUUUGUUCCAAUGUUUUUAAAACCGGACCGGAUACCGACUCGAUAAAGCUACUGGUUAGGUGGUCGGACCGGUUCAACCGGUCGAACCGGAUUUUCUAUUUAAAAAUAAAUAAAUCUAAAUAAUCAUAUAUUUACACUAUAUAGAUCUAAAAUGUAGUUCUAGAUAUAAUAUGUUCUAUGUUCCCUUUUAUUAAUUAGAUAAUAAACAAUGACCAUAAGUUUAGUUAUAUAUACAAAUGAAUACUAUAUCAACUAAAACUGAUUAAAAAAAAUGAAUGACCGUUUAAAUUACAUAUUUAUUUAUUUUUACAACUAAAAGUCUUAAAUUUUAUGAAUAUAGAAAAAUGAGAAUAAAAUAUGAGAGUCAAAAAAAAAAAAUUUUAAAAAAUUCUUAAAAAAAGAAUCAAGAGAAAACUAAUUAAAUAGUGUAAAUAAAAAUUAAUUAUGAAAUAUUAUAUUUUAAUAAAAAUUGCAAAUACAUUAAUUAUAUGUUUAUUUCUAUUGAACCGGGUUUUAAAAUUGAACCGGGUCACCGGCUUUACCGGUUUUUAGCCGGUUUCACCGGUUUAUCUCAAAUCCGGGUUUUAAACCGAACCGGACUCGGCUUCUUUAACGAGUCACGGUCGGACCGGUUCGACCGGCCGGUCCGGUCCGGUUUUCAAAACCUUGGUUUGUUCAGACAUUAUCCUAUUUUUUUCUCCAGAAAAAAAUUUAAAAAAAAAAGUUCAAAUCUUCGUAUAACCGAUAUAGGCAUGUUUUAACUAUUUAUUAUGAAUUUAGAUAUGCAAUUUAAAUUCUUAUUUAAUCUAAGAAUAUUUUGGCAAGUUAAUAUUAUUUAUGAAUAAGCCUUUUUCUCGACCUUUCUAUAAGGAAACUUGCUCCGGUGGGUGGUGGUUUCUACCACCGGUCGCCAUAAUAUUUUUUUGGUUUUGUAUUAUAGUACUUUCCGUUUAAGCGGAUUAUGUAUGUUUCGCUAAGGCGAUUUUCUCCUUGGCGUAGGCGAUUUUGAAGUGUAGAUUCAUCCAAGUCGGAGUGUUCAUCACUCUUAUCUUCUCCGAUAAGGUUGAAUUCAAAUAAAAGUUCCGAUUUUCUUAAUCGGAUUUUAUAUCUAAUAGCUUUCCACCCAGUUCAAAAUUGCAUUCCGAUGGUGAUUGAUCGGAUAUCCUGAAUCGUUGACCUCCUUAUCACUUCCUAGGAAAAUCAGACUUUCUUAAUUAAUAUAGCUGGCUGGCUUAAAGAAAGCAUCUUUGAUUUGGGAGUCGAGAGGGUUAGUUGGAUUUGGCAGUCAUCUAUGGAGUUGAUCAAGAAGAGUCGGCGUUUAUGACGGUCCGGCAAAUGGUCUUUCUUCAUAUUGGCUAAAACUUCCUCUGUUCUUAAAUCUCAGGCGAAACAUGAUAUCUUGCUCAAGAAGCCGCGGUUAAUGGUGGAAGGCACUUUCAAACGAAGAUCAACGGGCUCACAGAUGCAGAUAAAGAACUAGGACGUGAGUUCUUCUUUCUGCACGACGGCGCGUUCCUGAAGCGCUUGAGAUGGUUGGCAACGUACAGAAGAUUUAGACGACGUGUUUCCUUUUUUUCUUCAUCUUCCAACGUGUGGCAAGAUGACGAAGAUAAUGGAAGCGGUGGCAAAUUUUAUUAAUUGGGCUUUCAUGGGCUGUUUCGUAUAACGAAACAUAUAAAUGGAAAUGAGCUAUUGUAUCCGAGUUUGUACUUGCCCACUGGACUUUGCUUUAAUAAAAAGCAUAAGUUGACAAAAAAAAAAAAAAAAAAAACAUCACUGACCAUAUAACAAGGAAGAAUUUCCAGUUUUCAAAGCAAAAAAACAGAGGAAGAAAGAAAGAAAAAAAAUCUCAUGCUUUCCAGUAAGAAGAGUAUCCAAAACAAAUUUAUCGAAUAUUCAAGAGUCAAUUAGGGUAAAUCAUUAAUAUCACGAAGGAAAGAGGUAAUAAUAAAAUAAAUGGACCAAAAACUUGGUGAGCAAGGCUAUUGCUCUGUAUUAAUUGAGAAUUAUAUUUGAGAAAAUCUCUAUUAGGCUUUUUGCUUAACAAGAUUCAUGGCUCUCUUUCUCCGCCGCCUUGUGAAACCUGCGUUGGUGAGAAGAUCAUCCUCUGUUUCUCUUCUGAUCUCUAACGGCUUCUCAACUACUUCCUUGCGGCAAACCCCUCCUUGUUCCAUCAUCGGCGCUAAACCUUGUCUACCACUAGAGUUUUUCUAUCGUAGUGGCCUUGGAACACUCAUCAUUGCCAAUGCCAAUGUCGCCGAUAUGAGUUGCUUAGUUCGUCUGAAAAAGAAGGUGCCUGUGGAUUUGGUGCACAAUGAUCCUGAUGAUACUAUGGUAACGAUCGGGGCAUCUCAUGGGUGGGUAGCUAGUUUGAAGGACGAUGGAAUCCUGCGUCUCCAUGACGAUCUAAACCCUGUUGCAUCUGAUACAGAUCCUAAACGUAUCCAGCUGCCUCCUCUUGUGACUCUGCCACACUGCCAAACCAAAAUCGUCACCAACGUGUCAAUGUCAUCAUCUUCUCCAGAGAAUGAUGAGGACUGUGUCGUGGCUGUGAAGUUCUUGGGACCUCAACUCAGCUUUUGCAAACCAGCCGGCAAGAGUAGUAAACCAGAGUGGACCAACAUCAAGAUCGAAAACCCUUGCUUCUACUCCUCCCGUGUCAUGUUUUCCAAAAAGGACAACAUGUUUCGUAUUCCCGGAUCUGGAGGCCACCUCAUCGGCUCAUUGGAUCUCUGCGAACCUAACGAUAAACUCAAGUUGCAGUGCGUUGGAUUUGAAAACCUUCCUCCUAAGCUACCCACUCCCCUUAUGGAUUCAUGCUGCGUGAGCCAACACUUGGUGGAGUCAACAUCCACCGGUGAGACUUUCUUGGUUAAGCAGUACAGGAAGACAGCCGAAGGUGUUGCUAGAAUGAAAACAGAAUAUUUAAUGGUGUUCAAGCUAGAUGAUGAAGGAAACGCUCUUUACACUGAAGACAUGGGAGAUCUGACCAUGUUUCUCUCAAAGUCUGAACCUUUCUGUAUCUCUUCUACUUCCUUUCCUGGUUUUAAGCCUAACAGGGUUCACAUCUUGGAUUUCGAAGAAACCGCAUGCGUCGUCUGGUGGAUGGUUUCCCCUUCUUUGCUUCAACUGAUAAAAACUAGAGAUGGCAAUUCAUGAACUUGCCCGCGGACCCAUUAGGACUUGCUGCGGGGCGGGAUUGGUCACUAAGAUUCAGGCCCGAUUUUUUAGCGGGCAUCGCGGGUUGAACUUGUGCGGGUUUGGGCCAUAAGCGGGAUGGGCUCGGUGUGUACCGCGGGACGCGCGGGAUCCGCACAGACGUCGUCACUUUGAGUCUUCAAGCUCUCACCGAAAAAUAACCUGAGAGAAACGGUGAUUAGAAAGCUGAUCUCUUUGUAUUUAAAGAUCUAAACNNNNNNNNNNNNNNNNNNNNNNNNNNNNNNNNNNNNNNNNNNNNNNNNNNNNNNNNNNNNNNNNNNNNNNNNNNNNNNNNNNNNNNNNNNNNNNNNNNNNNNNNNNNNNNNNNNNNNNNNNNNNNNNNNNNNNNNNNNNNNNNNNNNNNNNNNNNNNNNNNNNNNNNNNNNNNNNNNNNNNNNNNNNNNNNNNNNNNNNNNNNNNNNNNNNNNNNNNNNNNNNNNNNNNNNNNNNNNNNNNNNNNNNNNNNCGGCGCGUUCCUGAAGCGCUUGAGAUGGUUGGCAACGUACAGAAGAUUUAGACGACGUGUUUCCUUUUUUUCUUCAUCUUCCAACGUGUGGCAAGAUGACGAAGAUAAUGGAAGCGGUGGCAAAUUUUAUUAAUUGGGCUUUCAUGGGCUGUUUCGUAUAACGAAACAUAUAAAUGGAAAUGAGCUAUUGUAUCCGAGUUUGUACUUGCCCACUGGACUUUGCUUUAAUAAAAAGCAUAAGUUGACAAAAAAAAAAAAAAAAAAAAACAUCACUGACCAUAUAACAAGGAAGAAUUUCCAGUUUUCAAAGCAAAAAAACAGAGGAAGAAAGAAAGAAAAAAAAUCUCAUGCUUUCCAGUAAGAAGAGUAUCCAAAACAAAUUUAUCGAAUAUUCAAGAGUCAAUUAGGGUAAAUCAUUAAUAUCACGAAGGAAAGAGGUAAUAAUAAAAUAAAUGGACCAAAAACUUGGUGAGCAAGGCUAUUGCUCUGUAUUAAUUGAGAAUUAUAUUUGAGAAAAUCUCUAUUAGGCUUUUUGCUUAACAAGAUUCAUGGCUCUCUUUCUCCGCCGCCUUGUGAAACCUGCGUUGGUGAGAAGAUCAUCCUCUGUUUCUCUUCUUAUCUCUAACGGCUUCUCAACUACUUCCUUGCGGCAAACCCCUCCUUGUUCCAUCAUCGGCGCUAAACCUUGUCUACCACUAGAGUUUUUCUAUCGUAGUGGCCUUGGAACACUCAUCAUUGCCAAUGCCAAUGUCGCCGAUAUGAGUUGCUUAGUUCGUCUGAAAAAGAAGGUGCCUGUGGAUUUGGUGCACAAUGAUCCUGAUGAUACUAUGGUAACGAUCGGGGCAUCUCAUGGGUGGGUAGCUAGUUUGAAGGACGAUGGAAUCCUGCGUCUCCAUGACGAUCUAAACCCUGUUGCAUCUGAUACAGAUCCUAAACGUAUCCAGCUGCCUCCUCUUGUGACUCUGCCACACUGCCAAACCAAAAUCGUCACCAACGUGUCAAUGUCAUCAUCUUCUCCAGAGAAUGAUGAGGACUGUGUCGUGGCUGUGAAGUUCUUGGGACCUCAACUCAGCUUUUGCAAACCAGCCGGCAAGAGUAGUAAACCAGAGUGGACCAACAUCAAGAUCGAAAACCCUUGCUUCUACUCCUCCCGUGUCAUGUUUUCCAAAAAGGACAACAUGUUUCGUAUUCCCGGAUCUGGAGGCCACCUCAUCGGCUCAUUGGAUCUCUGCGAACCUAACGAUAAACUCAAGUUGCAGUGCGUUGGAUUUGAAAACCUUCCUCCUAAGCUACCCACUCCCCUUAUGGAUUCAUGCUGCGUGAGCCAACACUUGGUGGAGUCAACAUCCACCGGUGAGACUUUCUUGGUUAAGCAGUAUAGGAAGACGGCCAAGAUCGUCCAAGGUGUUGCCCAAAUGAAAACACAAUUUUUAAUGGUGUUCAAGCUAGACGAUGAAGGAAACGCGGUCUACACUCAAGACAUGGGAGAUCUCACCAUGUUCCUCUCAAUGUCUGAACCAUUUUGUGUCCCUUCUACUUCCUUUCCUGGUUUGCUUCCUAACUACGUUUACAUCUUGGAUUUCGACGAAACCGCAAUGGUUAGUCUGGUGGAUGGUUUCCCCUUGGUCGCUACAACUGGAAAAACGGACGCUCCUUACUACAUUCCACCUCAAAAUAUAUUAGACUGAGGCUAGACUAUAUCCUCCAGCUUCUAUAUCUUCAUAAGUAGAUUGUACUGUUUCCUGUUUUAUGUAUGAAAUAUUUGUUCUAAACGCCGUGAAAAUUGUUAACCGUUCAGUGGUCUGUGGCCGUGGACAUUUAUCUCAAAUCAAUUAUAUAACUGGAGAUAAGAAAUUGAAUAUCGACUUUUAGUAUUUUAAGCUCAGAAAUGGAACAAUUGUUCAAAAUUUUCAUAACAAUGCUUAAACCAUGUAAAGAGUGAGUUAAACCCUAGUUUUGAUGAGGAUACAUUGAGUGGCUGCUAGCUUCUGAAAUCGUGAAGCCUUUGGAUAAGAUGACACCAAAAUUACUAUGUUACCUUUACUCCAUAAAUGAAGAAAAAAGUGCUUCAAAACUCAAAACACACCUGAUUCUCUCGACACACAAUCUAUUAUAUUAAAACAGAAUUCACAACUUUAUUUCAUGUAUAAUUUUUUAAAAUAAACCAUCACUAGAAAUCAGUUAUUAUUUAUUCAUUACUAAUAAUAUGCCUAACUAUAUCAUUCCAAAUAUUCCUAUCCACGCCUAAUAAUACGGUGGGUUAACAAACGUAUAUUUGCUUCCUUAUUCAAUUAAAUAUGUGAAAUCAAUGUUGGUAAUAUAAACCAUUAUCAAACCAGUCCUUAGACUAAUACAUUAUCGUAUAGUUCCAAUUCUGAACCGGUUACUAUAAUUUAAUUAAUUAUGUUUUCACCUGAAAUGAACCUUAAAACUUCUGUUUUAGUUUCUUUUAGUCACUUACGCAUCAUAUAUAUAUGAUCAAGUGAUUAUCCACCUCGAUGAUUUGAAGCAUUUCACCUGAAAAGAACCAUCAAAUCGGUCGGCUUUAGUUUAUAAUCGCUUCUUAGACAUUAUGUACAUAUAUGAUCAACUGAUAAUCAACCUCCAGAAUUUAAAACCCAUAAUAUAUGAUAUAUGACUAGAUUUUAGUAGUUAAAAUGAGUGUUUAUCUUAAAAACCGAUGUAACAAGAUUUUUCAAAACCACCAUUCGGUUACAACAACAAUAUCUAUAUUACUUAAUAUCUAUACAAUAAAAAUAGAAGUCAUGACUUUUUUAUAUGUGAUUUUUAAUUUGGACAAUCUCUAGAAAAUUUAUUAAAUUUUACAUAACUUAAUUAUAAUAUCUUUUAAUAUCUUUAUUUUUAUUUGAAAUACUAUUAAAUAUCUUAAAGACAUAUAUAACAAAAUCUUUCAAAUAUCUUUUGGAAUCUUUUUAAAAUAUAUUUCAGAGAUUAGUCAAUUAAAAUUUUAAUUAUCAAAAAAUAUAACUAUAAACUAAAUUUUAGUUAGUUGAUUACAAAAAAAAAAAAUUUAGUUUUGAUUGUAAAGAAAAAUUAAUAAUCAUAUAAUAUACCUUAAAUAAUAUUUUAAUGAUAAUAACAAUUUUAAAUUGAUUUGAUUUUGAAAUUAUAUUUAGGAAAUGUUUUAUAAAAUGUUUUUAAAAAGAAAUAUUCAUUCUAUUUCUAAUUUAAAAAUGAAAACUAGAUCUUGACCCGCAAAACCGUGCGGGUGAUUAGUUUUAUUUUACACACAUAACUAUUUUUUUACCUGAUUAAUUGUAAUAUUUACCAUAUUACUAAUUAUUUAAUAUAAUAUUUUGUUUAAAAAGCAAUGUUAUAGUUCACAUGUAAUAAUUUAAACCAUGUAAAAAAUUUUAAUUUGAAAAUAUUCUUAGUUAAGGAUCAAAAUUUAAUUGAAAAGUAUCAUAUUAAAUUAAUAUCACAAAUUUAAAAAUAUUUUAAAAACGUUUUUAAAAGAAAUAUUCAUUUCUAUUUCUAAUUUAAAAAUGAAAAUAUAUUAUCUAUUUAGCGCAUAAAUUAUGACUUAUUUCAUCAGUAAUUUUUUUUAAUUUAGACAACUUAGAAUUAAUACUUUUAAAUGCUUUUACCAUGUAAUAUAAUUAAUUACACAUCCCUUCAUAGAUGAAACAUUUAAUCUUUAUUCAUAUUGUAUACAUAAGAUUUUAGUGUACUGUUAUUAACGCCUGUUUAUUCUUUGAGUUAAAAACUAAUUCAAUUUAUUAUUUAAACAUUUAUACUAAUUGGUUUUAUUAAUCACUUUAUACCAAAUUCUCUAUUAUGUAGAUUCAACUAAAUUUAAUUUUCUUAUAUAUUUUAAAUUUAGAUAUAAAACAAAAAUUAUGUAAAUUAGUAUUGUUACAUAAUAAUGUUUUUAAAAUAAAUUUUAUUACAAAAAUAUAAAAUUUAUAAAUUUUAUAGUAAUAAUAUUAUACGCCACACAAAUAUUAUUAUAAAAAUACAUAAUAUAUAACACCAAAUUAUAUUAAUUUAUUGAUAUAUUUUAUUGCAUAAUCUAAAAUAUUUUAGAAUUAAAGAAAACCCGCACGAGAUCUAGUUUACGUCUUAAAACACUAGACUCACGCAAUUAUUCUGCCAAAGUAAUAUAUAUAUAUAUAUACUGUCUCAAAACUAGUCCCCAAAAUAAAUCCCGUAAAAUUAGUUUAGCAUACGUUAAGCCUCAUAACGUAGUCUCCAAACAAAGACAAACAUCUAACUUUUAAUUGAAUGAAAAACGUUAUAAUUUCAUUGGUUGAUUACUUUAUUAUUAUGACUUAGCAAAAUUUACUAAUGACAUACUUUUGAUAGUUAGGGGUGGGCGUUCACAUACCCGUUCGGGUUUGGAUCGGGUAUUUCGGAUCUUUGAGUAUUUCAGUAUAGAAAUAUAAAACUCGUUCGGGUAUUUUUAUAUUUCGGGCCGGGUUCGGUUAUUUCGGGUCAGGUUCAGAUAUUUAAAUUUUGAAGGAAAAUAAAUAAAUUAUUCAUUGUUUAAGUUUUUUGUAUUUAAAAAAUAUACUUUUAACUUAACCGAUUUUUUAAUUUUUAAUAGAUUAAACUAUUAAUAGGUUUGAAGAUAAAACUUUAAAAAUAGAAAAACACUAAUUUAGUUGUUAUCUUAAAAUUUUGGAUGCACCUUUUGUUAAUGUAAAAAACAAGAGUUUGAUAUGAAUUUUAAAUGAGUAGCAAAUGAUUUUGUCCAUAAUUAUAUGUAAAUUAUCUGAUUUUGUCCAUAAUUAUAUUAUUUAGCUUUUGUUUAUGAUAAAAAAAAUGUUGUUAAAUUUAUUACUAAUUAAAUAUAAUAUUUUGAUGAAUGUAAAUAUUACAAAUUUAAAUCUACAUUUUAUUUAUUUAAAAUACAAUUUUACAAAUUUAAACUACAUUUUAUUUAUUUAAAAUAAAAUUUUACAAAUUCAUAAAAUUAAAAUAUGAAGUAAAUGAAAAUUGUGUCUGCGACAACCAAACAAACAAAACUAAAUCUAAUUUCUGCGGCUGCGGCUGCGUCAAUGUUUUGUGUCUUUGAAAUGAACAACAAACUGCGGUUGCGACUGCGGCUGCGUCUGUUCGUUUGGUUAUUGAUCGUUUUGCAAAAGGCUGCGGCAACCAAACGAGCAGCACUAUUAAAUCAGUCAUCUUUAGAACUGACUUCGUACAUCAUCAAACCAAUACAUUCAAUAUAUACCAGUUUUGUGUGGUUCAAUAUAUACAGAACUCGGACUUCAAAUUUUGAUAUGUUACUCCUGAACUUGGGAAACACAUUUUUGUGCAUGGUCAACACAUAUAUCAUCGUCCCUGCAACAAAUGACUAUUCAAUGAGCCUUGGAACGGUUUGUGGUGUUGUGGAAUGGUUUGAUGGCAAAUUAACAAAUUUUAAUGCAUCAAAUUAACAAAUUAGGAAUAGAAUUAUAUUAUAUGUGUGUGUCAGUGUGCUCAUUAUUAGGUUGUGUCUUUCACUGCUAGACAACACAACACAACACCAACAUGGCAACUACAAUCUCUUUUUCUAGCAGUUUUUAAAGCUAGUGUUUGCUUUGAUGGAACACAUUUGAUUGUUGCAAGAUUUGUUGCCUUUGGUACAAGGAUCAUAACGAUUCCACAUACAAGAAUGCAACAAAAAAAAUAUUCAAAUAGGAAACGCUUAUUCAUUUAAUUACACAAGUCCCAUGAAAUUUCAUUAUAUAUUACAUAUGAAGAUUAUGGGAGCUUUGUUUCCUAAUACCAGUUCUCAUAUCUUUUUCAAACUACUUGUAGAUCUCGCAGGUCAGGUUGCACCAAGAGGUUUUCACGACAAGGCAGAGGUGUAGUAGCUAGACGCCCUAUCUGAGGAACAGCUUUGGAGGUUCCUGUCUCGAAGAAGGCUGAAUGGAGAGCCUUCACACAAUGCUCUGCCUCAUCAUCAUUCACUAUCAGCGAGAUGUUUACCUGAUUUCACCACCAAAACAAAUACAUUAAAGAAACGUCAGACAAGUGUGCAUGCACUUCACCCCCAUAAAGCAACCUUAUUUUAUUGUCUUUUAAUCGAAUUAUAAUCAAACAUUUUUUUAUUAUAAUGAAACAUGCAGUGAAGAUAAAGUUGAAAGAGAUUUUGACCUUAGAUGCACCCUGAGAGAUCAUCUGGACAUUGAUUCCAUUGGUUCUAAGAACUCGGAAGCCCUGUUUGUUGUUCAUUUAGUCACUAGUGCCAAAUCAAACAAACCAAAAGCUAUAACAAGAGAGAGAGAUAACAAACCUUCUCUAAUAUGAAAGAUGAUGAUCUCUGAAAAUUUCCAAUGAGUGAGAUAAUUGAUCUGUGCUGAAGCAGGUUUACCGAAGCAAUCUUCUCCAGUUCCUCUACCAUGUGAUUAAUCUCCUGUCACAUCACCAAUAAUUACACAAAAUACAAGAUGAGUCCUCUUGUUUUCAAUUUUUUUCCAUGCUACAAGAACAAAAAAGUACUUCUCUCAUCUAUAACCCAUAUAAAGCUUGCCUGUUGAAUUAACUCUUUGCUGCAGAACUUUGAAGGAUCCAAUGUCAAGGAAACGCUAACUUCGCUGGUUGCAACAACAUCUACAGAUAUGCCCAUCUUUUCAAAUGUGGAGAGCACCUGAUAAGAAAGAAAGAAAGAAAGAAAGAAAGAAAGAGAAGAAAUUUAAAACGUGAGCUGCAAGGUAGGAAAAGUGAAAACAUUGCCAUCAUUAUUACCUUGGAAAGGAAACCAUAUUGACCGAGCAUACGGUUGCUAGUGAUGUCCAACAUGGUAACAUUACGUUUCAGAACGAUGCUGGUCAGUACAGCCUAAGGAGAAGGAAGAGGUGGUCAUGAAUCAUGAUGUAUGGCUGUGAUAUAAACAAAAUACUCAUGCAAUUGUUGUUUUUAACGAACCUUGCUCAUGUCUCUUGAUCUAGUGAUGAGAGUUCCUGGUGCAGUGGGAUUGUAAGAGUUCUUAACCCUUACAGGAAUGUUCCCUUCUCUAGCUGGCCGCAUGGAAAGUGGAUGCAACACUUGUGCACCAAAGUAAGCAAGUUGAGCUGCCUCAUCAAAUGUCAAGUGUGGAACGGGUUGAGCUCUGCGGUAUAUGUUUGGAUCACAAGUCAAAACUCCAUCCACAUCUUUCCAAACCUGCCACCACAGUUAAAUUCAUUCUUGGUUUAAUAAAAUCUCAUCUAAACAACUCAAAUCUUGGUAAAACCAACGCAUCAAGCUAUACCUGAACCUCCCUCAAACCUAGAGCUUUCCCAAUUGUUGUUGCAGUCAAAUCACUACCUCCUCUCCCCAACGUAGUAACAGCACAAGAUCUCCAUCCCUACAGAGUAAAUUUUUUUUUGUCCUUUAUGUCAGAAAAGGCACAAGAGGACUUAUAAAAUGCUAAAUUUGAUUCAAACCUUUCCAAGAAAGCCUGUGACGACAGGGAUUGCAUGUUCCUUGGUCCAGUCACCAAGUAACCUUUUUGAGACUGCUGGGUAUGUUGCCUCAAGAACAUCAGCAUUUGUGAAGUUAUCUGUGGUUAUAAUCCCCAUCUCAAAUGCAUCGUACUGCCAAAGAUAAAAGACUCAUCAAAGUCAGUCAUGCAACAACAAUCUUGAGACAUAAGAUAAGAAACAAAAUCUAGGUGACUAACCUGUCGUGCUUUGUGGCCAAUCUUGUUCAGGUACGCAGCAAAUAGCCUAGUGGACAUGCACUCUCCAAAUGAAACCAAGUAGUCUCUUGUGCGUAGAGUUAACUCUUUCAUCAUUGCAAUGCCGUUGAGAAGCUGCUCUAGUCCUUCUAGAUGCUCUACAGACAGAUUAAACGACAGAAAGAUUCAGAUACUAAAACAUAUAUAUGUUAAGAAAAUUUUAACAGAAAAGACAAAUUUAUAACACUAACUUGCAAUAACUGCUGUUCCCACUCCAAGCUCAUGAGCAGUCCUGGGUACGUAAGAGAAUUAUGAUUACACAUGAGAACAAAGCAAAUAUUUAUAAAAAUAAGAACAAAAGAACCAAUAAAGUGUAUGUAUCUUCUAUGCAACCUUAUAUGGAGUUCCUUUAUAUAGCUCAGCUCUUCAAUAGUGUUUAUGUUGGUGACGCCGCAGCAAACAGCCUUCUCACCAGCCUAAUAAAUGCCACAGAGCAAGUUUAUUACAGAAAGAGACAAGGAAAAAUGUGUUGUUCAAAAAAAAAAAAAAAAGAGAGAAGGAAAAAUGUACACUAAUUGAUUUUUAUUUAUUUUCUUACCAUUAAAAGGUUAUUGGUGGUCUUUCCCAUUGCUGAUAACACAACAACAGGCUUCUCAUCAGGGAAGCUGAGUAUGAGAUUAGCAACUUCUUUCAUCCUCUCUGCUGAUGCAACUGAUGAGCCACCGAAUUUCAUUACACAUGUCAACUUUCUCUCAGUUCUGUUUAGUUUGAAAGUCUCGGUGUCUUUUCUCUCAAGCAACUCCGCGCUUCUAGCUUCACACGUAACUCUUAGAGUUCUGUUCUUCCUACAAGAGUGGUUUAUGUCUCUAGUCAACACCGGAGCAAGGAGGUUCAGCCCCUUUGACCCGAACUCAAUGCUUUUUGAGUUGAAGGCAAGUCCUGAAGUUCUAACUCCGCACAAUUGCACUGAAGCCGCCAUCACUCACAACAAGUUCUGAAGAAGACGACUGUGAAGCUUACUUAGAACUCAGACACGAAUGUUUUUGUUCACUGCGGCAACCUACAACGUUUCCGUGGGAAGCAAGCAAACAAAUUUAAAACGCAUCAACACAAAUGCUACAACUUUUACUUAAAAGCAGCAUGCAAAGGAUAUUGAAAGUAGUUUACCAGUUACCAAAUGAUCUCUGCUGAGCGAGCCAAUGAGUUUAUUUAAAUGUGUAUAACCAAUCGAACGAUCAUUCGACUUUCACAAAUAUUAUAUUUUGCACUUUAUUGCAUAUGAUAUGAAUAUGCUUAAUGAUUCACACUUUAGGUUAAGUAGCAUAUAUAUAUACAAGUCAUUUUAAACUCCAAAGUGUGUUUAUUGGAGAACGUGACGAAAACACUUGAUGUUACUGAGCCCUUAGGAGGUUGAGGAGGUGCAGCAAAAUAUAGUUUAAUCGAAAAAAACGUGGCUACCUACUCAUAGACAAUAUCUUAAUAUUAAUUAGCAACAGAGAGAAUUUUGCAUAUACCAGUAUAUGCAUAUACUGCCUAACACGUGGCAUCAUAUGUAUCGUUAAUAAUUCAACAUUCAGUGGAUGCUUAUGUCACACGCAAUGGACCAUAUGAAAAACUCUCAAAGAGAUACUGAUCGUUCAAAGUGCAAGAAAUGUAUUAAUAAAACCUGAAGGGGUAAAGCUGACUCUAUUAUAUUUGCACAAAACCACCAAGAAAGGUGAAACAAGUAUAUAUUAACACUAGGUGAUAACCCGCGCCUUGCGCGGGGUGAAUUGACUCGGUGAUUUAAUGUUUGACAUCCAAAAUAAAGUCUGUAUUUGCAAUAUAUGAUUGAUAAAGUAAGACUUUAUAACACCGGAAGAAAGUUUCAAGAACGGUAAAAACAUAUUUAAACAAUAAAAUAAGUCUUUUAUAACUUAAAAGCUCAUUUAUUAUUAAGAUGCAUAAUUAAAGAAUUUAUCAUAAUAGUUCUUAAGUAAGAUAUUGAAAGCCAAAACAAAAAUAUAAAUGUGAAUAGAAUACUAAUAAAACGAAAAAAUCUCCAGUGUGGAGCUGCGCACCUUAGCGAGCUUGGUCAUGUCUCGGUUCUAAGAUACAGAGUGUACUCUGCUUCAAAGUGUUCUCGUCGAGAUGAAUAGUCAUGUCUCUCUUCUAAGAGAAAAGAGUGGGUUAUAUAGUUCAUACAAUAUAUACACGUUCAAGAACCAUUAUGCAGUGUGGAUGAAAAAUGCUUAGCGAGCUCGGUGAUGUAUCGUUUCUAAGAUUCAGAGUGUUCUCUUCUUGAAAGUGUUCAUGCUGAGUUCUUCGCCGAUAUGAAUGUUUAUAUCUCCCGUAUAAGAGAAAAGUUAAUUACGUCUUCAUCUUCUCGAUUCUGUGUUUCUAACUUACAUGUGUUACUAUCUAGUGCUUCGCGAUAUGCACUGACAGAGCACACCCGUAUUUGUUCUGGAAAGUCUUCAUGAUGGGAAAUAAUCUUUACGAUGGUACGGUGAUGUCGUAGCUUAAGCUUUACGUGAUAACUCAUUCCACGAGUGGUUUUUUUAAUUUUCUAGAUCAAUGAAACGUUUCCAAAAAUUCUGUAAUAGCAAAACCAAUUAAGGCAACUAAUUUGUGAGAGUCUCUGUACAAUGGACACGUGUCAUACAUGGUGUGAAAGCAUUAACUCCAAUGCUCCUCUUUUAAUAUAUAAGGGAUUUGAAUCAUAAUUGGAGGAAAGAGAUAGAGAAAUCUGCUCCGGCUCGAAACCUGUGACGUAGCUUAUUCAGUCACUAUUCAUAGUAAACAAUCAUAGGACAACAACAACUUAAUUGGUUUAUAGCAGUAUUCUAGAAAUUGGUUUAAAACUAAGUGUCGUUUGAUCAUAAAAAUUUAUAAUUGUUUGUUACUAAACAUUCAACCCUUUUGAAAUGAUUAUAAUAUAAGAAAAUUAUAAUGAAAAUUUGGAAUAUUAGAUAACUAAAAAUCGAAAUGAUACACUUACAUAUAUGCAUCUGAUAAAAUAUUUUUUAGUGAUUUCCUGGAAAUUACCAUGAAUUAUAUACAUGAAUAAAUUAUUUGACGUGUAUAUGCCAAUCAAAUUUAAAAAAGUCAUCUUUCAAAAGCUUAGAUUCAUGUUUGAAGAAAAAUAAAAAGAUAUUUGGUGUUGGAAAAAUUUUAAGAAGAAAAAAUAUAUUUAUAAGAGAAUGUUAUCAUUAUACUAAUAUAAAAUUUUCUUAAUUUAAUAUCUAUAUUUAAUGAUAUUAGUUAUAUAAAAAUAUAACUGAAAAUUAAAUUUUUGUAUUAAUUUAUCAAAUAUAAAUCUCUACUAAUAAAAGCGACCUUUUGAGGCUCCAUAGAGCGUCCAUAUCAGCAAAAGAAACUUCUCUCGAAAGAUGACACGUGGCAUAAAAUAUAGUUUUACAUUUUAAUAUUACAAAUUUUUGAAAAUUAUAAAUAAUAUGUAAACAUACAACACAAAAAAUAGAAAAACUACAUUAAACAUAUGUAAGAUUACCAUUUUUCACUUAAAAAAAAGACGGCUUAUCUCCAUAAUGUAACAUUACCGUUUUAUAAAAAAAAAACAAAAAACAUUAUAUAUAAUUUCGAAAAUAAUAAAUAUAUGUAAACAUACAACAUAAAAAAUGGAAAUACUACAUUAAACAUAUGUAAGAUUACCAUUUUACAUUUUUAUUUUAAAAAAAUAAUAUGUAAACAUACAACAUAAAAAAUGGAAAAACUACAUUAAACAUAUGUAAGAUUACCAUUUUUCACUAAAAAAAAGACGGCUUAUCUCCAUAAUGUAACAUUACUAUUUUGUAAAAAAAACAUUAUAUAUAAUUUCGAAAAUAAUAAAUAAUAUGUAAACAUACAACAUAAAAAAUGGAAAUACUACAUUAAACAUAUGUAAAAUUACCAUUUUACAUUUAAAAAUAACAAUAAUAUGUAAACAUACAACAUAAAAAAAUGGAAAAACUACAUUAAACAUAUGUAAGAUUACCAUUGUUCACUAAAAAAAAAGGGUUAUCUUCAUAAUGUAACAUUACCAUUUUAUUAAAAAAAGAAAAAAAAACAUAAAUAUAACUAUUUGACUAUUUGUCCAAGUUCUUCUAUUAAACAUUGCCGUUUUACAUUAAAAAUGGAAAAAUACAUAAAGAUUUAAACAUCUAUCUUAAAAUAUAAAAUAUAGAUAUUAACUAAAUAUAAAGUAUAAGAAAGAGAAAUACUCAAUAUAUAGAAAAAUAAAUAAUAAGUAAAUAUUAUAAAUAUAUAAAUAUACGAAUUAUAUAUACAAUAAUAAGUAAAUGCACAAUUUUUAAAAAAUGGAAAGAGUACAUUAAAUAUUAAACAUCUAUCUUAAAAUGUAAAAUAUAGAUAUUAAGUAAAUAGAAAGUAUAAGAAAAAGAAAUACACAACUUAAAAACAAUGGAAAAAGUAUAUUAAUAUUUAAACAUCUAUCUUAAAAUGUAAAAUAUAGAUAUUACGCAAAUAGAAAGUAUAAGAAAAGGAAAUACACAAUUUAAAAAAAUGGAAAAAGUACAUUAGUAUUUAAACAUCUAUCUUAAAAUGUAAAUCUAUCUUAAAUUAUAAAAUUAUUAGUAAAUAGAAAGUAUAAGAAAUAGAAAUACACAAUAUAAAGAAAAAUAAAUAAUAAGUAAAUAUAUAAUAUAAGUAAAUACGCAAUUUAAAAAUGGAAAAUUACAUUAAGAUUUAAAAAUAUAUCUUAAAAUUUAAAAUAUAGAUAUUACGUAAAUAGAAAGUAUAACAAAUGGAAAUAUACAAUUUAAAGAAAAUGGAAAAUGUACAUUAAGAUUUAAACAUCUAUCUUAAAAUGUAAAAUAGAGAUAUUAAGUAAAUAAAAAGUACAAGAAAUGGAAAUACAUAUACAGGAAAAUAAAUAAUAAGUAAAUAAUGUAAAUAUAUAAUAUAUGAAUUAUAUAUAUAAUAAUAAGUAAAUACACAAUUUUUUUAAAAAAAUGGAAAAAGUUCAUUAAGCAUUAAACAUCUAUCUUAAAAUGUAAAAUAUAUAAUAUAAGUAAAUACACAAUUUAAAAAAAUGGAAAAAGUACAUUAAGAUUUAAAUAUCUAUUUUAAAAUAUAAAAUAUAAAUAUAGAUAUUACGUAAAUAAAAAAUAUAAGAAAUGGAAAUAAACAUUUUAAAAAAUGGAAAAAGUACAUUAAGAUUUAAACAUCUAUCUUAAAAUGUACAUCUAUCUUAAAAUGGUAGUAAAUUAUAUAAAAAUGGAAAUACCACAUUAAAAAAAAAAAAUAAAAAUGUAUAGUUUUACAUCAAGAAAGUCCCUAUAAAAUUCAUUAUUCCAUCAACAUCAACCUCACACUAUCAAGGAAAACUUCAAAGCACUCGAGCAAAAAAAUGGUUCCACCAUCAACUCUUGCCGUCCCAAAAACCUUUAAUGACCUUGAAGGAGAUUUUUUAUAACAACAAACUUUUUGUUAGGUGGAUUCAUUGUUGGGAAACCCGCAACUUCCAAAAGCCAAACUUAUUCAUGGGAAUUGAAUUGCUUUUCAUAGACUCAAAGGUAUUCUUACAAAUUUAAAUUAAUCUAAUCCAUAAUUUUAUUGUUAAUAUUCAUACUAACUCUUUCAUGAUCAAACCAUUACAGUUAAUAACCAUUCAAGCGUUUAUCCCGAAACACUUCUUUCCUCGCCGAAUCAGGUAUUGGUUCAUGUUGGUUUAGUAUUGUUUUUGGUUUAUUAACCGGUUUAGGAUGGUCCUAUUGUAAAUAUAAUUUAAGUUGGUUUAGCAUAUAUUAUGCUUAAAAUAACUUAAAUUAAAUAAUAGUAAUAUUAUGCUUAAAAUAUAAUUUUAGAGAGUUUUCAAAUAUAGUUUACAGAACAUUAUAGGUGAUGAAUUUAAUUUAUUAAAUUCGUUUAUUACUUAAAACUAAGUUUUUUUAAAAACAUACUGAGUUAUAAAUAUCAAUGCUGGAUUGGUGAGUAUAACAUGAAGACAAAAAUAUAAAUAUUUGAUUUUCAAGAUAAGAAAUUCAGCUUUUAUUCAGUUACUCAAUAUAUAAUAUCUUAAAUUAUUUUUUAAAAAAUAUACAUAAUUUAUAUAUAUAUAUAUAUUAAUCUUCCAAACUUAAACUAUUAUAUUAUAUAUGAAUAAUGUUUUUAAAUAAAAAUAAUUUCUGAUUUAAAAAAAAAUAAAAACAACAAAUGGUUAUUUUCAAAUAAUGGAUGUAAUUUACAUUAUACUAUCAUUUAACAAGUAUUAGAUACGUUUUGAUAUAUCAUUAUUUUCUAUUUCCAGAAAACAAUAAAUUGUUAAACAUCAAUAUCAUCUAGGUUAAGUAUACGAACAAAACAAAUUCAAACAUCACAAAAAAAUAUUUACAUAAACAUUAUAAUACAAUAAUUUAAUCAAAAAAUACAAUUCAAAAAGAGAAUAUUCAAAAGAAUAGUUAUAUACUUAAUAUUUGAAAAUCAAAGAUAUUUUUGCUAAAAUUGUACUUACCUGGCCAAGGAGAUCGACCAUCUUUUUACGGAUCGAUCGAUUGUUGAGCAUAUGAUCGAUCCGAAAAUACUCUGCAGUUUAAUUAAAUAUCUAAAACAUUUAUUCCAACACUCAACAGAUAGCUUUGCUAAAUAUGAUAAUUAGAUAGCCAACAAAAUUACAAAAAAAUAUUUAAAUAGUAAAAAUAUGUUAAUUGAACGUGUUAAAAUUUAAAACAAAUUUUAAUUAUAACAUGCAUCUUAAGAUUUAUAAAAAAUAUAUAUCAUAACCUAAAUAUAAAUAAUUUAACAACUUAAAUUAGAAAAAAAUAUAAAUCCCGGGCGUAGCCCGGGUUAAUCCCUAGUUGAUAUAAGUUAAAAGGCACAAAACUGUUGUUACAAGGAAAAAAUAUAUUCAGAUCACAUGAUCACUUUUUCUGAAUCAAAUUUUCACAGUUGGAUUUGUCCAUGUCACAUUAUUAUUAUAGUUUCUGGAUCAAAGUUUCACAGAGUAGCAUCCUCUUCAUCUCAAUUCUUCUUCCCUCUCCAGAGUAUGAUCUGCUCAUCUUUGAACAAAAUAGGAACACAUGGAACCAAAUCCUGCAGUUUUAACCACAUCAUCAAAACCAGUCCUACAGAAAAGAAUCUCAACAAACAACACAAGCAAAACCCAUACCUUUAGCUUCACACCGAUUCGUUUGCAAUCACUCAUCCCAACAUGAGUGCAAUCUAGUCUCACAACCUCUUCUGUUUCAAACUCCUCCCUCACUCUUCCCACCACAUUAACAUAGACACCGUUCCUAGCUGAGAUCAAUACAUAACGUCAACUAAUAAAUGACUGAUUCUGGCGUAAAACACAUGUACUACUUACUAAGUUUCAUUAGAGCAGGAGCGUGAAGCCCACGGUUUCUCAUCUCUUUGGUCUCUUCAAAUGUCAAACCAUCUGCAACAUUCUUUACAAGUCUUGGAUAUAUUGGUGGGUAAGGCUUCCAUAACAUGAGUGGUAUGGUGGGACGAUUCUUAGGAUCAUCGUUCCUUCCUCGGUACAAAACUAGGAUGUUUAUGUUCCUAUACACAAUCUUUCCACCGGAUUUUUCCUGUCAAGCAAACACAAACUACUAGUAAGAUUCAACCGAAAGAAGAAGAAAAGAUAAGAGUUUUUGGUUAUUGAGAAUUGAAAUAAGAGAGACCUCGAGGUGGUGACAAAUGUUGUCCAUGUCAAGAGUAGGUACUCCCAAGCAUUUAAUCCUCACUGCUUCGGCUUUCUUCCAAUGGUUAUGAAUGUCAUCUAUCAUAUUGUGUGUGACUCCUCCUUUCCCUAACAACAUCAUAACAACAACAGGAAGAAGAACCUUAACUCAUUGGUUCUCGAACUUUUAGAAGAAUACAAUAGCUUGAAGGUGUGUUCCCUAGUGUUCAGAGUGUGAUAAGUCUCAAAUUUGAUCAUGAGAGACCUUAAGAAUGGAGGAGUAAUCAGACAAGUCUACAUAUGAUCAUGAAAGAUCCCAAGACCUUAACUUGCAAUGACUUAUAAAAGCAGAGUCUUUAAAGAAAGAAACUACAUUCAAAGCUUAAAGCUUUAGUUAGAAGAAGAGUGUAAAGACUCUUACUUUGCAAUGAUUUUAUAAAAACCAAAGUCGUUACAUAACGAAACUACAUUCAAAGUUUAAAGCUUUAAGCGAGAGGUGAAGAGGGCAAUACCAAGAUUGAUCUGGCGUGAACAGUCACUGUGACGAUACCGUUCAACGAGCUCAGCCACUUCCUCAUCCGUCAACGCCUCGCCGAGAACUUUCUCUCUCUCCUCCGCCCAUUGACUCUGAUCAUCACUCUCCUGAGAAGCAGGAGCGCAAGUCCCCGUCCAGUUCCGGUCCAAUCGACCCGGUCCGAACGGAGAGAACCGUUUCGGUUCACGGAACCCAAUUGGUUCGAUUGCAGGGUUGGUUUCUGAAUAGGAGUAUCUAAAAUCGAAAGGGAGGUCUGACGUCACCGGCGCCGUCGGGUUAACUAUUGGCUCCGGCGACUGAUCCUUUUGGGUUUUCUUCGUCUUCUUCUUCGGUUCUGGAGGUUUAGAGAGAGGGGAGAAUGGUGGGUCAUAGUAUUCUGUAGAUAGGAAUCGAGCUCGGAGAUUAGAGAGGAACAAAAACGAAUCUUUUGCCUCUUUCGCUAGAGUUAAGCUUCUACGAGUUGAAAGCAUUCGGACAAGACACUCUGAACUCUUUGGUAAGCGCUUCUUGUCAUGUUGUUUUUUUUAAUUUGGAAGCGAACAAAAGUUUUACCGAAUAAGACCUGUAAUUUUCUAGUUUGCGCAUUUUGGCCCCAGAGUUAUUGUUUUGCUAAUCAUACCCCCAAUUCUUGUAUUUUUAUUUUCUGUCAAACCUUUCUAGCAAGAUUUGUUUCCAUGUUUACUCCAAUAAAUUUGUGGAUAUCCAAAACAUCAAAAACUUGGUCGGCAAGAAGGCAGAUGAAUUCAGCUGUAAGGUGUUUCUCCUUGGGUGAGACCACUAAGCAUGAAGACAUCAAGAAACUAGUUUAUGCACUGGGAACAAGCUUUAAAAGAAGAGUCUUUGGAUGUUAAAGAAAAAACAUUCCAGAAAUUAGAAGAGUUAAUCAAAGGAACUGAAAACAGUUAACAAUAUCAUAUUGGCUUUCAGAGAAUUUUUCCAAAGUUCUCAUCUUUACAUCUUCUUUGAUCUCCAACCAUGGAUUCAAAAACAUCCAACAUAUUAUCCAAACCUUCAGUAUCUUCCCCCAUCUCCUUCAUCGCGUGUACAAUACUCUCUAUCGUCGACAAACACCCCUCUCUCGGCUGCCUCCUUACUUCUCUGUACAAACUCGCUCCUUCGAUUUCCAGCUUCACAUGGCUACUCAAAAGCUUCAGCCACGGGUUCUCAACGUACAUUCUCCUCGCCUUGGACCACGUCCCAUCGAGAACGAUCAGAUUCCUUACCUUUAAAUCUCUCUCUUUAAGAUCGUUGAUCAUCACAGAUCCUUCGCUAGGGAACAACAGUGCUGACCCAGGAGGAACCUCCAGCUCAAACUCUUCCUUCCCUUCCGAGAACUUUGUCACCACAAACCCUUUUGCCAACACAUCCAUGGCUGCAGGAGAAGCCAAUAUUCCAUCGAAACUAGCAUCUUCCAGCAAAGACGUGGAGACAUUGCUGAUGACACCUCGUUUCUUCAUAGAGAUUCUCAUCAAAUUGUCUUCACAAGAACCUCUCUUGUCAGCUAAUUGUUGAUAAAGCUUCAAACUUUCAUUAUCCACAUUGUCACUACCUAACAUUGAGGUAUCAACAAGCUCCAAGGAGGCUCCUUUAACUCUUAUCAAGAACUCUGCCUCGUCAUGGACAUCGCAAACGGUGGUGACAGUAACGUUCUUAAGCCCUAACCUAGCGAUUCGAGUUGAGUUAAGAGCGUGUUUUCUCUCGAGGCUGUGCUGAAGGAUAGUAACACUCACCUGGUUAUCCAGAGGCGGAGAUCGGAUACGGUUGCAGAGGCAGAGCUGCGUGGGUUUAGCGCAAGAAGGGCAAGUGGGUCGCUUUGACUGCUGCGACUCCAUUUUUGAAACCCUCAAGCCCUGACACCGUAUGCUAUCGGCGAAGUUACUUCGAGACAGUAUCAGGUGAGUCCGGGCCACGACAUGGCCCAUCAUCAUCUGUCCUAAUGAAUCGAAAGUUCCAACCUUUGCUACUACUACAGUAGUAAGGAGGAAGAUGAGAUUGAAACCAAACUAAACCGACCUAAACCGGCCUAAACCAAGAGAAAUGUUCAAAAGAUCAAUCUUUAAACCAAGAGAUAUAUGUUCAAGAGAUCAAUCUUUUCAUUCCUACUUUUUGUGUCUCAUAAUAAUUCAAACAAUUACAUAACCUGUAGUAUCAGAGUAUGCUACAGACCUGAGUUAUAUAUUUACAAACAGAUGUUAUGAGCUUUCACCGUGGUAUUACAUUAAACUUGUGUCCUAACAAACAGACAAACAGUUGAGAGUUUCAAUUGGUUUCUAGCAGUUAUCUGGUCUGUUGUACUUUGGAGGCAGAGAUGGACAUUGCUCAUUCAUAUGGGUGUAUGGUUCCAUAGUGUUGUAACCAGGAAGUUGCAUUCUGUACUUGCCAAGUAUCUGACAGUACGGAAGCUUCACACUGUCAUUGUCAUUGCACCAUUUAGGAAGUCUACUUGCGUUUGUCUCGAAGAAGUUGAGCAUGUAAGCAUCUUUGAUCUGCAAAAUUUGAAAUUAACAGAUUUUAAGAGAACACGAGUUGCGGGUGGUGAGGAGAACAGAGACUUUUGUAUUGGUUAUUUUACCGUGAACUCUGUGACUUGAACAGAAUCAGCCAAUGAGCCGAAUAGGCCACCUUCUUUGUACAUUUCGAGGAUGAAAGCAAUGCAUGAGGUCGAUUUACCAUCGCUGUAUACCCAAUCGUCUUGUUCAGGUAUUGCCAGUAAUUUGUCAAAAGAAGACCCGCGCUUCUCUACUUCCACCAGUACAUCAGAAAGAUCAAGACCCUGCAAUGUUAGUUAGAACAUGUUAGAGAAUGAUAGAAAGAAUGACAAGGAACAAAGUCAAAGUAUAGAAGCAGCUAUAAUGCAUAUAUGGAUGAUACCUUUGUUCCGAGUCGCUUGUUCAAGGCUUCAUUCCACAUAUUAGCAGCAUAAUCAGGUUGCAUUUUGCUCCAAACAGUCAUGAAAGACGCAACCUGAAAGAGAGAGAAAGAAAAAGCUCCUAAUUAGAAAGAGUACUCGUUCACAAGGACAAAGUUGUGAACUGAGAAAUGAAAAGAAAAACCUACAAGAUGAGAAUCGAGAGGAGGCGGGUAGUUCUCAGUAACAGUAUCGAUCCAGCUAAAAAUCAAGUUAUGAUAACCAUAUGGUUUACCCUCCAUGCUCCGAGCAUACUCCCACGCAGCAGUGACGUUGAACUUAGCACGAACAUCGGGAUGCAAAGGUAGCAAUGCGAUCUGAGGAUUCGCGUCAUCCUUUGUUAGUUCAAAUUCCCACCAUUCCUCCCAUGGUAAGAUCGCUAUCACAUCUUCUCCCUUCUCGUUUUCAUUCCCAGACUCACCAACCCACAGUUUCCCUUCGGAGUCUCUCAAGCAGACAGCGGAAUGACCAGCGUACGCCCCGCUCACCCAUUUCUCAAGAGUCUCGAAACCACCCCACCGUCCACGGAUCUUCGAAAUAGCUAACAUAUCACCAGACUGGAUUUGAUCAGUUGUAACGUUUGUGACCCACGGUUCAGGACGAGCUUCGAACUUAGCUCCCAUAUGCUUCUCAAGAAACGCGAGGUUAGAGCUCUCCCCCCAACCAGUAUUAGUAAAGAGAGGAAAAACAUCCCAUAACGCUUGAAGCGUUCCUAACAUCCCCGCGUGCAUAAGGAAUAUCGAAACUCCCUUAUUCUUAACCUGAUACACACCCCAAAAAAACGCAUCAAAACAAACUCAUCCUAAACUGAGAAACCAAAAGACAUAGCAACAACCAUCUUACAUAUUCGUACUCGGCUAGUCCAUCCCACUCCGGGAACUCCACAGUGUGCGCUCGUGAGAUGAAGUACCAAGUCCACGUCACGCGGUAUGGAGUUGCAAAGACAUAGAGAUCCAUGCAAGUCCAACUAUGCGCUUUAUCCGCCUUCACAAACACAAACACAAAACAAAAAAAAAACUUAGGAAUAAUCCACUACAAACAGUUUCACAUCAACUACAAAAGCAAGAAACAACAAAGCUCACAGAUUCUUUAAAAAUGGAGUCUUUACCUACUAAACUCAGCAAGUACUCAACUUUCAUUAAAAUUGAUUAAACCCAAAACUAAAAAGCGUAUUCUAAGGACUACCCACAAGAGAAGAAGGUUAAAUACAACUUCAUCAACAGUGUGCCCUAGCAAUUGAAUCGAAUCAGAAACUUCCAAUAGUCAAAAUUGAAGAGUACCCAUACACAAUCAACUCCCAUAAACACUCAAUCACGAUCGUAGUGCACGAAAUCUACUUGAAUUUGAGUUCUAUUUGCACCUGAAUGUGAAGCGUGCCCUAGCAAUUGAAUUGAAAUCAGAAACUUCCAAUAGUCAAAAUUGAAGAGAACCCAUACACAAUUAACACCCAUAGACACUCAAUCACGAUUCGAAUUUGAGUUUUGAUUCGCACCUGAAUGUGAAGCGUGCCUCCACCAAACUCGCUGCCGGACUUGUUAUGAAACUCCAAAUAAGCCGUGUUCUCGUAGAAACAAGCGCCUUUCCACUUGACGUUAUAGUCAAAAUACCAAUAGAUAACAUUAAAAAUGUCCUUAUUAAAAAUAUAGCACACAAAAGGAAAAAUGAUUAAAAUAUGUUUUAUUAUAGAAUAAAAUGAUAAUUAUACUUUUAUUAUAUAUAUAAUUAAAUAAACAUUUUUAAAUAGAAAUUUUGUUGCUGAAAUAUUCGAAAAUUUCCCUAUAUUUUUUUUUUCAUUUUGUUUCAAACAAUUUUCCUUAAAAAGUUUAUGAAAACUACUCUAAAUAUUUAUGAUAUCUUUACUGAAUUUGAGUUUAGAAAAAUCUUCAUGAAUGUAUUUAAAUGACAUCUUCUUAAAUCCGAGUUUAUGAAGUCAUUUCUGAAUAAGUAUAAUAUCUUCUUAAAAUUUAGAGAAAAUACUGAUAAAUUUUUUAAUAUUUUAAAAAACUUUAAGAAGAUAUUAAUAAAUAUCUUCACAAAAUUUAGAAUUUUUUUCAUAAAUAUGUAUUUAGGAAAACUUUAAUGAAUAUAUAUUUAUGAACACUCUACUAAAUUUGAAUUAAAUCCAUAUCUAAUAAGAUAUUCUUAAAUACGUAUAACAUUUUUCUACUUUUAUAGAAGACCUUCAUGAAUUUUAUAUCUAAAUUUUAUAAAAAUAUUAUACAUAUUUAAAAACUUUUUGCAAAAUUUUGAAAUAUGUUAUAUAUUAAAUAGUAUUUUUAAUAUGCAUAUAAAUGAAAUUCGAGAAGAAGACAUAAAUAUUUAGGAAGAAGUUCUUAAAUAUACAUACAAGUUGCAUUCAUAAAGUCUAUUUACACAUUUAUUAAGGCAUUUAUGAACUCCUAUUGAAAAUGUGUUUUUACUAGUGUUAAACAUGAAUAAUGAACAAUGAUACCAACAAUGUUGUAAUGAUGAAAAAAAAUUUAAAUCGUGUGGUCUUCUGGGCUUUUGUUAUAUGGACCUGUUGUUUCGGUUUUUGUAUGUUUGAACUGAGCAUUUUCUGCAGCCGUUUAACGUGUUGUGAGAAAGUUCUUUCUUGUCUCUCUUCUCCACAGUUUUCUUUGGUCGGGAAGGAGAGGUGAUCCCGCCUCCACCAUAUCUCGCUUAUAUCUACUUCUUCUUCCGUUUAUCUAUCUCAUGGUGUUUAUGUUUAUGUUGUUGUCGCUCUCAAAUAAAUGUGGAGUUUCGGUGUGUUAUCGGAUCUCAAUCUUGCCGUAAGAGUCAGAGAUAUGAUUCGGGUCUUUAGAUUCGGCUGGUUUGGAGGGAGGGGCUAACGCGGGUGUUUUGAAGUUCGUGUCAAAUAUGACGGUAACCUUACUUGGCUUAGUCCAUAUGCGAUUUCCAGUCUGGGUUUGCGCAGUCUCAAGCGGAUGUAACUUAGGUGGUCUUCUUCGACCCAAGUUCUUGUUGCAGUAACAGCUACGAUUUGGUAUGCGGUGGCUUGCUUCCUAUUAGUAUAAACAGUUUGGUUAUUCUUGCUUUUAAUAGAAUAUCUUUUAUCAGAAAAAAAACUUAUGAUAAGUCAGCGUUUUAACGAUUUUUCAAACUUGUCAAAGACGAAAACUUUUAAAUAUGACAGGUGGCACAAUUUGAUCCCAAAGAGUAAUCGAUAGUGGGGACAAAUAAUGUUUAAUCAUCACCAUAACUGGAUUUUUUUUGUUCCAUUGCUGUGCCAAUAGAACAUGCUAAAGCUCUUUGUUCCCACCCUUGACCAAAGAAAUCCAUGAAGAAGCAUCAUCGUUCACACCAAGAAAUUUGUCAGCUCAACAACACGUAGAACUCUGUUAACCCAAUGAUAUGUUGGUUAUUUGGGGUUGUAACCCGUAAAAUUGUGAAUUAUAUACUUGGAUAAUGAUUGAAUCGUCAUGCUUUUCUUAAAGAGUAUUUCGAUCAUAUUCUAAACUUUUGGGUUACACGAAAUCCCUUUGUAGGAUAAGACAAUCAAAAUCUCAUUCUUGUUCUAGGCUAAGAUACAAGAACAACAAAUAAAGCUUUAGUGCUUAUAUGUGUUUCUUCGAAGAUCUUUGAUGAUCUUCGAACAAUGAAUCUUUCUUUCUCUCUCUCUUACUAACUAUUAGUUUUUGAUCUUCAAUCUUGUUUUACAAGUUGUGAUUCAAGUUAUAAUUUUCCAUUGCCCACUACUCCUUAUAUAGAGUACUAAGGGUUGCAAUAGUUAACACCAAUAGUUACAAUGGUUAGUGAAGAGUUACAACCAUUAAUACCAAUAGUUACAUUAGUUAGACAAUAGUCACAAUGGUUCAUCACCAGAGGCUUUAAUCACCAAUGGUUACAAUGGUUUAUCAUCAAAGGUUGCAGCCAUUUACCACUAAUAGUUACAAUCACAAACAGUUGCAUUUGUUCACCUAAACAAUUGCAAUGCUUCACUUUAAUGGUUGCAAGGAUACAUUUAAAUAUCCAUAAAUUCUCCCCUAUUUAAGUGUAAUCAUAGAUUCAUUAAAUAAUUAAUACAUAUAUCAAACUCAUGCAUAAAUGAAAAUGUUCGAAGAAUUGAAUUUUCAUUUUAGUAUAAUACACAUUCCAAAUGCCCGAAAAUCAGGAUGUCCUACGGAUUGAAUCCCUAAACCCAUUUUGAGCACAUGAUGAUAAUACACAUGUGUUUCCACACUACUCUAAGUGUUUACCCAACACUAUUAUAAGCCAUGUGUCCCAAUCCAUUCAUGAAUGAAUACAAAGCCAAGUCCCAGCUUAUUGAAGCGGCAUCACUUCACACUCAUAUAGGUAAAUACUUUCAGUCAUGCACCUGCAAAUGCAAUUUUUUAAAGUAUUUAUUAAGAAUAAAAUUUCAACCUAGCUCUUUUUUUGCAGGUCCAAACACAUACUUUGGGAUGAUUUAAAAAUGUGCUUCAAUUUAUAAGUGUAGGCUUUCCACAUUGAAUUCAGCCUCUAACGUCGUAUCAGAUGGGAAUUGGGUAUCCCACCAUUAAAGAUUUCAAAUGGACUUUAAACUCAACCCUAACAAACUUAAUAACCAAGUCUCUAGCUAAUCAUUUCAUCAAAUGAUAUGCUUCAUUUCUUUCAGACAGAAUAAACCCUUAUGGUAUUCACCUUGUGAGUGAUCAGCUCACAUAUUACGCUAUAUCAAAUGCCAUGUGUCGCGACUUACCAUUAUAUACUUAAUUAUAAACUUUAACCAAGACUUUUUUACUAACAUAGAUAGAAACUGGUGAUACUAUUUCGGCCACAACGGAAUCUCGUAAAAUAAAUUCUUUAGCCAAUACGCCUAUUUACCCGCAUAUGCUAAUAUUACGAAUUCCUAUUCUAUAGUCAAAUUUUUCAUGCAAUUUUGCUUCUUGGAAGCCCAUGAAAUUGCACCUCCCCAAGCAAAAAUACUCAACCACUUAUAGAAAAAUAAUCUUCUAUAUUGAUAAUCAAACUUGCAUCAAAAUAUCCUUCUACAUUCAAAGGAAAUCUGACAUAUAACAAACCAUAAUUUAUGGUUUCAUUCAAAUACUCGAGUUGUGAUAUUUCUUGUCAUGCAUAAGACACAAACUUCACACUCUCAUUCCAUGGGAGUUCUUAUUCGAGAACAAUCUUACAAUUGAACUUAUUAAUAACUUUCUCAAUAUAAUGAGAUUGUGUAUAAUAUAGUUCUUUACUUGUAUGUGUGAUUCAAAUUUCAAUAAUCACAUCAACCUCCCCCAUGUCUUUCACUACAAAGCUUGAUGACCAAUAAUGCUUUUGUAAGCUCUACUUGUCUAUGGCUAGUGCCAAAGAUCAAUAUGUCAUCACAUAUAACCAAAUGAUUGUUCCAUUACUGAAUUCAUCAAUUUGUUAUAUAAACACUUAUCCUAAUGGUUUAACUCUAACCGCUUGAUAAAACAAUCUCAUCAAACAUUUGAUGUUACUGUUUAGGUGCUUUUUUUAGCUCAUUCAAAUAAACAAAUACAUUUUAUAUUUAUUACAAGGUAGAAUAAGACCUUUAGGUGGCUUUAUAUACACAAUUCUUUCUAAGCCAUCGAUCCAUACCCAUGGAUCAUAGUCCAUAGCACCGACCAUGAACAAUAAGUUUUCCACUCAUGAUGGCUCAGCCUUGACCACAAGUCAUUUGUAUCCUUUCAGUAACAUUAUGUAUGCACUCUUACGGUAACCUGAUAUUUGCACCCUUUCGGUGACAUUAUAUUCCCACCCUUCCGGUGAUGUUUCAUUCACCCCUUUUCCGUGAUGGUACAUUCACACUUUUUCAGUCCCAAACUGUUCCCACCCUUUUGGUCCCGAGCUGUUCGUACCCUUUCGGUUGCGAUCCCGUACCUCCCGAUCCGUUCGUACCCUUUCGAUCACGACGCCUUGCAUCCCUAGGAUCACGUCACGUUGCAUCCCUAGGAUCACGUCACGUUCACACCCCUUGGGCUAUGAUACGUUCGUACCCCUUGGAUCGCGACAUGUUCGUACUUCCUGGAUCACGACACGUUCGUACCUCUUGGAUAACAAAACACUCACAUCCUUUAGGUCACGAUACACUCGCAUCCUUUGGAUCACGAUGCACUCGCAUCCCUUGGAUUACAACGCACUCCCAUCCCUUGGAUUACGAUAUGAUCGCACCUCUUCGAAAGUCUACUCUCUCAAGCAUUUACAACUUUCCAAACUUUGAUUUUAUCUCUCGCACAAAAUCAUAAGUUAUAGUUCACAACGAAAAUACUCUUUAAGAUUGUUGGUUAUUUGGGGUUGUAACCCGUAAAAUUGUGAAUUAUAUACUUGGAUAAUGAUUGAAUCACAAUGCUUUUCUUAAAGAAUAUUUCGACCCUAUUCCAAACCUUUGGGUUACAAGAAAUCCCUUUGUAGGAUAAGACAAUCAAAGUCUCAUUCUUAUUCUAGGCUAAGAUACAAAAACAACAAAUAAAGCUUUAGUGUUUAUAUGUGUUUCUUCGAAGAUCUUUGAUGAUCUUCAAACAAUGAAUUUUUCUUUCUUUCUCUCUUACUAAAUACUAGGUUAAGACCCGCGCAUUGUGCGGGAUGAAUAUUAUUUAUAAAUUAUUUUUAAGUAUUACAUAUUUUUUUCAUAAUAAUAUAUAUUGAAUAAUUAAAAAUUUAGUAACUAUUACGUAUAUAAUUAAAUUGGUACAACUACUUAAAUAAAUUUUAUUUAUCCAUACAAACACUUUUUCUAUUUUAUAUGUUAUAAAAUUAAGUUUAAAUGAUAUUAACAUAGAUAUAUAGUACAUUUUUAAUAGUAACAUCUGUUAAAAAAUAUUUUAUACUCAUAUUAUUUUUGAUCGUUUGUAUUUCUUUAUAACAAAAAUUUUAAAUCAAUGAUAACAAUAAAAACUUUAUAGGAUGUUUAAUAGUUUUAAUAAUUUAUAAUUUUAAAAACAUUCAAUACAAAGUUUAAAAUCUAAAUAUUAAGUUGUCAAUAAUUGUUCAAAAUGUUUAUCAAAAAAUUUCAAAUCAAAUUCGAAAUUAAAAUACUUAUGUAUUUUAUAUGGAAUAUAAUUUAUUUUAAAAAAAAUAUUAAUAUGCGUAUAUAUAAUAUUUAUUAAAUGAGACUUCCUACUUAUGUAAUUUCAUAAUCAUUUGUAUCUUGUUAUAACAUAAAUUUUAAACCAUAGAUCACAAAAAUUUCAGUAUGAGAUUUUUAACAACUUUAGUCAUUUAUAUUCGUUUUUUAAAAUUCAAACUAUAACAUAUAUGAAAAAAUCUAAAUUUUCAUUAUAUAGUUAAUAUGGUUGUUUAAUUUAUUUUAAAAUGAAUUAAAAAUGAUAAAGAAUAGACUGAUUUUUAUCAAAUCUUUAUUAUUUAAAAUCAUUAAUUGUCAUAUAUACUUUAGCCACAUUAGGUAAUUCCGUGAUUUUUAUUUAAGGAAACAAUGAAGAACAUUUAUGAUUAAUUUAUGGUUAGUUUAAUAAAAAGCUUAUUAUAUAUUUAUAUGGACCAACAUAUUUUUCUAAGGAUUCUAAGAAUGAUUGUGGUGAUGACAUGUGGCUACAAAAAUAUGUUGUAAUGCUUCUCUUUUAAUAUAUAGGCGAUUAGUUUUUGAUCUUCAAUCUUGUUUUACAAGUUGUGAUUCAAGUUAUAAUUUUUCAUUGCCCACUACUCCUUAUAUAGAGUACUAAGGGUUGCAAUGGUUAACACCAAUAGUUACAAUGGUUAGUGAAGAGUUACAACCAUUAAUACCAAUAGUUAUAUUGGUUAGAUAAUAGUCACAAUGGCUCAUCACCAAAGACUUUAAUCACCAAUGGUUACAAUGGUUUAUCAUUAAAGGUUACAACUAUUUACCACCAACAGUUACAAUCACAAACAGUUGCAUUUGUUCAUCUAAACAAUUGUAAUGCUUCACUUUAAUGGUUGCAAGAAUUCACUUAAAUAUCCAACAUGAUAUUUAACACCAAUAACUGAAAAAGUCCUUACAAUGAAAGAACUGCCUUUAAGCGCUUUGGCGUGAAAGUCUUGUCAAGUUAAACAAAGUUAGACGAAAGCUGUUUGUAGACCAAUCGAGCUUCUAAAACUGCAUAGAAGUCCUAACGCUCUUGACUUUUUUUUUGACCUUCGGCUAACUACACCUUCUUUUGCUCGAACAAAAAAUUGGAACAUUCUUAAGAACAUUCCAAAAUGGCAUAAUCUUGUGCUAAUAUGUAAUUGGCAUGAUCGAUCCAAAAUACCUCAAGAGCGUUAGGACUUCUAUGCAGUUUUAGAAGCUCGAUUGGUCUACAUAUAUCUAUUGAAUUUGCUAAUGUGUGACUUACCUAAUGUGUAAAUCAUAUGCGAAGUAUUGUCAAAAAUAUAUAUAGAAAUAACUAACUCUUUAUAUAUUUCAUUUCAAAAUUAUAUUUCUAUUUUAUUAAACAAAUUUUUAUUUUUUGUUUCUUUUUUAAAUAUGUAUUAUAUAAAUUCUGAAUUUAUGACUUGAUCAAAUUUGAUUGUUUAUACAUAUCCAGAAAUAAUUUAAAUAAAGUUAAAAAUAAAUGAAUAAACUUAUCUAUUUAUUAAAUAAUUAAAAAAACUAGAAACAGUGUUUUUUUUGGUCAAUUAGAUCCUUUUGUUUCGGAAUUUUUGAAAAUAUAUAUAGCUUAAAUUAGAUAUGUUUCAAUUUCUGAUUCAUCUAUAAAUGUACUUCUCUGUCUUUCUAAUUUUAAAAUAUCAUCAUUUCAUUAUCUACGAUGAAAAAUGCGUUUGAACCUUCGCUUAUUGGUGUUAUGCUCACAAUUCUUCUGCUCGGUUUGUAUUUACAUUUACAACUUAUUAAUAUAUUCUAUAAUCAUUCCAAAAUAAAUCUUAUUUGAUGCUGUAUUAAUUUAUAUAUCUAUAUAAACUGAAUGUUUAAUUAUAUAAUACUGAAUUUAAUGAUUUUCAAGAAUAAUCAAUGAUUAAGAAAGAAGAUGUUUGGAUGUUUAGUUCUUUUUUUUUCUUAUAAGUAUGCAAAAAAACUCUCUAAAACAUAUGUUUUACAAAAAUUCAUUUUCUGUUUUAAAUAUGAAUACUAAAGUUAUAUGUUGAUUAUUAUAACAACAGGAGACACGGUGAUUGCUCAGAAAGGAAUACGCCCAUGUUUUACAUCUUAUGGAUACAAAAACGGAAAAUGUACAUUACACACCUGCAAAAUGCACUGUUACAAAAAGUAUAAAGAUGCGGUUGGUACCUGCAUUCCUGCAGAUAAAGGACAAACAAGAACAAUGUACACAUCACUGCCCUCCUUGAUUCUUUUUUAUCUACACUAAAACUCAAAUAAUUUUUUGCUGGCUUUUUGACGUAAUAAGGUGUAUUAUUUUUUUUUUUUUUUUGAAAAUUAAGGUGUAUUAUUUCACUAAAUAUAAAUAUAAAUAACAAAAUACUGAUACGUGUAUCUUCCUUUUUAUUUUCUUUACAAUUGCAUAAAUUAACAAACAUAUUAAAUUGUGAUGAUUUGAGAAUGUACUUGAUUUAACAGAGCAUGGGUAAUACAAACAGAUUGAUUCACGUUUCAACCUGUCAAGUAACAAGAAAAUUAUAGAAUUUUAAUGUUUAUUAUUUUGUUGGUAUCAUUAUUCAUGUUUAUAACCACUAAAGAGAUAUUUUCAAAAAUAUAUUAUUUAUUAAGAGGAAAAAGACUCUUAUACCCUUGUUCUUUCUAUAUAUAAUAAUUAUUAUUUAAAUAAAUUAAAAUUAUGUUUUCGAAUUAUAUUUUUUCAAAUUCAAUUUUUUUAUAAAUUCCUUUUUUUUAUCUUUUUUUUUAAAUUUAUUUUUGAAAAUCAGAAAUUCUUUUUGACAUUAUUUUUUUAAUUUUUUUUAUAUUUUAAGUAUUUAUUUAUAUAUUUAUUAGAAUCAUAAAUUUCAUAUAACUCUAGUAUACCCUUCAAUUCUAAACCUUAAAUAUAGAUUAGUUAACCCUAUGAGUAUAAAUGUUUUUUUUUCUCGUUUUUGAGAGUAAAAGUACGGAGAAACCAAAGGGGCCAUCACUAUUCGACUAAUGGCUUACACCACUUUAAUUCUUCACCUGGGCUGACUUUAAUUCAUAACUAUGUAUUUCCUUUUGAAUUGGGCAGGACUCGGUAAACACUAAAGUUGGGCUUGUAAUAUUUUUUUUCUUUUUUCUUUAAAUAUGAAUGCCAGUUACAAAAAAAAAGUGAGAGUAAAAAUAGUUAGUAUAAAUAUAAAGUGUUAUUAUAAUGUGAUAUUUUUGGCAAUUUCCAAAAUCUAACUAUCCAAGUUUCAGAAAGAAUAACUAUAGCAUAUGAUACCAUGGUGCUUUCAAGAAAGAAUAACUAUAGCAUAUGAUACCAUGGUGCUUUCUAGGCUUUCAAUAUCAACAACAUUCUGUUUCCACAGAGGAUCAUCAAGUAAAAAAGAAACAUAGAUCUAUCAAAAUCACAACUCAAAUCUAAUUAAAUUUGACACAUCUGAGAUCAAACCUCCAGUAAAUUUGAUUUCUACAAUCACCUAACUGAACAUAGUUGAAGAACUACAAUUUCUUUUAUUUUUUAAAAAUCAAAAUCAAAAUCUGCAUCGGAUUUUUGGAGUCGUUACCUUGCAGAUGCAGAAGGAUCACAUGGAAGUUGAUUUUCCCAGGAGUUCAAAGAUUUCUUUAUUUAUGCUCUGUCAAACUAAAUUGUGAAGCGGAGAAAGUUGUACUACACAACGAUAGUUGUCGGUGGUUUGAAGUUUUUUUUUUUUUUUUGAUCAACUGAGAAAUUCAUUAAUAAAAAGGAAAAGAUAAGGGGCUUUAAGGGCCCAAGUUUGCUAAAUGGGUGGACAAACAGGCCUUAGCCAGUUUGUCAGCAGCCCCAUUACGAGAUCUGGAAACAAAAGAAAAACGACAAAGGGAAAACGGUGACAAUGAAGAAAAAGCUAAUGAGUCGAUGUCAGCAAGCACUCCAAAGAGCUCUACCGAUUGUCUUCUCGUGGUGAUUGCUUGUAUAAGCACUUGUGAGUCUGAACGGAUCCAGAUAUGGGUGAAAUUGAGAGAGAUCGCGUGUUGGAGAGCCUCUCGUAUCGCUAGGCCUUCUGCCAUUAAUGCCGAUGCCACUGAGUCUUGGGCCUUUGAUCCGCGGUUGAGCUCCUGUGAUGAGAGAUCAGUGAAGAUCCAGGCGAGGCCAGCCGAUUUAGAAUCUGAUCUCCAGGCCGCAUCUGUAUAACAGAGGAUGGUUGAUUCAGGGCAGUCAUAAAUCAGAGGGGGGCAUCUGACGAGAUGUGUCGUCGGGGACUUGAGAGGUUGGGCUGAUUCCCACUCUCUGAUCGCUUUCACGGAUUUUAAUAUGAUCUCCUGAGGUGUAGUGGCUCUGUUUUGGAAGAUGAGGUUGUUCCUUGAAAUCCAGAGGAACCAGCAUAUCCAAGGCAUCGGGUUGCUUGUGAAACCGUAGGGCGGCAGGACUUUCCAGGAGUAUGAUGCUUGUAGGGUUGGUUUGAAGGCGGUCCAUAGAGAUGUGUCCACCUCGGAGGCUAGCGGUGCUAGUUUCCAGACUUCCUUCGCGAAAGCACAAUGGAAGAAAAUAUGAGGUAAUGUCUCUGCUUCUCCACACCUACAACACAUAACAUUAGCAUUUAUACCUCUCCGUUGUAGAUUUUCACCAGUUGGGAGGGCUUUUUUAGCGAUUCUCCAUAGGAAGUGUUUAAGCUUCGGAAGAAGAGGAGGGUUCCAGACAUGUUUCUUCCAGUUCCAGGUAUCUUCCGGUCUUUGAGCUGAGGGCAGUAGUGUCGAUGAAUUCUUGUCAGCUUGUUUAGAGUAGUAUCCUGAUUUCACUGAGUAGUCCCCUGACUUCUGUAGAGACCAUAUGUAAGAAUCUUGGUUGUCAAGUAUACUUGGUCGUAUUGAGGGAAAAGAUAAGGGGCUUUAAGGGCCCAAGUUUGCUAAAUGGGUGGACAAACAGGCCUUAGCCAGUUUGUCAGCAGCCCCAUUACGAGAUCUGGAAACAAAAGAAAAACGACAAAGGGAAAACGGUGACAAUGAAGAAAAAGCUAAUGAGUCGAUGUCAGCAAGCACUCCAAAGAGCUCUACCGAUUGUCUUCUCGUGGUGAUUGCUUGUAUAAGCACUUGUGAGUCUGAACGGAUCCAGAUAUGGGUGAAAUUGAGAGAGAUCGCGUGUUGGAGAGCCUCUCGUAUCGCUAGGCCUUCUGCCAUUAAUGCCGAUGCCACUGAGUCUUGGGCCUUUGAUCCGCGGUUGAGCUCCUGUGAUGAGAGAUCAGUGAAGAUCCAGGCGAGGCCAGCCGAUUUAGAAUCUGAUCUCCAGGCCGCAUCUGUAUAACAGAGGAUGGUUGAUUCAGGGCAGUCAUAAAUCAGAGGGGGGCAUCUGACGAGAUGUGUCGUCGGGGACUUGAGAGGUUGGGCUGAUUCCCACUCUCUGAUCGCUUUCACGGAUUUUAAUAUGAUCUCCUGAGGUGUAGUGGCUCUGUUUUGGAAGAUGAGGUUGUUCCUUGAAAUCCAGAGGAACCAGCAUAUCCAAGGCAUCGGGUUGCUUGUGAAACCGUAGGGCGGCAGGACUUUCCAGGAGUAUGAUGCUUGUAGGGUUGGUUUGAAGGCGGUCCAUAGAGAUGUGUCCACCUCGGAGGCUAGCGGUGCUAGUUUCCAGACUUCCUUCGCGAAAGCACAAUGGAAGAAAAUAUGAGGUAAUGUCUCUGCUUCUCCACACCUACAACACAUAACAUUAGCAUUUAUACCUCUCCGUUGUAGAUUUUCACCAGUUGGGAGGGCUUUUUUAGCGAUUCUCCAUAGGAAGUGUUUAAGCUUCGGAAGAAGAGGAGGGUUCCAGACAUGUUUCUUCCAGUUCCAGGUAUCUUCCGGUCUUUGAGCUGAGGGCAGUAGUGUCGAUGAAUUCUUGUCAGCUUGUUUAGAGUAGUAUCCUGAUUUCACUGAGUAGUCCCCUGACUUCUGUAGAGACCAUAUGUAAGAAUCUUGGUUGUCAAGUAUACUUGGUCGUAUUGAGUAGAUGAGAGUUGCCAGUUCCGGCAGUAGAUUUUCAACCAUAGCUUUGUUCCAUUCCUUUGUUUCUCUAGAGAGGAGAUCUGAGACUAGCAAAUCUUGAUCUUUUUGUUGCACAGGUCCUAUUGGUUUCAGAUUCUUUUCAGGGCAAAUCCAAGAGUCGGACCAAAGGCGGGUUGAUUCUCCAUUUCCUAUCACUCUGCCUAGAUGGCUAAGCAGCAGAUCUCUUCCAUGUAGAAUUCCUCUCCACCCAUGCGAGAUGUUGGAGGCUGGAAUAGUGUUGAGGAAAGAGGAUUUGUGGCAAUAUUUUCCUAGAAGAAUUCUUGCGAGGAGGCAGUCUGGUCUGGUGAUGAUUCUCCAGCCAAUUUUUGCCAGUAAUGCUUGAUUGAAGAUUUGCACAUCCCUGAAGCCUAGUUCUCCGAGAGACUUGGGUAAGGUUAGCUCAUUCCAUGCGACCCAGCAAAUUUUAUGAACUCCAUCCUUUGCAUCCCACCAGAACCUUGUAAGCACUGAUUGAAUUUUAUUACAGAGGCUAAUGGGGAGUUCAAAGCAUGUCAUGGCGAAUGAGGGUAUAGAUGACAGUACCGCCUGUAGCAUUGUGGCUUUACCAGCUGAGGAGAGAAAUCUUGAAGAGUAGCUUACUGCUCGCUGUCUCAUGCGGUCAACAAUGCUCGCAAAAAGGUCUUUUUUAUUUCUCCCAAAGUGUUCAGGGAGGCCGAGGUAUUUUCCCACGCCUCCCUCCUUUUCAAUGCCAAGAAACUCUUUUACUCUUGCGCGAUCCUCUAACGGUGUCUUUGCUGAAAAUGAUAUUGAGGACUUACUUGCAUUAAUCAUCUGUCCUGAUGCAUUCUCAUAAUCUUGCAGGAUGGUCUUGAGCGUAGCACAGCUUCGUUGAUCACAGUUGGUGAACAACAUAGUAUCGUCAGCAAACAGCAGGUGGUUGAUACGGGGACUGUUCCUCGACACUCUAAUGCCUGGGAGAUUUCCACUUAGCUGGGCUUUUGAACAGAGGCCAGAGAGAACUUCUCCACACAAGAUGAAGAGAUAUGGAGAGAGAGGAUCCCCCUGCCGCACUCCCCUCUGAGGUAUGAUGUUACCAACCACUUCGUCAUUAAAGAGAAAUGAGUAGGAGACGGUUAUGACACAUUGCAUUAACCAUUGUAUCAGAAGAUGGUGAAAACCCAUUCGCUCCAACACUGAUCUGAUGAAGGACCAUUCCAAUCUGUCGUAGGCUUUGCUGAUGUCCGUUUUAACGGCCAUAGAGCAGCGCUUGACCGCCUCUGAAUUCUUGAGGUAGUGGAGGACUUCGUGCGAGUUGUUUUGAAGUUUGAAGUUUAUUCCUUAGAAAAGACCCCCAUCCACCAAAAGUUAACUCUAGCGUUUCUGUUAAUUUAAAAAACAGUGCAAGUUGUUUUCCUUCUUCUAAACAUGCACAUUGCACACCUUCUGCUUUACAAAACUAAGAGGUUGAUUGUUUGUGGUUUUUAAAAUGGUUUUUGGUUUUUGAUUCUCUCAAAACUAUUUUUUUACCAAUCAAGAUUUUUCUAAAAUAGAUUCUCUAAAAUUUAGAGAAACUAGAUUUCGAAAAAACUACCUCUUUCUACACAAAAACUAAAAUCUAUGUUUUCUUGGUUUCUCUUAGCAAACUAUCAUUGGUUUUUUUUCUUUGUUAAAUUAGUUGCAUAUUCAUAAAGUAAUAUCUACAGAAAUCACCAAUUAAAAAUACAUAGAAACUAUUUAAAUGAAAAAUAUAUCUAUUUCUAAACAAAAAUAAAAUAAAAUCCUGGUUUUCAUUGGUUUUCUUCAAAACUUGUCCUAUGGAUUUUCAGUUCUUCUUUGUUUUUACUAAAAAUAUUACUAUAUUAUGAAUGAGUAAAAGAAAAAUAAAUAAAAUAAAGUAUAGAUGUAUAUAUAUAUAAUAUAAAUUUAUGUUUAAUUAUAAAAUUUUAAGUGUAAAUUUAAAUACAGAACUAUAUUAUUUUGUUUUUUCUGUUUUUUUUUUUAAUUUUUAAACAAGGUUAUGUGUGUUUUGGUAAUCAUAUUUAAUACUUUUUAUUUCCAGAAAAAAAUACUUUAAAAUAUGUUUUUGUUUUAUUAUUUUAAAAUAAAAAGGAAAAACUAAAAACAAAAAUCUAAAAUCACCAAUCAUGUUUUUCAAAAAAACUAAAAUCUACUGCAAAAUCAAAAACCAAAAUCUAAAUCUAAAAUUCAAAAACCAAAAACUAAAAACUAAAAUCUAAAAUCUAGAAACCAAACAAACAAUCAUCACCUAAUUGUCUGAUAAGAAAAUUUUACAAAAGUAACAAAACAACCAUGUUCAACUUAAACAAGAGCUCAAAACGACAUAUGGCUCAGCCCAUACACUUUCUUGUAUAUCCCUCACCGAUUAAAUAUUAUUUUAUUAUUUUAAUAUUAAUGAUUUAAUUAUUUUGUAAUACUGUAUUUAGUUAGUUACUAAAAAACAUGAGUCACAUCUUAUAUAUUAAAACAGAAGUCAUGACUUAUUUUUAUGUAUGAUUUUUUUAGUUUGCACCAUUCUUAAAAAAUAUCAUAUUUUACAUAAGUUCAUUAUUAUAUCUUUUAUUAUCUUCAUCUUUUUAUAUGAAAUACAAAUGAAUAUAUUUAAAAUGUUCUAACAAAAUCUUUUUAUAAUAUUCUUAGAAUAUUUUUUAAAUUUACUUUCAAAAAUUGUUAGUUUUAAUUUAAAUUAUCAUAAAAUAAUUAUAAAUUAAAAUUGAAUAUAGUUUUGGUUUAUAAACGAAAAUUUAAAUAAAAUGAAAUUAAUUAAUUUCAAAAAUACAUUUACUAAUAAUUUUUAAAGAUUUUGUUAGAAAUAAAUAUUUAUUUCUAUUUUAUUUUUUUCAAAUUUGUUUUCUAAUAAAAUAAAAUUCAUGAUUUUUUGAUGAGUGAUAUUUUUAUUUGGACCAUCAUUUAAAUUUUCUAUUAAAUGUAUAUCACUAAUGCUAAUAUAUAUAAUAUUUUUAACUACUUUAAUCAUAAUAUCUUUUAUAUCUUUUAAUUUUUUUAAAAAAAAUUAAAAUUCUAACAAAUCUCUUGAAAAAGAUUAUAAUAAGAUCUUAAUUGUCAUAAAUUGAAUAUAAAUAUUUUCAACUAAUUUUGUAAUUAGUAAUGAAAUGUUACUAAAAGAAUAAAAUUAUAUCCUAUUUUAUCAAUUUUAUAAUAAUAUCUAUCAUUUUAAAAUAAAAACGUUAUAUUGAACAAAAUAUGAUAAAAUUAUUUUAAAUUGAUAAGUUAACAUAUUUUAUUUUCAUAAAUAUAAAAUAUUUAUGCUAAAAAUAUAAUAUGUUGGUAGAACGGGUUAAUAUUAGUAAAUUAUAUAAUACAUGUAUAAAAAUUUAACUUAUCUUAAACUUUUUAAUAUACAGUAAUUUAUUAUAGAAAAUUAAUAAACAUUAAAAAUUGCUAAAAAAAUCUAGCGAUUUGAACUACGGAUCAUGAUUAUAAGAAAUUAAAUACAAAAUUGUUUUCAUAUAUGUUGUUUCAUGCAUUAAAAAAUUUAGUUUAGUAAUCAAACGCAAAUUCAAUAGGACAAAUAUAUAAUAAGCAAUAUAUAUAUAUAUAUAUGUGAUGAUUUUAAUUUACAGCAUGAAAACUAUAAAAUUAUUAUAUUUAGCAUAAUUAUACAAACAUUUAAAUAUGUGAGUAACAUUAAAAAUAUAUAAGAAUUAUGUAAAACAAAUAUCUAUAUAUAUAAAUGUGAAAAUAUAUACCCGCACGGUUGUGCGGAUGGAAAUCUAGUCUAAUUUAUUAAUUUAGGAUCUUAAUUUUAUCUACAGAUAAAAGAUUGUCAUUUAAUUUUGGACCUAUUCAUAACUUUAUAUAUGCAUUAUACAAUAUAUGUAAGAUAUUAAUUGGAUUAUAAAUCUGUUUUGUUACCAUAUUUUGUGGAGAAUUUGUUAAGUAUUUAAACAUAAAAACGUAAAAACAUUUAGAUUUUAUAAAAAUAAUUUUUUUUUGCUAACCAAAUAUAAAAAUAAUUUAUUAAAGAUAAUCAAACUAUCUCAUAUUUAAAAUCAUUUGGAUAAAUAUCUAAUAGUAAAGGAACAUUAGUUAUUUGGUUCAUCAUAAUAAAUCUGUAUAUAACACUUAAAUAUAAACAAUUGGAUCAAGUAACAAAUAAAAAUAUAGUUCUAUAAGUCAAAUGAUGAUAUGAAGUAAAGUAAUGAUUUUAAAAUCUCUUAUACAGCAAGAUUAUUAAUAUAUUUCAACAAAGUGCGAAUGAUGUCAAGAAACCAUACACGUAAUAUGAGAUUUACAUGUAUUUUUACUAAUAAGAAAAUAUAAAAAGAACAAAAAAUUAUUUUUACGAGAAGUAAACUUACUUUAAUAUUUUUCAUGUUGAAUGCUAAUUCAACCUCAGUCACUUGCCGUCACAAACAAAUUGAAUAAAUAUUUGAACAAAUUAAUGAUUAUGAAUAACUAACCUAAUUUUAUUAGUUCUGUAAAACAGACAGCGUUUCAAUGCGGAUAGUAUCCUAGUAUCUAUUAAACCAGAGGAAAAAACUUUUUCAAAUAAUAAAUAUGUAAUUCUAAUUUUAAUCCACAUAACCUUUACAGCCCUUAUCAUAUAAGGACGAUCAAACAUUUAAUUAUUUUAAAAUUCUUUAACGGGUACUUUAUACAUAUAAUUCUAUUUUCAUAACAAAAUAUAUAUAUGUUAUAAAUAAAUUAAAUAUUUAAAUGAUAAACGUAUAAAUAUUAAAUAAUUUAAUUAUAUAUGUGCAUCAGUGCGGACGGAUCACCUAGUAUAAAUAUAAAUAACAAAUAUUGAUAUGUGUGUCUUCCUUUUUAUUUUUUGUACAAUUGCAUAAAUUAACAAACAUAUUAUAUUAGAAUCAAUUGUUAAUUCCAUUUAAAAUUGAAAUGAAAAUGGUAUAAACUUAAUUUAUUUACAGCUUAGCAAUCUCACAUAAUUUCUUAUUGAGUUAUUUCUUUUACUUUUUAAGAUAUUUAAUAUUUUUGUUUUUAACUAUGUUUGAAAUACAUAAACCAUUAAUUAAAUAAAACGAGGGAGUAUAACAUUACAAAAAGUUACGGUCUCAACCGUUUAGAUGAGGUCCACAACCAUUGUCAGAUUUAUGCAUGAGCACGUCUUUUUCCGAUGCCAUUCGAGGAAGAAGAAGAAUGAUAAAUUCUAAAAUUUAUUCACAAAUAGUAUUCACUGUAGGAGGACAUGGCUGUUGGUGUUCUGUUCUUGUUUGGACUUCAUCGAUUAGUCCUUCAUAGGUUUCUCUUGUAGAUCGCAUAUUCUUAUUUUAUUUUGUAUUGGUUUCAACCGAUGUGGUACUGGUAGUGAUUAGUUUUGUUUAGGUCUUUUGUGUAAUCCGCCGGCUAUGUUUCCGGGAUGUCUAUCAUCGGCAGCUUAGGUAAUGAUGCUGGUUUUAUAUAUGAUCUUCAGUGUUAAAAAAAAAGGAGAUUUGAAAUAUAUACCAUACAUUUGUUUUACACCAAAGUCCUUCUGCGGAGAAAAAGUGUCAAUGAAAAACAAACCGGGGAAAAACUACCGUAUUCAAUAUUUCAAUCAUAUAAUGUAUACUCUCAUAGGAAAAAAAAAGAAGAUGUAUUGCUGAUGCAUAGUUUCAAUCUGUGGUUUGCGAGAUCAAGAAGUUAGAUCUUUCAUGGGUUUUAUGAAAGAUCUAAUAUUUAGAAACCCGCAAAACCCCGCGAAAAUCCACUAACCCAAAAUCCGAUACCGGUUGAACCACCGGUUUAACAAAUAAAUAACUUUUUUAGUUUUGAAUUAUGGUUUUAGAUUAUGUUUUAUAUUCCAAGUUUCCAAUUAAGAAGUUAGGUGCUGACAAGAAAAAGUUAAAUUUUCUCUUUUCAAUUUUAUUUUGUGAUUUUUUAAAUUUGAUGAAGAUUUUACUAUGCCACCUGAAGAAAACAAAUUGAACAAUGAUAGAGAGAACCAAAAUUAGUUGAUGUGAUUUGGUGUUAGUUUAUUUCUAUUAUUGACAAUUUAUUACCAAUAUUUUACUUUUGGUUUAUUUUGGAUUUGAAGUUUAAUUUAUUAUUCACAUUAGAUAUUUAAAUAUUUAUGAAUUUUAUAUUUUGAUUUUUUUAGAUGUCAUAAAUAUUUAUGAAUUUUAUAUUUGUGAUCCAGUAAUUCAUCCGGUUCAGUGUCCGGAUCGAAUUUGAAAACAUUGGGACUUGAAGGAAUAAUACUACUGGCCUUGUGGAAUUGAUGUGUGAAGAGAGGCCCCCGGAUAAAAUGUUUGUAGAGAGGUCCAAUAGCUGAAGAUUGGAUAUGCUGAAAAGCAAAAUAGGCAUCUCACCUUCCAACAUAUCGUUGGAAAUCAGUAGAUUUGUGUAGUAUGUCUAAGCCAAAAGAUAAUCCGAUCAAAGUCUGAAAGUAUGUCAUAAACAAAACAAAAAAAAUCAGCCGACGCCAAAGAUGAAAUCCGGUUUCAGUAUAAAUGUCCACUUUCUCUGAAAAAAAAGGUGAGAGAAGUGAGAGAGAGGCCUUCACAGUUGGUUUGUGUAGUAUAAAUCACAAAUGUGCUCAAAUGUAUACAAAUUCUAAUAUGCAUAGAUACAGACCGUUGCAUUUAUAAAGUAUUAAACCGUAAAAGACAAAACUUCUGUUCUUCCUUUCUUUUUUUGUCCGGUAAGAGAAAAAAAAAAUAAAAGGAAAAUGAUCUGAAUAAAAAAAGUUACUAUUAUUUCAACGGCUCUAACUGAAUCUCACUCCUCCCUCCAUUUCUACCUUCUUCAUCAUCUUUAUCUCUGAAACCUCCUCUUGAAUCUAUUAGAUCAGUCGAAUCAUCUUCUUCAACAUUCCCCAAGACCCAGUUCCCUCUGCUCAGGUUCCUCGCUCUUCUUCUUCCUCGUUCCCUGUACUCCAAGUACACAACAGUCACCACUCCGAGGAACACCCAUAACCCGAGUGCCCAGUUAAGCCCGUCUACGUUCUCUGCUCCGUUCCGUUCUCCCAAAUGCUUCAUCCCCGUGAAUAGCGCAACAACUCCUAUUACAACAGCUGAUUGACCAACGAUCGAGUGAGAAUACUCCCAGAUUAGUCGCUUCGAAGACAUUAGCUCCCCUUGAGCAGGCUUCGCCGGCCUUAGCCAAGCGUUCACGGGCUGAGCGCAAGCCAAAACUAUGGCUGUGAAACCGAACUUGACGUGGGACGAACUGAAGCUGAAACCGUUGAGUUCAGCUACUGCGAAGAGGAGACCGAGGAAGACAAUGGCUAGUCCUGAACACUGAAGAUACAUGUGAAUCUUGAACCAGCCAUCGCCCUUGAUGUGUUUCAGGUAUCUAGCAGAUAAUAUCCCACCAGGAAGCAAGAUUCCCCAAGCGAGGAACAUCAUGAAUCCAUGAACGCCCAAGACCGGUCUGAGAUCUUGCUCCGCUUCCGCUGAUCCACGCGUCAGCAUGACACGGACAGGUCUCUGACUUGUAACCGAGUGCAUGUUUCUCUCUGUUAACUGACCAUCUGUCCAUUUAGCACCCAUUGCCCAUAUCACUUUAAGAGGAGUUGUGGGAUCGAUCAUGUUCUUACACUCGGGUCUAUCUCGAUGACUGCAGGAAGGCUUCAAGGGACGGGUGAACUCAAGAGUGAUGAUCCCUUCUUCGGACUUGCAUCUCACAUAUGUCAUGUUCUCGACUGUAGGGUGAAUAGAGGAAGCUGAUUCUCCAUCAAUCCAGUACGUGUUUACGUGCCCUGUUCCGUUUCUAUCGAACCAGCCAACGUAAGCAUAACUAUUUGUCAUCUCGCUGCCGAAACCAAUUGCGAGAUAGCCGCUUUUCUUCUCCCCACGAGCUGCAAUCGAUAUUGAAUCACCUACUAUUGUCCAAAAGAACUUUACUUGCUGAUCAUCUAGAUUAACACUGUUGUUGUACAUAUCCGAGAGUCCACCGUCCACAACCUGAACCUUCCAACCCAUUUUCUCUUGAAAUAUCGAGUGAUAAUAGAGCUGGUCAGGUGUGUUUCUAUUAGGAGCCCAAACGAGCUCUAACGGACUCGACAAUACUCCAUGAGUUUCUUGCCCACCCGCAUAGAUCGUCUCUGUUCUGUUCCUUAGAGAAGCAUUCCCACCGAGAAAGUCUGAAGUUAUGUAGAACGAGACGUCGUGUCCUGCUUCUAUUGAAAACUUCACAGGAACACCUCUUUCCACUCUCAGCACCGGUGCUUCUUUCUUGUUGAUGUACAGAACCUUCGCAGGGUUUGGAGGGUUCGGAUAAUGAACAGAUGGUCCAGCCGUGACAACAAGAGGUGCGUUGGCAUCAGCAAUGAUCACACCUUGAUCAUACUUGUUGUCUGCGUCCAAUGGUCCCAAACACUCAUCCACAUGAUCAGAGAGACUAAGCGAAAAAUGCCCGUAGUUUUCCGAUUCCACACCGCCGUGAUUCUCAGGUAGAUAGUAAGGAUUGAUAACAUCUGGUGGUUUUAUCACCCCAAGCGCCCAAAUAACCGUGAGAUUCUCAGUUGCAUUCACAGGAAAAUCAAACUUAUUAUCACUAUCAUUCAACGGCCUCCUAUACCUAACAAACGAAACUCCAUCUAUCCUAUGCCCGUAAACAAGUUUUGUGUUAUUCACCGAAGAGCCAACUGCAUCUGAUCCUUCAUACACAGUGUCAGGACAAACCCCAGCGGCAAAACCAUCCCUGACAGAGCAUACACUCGUCUUUGUAAUGUAGAAAUCAUCAGCGAAAGGGAAGCCAUCCUCUCUAAUCCCAGUAAUCACAACAUCAGCGUUCAACAUGAGAUUUGAGGUAGUGUUCGGCUUAGCCCAACCAAACGCCAUGUAGUUCAGUAAACCAGUUGUAGCCUCUAGACCAAUAUCUACAUAACCUUCAUCUACAUUCAAGGUCCACCUGAGCCUAUACUUAUCAGAAAGCUUCUUGCAAUUAUCAAACAUGGUAGGAGCCUUAAAGGGCUCACUGUUAUUCGAUUUCCCAGGAGUAGCAGCGUCUUUACUCUCUGAAGGAGGUGAUUCGGAUUUUGAAGAAGACGAAUCUUGCUCUGUAGCAUUGGAGAGCAGAACAUGCCCAAAAUCAGAAGCAGUAGGUAAAUCCCAAACCGAAACCACUCCUAUACUAUCCCAUGUAACAUUAUCCAACAAUCGGACGACGAAAGAUUGAUUAUUGAACGUUUGAUUAAGCUUAUGAUCAGAGAUCACGAAGCCACUAUCAGUCAUGUUCUCGAAAUCAGAGGUCAUUGCACCCCACCAAUGAACAUCAGAACCAGAGAGCAUAUCGAAACGUGAAACCCUAAAGGAACAAUCAUCAAGAACGGUGAAAACCCCACGGAGCUGGUGUUGCAACAUCCUGAACUCGGACUCGUACCCGACCAAAGAGCUAGACUUUGAGCAUUUUUGCCCGUUUACGAAGAGGAAGAAGAAGAAACCCAACACGAGAGACCAACAACUCCUAUUACAACAGCUGAUUGACCAACGAUCGAGUGAGAAUACUCCCAGAUUAGUCGCUUCGAAGACAUUAGCUCCCCUUGAGCAGGCUUCGCCGGCCUUAGCCAAGCGUUCACGGGCUGAGCGCAAGCCAAAACUAUGGCUGUGAAACCGAACUUGACGUGGGACGAACUGAAGCUGAAACCGUUGAGUUCAGCUACUGCGAAGAGGAGACCGAGGAAGACAAUGGCUAGUCCUGAACACUGAAGAUACAUGUGAAUCUUGAACCAGCCAUCGCCCUUGAUGUGUUUCAGGUAUCUAGCAGAUAAUAUCCCACCAGGAAGCAAGAUUCCCCAAGCGAGGAACAUCAUGAAUCCAUGAACGCCCAAGACCGGUCUGAGAUCUUGCUCCGCUUCCGCUGAUCCACGCGUCAGCAUGACACGGACAGGUCUCUGACUUGUAACCGAGUGCAUGUUUCUCUCUGUUAACUGACCAUCUGUCCAUUUAGCACCCAUUGCCCAUAUCACUUUAAGAGGAGUUGUGGGAUCGAUCAUGUUCUUACACUCGGGUCUAUCUCGAUGACUGCAGGAAGGCUUCAAGGGACGGGUGAACUCAAGAGUGAUGAUCCCUUCUUCGGACUUGCAUCUCACAUAUGUCAUGUUCUCGACUGUAGGGUGAAUAGAGGAAGCUGAUUCUCCAUCAAUCCAGUACGUGUUUACGUGCCCUGUUCCGUUUCUAUCGAACCAGCCAACGUAAGCAUAACUAUUUGUCAUCUCGCUGCCGAAACCAAUUGCGAGAUAGCCGCUUUUCUUCUCCCCACGAGCUGCAAUCGAUAUUGAAUCACCUACUAUUGUCCAAAAGAACUUUACUUGCUGAUCAUCUAGAUUAACACUGUUGUUGUACAUAUCCGAGAGUCCACCGUCCACAACCUGAACCUUCCAACCCAUUUUCUCUUGAAAUAUCGAGUGAUAAUAGAGCUGGUCAGGUGUGUUUCUAUUAGGAGCCCAAACGAGCUCUAACGGACUCGACAAUACUCCAUGAGUUUCUUGCCCACCCGCAUAGAUCGUCUCUGUUCUGUUCCUUAGAGAAGCAUUCCCACCGAGAAAGUCUGAAGUUAUGUAGAACGAGACGUCGUGUCCUGCUUCUAUUGAAAACUUCACAGGAACACCUCUUUCCACUCUCAGCACCGGUGCUUCUUUCUUGUUGAUGUACAGAACCUUCGCAGGGUUUGGAGGGUUCGGAUAAUGAACAGAUGGUCCAGCCGUGACAACAAGAGGUGCGUUGGCAUCAGCAAUGAUCACACCUUGAUCAUACUUGUUGUCUGCGUCCAAUGGUCCCAAACACUCAUCCACAUGAUCAGAGAGACUAAGCGAAAAAUGCCCGUAGUUUUCCGAUUCCACACCGCCGUGAUUCUCAGGUAGAUAGUAAGGAUUGAUAACAUCUGGUGGUUUUAUCACCCCAAGCGCCCAAAUAACCGUGAGAUUCUCAGUUGCAUUCACAGGAAAAUCAAACUUAUUAUCACUAUCAUUCAACGGCCUCCUAUACCUAACAAACGAAACUCCAUCUAUCCUAUGCCCGUAAACAAGUUUUGUGUUAUUCACCGAAGAGCCAACUGCAUCUGAUCCUUCAUACACAGUGUCAGGACAAACCCCAGCAGCAAAACCAUCCCUGACAGAGCAUACACUCGUCUUCGUAAUGUAGAAAUCAUCAGCAAAAGGGAAGCCAUCCUCCCUGAUCCCAGUAAUCACAACGUCAGCAUUCAACAUAAGGUUUGAGGUAGUGUUCGGCUUAGCCCAACCAAACGCCAUGUAGUUCAGUAAACCAGUUGUAGCCUCUAGACCAAUAUCUACAUAACCUUCAUCUACAUUCAAGCUCCACCUGAGCCUAUACUUAUCAGAAAGCUUCUUGCAAUUAUCAAACAUGGUAGGAGCCUUAAAGGGCUCACUGUUAUUCGAUUUCCCGGGAGUAGCAGCGUCUUUACUCUCUGAAGGAGGUGAUUCAGAUUUUGAAGAAGACGAAUCUUGCUCUGUAGCAUUGGAGAGCAGAACAUGCCCAAAAUCAGAAGCAGUAGGUAAAUCCCAAACCGAAACCACUCCUAUACUAUCCCACGUAACAUUAUCCAACAAACGGACGACGAAAGAUUGGUUAUUGAACGUUUGAUUAAGCUUAUGAUCAGAGAUCACGAAGCCACUAUCAGUCAUGUUCUCGAAAUCGGAGGUCAUUGCACCCCACCAAUGAACAUCAGAACCAGAGAGCAUAUCGAAACGUGAAACACGAAACGAACAAUCAUCAAGAACGGUGAAAACCCCACGGAGCUGGUGCUGCAACAUCCUGAACUCGGACUCGUACCCGACCAAAGAGCUAGACUUUGAGCAUUUUUGCCCGUUUACGAAGAAGAGGAAGAAACCCAACACGAGAGACCCUAGAAAAACGGGUCUUUGAACGAACAUGGUUGGGGGAAACUAAACUCAACCAAACCCAAAUCUGCAAAUACACAGAGUAUAUAUAAUCAGUAAGACACGCAGAAACACAAAGACUGAAACUUGGAAACAGAAACUUACAGCUCCCAACACGUCAGGCUUACAUCAACCGAUGCCAAAUAAUUACUCAGCUCCUGUAAGUGAGACAGUGUAGAAUCUAUUAAACAAAAAACAAUCCAGAACAUAGAAUCUAUAUUAGAUGAAUUAACAGGAUUAUAUAAUAAGAUCCUAGGCCAGAUCUAGUGGGUGGGAUUCAAUCUCGAGAUUAAACUUGACACAAAUCAAGAGACCCAAAUCGAAACAAAGAGAUUCAAAUUCAAUCAAUUCGCGAUCUGACAUAUCAAACCCAGUCAGAUCACACUCGCGAUCGAUACUCUAGACCACGAUCAAACGAAUAUGUGGAGAUUUACCUCAAGAUUAGCGAUGGAGAUCUUCGAGGAGAGAUUCGUGAGCUCGAUUUCAAUGUGAGAGAGAUGUUUAGUUUUCCCGCAUCAGAUUCCUUCUCGCAAAUAUGCUUUUUUGGCUUUGUAGACGAGCAAAAAAGCAAAUGAGUUUGCGAUUAAUGUUGGUUAAAAUAUCACUAUAGGUUUCUGCGAUUUUAAUUCUUGAGUUGAGCCAUUUCUCCUACUUUAAUUUUUAGUUACGUACAUAUAUAUCAAUGGUUCUUUUUUUUGGGUUUUUUUUUUAAAGAAUGUACAUAUACAACAAGGUUCGUGAUUAUUAUAAAGUGACUCUGAUAUAGAAUGAAAUAUUUGGAGUGAAAAAAUGACAUUCAUCUAUAUUUCACUCUAUAAUAAAGUUAUUCUAUUAUAGAAUAACAACAUUAAAGCAAAAAUUACGCUAUAAUAAAAUUAUUCUAUUUUUGUGUAAAUUAUAGAAGAAAAAAUAGAAUCUCUUUGAAAAUAGUCUUAAUCUAACUCAAUCUUUACAUAAAGGUUAUUUUCUUGAUAACUAAUUUAUUUUGACUGACAUUGAUUUACUCAUUUUCAAUAUAUUUGUUCCCAUCUAGAUAGCAUGUAAACUCCAUCCAGUGCCUUGCGAAGGCUAUGAGAGGACUCAGGCACAAAUAAUUUACUUUGUAUCAACAGGCUGCCAAAGACCAAGUUAUGGAUCGAACUCAAGGUGCAUACUAUCCCCUAUAUAUUAAAAGAGAAACAUUACAACAUAUUUUUGUAGCCACAUGUCAUCAGCACAAUCAUUCUUAGAAUCCUUAGAAAAAAUAUGUUAGUCCAUAUAAAUAUAUAAUAAGCUUUUUAUUAAACUAACCAUAAAUUAAUCAUAAAUGUUCUUCAUUGUUUCCUUAAACAAAAAUCACGGAAUUACCUAAUGUGCCAAAAGUAUAUAUGACAAUUAAUAAUUUUGAAUAAUAAAGAUUUGAUGAAAAUUAGUAUAUUCUCUAUCAUUUUUUAAAAAUUUUAACUUAUUAAAAUAAAUUAAAAACCCACAUUAACUAUAUAAUAAAAAUUUAGUUUUUUGUAUAUGUUAUAUUUUAAAUUUUUAAAAACGAAUAUAAAUAAAUAAAGUUGUUAAAAAUCUCAUAUUAAAUUUUUUAUGAUCCCUGGUUUAAAAUUUAUGUUAUAACAAGAUACAAAUUAUUUCAAAAUUACAUAAGUAGGAAGUCUCAUUUAAUAAAUAUUAUAUAUAUGUAUAUUAAUAUUUUUUAAAAUAAAUUAUAUACCAUAUAAAACACAUAAGUAUUUUAAUUUCGAAUUUGCUUUGAAUAUUUUUGGUAAAAAUUUUGAACAAUUAUUGACAAUUUAGAUUUUAAACUUUGCAUUAUUAAAUAUCCCACAAUUUUUUUAAUUGUUAUCAUUGAUUUAAAAUUUUUGUUAUAAAGAAAUACAAACGAUCAAAAAUAAUAUGAGUAUAAUUAACAGAUGUCAAUAUUAAAAAUGUAUUAUAUAUCUAUGCUAAUAUCAUUUAAACUUAAUUUUAUAACAUAUAAAAUAGAAAAAAGUGUUUGUAUGGAUUAAUAAAAUUUAUUUAAGUAUUUAUACCAAUUUAAUUAUAUACGUAAUAGUUACUAAAUUUUUAAUUAUUCGAUAUAUAUUUAUUAUUUCAUAAUUUGUAAAAAAUAUAUAAUACUUAAAAAUAAUUUAUAUAUAAUAUUCGUUCUGCGCAAGGCGCGGAUCUUAACCUAGUUAAUAAGUAUUUCAUAUUGGAUUUUAAUGUGACACGGCUAGAGUCAGAUUGACUAAGACGAAUAGACAAUCUAAUCUAUUAAUUUAUAUUUCUAUUUUAAUAUGACAUAUUCGAUUAUUUACAUUAAUAAUAAACUAAUUAUAAAUUUGAAUUAUAUAUUUUUAAUUAUAACAAAAUAUGUUGAUAAAAAUCUAAUAAAAUCUUACUUAAAAUUAAAUAUUUUUAUAAAAUAAAACAUUAGUUAAUUUUGUAAUUAUUAGUAUAAUAUCAUUAUAAAUCAAUGUUAAUUAAAAUUUUAUUCUAAAAAAAUAAAAUAAAAUUAUAUACUAUUUUUUAUAAAUUUUAUAGUUAUAUUCUGUAUUAUAUAAAAAAGAAGUGAUUUAUGAAUUACAUAUGACAAAAUUAUAUUAAAUAGGUAAACUAACAAAUUUUAUUUUUUUAAAUGGUUUCAUUUAAAUAAAAUAUCACUCAUCAUUAAAAUGGGUUAAAAUUCAUAAACUAUUUCUUUUUAUAUAAAAAUAAAUUUAGUAACAUACGUUAAACUUUUAUAUCUACAACUAUAUGUUAUCUUUUUAUUUAUUUUAAAAUUCUCAACAAUAUGUUGUGUAAAAAUGUUUAUACAUAAACAUAAUGGUAUAUAAUAACUUUUAGCUCAUAUACUAUUUUUUUAAAAUGUUAUUAGAAAAUUAUGAAAUUUUAGUAAUUCAUUUAAAAUAUAAUUACAAAUAAUAUUUUAGUAAUUCAUUUAAAAUAUUAUUACAAAUAAAAUUUUAAUUAUUAUUUUUAAUUAUAACAAAAUCUGUUGAUAAAAAUUUAUAAAACAUUACCAAAAGUCAAAUUGUUUUAAAUAAAAUAAUGUAUUAAUGUAAUAAUAAAAAAAUUCCAAAUUCAUGUAAUCUUCCAAACUCAAAAAUAGUUGUGUAGUUUUCCAAAAUUUUCUUGAAAAAUUACAAUUUCAAAUUUUAUAAAAGAUAAAAUCAUAGAUAAUAAAUAAUAAAUUUUUGAAAUGCACCACGAAAAAAAACUAUAUAUGUUGUAAAAAUUAAAGUAAUCUUAUGUUUUGAAACUUAAUUAAAAACAUUAAUAUCAUAACAUCCAUAAAAUAUCCUAUUUCAAUAAAAUUUACUAAAAUAAAUUGAUAGAUGCUACUAUGUAUAAUUAUUUUAUUAUAAUAAUAUAUAUAUAUUAUUUAAAUAAAACAAUGUUUUUACUUAUAGAGCCUGUAAAAUACUAAUGAUAUAUGUUAAAGUAUUUUUUUUUAAACACAACAUAUAAAUAUAAAUGAUCUUAAACAUAUUUUUUUUUAAUAUGAUUAAAUAAAAUUUUAACAAUGUAUUAUAUGCAAAAUGUAUAAAUUAAAGAAAAAAUGUAUUUUGGAGGAGGUUUUCUAUUUGAUUAUUUCAUAUUACUAUUUUAUUUUACAUAUCUCAAAAAUAUAUUCGUAAGUAAUAAAAAAUAAUAAAAAAUAAAGUGUAUUAAACAAACCACUAUAUAUUAAUAAUGUCGAAAAAGAAAUAUAAAAAAGAAUAUUAUAGAAUUACGCAAUAGAUAACAUUAAACUGAAAAUUAUAGAUUUAAAAGAUUUGUAAUAAAAUCAAUUACAUUUAUAAAAUGAAAAAAUAUCCUGAAACAAAUAUCCGCACAGACGUGCGGGUCAAAAGCUAGUAAAUUUUUAAAAGUGAGACAUCUGCAUAGAUCAUCAUAAUCUGUUUAUGUUAGGUAUCUAACAUGAGUACACAUAUAUUAAAAUUAGGUUUAACGGAUAAAACAUGCUAUUUUUGGAAACUUUUCAUUUUAUAGAAAAAUGUUGUAGGUUUGAGUUUAUGGUUUUGAAAUUAGGAUAACAAGAAUAUUUGUUGAUAUAUGAUUAUUCUUUCAGUUUUUUUCAUCGAUAUGUUGUAUUUUUAAAUAAUUUUCUUAAAAACUGCUAUUUUUAGAAAAUUUUCAUUUUACAGAGAAUAUUGUAGAUUUGGUUUUGUUAUUUAGAAAUUAGGAUUACAAGAAUAUUUGUGGAUAGAUAAGUAUUCUCUCAGAAUUUUGUAUCAAUAGGUUGUAUUUUUAAAUAAUUUUAUUAAAAGCUGCUAUUUUUGGAAAGUUUUCAUUUUUUUUAGAGAAAUAUUGUUGAUUUGAGUAUAUGGUUGAAAAAUUAGAGUAACAAGAAUAUAUGUUGAUAUAUGAGUAUUCUGUCAGAGUUUUCCUUAAAUAUGUUGUAUUUUAAAAUAAUCUUCUUAAAAACUGCUAUUUAUAGAAAUUUUUCAUUUUUCAAGGGAAAUAAUUUAGAAUUGGGUUUGUGGUAUAAAAAUUAAGAUAACAAGAAUACUUUUGGAUUAGUUGAGUAUUCUUUCAGAUUUUUUCAUCAAUAGGUUGUAUUUUUAAAUAAAUUUCUUAAGAACUGCUAUUAGGAAAGUUUUCAUUUUUUUAGAGAAAUAUUUUAGAUUUGAGUUUGUGGUUUAGAAUUUAAGAUAAAAAUAUUAUUUGUGAAUAGUUGAGUAUUCUUUCAGAUUUUUUCAUCAAUAUGUUGUAUUUUUAAAUAAUUUUCUUAAAAACUGCUAUUUUUAGAAAGUUUUCAUUUUAUAGAGAAAUAUUGUAGAUUUGGGUUUAUGAUUUAGAAAUUAGGAUUACAAGAAUAUUUGUGGAUAGAUAAGUAUUCUUUCAUAAUUUUUUAUCAAUAUGUUAUAUUUUUAUAUAAUAUUUUUUAAAACUGCUAUUUUUGGAAAGUUUUCAUUUUUUUAGAGAAAUAUUGUAGAUUUGAGUUUGUGGUUUAGAAGUUAAGAUCAAAAGAUUAUUUGUGGAUAGUUGAGCAUUCUUUCAGAUUUUUUCAUCAAUAUGUUGUAUUUUUAAAUAAUUUUCCUAAAAACUGCUAUUUUUAUAAAGUUUUCAUUUUAUAUAGAAAUAUUAUAGAUUUGGGUUUGUGAUUUAGAAAUUGGGACUACAACAAUAUUUGUGGACAGAUAAGUGUUCUUUCAGAAUUUUGCAUCAAUAUGUUGUAUUCUUAUAUAAUUUUUUAAAAACAGCUAUUUUUGGUAACUUUUCAUUUUAUAGAGAAAUAUUGAAGAUUUGAGUUUAUGGUUGAAAAAUUAGAGUAACAAGAAUAUAUGUUGAUAUAUGAGUAUUCUUUCAGAGUUUUCCUUAAAUAGGUUGUAUUUUUAAAUAAUCUUCUUAAAAGCUGCUAUUUUUGGAAAUUUUUCAUUUUUUAGAGAAAUAUUUUAGAAUUGGGUUUGUGGUAUAAAAAUUAAGAUAACAAGAAUACUUUUGGAUUAGUUGAGUAUUCUUUCAGAGUUUUUCAUCAAUAGGUUGUAUUUUUAAAUAAAUUUCUUAAAAACUGCUAUUUUAGGAAAGUUUUCAUUUUUUUUAGAGAAAUAUUGUAGAUUUGAGUUUGUGGUUUAGAAGUUGAGAUCAAAAGAUUAUUUGUGGAUAGUUGAGUAUUCUUUCAGAUUUAUUCAUCAAUAUGUUGUAUUCUUAAAUAAUUUUCUUAAAAACUGCUAUUUUUAUAAAGUUUUCAUUUUAUAUAGAAAUAUUAUAUAUUUGGGUUUGUGAUUUAGAAAUUAGGACUACAAGAAUAUUUUUGGAUUGUUGAGUAUUCUUUCAGAGUUUUUUAUCAAUAGGUUGUAUUUUUAAAUAAUUUUCUUAAAAACUGCUAUUUUUGGAAAGUGUUCAUUUUUUAGAGAAAUAUUGUAGAUUUGAAUUUGUGGUUUACAAUUUAAGAUAAAAAGAUUAUUUGUGGAUAGUUGAGAAUUCAUUCAGAUUUUUUCAUCAAUAUGUUGUAUUUUUAAAUAAUCUUCUUAAAAGCUGCUAUUUUAGGAAUUUUUUCAUUUUUUAAGGAAAUAUUUUAGAUUUGGGUUUGUGAUUUAGAAAUUAGGAUUACACGAAUAUUUGUGGAUAGUUGAGUAUUAUUUCAGAGUUUUGCAUCAAUAGGUUGUAUUUUUAAAUAAUUUUCUUAAAAACUGCUAUUUUCGGAAAGUUUUCAUUUUUUUAGAGAAAUAUUGUAGAUUUGAGUUUGUGGUUUAGAAGUUAAGAUCAAAAGAUUAUUUGCGGAUAGUUGAGUAUUCUUUCAGAUUUUUCAUCAAUAUGUUGUAUUUUUAAAUAAUUUUCUUAAAAACUGCUAUUUUUAGAAAGUUUUCAUUUUAUAUAGAAAUAUUAUAGAUUUGGGUUUGUGAUUUAGAAAUUAUGACUACAAGAAUAUUUGUGGACAGAUAAGUGUUCUUUCAGAAUUUUGCAUCAAUAUGUUGUAUUUUAAAAUAAUUUUCUUAAAAACUGCUAUUUUUAGAAAGUUGUAAUAGUUACUAAAUUUUUAAUUAUUCGAUAUAUAUUUAUUAUUUCAUAAUUUGUAAAAAAUAUAUAAUACUUAAAAAUAAUUUAUAUAUAAUAUUCGUUCUGCGCAAGGCGCGGAUCUUAACCUAGUUAAUAAGUAUUUCAUAUUGGAUUUUAAUGUGACACGGCUAGAGUCAGAUUGACUAAGACGAAUAGACAAUCUAAUCUAUUAAUUUAUAUUUCUAUUUUAAUAUGACAUAUUCGAUUAUUUACAUUAAUAAUAAACUAAUUAUAAAUUUGAAUUAUAUAUUUUUAAUUAUAACAAAAUAUGUUGAUAAAAAUCUAAUAAAAUCUUACUUAAAAUUAAAUAUUUUUAUAAAAUAAAACAUUAGUUAAUUUUGUAAUUAUUAGUAUAAUAUCAUUAUAAAUCAAUGUUAAUUAAAAUUUUAUUCUAAAAAAAUAAAAUAAAAUUAUAUACUAUUUUUUAUAAAUUUUAUAGUUAUAUUCUGUAUUAUAUAAAAAAGAAGUGAUUUAUGAAUUACAUAUGACAAAAUUAUAUUAAAUAGGUAAACUAACAAAUUUUAUUUUUUUAAAUGGUUUCAUUUAAAUAAAAUAUCACUCAUCAUUAAAAUGGGUUAAAAUUCAUAAACUAUUUCUUUUUAUAUAAAAAUAAAUUUAGUAACAUACGUUAAACUUUUAUAUCUACAACUAUAUGUUAUCUUUUUAUUUAUUUUAAAAUUCUCAACAAUAUGUUGUGUAAAAAUGUUUAUACAUAAACAUAAUGGUAUAUAAUAACUUUUAGCUCAUAUACUAUUUUUUUAAAAUGUUAUUAGAAAAUUAUGAAAUUUUAGUAAUUCAUUUAAAAUAUAAUUACAAAUAAUAUUUUAGUAAUUCAUUUAAAAUAUUAUUACAAAUAAAAUUUUAAUUAUUAUUUUUAAUUAUAACAAAAUCUGUUGAUAAAAAUUUAUAAAACAUUACCAAAAGUCAAAUUGUUUUAAAUAAAAUAAUGUAUUAAUGUAAUAAUAAAAAAAUUCCAAAUUCAUGUAAUCUUCCAAACUCAAAAAUAGUUGUGUAGUUUUCCAAAAUUUUCUUGAAAAAUUACAAUUUCAAAUUUUAUAAAAGAUAAAAUCAUAGAUAAUAAAUAAUAAAUUUUUGAAAUGCACCACGAAAAAAAACUAUAUAUGUUGUAAAAAUUAAAGUAAUCUUAUGUUUUGAAACUUAAUUAAAAACAUUAAUAUCAUAACAUCCAUAAAAUAUCCUAUUUCAAUAAAAUUUACUAAAAUAAAUUGAUAGAUGCUACUAUGUAUAAUUAUUUUAUUAUAAUAAUAUAUAUAUAUUAUUUAAAUAAAACAAUGUUUUUACUUAUAGAGCCUGUAAAAUACUAAUGAUAUAUGUUAAAGUAUUUUUUUUUAAACACAACAUAUAAAUAUAAAUGAUCUUAAACAUAUUUUUUUUUAAUAUGAUUAAAUAAAAUUUUAACAAUGUAUUAUAUGCAAAAUGUAUAAAUUAAAGAAAAAAUGUAUUUUGGAGGAGGUUUUCUAUUUGAUUAUUUCAUAUUACUAUUUUAUUUUACAUAUCUCAAAAAUAUAUUCGUAAGUAAUAAAAAAUAAUAAAAAAUAAAGUGUAUUAAACAAACCACUAUAUAUUAAUAAUGUCGAAAAAGAAAUAUAAAAAAGAAUAUUAUAGAAUUACGCAAUAGAUAACAUUAAACUGAAAAUUAUAGAUUUAAAAGAUUUGUAAUAAAAUCAAUUACAUUUAUAAAAUGAAAAAAUAUCCUGAAACAAAUAUCCGCACAGACGUGCGGGUCAAAAGCUAGUAAAUUUUUAAAAGUGAGACAUCUGCAUAGAUCAUCAUAAUCUGUUUAUGUUAGGUAUCUAACAUGAGUACACAUAUAUUAAAAUUAGGUUUAACGGAUAAAACAUGCUAUUUUUGGAAACUUUUCAUUUUAUAGAAAAAUGUUGUAGGUUUGAGUUUAUGGUUUUGAAAUUAGGAUAACAAGAAUAUUUGUUGAUAUAUGAUUAUUCUUUCAGUUUUUUUCAUCGAUAUGUUGUAUUUUUAAAUAAUUUUCUUAAAAACUGCUAUUUUUAGAAAAUUUUCAUUUUACAGAGAAUAUUGUAGAUUUGGUUUUGUUAUUUAGAAAUUAGGAUUACAAGAAUAUUUGUGGAUAGAUAAGUAUUCUCUCAGAAUUUUGUAUCAAUAGGUUGUAUUUUUAAAUAAUUUUAUUAAAAGCUGCUAUUUUUGGAAAGUUUUCAUUUUUUUUAGAGAAAUAUUGUUGAUUUGAGUAUAUGGUUGAAAAAUUAGAGUAACAAGAAUAUAUGUUGAUAUAUGAGUAUUCUGUCAGAGUUUUCCUUAAAUAUGUUGUAUUUUAAAAUAAUCUUCUUAAAAACUGCUAUUUAUAGAAAUUUUUCAUUUUUCAAGGGAAAUAAUUUAGAAUUGGGUUUGUGGUAUAAAAAUUAAGAUAACAAGAAUACUUUUGGAUUAGUUGAGUAUUCUUUCAGAUUUUUUCAUCAAUAGGUUGUAUUUUUAAAUAAAUUUCUUAAGAACUGCUAUUAGGAAAGUUUUCAUUUUUUUAGAGAAAUAUUUUAGAUUUGAGUUUGUGGUUUAGAAUUUAAGAUAAAAAUAUUAUUUGUGAAUAGUUGAGUAUUCUUUCAGAUUUUUUCAUCAAUAUGUUGUAUUUUUAAAUAAUUUUCUUAAAAACUGCUAUUUUUAGAAAGUUUUCAUUUUAUAGAGAAAUAUUGUAGAUUUGGGUUUAUGAUUUAGAAAUUAGGAUUACAAGAAUAUUUGUGGAUAGAUAAGUAUUCUUUCAUAAUUUUUUAUCAAUAUGUUAUAUUUUUAUAUAAUAUUUUUUAAAACUGCUAUUUUUGGAAAGUUUUCAUUUUUUUAGAGAAAUAUUGUAGAUUUGAGUUUGUGGUUUAGAAGUUAAGAUCAAAAGAUUAUUUGUGGAUAGUUGAGCAUUCUUUCAGAUUUUUUCAUCAAUAUGUUGUAUUUUUAAAUAAUUUUCCUAAAAACUGCUAUUUUUAUAAAGUUUUCAUUUUAUAUAGAAAUAUUAUAGAUUUGGGUUUGUGAUUUAGAAAUUGGGACUACAACAAUAUUUGUGGACAGAUAAGUGUUCUUUCAGAAUUUUGCAUCAAUAUGUUGUAUUCUUAUAUAAUUUUUUAAAAACAGCUAUUUUUGGUAACUUUUCAUUUUAUAGAGAAAUAUUGAAGAUUUGAGUUUAUGGUUGAAAAAUUAGAGUAACAAGAAUAUAUGUUGAUAUAUGAGUAUUCUUUCAGAGUUUUCCUUAAAUAGGUUGUAUUUUUAAAUAAUCUUCUUAAAAGCUGCUAUUUUUGGAAAUUUUUCAUUUUUUAGAGAAAUAUUUUAGAAUUGGGUUUGUGGUAUAAAAAUUAAGAUAACAAGAAUACUUUUGGAUUAGUUGAGUAUUCUUUCAGAGUUUUUCAUCAAUAGGUUGUAUUUUUAAAUAAAUUUCUUAAAAACUGCUAUUUUAGGAAAGUUUUCAUUUUUUUUAGAGAAAUAUUGUAGAUUUGAGUUUGUGGUUUAGAAGUUGAGAUCAAAAGAUUAUUUGUGGAUAGUUGAGUAUUCUUUCAGAUUUAUUCAUCAAUAUGUUGUAUUCUUAAAUAAUUUUCUUAAAAACUGCUAUUUUUAUAAAGUUUUCAUUUUAUAUAGAAAUAUUAUAUAUUUGGGUUUGUGAUUUAGAAAUUAGGACUACAAGAAUAUUUUUGGAUUGUUGAGUAUUCUUUCAGAGUUUUUUAUCAAUAGGUUGUAUUUUUAAAUAAUUUUCUUAAAAACUGCUAUUUUUGGAAAGUGUUCAUUUUUUAGAGAAAUAUUGUAGAUUUGAAUUUGUGGUUUACAAUUUAAGAUAAAAAGAUUAUUUGUGGAUAGUUGAGAAUUCAUUCAGAUUUUUUCAUCAAUAUGUUGUAUUUUUAAAUAAUCUUCUUAAAAGCUGCUAUUUUAGGAAUUUUUUCAUUUUUUAAGGAAAUAUUUUAGAUUUGGGUUUGUGAUUUAGAAAUUAGGAUUACACGAAUAUUUGUGGAUAGUUGAGUAUUAUUUCAGAGUUUUGCAUCAAUAGGUUGUAUUUUUAAAUAAUUUUCUUAAAAACUGCUAUUUUCGGAAAGUUUUCAUUUUUUUAGAGAAAUAUUGUAGAUUUGAGUUUGUGGUUUAGAAGUUAAGAUCAAAAGAUUAUUUGUGGAUAGUUGAGUAUUCUUUCAGAUUUUUCAUCAAUAUGUUGUAUUUUUAAAUAAUUUUCUUAAAAACUGCUAUUUUUAGAAAGUUUUCAUUUUAUAUAGAAAUAUUAUAGAUUUGGGUUUGUGAUUUAGAAAUUAUGACUACAAGAAUAUUUGUGGACAGAUAAGUGUUCUUUCAGAAUUUUGCAUCAAUAUGUUGUAUUUUAAAAUAAUUUUCUUAAAAACUGCUAUUUUUAGAAAGUUUUCAUUUUUUCAGAGAAAUAUUGUAGAUUUGAGUUUGUGGUUUAGAAAUUAAGAUCAAAAGAUUAUUUGUGGAUAGUUGAGUAUUCUUUCAGAUUUUUUCAUCAAUAUCUUGUAUUUUUAAAUAAUUUUCUUAAAAACUGCUAUUUUUAGAAAGUUUUCAUUUUNNNNNNNNNNNNNNNNNNNNNNNNNNNNNNNNNNNNNNNNNNNNNNNNNNNNNNNNNNNNNNNNNNNNNNNNNNNNNNNNNNNNNNNNNNNNNNNNNNNNNNNNNNNNNNNNNNNNNNNNNNNNNNNNNNNNNNNNNNNNNNNNNNNNNNNNNNNNNNNNNNNNNNNNNNNNNNNNNNNNNNNNNNNNNNNNNNNNNNNNNNNNNNNNNNNNNNNNNNNNNNNNNNNNNNNNNNNNNNNNNNNNNNNNNNNNNNNNNNNNNNNNNNNNNNNNNNNNNNNNNNNNNNNNNNNNNNNNNNNNNNNNNNNNNNNNNNNNNNNNNNNNNNNNNNNNNNNNNNNNNNNNNNNNNNNNNNNNNNNNNNNNNNNNNNNNNNNNNNNNNNNNNNNNNNNNNNNNNNNNNNNNNNNNNNNNNNNNNNNNNNNNNNNNNNNNNNNNNNNNNNNNNNNNNNNNNNNNNNNNNNNNNNNNNNNNNNNNNNNNNNNNNNNNNNNNNNNNNNNNNNNNNNNNNNNNNNNNNNNNNNNNNNNNNNNNNNNNNNNNNNNNNNNNNNNNNNNNNNNNNNNNNNNNNNNNNNNNNNNNNNNNNNNNNNNNNNNNNNNNNNNNNNNNNNNNNNNNNNNNNNNNNNNNNNNNNNNNNNNNNNNNNNNNNNNNNNNNGAGAAUAGUAUAAAAAGAUUAUUUGUGGAUAGUCGAGUAUUCUUUCAGAUUUUUUCAUCAAUAUCUUGUAUUUUUAAAUAAUUUUCUUAAAAACUGCAAUUUUUAGAAAGUUUUUAUUUUAUAUAGAAAUAUUAUAGAUUUGGGUUUGUGAUUUAGAAAUUAGGACUACAAGAAUAUUUGUGGACAGAUAAGCGUUCUUUCAGAAUUUUGCAUCAAUAUGUUGUAUAUUUAUUUAUUUAUUUUUUAAAACUGCUAUUUUUGAAAACUUUUCAUUUUUUUAGAAAAAUAUUGUAGAUUUGAGUUUGUGGUUUAGAAGUUAAGAUCAAAAGAUUAUUUGUGGAUAGUUGAGUAUUCUUUCAGAAUUUUUCAUCAAUAUGUUGUAUUUUUAAAUAAUUUUCUUUAAAACUGCUAUUUUUAGAAAGUUUUCAUUUUAUAUAGAAAUAUUGUAGAUUUGGGUUUGUGAUUUAGAAAUUAGGAUUACAAGAAUUUUUGUGGAUAGAUAAGUAUUCUUUCAGAGUUUUUCAUCAAUAGGUUGUAUUUUUAAAUAAUUUUCUUAAAAAUGGCUAUUUUUGGAAAGUGUUCAUUUUUUAGAGAAAUAUUGUAGAUUUGAGUUUGUGGUUUAGAAUUUAAGAUCAAAAGAUUAUUUGUGGAUAGUUGAGUAUUCUUUCAGAUUUUUUCAUCAAUAUGUUGUCUUUUUAAAUAAUUUUUUUAAAAACUGCUAUUUUUAGAAAGUUUUCAUUUUAUAGAGAAAUAUUGUAGAUUUGAGUUUGUUAUUUAGAAAUUUGAAUUACAAGAAUAUUUUUGGAUUGUUGAGUAUUCUUUCAGAGUUUUUCAUCAAUAGGUUGUAUUUUUAAAUAAUUUUCUUAAAAACUGCUAUUUUUGGAAAGUGUUUAUUUUUUAGAGAAAUAUUGUAGAUUUGAGUUUGUGGUUUAGAAGUUAAGAUCAAAAGAUUAUUUGUGGAUAGUUGAGUAUUCUUUCAGAUUUUUUCAUCAAUAUGUUGUAUUUUUAUUUUUUUUAGAGAAAUAUUUUAAAUUUGGGUUUACGGUAUAGAAAUUAAGAUAACAAGAAUAUUUUUGGAUAGUUGAGUAUUCUUUCAGAUUUUUUCAUCAAUAGGUUGUAUUUUGGGAAAUUUGACCCUAUAACCAAAAAAAAAACUAUAUUUCAUCAUCUAACCAUAUAACCCUCUCUCUCUCUUCAUUUCCCUUCCUAUCUCUCUCUACCUUCUUACUACAAAACUAAUAUUUUUCCCAUUAUAAUCAUCUAGCAAAUUAACCCUUGUAUUUUUAAAUAAUUUUCUUAAAAACUGAUAUUUUUGGGAAGUUUUCAUUUUUUUAGAGAAAUAUUGUAGAUUUGAGUUUGUGGUUUAAAUUUUAAGAUAAAAAGAUUAUUUGUUGAUAAUUGAGUAUUCUUUCAGAUUUUUUCAUCAAUAUGUUGUAUUUUAAAAUAAUUUUCUAAAAAACUGCUAUUUUUAGAAAGUCUUCAUUUUAUAUAGAAAUAUUGUAGAUUUGGGUUUGUGAUUUUGAAAUUAGGAUUACAAGAAUAUUUGUGGAUAGAUUGAUUAAAAAAAUCCCAAUAUCUAAUUAUCUGAUAUAAUAUUUUAAUUUUAUAUUAUUAUUAUUUUAAUAGUAUAUUAUUAUUAUUUUAAUAGUAUAUGUCAACUUUGUGUUAUUUUUAUAAAUUUAUUUUUAUGGAUCUGAAUAUAUGCAAAUAUUAUAGUGUUUAGGGAAAUAUCUGAAAUAUGUGGAUGUGAAAACCACACAUUCUAGUUCAGAUAAUUAAACUUGGAUUUAGAUAUCUAGAAUUAUUUUGGAUUAUAGAUCCAUCCCCUUCUACUAUACACUCUUACCUAAUUUUAAAUUUUAAAUUAUCAAACUUUAUUUAUUUAAUUAUUGUUUGAUUUUAUAUUAAUUUCAAAACAUACAAUUAUAAAAUUUUACUAAAAUAACAUGAUUUAGUACUUUUAAUAUUAAACUAUGCCCACAUAUAAUGGAAGAGACAACAAAUAUACUAGUUGAAAAUUAUAUUUUGACAAUUAUAAAAUAUAGAGUUUAAAAUAUUCUUUCAGACCACAUGUUAAAAUCCAAUUCCAUUAUCGUAUUUUACUAUAAAAAAUUGUUUUGGUACAAGAGAUUUUAAUAAAUUUAUUUUCUUGUCCAUUUAUGGUCAAAAUGUAUCCAUAAUUUAUUGCUUUUCUAAAAAAAAUUUACAAAUACUUACUUGGAAUAACAAAAAGCUAAAUUAAAUAUAUUGACGAAAAAUUUGUUUUCACAAUUGUGCACAAGAAACUUGAACAUGCUUCGAACUUCGCUACAACAUUCAAGAUUCAACUCCUGUAUAUGCAAAUAUCUUUUGACUUUCCUCCAACCCAUAAGCCACAUACAACUUAAUAUUUUACAUGCUCACGCUCACAUUCAGAUCGAACAAAAUACAUCAUCACAUUUAACUCAUUCAAGCCACCAACAAAGUUCUUCACUACCACAGCUUUAAGUGUCUUUCUUUGACAGUUACUUGAAGUGUGCAAAACAUGGCAUAUAAUUGUUUGAUAAAGACACUUAAAGUCGUGGUGGUUAUGGACUUUGUUGGUUGCCAGAACUGAGUUAAAUGUGUGAUGAGGUAUUUCAUUCUGUCCAAGAGUGAAUGUGAGCUGUUGUUAGAAAGUAUUUUAGUUUUACGUGGGUUGUAUGCGUUAGAGGAUCUACAAAGGAAAGGAAAGACAAACACAUGAAGACAUUUAUAAUUGGAAUACAAGAAAAACUAUAUGUAUACUAAUUUACAGUGGUCAGGGUUCUAAUCUUUUGUUGCUCGGUUUUUGGUUGUACAGAGUUAUCUAUUUUUUGGUAGGGUGUUUGUGUUUACGAGGGAGGUUGAUCCCCUAUGGUGGUUUAUGGUACUGAUCUGUUGUAUUGUCUUGGAAAAUCAGUAUAUAAGAACUUUCAGAUGAAAAAAAAAACUGAUUUACAGUGAUUUAGGGAAAAAAGUAUGCUGAAGUAAAAGAUAAGGGUAGGUUCAUUUGAAUAUGUUUUUCGUAACCAUAUGUUAAAAAUCUAAUUCCAUGUUCAUCAUUCCACCAACCAACCUAUUAUAUAUAGACUGUAUAUAUGUAUCUGUAUUCAUUAUCUGGUUUUCGAUUUGGGCAUUUCGAUUUUUGGUUCAGUUUUCAAUCCUUUUUUUUAGAUAUCUAUGAUCUUUUCGGUUAUUUAUAAAAUUCAGUUUGGUUUAUCAUUGGUUAUUUCGGUUUUCAAUUUAUUUCAGACAAUAAAAUUGGAAUCUAUAAAGUUUGUAUUUAAUUUCAUUAAUUUAAAUACUUUCUAUGGAUAAUUUGGAUUUCUUCCAGAAAAGUUAUCGGGUAAUUCAGGGUUUUUAGACAAUAUUGGGUAAUUUAGACAAUUUUAAAUAUUUUGGAUAAAAAAACAUUUGGAUAAUUCGAUUUUUUUUGGUAAUUCGGUUUAAAAGUAAAUUGUUAAGAUAUUUGGUUAUUUUAAAACUAAAUGACUUAAUUAUUUUAGGUAGAUAAACUACUAUGUUUGAAAAUUUAAGUAUUCAUUCAGUUCUAAUUUUUUUAUUUCGAAAAUAUAAGAUAUGUGCAAAUAUUUAUGAAAUUAGUUUCGAUUUCGGUUUGGUGGGUAAAUGUGUCCAUUGCCUACAUGCAUGAUAUAUAGUUAUUUUGUAAAAAUGUUAGAAAUUUGUAAAAGCAUUUUCCCUAUGCAAUCGAUUAUUCAUAGCUUAUGUUGAUUCAAUCAAUUUCAGCUUUGUUAAUCAACAAGCCGAUCAACGAAGACCUCUAUGACAUUGCAGCUAGUUUAACCAACUAUAAUUAUACUAACAUUUUAUCUCGAAAUUCAUGCUUGAUGUUACAUUAGAAAAAAACAACGAAAAGGUCCAAUUGCUAGAAGACAUAUAUCCGCAUAAUCACGACAUAGCAUCUGCCAUGGCAUCUGCAGUUGACAUGUUCCUCUUGUGAUCCUGACGCCUAAGAAAAUAAGUACAAGUGUCUUACAAAUAAAUUUAAUAAAGUGGUGACUUUGAUGAAGAAAGCAAUCAAUAGUUAUGCAAAUUGCAAAUUCCGAUAGAAAGAAUCUUCGCUUAGUAUAUUCGUCUCUGCCUCUUAUGAAAUCUCAAGAGACAUCUCUUUUAUCUUCUUUCCCACUGAACCAAAUCUAAUGCCUCUAUUUUAUUCGCAAGCAUCAACAUUACUAUUCUUUUCUUUUGGUUGAAAACAUCACUUAUAUUUAAAAAAAUUGUUCUUCAAAAUUAUUCUCCUAUUAGUUUUAAAAAAAAAAUUAUUCUCUUUGGAUUUCUUGCUGAUAGAAUAGUACUUCUGACAAAUGAAAUACAUACAGUAUGUUGCUGAUAUCAAUAAUAAUCAUAGAAAUCAAUAGUCCUGACGAGAGCGGUCCAUGAAGCUGAACUCCUACUCACCUGGUCCACGUACAUUGUUAUUUCUAAGAGUUUGCGUAUCCUAGAUCUUUCCAUCUUGAAGAUCUCAGGCUCGAUCUGGUUUAGUAUCCAGUUCUUUUUUUUUCUAUAUGCAAUAUGGGUUCUCAUGCAGCAUUACAACGAUAUAGUGUUUCAAUGUAUAAAAUAACAUGCCACUCGAUCAAAUAUACGUAUCAACAAUAAGAUACUUAUCAAUAAGAUCAUGCAUAUUUGUAAAAUUGAGGAUAAUCUCGAAGUUAUUCUCCACUUUUUUAUAUAAUACUUCUCACAUUGUAUAGGGGGGCGUCUUAUUCUCAAGGGGACAAUUUCUAUCUCCAACUUUAGUUACAGAGAGGCAAUCAUCUCAUUUCCCCAAAGUCAAACACUCGAAUCCAAAACACUCGAUUUUAAAAAAAACUGCCUAACACACUAAAUCUUGUCUCGUCUCCAUUCUCAUCAUUUUUUCUUCAUUAUUAUUGAGAACACAUAUCUACAUCAAGCCCUUCACUCCCGCUUUUAACCGAAAUUAACGAGCUCAACAUCGGACCGCAACACUCCAUGUCUUGCCUUAUCAAAGCUUUGCCUGCAUGACAACCGGUUAAAGAAACAUUAGAACGAAGACUCCAGAUCUUUGAGUCUUCAACUAUAUUGCUCCAGAAGCAUCCCAAACCAAUGAACUAAGAUGGUUCUUAAUAAUGUCGAAGAAGUAUUAAAUAGUCUCAUCAUGUGGCUGUGAGGUGAAGUCAAGAGACACUUAUAAUAGAGGGUAUAUCUGUAAUUUUAAGGUUUGUGUGUUGUGUGGUAUUACCUGGGAAUACAAGAAGGUUCCAAGGAUAGCAAUGGCAGCUCCAAGAGCAUUGACGGGCUGGACAGGAGUACGGAAGAUAAUGAUGGAGGAGACGAUGACUGAGAUACGCUUCAUGGUGUUACCAACACUAAACGUCAAGGGAGAGAUUUGGUCUAAAGACAUGUAAGACACUUGGUUGUAGAGGUGAUAGAACACACUCUGCGCAGCCACCCACCUACAAAAUUUAGUAGAAACAUGAAAAGACGGAAGGACUCUUAAUGAUUCGGAUGAAAUACGAGAGUCUUGAGAGAUAAAGACAAGAACUUGAUAAAUGGGUCUUUUCACAACGCAUUAUAGGAACAGGACAAAACGUCAAACAUACACUUUGAGUUUAAAAGGGUUCCUAAGAGUUGUUUAGAGGGAAGUUACCCGACAAACUGAGGUCCGAUGUCGGAGAGAGCCUUCUGCCAGCCAUCAGCCCACAUCUGAGGUCCUUCAACCGCAAAUGCAAAGGGCGUGAGGAUCAAGAGUGAUAGCAUUGAGAGACAUGCGUAGUAGUUCAUUCCGCUCACAGACUUUCCCUUCAUCCCCUUCUUCGAGAAGAUGUUGCGGAAGACGAAUGCCAAGUUCGAUAUCAUCGCUCCCAUGAAACCUGAGAGUAUAAACCAUUUCAAUCAUAACCAACAACAAUUACAAAGACAAAACAUAACAUGUGAGUGUCUAAGAAUAUAUAUAUUACCAGUCAUGUUGAAGUUAAGCUCAGUAAGAGCAGAGAGAGCACAACCACCAAUAAUCGGAAUGAGGGAGAGGUAAACCGAAGCAGGGAAGGUUUCACCCAAAAGGAACCUCGAGACAAGAACGCUAAACGCCGGCUCACCACUCUUGAUGAUGUGUGUGAAUGAAACCGCAACCUUUGACAUACUCACCGUUGCAGCCACAUGACCAAUUGUAUGCGCCACAGCAACCUUAAACCAAUCCAAAAAAAAAACACUUUCAAUACAACAAAACACCAAAAAAAAAUUAAUACUUUCACCUAUGAAAUUAACACAAUAAUAUGAACAAACACAGCCAAAAAGACACAUCGUUUUCUACUCUCUCUCUCUCUCACCCAGGAAGCAUACAAAACUAUGCAUAUCGUUCAGGUAAAAAACAAAACAAGAAAUAUUCAUGCAAGAUCUAUAAAUAAUUUUUUUAAAAACUGCUAUUUUUAGAAAGUUUUCAUUUUAUAGAGAAAUAUUGUAGAUUUGAGUUUGUUAUUUAGAAAUUUGAAUUACAAGAAUAUUUUUGGAUUGUUGAGUAUUCUUUCAGAGUUUUUCAUCAAUAGGUUGUAUUUUUAAAUAAUUUUCUUAAAAACUGCUAUUUUUGGAAAGUGUUUAUUUUUUAGAGAAAUAUUGUAGAUUUGAGUUUGUGGUUUAGAAGUUAAGAUCAAAAGAUUAUUUGUGGAUAGUUGAGUAUUCUUUCAGAUUUUUUCAUCAAUAUGUUGUAUUUUUAUUUUUUUUAGAGAAAUAUUUUAAAUUUGGGUUUACGGUAUAGAAAUUAAGAUAACAAGAAUAUUUUUGGAUAGUUGAGUAUUCUUUCAGAUUUUUUCAUCAAUAGGUUGUAUUUUGGGAAAUUUGACCCUAUAACCAAAAAAAAAACUAUAUUUCAUCAUCUAACCAUAUAACCCUCUCUCUCUCUUCAUUUCCCUUCCUAUCUCUCUCUACCUUCUUACUACAAAACUAAUAUUUUUCCCAUUAUAAUCAUCUAGCAAAUUAACCCUUGUAUUUUUAAAUAAUUUUCUUAAAAACUGAUAUUUUUGGGAAGUUUUCAUUUUUUUAGAGAAAUAUUGUAGAUUUGAGUUUGUGGUUUAAAUUUUAAGAUAAAAAGAUUAUUUGUUGAUAAUUGAGUAUUCUUUCAGAUUUUUUCAUCAAUAUGUUGUAUUUUAAAAUAAUUUUCUAAAAAACUGCUAUUUUUAGAAAGUCUUCAUUUUAUAUAGAAAUAUUGUAGAUUUGGGUUUGUGAUUUUGAAAUUAGGAUUACAAGAAUAUUUGUGGAUAGAUUGAUUAAAAAAAUCCCAAUAUCUAAUUAUCUGAUAUAAUAUUUUAAUUUUAUAUUAUUAUUAUUUUAAUAGUAUAUUAUUAUUAUUUUAAUAGUAUAUGUCAACUUUGUGUUAUUUUUAUAAAUUUAUUUUUAUGGAUCUGAAUAUAUGCAAAUAUUAUAGUGUUUAGGGAAAUAUCUGAAAUAUGUGGAUGUGAAAACCACACAUUCUAGUUCAGAUAAUUAAACUUGGAUUUAGAUAUCUAGAAUUAUUUUGGAUUAUAGAUCCAUCCCCUUCUACUAUACACUCUUACCUAAUUUUAAAUUUUAAAUUAUCAAACUUUAUUUAUUUAAUUAUUGUUUGAUUUUAUAUUAAUUUCAAAACAUACAAUUAUAAAAUUUUACUAAAAUAACAUGAUUUAGUACUUUUAAUAUUAAACUAUGCCCACAUAUAAUGGAAGAGACAACAAAUAUACUAGUUGAAAAUUAUAUUUUGACAAUUAUAAAAUAUAGAGUUUAAAAUAUUCUUUCAGACCACAUGUUAAAAUCCAAUUCCAUUAUCGUAUUUUACUAUAAAAAAUUGUUUUGGUACAAGAGAUUUUAAUAAAUUUAUUUUCUUGUCCAUUUAUGGUCAAAAUGUAUCCAUAAUUUAUUGCUUUUCUAAAAAAAAUUUACAAAUACUUACUUGGAAUAACAAAAAGCUAAAUUAAAUAUAUUGACGAAAAAUUUGUUUUCACAAUUGUGCACAAGAAACUUGAACAUGCUUCGAACUUCGCUACAACAUUCAAGAUUCAACUCCUGUAUAUGCAAAUAUCUUUUGACUUUCCUCCAACCCAUAAGCCACAUACAACUUAAUAUUUUACAUGCUCACGCUCACAUUCAGAUCGAACAAAAUACAUCAUCACAUUUAACUCAUUCAAGCCACCAACAAAGUUCUUCACUACCACAGCUUUAAGUGUCUUUCUUUGACAGUUACUUGAAGUGUGCAAAACAUGGCAUAUAAUUGUUUGAUAAAGACACUUAAAGUCGUGGUGGUUAUGGACUUUGUUGGUUGCCAGAACUGAGUUAAAUGUGUGAUGAGGUAUUUCAUUCUGUCCAAGAGUGAAUGUGAGCUGUUGUUAGAAAGUAUUUUAGUUUUACGUGGGUUGUAUGCGUUAGAGGAUCUACAAAGGAAAGGAAAGACAAACACAUGAAGACAUUUAUAAUUGGAAUACAAGAAAAACUAUAUGUAUACUAAUUUACAGUGGUCAGGGUUCUAAUCUUUUGUUGCUCGGUUUUUGGUUGUACAGAGUUAUCUAUUUUUUGGUAGGGUGUUUGUGUUUACGAGGGAGGUUGAUCCCCUAUGGUGGUUUAUGGUACUGAUCUGUUGUAUUGUCUUGGAAAAUCAGUAUAUAAGAACUUUCAGAUGAAAAAAAAAACUGAUUUACAGUGAUUUAGGGAAAAAAGUAUGCUGAAGUAAAAGAUAAGGGUAGGUUCAUUUGAAUAUGUUUUUCGUAACCAUAUGUUAAAAAUCUAAUUCCAUGUUCAUCAUUCCACCAACCAACCUAUUAUAUAUAGACUGUAUAUAUGUAUCUGUAUUCAUUAUCUGGUUUUCGAUUUGGGCAUUUCGAUUUUUGGUUCAGUUUUCAAUCCUUUUUUUUAGAUAUCUAUGAUCUUUUCGGUUAUUUAUAAAAUUCAGUUUGGUUUAUCAUUGGUUAUUUCGGUUUUCAAUUUAUUUCAGACAAUAAAAUUGGAAUCUAUAAAGUUUGUAUUUAAUUUCAUUAAUUUAAAUACUUUCUAUGGAUAAUUUGGAUUUCUUCCAGAAAAGUUAUCGGGUAAUUCAGGGUUUUUAGACAAUAUUGGGUAAUUUAGACAAUUUUAAAUAUUUUGGAUAAAAAAACAUUUGGAUAAUUCGAUUUUUUUUGGUAAUUCGGUUUAAAAGUAAAUUGUUAAGAUAUUUGGUUAUUUUAAAACUAAAUGACUUAAUUAUUUUAGGUAGAUAAACUACUAUGUUUGAAAAUUUAAGUAUUCAUUCAGUUCUAAUUUUUUUAUUUCGAAAAUAUAAGAUAUGUGCAAAUAUUUAUGAAAUUAGUUUCGAUUUCGGUUUGGUGGGUAAAUGUGUCCAUUGCCUACAUGCAUGAUAUAUAGUUAUUUUGUAAAAAUGUUAGAAAUUUGUAAAAGCAUUUUCCCUAUGCAAUCGAUUAUUCAUAGCUUAUGUUGAUUCAAUCAAUUUCAGCUUUGUUAAUCAACAAGCCGAUCAACGAAGACCUCUAUGACAUUGCAGCUAGUUUAACCAACUAUAAUUAUACUAACAUUUUAUCUCGAAAUUCAUGCUUGAUGUUACAUUAGAAAAAAACAACGAAAAGGUCCAAUUGCUAGAAGACAUAUAUCCGCAUAAUCACGACAUAGCAUCUGCCAUGGCAUCUGCAGUUGACAUGUUCCUCUUGUGAUCCUGACGCCUAAGAAAAUAAGUACAAGUGUCUUACAAAUAAAUUUAAUAAAGUGGUGACUUUGAUGAAGAAAGCAAUCAAUAGUUAUGCAAAUUGCAAAUUCCGAUAGAAAGAAUCUUCGCUUAGUAUAUUCGUCUCUGCCUCUUAUGAAAUCUCAAGAGACAUCUCUUUUAUCUUCUUUCCCACUGAACCAAAUCUAAUGCCUCUAUUUUAUUCGCAAGCAUCAACAUUACUAUUCUUUUCUUUUGGUUGAAAACAUCACUUAUAUUUAAAAAAAUUGUUCUUCAAAAUUAUUCUCCUAUUAGUUUUAAAAAAAAAAUUAUUCUCUUUGGAUUUCUUGCUGAUAGAAUAGUACUUCUGACAAAUGAAAUACAUACAGUAUGUUGCUGAUAUCAAUAAUAAUCAUAGAAAUCAAUAGUCCUGACGAGAGCGGUCCAUGAAGCUGAACUCCUACUCACCUGGUCCACGUACAUUGUUAUUUCUAAGAGUUUGCGUAUCCUAGAUCUUUCCAUCUUGAAGAUCUCAGGCUCGAUCUGGUUUAGUAUCCAGUUCUUUUUUUUUCUAUAUGCAAUAUGGGUUCUCAUGCAGCAUUACAACGAUAUAGUGUUUCAAUGUAUAAAAUAACAUGCCACUCGAUCAAAUAUACGUAUCAACAAUAAGAUACUUAUCAAUAAGAUCAUGCAUAUUUGUAAAAUUGAGGAUAAUCUCGAAGUUAUUCUCCACUUUUUUAUAUAAUACUUCUCACAUUGUAUAGGGGGGCGUCUUAUUCUCAAGGGGACAAUUUCUAUCUCCAACUUUAGUUACAGAGAGGCAAUCAUCUCAUUUCCCCAAAGUCAAACACUCGAAUCCAAAACACUCGAUUUUAAAAAAAACUGCCUAACACACUAAAUCUUGUCUCGUCUCCAUUCUCAUCAUUUUUUCUUCAUUAUUAUUGAGAACACAUAUCUACAUCAAGCCCUUCACUCCCGCUUUUAACCGAAAUUAACGAGCUCAACAUCGGACCGCAACACUCCAUGUCUUGCCUUAUCAAAGCUUUGCCUGCAUGACAACCGGUUAAAGAAACAUUAGAACGAAGACUCCAGAUCUUUGAGUCUUCAACUAUAUUGCUCCAGAAGCAUCCCAAACCAAUGAACUAAGAUGGUUCUUAAUAAUGUCGAAGAAGUAUUAAAUAGUCUCAUCAUGUGGCUGUGAGGUGAAGUCAAGAGACACUUAUAAUAGAGGGUAUAUCUGUAAUUUUAAGGUUUGUGUGUUGUGUGGUAUUACCUGGGAAUACAAGAAGGUUCCAAGGAUAGCAAUGGCAGCUCCAAGAGCAUUGACGGGCUGGACAGGAGUACGGAAGAUAAUGAUGGAGGAGACGAUGACUGAGAUACGCUUCAUGGUGUUACCAACACUAAACGUCAAGGGAGAGAUUUGGUCUAAAGACAUGUAAGACACUUGGUUGUAGAGGUGAUAGAACACACUCUGCGCAGCCACCCACCUACAAAAUUUAGUAGAAACAUGAAAAGACGGAAGGACUCUUAAUGAUUCGGAUGAAAUACGAGAGUCUUGAGAGAUAAAGACAAGAACUUGAUAAAUGGGUCUUUUCACAACGCAUUAUAGGAACAGGACAAAACGUCAAACAUACACUUUGAGUUUAAAAGGGUUCCUAAGAGUUGUUUAGAGGGAAGUUACCCGACAAACUGAGGUCCGAUGUCGGAGAGAGCCUUCUGCCAGCCAUCAGCCCACAUCUGAGGUCCUUCAACCGCAAAUGCAAAGGGCGUGAGGAUCAAGAGUGAUAGCAUUGAGAGACAUGCGUAGUAGUUCAUUCCGCUCACAGACUUUCCCUUCAUCCCCUUCUUCGAGAAGAUGUUGCGGAAGACGAAUGCCAAGUUCGAUAUCAUCGCUCCCAUGAAACCUGAGAGUAUAAACCAUUUCAAUCAUAACCAACAACAAUUACAAAGACAAAACAUAACAUGUGAGUGUCUAAGAAUAUAUAUAUUACCAGUCAUGUUGAAGUUAAGCUCAGUAAGAGCAGAGAGAGCACAACCACCAAUAAUCGGAAUGAGGGAGAGGUAAACCGAAGCAGGGAAGGUUUCACCCAAAAGGAACCUCGAGACAAGAACGCUAAACGCCGGCUCACCACUCUUGAUGAUGUGUGUGAAUGAAACCGCAACCUUUGACAUACUCACCGUUGCAGCCACAUGACCAAUUGUAUGCGCCACAGCAACCUUAAACCAAUCCAAAAAAAAAACACUUUCAAUACAACAAAACACCAAAAAAAAAUUAAUACUUUCACCUAUGAAAUUAACACAAUAAUAUGAACAAACACAGCCAAAAAGACACAUCGUUUUCUACUCUCUCUCUCUCUCACCCAGGAAGCAUACAAAACUAUGCAUAUCGUUCAGGUAAAAAACAAAACAAGAAAUAUUCAUGCAAGAUCUAAAACUAAACCUAAGUACCCAUCAUUGUAAACAUCGAUACGUAACCUAAAGUUUCAACCUUUACUUCUCUAAGCAACAAACCCACAAGUACCCAUCAUCGUAAACAUCGACAUCUAACCUAAAGUUUCAACCUUUACUCCUCAAACCCACCAACCCACUUACCGGAAAAAGAGUUUUCCAGAAAUCGAAAUCAGUUUUAGGAGUCUCAACGAUCCCAACGGCCCAGGAGAUGAGCAUCAUCAACGAACCGGCGGCGAGAGAGAGCGUCGAGGUGAGCCACGGGUAAGGGUAAGCGUUCAAGACCUUCUUGUUGUAGAUGUUGAACACGACGUUCAAAGCCCACCAGGUCGCGAAGUAGACUCCGAUCUUCAGCUUCUUCGCCGCCUCCGACUUCGUUUCCGCCGCCGCGUCGAUCGGCUGAGGCUCGGACUUGUCGGCUUCGUAGGCGGAGCAUCUCACCGGAGACUCUGCUCUCAGAGAGGAGAGGUGAAGCGGCCUGGAGAGAGACAAAACGGUGCGUUUUGGAAGGGCCGUCGAGGGGAAGGAGAGAGAAGGGGGAGGUCGUUGGAGUGAGGGGGAUGAUGGGUUACGGCGUAAAAGGGGAUUGGAGAAUCCGAUCUGCUUCGCCGCUAAAACCAUCGCCGGAGUAAAGGAGGAAGCUUUAUCGUCGAAUUUAAAAAAAAAAUUAAAAAUAUUUAGAAACUUCGAACACGUAGAAGCGAUCAAGGGUUUGACCUAGAAUCUAAAACGGAGAAGAAUUCAAACAAAGAGAGAUCUUAGGAGAGUUAGGUGGUCUUGUCCGUAAUGUUUAUGGAGAAAGAGAAUUAUAUAAGAACUACUGCAAGUAUCGAAAGUACAUUAUAUGCGUUUAUACGCUAUUUGUCGUUUUUAUUUUAUUUUUAAUGGAAAUAAUUAUUUGCUGACGAAUACAAAAAUAAAUUGUUUGUUAUUUAUUUAUUUUUCAAAUCAGUGAGACUGCCAGACAGGGGAACUGAGUUUAUAAGAAGUCCCCCCUAUUCGAGUUUAGGUUUUUUUUUUUGGGGUCAAAUUCGAGUUUAGGUUUAACUUCUACUUUUUUUCUUUUGUCAUCAGGUAAUAUUAUUAACAACCAAAUUUACAACAAUAUAUAGAAGAACAAAGACGGAAGAAAAACUUAAUUCUCUCAAACCUCAUAUGUAUCCUGAAGGGUUUGGUUUCGUGACUGUGGUCCUUCUGGUUAGGUAUGGGCAUUCGUAUAACUGGUUCAGAUCCAUUUUUUUCAAAAUGCUUAUGUGUUUUUGUGAUAAAAAUUAGUUUUUUACCAGAGGUUGUUGGACGUAUAGCGACCCAAAAGUUCCCAAACUAUAAAGAUAACAAUCAUCUACAAUUCUAAUUUACCUUCUAUUUAUGUUAUAAAUAUUAGUUUUCUCUAAUUAAUAUAUUAAAAUAGAGAUAAAAACUUUUUUUUUGAAACACAAUAGAGAUAAAAACUUUUUUUUAAAUUUCUCGUUAAAAAUAUUAAAUAUUAUUUUUAUAAAACAGAAGUAAAAUCUUUAAGCGAUACUAUUUAUGAAUAGAAAGAAGUAUCUGUUAUUUUUGUUUAAUAAAAAGUGCUUUUUAAUUUUAGUUUCAUACUUUUCACAUGUAUAAUAAGUGUAAAUAUUUAGGGUGUAUAUGGUUUUUACACAGUUUCUGAGAAAAUAAUAACAAUAAUGAUAUUUUGUAAUUAUUUGAAAAAAAAUAAUAUUGUAUUAUAAAUAAAUGGUAAAAUAGUAAACAGAAAAAAAAAAGACAAUUAGCUUUGUGUUUGUUUUCAAUUUCUAGGUCAUUUUCGCAAAUCAUUCUUUAAUGUGAAGUCAAUUUCUACAACAAAAGAAACAAUAAUAAUAGAGUACUAGAGCUUGACCCGCUCGCCCGAGCGGAUGUUUAUUUUUAAUUUUUUAUAAGUAAAUUUUUGUUUUUUAUAAAUGGUAUACAUAUAUUUAUAAUUUAAAUGUAUGUUGGUGGUUGACCCAUAAACCGCACAUGUAUUUAUUUUUACAUUUUUAUAAGUAAUUUUUUGUAUAAAUGGUAUAAUAUAUGUAAUGAAUCAAUCGAAAUAGUUGAGGUAUAUGUAUAUUUAGUCGUCUGCCUAAAUCAAUAGUAUUGGUGAUACUGUUAUGAAUAUAAUUUCUUGCGUGACCAGAUUAUAGAAAGUAUUACCUAAAGGGUAAAUCUAUCGGACAUGGUUUCAUUUAGAAUAAUAAUUUAUUGGUAAGAUAGAUUAUAAAGAAGUUUAGACCCAAAUAUAUAGAAAGAUUACAAUUUAGCUAACAACUGAUUGAGUUUUUAAUAAAUAGGAAAUAUUUUUAAAUGUUUUUUGUGAUAAAAAUUGAUUAUGUUUGUUAUUUACGAUUUUAAAUAAAUAGCAAAAUUUUGUAACAAUAAAAUUGCCAGUUAUGAUUUUAAAGAAUGAGUGGAGGGAUAUUUUUCCUUGUUAGUUAUAAUAAGGGUAACCUAAAUGAAGAGUAGUAUAUAGUACUUAAUACUUUAAACACACAUAUAAAGAAUAAUAAAUUUGUUAUAACAUUUUUUAAAUGCAAAACAUAUAUGUGUGAAGAAGAAUAGUUUACGUGGGUGGACAUUUGCAAAGAAAUUCAGUUUUAUUAGGAAGAAUAGUUUGGAGGAGCUUGGCAAAUCUUAAAAUGUAAAUACAAAUUUUAUAUAAAAAAUGUAAAUACAAAAUGAGAAAACAUAUACUAAGAACAUUUUAACGCUAUUAAUUUUUUUUGGUCUGAAAAAAAAAAUUAAAAAGCGAAUCAAUCAUGGGCUGCCACGUGUCGGUGGGGUCUGCAAACAGUGCAAAAACCCAACCAAGAUCGGUUCUUAUUUCAUUACUUUUGUGAUCGGUUUUUAUGGUUUUUGUGGGACUCCCGGGUUAAGAAACCCCCCUAAUAACCCGGGAUAAAGAUGGUCUAAUAAGACCGAAACUUUAAACAUUCUUCUGUUUUUUGUUGGAGUUCACGAUUUGGACCGACUGCAGGGUCGAUUGAUUGCUAUUUUAAUUUGUAUUUACAUUUGUUGUUAUGAAUUUGUGUAUUUUGAAGUUGUAAUGGUCGACAUAUAUAAAAUUGAACUUUUUAGUUUUUAGAAUUGGGAGCGAUCUUUUUUCUCUCUCAAAAAACUUUUCUCCACCAUCUCUCUAACCUAGUUUCAGCUUCAGCCAGCCUCGCUCCUCCCUGCUCCGGCGGCGGUGGUCCUUCUAGGUCGUCGUCGGAGGCUCGUGUCUUCUCUUUCUGUUUUGCUUCAUCGGCUUUUUCCUUCUCCCUUCGGUCUUGCCAAAGCCCUGGAUCUGUCCCCUCCGCCUCAGACUUCUCAUCUAUCCGUGAUAGAUCCGGUGGUUUGGUUCUCGCGGUAGUCGAUCUGGUGUGACGGCGACGAUUGGUGCAAGGGACUGUCGGUGGAGUCGGCUACGUGGGUGGUUGGUGCCGUAUGUAUCUUUGCUGGAGCUCCUGCAGUAGAUCUGUUGGUACCGAGGCGGUGUUCUAGAGGUUAGCGCUUGGACCAGCGUCGAUCCUCUCUCCCGCUUUCAGGUCGCUGGAUUUUCUCUCAGCUUUUUCCUGGAUCUAGGGUUCUGACCAUGAGAGCGACGGCGCGUGGAGUUUUGAUGAGAUUUCUACCCUGCGGUUCUUCAUUGUCACGCUUCCUUGGUGGCUCGAGUGAGGUUUGUGUUUCAUGGCUGGGUUUUUAUGUCUGGGUUUUUGGAUCCGUCCAGAGCCUCUUUACUUUUGGGAGAUCCUGUUGCUGGUUCUCAGUUAUGGGUGCGUGUGAGGUGCUUCUUCUUUCGGUGUUGUCGUCCGAGCUUGGAGGUUCCUGUGACAGUACGUAACGAGUCACGAGACAGCAUCCGCGUCUCAUUGGUGGUCUCUGUCUUCCAGAGUCGAGCUCUUGACUGUGGCAGCGCGUAAGUCUCUCUCUUUCCUGCAAUAAAGGCGUCAUCUUUUUGGCUUCGGUCUUGCCAAAGCCCUGGAUCUGUCCCCUCCGCCUCAGACUUCUCAUCUAUCCGUGAUAGAUCCGGUGGUUUGGUUCUCGCGGUAGUCGAUCUGGUGUGACGGCGACGAUUGGUGCAAGGGACUGUCGGUGGAGUCGGCUACGUGGGUGGUUGGUGCCGUAUGUAUCUUUGCUGGAGCUCCUGCAGUAGAUCUGUUGGUACCGAGGCGGUGUUCUAGAGGUUAGCGCUUGGACCAGCGUCGAUCCUCUCUCCCGCUUUCAGGUCGCUGGAUUUUCUCUCAGCUUUUUCCUGGAUCUAGGGUUCUGACCAUGAGAGCGACGGCGCGUGGAGUUUUGAUGAGAUUUCUACCCUGCGGUUCUUCAUUGUCACGCUUCCUUGGUGGCUCGAGUGAGGUUUGUGUUUCAUGGCUGGGUUUUUAUGUCUGGGUUUUUGGAUCCGUCCAGAGCCUCUUUACUUUUGGGAGAUCCUGUUGCUGGUUCUCAGUUAUGGGUGCGUGUGAGGUGCUUCUUCUUUCGGUGUUGUCGUCCGAGCUUGGAGGUUCCUGUGACAGUACGUAACGAGUCACGAGACAGCAUCCGCGUCUCAUUGGUGGUCUCUGUCUUCCAGAGUCGAGCUCUUGACUGUGGCAGCGCGUAAGUCUCUCUCUUUCCUGCAAUAAAGGCGUCAUCUUUUUGGAGUUGUAGCUUCUGUGAAAGCGGUAUGGUCUGUAGAGUGUGGAUAGGAGGUAGUUUGGCACUCGGUUCUCUUACUAGUUCGAAGGUUGCUCUUUUCCGGAGGAGGUGUGCCCGAUAUGUCUCACUGAUCCUCUUGUUCGGUGGGUUAAAUGGGUGUAUACGGUCUUGGGUUUGGAGGGUUGGAGGCAGCAAUCUCCAGUUCACCGUCCCGCACGACGGCACCGCCUAUCUGUGGACUCCUCCUCGUGCUGCCGGUGGGGCGAUGUUGAAUGGGUUUGCAGCAUCGUGAUGUAUUUCUUUGUGGUUGUGUUGAUGAUUGAGUCUCUUGGAAGCUGUAGGUCUUUACCCGUUGUUUCAAGGUUUGAGCCGCCUUUCUCUCUGGGAGCUCGCGGCAACUGAGAGCUUAGUCCCCUCACACUUCUCCUUUGGGUCAUCGUCUCUACGUUACCUCCGGUUCAUCUCUUAGGCUAUUCUUCUUUGUAAUAGAAAGUGCAUUUUCAUUAUAGAUGCUUUGUUUAGUUUUAAUUUCUGCAAUUCCGUUUCUAGUCUUCUUCGUAUUUCUGUAAAAAAAGAAAAUUUGGUAUAAUAAUCUUAACAUUUUACCAAAAAAAAAAAAAAUUGAACUUUUGAAAACAACUUACAAUAAUGUUUUAUUUGUGGACAUAAAAUUUUAAUAUUACUAUAUGUUAGUAAGAUAAUUAAACCAAAUUGAUUGUGUAUUAGAUUGAGGAUAUUAUUUGUCAAAUUAGGAAAAAACAAUAGUUGCUUAAAUUUAGGUUUGGUUAUUACUUUAAUGGCAUAGAUUCGUAAAUAAGUUGUAAGUCUUAGGGUUAAUUCUAAAUUGUACUUUUGUUUUAAUAGAUUAGAUAUAAAAAAUCAGCCACAUAAAUUUCGAAAAACAAUUUUAUUCUAUUUGAUUUGAAUUUUAACCUAAACUACUAACCUAUUUUUAAAGAAAACUACUCAACCUAAAACUGGAUCAUCAACCAUCGGGAUUGGCUACCACCAGGAAAAGUGUUUUCAUAUGGCAUGAUCGUGUGCUAGAAUUGUCGAUAUAUGAUGCCUUUUACAACUUGCCCUGUCGAGCCCAUUAAGCCCACCAAUUAGUUUAUGUUCACUUUAAUCUAAUAUCAGUUUUACUAUCUUGAAGUUGCUUGUAGAGAUAUAUUGGUUUUUUUUGAUAAAAAAAAAAAAGAGAGAUAUAUUGGUUAAACUACUUGGUGACUAAUUUAUGCCAAAAAACAUUAUCUUUAACUUUAACCCGCAACAUUCCUACACUGCACAUGAAGGUCCAGUGGCUUCACUCAAAGUGUGAUUUGUGGCUAGCACUAUCUGUUCGAGUGCGUAUAGAAUAUGCAUGAGUAUAAAAAUAAAUAAAUAAACAUAUAAUUUUUCUUAUCGAAGUUAAAUUUUCUACAUCUCUGAAAAACAAAUCUACUAGAACAAGAUUACGAUUACCAUUGCUAUGGUAUCCAACACUACAAUGCUUACUAUUAUUUUUAGAUGGAUGAUUAUUAUUUUUUUUGAAAAAAGGCUUACGAUGAUUAUGAAGCAACACUAUCAUUAACUACCAUCCUAUACAUCUUGUGUGCAUAUCUGAGAAAUACCCUAGACAAGUAAGCUUUCAUGAGAUAGAAUUUUAUAUUUGUACUGAUUGUUAAGUCCUAAGAUCUCUAAGCAAUCUUUCAUUUUUCACCUUCUAUAAAUAAAGAAACUUUUUCAUAAUCUUAACUAAACUAUUCAUGAUGAUUAUCCAGCUCAACAUCAUGUCUUGGGUUGGUCCUAAUCGACCCCGUGUUGUUGUCCACUGAUGUAUUUCAGCAGUCACAUAAGUUAGUAUCUUGUAUGACUUAUUAUACCCUUUCCUGUACUAUUUCAAGAUUAGUACAUCAAUCACUACAGAUAACUAAUACAUCUUCUGGUAUUUAUCAUGACCCGUUCAAACACCUUCUCAAACCAGGAGCAAUACAUCUUCAUUCACGAGUUAACUUUCGUCCACCUUGACUGAUUGUUGAACACUACCUUUGAUAAAAGUCUGAUUGUUGAACACUACCUUUGAUAAAAGUCUUUUUGAAGUUUAACAGAGAAACCCAUGACAUAACUGUAGCUCUCAAAAAAAUUAUAUUCACUAUCAAAUUAUAUCUUCAAAUCACCACUGGAACAUAAAUUGUACCACUAAAAACAAUUUCAAUUAAUCUAAUUUUUUUUCUUAUAAACUGACGAACGUGCAUUUCCACCCUAAUUAGCUAGUUUUAGAUUUUUUAUAAAAAAAUUCUAACCUAAAAUGCAGUAGUUUUAUUGUCUGCAACAAUUAAAUAAGUUUUGGUAGUAGAAAAUCUUUAAAACUAGAACACAAGAAACACACACAUUCAGUAAAAUAUCACCGUACAAUUGUAUACAAUUCUAGAAUCUAAUAAUGAUAUCUAAGCACCAUGGUAGAACUAUACAUAGAUGAUGUUAGAAGUUCUAGAUUUUUGUAAAAUUGUUUUAGGGGGUAUAAAUAUUUUUAACGCUUUUUACCCAAAAAAAAUAUCUCUUAAUGCUUUUGUGUGUAACUUAAUUUAAAAAAGAAUCAAAGUAAACCGAAGCAAUAAAAUAAUUUUGUUCUAUGUUCAUAUAUAUUAACUCAAAUGUUUUGCUAAGAGUUUUUCUAAUAUUUAUCUUUAUAUUUAGCAGCUUUAGUCUCUUUGUUUCUUUUAUAUGUUUGGAUAUUAAACUGUUGAAUUAGUGCUAUUCAAUGUAGUUUUGUAUAAUAACUGUUAUAAAGAAUGCAAGAAAAUAAACAUGAACAAAUUAAAAAAAAAAACAAAAAAAAAUUGCUGAAAAAUAGAGACUAAAUAUAUAUUCUGAUACACUGGUGUAAUUUAAACACAUACAACAUAAAUUUGAAACUUUAAAACUAAUGAAUUCGCAUAAAGAGAAUGACUUAUUUAUGUACUAACCAAUUUGGCAAUAGAAACUAAGUAACCAUAUUGAUUUUGAUGUAUAAUCUAACAUUUAUGCCAAAAGUCAUCCGAUUUUAACCUUUCUUUUUAUAAUUAUCCGACUAUGUGCAGAAGGAAAUGACGUGGCCGAUAGAAUAUAUGGUAAAGAACAACUCGAAACUAUUCCAUAUGAAUGAGGAGGAGCCAGCCAUGUCAGCCUGAUAUUUACUGCAUAUAUAUUUACUGUAGGCAGUGAAAGGAGUGAUUUAAAAUAUAAAGAUGUUGCAGUAAAUGGUUUAUUCCAUUUAAUAACAUACAUAUGCACCGUUAUAUUCCAUAUCGCUGAAGUAGUAUAAGAUUAUAAUUUCAUCCACAAUUUUUAAAUACUAAACAUUACUUCAGCUCCUAAAUACUAAAUCCAAACCAAAUGUAAACUAUAAUAUAUAUUUAUAAUAUUUAAAUAAAAUUAAAAUCUGGAAUAGCACAUAAUAUAUUGUAAUAUUAAACUAUAUUAUAUAAAAUGAAAGGUAGAAUAAACUUGUGAAUUACAAUCAUUUGUUUGGAUGUGGUUAAAGAAAUGAUAAAUUGAGUUUGUAAAUCACUUGUGUCGGUGUGGUUAACUCAUAAACCAAUAUUCAUAUCAAGGAUACAACUUCAAAAAAUAGUACAUGCUUAUUUAUGAUAAAAUCACAUUUAUAUUUUACAUUCGUCAAAUAGAAUAGAGCAAAAUAUUACAUUGAAACAUUUAAAGGAGAUGAGGAGGCUAUAGUAGGUAUGAGGUGGAAGAAGAGAGAAAGAGUGGCAGCAAUAAAACAACUGGAAGAAGAGAGAAAGAGUGGCAGCAAUAAAACAACCGGUGGUAGCACCAAUGUUACAGGUGGAAUAAAAACAAUCAUAACAUAUAUUAUGUUACACAUCUAUUUUAUUUGUCUAUAAUAUAAUAGAAAAAGAAUCAGUUAUCUUCUCUGAUAUUUUAUCACAGACAGAAAUAACUAAUACAAAAUUAUAGAAUAAACAUCUAUAUACAGUAUAGUUUUUUUUCUGAUCAACGGUAUUCGACAUCCUAGUGGCCAUAGUUGAUUUUCAAUAAUAUAUAUCAUGCAACAUCUCCAAAUGCUCGUUCUAUUUAUAUCUGUUCAUAUGACAUCAACAUGUGCUAUUCCAUUUACAAGUACAUACACAAAAUAGAAUGGAGAUAUAUAAUCGAUGUGGAAUAUUUUUUUUAGAUGUAUUUACCUUUUCUCUUCCAAUGGAAUAAAUAACGACUGGCGGAAACAUGUAUGUCUAACAGUGGUUGAAGAAGAUAUUUUGUUGUUGAUACAAUAGGUAGAAAAAGAAGAAGAGACAGUAGGAGAAAGUGAAGAAAAAAUAGGUGACGACAGUGGUGGAAGAGAAGACCGGUUGUGACGAGUAAAACAAUUAGUGGUGAUGGUUCAAUUAUACAGAUGGAGGUCAUUAUGGUGGAAAUAAAAUUGAUGGAAUAAUGAAGGAGAAGAAUCAUUGUUCGUGGCUUCAUCUUUUGAUAACCUAACUAGAUGUAAACAUGUGAAAGAAGAAUAAAACAUGAUGUAAUAAUUAUCAUUAUCUAGAAUAUGUUGUUUAGAACGGACAAAAUGACAAUUAUAUAAAAAAAUAUGUUGUGUACUUUAGCUUAUUAGGUAAAAUUGUUAGAUUUUGUAUUAUAAUUUUCUCUUGGUUAUACAGUCAAAUUUCCUUAAGAAAAAUGACUAAAAAAGAAACCAUCACCUCAUGGACCCUGACUUACCAAGUACCAACCGAACAGCAAAAUUCUUGAUUAUAUGCUUUAAUGAGUCGUCAGUCGUCACUAAUUCAAAAUAUAUCAACAAUAGCGUUACUCGUAAAUUCAAAAUUCUCUUUGUAAUUUUUAUUGUAUUCUUGUAAAUCUCAUAAUAGGUUUUUCAAGAGGAAAAAAAAGGUACACAACUAUAACGAAAUAAAAGUAAAUAAAAGAGAUGUUUCUCUCGUUCCUUUAUUUUUGAACAAUUUUUUUUUUGGUAAACAAAAAGUUAUUUUCACCUCUUUAUCGGGAAUUCAAACAUUGUAAAUAGUCAUUUCUACCGUGAGUUGAAUCCAAGUAGCAGAAGUUACAGCCGCAACCCCUUUACCACAACAUUGGUUAUUUUUGAACAAUUCCUAAUCCCUAAUCAUUGGAUUUGACUUUUAUCAUAAAUCAUAAUCAUGUUUAGCUUAACAACUUGAGAAUAAUUGGUAGCUCACAUGCGGAUGUCAAAGCGGCAUAUACGUGUCUAUUUGCAAUUUCACUCUAGCAUGUAAAUCAACGCGAUGUACUUACAUGUCGCGUUAUUCUUCGUAUAAAGUCGAUUUUGGUUAGGGUAAUAUUACAUGACACAUGAAUAUAUUGAUCGCUAAAUAUUACUCUUGUUAUCGUUAUUCAUAUCAAUACACGUAAAUGAGACAAGUAAUUUGUUUUUCUGUUCUUUUAAUCGCGAAAGCUGAUUAAGUGAAAGCUAUUUCUUUUAUUUUCUUUUCAGGAGACUGAAAACUAUGUUAAUCUAACCGUAUGACGUAACAAAUUUUAUUUUAAUCGGAAAUAUAUAUAUAUAUAUAUAUACAAAAAGCAUUGACCUAUCUGUUUUUUUCUGAAGCACAAAGUAAUAUUCCGUUGAGCGUCAUUUAUUUAUCUUUUGUAGCUUUACUGGAACCCACUAAUUCGCCACGUAGAUUUUAUUGUACUAUUUAUCUUAAACACAUCGAUUAUUUCUAGCUAUAUUAUAUAAGUAUAUCAAUGUGAUAUACUACAAACGUAUUAUAUACUUAUAUAGUAUAUCAAUGUGAUAUAUUACCUUAAACCAAUGAAAACAAAUUUUAAACUAUAUAAUUUAUUUUAAAAAUUAAACAAAAACUAAAUGUUUAAUUAUUUACUCGAUAAUAUAAACCUAUAAAGCGAAAAGUUUAAUUUUAAAUUUUUUUAAAAAUUUGUGAAAUGUUAUAAUAUCUUUGAAUAUGACAAUAAAACAAUAUUUUAUUAAUCUUUAUAUAUAUAGUUACAAUUUUAAUAAUGAAAUAAUAAUCCGAAAAUAUAUAUAUAGAAAAAAAUACAAAUACAUGUGAAAGUCUCAAACAAUCUAUUCAAUGAAAAAAUAUAUACAAUAAACUUAUUAUGUUUUAAAAAUUUAUAGACACAUAUAUAUUAUAAAAUAUACUAAUUUAAAAUUGAAAAAAAUAUUUAUAUAAAAAUAAAUGAAAACAAAAACCCGCGCGGUUGCACGGAUCGAGAUCUAGUAAAUAAUUUAUCCUUAAGUUAGGCAGCUCAAUAAUAGAAAUAAUUCAUUUUUAAAUGAAAUAAAAUCUUUGUGAGAUCUUCAGUUGACGUAUGUCAAGGAGUUUUACAAAGUCAAUGAUAUUUAAGAUUAUUAAACUGGAAGUUGACAAAUUCUAAAUCUUCUUUGUUGGUUUAGUUUAUAAUUUUGGUUACCUAACUCUCCUGUAAAUAACGUUUUAUUUUUAGUUCUAGGAUAUUAUUAGAGAAAUUGCACCUAAUAGCUAAGAAAAAAAACAAAAUUCAAUACACUACACCCAGUUAAAGUUGAAUAUGAUAUAUGCAGUUCUUCUAGGAUUUAACUCUAUUAAAAUGUUUUUUUUGGUAAUCAUGUUAAAUUUUAUAUUUGGGGUAUUUAACUUUUGUUUUGAGUGACGUAUGCUAUUUUUUUAAAAUUUAACUGUAAUUUGAUCUUAUAACAUAUAUUCAAAAAGUAAAUGUUUCAAAAAAAAAAAAUGUUUCCAUAUAAGUGUAUAACCCUUGAAAAAGGGAUCGCAGGGAUUCACAUGCAUAGCAAGAGUUUGCACAGAAGUACAAAAAUGACGAUUAAGAUGGUGCAAAGUAGGGUUGAUCGAUUUGCUAUAUGUUUCUUUUUAUUUUAGGCUUUUUAGCUUAACAUGUAACUUUCUUUUUAUACAUUAUACUCAUUCACAUAAUUCAUCAAAAAUUCCGUUUUGUUUGGAGUUUGAACGAAAAGGUCUCCAAAAACGUACUGCAUCAGCAUGACUGCAUUCGAUAUUCGUCUCUUAAAUCAUGAACCAUGCUCCUCAUUCCUCAACUCAUUAACUAUUUAAUAUAUUAUUUUCUUAUGUGAACAUUAAAUAUAUAUUUUAAAUAAACAAACUAUUUGAAACUCUUGUAAUAAGUGGCUUGCCACAAUUCUAAAAAACUGAAAAUCUUGGUAUAAAUCUUAACAUUUAAACCAAAAAAAAAAAAAAAAAACUAUUUGAAACUCGUCUACUUGUACCGUACGAAUAACUAGUUUAGUAGUCAUGUAGUUUUCUUAAUAUAAAUUUUUUGGAUAAUGUGAAACCGGCGCAUUUGCUCGUUGAUUUAUUCGUAAUCCAGAACUUAGUGAUAAUUACUUAAUUAUCGGUUUCUUAUGGACCAACACAACCAAAGUGGACAAACAAGAAACUAAUUUAAUUAGGAAUCUAAAGAAAAAAAAUGUUUCCGUCCAAUCUAUUCAUUAACUUAGUAGGAACGAGCGAAAAUGCGACGUAAUAAAAUUGACGGCAACUAAAAGCCUUUUCAGAAUAUGGAGCAGAAUGUGACACAUCUUCCUCGUCACACAUAAAUUCAUACAUGAUUAUUUACCGGCUUCGCUGUAGAUAUUAACAUAUAUACAUUAUUCUUAGGGAUAAUGCACCAAACAAUUAUUCGAUAAAGAAGAUAAAGUAAUCACAGAGCAGUUCGACGGAAUACACGUCUAAAAACUUAGAUCCUAGAGCCGAGCACCAUACUAUAUAUAAAUUAAAACAGAUAAUUAUAUACAGUAUUAAUGAAUGACGCAUAUUAGUUGAUGAAAUAAGAACUUUUUAAAUAAGAAAUUUUAUAUCUUUUUAGUUAUUCAGAAAGCAUUAAGAAUAAAAAAUACUGUCAAAUGGAUCCAAUCAUAAUAUAUACUUUCUUCAUCGUAUUUUCUCAUUUCUAUAUUCUUGAUUACUUAUAAAUUACCAAACAAUAUUUUAAUUUUUUUAACCAAAAAACCAAUAUUUUAGUUGUUUAUGUUUAAACAAUUUAACUAGUAGUAAUAGUUUGUAUUAUUCAAAAGAUUCAAUUUCAGAUUUAAUUUUUAAUUAUGUCUUUAAAAUUCGUAUUCAUGUUUAAAUCUGCAGAAGUAACAGUGCUAAAUUGGUUUGAAUAUUUCAAAUCAACUUUUUUUCCAACCAAAUAGAGGGAAAAUACAGAUAGAGCGACCACACAAACCAGGAUUCCAAACCAACAUUCCCAUCAUUUUUAGCAAAAUAAAAAUUAAUUCAGCUUUAAGUAUUGUAUAUUUAAUAUUUUAUUUUAUCGGAUGUCCGAGAAGUGACAUAUUUGAUAUUUCAUUAUAUACUAAUUUGUGCUUUAAAAGAAAUACAUUUUAUCAUGUAUAUAAUUAACCCUUACGCAUGUUUCAUCUGUCGCUACCAAUUAACAACCAAGAAAAAACUCCAUUUCUUUCUCUUCGAAAAUAUUCAUGGAGAGCUCAAUGAACAAUGCUUUCAUUAUGAGCAAAUGCGAAACGUUGAAGUUUUCAAGCGACCAAACCCCGGAGGAAAGUAGCUGGUCAAUGUACUUCGAAGAUUUCUUCGAGGCUUCUUCAAGUGCUGUCCAUAUCGGAGAUUUCAGUUCUUCCUCCGUCCCCGAUGCAAUGUCUUUCGUCGCGACUAAGAAGACCGUUGACAUGUCUAAACAAGAAGGGCCUAACUAUUACAACAAUUUGAACUUCAAGAGGACAAGAAAUAGAGAGGUUCCUUUUGGUCGUCAUUGUGAUCUUGAAGACACUGCAUCUUCUCCUUCUCGUAGUCUUAAUGUAAGUCUACCUCUCUCUAUUUAUAUAUAUAUGUGUGUGUUGUUCCAAAAAUCAUAUUUUUAGAACAAAACGAUUUAUUCUUUAUAAUUCUUAAGAAAAUACUUAAAGCGGUAUGUGUAAGGUAGAAUUUUCUAUGUGUAAGUUAGAAAAUAUCAAUCUUUUCAUAAUUCUGAUUCUUUGGUUCUUUCUUCGUUGUUUUGCACUACUAACAGUCGAGUUUGGUAAAUAUUAAAGUGAAUAAUGUCAUGAAACCGAUAUUUAUAUAUAAUCUAUUAGUCAAAUGCUGAUUAUAUCUUUUAUGGGACAUUGGAUCGAUAAGGUUAGACGCCAUUGAGACGCAUAAUUGAAAUAUUCUUGAAAUGAACCACCCAAAAAAAAAACUUGAUGAAACAAUCAGUGCCAUUGUGUAAGUUCCUAUUUGACAUUGAUGAAUAUAAUGAAUAAUCAAUUUAACAAGUCAAACCUACCUUAAUUAAUUUGGUCCAUAAAUAAAUAAAUCAACUACGAACGAUUUGUUGUUUUUUACAGGUCAAUAGCAUAAUGAACCUAUUGGAGAACAACACGAGACACGGGGGUGGCGUUGGUGAAGACACAAAUAAUGUAAGAACCACACUAAGUCACUAACUAUAACUUCCUAUAGCUAACGUUUGAGUUUAUCAAUCAAAAGUUAUACGAACUAUUUUCUAUAUCUCACAGUAACUUACCAUGCGGUAAUUUUACAUAGGUGAAAGGAGAGAGUGCAGUGCAAAACGAAGGUGAAUUAUCAGUAGACUUGAAGAAAAAAGGGCUUUGUUUGGUUCCCAUGUCUAUGGUCACCAACUUUCUUGGUUAAUCAUACAUAGCCCAUUCAUUUUUACAAAUUUGUUUCCAAUAAUUCAUUCCCACUUAGAAUAUUAUUAUUUUAUACAUUUCUCCAAUCAUGUGUAAUGUAUGUUAUUCAGUUAAUUUGUAACAUAUGCAUGCAUGACCUGGUAUUAUCGGAAUAAAUUGACUCUCACUAAUGAAUUAUAAUCCUUCAUACCAAAAAUAUCAGCAUUUUUUAAAUCAAUAAAGUUGAUUGCUUAGAGUUAAUAAAGUUAUCAGAUUUUUUUAUACCAGGAAUUGAAUAAAGUUAAUCAGAAAAAAUUGAAUGCUGAUAACUUAGAGUUAUAUAUUUCUGGUAUAAAAAAAUUCCAAAAAAAUCCCCAAGUUUUCUAAUCAAUAUAUAAUUCAACUUUAUUGAUUAGAAAACUUGGGGAUUUUUUUGGUUUAAGUGUUAAGAUUUAUACCAAGCUUUUCUGUUUUUAACAAAGUAUGUGGCUAGCCACUUAUUACAUGCAAGAAGAAAACAUUUAAACUAAAAGGAAGAGAAAGAGGAAAGGGAAAAGAAAAAGAAAAAGAAAAUCUGCAGCAAUGGAGGGGAGCUGGCAAGGACAGCAGACGGUCUCUCGGUCUACUCCAGCUACAAUCACAGAAACAGGGGAAAAAGACUCCCGGAAUAUCCGAGAGUUCCACUCCCGCCAGGAAGUACACAAUGACCUUCAUUAGAAGCUUAGCGAAGGUACAAAAACCAGAAGAAGAAGAAAGCUGCGGCUGAACCAAUAAUCUAGAGACAGCGAGAAGUGAAACCGGAGGUGCCGUAGUGAAACCUCGACAGAAAUGAGACCAGAUCUCUGUUGAAUAGGAGCAUUUGAAAAACAAAUGCUGAUGAGACUCUUGCUCAGAAUUUAAUCCUCACAUACAAAGACUACACAUCUUUUUAACUACUACGAGACAAAACAUGCAAAUGAGUAAAGCAUACCAGAAGAUAAGUGAGCUGGUUUUACUAAUAAAACCAAUAAAGUAUCGGAGAAGAACAAACAUUACGAAUGAACACAUGAACACAAUAGUUAACCGAAUAAACAUUUUCCUCCAGAAACAGAGACACCAGAACAUUCAGAAACAUAAAUAGUCACUUACAAGUUUUAAAACCUAAACUCCUUUAUUGCAACCACUUCCACAUCAGAAGAAUCAAGGGAAAAAAAUUUCAUUAAAAAACAGUCUUUAACCAUCUAAGGUUUCAGUUGAAUCAGCAGCGGCUAGAACCCGCCCCCGGCUUAGGUUUAGAGAUUGACAUUGAGACAAGACAAAAGCUUUCUCAUGAGUGACAACGUAGUUGUCUACUUGCCUUGUUAUCGUAGAGUCAGGGUACACCAAUUUUUGUCAAAGCACAAGUGAGCUGAUUUGCGCACAAUCUGUUAAAUACGAAAAUGCAAUAAUCUCCGUUUAAUAAUAAUCAUUCAGUUUCAGUUCUAGACAUAACUCAUACAUUUUAAAACUCUAGAAUCAGAAGAAAUUAACAGAUCUCAUAUGCAAAUCAAUCUAAAUACGACAGACCUAGCUCUUAAGAGAGAUAAUUUCAAUUAAAACACAGAGGGAGAGAGAGAGAGAGAAUGCUUAUAAUACAACCAUAUGAUAGAAAAGCAGAUCACAAAGCCACGGGCAAACAAAUUGUUCGAUGACUGCGACCUAAACCUUAGGGUUCUUUUUAACUGUUUGGGAUUUACUGUAGAAAAGCAGAUCCCAAAGACGACGACAUCACCGUUUGGGAUUUACUGUAUUUGACUGAUGUGUGAUGUGUAAACUGACGUGUAAUAUUUAAAUGAUUUCAUUGGUUUUCUUAGGUUUUUCAUUUAUUGACAUGUCAUCUUCUCAAAAAAAAUUGGUGUUAAUUUCUAUAACCAUAUGAUAUUUAGUUAAUUUUUUAUUAGUCUAGAGUAUUUCAAGCCUAUGAAAAGUUGAAAACACCUGUACUAAUUCUCAGGGGUAGGUGUAGUCCAUUGAUGAACCAUCUUUUUGGGUAUUCAAAUAAAGUUUAGAACAUCUCCAAUCAUCUCUGAUAAUAUCUUACUUUGAGUAUAAACAGAAUUUAGAGUAAAUAUGUUAUAAUAGUACUCAAAUUUUCAUUUAAUAAUAGACUGAAAAAUAAAUUUAUUCUAUAAAUAAAGUAUUUUUUAUUCAUUAUUAUAUUUUUUACUCUAAAUAUAAUACUAUUAGAGUAUAAAUCAACUCUAGUAUAUAUAUUUACUUUAUUUAAAAGAAAAAAUUGAGUAAACUAUUAGAAAUGAUCUUAGAGUAUUAUCUUAUAUCCACGUGACAAAAUAAUAAAAUAUAUUGGAGAGCUUUUAAAUCUGGAUUACUUUGUUGUCCAAAGUCUAUCUAAAAGACCACCACCUUGUGGUUUAUUUAGUUAAAAUUAGUAAAUUACUAUCAAUUAAAUUACAAGAUAUGAAAAUAAGGAUGUGUUUAAUCUUUUUUUUACAUCGAUGUGUUAAAUCUUUUGUUGACUGGUUCUUAGGGGUGUGCACUUUAUCCGAUAUCCGAAGUGGCACCCGAACCCGAUCCGAAAAACUCGAACCGAAAUCCGAACCGAAGUAGCAAAAUACCCGAACGGGUUCUACACCUCUAUACCGAAAUACCCGAAAAUCCGAAAUACCGGACCCGAAUCCGAACGGGUACCCGAACGCCCACCCCUACUGGUUCUUGACAUUUAAAUAGUCUCUAAUAUUAAAAAUGGAGUAGAACUCGUUAAUGGAGUAGUAUGAUUUAUCAUAAGAUUCUCAAUUAAAAGUCAUUUAAUUCUAACAACUCACGCUUAAGAUAUGCUGAUUCAUAUAAUAUAUACGUGCUCAGAACUAUUAAGUAGUUUCUAUAUUCGUGGCAGGGAAAAUCUCUAGAGAUGUCAAAGGAACCUGUGGCCCGCGGGAUAGGCCUGUUUAGACCUGUGGCGGGGCGGGCUUGGGCCCGUGAUUUCACGUCCCGCAAAGAAGCGGGCCUCGCGGGAGAGGCUUGUCGCGGAACCGGACCCAAAGCGGGCAAGCCCACAGUGACCCGCGGGUUUCUCCAUGUCCCGCAACCCUAAUCUCUAUUCUUGUCAUUUGCUCUUCACCUGAAAAAAAAACGCGAGAGAGAUAGAGUGAAAGGCGAUGUGGUUGCGACUUCCACCGUGGAAAGAAACAGAGCUCCACCGAUGACGACGGCGGUUCGCUCUCCCGACACUGCUUCUGCUCACUACUUCGUCUUCGAACUGCAGUCUGCAGCAGAGGAGCUAAAACGACAAGGGUCCGACAAAGUAGAUUCUUAUUCUCCGAUGUGUCUUCCGUUCUUCCCUACGAGCUUCCAAACUCCACAGAUAGGACAUGCAUGUACAGAGUUAUGUAUUUCAGACAAAAAAUUGAAGUUCUUUUGGACUUAUAAUCUCUGCUUUAACUCUUGUUUUUUUUUUCAGGUUGUUAGAUAAGAAGACCAACAAGAUCCGAAAGGUAGUGAUCUAGCUUAGCGAUCUAUAGUUUGUGUUAUGUCUUAUCUAGGUUAGCGAUCCAUGUAAACAAAUUGAACAACAAGAUCUGUAAGCGUUCUGUUAGAUCCAUCUAUUAAAAAGACCAAUAAGCGUCUGUUGGUUUCAUCGUUUGUUUGUAUAUUUGUGUUCUGUCUUUGAUUCGUUGUAGCUUUGCUUUCAGGUAACAACAGUGUUGAUCGACAAUGCUUAUUGUCUGAGGUAACCUUGCUUUUAUUUAGUGAUAAAAAUUCUAUAUAAUAGAACAAAAAUAACUUGUGUUCAGUAUCUGAUAUGUUUGUUUGUCGCGUUGUAUUUGUUUUGUGUUCUGUGUUGAGGUGAUGGAGUGAUGGUGAGAAAGUAGGCGACUUGGUCAUCUUCUUCUCCUCUUAGACAGCUUCAGAACAUCAGGUUAGUCACUCUCUUACCCAGAACUAUUAAUCAGUGAUAGGAGAACUCGCUAUCUCAUUGUCUUGUGUUGACUAGUUCGGCAAAUCUUAUUGUCUUGUGUUGAGUAGUGAUAUGUCUCAUCUUUUGUUCUUUUGUACAUACAGAGAAGAGAUCAAGCGGAGUAGUAGAUUGCGUGCUUCAAUUUUUCAUGUUCAUCAACGACUUCACCAAGACGGUUGCUGGCGCAAAAGGAGAUUGCGUGCCAAGGUUUGUGUCCUGAACUGUCUUUUAUUUUUUUUUUUUUUCUAUAAACUGAAUGAACUGUCUUUUCUAUGAACUGGACAAUGUUUGUGUGCCAAUGUUCAUUCAGUAUCUGAUAUGUUUGUUCAGUAUCGUUUGUUUCAUCACGUGUACUUUUUUUUUUUUUGUGUUCUAUGAACUGAAUGAACUGUCUUUUUUUUUUUGUUUGUGUCCUGUGAUGAGAACAAUGAAGGAUUGCACGAGUACAUACACCACCUGGUCGAGUAGUUUCCAGCUUCAGCCGAUAUAGGAGCUUUAAGGACCUCAGGUUAGUAAGCUCUUAAACGUGUGAAACUUAGAUGGCUUUGCGUAGGUUAUCGGAUCACUGACUUGUUUAGGUUGCUUUCGUAUAUGAUAGAACAUUAACUUGUUUAGAUGGCUUUGCGUAGGUUAUCGGAUCACUUGCUGUUUACGUUGCUUUGCUUGUUUACGUUGCUUUGCUUGAUUACUUGUGUUUGUGUACUUGUAUAAUAAAAUUUGGAAUUUUGAAAAUCAACAAUUAUAACAGAUUUUAAAAAAUAUAUUAAGAAAUUUUUUAAAAAAUAGACAAAAUUUAGGAAACCCUAAAAAGUUAAUUUCAUUCCACGGCGUGAAAAAAAAACACAAAACUUGAGAGUUGAGAGCGAGAGAGACCAUGGGAUCAAGGAGCCAGUCCGAAGAUCAGUCGACGUUUGAUCCGAAUUACACCCCGCCAAAUACUGUGGACUUUGCCACUCAGGCAGUCUUAGCUACUCUUGCUGCAGCAGCUGAGGCUGGUGAUCAGAUCGCUUCUCAGGAAGCUGGUGUAACUCGUGCUGAUGGGAAGCAGCAAGGAAGCAGAAAAAGGCUUAUCAGUCUUGUUGAUGAUACUGAUGAUUCUGAUGUUGAAAUCAGUCAACCAACCCAAAAAACCAAGCCUCGCAGACAGACCAGUUUCGGAACAGCCACGGGGAAACCCAUGUUGCAAUCAACUAUCGAUGGUGGCGUUGGCUCGUCUGCACAGGCGUGUAGUAAGGGGAAGUCUGUUCCUAUGAAGUCUGUGAUUCGUGGAGGGAGAAGAAAGUCGCCUACUAAGUCCAAAAAGAAGAAGGUUUCGCCUACUCAGUCGCAAAAGAAGAAGGAGAAGGUCGCAGAGGACAUACCCGAGCUUGAUGAUGAACUAGAUGAAGAAGAGUUUGAUGAGGAUGAAAUCGGUGAAGAGGAAAGGGAAGAGAGGCAAAAAUCAGAUGUCUGGAAAGAUUUCAAGGUGGUCGAAAAACCGAAUGGAAAGUUGAAAGCUGCAUGCAAUCAUUGCAAACGUGAGUAUGCAUGGCAAUCUCAUUCGCAUGGAACCAGUGGGUUGAGAAGACAUCGGGAGAGAUGUAAAAUGUAUCCAAGGAAUCGAGGAAGGCAGCAACAACUCAAUAUCGAAGGGAAAGUGGUAUCUCGCAAGUAUGAUCAUACUGUGUUUAGGCAGAUGGUAGCUAAGACAAUAGUCCAGCAUGAUCUACCUUACUCGUACGUGGAGUAUGAAAGAGUGAGAGACACGUGGAAGUAUUUGAAUGCUGAUGUCCAAACCAUUUGUCGAAACACAGCGAGAGCAGAUGUGUAUAGACUCUAUGAAAGCGAGAGAGACACACUCAAGAGGGAAUUAGCGACUCUCCCUGGACGAGUCUCCUUCACGUCUGACUUGUGGACAUCCGUGAAACGGGAAGGAUACAUGUGUGUGACAGCACAUUACAUUGAUCGGAAUUGGAAGUUGAACAGCAAGAUCCUGACGUUUUGUGCUCUACCACCACCACAUACCGGUAUGAGUAUUGCGGUUCAACUCCUCACGUCACUGAAAGAGUGGGGAAUUGAUAAGAAGGUGUUCUCAGUCACAUUAGAUAAUGCUACAAGUAAUGACUCCAUGCAGGACAUUGUGAAGUCGCAGCUGAAUUUGAAUGAUGAUUUGUUGUGUGGAGGAGAGUUUUUUCAUGUAAGAUGUGCAGCUCACAUACUUAAUCUCAUAGUGCAAGAUGGGUUGAAGGUUAUUGGAGACUCUUUGCAGAAAGUAAGAGAGAGUGUUAAGUAUGUAUUAGGAUCGGAAAGCCGUGAACAAUUGUUCCAAAAAUGUGUGGAUGCUGCGGGUGUAGUAGAAAGUGGGUGGCUGAUACUGGACGUGUCGACGAGAUGGAACUCAAUAGUGGAAAGACACCUCUACAAGCUUAUCUUGAAGAACCACCUUUGGACAUUACUAAUUUCCAGAGCUUGGACAUCCUUGAUUGGUGGAAAGAUAAUGCGCAUCGGUAUGGUGACUUGGCUGCAAUGGCAUGUGAUCUGCUAAGUAUUCCAAUCACAACAGUUACUGUUCAAUUUUUUUCCUUCUGUCGUCAGCCUCCAAUUUUUUUUUUCCUCUAUGAUAUUUUUUUUUUAAACUUUCUUAGGAUUUCUUUGCAUUUCGCAAAGUCAGUGGAAUUGUUAGUGGAAAGACACCUCUAGAAGCUUAUCUUGAAGAACCACCUUUGGACAUUACUAAUUUCCAGAGCUUGGACAUCCUCGAUUGGUGGAAAGAUAAUGCUUUUCUUUCAAACUUUAUCUGAUUUUUGGUUUUGAAUACUAUGAUUUGGACCAUUUGGUGUUUCUCUAAAUUUUACUUUAGUUGAGACUUAAUUUUUUAUACUCACGAUCAAACAACAAACUAUAGUUCUUCAAAAUUAUCUGAAGAAACAGAUUGAAUGGCUAGUAAUUAACAUAUAUACGAGUUGCUGAAAUAGCCAGUGGCUCUAACGAUGCUCUCGUAGAUUGAAAAAAAAAUACAUAACAAGACUAAUAUAUGUAAAAUUUUGUUAAGCUCCAAUAGUAGAUGGGUCAUGUGUUCAUAUAUCAUUCAUUAUGUAUGUAGUGGUCACUGGAGCAGCCUGCAGCGUCGAGAAACGUCAUGCUGCACUCUUUUUGCGUCCAGCCCGCGGGACGGCUUGUAAGGGCCUGUGCAAUUAGGCGGUACGGGACUGGGCCGGCUUUCUCUAGACCGCAGCCCGCGCGGGACGGGACCGCUUCGACCCGCGAGAUGCUCAGCCCGCGGCGGGACGGGACGGGACGGGACGGGACGACCUGUUUGACAUUCCUAAAAAUCUCCUAGUCUAUCUAUAAAUUACCAUAUUUCAAAUUUAAAUUAGUUAUAUAAACAUCUUCUUUUCGGUUGAAUCCACAUCUCAUAACAGUUCCAUUACAUACAAGAAGAGAAGUUACUAUACCUCAAAAGAGACGAUGGGGACCUGGGGACUAGUGGCGGUUAUAGCUGUUUUUGCAUGUUUGUUAAUCUUAAUAUGCGCCGGAAUAUAUGCAUAUUAUUUAGACUUUUGGAAAAACGAUGAUGAUUCGUAGUCAUGAUUGUAAGGGUAAUUCAAAUGAUGUUUCUCUUUUAUUUCUAUAAUAAUAUUAAUAUAUUUUAACCAAUUUAGUGUUUUGAUCUAUAUGUUUUGUAGUGUGUAAAUUCUUUUUCUCGUCAAUAGUUUUCAUAACCAGAUAAUCUGUUUGUCUCUAUAGAAAAAAAUGAAGUACGAACAAUCAAAUAUCACAAAGUCUUGUAUUUUCCCUAACAUGACAAAUGAUUUCAAUUUUAUUAGCAACUACUGUCAAAGUGCUUAUCUGUUGCAUACGUCAAAAGUAAACAAAUCAACUCCGCCGAAAUUCCACGAUUAGAUUAGGGUUAGAAUGGAAGAGCCUUCGAAGCGCACUCGUAACUACGCGCGUGUAGACGUUUUAAACCGAAAUCCAAAACUAAAUUGUACCGAAUCAAAAACAAAAGAUACCGAGUUGAUUAUUUAUAAAUAUCUAGAUGCGGUUUGUUUUUAUACUUAAAAUGAGUUAAAUAAGCAUCUGAUUAUCUAAAAUUUGAUUUAUAUUUCUAAAUUUUUAUAUCAAUCAUCUAAAAAAAUUGUUCAAAAUUACCAAAAAUUUAAAUCAAUUAAGAAUCUGAUUAUGUUUGACCUGUUUCGAACAACUUUAUUAUUCAAACCGAAAAAUAAAAAGAAGCUAAAACUAGAUUAAAUUUCAUAGAUAUCUGAAUGAACUAAAAAAAUCAAACUGGCGCCAUGCUUUCUAGUUUCUCGUAACAUGUAACUUAAUUUUCUAAUUUGACUAGUAUUUUUUGUGCAAACUUCUAAUCAUUAACGUAAACAUUGGUUUACUUUUAUAGGUAGAUUUAAACUUAAGAUUAUCUCUAACUUAUUUUGCUAUUUUUACCUCUAAAAUACAAGAACUCUAUAAUAGAAGUAAAAUAUGCUACAAUGUAUUAGUCUAAAAUAGCAAUCUCUAAAUAUAGAGUAAAAUAUAAAAGAAUGUUAUUUUUCCUCUAUAAAUAGGUGAAAAAUUAGAGAUCUCUAUUAUAGAGAAAGAAAUAAAAAUGGAUUGAAAUAAUUUUAUCUCUAAAUACUAUUAUAGAGGUAAAAGUAACAAUAGGUCGGAAAUGCUAACUCCUUGGUCACGACAACAAAACAAAAACAGAGGAAAUGGAAAUAGAAUAAACUCUCCACAUUGCCGUGAAUUACUUAAUAUUGUUUUUUUCUUACGAAUUUUUUUAAAAAAAUUCGUAUCACCAAGUCAUCUUAACUUGUGAAUUUAACAACCAAUCCAUAUUUAGGAAAACAUUUUUUACAUAAAAACUUUACUCUUUUCAUGUUGUGUGUUAGUAUGAAUUUUUUAAGCUAAAAAUUGUUAGUAAAACACACAAUUUGCAUUAGAAAAUAUCUUAAAAAGAAAUAAUGGAUUGAGUGCUCCUUUAGUGAAUAAGGCUAUUCUUUAGAAAGUAUUGUCAAAUUCACCUUUUAUGUUGUACUUUUCAAUAGAGGAAGUUCUAAAUGUUGAUUUUGUAUUCUUCAACUUUUCAUUAAUGAAAUUUGUUUUGCUUGCCAUAAAAAAAAAAAAUUAAACCGAAGACAUGAAUAAUUCUUCUCAACCAAGAUAUUGGAACUGAAUCAGUAUCAAAAUAUUUAUUUGAACUAUCCAAAUUAUUCACUAUUUUUUCUGAAAUUAACGAAACCAAACCAAACCAUAAUCAGACUGCUUUUGUCAAGGAUAGACUGAUAUUAGAGAAUAUUCUUCUAGCCUCAGAAGUUUUACAGGGUUAUCAUCUAGCGUCUGCUACUCCAAAAAUUACGCUGAAAGUAGAUAUUGCAAAAGCGUUUGAUUCAGUGAGAUGGGACUUCGUGUUGAGUACUCUGCAGGCUUACAAUAUUCCGUCUCAGCUUAUCCACUGGAUUAGGGCUUGUAUAUGCUCUCCGUCCUUUUCGCUAAGUAUCAAUGGUGUCACUUCUGGCUACUUUAAAGGCAAAACCGGGCUAAGGCAAGGCGACCCUCUAUCUCCAAUUUUAUUCGUCAUGAUGAUGAAUAUUCUGUCUCUAAUCCUAAAUAAAGCGUCCAUGGACGGUAUCUUUGGGCUUCAUCCUGGAUGUGAGCAACAACAGUUAACUCAUCUUUGCUUCGCUGAUGAUUUACUGAUAUUUAUUGACGGGACGGAGGCUUCUCUGGAGGGAGUCUUGAGGAUUCUCUCGGAUUUCAAAAGAAUGUCUGGGCUGGCAGUGAACAUAUCUAAGACCACCAUGUUCUGCUCAGGUAUACAGGAUGAUAUAGUGCAGCGAAUGUCCUCGCGUUUUGGAUUAUCUAGAUCACAGUUACCUGUCCGUUAUCUGGGUGUUCCUUUGUGCUCUAAGAAGCUAUCUUUUGGUGACUGUGAUCCAUUACUGCUGCAAAUUAAAAAGAAGAUGAAUGCUUGGACUACUAGGGCCCAGUGUUCAAAAAUACGGCUUACGCGGCCGCCGAUACGGUCACUAUUCUUUCCUUGGCAGGUCGGCUCACUAUGCUUACCUCAGUCAUCUCAGGUAUCAUUCAUUAUUGGACAAGUGCCUUUCUCUUGCCAAAGAAGGUCAUCAAAGCGAUAAACUCUCUCUGUAGCUCUUUCCUCUGGCAUGGGAAAAUAGGAGUUCCUACGGGUGCGAAGGUGGCAUGGUAUGAUGUCUCUGUCCCAAAAUCUGAAGGGGGCCUGGGAAUUAGAAAUUUGGAAGUGUGGAGUGAUGCUUGUGCUUUAAAACUUAUAUGGAUGCUCUUCUUCAGGGCUGGAUCGAUAUGGGUUGCAUGGAUGAGAUCAAAAUAUUUGUCUCAUGCACCAUUCUGGUCAUUGAAUGAAAAGAACUACGGUUAUUCUUGGAUGUUCCGUAGGCUACUGAAACUAAGGAGUAAAGCACUUCACUUUCUGAAAAUUCAUGUGGGGAAUGGCGACUCAACAUUCUUCUGGUGGGAUCCUUGGACGUCUUUUGGUAUGCUUUAUACCUUCUUCGGCCAUGAUGCAUGGACCUUCACAUCUUGGCGUUCCCUUGUUCGCUACUGUGGCAGAUGUUCGUAACGGUGCUGGCAGGUCUCUUACAUCAGCAAGAUCUAAUAAACAGCUACAGCUUCUAGCCUUUGUAUCUACUUUGGCGCUAACUGAUGCUUCUGACGUACCUCAUUGGUAUGUCAAUGGAAUUAGAAUCGUAACCCGGAUAACCUCACUACUUGUCUCAUCUGUGGGUCGGGAUUAGAAUCGCGGGAUCAUCUGUUUUUUUGACUGUGCCUACUCAGCUGAAGUUUGGCUCCUAAUCACCCGUAGACUCAAAUCUCCAUACCGCUCCUAACAGCUGGAAUGCCACCUUGACAUGGCUGCCCACUGCUCAUAGUGACAGAUAUGUGCGCUUCGCUUUGCUACAAGGCUGGCAAUCAGCCAUUUAUGGUAUUUGGUUUGAAAGAAAUACUCGCUUCCACUCUGGUCUUACUCAUUCUCUUGAUGUUGUGACCAGGAAUUCCCUAAGAAUUGUCAUUGAUAAGUGCUAUGCCAUGUGCUCUCUUGGAUCUGCCUUAGGCUCUCUCUUGUUGCAGAUUUGGCAUCCUCCCUGAAAGUCCAUUUUCCCAACUCUGUUUCUUCUCUUAUCUGUAAUAGAUGAUGUUACUUCCAUGUAACCUCUUAUUUUAAAUUAAUGAAAAUCCUUUAUCAAAAAAAAAAUAAUCAAAACUGAAUUCGCGUCAACGUCCAUGUUUACUCGUAACGUGGGACCUGUUUUUUCAAAGAACAUGCAAAAUUGAUUGGUUUAUUAUUUAUUAUUCUUAAGAAGGGAAAAAAAAAAACCCAAUAUUGGUGUAAACAAAACCGACUCAGAUACCGAAAUCAAAAUUGGACCGGGUCAAACAUUGUACCGUCAACAAACACAACGAUUCUCUGUUUCCUAAAAACGGAAAAGAAGAAAAGUCUAAAGGAGGAGGAAGGAGGAUGGAUCAACGAAACGAUACACCAGUCAAAAAAAAAAAAAAUCAAUUGCAUCUCGAGAGACCACUCAAUUGAAAGGAGAAAGAUGAUUUGGUAGUACAUUGAGCAAUCCCUAAAAGAAAAGUUUGAUCCUCCAAAACUGGACCCCUCUUAAAAACUCCAAAGCAGUAGGACAAUUGAUCUUUUUGAGAGGGUUCCAGUUUCUUUAUUCUUCUUCUCCAAUCUUGUUUCCUGGGUUUGUUUGUUUUUUUUUUGUUUUUUUCCCGGGAAAGAUUUCAUUUUUAUUUUUAUUAUAAAUGUGGGGAGCGGCGGCAGAGCCAGCAGAUUCUUAUUACCAGAUUCGCCCUGAGUGCACCGAUGUCCCCAAUACCAGAUUCAAGAUCAAAGUAUCUUCCUUUCCCCCCCCUUUUUCUCUUGUAUCAUUCUGAGAUUGACCAUUCUAUCUUGUGUUGUUUGGAUUCUUCUUGAACGUUUAAGCUGAAUGUGUAUCAUUGUUUGAAAGUCUUUUAUCAUUAGUAGCUAUUUAUCAUUGAUCUUUCUGCUGUUUUGGUAAAUACUAAUACUAUAUUAUUGAUCUUUCUGCUGUUUUAAAUUCACAGUUUUAGUAGUGAUCUUUGCUUAGAGAAAGGCAGAGUCAACUAUAUUGCUGACAAUACCUGUCUUUUUUCUUGAUUGCAGCCUGGUAAAACUCUUAGUGUAAGGAAAUGGCAGGCUGCAUUUACACAGGAAGGGUUCCUCGAUAUUGGCAAGACUCUAAGUCGAAUCCAACGAGGGGUAAGUCUCUCAAAACAUUUGUCUUCAAAAAGACUGCAACAGCAACUAAAAUCUGUUCUGAUAAUGCAAAGAUCACUUGACUUGUUGUUUAUAGGGGAUCCAUCCAUCGAUUAGAGGAGAAGUGUGGGAGUUCUUACUUGGUUGUUAUGAUCCAAAGAGCACUUUUGAAGAAAGAGAGCAAAUCCGACAACGUACAAGGUCAGUGAUCAUAUUGGUCCUGCAUUCUCUUUGUCUACAUGUUUCUAUUUAAAGCACCUGUGAUUAAUGAGAAGGGCCAACCCAUUCUAGAUAGAUCCUCUUGUACUACAAGAAACAAACUUAGGUAAAAAAAAGUUUGCAUCUUUUUUUUUUUGCUCAAGUACAUAGUAGAACGUCAUAACUUGGUAAGCUUAAGCAUUUCAAGUAUCAUGAUCAUAGGGGAGGAUUCUGAUUUCUUCAAAGAGCUUGAAAGCAGAGGACCUUUGGACAAGAAAGUUAUCCAAUGGAUGCUAACACUUCACCAGAUAGGUUUGUGAUCAGUUUCAACUAGUUCUGAGACUAUAUCAUUCAUUUCACUUACCUAAACUCUGGUUUUAUCAGGUCUUGAUGUAAACCGCACUGAUAGGACAUUGGUGUUCUACGAGAAGAAGGAGAAUUCGUCUAAGCUUUGGGACAUUCUAGCUCUCUACGCUUGGAUAGACAAUGACGUUGGGUACUGCCAAGGUAAGGUCUUUACAUUUAUGAGAACGAACCAAGUGUAAUCCUUUGUUCAAGCCCUGAGAGUUGGUUGAUUCUUGUGAACAGGAAUGAGUGAUCUUUGUUCUCCUAUGAUCAUGCUUCUUGAAGAUGAAGCUGAUGCUUUUUGGUGUUUUGAAAGAUUGAUGCGACUUACUCAUUCUCCUGAUGUUGUGGCCAGGAAUUCCCUGAGAAUUGUCAUUGAUAAAUGCUAUGCCAUGUGCUCUCUUGGAUCUGCCUUAGGCUCUCUCUUGUUGCAGAUUUGGCAUCCUCCCUGAAAGUCCAUUUUCCCAACUCUGUUUCUUCUCUUAUCUGUAAUAGAUGAUGUUACUUCCAUGUAACCUCUUAUUUUAAAUUAAUGAAAAUCCUUUAUCAAAAAAAAAAUAAUCAAAACUGAAUUCGCGUCAACGUCCAUGUUUACUCGUAACGUGGGACCUGUUUUUUCAAAGAACAUGCAAAAUUGAUUGGUUUAUUAUUUAUUAUUCUUAAGAAGGGAAAAAAAAAAACCCAAUAUUGGUGUAAACAAAACCGACUCAGAUACCGAAAUCAAAAUUGGACCGGGUCAAACAUUGUACCGUCAACAAACACAACGAUUCUCUGUUUCCUAAAAACGGAAAAGAAGAAAAGUCUAAAGGAGGAGGAAGGAGGAUGGAUCAACGAAACGAUACACCAGUCAAAAAAAAAAAAAUCAAUUGCAUCUCGAGAGACCACUCAAUUGAAAGGAGAAAGAUGAUUUGGUAGUACAUUGAGCAAUCCCUAAAAGAAAAGUUUGAUCCUCCAAAACUGGACCCCUCUUAAAAACUCCAAAGCAGUAGGACAAUUGAUCUUUUUGAGAGGGUUCCAGUUUCUUUAUUCUUCUUCUCCAAUCUUGUUUCCUGGGUUUGUUUGUUUUUUUUUUGUUUUUUUCCCGGGAAAGAUUUCAUUUUUAUUUUUAUUAUAAAUGUGGGGAGCGGCGGCAGAGCCAGCAGAUUCUUAUUACCAGAUUCGCCCUGAGUGCACCGAUGUCCCCAAUACCAGAUUCAAGAUCAAAGUAUCUUCCUUUCCCCCCCCUUUUUCUCUUGUAUCAUUCUGAGAUUGACCAUUCUAUCUUGUGUUGUUUGGAUUCUUCUUGAACGUUUAAGCUGAAUGUGUAUCAUUGUUUGAAAGUCUUUUAUCAUUAGUAGCUAUUUAUCAUUGAUCUUUCUGCUGUUUUGGUAAAUACUAAUACUAUAUUAUUGAUCUUUCUGCUGUUUUAAAUUCACAGUUUUAGUAGUGAUCUUUGCUUAGAGAAAGGCAGAGUCAACUAUAUUGCUGACAAUACCUGUCUUUUUUCUUGAUUGCAGCCUGGUAAAACUCUUAGUGUAAGGAAAUGGCAGGCUGCAUUUACACAGGAAGGGUUCCUCGAUAUUGGCAAGACUCUAAGUCGAAUCCAACGAGGGGUAAGUCUCUCAAAACAUUUGUCUUCAAAAAGACUGCAACAGCAACUAAAAUCUGUUCUGAUAAUGCAAAGAUCACUUGACUUGUUGUUUAUAGGGGAUCCAUCCAUCGAUUAGAGGAGAAGUGUGGGAGUUCUUACUUGGUUGUUAUGAUCCAAAGAGCACUUUUGAAGAAAGAGAGCAAAUCCGACAACGUACAAGGUCAGUGAUCAUAUUGGUCCUGCAUUCUCUUUGUCUACAUGUUUCUAUUUAAAGCACCUGUGAUUAAUGAGAAGGGCCAACCCAUUCUAGAUAGAUCCUCUUGUACUACAAGAAACAAACUUAGGUAAAAAAAAGUUUGCAUCUUUUUUUUUUUGCUCAAGUACAUAGUAGAACGUCAUAACUUGGUAAGCUUAAGCAUUUCAAGUAUCAUGAUCAUAGGGGAGGAUUCUGAUUUCUUCAAAGAGCUUGAAAGCAGAGGACCUUUGGACAAGAAAGUUAUCCAAUGGAUGCUAACACUUCACCAGAUAGGUUUGUGAUCAGUUUCAACUAGUUCUGAGACUAUAUCAUUCAUUUCACUUACCUAAACUCUGGUUUUAUCAGGUCUUGAUGUAAACCGCACUGAUAGGACAUUGGUGUUCUACGAGAAGAAGGAGAAUUCGUCUAAGCUUUGGGACAUUCUAGCUCUCUACGCUUGGAUAGACAAUGACGUUGGGUACUGCCAAGGUAAGGUCUUUACAUUUAUGAGAACGAACCAAGUGUAAUCCUUUGUUCAAGCCCUGAGAGUUGGUUGAUUCUUGUGAACAGGAAUGAGUGAUCUUUGUUCUCCUAUGAUCAUGCUUCUUGAAGAUGAAGCUGAUGCUUUUUGGUGUUUUGAAAGAUUGAUGCGGAGAUUGGUACUUUGUCUCUAUUCUUUGUAUUCAUAUAAUGCAUGUUUUGAUUAUAUCUAUAAUCAGUUUUUUUCUUUUCCUUUUGUUCGGAAUUGAUAGAGAGGAAACUUCAGGAGCACGGGAAGAUCAGUUGGAGUUGAAGCACAGCUUACUCAUUUGUCUACAAUCACUCAGAUCAUCGACCCUAAACUUCACCAUCACUUAGGUGUCUAUCUAUUCAAGCCCUUCUCACCUCACUUUUGGAAGAUAUAAUCAUAUAUUAUCUUGAAAUGCAGAGAAUCUUGGUGGAGGUGACUAUCUCUUUGCUAUUCGGAUGAUAAUGGUUCAGUUCCGAAGAGAGUUCUCUUUCUGCGACUCCUUGUACCUUUGGGAGGUAACGGUUCUUUAGAAACUCAAGAGACAUGUUUUAUUUGACAUGACACUGAUAAAGACUUAUGGGCAGAUGAUGUGGGGAUUAGAGUAUGACCCGGAGAUGUAUUCACUGUACGAGGAGCCUGAGUUCGAGGGAGAGAGAACGGAAGGUUCAUCCAAAGGCAAACCCAAAUCGAUAAAACAAUGUGGCAAGUACGAGAGAGAGAACAUGAAGAACGGUGGAAAAAGCAACGCAGAAGGUCCUUUGCCUAUAUCGGUUUUCUUGGUGGCGAGUGUUUUGAAAGACAAGAGUUCUAAGCUUAUGACUGAAGCUCGAGGUCUUGAUGAUGUUGUUAAGGUAAUGCAGACAUAUAUCUCAAAGGGGGGUUUUAUCUCUUUAAACAGCUUCCAUUUUUAGUAAUCUGUGUGUGUUUUGAUCAGAUCUUAAACGACAUAACCGGAAACUUGGAUGCUAAAAAGGCAUGUGCUGGUGCAAUGAAGCUACACAAGAAGUAUCUAAAAAAGGUUUUUAACUUUUAAUCUUUUUCCUUCUCUCUUGUAAUGUCACAAAGUUUCUACUGGGAAACUCUAUUUGGGAUUGUGUUUGAUCCUUCUUGAGCUGUCUUUAAAAAUCUCUUUAAAUCGUUCUGCUUUGUGUUAUUGCAGCAGGCCAAGAAAUAGCACUGGAGAAGAGCCAUGAGUAGCGUUUUUUGUAUGUGUUUUUUUUUUACAUACUGUAUUUGAUAACUCGCAAAAUCUGGCGACGAAAAAAUUUCAGAGACUUGGGAGACAACUUCAAAAGAAAGAAAAAAAACAGAGUCCUACACGCAACAACUUUUCGUUGUACAGUGUUCAUACAAAUCCAUGUUGUAAUAUUUAAUUUUAACAAACUAUGAUUACCUCUUGGGUUCUAAACUACACGCAUACAAGUUUUCUACGAAACAGAACAUGCAUGCAAACAAGUACAGCAGACCAAAGCUAAGUGAGCUGCUUGUGCUAGGUAAAACCAAUAGAGGAUCGGAGAACAACGCACAUUAAACCGAAUAAACGUUUUUAUUGAGAAGAAACAAAGACACCAGAAAAGUUCAUAACAUAAAUAGUCACAAGUUUUUUAAAACACUCCCUUUAUUGCAACUCCUUCCACAUAAAGAAGUAUCAAGGGAAAUUUUCUUAGUUAAAAAAAAACUUGUCCUUAAGCAUCUACGGUUUCAGCUGAAUCAGCAGCUGCUAAGACAAGCUCCGGGCUUAGGUCUCCGACAUACGAUCCAUCAAUAACAUUGGGCUGUCCCAAAGCUUUUAGAGCCAGAUGUGCCGCCUUCUGUCCUGAGAUCAUCAUAGCUCCGAACGUUGGUCCCUGCAUCACCAAUUCAUCAACUCAGAACAUGAUCUUAAAAACUAUGAAUAUUAUUUUUUUUUAUUAUUAUUAUUUUAUUUUUUUAACUAUGGAUAUUAAAUCGUAAGUUAGUCAAGGAAAGGGAGACACUCACCAUUCUUGGUGCGCCAUCAAUCUCCGCAACUUCCAUACCGGUCACGAUCAUACCAGGAACGACCUCCCUAGUCAAUCUCACAAUCGCAUCUUCAGCGGUGUUCAUGUCGAGAGCUUUCAUCCCAGGAACAUGGUCGAUCAACCCAAUACUCUUCAACCUCUUCACACCAGUGGCUCCAAAGGGACCGUCGUGACCGCACGAGCUGACAACAAUCUUGGCUUCCAUGACGUUUGGGUCCAUGCAAGACUGUGCAUCGGUCAAUCUGAAAUAUUGGGGUGAGAGUGAAUUUCACCAAGUAAAAAUCUCGAACCUCUGACGACGACGUCUUCUUAGAUACUUGAAUUUUUUUGCGUUUUCGGUGUUUAACGUUUUGGGGAGGAACGUAUGAUUGGAAAGGGGAGGGUCGAAUCUUAGCGACAAAGGGCUGAAUCUCAGUGGAUCGUGGCAGCAAGGCCACUCUGCCACUUACAAUACCCCGUCGCGUAUUUAAGUCGUCUGCAAAGGAUUCUACCCGCCACUCGGUGGUAAUUAUAAUUCAAGGCGGUCCGNNNNNNNNNNNNNNNNNNNNNNNNNNNNNNNNNNNNNNNNNNNNNNNNNNNNNNNNNNNNNNNNNNNNNNNNNNNNNNNNNNNNNNNNNNNNNNNNNNNNNNNNNNNNNNNNNNNNNNNNNNNNNNNNNNNNNNNNNNNNNNNNNNNNNNNNNNNNNNNNNNNNNNNNNNNNNNNNNNNNNNNNNNNNNNNNNNNNNNNNNNNNNNNNNNNNNNNNNNNNNNNNNNNNNNNNNNNNNNNNNNNNNNNNNNNNNNNNNNNNNNNNNNNNNNNNNNNNNNNNNNNNNNNNNNNNNNNNNNNNNNNNNNNNNNNNNNNNNNNNNNNNNNNNNNNNNNNNNNNNNNNNNNNNNNNNNNNNNNNNNNNNNNNNNNNNNNNNNNNNNNNNNNNNNNNNNNNNNNNNNNNNNNNNNNNNNNNNNNNNNNNNNNNNNNNNNNNNNNNNNNNNNNNNNNNNNNNNNNNNNNNNNNNNNNNNNNNNNNNNNNNNNNNNNNNNNNNNNNNNNNNNNNNNNNNNNNNNNNNNNNNNNNNNNNNNNNNNNNNNNNNNNNNNNNNNNNNNNNNNNNNNNNNNNNNNNNNNNNNNNNNNNNNNNNNNNNNNNNNNNNNNNNNNNNNNNNNNNNNNNNNNNNNNNNNNNNNNNNNNNNNNNNNNNNNNNNNNNNNNNNNNNNNNNNNNNNNNNNNNNNNNNNNNNNNNNNNNNNNNNNNNNNNNNNNNNNNNNNNNNNNNNNNNNNNNNNNNNNNNNNNNNNNNNNNNNNNNNNNNNNNNNNNNNNNNNNNNNNNNNNNNNNNNNNNNNNNNNNNNNNNNNNNNNNNNNNNNNNNNNNNNNNNNNNNNNNNNNNNNNNNNNNNNNNNNNNNNNNNNNNNNNNNNNNNNNNNNNNNNNNNNNNNNNNNNNNNNNNNNNNNNNNNNNNNNNNNNNNNNNNNNNNNNNNNNNNNNNNNNNNNNNNNNNNNNNNNNNNNNNNNNNNNNNNNNNNNNNNNNNNNNNNNNNNNNNNNNNNNNNNNNNNNNNNNNNNNNNNNNNNNNNNNNNNNNNNNNNNNNNNNNNNNNNNNNNNNNNNNNNNNNNNNNNNNNNNNNNNNNNNNNNNNNNNNNNNNNNNNNNNNNNNNNNNNNNNNNNNNNNNNNNNNNNNNNNNNNNNNNNNNNNNNNNNNNNNNNNNNNNNNNNNNNNNNNNNNNNNNNNNNNNNNNNNNNNNNNNNNNNNNNNNNNNNNNNNNNNNNNNNNNNNNNNNNNNNNNNNNNNNNNNNNNNNNNNNNNNNNNNNNNNNNNNNNNNNNNNNNNNNNNNNNNNNNNNNNNNNNNNNNNNNNNNNNNNNNNNNNNNNNNNNNNNNNNNNNNNNNNNNNNNNNNNNNNNNNNNNNNNNNNNNNNNNNNNNNNNNNNNNNNNNNNNNNNNNNNNNNNNNNNNNNNNNNNNNNNNNNNNNNNNNNNNNNNNNNNNNNNNNNNNNNNNNNNNNNNNNNNNNNNNNNNNNNNNNNNNNNNNNNNNNNNNNNNNNNNNNNNNNNNNNNNNNNNNNNNNNNNNNNNNNNNNNNNNNNNNNNNNNNNNNNNNNNNNNNNNNNNNNNNNNNNNNNNNNNNNNNNNNNNNNNNNNNNNNNNNNNNNNNNNNNNNNNNNNNNNNNNNNNNNNNNNNNNNNNNNNNNNNNNNNNNNNNNNNNNNNNNNNNNNNNNNNNNNNNNNNNNNNNNNNNNNNNNNNNNNNNNNNNNNNNNNNNNNNNNNNNNNNNNNNNNNNNNNNNNNNNNNNNNNNNNNNNNNNNNNNNNNNNNNNNNNNNNNNNNNNNNNNNNNNNNNNNNNNNNNNNNNNNNNNNNNNNNNNNNNNNNNNNNNNNNNNNNNNNNNNNNNNNNNNNNNNNNNNNNNNNNNNNNNNNNNNNNNNNNNNNNNNNNNNNNNNNNNNNNNNNNNNNNNNNNNNNNNNNNNNNNNNNNNNNNNNNNNNNNNNNNNNNNNNNNNNNNNNNNNNNNNNNNNNNNNNNNNNNNNNNNNNNNNNNNNNNNNNNNNNNNNNNNNNNNNNNNNNNNNNNNNNNNNNNNNNNNNNNNNNNNNNNNNNNNNNNNNNNNNNNNNNNNNNNNNNNNNNNNNNNNNNNNNNNNNNNNNNNNNNNNNNNNNNNNNNNNNNNNNNNNNNNNNNNNNNNNNNNNNNNNNNNNNNNNNNNNNNNNNNNNNNNNNNNNNNNNNNNNNNNNNNNNNNNNNNNNNNNNNNNNNNNNNNNNNNNNNNNNNNNNNNNNNNNNNNNNNNNNNNNNNNNNNNNNNNNNCAUUUAGGCGGUCUAGGCGGAAAAAAAUCGGUGAUCCGAUUUUUUUCACCGAUUUGGCAUAAAUCGGGGCGGAAUAGUGACGCGUAGCGCCUAGGCGGCCGCCUAGGCGGCUAGGCGGCCGAUUUUUAGAACAGGGAUUAGUCUAAAUGGACAUGGUUACUAUUUUUUUGCUCUAAAAAAACAGUUUUCCCUAUAUUUUUUUGUAACGCCCAACUACUAAUAAUUCAAUUAGCAUUUUUUUCUAACCCAAUUGAUUAAUCAAAAAAAGACAAGUUUGCUUCGGAGGAAGCAACCAUAAAAAUGAAAAAUAAACAAAACGUCAUCUAUUUAUACUAAUUUGGAGGAACAUGUACGUCAUGAUGCGGUUAAAAUAAUUCAUCAACAAGGAAUGAAAGAUGUUUUCAUUAGCAUGUCCGAUGAUGAACGUUAUGGUUGGAUACGAAGAUACAACUUGUAUAUAAUGAUGUAAACACUGAUAUAAAAACUUGUAGGCACUAUAUGGGGUAAUAAUAUUAACACGUUAUCAUUAUGGUAUCUCUCUACUUAACUAUGACUUAUUAUUGGGUUCACUCCUAAGGUGAACCUAUCAACUAAUCGGAUUGUGUUAUUUCAUAUUUGAUAUCUUUUAAAAAGGGAAACAAAAUAUUGUCAAAUUAUAUUAUCGUUUUAAAACUAAUAGGUAAAAAUAAAUAAAUAAAAAAUAGUAGUAAUUACAAAAAAAAAAAUUUAACAUCGUCAGCAAAACAUUAAACCAUAAAUCCUAAACCCUAAAUCCUUGGGUAAACCCUAAACUUUAGGGUAAAUCUUAAACUCUAAAUCAAAAUCACUAAACACUAAAACACUCAAGGGUUUAGGGUUUAUAGUUUUAGGGUUUAGUAUUUUUAUUUAGAGUACGAUUUAUCCAAGGGUUUAGGGUGUUUAUCCAAGGGUUUAGGGUUUACCCAAGGGUUUAGGGUUUAGGUUUAAGAUUUAGGGUUUAGAGAUUAGGAUUUAGGGUUUAGUGUUUUGCUGACAACGUUAAAAAUAUUUUUUUUUAAUUCUUUUUUCUGUAACUAGUUUUUUUUUUUACUUUUUAAAAAAAAAAUAUAAUAUAACUUGACAAUAUUUUGUUUCCUUUUUUAAAAGAUAUCGAAUUUAAAAUAAUGAAAUCCUAUUGGUCGGUGAACCUAGAGGUUCACCCUAGGGGUGAACCCAAGAAUAACUCCUUAACUAUUUGGCUGAUUUAUGAUAAUCCAAUUAUUUUGAUUUUGAAAUCUAUAUCAUUGAUUCUCAAAUCUACUUAUUUGACUUUAAAAUCUAUGUAUUUAUCAAAAAUUUCUAAAUCCAAGAAAGAAUCUUAAAUUCAUUAAAAUACUAUAACGGUAUAACCAAUAACCUCCACUUAUUUUGCGUCAUACAAAAAAAGUUGAGAAGAGUUCUCACUUCUCAUGAAACGAAAGUAACUGCACAAAAUCAAUUCACUGCACGCGCACAAAUUUACUUCUCAAUAUUAACUUUUAUAGGGUGAUAGUAAAUGAUAUUAUGAAGAUGAUGCACUCCUUGAGACCAGAGAACGAUAACUUCGUACUCUUCAUCCAUGAUUGGCCGAUCGCUAGAGAAAGAGAGGGACUUUUUAUUUUUGGUUGGAGCAGUCGACCGUCUACAGAGAUCUGUGGUUGACGUCUAUUAAAAAUACAGAGAGAGAGAGAGAUGCUUUGCUUUGUUCGAAUAAUUAAAUCUUCUUUUAGGUUUUUUAUUUUAGUUGAUUUUUCGCGGGUAAAUAAUUUUUUUUUAUUACUUAUCAUUUUUCCUAUUUAAUUACGUUUAAAGACUGAUAAACCAAAAUGUAAACAGAAAAAAAAACAGAUAACUUAUAAAUCAAUUCUCACCGAGUAUACCGGAUGAUAUAAUGCAGCGAAUGUCCUCGCGUUUUGGAUUAUCUAGAUCACAGUUACCCGUCCGUUAUCUGAGUGUUCCUUUGUGCUCUAAAAAGCUAUCUUUUGGUGAUUGUGAUCCAUUAGUGCUGCAAAUUAAAAAGAAGAUGAAUGCUUGGACUACUAGGACUCUUUCCUUGGCAGGUCGGCUCACUAUGCUUACCUCAGUCAUCUCAGGUAUCAUUCAUUAUUGGACAAGUGCCUUUCUCUUGCCAAAGAAGGUCAUCAAAGCGAUAACCUCUCUCUGUAGCUCUUUCCUCUGGCAUGGGAAAAUAGGAGUUCCUACGGGUGUGAAGGUGGCGUGGUAUGAUGUCUCUGUCCCAAAAUCUGAAGGAGGCCUGGGAAUUAGAAAUUUGGAAGUGUGGAGUGAUGCUUGUGCUUUAAAACUUAUAUGGAUGCUCUUCUUCAGGGCUGGAUCGAUAUGGGUUGCAUGGAUGAGAUCAAAAUAUUUGUCUCAUGCACCAUUCUGGUCAUUGAAUGAAAAGAACUACGGUUAUUCUUGGAUGUUCCGUAGGCUACUGAAACUAAGAAGUAAAGCACUUCACUUUCUGAAAAUUCAUGUGGGGAAUGGCGACUCAACAUUCUUCUGGUGGGACCCUUGGACGCCAUUUGGUAUGCUUUAUACCUUCUUCGGCCAUGAUGGACCUUCACGUCUUGGUGUUCCCUUGUUCGCUACUGUGGCAGAUGUUCGUAACGGUGCUGGCUGGUCUCUUACAUCAGCAAGAUCUGAUAAACAGCUACAGCUUCUAGCCUUUGUAUCUACCUUGGCUCUAAAUGAUGCUUCUGACGUACCUCAUUGGUAUGUCAAUGGAAGAUUGCAGAAGGCUUUCGUGUCCAAGUCGGUAUGGAACGUGAUCAGGCCCCAUAAGCCUCUCGUAUCAUGGUCUACACUGGUUUGGCAUAAAGCAGCUAUACCAAGGCAUGCUACCACUGCCUGGUUAUUUGUCCUAAAUCGUAACCCGACGCUAGACCGCUUGCAAAGUUGGAACCCGGAUAACCUCACUACAUGUCUCCUCUGUGGGUCGGGAUUAGAAUCGCGGAAUCAUCUGUUUUUUGACUGUGCCUACUCAGUUGUAGUUUGGCUCCUAAUCACUCGUAGACUCAAUCUCCAUACUGCUCCUUACAGCUGGAAUGCCACCUUGACAUGGCUGCCCACUGCUCAUAGUGACAGAUAUGUGCGCGUCGCUUUGCUACAAGGCUGGCAAGCAGCCAUUUACGGUAUUUGGUUUGAGAGAAAUACUCGCUUCCACACUGGUCUUACUCAUUCUCCUGAUGUUGUGGCCAGGAAUUCCCUGAGAAUUGUCAUUGAUAAAUGCUAUGCCAUGUGCUCUCUUGGAUCUGCCUUAGGCUCUCUCUUGUUGCAGAUUUGGCAUCCUCCCUGAAAGUCCAUUUUCCCAACUCUGUUUCUUCUCUUAUCUGUAAUAGAUGAUGUUACUUCCAUGUAACCUCUUAUUUUAAAUUAAUGAAAAUCCUUUAUCAAAAAAAAAAUAAUCAAAACUGAAUUCGCGUCAACGUCCAUGUUUACUCGUAACGUGGGACCUGUUUUUUCAAAGAACAUGCAAAAUUGAUUGGUUUAUUAUUUAUUAUUCUUAAGAAGGGAAAAAAAAAAACCCAAUAUUGGUGUAAACAAAACCGACUCAGAUACCGAAAUCAAAAUUGGACCGGGUCAAACAUUGUACCGUCAACAAACACAACGAUUCUCUGUUUCCUAAAAACGGAAAAGAAGAAAAGUCUAAAGGAGGAGGAAGGAGGAUGGAUCAACGAAACGAUACACCAGUCAAAAAAAAAAAAAUUCAUACAAAUCCAUGUUGUAAUAUUUUCUUUAAAAAACUAUGAUUACCUCUUGGGGUUUAAACUACAUUUUUGUCCCCCUUUUUAUAUAUAUUUGGAAUCAUUUCUCUUGUGUUGUUUGAAUGUGUAUCAUUGUUUGAAAGUCUUUUAUCAUGAAGAGAACAUUAUUAGUUGUGAAUUGAAAUGCCCCCAUGUUGAUGUCUUUUCUGAUUGUGUGAUUAAAUGAUGAGGAUUAUUGAUUCUUACUGCUCUUUUAACUAAGUUUAUUAUAAUCUCAUGAUUGUGUUUACAGUAAAAGCAGAAUUUCUCAUUUGAUUUGUAAGAUUUUUAUGUGUUGUUAAUUGUCUUGAUAUGAUCACACAAGAGAAGAUAGUAUAACUAGUUAUAUGCUUAAUAGGGUUUUGGUAAACAUUAAUACUAUAUUACUGAUCUUUGUGCUGCUUUUAAUUCACAUAUUUAAGUAGGUGAUCUUUGCUUAGAAGCAUCACAUGAUUAUGUUUUAGAGAAAGGCAGAGUCAACUAUAUUGCUGACAAUACCUGUCUUUUUUCUUGAUUGCAGCCUGGUAAAACUCUAAGUGUAAGGAAAUGGCAGGCUGCAUUUACACAGGAAGGAUUCCUCGAUAUUGGCAAGACUCUUGGUCGUAUCCAACGAGGGGUACGUCUCUCAAAAAAAAUUGUCUACAAAAAAACUGCAACAGCAACUAAAAUAUUGUUCUGAUUGUGCAAAGAUCACUUGACUUGUUGUUUCUAGGGAAUCCAUCCAUCGAUUAGAGGAGAAGUGUGGGAGUUCUUACUUGGUUGUUAUGAUCCAAAGAGCACUUUUGAUGAAAGAGAGCAAAUCCGACAACGUAGAAGGUAGAUUGUCUUGCAUUCUCUUUGCUACUAUUAUAUCUUUUUACUUAAAAAGUAUUUGUAUUUCGCUUGAAGGCUGCAGUAUGCUUCUUGGAAGCAGGAAUGUAAACAAAUGUUUCCAGUCAUCGGAAGUGGUGGAUUCAUCACCGCACCUGUAAUUACCGAGAAGGGUCAACCCAUUCUUGAUCCUCUUGUUCUACAAGAAACAAACUUAGGUAACACAAGCUUGUAUCUUUUUUUGCUUGAGGACAUAGUAGAACGUCAUAACUUGGUAAACUUAAGCAUUUCAAGAAUCAUGAUCAUAGGGGAGGAUUCUGAUUUCUUCAAAGAGCUUGAAAGCAGAGGACCUUUGGACAAGAAAGUUAUCCAAUGGAUGCUAACACUUCACCAGAUAGGUUUGUGAUCAGUUUCAACUAGUUCUGAGACUAUAUCUCGCAUUUCACUUACCUAAACUCUGUUUUAUCAGGUCUUGACGUAAACCGCACGGAUAGGACAUUGGUAUUCUACGAGAAGAAGGAGAAUCUGUCUAAGCUUUGGGACAUUCUAGCUCUCUACGCCUGGAUAGACAACGACGUUGGGUAUUGCCAAGGAAUGAGUGAUCUUUGUUCUCCUAUGAUCAUGCUUCUUGAAGACGAAGCUGAUGCUUUUUGGUGUUUUGAAAGAUUGAUGCGAAGAUUGGUACUUUGUUCUCUAUACUUGAGUGUUCAUAGUCAGUUUUGAUUCUAUCUUUUUUUUUUAACUUUGUUCGAAAUUGAUAGAGAGGAAACUUCAGGAGCACGGGAAGAUCAGUUGGAGUUGAAGCACAGCUUACUCAUUUGUCUACAAUCACUCAGAUCAUCGAUCCUAAGCUUCACCAUCACUUAGGUAUCUAUCUAUUCAAGCCCUUCUCACCUCACUUUUGGAAGAUAUAAUCAUAUAUUAUCUUGAAAUGCAGAGAAUCUUGGUGGAGGUGACUAUCUCUUUGCUAUUCGGAUGAUAAUGGUUCAGUUCCGAAGAGAGUUCUCUUUCUGCGACUCCUUGUACCUUUGGGAGGUAACGGUUGUUUCUUUAUAAACUCAGAGACAUGUUUCUUGGACAGGACACUAAUAAAGACUUGUGGGCAGAUGAUGUGGGGGUUGGAGUAUGACCCUGAGAUGUAUUCUCUGUACGAGGAGCCUGAGUUCGAGGGAGCGAGAACCGAAGGUUCCUCCAAAGGCAAACCGAAGUCGAUAAAACAAUGUGGGAAGUACGAGAGAGAGAACAUGAAGAACGGUGGGAAAAGCAGCGCGGAAGGUCCUUUGCCUAUAUCGGUUUUCUUAGUGGCGAGUGUUUUGAAAGACAAGAGUUCUAAGCUUAUGACUGAAGCUAGAGGUCUUGAUGAUGUUGUUAAGGUAAUGCAGACAUAUAUCUCAAAGGGGGGUUUUAUCUCUUUAAACAGCUUCCAUUUUUAGUAAUCUGUGUGUGUUUUGAUCAGAUCUUAAACGACAUAACCGGAAACUUGGAUGCUAAAAAGGCAUGUGCUGGUGCAAUGAAGCUACACAAGAAGUAUCUAAAAAAGGUUUAUCCUUAUUUUCCUUCUCUCUUGGAUUUGUUUAUGUCGCAAAGUUUAUAUUACUGAGAAACUCUAUUUGGGAUUGUGUUUGAUCCUUCUUGAACUGUCUUUAAAAUGUCUCUGACCGUUCUGCUUUGUGUUAUUGCAGCAGGCCAAGAAAUAGCACCUGGAAAAGAGCCAUGAGUAGCGUUUUUUUUGUAUGUGAUUUAUGAUUCCUUGGGAGACAAGCCUUCAAAAGAAAAAAACAAGAGUCCUACACGCAACAACUUUUCGUUGUCCAGUGUUCAUACAAAUCCAUGUUGUAAUAUUUUCUUUAAAAAACUAUGAUUACCUCUUGGGGUUUAAACUACAUUUUUGUAUUUGUCGGAUUAUGUAAAUAAAGAUGAAACAUGUGAACUCCAAAUCAGAAAUGAGAUUUGAGGAUCUUAAGAGGAUAAGUAUUUUCUCAGCCACGAAAACUGUUUGUAGACUCCGUUGCAAUGGACCAGUCCUGGUGGUGGAACGUUUGUCUUUCUUUGGAACAUCGUAACUUUAGUUCCUCAUGUUAACUUGAAGGCAAGGGAGAAAGCAACUAGGUCAAACAAGUUAGAGAGGGAGAGCAAACUGUUUAACUAAGAACAUGUUUAAUACGUUUCUUAUUUCUUAGGAUUAGGAUGAAAUUCUUAGCGGGAUAUAAGAAGUCUUUUAACUAAAAAAAACUAAUAACGGCUCUUAAAUAAUAACUUCACACUAAGAACCCAUUAAAUAUGCUCUAACAAAAAGUUUUAUAUUAAAAAAAAUAUAAGUCAAUAAAUGACAGAUAAGUGGCAAACCUUCUCAUUAUAUUGCAAAAGUCUCCUCAUGAAGAAACGUUCUCUUGUCUCUCUCAUCAGUUUCUUUACUUUUGUAUUUUUAUGUUUUAUGUUAAUUAUUACUAAGAAACCAAUUGAGAAUCCCACCAAUGCCGAUGGCCUAACGCAUACAUGUUUUAACUGCUACGAAACAGAACCUGCAUGCAAACAAACAAGUACAGCCGAACAAAGCUAAGUGAGCUGCUUGUGCUAGUUAAAACCAAUAAAGGAUCGGAGAACAACGCACAUUAAACCGAAUAAACGUUUUUAUUGGGAAGAAACCAGUGUUCAAAAAUACGGCUUACGCGGCCGCCGAUACGGUCACUAUACGCUAUGCGGCUAUGUAACGUACGAAAUUCAUCGUAUACGGCUUUAUAUGCGGUUUGUUAAAAAACGGGCGUACAUACGGCUUACGCGGACGUUUAUACGGUAGUGGCGUCUAGGCGUUAGACAUUGUUUUGUUUGAAAAGAUAAAGUUACGUAAUUAAAUGAAGUUGAAUUAAAAAAACUGAAAAACAUAAAACUACGUAGUUUAGCUAAAGUUUUAAGUUGUUAACCCUAAUUAGCAAUUCACGUUCAAUUCAUUGUAUUCUAAAGUCUAUACCACAGAGCCCUGCUAGGCUGCCACCUUCACUUUGCCUCUUUAUCGCUUUCUUAUCUACCAAAGGUUUUUGUUUUGAUUUAUGUUCUCUUCUUUUUUGUUUCUCUGCAUAUGUUUUUUUUUUUUUUUUGAAGUUUGCAAUAGUUCUAAAGUACGAUCAGUUUUUCUUACUAGUUACUAAAGAUUUGUUUUUGACUUUUUUCCAAAAACUGCAGAAAAUCAUUCAAGAGAUUUUGCCAUUUUGGUAUGGCUGGAUCAUCUGCAAAUUCAAAUAUGAACCAAGCAGGAACUUCAGAAACACAAGCUUUGAAAAGAAAUUCAAAGGAUGUUGCUUGGGAAUAUGGGAUGUUGUGUAACCCAAGUAAUCCAGAUAAGGUGAAGUGUAAACUAUGUGGAAAAUUAUUUUCUGGUGGUGCAUUUAGGAUUAAAGAGCAUAUUGCCAAGAUUCCAGGAAAUGUUUCUGCUUGUCCACUAUCAACAAAAGAUGAUCAAGAAAAGUGCAAAAAUGCUAUUGAUGAAGCUAAGAAGAAAAAGAAGAGCAAGAGGAGCUCAGAUGCUGACUUGCGAAAUUCUGUGAAGAUAUGUGAUGUUGGAGAUGAAGAUGAUGAGGCUGGUGCUGAACUUGAAGAGUUGAGGUCAAAAAAAAUUCCUCGGACACUUGGUCCCAUGGAUAAAUUUGCAUCAGAUAUCAACCCACGACUCUCUUCCGUGGAGACUAGACAACAAAAUAUCAGUGAUGCUCUUUGUAAAGAUAGAUUACAUAAAGUUCACCAAUAUAUUGGCAGAUGGGUCUUUGCUUCUGGUGUCCCCUUCCAUGCUACUGCAAACGAUGAAUUUAAGUUGAUGCUUGAAGCUGUUGGACAGUUUGGCUCGGGAGUUACGCCACCAAGUCAAUAUUUGCUAAGAGAACCUUUACUGAAAGAAGAAGUUGAGAGAGUCAAGGGUUUAUUAAAAGCUCAGGAAGAAGAGAGGAAAGAGAACGGGUGCUCAGUUUUGACGGAUGCUUGGUCCGAUAGAAAAAGAAGAAGUAUUAUGAACUUAUGUAUUAAUUGCAGAGGAGGAACCAUGUUUCUUUCUUCUAAAGACUGUUCAGAGGAGGCUCACACUGGUGAAUUUAUUUAUGAGUAUGUCAAAGGGUGCAUUGAGGAUGUUGGGGUAGAAAAUGUGGUUCAAGUGGUGACUGACAAUGCUCCAAACAAUAUGGCCGCUGCGAGGUUCUUGAAAGAAAAAAUACCAGACAUUUUUUGGACAUCAUGUGCUGCCCACACUGUUAAUUUGAUGCUUGAGAGCAUUGCAAAACUCCAAAGUUUUAAGACCAUCAUCAAGAGGGCUAAAGGGUUCACAAUAUUUGUUUAUGCUCACCACAAGACUUUAGCGAUGAUGAGGAAAUUCACAGACAAUAAAGACAUUGUUAGACCAGGGGUUACAAGAUUUGCAUCAUGCUUCUUAACUUUGCAAAGCCUGAUGGAAAAGACUGAUCAGUUACAGUCCAUGUUUGUUAGUGCUGAAUGGAAACAGUGCAAAUGGGCAAAGCAUUCUAAGGGAGUGGAAGCUUUUAAAACAAUGACGAGUAUGCAGUUUUGGAAUGGAGUCACUAUGUGUUUGAAGGUUUUUGGACCCUUAGUUAAGGUACUUAGAUUGGUUGAUGGUGAUAUGAAACCUACAAUGGGAUAUCUGCAUGGAGAGUUAUUACAAGCAAAGAAAGAUAUAUGUGCUGGGUUGAAUAACGUUCAAAGGAAUAUUCAGCCAAUCAUGACUAUCAUUGACCAAAGGAUUGAGGGUCGACUUGACAGUCCUUUGCAUUUGACGGGUUAUUUCUUGAAUCCUUACUAUUUAUACAAGGAUCAAACCAUUCCAUUACAUAACAAUGUGCUCACAAGCUUUUUCAAGUGUGUCAAUGCUUUCAUUCCCGACGACCUUUCUAAGCAAUGCAACGUCAUCAAUUCUGAGAUUAAUAAGUACAAGAACAAGGAAGAUAAUUUUGGGACACCAUGGGCUGUAAAAGGCUGUGAAGAAUUUAAAGAUGAUUAUGAUCCAGGUAUGUUUAAAAAUUCAAAGCCACUAUAUAUUUGUAGUUUUGUUUGAUAUAAUUUGUGUAGUGGAAUAUAUUGUUUUGUCUUGAAUCUUGUACGUAAAGACAAAUGUGAAUGCAUAAGAAAUAAGUGGAUUCCGUAACGUUUUCACUUUAAUAAAUUAAAUAAAACAGAAAACACUAAUUGUUUUGUUUUCUUAUUAGUUGAAUGGUGGAACACUUACGGGACGUCAGUGCCUAAUUUGCAAAGAAUGGCAAAGAGAAUUUUGUCGUUGACUACUAGUUCAUCAGGAUGUGAAAGAGCUUGGAGUUCUUUUGAAGGGGUAAUUUUUUAUUAGUCUACGAUUCUAAAAUCUUUUCAUAUGUAUUGAUGAUUUUGUUUUAAAAAUGCAGAUACAUACAAAAAAGCGAAACCGGCUUAGUACAAGUAGAAUGAAUAAUCUUGUAUUUGUCCAAUUUAAUACAAGAUUGUUGAACAAAAGAAAAAAACGGAAGGAGAAGAACAUUGAUAUAUUGCUGGCUGAUGAUGCUACUCAUGCUCAAGAAUGGCUUGUUGAAGGUGAUGAUGCAGAGCAUGAAUCAGCUAUGGGUGUAGGAGCUGGUGAUACAGAAGGAGCGGCAGAUGAUGAUGAUAUGGCUGAUAUUAGAGAACUGCGUGAUGAAGAUUUUAUUUCUGAUGCUGAAGAGGAAGAUUUUGCUGGUACUAAUUUGGAAUCAGAUGAAGACCAAGUUCCAAACAUGUACGGUGAAGAAGAAUAUGAUAAUUAAACUUUCAGUUGUUUUUUUUUUCAUUUUAGUUGUUCUUUUGAUUUGAGGACGAGGAUAUUUUCUACUUUAUUUAGAAUUAUUAUCAUCUUUUUAGAUGUUGGUUAUUUGAUUUUUAAGAAUUUAGUAUUGGAACCCUUUUCUUCUUUUAGUACUAAUAUUAUUUUAUUUCAUAUCAAUCAUUAAUAAUAUAUAUCAUUAAUCAUUAAUAUAUAUAUAUAUAUACAGUCCGUUUAGGCCCCGUUUAGGCGUCCGCGUAUACGGCUAGGCGCUAGGCGCUACGUCACCGCACAGAGAGCGCAUAGCGUAUUUUAGAACACUGGAAGAAACAAAGACACCAGAAAAGUUCAUAACAUAAAUAGUCACAAGUUUUUUUAAAACACUCCUUUAUUGCAACUCCUUUCACAUAAAGAAGUAUCAAGGGGAAAUUUUCUUAGUUAAAAAAAACUUGUCCUUAAGCAUCUACGGUUUCAGCUGAAUCAGCAGCUGCUAAGACAAGCUCCGGGCUUAGGUCUCCGACAUACGAUCCAUCAAUAACAUUGGGCUGUCCCAAAGCUUUUAGAGCCAGAUGUGCCGCCUUCUGUCCUGAUAUCAUCAUAGCUCCGAACGUUGGUCCCUGCAAAUCACAUAUUCAUUCACUCAGUAUAUCAUCCUACUAUAAAUGAUUGAUUCAAGGAAAGGGAAACAAACUCACCAUUCUUGGUGCACCAUCGAUCUCAGCAACUUCCAUACCGGUCACGAUCAUACCGGGUACAACCUCCCUAGUCAACCUCACAAUCGCAUCCUCAGCUGUGUUCAUGUCAAGAGCUUUCAUCCCAGGAACAUGGUCAAUCAACCCAAUGCUCUUCAACCUCUUCACACCGGUGGCUCCAAAGGGACCGUCGUGACCGCACGAGCUCACGACAAUCUUGGCCUCCAUGACGUUAGGGUCCAUGCAAGACUGUGUGUCGUGGUUCAUUGACACAAGAGCCCAGUUAGUCACCACACCGCCGACUCUGUUUCCUUUCACGAUCAGAUCCUCAGCGGCGACAGCGUUGAAGAGCUUGACGUUGGGACGAGCCAAAAGCUUGCUCAUGAUGGUGGAUGUGAAGAGAGCAGCGUGCUUGAUCACGACGUAGUUGUCUUGCUCAUCGUAGGCUACACCAAUCUCGUCAAGGAACAAGUGAGCUGGUUUGCGCACAAUCUGUUAAACACGGAUAUACAAUAACUUCAGUCUACUACACAUUACCAAUCACAUGCAAACCAAUCUAUGUACUUAAACACAUAAGAAGCUCUUAACACAGAGAGAGUUCGGAUAAAACAUUAUCAUGGGACAAUCUGUCCAACACAAACACACACAGGGCCCGCUAAAUCCCCCAGUAUCUUGAUAGCUUAAGGAUCAAAUAUUUUUUGUAUAUACAAAUUUUUAUAGAGAAAAUUUUAAAUAUUCACUAAAUUUGGUUGAAAAGUAGGCAUAUUUUAUGUGUACAUAAUUUGUUUUCAUCACAAAUUUUAUAAAGAUGUUGAUGAUAAAAUAAUUAAAAAAUAUUUUAAAAAACAUAAAUAUUAAAAACUUCAAUUUUUUUGCGCAUGAGUCCAAAUAAAUAUUGAGCCGUCCCUGAAUAUACAAUAACUCCAGUCCAGAGCAUACAUAUUCGCAUAUGACAUCCAAUAUAUUAAUGGUUAGUAUGUAUUAUAUCAUUCAGUCCUAAAUGAUUUUAAAAUAUAUGUGUUUAGUAAUUGUUUAAGCCUAAUAAUCUCAGAGCCCGCCUUGGCUUCCAUGAACACAAAUUAAUUAAACCAAACCUUAGUAGUUCCUCAGUAGUGUGACAUGCAAGUUAGUCUAAGUACUGAAACACUAUAUAGCAAGCUCUUACCACAAAGAGAGUUCGAAUAAAACAUUACCAUGGCGGAGAAAAGCUGACCACCGAGCCACGCGCCACCACCAGGACUGACAGAUUGCUCGAUGAUUGCGACCUGAACGUUAGGGUUCUUGCUGAUCUCGUAAGCACACGAUAGUCCAGCGGAGCCAGCACCAACGACGACGACGUCGGUCUCGGCGUAAGUGAUCAUAUCAGUCAUGUACCUCCUCGUCAUCUCGCGAGACACGAUGGACUCCUUGAUGGGGUCAAAAGUGAAGGCGUUCAGAUCGUAGCCAGCGGUGGCGCGGACGGAGAGGGAGCGCGGUUUGAGACCGACGGAGACAGGUGCGGCGGAGGAGAUGGAUGAGCCAUGGAAAUAGGAGUCGAAAAGGCGCUGAGGCUUGGUGGAAGAGAGGGAGAGAGUAGAGGUGAUGGACGCCAUAUUUGAGAGGUGUGUUUAUGUUUUGAGUGACGAUGAAGAUGAUGGUGGUGAAGUGAAACUGUGGUGGCUGUUGAAUAUUUAAAUUAGAAGAUGAAGAAAUAUCUGGAGAGUGAUGGCCACGUCAGAGAUAAGGCAUGAAGGGUCGUCGAUUUUUUGUUUUAUUUUUUAUAUAAAUGAAAUUAUUAAUUUCUGCCAUUAAUGGAAACAUUGGAAAGUAACGAUCUCCUUCCUUCACGGUUCGAAUUGAAUGAAGGAAGUUUUGAAAAUUUUCAUGACUUUUGAAAAAACCAAAGUUUAGUGAGAAAGUUAACAUACUUAUUUGUUUUUGUUACCCGAUUAAACCAGAAAUAUUUGCUUGUCUAAGAAAGAAAUAAAUCGUUUUGAUAUAUGUAGUUUAUGAAACAAUUAGAUUCAUAUAUUUUGUAUUAAAAUUCAGUUUGUGGUAAUUAAGAAAUAUCUCGAGACUUUUGUCUGGAAGUUUCUGUAACCAUUUGCACUGAGUGUGUGGUGACACGAACAACACCAGAAAGUGAGAUAUCUGUGUACGAUAGAUAUGGAUUUGGAUUUUACUAGUGAAAAGAUAGUUCACUAUUAUGGUGUCCUACGAAACAGAACAUGCAUGCAAACAAGUACAGCAGACCAAAGCUAAGUGAGCUGCUUGUGCUAGGUAAAACCAAUAGAGGAUCGGAGAACAACGCACAUUAAACCGAAUAAACGUUUUUAUUGAGAAGAAACAAAGACACCAGAAAAGUUCAUAACAUAAAUAGUCACAAGUUUUUUUAAAACACUCCUUUAUUGCAACUCCUUUCACAUAAAGAAGUAUCAAGGGGAAAUUUUCUUAGUUAAAAAAAACUUGUCCUUAAGCAUCUACGGUUUCAGCUGAAUCAGCAGCUGCUAAGACAAGCUCCGGGCUUAGGUCUCCGACAUACGAUCCAUCAAUAACAUUGGGCUGUCCCAAAGCUUUUAGAGCCAGAUGUGCCGCCUUCUGUCCUGAUAUCAUCAUAGCUCCGAACGUUGGUCCCUGCACAUCACAUAUUCAUUCACUCAGUAUAUCAUCCUACUAUAAAUGAUUGAUUCAAGGAAAGGGAAACAAACUCACCAUUCUUGGUGCACCAUCGAUCUCAGCAACUUCCAUACCGGUCACGAUCAUACCGGGAACAACCUCCCUGGUCAACCUCACAAUCGCAUCCUCAGCUGUGUUCAUGUCAAGAGCUUUCAUCCCAGGAACAUGGUCAAUCAACCCAAUGCUCUUCAACCUCUUCACACCGGUGGCUCCAAAGGGACCGUCGUGACCGCACGAGCUCACGACAAUCUUGGCCUCCAUGACGUUAGGGUCCAUGCAAGACUGUGUGUCGUGGUUCAUUGACACAAGAGCCCAGUUAGUCACCACACCGCCGACUCUGUUUCCUUUCACGAUCAGAUCCUCAGCGGCGACAGCGUUGAAGAGCUUGACGUUGGGACGAGCCAAAAGCUUGCUCAUGAUGGUGGAUGUGAAGAGAGCAGCGUGCUUGAUCACGACGUAGUUGUCUUGCUCAUCGUAGGCUACACCAAUCUCGUCAAGGAACAAGUGAGCUGGUUUGCGCACAAUCUGUUAAACACGGAUAUACAAUAACUUCAGUCUACUACACAUUACCAAUCACAUGCAAACCAAUCUAUGUACUUAAACACAUAAGAAGCUCUUAACACAGAGAGAGUUCGGAUAAAACAUUAUCAUGGGACAAUCUGUCCAACACAAACACACACAGGGCCCGCUAAAUCCCCCAGUAUCUUGAUAGCUUAAGGAUCAAAUAUUUUUUGUAUAUACAAAUUUUUAUAGAGAAAAUUUUAAAUAUUCACUAAAUUUGGUUGAAAAGUAGGCAUAUUUUAUGUGUACAUAAUUUGUUUUCAUCACAAAUUUUAUAAAGAUGUUGAUGAUAAAAUAAUUAAAAAAUAUUUUAAAAAACAUAAAUAUUAAAAACUUCAAUUUUUUUGCGCAUGAGUCCAAAUAAAUAUUGAGCCGUCCCUGAAUAUACAAUAACUCCAGUCCAGAGCAUACAUAUUCGCAUAUGACAUCCAAUAUAUUAAUGGUUAGUAUGUAUUAUAUCAUUCAGUCCUAAAUGAUUUUAAAAUAUAUGUGUUUAGUAAUUGUUUAAGCCUAAUAAUCUCAGAGCCCGCCUUGGCUUCCAUGAACACAAAUUAAUUAAACCAAACCUUAGUAGUUCCUCAGUAGUGUGACAUGCAAGUUAGUCUAAGUACUGAAACACUAUAUAGCAAGCUCUUACCACAAAGAGAGUUCGAAUAAAACAUUACCAUGGCGGAGAAAAGCUGACCACCGAGCCACGCGCCACCACCAGGACUGACAGAUUGCUCGAUGAUUGCGACCUGAACGUUAGGGUUCUUGCUGAUCUCGUAAGCACACGAUAGUCCAGCGGAGCCAGCACCAACGACGACGACGUCGGUCUCGGCGUAAGUGAUCAUAUCAGUCAUGUACCUCCUCGUCAUCUCGCGAGACACGAUGGACUCCUUGAUGGGGUCAAAAGUGAAGGCGUUCAGAUCGUAGCCAGCGGUGGCGCGGACGGAGAGGGAGCGCGGUUUGAGACCGACGGAGACAGGUGCGGCGGAGGAGAUGGAUGAGCCAUGGAAAUAGGAGUCGAAAAGGCGCUGAGGCUUGGUGGAAGAGAGGGAGAGAGUAGAGGUGAUGGACGCCAUAUUUGAGAGGUGUGUUUAUGUUUUGAGUGACGAUGAAGAUGAUGGUGGUGAAGUGAAACUGUGGUGGCUGUUGAAUAUUUAAAUUAGAAGAUGAAGAAAUAUCUGGAGAGUGAUGGCCACGUCAGAGAUAAGGCAUGAAGGGUCGUCGAUUUUUUGUUUUAUUUUUUAUAUAAAUGAAAUUAUUAAUUUCUGCCAUUAAUGGAAACAUUGGAAAGUAACGAUCUCCUUCCUUCACGGUUCGAAUUGAAUGAAGGAAGUUUUGAAAAUUUUCAUGACUUUUGAAAAAACCAAAGUUUAGUGAGAAAGUUAACAUACUUAUUUGUUUUUGUUACCCGAUUAAACCAGAAAUAUUUGCUUGUCUAAGAAAGAAAUAAAUCGUUUUGAUAUAUGUAGUUUAUGAAACAAUUAGAUUCAUAUAUUUUGUAUUAAAAUUCAGUUUGUGGUAAUUAAGAAAUAUCUCGAGACUUUUGUCUGGAAGUUUCUGUAACCAUUUGCACUGAGUGUGUGGUGACACGAACAACACCAGAAAGUGAGAUAUCUGUGUACGAUAGAUAUGGAUUUGGAUUUUACUAGUGAAAAGAUAGUUCACUAUUAUGGUGUCCAAAUAACAAAAAAAUAUUACUACUUUAUUAUAUCAAUAUUUUUUAUUUAUGAAUUAUGAGCGGCAUGUUCUUUUUGGUCAUAGAAUCUUUUUUUCUUGUGGACCAAAAUAAAAUCUGCAAUUCAAAGAUUUCAAAAUAAAUUUGUAAUCGAGAAACCUUAGUACUAAAAUCAUCACAAUAAAUUUGUAAAUAUGCGUUUUUUCUUCUAUAUUUAUAUAUCAUAUGUAUCAUGUUAAACCUCUGGUUCCAGACCAAUAACUUCCAAGUUAUUACAUACUUGCAGGUUUUUUUCUUUGUGCCUCUCUCUAAACCAUACAUUAGUGAUUCGGUUGAUGUGUGUGAAUGUCCAUAAACAAAGGCUAGCUAGAAUGUCUAGUGAACAUGUUGUUAUAAUUUGAGUCAUUUGACAGCUUUGUGUUUUUUUUAAACUUAAUUAGUAAGUUCGGAUCUUGAGGUACGAGAGAGAGAGAGGAUAACUUAAGAUUACAUGGUUAUCUUUUUAGCCAUGCAAGCCUGCCAAGUAAUCUGAGUUUCAAACGUAUAUGUAUAACGGUGUCUUAGUUAUUUUGGCAUCAAGAGUUGAAGAGGUUGAUAUAGCCCGAGCAAGGAAACAUAAAUGCGUAUAUAUAUAAUAUACUGUAUAUAUAUAGCUCUAAUGUAAGGAGUGUUGUUGGAAUUCAAAAUUUGUAUAUACACACUCCAAACAAAACAAAGUCGGAUCGAGCAUGCACGGUGUUAUGCGUGCCAGAGCGUCAUCUCGAUUAUCCCCGUAACAACUUGCACAAAUUUUGAAACUUAACAAAACUCUCAUACCCGUGUGCACAUACACCAUCUCGUGCUCAUUACACGUAAACACCAUGCAAAACUCUCUCUUCCAUAAAUAAACUAUUUCUCUUCACUUCGCUUCAUCAUUAUCACUCACCAAGAACCUCAAAAACUCACACAAAAUGGCUAAUUAGCUCUUUCUCGUUUUCGCAACUCUCUCCCUCUUGGCCUUCUUAACCAACGCUUCCAAUAUUAGAGCUAAUCAUAGGUAUCAAUAGUUUCUUAACUCUUUAUUAAGCAUAAAACUCUCAGACUCUCAUGUGUGUGUUCUAAGAAACUAUUGAUAACUAUGAUUUUGACCUAAUACUUGGGACGUACCUGUACUGAAUCAGGAUAAGAUUUACAUGUCUUCUGUAUUCGAUUGAGACCUGGACAUGGUUUUUGUUUACAACAAAAAACAAGAAACAUGGUAAGGUUGUGUCACGGAAGAGCACUAAUACUAUAAUCUGUAUAGAAAUUAAAAUAGUCUUUUUGAUCCAACAAAUUGUCCUAUUAAGCAAGUGUUUACAGUAACGAAGUGUUGAUACAUCCUAAACUUAAGAAACAAGACAUGUGGAGUUCUCUUUUGAUUUAAUGGUUUAACUACCGAGUUUUUUUCAGCCAGAAUCAGAAAGGGUAGGAUACUAUUACUUCACAGUUGCAAAUUUAUAAAACUGACCAACUGGUCACUGUUAAACUUACAAGAAUAAGAAGCUAAUCUUGGGGAGCUAUAUCUUUCAGGUAAGCACAUGCACAGCUUGAGCUUGAGAUUGCGGAAUUCAACCACAGACAUUCAUGCCUAGACACAAGACAGAGAUUCUUUCCUUCUCUUCAUUCCAGAUACUUGAAUAGGACCCAAGCCUCUACAUUAUAAUUAUAAUACAUCUAAAAGGUAAAUGAAUAGAGAAACCAUAAACAUGGUGUGGAAGACUUCAAGCUGAACUGAUAGAUACCUUAGUUGAUGACUUUGAGCUGUCAAAGGAAGAUUGUUGACUGCUGAGAUGGACCAAUAAGAAGGACACUGCUGAGCUGAACACAUAACCCACACCUCUCCAUUAUAAGAGCACUUCCAUCAAUAGGACACGAAGGUGGGUAUCAAACAAUUAUUAAAUUAAAAAAAGAGAGGGAAGUGGGAAAGUGAUACGGUUUGGAAAAGUUAAUUGCGACUCUUUUGCGUUCUUACUUUAUAAGACCACGAUUAACGCUGAAACCCCAAAUGAAUUAUUUAAAUUUUAUUUUUUAUUUUUUAUUUUUAUCUGAAUAAAAAAAUCAACUAAUCGCGGACUGCCACAUGUCAGUGGGAUCCGCGAACAGUGCAAAAACCCAACUAACAGGGUUCUUUAUUAUGGAUUUUCUGGCACCGGUUUUUUUCUCCCUGUGAACCACUCCCCCCUUAAAAAGCCCACUAAAACCCCCGAUAAUCUUGCUCUAAGUGGCAACCAUUCAUUUGAUUAGUUUAUUACAUACAAUUUUUUUAAUUAUUUACUAAAAAAUGUACUAAAUAAUAAUAUAAAGAGGGAUGAGAACCCUUGUGUAUUUCUUAACCAAUAAUGUACUUCUUACCAAUAAGGUUGAUCUAAUACAUUUAAAACCUAAAUGAAUAGAGAAACAAUAGAUAUAAUAAGUUGAUGAUGGUGUCAUGGUGAGCUGAAGACUGUUGACUGCUGAGCUAGACCAAUAAAAAGAAGAUUGCAGUUGGAGCUUUCUUGUAUUGGUUGAUUACUAUAAAGGCCUUGACCAUACCUUUCUUGUAGAGGAUGGAAAGCUCAUAGGUUAGGUGUGUGGGCAAUUUUAGGGUGGUGGUCUCUAGAAAUUGAAGGCAAAAUUAGAGUGUUUUAUUUCUUGAGAAUCGGUUCCCCAAUACUAGUGUACUUGGUUUCUUAUCAUCAACAAAGAAAAACAUGAAGUUAGAAUCCUCCCUUUGAGCAACUGCCAACUCCACAUUCUACCGUUAUGAUUCUUUACAAGAAAGUGCUUAUACAUCCUUAACCUAAGAUAUAAUGUUUUAUAUGUGUAGCAUGAAAAUCCAGUCGUUCAAAAACAUAAUUGAGUCAUUUUGCUAGCUUUUCCAAACACUUGCUCGUUAAACUACGCUUUAAACACAUUUUGAUUCUUAUCUCUCAGUACAAUGUAAAGACUCAAGACUCACAGAAUGGCAACAUGCCACAGAACAAUGACCGGUCAGAAUAUCCAACACGAGCGCAAAAAAGGUUCAAAAGCAAAUACCUAUUAACAUAUACAAAUUUCUUAACCUUAUCCAGUAGAAUAAUUGAAGUUUUAAUAGAAUACGAAUACAUAAAACACUUGCGUUCUCUUUCUUCUGUAAAAAAACAGCAUCAGACUCUAAACUUCUCCCUCUAUGAAGCCCACAACAUGGUGGUAGUCAAUAAUAAAAGAAAGAAACCAGAGAUCUUCGGUGGUGGUUGCAAAAACUCAGAUUCCUCUGGAGAAGAUUAAAAACCUGGAAUUUUUUUUUUCAGUCUCACAACAACGCAAGAUUCACAUUUUCUUUUCACUUGGAUGAUAGACUUAGCCAAUCUAUUGGAGAACACACCUACAUUAUUUAGUUUAACAUGGAACGACCAGCAGAUCCCCGAGGACAAACAACAGAUCUUACAUGCUCCGAGAUCUGUUGAUGCUCCAUGUUAAAACAAAAUAACGUAGGUAUCAGCUAUCCAAGUGAAAAGAAAUGAGAAACCAAGAGUUGCUGAGAAACUGAAAAAUAAACAGUUGUGAAAAAAACGGAAGAGAGUGUAAAACUCGUAUACAUCUACUUCGCUUUUGUACUGGCUAUACGGAACCGAGGAAGAUUUCAUCGUCAGCUCAUGGAAAAAUCUGACGCCAUCAGAACACCACGCAGACUAUCGCCAACAUUAUGAUCAUUUUAUAGCUUAACGGAAUAUUCGAGGAAAGAAAGCUCCUUAGUGGGCCCUUACAUGUCCCUAGUCUUUUUUGAACUCAAGUCUUUUUAGUCAGCUUUCUGAGCUAAUGAUAUGUUUUACCUGGACCAGUCAAAUUUGUAUUAAACCAAGUUGAACCAAAUUAGUCUAUCUUAAUUUUUUAAACCAAUAAUCUAAUUAAACAAAAAUAUAAUGAAACUCUUCAUCUAAUAAAGAGUAGUAGCGCACGUCAUGGGAAAUAAUAACAAAAGACUGGCGCUGGAGCACGUCGAACUAAUUUUGGUGGAUUUGAUUGGUUUGGCACGUCAAACUAGGGCUAUGCUUGGUAAUGGUUUUAUGCUUUAGAAGAAAAAAAUCCAUCAUGUAGUAAGGAAAAGUGGCUUUAAGUCUUUUUAAAAGGCUUUAAAAGCUUUUAGAUCAAUAAAGUCUAAUUGAAUAGUUAGACUACAACCGUAGAAAUUUUACUACAUAAUUUAGUCUUUAAAUUUUUUUGAUAAUGUAACUAAUAUAGUUGUAAAAAUUUAAUGAGAAACAUAAUAAAAAAGAAACAGAUUCAUACGUCAAUAUCUUUUUACUUUAGAAAAGAAAGUUCAUAUAAUUUUUUCGUUAGUUUUUUUUGGCUCUACCUUUAAAAAGUACAUAAAUCAUGAUUGGUAAACUUUAUAGUUAUAGAUAGAAACUAAAACUAAAUAACAAUCCAACCAAUCAACUCGAAUGACUUUUAAGGCUUUAGAAUUAUCUCAAAGCUUUGAGACAUUUCACAACUAAAAACUGAUUUUUAUUUAAACAAAAAUAGGGAAAGGGAGACGUGUCAGAUACUAAAAUGUGAGUCUAUUCUUCUCUGUUAAAGUAAAAAGACUAUACGUAAAAGAAAUCUCAAUCCGCUUUUUUGCAUUUAAAAAUCAGAUAUAAAUAAGAAAGGAAGAAAGAAAGAAAGAAAAUCAUUAGUGAAGAAGUUUAAAACAGCUUUCGUCUCUUCUUCGCUCUCUCUAUUAUCCUUCAAAUCUUUCCCCUUUUCUUCCUCCUCCUCCUAAUCGUUUCCAAAGUCAUAAUCAGGUUCCUGCUUCGGGACUCGCUCUUCUUCUUCUUUCUUCCAAUUCUUAUUCUCAAUUGCUGCUUCAUUUGUUCGUUCUUUUCUUUCAUCUUCUUCUUUAGCGCGAUUCAACUUAAGCAUUUUCAGUGGGUUUCGCAAAUUUUCAAUCUUUUUUUGCUUUGAUUGUGUUUCGGUUGGUUUCUUGCUUCGUCACAACUUGAAGAAGCAAAUUGCGAUGUUCUGUUUCUAAUUUGAGAUUCCAUUUAUUCGUUUCUUGUGAGACUCCACCAUGAAAGAUUUUCUUGGAAAAUUCUCAGGCGUACAAGUAUGAGUAACACCGACGACGAUCCUCAGACGAAGCCUGAGACUUCUUCCGACGGAGCUGUCUCGCGAUCAGCUCGGACCUCCUUUCAAGCCGUCUCUGACUGCCUUCGUGCGAUUUCCUCCGGCGCUUCCACCGUCGCUCGCUCCGCCGCUUCCGCCGCCUCUUCCGUCGUUAACCGAGACGCCGACUCUCUUCACGACAAGGUAUAAAAAAAAAGUUGACAACUUUGAUAUAAUGGGUCACGAUAAACUUGCUUUAGGUGCAAGAAUCAUUAGGGUUAGGGUUGAUAGCUUUUAAAGAUUGAACCUUUAGUCUUUGUGUUGCUCUGUUGAGAAAAAGUUUGAUAGCUUUAGGUGCAAGAUUCAUUAGGGUUAGGGUUGAUAGCUCUUAAAAGAUUGGACCUUUAAGCCUUUGUGUUGCUCUGCUGAGAAAAAGUUUGAUAGCUUUAGGUGCAAGAUUCAUUAGGGUUAGGGUUGAUAGGUUUUAAAAGAUUGAACCUUUAAGCCUUUGUGUUGAGAAAAAGUUUGAUAGCUUUAGGUGCAAGAUUCAUUAGGGUUAGGGUUGAUAGCUUUUAAAAGAUUGGAUCUUUAGUCUUUGUGUUGCUCUUUUGAUGCCUCAGGUACUAUGGGCGGGGUUUGAUAAGCUAGAGAGAGAGGAUGGCGACACUCGGAGAGUUCUUCUACUUGCGUUUCGCUCUGGUUUCCAAAUCUGGGACGUUGAAGACACUGGGAACGUCCAUGUCAUUGUCUCUGCUCACGACGGACACGCAGCCUUUAUGCAGAUGCUACCUUACCCGUUAGUCUCCGAGGAGAUAGACGAUGCGUUUGCUGAGAGCCGUCCGCUUCUGGCUGUGUGUGGUGACAGCUCUUGGGUGGAGAUUUUAGAUAUAGAGAGCGCUUCUGAUAACACUGAAAGUGAAACCAUAGUGCCUACGCAUGUGAAUGUCUACUCGUUAAAGUCAAACUCUUAUGUGCAUAAGUUGAAGUUCGAGUCUGUCAUCUACACCAUCAGGUGCAGUUCUCGGAUCGUUGCCGUGCUACAAUCAGAUCAGGUUCGAAGUUUUUUGUCAUAUUGUGUUUGAUUUUGUAUCUCUUCUGAAACUAACAAGUGACUUUUGCAGAUUCAUUGCUUUGAUGCUAAGACGUUGGUGGAGGAAUACAAUAUCCACACUAACUCCAUCGCGUAUGGCUCAUUGGGUGUUGGAUAUGGUCCUCUUGCCGUUGGUCCACGAUGGAUCGCUUAUAGCGGGAGUCGUAUUGAUGAGUCUAGCUCCACGGUUUUCACUUCAGAGCUUCUCCCACUGUCAUCAUCACCCGGUGUUGCACAGUUUGCAAUAGAAUCGAGCAAACAUAUUGUAACUGGGAUAGCGAGGCUUGGAGGCAAAGGGUACAAGUCAUUGUCUAACUUCUGCGCAGAGGGUCUGCCCAAUCCGUAUCUUCCUGGCUUUAAGGGCAUUGGAGGCGGUGCUAGUGAGAAAGCGCAAGACGCUGGUGACAUAGGAAUGGUAAAACUCUCAAAUAUUCCCUCUCAAGUUGUGUUGAGUUUCCAUUGAUACAUAGACUUGGUGGUGUGUGUGUGUGUGUGUGCAGGUUAUAAUCAGUGAUGUUAUAAGCAAAAGCGUGAUAUGUCAGUUUAAGGCACACAAGAAUCCGAUUUCAGCUUUGAGCUUUGAUCCGAGUGGGAUGCUUUUGGUGUCUGCUUCGACUCAGGGCCACAACAUUAACGUGUUCAAGAUAAUGCCGAGAAUCUCUAACACUAGUGAUGCGCCGCCCAUAGAGUGUUUUAUGCAUCUGUUCAGGCUCCAUCGUGGCUAUACUUAUGCGGUAAGCAGAGAGCUCUUCACUUUCCUGUAUUUUAAAAAGUAUUAUUAUUGAUAUUUUUGUUCUUGCAGGUGAUACAAGACAUGAGUUUCAGCAAUGAUAGCAGUUUGAUAGUGGUUAGCUCGUCAAGAGGGACAAGUCAUGUGUUUGAGAUCAAUCCCGAGAGAGAGGCGCAUAUUCCUGUAACUCUGUCACCUGUUAUUAGGAUAAGAAGCCGAGACAUCAGCGGAUGGAUGGGGACAGUGAGCGGUGCUGCAGCUGCGGCGGCUGGAAUGGUUGGAGGAGGAGGAGGAGGCUCUCUUCAGGGUUCAACCACAUCAACUUUCAGCUACUGCGUUGAACAGCAGAAUAAGAACACCCACUAUGGUUCUACUGCUUCUGAUAAUAGUAGCGUAACGAGGAAUCUACUGGUUUUUGCUCCUUCUGGAUGUAUGACACAGUAUGCGUUGAAGGCUGGGGAAGGUGGUGAGGCUUUGGUGAUGACGGGGAUUGAUUCUGAGUCUGGUGCAGAGACUGAAGGACCGGUUGUGAGGAUACGAAGGUGGUACAUGGUCCAAAACCGAUCUAGAAGAGAGAUGCAAGAUCAGCAGAGGGUCGUAUAUGGAGGAGGUGGAGCAACUUCGGGUUCUGGAAGUAACGUGUUUCCGGAGAUUGUUAGAAAGGAGAGUGCUGAGGAGGAACCUUGGAAAGCAAAUAAGAAAGGAAAGGCCCGUCGUGUGGUGGAUAACAACCAUCAGCUGUACGUGUCUCAAACAGAGUUGCGAAUGUAUCAGCCGUCUCACCUACCCUUAUGGGAAUGGGACAAUGUAAAACUUUCCUUCCUCUUCUCUUCUUGUUUUUUUUUAUUAAUGAUGUGUUGUGUGGAUGUGGCUGAGACUGUGUGUUUUGCAACAAAACAGUGUAGGUUUGAGAAGUUGGUAUUGGAUGUGGAUGAAGAGAGUAAUGGGGAGAUGGAGAUUGAAAAAAUCAAAGGUCAAACGAUUGAAGCAAGAACAAGAGGUUCGCAUCCAGUCUGGGGUUGAAGAGGAGGAGAGUUGCAUUAGAAGAAGGAAGGUGAUAUGCUGCUUUUGGUUUUAUUGUUUCUUCACCAUAAACUCAGCUUCAAGUUCAGCGAUAGGACUACAAAAAUAACUGUGGAAAAUUGUAUAGAAAAUUAGAAAAGUUGGCAUACCUUUUAGAUGUAAAUAGCUAGCAGUAUAGUCUUCUUUGGUUACAGGUUGACCCCAUUAUAUUGAUUCAUGAAGUGCAUCUUCUUUGGAUGUAAGCGUAAUAAGAAAAAGAAAAAAAAGAAGGUUUUUGCCAUUUUUGCUGCACCUUUAUAAUGUGUGUGUGUGUGUGUGUUUACAAAGUAAAAAAAACAACAGAAAAGACUGUUACAAAAUGAAUGGAACAGACGCAAACAAGUGUUCCAUUGGGAAGUGAACUUCGGCAGCGCUAUGAGCCAUGGGGACAGGGUUUUCGCUGUUGCUGAUAACGAAAGUCCUUCCAAUCACAGCGCCUGAGAUGGAGACGGUCACGCAAGGGUCGGGUCGCUUGUGAUCUUGGAGGGCUUCUCAUCUUUAGAACUGUUCCUCCUGGUUUAACCCAAAUGUCUAAGUUACCGUGCAGCAGCCUCUACACGUAAAGAUCCGCUGCUGGUGACAAAGGGCACGGACUGCUGGCCGAAACCGUGGCUUGAUCCUCCUCUCAUUGAGAUUAUCAAACACUUGGCGAGCAAUCAAGAUUGAGAUUAAAGAUUGCAGCUUUAAUUAAUUUAAUUUAAUUAAUUAACGAGUGAGUGACGAAGAAGAAGACUUCAACUUUGGUUCGGCUGCUCAUGAUGAUAGUCGUUUUUUGAUUACUACACCAUUAUCUAAGUUAAAUCACAUAAGGAGAGUAAUUAACAAAUUUGGACGUUUUCUAUUAGUGGGAAAGAAAGUUUCUUCGUUGAAAAUUUUAUUUAAUUAUGAACCAUAGUUUUCAAACAGCUACGGAUGGUAUAUAUAUGAUGAAUUCAAAUUAAAUCACUUGUUGUCCGAGCAAAUAUCAUACGGAAAGAAAAGAAAUAUGACUUUAUAAAGAACUAAAAGUUACAUCCAACGGAUGUACUUUGAAAUUGAAUAGAGGUUUGGAAAAUAUCAAAUACCGUGUUGAAAAAGUAACAUAGCUAGACAGUAUGUAAACACAAAACUAUAAUUUUAUUAUAUAUAAAUAAAUAAACUGAAAAACGCCACUGUUUAAUAUUGCAGCGUUACAUUAUUGAUAUGCUAUUCGAUAGAUAAAUAAUUUAGAAUUUUCAUCACCUGUUAAAAAAAGACAAAAUUUUCAUAAAACAAAACAAUAGUUAAACAAAAAUACUUAUAAACCACCAUCAUCGGGCACAACUUGUUGGCGGUUGCCGCCACACCAAAUCCAUCCAAAAUGCCAGAGAACAGCCAAGAUGAUUAAACAGGCCACAAUAGCGGCAGUUAUGAUGUAACCAAUCGAAGCCCCCAUAUUAUUUCUUCAAAAAACCAAAAACUUGUUCUUUCUAACUUUAUUUUUCUUCUUUUAAGUUCAAGAGAGAACUAGCUUUAUAUAUAAAGAUGGUUAACCUUAUUAAAAUAGAAAAAAGUUAGACAUGGAAAAUGAAAAAUUCUAUUUCAAAAAUAAAAGAAAUCUUCUAAAUCUCUUGAAAGUCUUUGGCUUUUUUUUUUAAAGAAAUUUGGUAAAAUAUGUAAAUCAUGCAUAUAUCAUUAAGGAUUAUUAACCAAAAAGAAACUGGAAAUUUUACAUAAGUCAUUCACAAACGUUUGAUGACAUAUUUUUAAGCUAUUUGAUCGAAUAUGUCGUUAAAAAAAAGCAAGGACUACGAAAAUUUGGAAAUUUAACAUUUUAUGGUUCUCUAUAAAAGUAAAGUAUUUUUACUUGUUAUUUUUUCUUUUUCUUGUAUAUAAUGAAUUCAAAUUAAAUCACUCAUGGCCUUAGAAAAUAAUCAUUGUCUUAAAAAUAAAAACUAAUGUACAUAAGACAGAAGUAAAAUUUGAAACUGAAUAGAGGUUUGGUCCUUUUUGGAAACGAAGAGUAACGUGUUUGUAUAAUUUUCUUGACCUAGUGUUCGUAUGUUUAUCAUAGUCAAAAAUUUGUUAGGUUAUGCUUUUGAAUUCAUUUGGCUUGCCUAUCAUAUUAUAAAGUCUUGUGGCUCAUACUGUCCAUCAAGUCCAACUUCCACAAGUGCCUUGUGGAUGGUUUGAUACAUCAUUUGCAUGGUUUUGUGCUGCAAUUAUCAUGAAAAAGAUGUCAGUAUUAAUCGAGAUUACAUCAUUUAGCAAAUAAUGGACAAACUAUUUUACGUGCCAGUAUAGAAUCCUCUGUAUAGGGUUACUUGUUGGAGCACCUUCUGGCCACAUUGGAAUGACAAUGUAAGCAGCAAACUUCCCCCUUGCUCUAAUUUUGUUAGCAAUCUUUAGCGCGAUUUCAAUAGGGAUUAGAUUGUUAUUACAGCAACUAUUGAGUAACUGAACUUUCCCUUAAAAGCUCACAGUUACUUACCCAAGUCCUUGUUUGAAUCCCAGUUGAAUGAUCGAUGAUCCAAGAAAAUAUUGGUUCACAAUGUAGAUGAAAUGCUGAGCAGAUCUUAUGGCCUUAACAUAAGCUGCAUGUAUGCUCAUGUCAAUGAGUAUGUUCUUCCCACACAAAAGAUUCUGACCACAAACAUGUAUAUAUUAGAAGAAGAACCUUCUGAUAGUCCUAUCAAAUGCAGAGUAUCAAAGAGAGAUUAACCAUCAGAUUCAUCAUUGUCCAUCUAGUGUUAAUUAGGUUCAAAGCCGUCAAGGCUCUGUGGUAUCUGUAAUGUAACUCAAUUAUCUGAAUUCAUAGAGCCUUGGAUUGACAAGCAAGAAAAGAUACUGUAAGAAAACAAACUCGAGUUUCCCUAAAAGAAUCAUGUUAUAGAGUCUGUAACUUGUGAAUAUAUUUAAGUGUUGGUAGAUUCCUAUAUACGGCUUGCUUUGGUUACGUUGAUCUCAUUGUCUCAUUCUCUUCAUAUAAUGUAUGUUAACAUGAUCUAACACAUAUAAACUGAGCUUUUAUAUACAAAAUCAUGCAAGAUAUUAGAUUGGAACUUGUACGUUUUCAAGGCUGUAUACCUAGGCCCCGAAGGUAUCCAUAACUAGCAGAAAACUGAAGCGUGCAGAACAGAACUAACCAAGGAAAGGCUAAAGUAGUACUACAAAAAGACCUGCGCUAAAUUUACAAAAUUACUUUGUUUUUGGUGGGGGCGAGAUUGAAUAACUCACGAGAAAUGUGUAGCUGUCUAAAUUAGCGAAGAAAUUAGUCCUCAAAAAGUAAAUUCCGAAGUUGAAGCUCCAAUGUCUUUGUUCAAAGACUUUAUUUAGAGGUAAAGCUAUGUCUUGUAACCACCGAAUAGCUCCUUUUCAUCUACACUCUAUAUAUAUUUUAAAACAUGUGCUAAGUCUCCAAACUUAACCGGCUUAUACCAAACUGAACCCGGUCUACGGUUAAUCAAACAACGUUCUGUUGAGCUUCCGCGGUUAUUUAUGACAUUCCGGUUUAUAAAUCACAAAAAAACGUGAGAUUCAAUGAAUUCGUAUACUUAUAAGUUAAAAGACUACGUAAACCGGACAAAACCGAAGCGUUUCAUGCAAAUACAAAACGAAAAUCACAUCACAUUUUAAACCGUAGUCUUUCUACGUCUAAGUUUCUAACAAACACACAUUACCUUUUCAUCACAUGAAUCAGAUACGAUCUGCCAUUAAUAACCUCAACACAAAGCAAGGUUAGGUAAAUGACGUAGACCCUUUUUCAAUAAUCAUACAAUACAUAACAACGUAAGAUCCUUUUUCGACAUCCAUCUCCUUUCAGACAAAACCACGUUCAGAAAAGAACAGAGACAUAAACAGAAACAGAAACAGAAAGAUGCAGUUACAUAUAUCUCCAAGCUUGAGACAUGUGACGGUCGUCAAAGGGAAAGGACUAAGAGAGUUCAUAAAAGUGAAGGUUGGUUCAAGAAGAUUCUCGUAUCAAAUGAUGUUUUAUUCUCUCCUCUUCUUCACUUUUCUUCUCCGGCUUGUCUUCGUUCUUUCCACCGUUGAUACUAUCGACGGUGCCUCUCCUUGCUCCUCUCUUGGUAACUAGUUCUUGUCCCUUCAUUUAUUUAUUUAUUUUCUAAAUCCAGAUAUUUUAAAUAAUGAACUAUUGAUUUCUUUUUGAAUAAAAACUCUGUUUGUUGCUCAUUUUGUCACAAUUUUUGCUAAUUAAAAUAUGUAAAUGCGAUUUCUGUAAAUCAUUUAUGUAAAAUAUCAAUAUAAUUUUUUUUUUUUUUUUUGAUAAACAGCUUGCUUGGGAAAAAGACUAAAGCCAAAGCUUCUAGGAGGAAGGAUUGAGACUGGUGUAAGUUACUCUAACUUCAAUUUUAGUAUCUACCAUAUUUAAAUUUUGUUAUACUGUUAAAAGUCAAUUUUCUUUGGUUAUUCAUCUAGAAUGUUCCAGAAGCUAUAUACCAAGUUUUGGAACAGCCUCUAAGUGAAGAAGAGCUAAAAGGAAGAUCAGACAUACCACAAACACUUGAAGAUUUCAUGUCUGAAGUCAAAAGAAGCAAAUCAGACGCAAGAGAAUUUGCUCAAAAGCUUAAAGAAAUGGUGACAUUGAUGGAACAGAGAACAAGAACAGCUAAGAUCCAAGAGUAUCUAUACCGACACGUCGCAUCAAGCAGCAUACCAAAACAACUUCACUGUUUAGCUCUUAAACUAGCCAACGAACAUUCCAUAAACGCAGCCGCACGUCUCCAGCUUCCAGAAGCCGAGCUAGUCCCAACCUUGGUCGACAACAACUACUUUCACUUUGUCUUGGCUUCAGACAAUGUACUUGCAGCUUCGGUCGUGGCUAAGUCUCUGGUUCAGAACUCUUUAAGGCCUCAUAAGAUCGUUCUUCACAUUAUAACUGAUAGGAAAACUUAUUUCCCGAUGCAAGCUUGGUUCUCACUUCAUCCUCUGUCUCCAGCAAUCAUUGAGGUCAAGGCUUUGCAUCAUUUUGAUUGGUUAUCGAAAGGUAAAGUUCCGGUUUUGGAAGCUAUGGAGAAGGAUCAGAGAGUGAGGUCUCAGUUCAGAGGCGGAUCAUCGGUCAUUGUCGCUAAUAACAACGAGAAUCCAGUUGUAGUUGCUGCUAAGUUACAAGCUCUUAGCCCUAAAUACAACUCCAUGAUGAAUCACAUCCGUAUUCAUCUACCAGAGGUAAACUUGAUCCGUGUGACAGAGAAGAAUGCUCUGAACAUUAGACUUACAACUUCUUUGUCUUUGCAGUUGUUUCCGAGCUUAAACAAGGUUGUGUUUCUAGACGAUGACGUUGUGAUCCAAACUGAUCUUUCACCACUUUGGGACAUUGACAUGGAUGGGAAAGUUAAUGGAGCAGUGGAGACAUGCAGAGGAGAAGACAAGUUUGUCAUGUCAAAGAAGUUCAAGAGCUAUCUCAAUUUCUCAAACCCAAUAAUAGCCACAAACUUCGACCCAGAGGAAUGCGCUUGGGCUUACGGGAUGAAUGUUUUCGAUCUAGCGGCUUGGAGAAAGACUAACAUAACCUCCACUUACUAUCAUUGGCUCGACGAGGUAAAUCAAAACCACUAACUAGCCACAACAAACACUAUCAAGCACUAGUAGUCAACUUAACUCAGCCCAUUUUUCAUGUAUAUGUUGCAGAACUUAAAGUCAGACCUGAGUUUGUGGCAGCUGGGAACUUUGCCUCCCGGGUUGACAGCUUUCCACGGCCAUGUCCAGACCAUAGAUCCGUUCUGGCAUAUGCUUGGUCUCGGAUACCAAGAGAAAACGAGCUUCUCUGAAGCUGAAAGUGCAGCUGUUGUUCAUUUUAAUGGAAGAGCUAAGCCUUGGCUUGAUAUAGCAUUUCCGCAUCUACGUCCUCUUUGGGCUAAGUAUCUUGAUUCCUCUGAUAGGUUCAUCAAGAGCUGUCACAUUAGAGCAGCAUAAUAAUAAUCACAUAUCAAAACUCAAUUCACCGUUGGCUAAAAGAACCAGAGAAGAGAUUCAGAGAUCAACUCAUAGGAGCAUACUUUUCUGCAAUGGAGUUUUUACUUCACUGGUCAAGUUUCCCUCUUCCAGAUCAUGUUUUUGCAGUCUCUCCUGUUUCUAAUUCUUUUGUACUUCCAAACUCUAAUGGCGAGAAAGUAAUUAAAAAAACAUUCUAUAUAUUAAUGUAAGAACCAUCUGCCAAACUCUACUUAAAUUUACAUGUAAAUAGAUAACAUUGCACCAAGCAAUUGGAGUUUACAGUUGUUCAGCAGAUAACAGUUGUUCAUACGACCAUAACACGAUAAAACGAAAGCAACGAUAAGACUAAGAAAGCCGAGAAAGUGGAGAGCAAAACAAAUGGACUUUUCAUUUCUUUUUUCAGCGGAAGCAAGAAGCAAACCAGUCGAUGAUUUUUUUUCCUCCAAGUUAAGCAACUGGUGGACGAAGGACAUGAUCCUGAGAGGUAUCGACGGAAGCAGGAGGCAUGAACUGCCACAUGGCAACUCCUGGGUAACUGAUGAAUGGCACCAUCUUGUUUCCGGGAGCUUGGCCUUGCGCAGCAGAAGCAAAAGCAGUUGGCAUCAUAGGUGGAGCUGGGAAGAAGCUUGGUUGAGGAGCAUUCAUGGCUUUCAGCUGUUGCUCCAGCUUCUCUUUCUCUGUCUUCAGCCUCUGUUUCUCAUCUCGCAGCUCGUUUUUCUCAGUCUGUUCGAGAUUCACAAGGAAACUAGUAAGCAUGCAUGGUGAAAGUAUGGAUUCCCAGUCGAAGAAAAAUUUCUACCUUUAACUCUUUGAUUUUGUCCUGAAGACCUGAAUUGGUGUCCUUCAACUUCUGAGCUUCGCCGCGUAGCUGUGUCACCAUGCGGACAGCAUCGACCAAGAUUGCAGCCUUGUCUGUUUUGGGAGGGUUUCCAGGCUCCAGAAUUACACUUAAUUCCAUAAACCUGUUAUUCAUUUCAAAAGGCGAUAAACUUCAGUUCCUACAGUAGGGAAGAGAAGGAUAUACAAGUUGAAAAGAUUACUUGUCAUUCAGCCUGUCUCGGCGCUGCUUCUCUCUACAUGCUUUCGAGCUAGUGACAGAGGAUGAUUCACAUCUCGCCCUGCAAAAAAAGAAUUGACCAGGGAUUACUUUUUUUGAUACCUUAUCAACCUAAAAAUAUUCCAAGAAAGCCAAUAAUACAGAUCCACAGAAACAGUUAAAGAAUGAACUGUUUUGCAGAAGUUGCUAGAGUUACGUGGUCUUUUGAAAAAAGGUGCAACAGGUGGAGUUUAUAAGAAGAAGGCUUACCUCUUUUUGGAGCCAGGUUCCUUGCUGGCUUCUGAAUUUCCAGCCGAACCAUCAACUCCCGCGCUGAAUCCAACAAGAACCAAAAAGUUAUAAUUACAAUGCAAACAAUCCAAGGGAACUUACCAUAAAUCCCUCAAACACUCAUUUAUCUAAAAGUGGAAGCUCAAGAACUUACAAAUAUGCUCAUCUUCAAGGAAGAAAAGACGAAUCAUUAAAAAAAAAACAUUGACAUGGUAAGGUCAAACUAGCAACUCAGAUGGAAAGGCACUAUCCACAAAAGGAAUCUAAUUCCCACAAAACAAAGUGAUAGUUAUGAAUCGAUUCCCGAACCAAGAAACAUGUCAGGCACACACGCAAACAAGUUGACUUUGAGAUAAACAAACACCAGAACUCUCCUGAAGACUUAGGGCCUGACUGGUUUAACCGCAGAGGUUGCGGUUGCGGUUGCGGAAGUUUGCGGAUGCGGAUGGUUGCGGUUUCUAGCGGUUUUAAGAGAUUUGUACGACUGGUUAUGCGGUUAGAAAUUUGUGCGUUUGCGGGAUACUUAUGACUGGUUAACUACCAAAUGCAGCAGCAGUUAAAUAAUAAAUUAACAAUAUUUACAUUUUAUACAAUUAUAAAAAUAUCAAAAAUAAUAAUAUUAUAAUAAAUAUAAAAUUUAUAUUUAGAAAGUUAUAGUUUAAAUUUUUUAAAAAUAUAGAAAAUAUUUUUAUUUUAAAGUUUUAUAAUAUUAAUUAAAAUUUAAUUGAUAUAUUUUAGCAUUUUUAUAAUUUCAGUUUAAUUUUUUUAUUGAAUUUUUUUAUUUUUGUAUUUAUAUUGUUUUGGAAAAAAAAUAAUUUUUUUUAUCCUCCCGCAAACGCCCGCAACCGCAAACGCUAGCUGGAACCAGCUUUUGAAUUUAUGAGGUUCAGAGCGAUUUGGAGCGAUUUGGAGCGGUUUAGAGCGGUUUGAGCGAUUGUUGCAAAACGCCAGCAACCGCUACCAACCGCAAAAGCUGCGUUUGCGGGUGGUAGCGGGAAAACCAGUCAUACCCUUAAUGUCAUUAAAACCAACUGCAAGGAUACCUCACCAGCUUAAAGAGUCAACCUUUAAGCUUAAAAUGAAUCUUUCAGAUGACAAAGAAAGUAACAAUAAGAUCUCAGUUUCUUUCUCAACAACCUACUCAAACAAUCCCACAAGCUUAACAACUUAGCCAAUCAAAUUACAAAUUUCAAAUUCCAUAAUUUAACUUUCAUUUCUUCAGAAAACCCCUGAAAAAUAACAUUUUUAGGCCGAAUAUGCCAACUUGUGCGCAAGCAAUUAGGGUUCCCUUUGAUCAAAUUGCACACUCGCAUCACUAUACUGAUUCCUCCCAAAUGAAUCAGAAGCUGGUAAGAUCAGAUCGGAACCCUAAUUGAAUCAGUUAGAGAGAAGAGAAACCUGGAGUUAGAAGAAACGGCAAGAGGUUGGUGAACGGGCCAAGAGAAACCAGGACCUUGGAUGGUGAAGCCUCCAUAGUCCGCAUCGAUCAGGUCGGAUAUCCAAUUAGCGUUUUCGGGUGACACCAUCUCCUCCUCAAAACUCCACCGGUGGAUCGAUUUCUUCCGUUAAAAUUUGAUUGGAGCUGAAGAAAAAGAGAACUGUUGGAGGAGACCAAGUGUGGAAUAAUCCCAGGAGAUUUAGAGUUGUUUUCACGCGCAUUGCUUCUUCUCUUUUGGGCUUUCAAGGCCCAUACAUUUAUAUAACACUCAUAUUUUUGUAUUUUCUUUAUUUUAAUUUAUACUGUAAUUUAUAUUUGUAUAUAGAAAACCAUUGAUAUUCAGAGUACGUUCAUGCCUUGAAUAUUAAAAAUAUAAUUUUUCAUUAGUAUAUUAGUAGAUUAGUGAAAAAAUCAUAUAUAACAUCUUCAUAAAACGGUUCAGUAUAUGAAAAUACAUCUCUUUAAGGCAUAAGUAAAAUUGUUAAAUGUGAAUUUUUAUAAAGUAUGUAGAGUAAUUGGUUUAUAAUUCUCAUACUUUAUUAUAAAUAAAUACAUAUUAAAAUUAUUUUUAUAUAUGUUACUGUUACAUCAUCAUAUAUUUAUUGAAAACAAGAGUUAAAACAAACACCUAACUUGUUUUUGGUUAAAUCAGAAUGUUUGAAACUAAGCUUCCCAAAAUAAUAGCAUUCAAUUGAUAAAAUCUAGUGCUUCCAAAGACAAUGUCAAAAUAGAUAUGCUCGACACAAUUUCAGUUUUGUCAAAUACAAUUAUGCAGUAGAAAUUAGUAAUCAUAGUUCAACAAAAAUGAAUCCUAGGUAUGGACUAUGUGAUGAGCAAUAAACUCUAAACUGUAUUUUUUUUUAAAAAAAAUAGAAGUAUAUUUUUAUGGCGAGCCCAAGUUAUUUUGAAUUAACCCUUAUUUGAAUUUACUAGGUGUUUUUAAAAAUAUAUAAUUAAAUUAUAUUUCGAAAUUUAUAAUGCCAUAUUUGAAUAUAUUUAUUUUAAAGAUGAUUUAUGAGUUAUUCUUAUAUUCUAAAAAAAUUUCCAAAAUAUAAAAUUACAUUAAAUGUAAUAUAUGAGUUAUUACCAUAUUUUAAAAAGUUUACCAAAAAUAUAAAUUAACAUUAAAUGCAAUUGUCCAUGUCAUAUUAAACUAUAAGACAUGUCAUCAAUUUCAGUAGCCAUGUCAUAUUUGUUUUGUAAAAUUGAUUGUACAAAUGACAUGUGGCAAAUUUACUUUGCAAAUAUAAUCUAGGUGAUUUGAAUAGCAUGUGUUUUUCAAUAUAAAUUGUAACAUAUGACAUCUUACAUUCUUAUUUGAUGUGAAAUUAAUUCUCAUCUGAAGAGCAUAUUAUUCUCAAUAGGAAAUGAAUGUGACUUUUUACACAAUUAUUAAAUGAUAUAAGAGUUUUACAGAUCCAUAACUAUAUAUUACUAUUUCUCAGCUGGUUUUAGUUUUAUAUUCGUUUACUAACUAGUGUAUUGUUUUUUUUUUCUCUGCUUAUAUAUAAAUUUAUAAUGAUUUCUGAUCAGGUUGGUUGUAUUUGUACCGAAAUUUAUUCGAGAACAUGCAUGGUGUCGUUUUGUCGUGAUCUAGGAGAGAUCACAUUCUUCUGCUUCCUCGCAUCCAUACAUGGAAGUUCCAUAAGGAAUUAUUCCAAAAUACUACGAAUAUAUACAUAAAUAUAACAUAUAUGUUUUUUUUUACUAAAAGGUAAAUAUCAUAUAAAUGAAAGAAAAUUUACAAGCAUUGUAGAUCUAGAUUAUGUUACAUCCUUGGCAAAAAAGAGAAAAAAUAAGGUUGCAACAAAAUUGUAGAUGAGAAGACUAAUGUCAUCGCAGCCACUUAGCCAUAAGGGUGAGGAAUUGUUUCCUACCCCUCCUUGCUGUUAUGGUGUUGCGCAUUUCCCUGUCGAUGAGCUUGAAUAUGGCGGUGGGUGGCAGGACAAGGUGGUUGUGCAACACAUUGUUUCUUUGUUUUCAAAGAUGGUAGAUAAUAUAACAUAUAUGUUAGUCCGGCGUUAUCUUAAGUUAUAUAGAGUUGCUCUGAAUGUAAAAUUUCAAACGAGGUUCAACAAGCAAACACUCCAACGAUGUAACAUGGUGUUUUUACGUAUUGGUUUCAUUGAUAAGUACAGUACAUAACAUAUUCUAGACACAUACAUGAUACAUGAAUAUCAGUAGCAAUUUUUAUGUCCUUUUACAAAAAAAAAAAGUAAAUAUUUUUUCUUGCUUUAAGAUAACAUUGGUAUUUAACUAUUCAACUAGCAUUGCAAAUAUAAAUAUAUUUGUUAGUGUCAAAAUUUUUAAAAUGUAAAUAUAAGAUUCCCAUGACAUCUCAGGUUCAUAUAAAAACUGCUAUAUAGAGGGAUAAAUUAUAAUAGCACCUCUUCUGUUUUAUUUAUAACAAAACUAGUUAAUUCUUAAAUUAUAGCUGUAUAACAACGAAUAAUAGCAUUUUUCAAAAAAAAGAAACGAAUAAUAGCAUCCUGAGCUUUUCGCAUUCGAUAAAAUUUUGCAUAAAUGUAUCACGUAGAAGUCAACUUAUUUUCUUCGGAAAAGCUAAAUUGAUAAAUAGACUUAUCAACUACUGCUCAGGGGAUAUCCAUAGAGACCGUGGGUAUAUCCUCUUAAUAUAUUAUACUAAUCUAUUAGCAAAUUUCUAUCAUGUUUUUUAUAUGUCAUCGUCCUUCUUGUCUUGAUAUCUUUUAUAUAUAGUACAUACACAAAUGUAAUCAUAUACAAAGUAAUUACAGGGGAGAUGAUCCUCUUCUUCUUAUUAUAAGCUUCCACUACUAUUAUUUGAAGAAUCACAAAAAAACUAUUCCAACUACAUUUAGUUUGAUUAAAUAAUUUAUGCAAAGGUGACGUUAUAUACCAACUUGAGUAUCUUAUCUAUGAUAAACUUUCAAUAUUCUGAAUCAAAUGUAAUAUCAUAUGAGUGUUCUAUAUAUUUUAGAGUUUGACUUAUUCCGUUACCAAGUUCCGUGGAACGGUGGAAGCAUGAAUUGUGCCACUAGUGCUCCAGAUGUUUCUUAGUUUACCUUAUCCACUAAUAGGAAUUCAAGAGCAGUUGACUAUAUAAAUCAUACAAAUAAUUUAUGUACUUUCUAGGCAACAUUCAUUCUUUAUAUUCUCAUUAUAUCUGUAAUUUGUAAAGUUUGAUUUGAUUUGGUAUCCUUUUCUAUUCAGUCAAAAAUUUUGGAUAUGUGUAACUUUAUGGAGAAAAAUAACUAAUAAUUUGUUAUAUUUAUAAAAAAAAUCACAAAUAUUAAUAUUUUUAAAGUGAAUUUUCAUUUUGACAUGUUAUAUGCAUAUGUAUGUAAAUUUUUUAUAUAGAAAUUACAAUUAUUAUAUUUUAAUGUAUUUUAAUUAUUACAUUUUAAUGUAAAUUUUUAUAAUAUUAUCAUUUAUUAAAUUGAUUAUAUAUUACAAGAUUAUUCUAAAAGUAAUUAAAAUAUUGUUAUUUUAUAUUAAUCUGGAUUUAAAAUAAUAAUUUUAUUUAUCAAAUCAGAUGUUCAGUCAAAAUAUAUAUUUUCAGAUAUUAGGAGACUACAUAAUUGGAUGGUGGAAUAGUUGCGGAGCGGAUACAGACUAAUUAGCCCAGAUAAACCUUACCACUCCAUAUUAACAUUCAUGGAUAGACACGAAGGGUUCAAAUGGUCGUAUAAGAAAUUAAGGAGAAUAGUCAAUUUCUGAUCAUUCUUUAAAAAUUAUACUAUUUAUGAGAAAUUUUUUAUGUGUUUAGUUCCUUGUCAUUUCUUGAAUUUUAAGGAAUUAUAGAAAAAAAUAUUUUUUAUCAAAAUUGAUGUGGAACAAAAAGAAUAAAUAUUUAUUUUCAUUUUUUUAUUUUGUUCCUAUUCAUUUAUUUCUUACUCAUUCAUGUUUUUAUUUUAAUGGUCACCGGUUAGUGUUGUAGUAAAUUUUCGAAUUUAUAGAGAUAUUUUUUGUUUUGUUUAUAAAAUAAGAAAUACGACGGUGGAACAUUGAAAUACUAUACAUGUAUGCUGUGUUUUGUGUGAUAAUAAUGGUAUUCUAAUUACUAAAUGUUAAAUUAUUGGUAUCACAUUUUUUUUUUGUAAAAAGCAUUAUUUAUCAUGGUUUUUUUUUGUCAAUGGUAUAGACACAUGCAACGUCACUAAAAACGGUACAUUUCCAUGCAUGACUUAAAAUAGUUUGGUAAGUUUCUUUUCAACAGGAAAGUAUACUAAUAUCAACUGUCAAUUUUGAGAUCAUAGAGUAUGAUCCUAUCACUAUCAAUUUUUCCCUUUUCUCAAAAAAAAAUCGCACACGAAUACCACAAACUGUACAAAUCGAAAUGAACCUAUUGAUAAUACAAGUUGAAUUGAUUGUAAUGAGAGCCGUGCUAAAGUUGGUGAACGCCAUAACCAAGUUCUGACAAAAAUACGAACAAGUAAACAUUGUAAUCUAAAGUAAGAGUAUAAAAUUGAUGUUUCACAACUUUUAGUUCAGAACAACCAUAAUCAUUAGUCUCGAUUUUUUGAUCAAAUAUUAACAUUAGACUUUUACACCAGGUUAAUUGAUCAAUAACAAAGAGAAAUUAAUAUUUUGAACCCCAGAAAAAAAAAUUGAAUCCAAACACAAGCUAAACCAAACAACAUGUAUAUAAAAAUGCUAAACCAAACUAUACAGAUUACAACCAAAAGGUCUUUGUGUUUUCCCGUUAGAAUCAUCUCAUCCUUCCAUCCAAAAGUACACACAUUCAUGUAAUUAACUUAAGAGAAUGAUAUGCCUUCAAAACCUUACCACUCCAUAUUAACAUUCAUGGAUAGACACGAAGGGUUCAAAUGGUCGUAUAAGAAAUUAAGGAGAAUAGUCAAUUUCUGAUCAUUCUUUAAAAAUUAUACUAUUUAUGAGAAAUUUUUUAUGUGUUUAGUUCCUUGUCAUUUCUUGAAUUUUAAGGAAUUAUAGAAAAAAAUAUUUUUUAUCAAAAUUGAUGUGGAACAAAAAGAAUAAAUAUUUAUUUUCAUUUUUUUAUUUUGUUCCUAUUCAUUUAUUUCUUACUCAUUCAUGUUUUUAUUUUAAUGGUCACCGGUUAGUGUUGUAGUAAAUUUUCGAAUUUAUAGAGAUAUUUUUUGUUUUGUUUAUAAAAUAAGAAAUACGACGGUGGAACAUUGAAAUACUAUACAUGUAUGCUGUGUUUUGUGUGAUAAUAAUGGUAUUCUAAUUACUAAAUGUUAAAUUAUUGGUAUCACAUUUUUUUUUUGUAAAAAGCAUUAUUUAUCAUGGUUUUUUUUUGUCAAUGGUAUAGACACAUGCAACGUCACUAAAAACGGUACAUUUCCAUGCAUGACUUAAAAUAGUUUGGUAAGUUUCUUUUCAACAGGAAAGUAUACUAAUAUCAACUGUCAAUUUUGAGAUCAUAGAGUAUGAUCCUAUCACUAUCAAUUUUUCCCUUUUCUCAAAAAAAAAUCGCACACGAAUACCACAAACUGUACAAAUCGAAAUGAACCUAUUGAUAAUACAAGUUGAAUUGAUUGUAAUGAGAGCCGUGCUAAAGUUGGUGAACGCCAUAACCAAGUUCUGACAAAAAUACGAACAAGUAAACAUUGUAAUCUAAAGUAAGAGUAUAAAAUUGAUGUUUCACAACUUUUAGUUCAGAACAACCAUAAUCAUUAGUCUCGAUUUUUUGAUCAAAUAUUAACAUUAGACUUUUACACCAGGUUAAUUGAUCAAUAACAAAGAGAAAUUAAUAUUUUGAACCCCAGAAAAAAAAAUUGAAUCCAAACACAAGCUAAACCAAACAACAUGUAUAUAAAAAUGCUAAACCAAACUAUACAGAUUACAACCAAAAGGUCUUUGUGUUUUCCCGUUAGAAUCAUCUCAUCCUUCCAUCCAAAAGUACACACAUUCAUGUAAUUAACUUAAGAGAAUGAUAUGCCUUCAACUUCACACAUCUUUCUGUUUCUCUCAUCCAAGACUCAAACGAUCCAAUGGUUUAAUGAUGUUAGUCUGCCUACGCGGAGUUCCAAUCUCACAAGCAUUCACUCUCGCUGCGAAUCUCAGAGAGCAGAGAGACUCACCGGUUGAAGAAGAUUCAGGCGCAAUGUUUACAAACAUCAGAGUCUUUGAGUCACCGCCUAAGCAAGGCUGAAUCAUUACAAACGAAAACAUAGUUUCAUCAUGAGAAGAAACAUAAUCUUUUGAUAAUAUGUGUGUUUUGUAAAGUAGUAAGUACCUGGAGAAGAUAAGUCAGCUUCGAGUUACGGAAUGGAACAUGAUCAUCUUUCUUUGCUAAGGCGAAGAUGACAUCACCAAGAGACGACAAGCUUUUGUUGAUUGCCUAAAAAAAGAAAUGUUUUCUAAGCUACAAUUGCAAUUAAAAGGCUUAAAUUGUGUUUUUAUGUUUUUUGAAGAGAGCUUACUUGAGUUUCUUUAAGUCUAUCUCCGGUUGAUCCACUCUUGGACAAACGCUCACUCCCUGCAAGAUCAAUCAGGUUCAAGACCCCUUGAACUUGCUGCUCAGUGCUCUUUAAGAAGAAGAACACAAAAAAAAACAGUUUGGUUUAUUACACAGAACAGAAGUCAAUCUCUACAAGAAAAAGAACCAGUUUGGUUAAUAGAUACCUCGUUGACACCUGAGAUUCUUAACGUGAAAACGAAAUGGCUUCUUGAAGACUGCUCGUUCAUCUGAGUCUUCCCCACCGAUCUAAAAGAAAAAGAAAAGAAAACCAACGUUUAUAAAACCAUAACCCAUCUGUUAAUGGGUUUUUCACUUUUAGCUGUUCACCUGUUACGAGCAGCGUGAUCCAAGAGGAAUGAAACCUCUCUGGAGCUUUUAACAUCCAAGAUAGUAAGCUCAGCGACAUGUGUGUUCCCAUGAGCAUCAUGUUUAAUAGCAUGUUUCUGUGGAGAUACACCAUUGUCUGUUCGCACUGCUUCUUUGUUUGUCGACAAGAGAUCUCUGAUCGUUUCAUUGUAAAUCUCCAACAUAGAAACCUAUGCACAUGAUACAAGACUAGGUAAAGUUACAUAUCAAUUCUAACCACAAGGAUGUAUCUUGCUUAGUGCUACUUACCUGCAAUUCGUACUUCCAACCUUGAGAUCUAAGAGACUGCCUCGUUUCGAAUAUUUGCUCCAAACAUCUUGGGAUCAGACCUUUCUCCUCAGCAUUCCCUGGCUUACCCAUCAUUGUGUAAGUCUUACCCGAACCGGUUUGUCCAUAUGCAAAAAUGCACACCUGCAAAAUGAAUUAGUAUCAGCUUAAUGCAACAAACAGACCAAUUGGUCUAGUGGUAAGGAGUGUCUAGUAGGCACUCCGCCACUAGGUUUCAAUACUUACAUUGCUUGGGUUUCCGGCAAAGAGGUGAAACCACUUUUUUUUCUUAGCAAAAAAAAAUGCAACAAAAAGAAUAUUAGUUUCCAUUUUCAUUACCUUGUAACCAUCGAGAGCACUUUGAACAAGUUGAGAGAUCUCUAUGAAAACGUCUUCUUGUGUUGUAUUAGGCAGACACACCUUAUCAAAUGUGAACGAAUGCUUUUGCGCUGUCCAUAGCCGAAAACACACAACAACAAAUGUUUAAAAUAAAAAAAAACUGUGUCAUUUCCGUAAGAGCCAGAGUUUUAUAUUUAGUUUCAUACCAUUUUGCAUCAAGUCAAUACCGCGACCAAGUAGUUCUAGAGAUGCAGGGUAAGAAAUGGUCUUCCCCUCAUCACCGUUGUUCUCUCCUGGUAAUAGAGGUCUAACUCUACAGAACACACGUAUGUUCCCUUUCAGUUCCUGCAAGAUGAAACAAAAAAAACAAUGAUCAGACAAAAGCUUACACAAAUGGUGGCAGAGGUUACUUAAAGAGGAUCAUACAAGAAUAGUAUUGUGUAGCUUCUUCCUUAGUUUCUCUCCUUCAACGAGUUUAAGCUCUGCUUCUUCCACGCGGCUUUUGAGAUCGAUAAUGGUUUGCUUCUGGUCUUCAAACUCGUUCAUUUUCUCAAAUGUAGUUAGAUCAGACAUCUAAUAAACCAUCAACAAAUAAAAAAUGGUAUCAGAAAACUUGGAAAAAAUAUAAUGCAGCCACUUGAGAAAUGUGAUGAAACCUGAAGUCUCCUAUCACAAGAUACUAGUCGGUCUUGCAACUCCUGUAUCUGGUUACUCUGGGAAGAACAAGUGGUCUGCACCAAAAAUUUACCAUCAUCUUAGUAGAAAACAUUCGGCAGUAGAUCUUGGUAAGAAAAUAUGAAAGGAUAUCAAAACCUCAAGCUCAGUUAUAGUGUCUUUGAAAUCAUUGUACUUGUUUGCUUCUGUUUGUAAGGUUUUUAACUCCGUUAAAUGGUGAUCACGUUCAUCUUUAGCCUGCUGAAGCUCCACCUUGAGGCUCGCAAUUUCGUUUACCAGUUCAGCUUUCUGCUUCAUUAUAUCAUCUUGAGAGGCCUAGCAAACAGAAAAACAAGACACACAGUCAUAUUCUGAUGACUAGUAACAUAUAUAUAUUCCAAAAGUAAGAUUUUCUAGAUUUUUUUUUUUUGUUGUAUAAAGAUAUAUUUAUAAUUUUAAUGUACUUUUAUUAAUUGAUGUUAAUGAAUUGUAUGCUUCUAAUGAACACUAACUGCCAAUAUUUCAACUGAGUAAAUCUUAUUGGUUUACUGUUACUGGAAACUGCUAGUAUAUAUAAAUCAUAUAGUAAUUAUAAACAUUUGUUACAUUUUAAUAUGCUUGAAAACUGUAGUGUCUUUCUUUUAUGAACGGAAGGAGUCCUAUCUAUUGGUCGAAUUAAAAUAGAGAGUAUGAAACACCUUAGAAGCAGCAAGCUGAUCCUGCAAUGCUGAGAAUUGACCCUUCAAGUUGCCAAUGUUCUCAACUAUCUCAGUCCUUUCUUUCUCGCCGCGUUUUAUAGUUUCAUGAGCUUCAUCAAGAUCACCUUGUAGCUUGCUGUUAUACAGCUGCAAGCUUGAGUUAUACUCUUGCAACAGUUUGUACAUGUCAUUCACAGAUUGUAUCUGAACAAAACCCCACAAAAAAAUGUCAUUAGGUGACAUCAUUUUUAACAUUUCAGAUCUUCUUUUUUUUAGUUUCCUCACCCUUUGAUUAGCAGUUUGAAGCUCUCCUUGUGCUUUUCCUAGCUCUUCUGUGAGUCCAGACUGUGCCUUUUCAACAGCAUGUCUUGCUUCUUUCUCUUUUACAAGAGAAUCAUUUGCAGCCUAAAAGCAAAUUAAAACAUCAGACAACAAGUGUUUAAUUUUUAACUAGAGACUAGCAGCUGUCUUACCAACUUCUCUGUCUGUUCCUUGGCAAGUUGAAUUUGAGCAGAUUCAAAAUUCUUCCUCAGUUCCUCAAUGAUCAUAUUCAGCUCCUCUUCUUUGUUUUUCAAGCUAGCCUCUGUCAUCAAAUUGCAAUAAUUUUGAAGUUUCAAUCCCAAAACUUCAACAAACUAAAAUCUAAUUUUUAAAACGCACCCAUAUCAGCACAAUGCUUCUCAUUCAAUACCAAAGCGUUCUUCAACUUCUCUUGCUCAAAAGCGUAGUCCAACUCCAGUUCUUGAAACCAUCUAAUGCAAAGUCUAAGUCUUUUUAUAUAUUCCAUCAUGUUCUCACAUCUCUCCUGCAAAACCAACCACCAAACCAAGGAGAAAAUUCAAAAUUCUCAGACCAAAAAUGGUCAAACACAUAAACAAAAAGUCUUUAAUGCUCAUAUCAAACAGACAAAAAACUAUUUUGUCCCCACAAGUUGUCUUAUAACAUUUCAAAUCUUCUUCAACACCCAACAGAUCCAAUGAGAAAAGCUAGUAAAUCAAACUGAAAAUUAAAGCAGAUCAUAAAACAAAGUCUUCAAUGCUAAUGCCAACUAAAGGUCCCACAAAAUGUCUUAUAACAAUCAAAUCUUCUUCAAAAUGAACCAACAAGAAAAGCCAGUAAAACUAUUUAAAACUCAAAACUUCUUUAAUCAAGAUUUAGUAACUUAAACUCUUUGGUAUUAAGAAUCCUAAUUGAUAUGCUUAUCCAUGACCACAACACAAUCAAAUUCAAACAUAAGUCAUAAUACCAAACACCUAAAAGAAAAAAAAAGAAAGAAAUAUUCAGUGAGCGUGCAAACAAAAGAAGAAACCUUGUAGUUGAACUUGCUCUUGUACUUGAUUCGCUCAUUAAGAAGAGCUUCAACGUCUUCUCUUGUGAACUCAACCUGACCACAUUCAGAUCCCGCCGUGCUCACCGGAGCACUGUCCGGCGUCAGAUCUUUAGACCCAUUCGCCACCGGAAAAGCUGACCGGAUUCUUCCAUUGCUUGCCAUCGUCCCCACCAUAACAGAGGAAGACUUGUUCUCUCUUCUUGUUAAUUAACUACUUCUCAAGUCUCUCUCUUUUCUACCAAUCAAAGUAUAAACCUGCAACAAAGGGUAGAGAUCUUUAGACUUAAAUGUAAAUGAUAAAUUGAGUAAAAAGAUUUAAAUGAAGGAAAAGGAAGGAAACCCGUGAAGAUGGUGUAACUAAACCAUUGAUUUGAACGAGAAACAGAGCAUUUUGAGGAUAAAGAUUGAGACUUUAAGGGAGAAGGAUGAAAAGUAAAGAAACCCACUGAUCUUAAAGAAUGGAUGUGGAAGACAUGUUCAGAUUUGUGAGAGCUGUUGAGAGUGGAGGAACACGAAAUAUUGAAAAGAGAGGAUCUUUGAGCAUUUAAGAAGGUCUUUGUAAUAAAGGAUUUGGGUUUAGAAAUGGAGGCACGUUUCAGUUCUGUUCUUCUGGUCUCUUCUUGCUGCUGCUGUGGCAACUUGUUUUCUAUAUUUGUUGGUUUGAAUGUUCAAAGAGAGAGAGGUGAGAGAGAUGAACGUGGGGCCGUUGAUUGGAUCUGAAGUCACCCGAGGUGAUGCAAUCACAGCCGUUGCUUUGUUAAGCAGCAAACAGAUGGACCAAAGGGCAGUGUGGGUAAGGUAAGUGGACUUGAUUAUGACUUUAAUCCAUACAUCCAAAUAAUUAGUUAAUCUAUAUUAGUAACACAGAAAACGUAACAUUCCUCAAGAUCAGGAUUUUAUGUCAAGAAAAAAAAUAAACAAUAGUUUGCAAAAUAUUCAUUAUGAAAAAUAUUUUCUAAAUUGUAAAAAUGAUUCAUCUAGGAUUUUUUCUUCAGUUAAAAAUUAGUUUACACAAGUGUUUAUUUGUAUUUUCUUUCCAAACAGAUUUUUAAAAAUAUUUUUAAAAUAUGUAUCUAAUAAAUAGAACACACAAGUAAAAACCAUAUUCAUAAUAAAGGUUAAGUGAUAUAUAUAUAUAUAUAUAUAUAUCAAAUUUUUGUAAGUUAUUUUAAAUAUCAUUAUUUAUGUUUAAAUUUCAAAAUUAAGAAUUUUAUAUUAUGUUGUAAUUUAAUACUCCAUCUUUUUUUAUUUGGCAUUGUAGACUUGUACACACAAAUUAAAAAAAUAUUUAAUUUUGUAUAUUUCAUAUACAAAAACAUCAUGAACUAUACACUUAACCAUAGUUCAACCAAUUAGAAAAAUAAACUACAUAAUAUAAAGAGUCAUAUAACAUGUAAAGUUAAUAGAUUUUGUAUUAAAUUUUAAAAUGUCAUUUACUUUGAAAUAUUAAAAAAUUUCUAAAACGUUAUUUAUUUAUUUUCUUAAAGGAAAAAUCAGUUAUUAAAAAUGAAGAGAAUAUUGUUUAGUACACAUUUUGAUAUUUAAGAGAAAGGAAAAAACUCAAAAUGAGUCAAAGCCCAAAAAUUUAGAUGGAAUCUUCUUGUUUGGUUUUAAUUUUUAAACAAGAUGUAAAAUACGUUACCAUAUGCUGUCUCGGUAAUCUCACAUAUUUAAAACGAUUUAAGAACAAAAAUUAAGAAAAGCUAACAAUAACGUGUCGGCAAAAUGUGAUAUGUCAACAUUUUUAGACAAUAGAUUCCUUUCAGGAAAAAUGGAUAUUUUAUUUUACCGAAAUUACCCUUAGCAUCGUUUCAAAUUGCUAAAAGUAGUCACGUUUCUGGUUUGAAAAGGUAUGGGCUAAAAUUGUCCGAAUGAAAAAUUGUCUUUUGUCGUAUAGUUCUUUAGAUUCUGUCUCGAACCCUGACGGGAUGUCAAAUUUCAUGUGAAACUCUUAUGGUCCGAGGGGUCCGAGGAGCAAGCUCUAUUGGCAGUUGAAAUAUCGUCGUUGAUGAGGUUAUGAAAUUGACGUAAUUGAAUACUCUUAAGCAUUGAAUUAAAACGACAUUUUAUGGUAAGAUCAUAUUACUAUAGCUUUGGGGGUUCAAAAAAGGUAAAUUGUAUGAUGUCAAGAAAAGAGGGUAAAAUGUAUAUCAUUUUAUAUAUCAGCAAUUCAAAAUAAAUAAAUAAAUGUUGCUUUUUUGGUUAGUUAAUGGUUGACAAAGAAUCAUUUAGUGCAUUCGAGACUCACUAUAAUCAUUUUUAACUUUAUACACUCUAGUUACAUUCUUAAAGUUAGCAAUUAUUUUGUCUGUUUAGCACCAUAGUGUUGCAAACUUUUUUAUUCACCUUUUACAAUUUGAAGCCAUUAUGUAACUAAUUUUUUGAUAAUUGAGAUGGGUUUUGAACUUUGCGCAUUUUAUACGGAUAUUAAAAUGAAAAAAUAUAUGUACCUGGAUAACGCACACAAUGAUAGGGAUGAGUUCGUAUAGCCAUUCGGGUUCGGAUCGGAUAUAAAACCCGUUUGGAUUUUUCAGACCGGGUUCGGGUAUUUUUAGUUCGACUUUGGUUAUUUUGGGUCGGAUUCAGAUAUUUUAGAGUUUGAAAGAAAAAAUUAAAAUUUUCAUUUUUAAGUUUUUUGUAUUUAAAAAUAUAACUUUCACCUAACUGAUUUUUUUAUCUUUAAUAAAUUGAAUGAUUAAUAGAUUUAGAGAUAACAUUUCAAAAAUAAAAAAACAAUAUUUUUAAAUUUUGGAUGUAACUUUUGUUAAUACAUGAAAUAUAAAGUUUGACAUGCAUUUUAGGUAAGUAUCAAAUCAUUUUGUCCGUAAUUAUAUGUAAAUUAUAUGAUUUUAAAGUAUAUGUAACAUCAAUAUAAAAUAUUUUAAAUAAAAUAAGAGAUGUAAACUAAAAAUAUAAGGUUGAGUAUACACAUGUUCGGAUAUCUAUUCGGGUUCGGAUAUUACCGUUCAGAUUCAAAUAUCUAAUAUUUUCUAAAUCAAUAUCCGCUUAGGUAUUUUACUAUUUCCAUUUGGUUUUUAGUUCGAGUUUUUUGGAUCAGGUUCGGAUACAGGUUCGGUAUCGGAUAAAAUGUCCAGGUCUGCAUACUGAUACUACUUCAUGCAAAGGUGAUUAAUAGGGUGAUGCAAGGAUCUCGCCAAAUCUGAAAUAGUCAAACUGUAUCCUGUAAAUUACAAUAAACUAAUAUAAUUAAAUGUAUUAGAUUGCGUUUUUCUAUUAAAAUCGUGGCUUCGAAUGUCAAGUUGAAAUGGUCUGGAAAUCCAAGUUUGCUAACUGGUAUAAUAUCUUAAUAUAAAAUGCGUUUCGUUGUGAACAAAAGAAAUGCGUUUCGUAGUUAUAUUUAUAAUUUUAAUGAUUUGUGGUCUGCAUGUAGUUUGUAUUUGGAAUUUUGUUGUUCCAGGAAAUGGUCUACAGAUUUUUUAUAAUAAUUAAAAUACUAAUUUGAUUCCUGGUUCCUGGUCGUAAUAUGUUUUAAUCUCAUUUACAUUUAAUCGUAUUUUCUCCUUAGUUUAAGAAUUUGUUUCAUAUAAUUUAUUUCUUUGCGUCAAAUGGGUGCCAAGUAUAUUUUCCCUUUUUCUUUACAACUUUAUUAUAACGUGAAUUUGUUCAUACUUCAGUGUUAAGCCAUGAUUUUGUACUCCCACUCAUCUAAUUGAAUCAAAUUAUAUACUAAGUAUUAUAUCUUCAGAAUCUAAAAUAAACCAUGUAUAACAUGAAAUCGUGAUAUAUAGUUAUAGACAGUCAUUUGAAAUUGUCAGAAAAUGGAUUUUAAAAAAAGCUCUCAGAAAACUAAAAUCCGUCAUUUGAAAUUCUUAUCUUAUAUAUUAAAACAGAAGUCACAAUCUUCAUUCAUGUGUGAUUUUUUUUAAAAUGGACCUAAUGGAUCUAUUCAUAGAAAUUCAUACUAUAUUUUAAUUCAGACUAAUAAUAAAUAUAAUUUUAAAAAUAUUUUAAUCAUAGUAUCUUUUGAUAUCUUUUCAUUUUAAAUAUAAAUAUAUUUAUUUUAAAAUUCUAACAAAUCUGUUUAAGAAGAUUUUUACAAGAUCUUCAUUUUUGAAGUAUUUAAAUAUUUUCACUAAUUUCAAAAUUAGUUUAAAAUAUUAUUAUACAUUAAUAUAUUCAGUUAUAUAAAAUGAAAAAUAAAAAAUCUAUAAUAUUUUAGUUAUUAUAUAAUCAUAAUCAAUCAUAUUAAAUUAAAAUUAUUAUAUUGAUCUAAAUAUAAUAAAAUUGUAUUAAAUUUAUAUAUUUAUAUAUUUUAUUUUCGUAAUUAUAAAAUAUUUAUGUUCAAAAAUAAAAUCUAAUAUGUUGGUAAGAUGGGUUAACAUUAUCAAACUAUAUAAUACAUGUAUAAAAAUUAACAUGUAUUUCUUUAAAGUUAAUAAUAUGAAUAUAUUAAUUUGCUUAAUAACUAAAUGCAAAUACAAUAAGAUAAAUAUAUAAUAAGAAGUGGCAAAUACAUAAGGUUUAAACAAUUAAUUAAUUAUAACAUGUAAAUUAUAAAAUUAUUGUAUUUGAAAUAGUUAUAUAAAUAUUUAAGUAUAUGAUUAACAUUAAAAAUAUAUACCACUUAUGUUCUAAAACAAUAAUUUAUGUAUAGAAAAGUGAAAACAAACACCCGUGCGGUUGCACGGGUCAAAAUCUAGUAUACAUUUAAACUAUUAAAUCCAAAAUAUAUGUCUAGACGUUUAUAUGGACAAACGGCAAGAUAAUGAUAUUUAUUCAGAAACUUGUUUUUAUUUUUGUUCGUGUACAGUUUUCUAUAUUAAAAUAGAAGUUAAGGAAGUGCACCAAACACUUCACAUGAAGAAAGGGUUGUUGCCAAAUCUUUUUUCAAUUUAUGGUCGAGAGCUCCAAAGUUUUCAUCGAAAGUCAUUUUCUCACAUCAAACCUAGACCUACUUCUUCGGUUAAAAACUUAGUCUAGUACUGUUCUGUUAUAUACUUAACUUGUUCCAUUAACGCACUAUGUCAUACUUUUUAAUAUAUGUAAUAGUAAUCACUCUUAUUUCAUUUUCUCCUAAUCGGUAUAUCGACCUCCCGCAUCUAUUAUAGAGUAGAAAAGUAACUACUGGAUCGUUGCGUUGGAAUGUAAGAGGGAAUUGCUAAGAUGGUGAAAAAUGUAUAUCAUGGGAAGAAUGUUCAGAUCUGAGAUGGAUUGUACUACUUUACAUUUAGUUUCUCUAUAAUCGUAAUUGAGUGUUUUCUUGAGUCUAGUUCCAUUCUCCAUAUGCCUAAACAGUCCACACUUUGAUCUAGAUUCAGUGACUUACUAUACUUGUUGCAGUUGUCCGUGUGUAUACGUGGAAAGAUAUUCGUCGAACAUAUCAAGCAAAAAGUAAUAAUAAUCGACAACCGUGAUAAAGCUGACAUUUAAUACUAAUAAAAAUGAAGAUCUACUACAUACCUCUACAAGUAGUUAUUGAUAUGAGACAACAAUUCGUUUGGAUUUUGGUUUUAUGCUCAACAGAGAAUGAAAAUGCCGAUGGAUAUUUGAAUUUAGUCACAAUUUUGUGGAAACAAGGGACUCAAUACUUUAUAAGAAUUGCUUAUAUUGGUGAUGAGUAAUGUCUACUACGUGUAACUUAAUUAAAUUUGCAAAUAGUUUUUUUCAACAGAUUUUCAAUAUAUCUAGUGAGAAAAUAGAAUCCAAUGCAUCAAUGUUGCCUGACCUAAAGACGCAUGUAGUUUGAGACAUACGUAAUUCCAGUAUGUUUGCGUCAAUUUGGUUACGUUGGUGAUUGAGUAUUCUACCUAUUAAGAAUGGUUCCUAAACCUAAUCAUAAUCUUAUUUUUGUUGUUGUUUUGGGUACAUUGAUUCAACGACCACAAACGUGAGUAAACUCAAUUUACCAAACCAAACCAAACUAAAACCGAACCGAACCAAAUUAAUUUGAAUUGACUUUUGUUAAUUUUUUCUUAGACCCACAUAACUCAAACCAAACCAAACUCAAACCAAGCCCGUAGCUAAACCGAAAUGCCCACCACCCCUAGUACGUACUAGAUUCAAUGACCACAAACGUGAGUAAACUCAAUUUGCCAUAUGUUUUGAUAUUCGCUGACCAUUUUCACCGGUUCCAAGAAACAUUGUGUUUACUGUCUCUGUCUGUAAGUAGAAGUACAAGUACGCUGAUACUGAAAUCAGGAGUUAGGAUAUAAAAGAUUAUACGCUUUCAUUAGAAACUAAGCUUACUUCUGGUUGGGUUUAUAUAUUUGUGUGUUAAUAAUAUGUGUUAUCUUUGAGGUAUUAGACUAGGCUCAGUUUGGGCUUAAAUGUUUUUCCAACUUGGGCAUGUUAAUUCCGGUAAAUACCUUCUCAUUUGAUAAAUAAUUCGCAUGCCAUUUAGGCAUUUAGGGUCCCUUAAUAAUACCCAAAAACAUGCAUCUAGCGCACUUUCACCGUAUGCAAUAAAAAAUUACUCCAGUAACAUGUGUAAUCUAUACUAUACUAAAAGGGAGAUAUAAACCCCUCUUAGAGUGUCCACAUCAGCAUAUAUAAUCAUCCAAUCAGAGAGCCCGAAGUUGCCACGUCAUCUCAUUUAUUUUUUCGUAAAAAAUGAAAAAAAAAUUUAAAGGACAGGAUCGAACCCGGGUUAGUAUGACAUAAAUAUAGAGCAUAUACCGCUAAGCCAUUGAAACUUUCUUGAACACAUAUACAAGAAUCACUAAAUAUGUAAUCACAAACUCUUAUGUACAUUUACAAUAAUAUGGAUUCAACUUUCAAGACUUCGAUAUUUUGUUUUGUAAAAAAAAUAAGAAAGUGACUAAGCUAAUAUAUUCUUUGAAAGUGUGAGAACAUUGACAAAUAUGAAAAAGCAUAGAUUUUUGUUUUCGUGACAAAGUUAAGACUUUUGUAAAAGUAAGUUUACAUAAGCUUGCUUUCCCCGAUUCUAUAUACACAAGAUUCUAUAUACACAAAUAAAUAUAAUAUAACAACAUAAGCUUGCUUUCCCCGAUUCAUAUGAAAACUUUUUAAGUUAUCCACCAAAGCAAAUUAAUUAAAUCAAUCAAAUUGUUAGAAUACAACAAAUUAAUAUAUAAUUUUAUUUUAAAUUAAAUUAUUUAAAAGUGUAUUUUCAUUAAAAAUAAAAUAAUAAAAAAGUAAAACUGAUUUGAUGGUAAUUUUUAUGACAUAUAUAUAUAUAUAUUGUGAAAGAAAUAUAAGCUUAAUAUGGAAAAAAAUCUUAAAUACAAAAAAUCCUAAAAUUAACAAAAAAAACUAAUAAAAAUUAAACUAUGAUAUCAAUUGAAAGCUUCUUAGACAAUAUUAAUAAAAUAUUUAAACGAUAAUUAGACAAAUUUAAUUUUUUUUGCCAGCCAAAAGUGUAUUAUUAAUUAGCAUCAGUUAUUUCAAGAUGUUUAAGAAAGGAUGGACUUAAAUGAUAUAUGAACUAUGAAUAGUAGUACUUUGUAAAGCUGACUUAGAUAACACAUCUGCACAUCAUUUCCAAUCCUUUUUGAUGCCUAAAUUCAAUUUCUUCAGAGCAGUUAUUCCACAAAGAGAUCGUAUGAGAUAUUGUUUUGAUAUUCAGAUUUGUUUCUUGACUGUUAAGAAGAUUGAUAACUGUAAAAUGUCUCAUUUGAAUAUGAUAUGUCUAUAACCGAGUCCCUACAUCAGACAAGUUUGUUUUAAAAGAAUAUAAUUUUAUUUUUCUUAUAUUAUAUAAUAAAUAUAUAUUAUUUACUGAUAAUAAAAAUAUAGUUAUUCAUCUAUCACAAAUAACUAUGCAAAUAUGUGAAUCAAGUACAACAAUCAAACAACAUAAUGAUUUCCACAAAGAAAAUUUAAAAAAUAUAUUUAUGUUAUGUAGUCUUAUUUUAUAUUCUUUAAAUAAUGUAAUACAGUAUUAUACAUUAUAUUUUUUUAGAAUUGAGAAAUACAUAUAAUAUCUUAUCCGCGCGUAGCGCGGUUAAAAAAUCUAGUCCCUGUAAUGAUUAGUCUAUGAUCGAUAUAAUCAUAUAGUCUCUGUAACAUAUACGAUUUUCCGCUCAAAUAUAGUAUAUACGCAUGUAUAGUAUCGUUCAUGAUCUUUGUGUGUCCACCACAGAAAAGUAUUACAUAUCAUUCUAUAUAAGAAAAACUAAAAUUAAUGCUCAUCAACGGAUGACACAACAUUAUUAAAACUUGUUCUUGGGGAUUUUGAUCUCUAAGAAAGAGUAACCGUCUUUGUUUGAGAUGAAAGCUUCGGAGUUUUUGAGGUCGGCAUCGCCGGGAAGCUCGAGACGGCGGACGUAGCCGUAUUCCCACCACCGGCCGCUUCUCCAAUCGCCGUUGGCCGCCGUUUUCCAUUGGCCGCUAAUCUCCAUCACUUUUCCAUUAACGUCCACAUACACCUGCACGUUAUUUUUCCCCACCACUAAUAUACAAGAGUAUCAAAAAAAUUUCUGAUCAGUUUUUCUUGAACCCUCUAGAAAAGGAUGACAUAAUAUAGUUAUUUGAUAUGGUUUCAUUUAUUUCCGUAUUUCUCAUUAGAUUAGUACGUAAAGUUGUACGAUUCGAUACACUUGAUUAAAAAGAUAUUGUAACUAAAAAGAAAACCAAUAUAUAGUAUAAGUGUUCUGUUUAUGUAUUAAUCAAAUAGUAUAUCUUUAGCUAAACGAAAACAAAUUCAAUUCAUUUUUUUUGGUUAUAAACUAACAUCCAAUUGAUUUUUUAUAUCAGUUUUUUUUUUCGGAUCAGAUACAUGUAUAAAACAAUAUAUAUAUAUAUAUAUAUAUGUCAUUUUCUCUUCAAAAACUAAAAAUAAAUAGAGAAUGGUAAGAAAAUAUAUACCGGGGAGGUCAGAUUUAAGGACAUAUGCUUGAUCGGUUUCAGACCAGUCGACUCUACACUGUCCUAAGCUCCUGAGGCUCCCCAGCAAAACAUCCGCCUCGAAUUCCCAUAAAGGAAACGCAUCUGACGGAUCAAAGUACUUUCCGAACAAAAACGGGCUGAAAAUAGAUCCCUCGCUGAACACAACCUUCUCCGAGCCUCCUCCGCUGCUCAAGAACCUCCGGAAAACGUCCUCGCCAAGCGGUACGCUCCACUUUCCCGGCGUCUUGUCGUCGGUGUUGAUCUCUAAUUUGAGGCUUCCACUACUCCUCGCCAUGAGAGAAAUCAAGAGAAAUAAAUUAGACGAAUAAAAAAGGAAUGUGAGUUUGUGUGUGAGAGAGUUUUGGAAUCAAGUUUUUGUUUUAUAGUAUGCGUUUUGACAUAGCUGAUAAAAAAAUGAUGCAAAAAGCUUACUAAAACGAAUUUGCAAGUAAGAGACGGAAUAGUAAAAUUUAUCGUGCAUAAUAAAAAGAGAUUAAUAUAUAUAUUUUUAUUUUAAAACAAAGAUUAUUUAUAUAUAAUUGAAGAAAAUACAUUGUUGGAGGCAGUAAAGAGAGUUUUUAAGAUUAAUUAAACAAUUGAGUUAUUCUCAUUUUGCAUUACGAAACUCAAAUGUGACUGGGUGUCCAUUCCCUCUUCUUGUAUCCGAUCCUGUUUGCAGUAAUACAGUGAUAGUUGUAUUAUUUUUUGUAGUAAACGUAGUUGUAUUAUUUGCAUGACUUGCUUUAUUCAUUAUAUGAUCUUUAUCAUGUGAAAAACUAUGAUGAUAUUAUCAGGUUUAACAUGUACAUGGCUAUUAACUAAAUGUGGUAUAUUUUUAAAAAUAGUAGGAAUAUCUUUAUUAUUUGACGUAUUUUUAUCGUUUUAUUUGUUUAUUAGAGUUAUUUUUUUGCCCUUUAGGUAUUGUUUAGUUAGCAAAUACAGAUCAAAAUAUUAGUUAAUAGUGAAGAGAUCAUGCAUGUUAUAUAACACACAAAAUAUCAAAAGAGGCAUCUUGUUGAUGAAAGGAAUGUUUAUGUGGAGGUAUAUUUGUGGCAUAGUUAAAUUAAUUUUACUUUGAUUGAAAUGAUAGGUCUAAAGUCAGAUUAAAGAAGACAAAUAUACCAUGAAAAUGGAAAAUAUUGGGGGCUUACAUUUAUUUGAUGAAUGAUGAUAAUAAGGGGAAAAAGUUGGGAUAUAUUCUCCUUUCGCUGUGACAAUACUUUAGCGUGGUUAAAGUAAGAAGCGAAUAUGUUCUCUUUGACGUAGAAAUUGCUCGAAGGGUCACAAAGAAAUGUGCAUUUGCUUUUAGCCAUACCAUUUUGAUUCUUCAUCUUAUACCGAAAGAUGAUAUAUCAUAUAUUUUUGUUUUAAAUUCGGAUGAAAUUAAGAACGAUGAAUCUUUUAGGUAAACAUUUAAUAAGAAUAUAUUUUAGAUUACAGGGUUUUGUAGGACGAUCGAUCAAUUGCUAAUGUCCACCAAAUUAGAACAGUUUGUCUCCAUGUGAAUCAUUGACAUUAGUAACUCAUGUAAGUAGGACAUCGCUCAAAAAAAUCAUUUCACUCAGCAUGUAGGGCUGAGAUAUUCUAGUGGCAUUCUUGAACCCAAACCGUUCAACUCCCAUUUGGUUUCUAUAGAUCUACCCAAGUCCACUGACCUUACCAUGAUUAAUCUAUGAGACAUCAAUUUGACAGGUCGAGACUAAGGGUUUCACGAGGAGAAUCAAGCUAGGAGCCGGGACUGAUGGUAGCCUAAGAGAGAUCGUGAUCCAAAGUUUGGAAUUUCCAUUGUUAACAAAACAAAAUUGCAAAAUAUAUAUGCGAAGUCAUUCAAUUUUUACGCGCGUAUUUGGAUUUCUCCAAUGGUAAGAGGAAAAAUAUAGUUUCUUCUCUAGUACUUUCUCCGUUUUUAAAAAAUCUAUAUUUUAGAAAAAACAAAUUGUUUUAAAAAAAUAUAUGUUUUACAUUUUCAAUGUAUAAACUAAUUGCAAAUUGUAAACUUUGUUUAUAAUGAUUUUAUUGAUUAAAAGUUGUAGAAAUAGUUGAUAACAAAAAAUAAUGCAUUGGUAAUUAAAAUAUGAUAUAUUUUUUUAAUAAAUACAAAAAAUCUAAAACACGUCUUUCUGAAACGGAAGAAGUAAUCCAUAACUGACUUUAACAAAACAAAAAUAUGGUUUUCCAAUUCAUCAUUCUUUAACAAUCUUUUAAGAAAAGUAAGAAACUAGAUGUGAAAGGAAUAUCGUAUAUAAGCCAUUGUUUCGAAAAGGGAAUAGUAAAUGCAAUAUAUCGAGAUUCGAUCGAGAGAAUUCAAGAUGAUCUUUUAUUUUAACACUGCUUUCCCAAAAAAGUUGACUAUGAGAGAUGGUCUAUAUAUGCAUCAUGCAUGCAUAUCUCUUCAUACCUUCGAAAAUGGUAGAAGAAACAUGGGGAUAAGUUGUUUGUCAUCAGAGUUUAGAGUUCAGUUACUUUUUAUUGAAUAUACAAAAUUUUAUCCAACCAAAAACACUUUUUAUAAUCAGAUGCUUCUAUUUUUGAUAAUUAAUCGGUACGUGCAUUAAUAUGAAGGUAGUCAUUGCAAGUUUCUUAGGUCAAAAAAGCUAUCUUUUUUUUUUGAAAGCUGGUUUUCAAAUUAAAAUCAAGAAAUCAAGAUAAAAACUAUCUUGCGGAGGCUUCGUGGUCAGUUCGUCGAUCCUCUGUCGUAAGUGUGAUUUCCAGUUCUAGUAGAGAUGAGAGCCUGUUCUAGAAGUUAUUGUCGACAAGUUUGGUUAGUCUUGUCAUCGGUAACUGUGUUUAACCAAAAUUUUAAUUGUUUUCCCCCGCAAAAUAUAAUAUAUUUCUUUCCAAUUUCCAGUUUUUAUAUAUUCUGUCUCCAAUCUAUUGUGAAAGGUUAGCCAAGUGGAAAACUGAAUAUUUUUGGAGUCGCAUAUAAAACAAGACCUCUUUAUUCUAUUAUUCUCUUUGUCAAUCCACUCACAUUAGAGCAUGUCCAUUGAAGGUAUUUUAGUGCCCAUUUGAGCAUGUCCAUUAAAGGUAUCUUAAUGGAUAUUUCAACUCAAAAACAAUUGUCAAAAAAAUUAUUUAGACGGUUCCUGAAGAUCCUAGAGGCGGUUCUAUAUAUAGACUGGAAACCGAAUGAACGAUGGUACAUAUAAGGGUAGUGCUCAAGCUUUCAAGCUAGACUCUCUUUUGAAAUUAGCAGAUGUGAAGGGAAGUAGGGAACUGAUGGGAAACAACUCUCCUCCAUUUCGUUGUUCAAGAGAUAAUUAGAACUGAAGGAAGGAGAGCUGCUCGUACUUUUUGGUGAAAAGUACAAGGCAGGGACUACUUUCAUCUGAAAGCAGAAAAAGAUGAAGGGUUGUGUUUCUUUGUGUUUGUACUCUAUUUCUUGGUAAUUUUAUAUAAGUCCUGCAAAAUAGUCAGAGAAGCACGAGGAAAACCACUGAGUAGAGAUGUCAAGAAAACAAGGUUUAACAGCCAUAGCUUCUUCUGAAUUUCAAGACAAUCCCCUUCAUUAGAUCCUAGACAGAAACUGUUUCCAGCUAUUACAAAGAGACGCAUGGACAUGGACCAGUCUAGCUCAGAUUAUAUUCAGACUAAAAAAAAAAGUAUAAUCUUGGGUUUUGUUACAUGUUACGACGUAAAUCCUCUGCGGUUUUGCUGAAAGCUUCAUCAGAGGAUCUUUUCUUCUGUUGGGAGUGGAAUGCUGCAGAGAUGUCAGUUCUUAGUAACUGAUGAUCAGAAUAUCAGAUGAAGCCUGAAGGAACAAUCACAAAAGAGGUUUUGAGGUGAAAAAAAAGCUAGUGACUCGUUCACUUCGCUAGUACUGACUUAUUAUUCAGCGUUAGUUUUAGGAAGAAUCAUUUUCAUUUCUUCUUCUAGAUUCUUUUAACAUUAUUAUUCAUGUUGAAGCAAUAAUCUUGUGUUCAUUUUAGUAUAAUACUUUCAUAAGUAUUAGGAUGGUUUAGUUAAAUUAAUUAAGUCCGGUUUAAUUUCCUUUUGCUUAACCGGUUCCCUAUAUAAGAACAUUUUGUACAGUUAAGUUCUUUGAGCUGAAUAACAAACUUUUUUUCAUCAUUCAUCUUCUUCAAUCUCUCUCGCUUGAUCUCGCUUCAUCUCUUCUUCAUUUCAUCGAUCAUCAGCUCCGAUCUCAAAGCUCAAGGUUUGAUAAUAAGUUCACACAAACUAAAAACUUAUUGUCCAAGCAAUAGAAAGAAACAAAGCCCUAAACAAAUAAUUAAGAAACCUGUGAUCUAGCCAAUACUUUCUUUAUUUGAUCUUAAAACCAAGCAGAUUUACAGAGUCAGAGAAACGUUGUCCUAUAUCUUGAGUUAAAGACCUAAUCUUCCUGUUUGUUUUGGAAAAUUUGGUCUGGCAAAGUAACAGGCCGAAUAUGAGCCUGAUUCUUUUUGCUGACAAGACCAGGCGACCCAAGUUGAAGACUUAAAUAAUCAGAAACAGUUUUCAGGCAAAGUAAAUCGGAUUGUUACAAACUUAGCAGGCCGAGUAUGAGCCUGAUUUUUUUUUGCUGAACUCGCAACUUGUGUACAUUGUGCGUAGAAAAAAGUUUCAAUUAAUUUUUGAUAAUUACCCUAAACAUAAUUUGAUAUACCAACUUCAAUACACACAAAUAAUUCAUAUAGUCAGUCAUAUGUGGCUGAGACAUUUCUUUAUAAUAUAUUGUUAAUCUUUUUGUGCAUCACCACUGAAAUAUGAAGUGUGAGUAUUCUACACGGUCUAAUGUCUAUAUUACUACGUUGACGAACAUACAAAUCAUAUAAAAAUACGUUGGAUAUACGAAAACAUCAUUAAAUAAAAGGAUAUGAAAAAAGGUUUCUAUAUAUAUAAAGAGUUUACGAUAAAUAGUAUGAUCGUCUAUUAUACGAACAGCCGAUUUUCACUAUCUCUCAUGGAUUAUGGUGGGGAUUAGAUCGGAGAUCUUCUUUAUAAAUAUAAAAAAAGGAAAGUAUUCACAUGUUUUUAGUUUUUAUUUCAGUAAUAUUUAUUAAUAAAAGUAAUAAUAGUAAGAAGAUAUCAAAGGUUGGGGCAGACCAGUCAGUGUGGUGUGGUCGAAUGAAGGUCUUGUUGGUUAGGGUUUAGAGCAAAUUGGGAAACCCCGAAGGACAAAUAUAUCAGUAUGCUUCGAAAUUCAAUUUCUAAUUUAAUGUCUUACCUUCGAACUCUCUCUCUCUCUCUCUUCAAUAUCUACUCUUUCAUAUAUCUACAACCUACAUUUUAAAUGCACGUUGAUCCUUGAGAUUUAAAAUUCUCAUAAUAAGCAAACCUUUUAUUGUCAUUUGCCAGUCCUGCUCCAUGUUGAAAACAUUAUGAUGUAAAGACUAGUUAAAAAUGUUGCUUCAGUACAAACCGGGAGUGAGUGUAAUCUUUCUGGUUUUGGUUUUAUAAUCUAAACACAUAAAUCUCAUGUCUCAUUCGGUUCAGAAGACCUUUUUUCUAGUUGCGUAUUUAAAUGUUAAUACUAAUUAUAGUGAUUUAACUCAUGUAGUGUAUUACUUUUUUUUAAAACUCAUGUAGUGUUUUACUAAACAGAGUAUAGUUUAUUGAUUACUAUCUUCCAAGAAUUGUCAGAAUGCUUCAUUUACCCUUCUGGUUAUUUAAGAGUAAAAUGACAGAUGCAAGCGGAAAGGAGUGAGUUGAAAUCAAUGUUCCUUUUUUCAAACGUAGUGACUACAUAGCUAUGCUGCUCCUGGAGAGUACCCUAUUAUUUGGUUGUCACUCAACAACAACAAUCUUUCAUCACUGCUAGGAUUAAACUUAUGUAAUAGUGAGGGACAACUACAUAGUUUUAGGCUUUUAGCCCGAGUAAGUUUCGGGCAUUAUAGUCUUAUAGAAUCUGAGAAUCGUUCGUAGUCCACAUUUAAAGAUUCAUCAAAUAUUACAAUUUGUUUAUUUUGUACCUUAGACGAUUAAUCCGUGGAAUCUCAGUCAAAAUCCUACAACUCAAAAUUUUAAUGUGAACCUGCCCAGUGCCAACACACAAUCUUAUUAAUUGACGUUCUUAUUAUUUACAGUAAUUAAAUUUUGGAAGUAUAAUAAAAACUAAAGAUUCUUUAUUGCAAACUGUAAGGUAGGAAGAUAGUGGAUGUAUCAUUUUGGAACCAAAAUUUAUUGCAAGUGAUUAGAGUAAAAGAGAUUUAGUUUAACUGGUAUCUAUUACAGUAACACUAGAAAUGAAUAAAAAGAAUAAAAUAGUAAAAUGAACAAUUUUAUUCUAUUAUACUCUUUAAAAAUGAAAAAAGAAUAUUUUUUUUAUUUUGUAUAAAUGAUGUAAUUUCUUUGGAAAGGUGAGAAGUUUAAUAUUUCUCUUUGUUCUUUAAUUACCAUUCAAAAUUAUGAAUACUAAUUCAUUAUGGAAGAAUUUUCAUGUUUACUACAUCGUCGUACUAUUAUUCCAGUUUAUCUUCAUUAAAGAGACAUUUCGAAAAAUAUCUUCUUUAUUAAGAGGCAAAAUAUUUUUAUACUCUUGGUCUAUAAUAUAUACAAUAAAUAAUCAUUUAAAUAAAUAAUUUUUUUUAUAUUUUCGAAUUAUACUUUUUCAAAUUAGAUUUAUUUAAUUUAAUUUUUGAAAUUAGUAAAUUCUUUUUGAAAAGAUUUUUUAAAAACUUUCUAAGUAUUUAUUUAUAUAUUUAUUAGAAUUCUAAACUCCACAUUCCAAAAAUCCUACCCCACCCCUCAACUCUAAACUCUAAGUAUAAAUUAGUUAACCAUAGGGUUGUAAGUGUUUUUUUUUCUCUUUAAAAGUGAAUGUAAAAAUGGUUAAGGUAAACAUGAAAAAUAUUAUUAAAAAUGUGGUAUUUUUGGCAAUUCUCUUUCAUUAUAUUAUGUUAACGAAAAGUAUUUUACACAUAUAUAAAUUUUAAUUAGUUUAAUAUUUUAUCUUUUUCUAAUAAAAUUUAACUUAUAUUUUAUAUUUGGAUAUACAUUUUAUUUAAAAAUAAAUAUACUGAUUAAAAUUUACAACAUCAAAGUUUUAAAUACAAAAUAAAACAUUUAAUCAUUUAAUUUCAGAGAGAGUUCAUGAAUUUUAAGUGCAUCGAAUCAAAGUUAUACUCCUUUGUAGAGUAAAAACUUUUUGUUACAAAAUAAGCAUUAUCUUAUAAUUUUAUAUUAAUUUUUUUUUCUUUUGCCUUUAGUUAAUUAAAAUACUAUACAAUUUUGAUAGUAAAUAAUGGUAAAACUGAAUAUUUAACUAUUUUAAUUUGUAUGAAAAAAAUUAACAUACAAGAAAAUUGAAAUGGAAAGAAUAUUACUUAAGAAAUGUAGAAUGCUCAUUUGGUGUAUAAUAUACUCAUUCUGUACUACAAAGAUAUACUUUUUAGUAUUUUCACACAUAUUAAGAAAACACAUUAAACUACUAUAAUAAAUAUAUCGUUUUCUGUAAUUUUUAAUUUUCAAUAACUUUUAACCAAAUAGUAAUUCAAUAAAGUUAAUUUUUUUUUUGAAGUUUACAAUUUUUUCAUAAAAAAUAUAAAAAUAUAUCUUUCUGAAACAAACUUUUUUUUCUGAAACAAUUUUUUUUUUUCUAAAAAAAUUUAUCAUUAAAAACGGAAGGAGUAUACAGUAAGAAAUAGCUAAACCAGUCAUGUUUAAGAAAUGUAUCCCUAUAAUAAUGAAAAAACCAUUUAACAAUUUAUAUUAAAAAUGAUUUUAAUUAUUAGAAAUAUUACGUAACUUUCAUUGUAUAUAAUAUAGUGGACAAUCCAUUAAUUAAAUGUUCACAAAUAACUGUUUUUCUUUCCGUAGUAAAAAUUACAUGAUUAUUUAAUGCAAUUUAAAAAUAUGAUAAUUAAUAAUACUGAAUAAUUUUUUUCUGUUAACAAUAAUAUUGAACAAUAAAUUUGAUAAAAAAAUUGUAUAUCAUCUAUCUUUUUGUUUAGUUGUAUAUUAUUAAAAUAAAUUAAACAUUCAUAUUACCCAUAUAAUAAAAUUUAUAUUUUUAAUAUAUCUUAAAUACUUUGAAUUUUGUUACUAAGAAAUAUAAUGAUCAGAAAAAUAUGAAUAUUUUAAUAUCAUUUAAUAAAAAUAUAGUAUAUAUCUAUAUAAUAUCAUUCAAGUAAUUAUAUACCAUAUAAAUAUUUUAUUUUUAAUAUUCAUAUCAUUUUGAAUUGAUAAAAAUUAAAAUACUUUUACAAUUUUAACUUGAUUAAAUCGUAAAAUUUCACAUAUCUUUAUUAUUCUUUUAAAAAAUAUUUAUUUAACAAUAUUUUAUAAAAUAUCAUAAUCUGCACAUUAUUACCUAGUAAAAUACUAUUUCACGAUCGUUAUCCACAUAGUGAGAAGAGAAGUCUUUUUUACUCGUAGAUUCGUAAAAUUGUAAAUGAAGGAAACAUUCUCUCGUGUUAUGUAUUUACAUAGGUGAGUUGAGACAUUAUAGACCUCUUUUAGAUUCAUAUGGACGUACAUGCCUACUAACAAAAUAAAUACAAAAUUUUAUUCUUACCUAUUACAUUUUAUUGUUUUUAUUACUCUCAUUUAAUUGACUUAAGUAAUAAAGACACUCUCAUUUAAUAAAAACAACUGUAGUGUCUUCAUAAAAGACGAAGAAAACAUAUUUACUUGCAUAUUUUGCAUCUUCUUCCUUAUUUAUUCUAUUAAAUAAAAAUAUCACUUCCAAAAAAAUACAAAACUAAAAAUCUCAGAACAAGAUAGAGAGAAAGAGAGAGAAAGGGAGAUUACAACCACAAUGGACGAUUCAAACACAAGAAGCCAAACUAAGAAGACGAAGAAGCUUCAGAAAGACAAGAACAAGAACAAGAAGAACAACAUCCCUACUGUUUGGUUCUCUCUCAAGAAAUCUCUCCACUGCAAAUCCGAACCAUCCGACGUCCACGUCCCCAAAUCCACGAAACACCUCACCACAAUCUCCACCAAGCGCAUCUCCACCGCCAACUCCUCCCUACCCUCCGCCGGAUGCGGCGGCGGCUUAUCCGGAUGCUCGAGAUCGAUAGCGAAUCUCAAAGACGUGAUCCACGGGAGCAAACGCCACUUCGAGAAACCGCCGAUAAGCAGUCCUCGCUCCAUCGGAAGCAACGAGUUCCUCAACCCCAUAACCCACGAAGUCAUCCUCAGCAACUCCACCUGCGAGCUCAAAAUCACCGGCGUCGGAGACAUGGCUUCCCCCGCCGGAGCAACGGAAUCCGGCGGUGGCGGCGGAGGAAACGGACGGUCGACGACUUUUGUGGGGAUGCUGAGGCCGGGGACGCCGAUGCAUCAUCUGAACCACUCUGCUUCUCACCGGAGCCAUGCUUCGUCGACGGCGGCGAAAAAGGGCUCCUUUGCUUCGUCGGAGAGAGAGGUAAUAGGAGAAGGGUUUCACACAAAGAGGAGAGUUUCUUUGGAGAUGAACAGAGACUCCGCCGUUAACGGAGGCAAAUACUCUGUUUCUUGCCAUAAGUGUGGUGAACAGUUCAGCAAACUCGAAGCUGCAGAAGCUCAUCAUCUCUCUAAACACGCCGGUAAACUCGAAACUUUAACCAUUGGGAUUAUAUAAUUAAUGAAUAUAUUAUAAAGUUUUCACCUUUAUGAAGAUUUUGUCGCAUUUUUAUAAUAUACUCUCUCCUACUUCAUAAAAAAUCCAUGUUUAAAAAUUUUCAAAUUUUUUAAUAAAAUAUAUUAAAACUUAUCAAUAAAUACAUAUUUUUUUAUAAUUUUAUAUUUUCUAUAUUUUUAAACUAAUAAAAUUUUAAGAAAUGCAAUUAAUAUUUUUAAACUUUACUAUUUUUUAUUAUUAGUUGACAAAAAUUACAUUAGAAAUAUAAAAUAUGUAUAUUUUUGAAACAAAUUUUUUUCUCAUAUAAUAAAGUUUUGAACUUUAUGAACAUUUUCGCAUAUUAAUAUAAAGUAAUAAGCUUUGCUCAUAAUAUUACAGUGACGGAGCUCGUAGAAGGCGACUCGUCAAGGAAGAUAGUGGAGAUAAUCUGUAGAACGAGCUGGUUAAAGUCAGAGAACCAAUGCGGGAGAAUAGACCGUGUCCUAAAAGUACACAACAUGCAGAAGACACUAGCUCGGUUCGAGGAGUACAGAGAGACGGUGAAGAUCAGAGCGAGCAAGCUCCAGAAGAAGCAUCCGAGAUGUCUCGCCGACGGCAACGAGCUGCUCAGGUUCCACGGCACCACCGUCGCUUGCGGUUUAGGGAUAAACGGAACGACGAGUGUCUGCACGGCAGAAAAAUGCUGCGUCUGCCGGAUUAUACGGAACGGAUUCUCGGCUAAACGGGAGAAGAAUAACAAUGGGGUUGGUGUCUUCACGGCGUCCACGAGCGGGAGAGCGUUUGAGUCGGUUUUGAACAACGAGGGAGAUGUUGAUCGGACGGUGAGGAAAGUGUUGAUUGUGUGUAGGGUUGUGGCUGGGAGAGUUCAUCGACCGGUGGAGAAUGUGGAGGAGAUGAAUGGGUUGAUGAUGAGUGGGUUUGAUUCUUUGGCUGGAAAAGUUGGGUUGUAUACAAAUGUGGAGGAGCUUUAUUUGCUCAAUCCUAGAGCUUUGCUUCCUUGCUUUGUGGUAAUCUGCAAGUCUUAAAAAAUAUUUAGCAUUUUUGUUUUGGCAAAGAGAUCAAAAUGUUCUUAUUAUUUGUUUAUUAUUUCUAUCUUGUUCCGAAUUUGUUUUCAAGGUGAAUUUGGAAUUUGAGUUUUAUUUUUUAUUUUUUGGCUAGUUUAUGUAUGAGUUCUUAAUUAUUCUUACCUAGAGAGACAAAAAAAAGUAUUUUUGUUCAUAUUAUGUUAAGAUAAAUUUUUAUUGUAGCGUAUUAUACUGAUGUAAAAACCAGUGGUCAAGAGAGAGAUUGUGAAGUGUGUCAAGAGUGAGAAUUUAGUUUCACGGGUGGACUGUUGGUAAAAGUGCUACGAUAAAUGCCAACUUUUCAUUCAGUAAAACGUUGGUCGACGAGAAACCUUUUCAAAGAUUUGGAACACGAAUGUUGGCUUGUUUGGUUGAAUCAUGUUCAUUGUUCAAUAUGGAUUUAUGUUGUUUAAAGUAUUCUGAUAUUUUUUUAAUUUCUUAUCAUAUAUAUAUUUCAAUAAUAAAUAAGAUAUGAAAAUAGAACAUAAUCAUAUAUAGUACUCAGACGACCUAAAACACAAUUUGGCAUUUUUUAGCUUCAAAUUUGUUUGGAACCAUCCCCGUAUAGUCCUAGAUUACAUAUUUAUAUAAGAAAACAUGGCAUAUAAAAACAAAACUAACAUUAAUGAUAAUUAGACAUUUUGUUAAAACGAAUAAAAUGGUCCAUACUAAAUUACUCGAUAGUUUUCAUAAUGUCAGCGAGACAAAGCUUACGUCAAAGGUGUCGACAAAAUUCUAUCCCAUGCAAACAUUUAUUUGGAGCUUUUAUUAGUUCUAUCUGCAAAAGCCACCCUCUCAUCAAUAUAUAUCCGCCGAGAAAAGAAAAAUUGGAAUAUGUGAGCCCAAUAAUAAUCAAAAUUUCAAAUCUUGAAAUUUCGAAUUUUGAAAACAAAUAUACAUUUGAUUUUUCAGACAUAUUAUUUCAGGGCUCUGCAAAAAUAUUUGUGAUAUACAUUUUGUACUUAAAAGUUGUUUGUGGACAAAGCAAAAUUUGUUUAAGAGUGAGCAUAGUCUAGUGAAAAUGAAUCAUGGAUAUCUCAAAAUGUGGCUAUUUCGAUAUUUGAUUACGUAUGUGUAUACAUACACUGUAUGUUCAUUUUUCAUUUUUGAACUGACACAUAAUAAAUGUAUAUUUGAGAACGAAUGAGAAAUGACGAGGCCUGAAAUGGACAGUGUAUCUAUAUCAACCGCCGAAGUAACGGUGGGAUCAUACCACAUGACGUCUCAGAAAAUUGUAUUCUGUACAUACAUACCUUGUAAUUUAAUUAUCUCCACUCGACAACAAUCUAUGUCGUCAUUUUCGGAUCUUUUAUAUAAUGACGAGAACGCAUUAGUAAUCCCCUAAGUAUGUGAAAUAUACAAAAGCUAAAAGCGAGCUGAUUAAGGCUUAAAGACCAUGGUUUAGCCAUAUGAAACCGUUUGUAGAUUCUUUGUUCCCUGUAAAACGUUGAUUGUUAGAAACAUAUUUCGUAGCUUUAAGCUUUGUAAGUGAAGAAAGUGUUUAUCUGGUACGAUUUUUACACUUUUUAACUUAAAAGGGAUUCAAUAUAUCCAUCAAAUACAUAGGUCCAUUAGUCUACAAAUCAAAAGUGCAAUGAAGAAGAAAUAAGGGAGAGAUGCUAAGAUGCUGAGGCAGCUGCAACUUGGGAUGUUUCUUUAUCCUUAGCCUCCUUAAGUUGCUUCCAUUUCUCAAUGGUGUCGAUAAGUUCCCCAGUUUUGAUCAGAUACCUUACCUUCUGUCCAUCUUCAAGGACCUUGUGACCCACCCGGCUAACCACCUCCUUUUCUUUCGAAUACAGCAUCACAUUUGAGCUGUGAAUCGGUGCUUCAAUCUGGAAAACAUAAUGCAUUUUAGCACAAUCCUCAAUCAUCAAUCAUCAAUCAUCAAUCAUCAUCACUGCCAAAGGCAAAGUGAAGGGAGCUACACGAUGUGGUUUCUGUUUUGCAAAUUAUUUUAAGAGAGUCAUCAUGUAUGUCUCAUGGACUGACUGACCUUGAGAAUUUGGCCAGGCUCUCCCUCUUCACGGCUCUUCAUGUGUUUGGUCUUGAGGUUGACAUCUUUGAUGACGAUGGUGCUGUUGUGAGUAAAGAUCUUAGUGACUUCUCCAAUUUUGCCCUUGUCUCGUCCAGAUAUAACUUUGACCGUAUCACCAAACUUGACAUGCAUUUUGUGCAGAAUUGGAAGACUGUUUGGUUUGCAUUUCUUCCGUUCCCAACGCUUAAGCUGAAAGAAAGAAAAAGAAAAAAAAACACAUCAUAAUCCUGUUAAUGCCCUUAGGAAUCAAUCAAGAGAUGAAACUCAACAACAUUACCAAAAGAAUGAGGUAAAGGAUCUUGGUUACUAACCUUUGCGUAAACAAGACAUGGGUUCUGGGCGGGCUUGACCUGCAAUGAGUUACAAAAGAAAAGCAGAGUAAUUAAGGAACCAAACCCCACCCCAACUGCAAACACUUUGCCUAAAAAAACGCUAAACCAUUCUUCUGACUCAGUAUAAGUUCGUUCGAGCAACAAAACCAUAAUCAACCAAAAUGUACAUCACCAGGUGCUAAAUGCAUUCUUUAGAUUCCAAAAGGUUCACCAACCAAUCAAUCAAACGAGCACACAAAAAUAAGAGAUCCUAACUUAAAAGUUUUAGAUGCAUCGCCAAGCCAAGUAGAGAUAAACAGUUGUCUUUUGAGAAAAAAAUCAAAGUUAUAGAAUUUAAAGUGUUCAUAACUUCAUCUCAGUUCAGUACUAACACAGAAAAAGACAAAGAGACAAUUCACAUUCUCCAAUCCAUUCUCCACUAAACAUAACUCAUAGCGCAGAAACACACAACAAAGUUUCAAUCUUUACUCCUUUUAGAGAAAAAAUUUAGAAUUGGCACCAAAAUUCACCAUACCAAAAGCUUAAUAAAUGAAACUAAUCAACAGGUCCAAUGAAAGAUAUCAAACCCGUUACAGGGCUAAAUGUUCGAGCUAAACGUGGCAAUGUCUUUGAUUAGAACGAGAAAUUCGAAAACGGGAGUUACCGGAGAAGCGGCGGAGAGGGAAAGCGGGGAAAGGAGACGCUGGCCGAGGAAGGAGGAGUUGGACUUGGAGGAUAGCGAAAGAGAUGUAAACGAGCUCUGAAGAGAAGUCAUCAUGGUCGCCAUUCUUUUCAGAGUAACUCCCGCUUGCUAAGUGGGGGGGCUAACACUUCAUGUCUCUGUUCGUCUCAAGGCGAUAAGACGAGGAUAACGAUUAUCUCUUUACUGUUAAACGACACCGUUUUAGUACCAUGAUUAACUUCACUGGUGGGUUUUUGGCUAAGGUUUGGGCUUAAAUAUUGUCUGCUUUGGUGUAAUACCCCAAACAUAUACUCCCUCCGUUUAUGAUGUUUUAGAAAUUUUUUGUUGUUUCGAAAUAGAUGAUGUUUUGAUUUUUUAUGUUAUUUUUAACUUUAUUGAAAACUGUGUAAUCAAUUAGAUGUUAUAGUCAUUUUUAUAAUUGGUCGGAUGAUUUUUAAAUUAUAUUUUUUAAACUAUUUUAAGAAUAACAUCAUCUAUUUUAUAGAAGUUCUGUAUUUUUUUUAACUUUUUUUUGAUAAUUCGGCGGACCGAAACCUAACUGACUAAUAUCAUGGAAUCUGUCCACCGAUACUAAAUAGAUCCGGUUAUUUGCAAUGAGAAUUAAAUAUCCAUAUCACUUUGACCACACAAGCGGACAGUGGCGGAUCCAGACUAAUUAUUUAACGGGAGCACAUAAUAAAUAUAUAUAUAUAUUAAAUAAUAUAAAUAAUUAAUAUAAAAUAAAUAACUAUCUAUUUAAAAAUGUCGUAAAUGAGUAAUCAUUAAAAAUUUAAUAUAGACUAUUAGCAAAUUUAAUUUUGUUCAACUCAGAACAGACUAUAUAAGAUUUUUUUUUACAAAUGUAUAAUCACAAUAACAUAUUGUCGCAGUUAAAAUUAACUUGAAUAUUUAUAAAAAAUAGUCUUCAAGUUUACACAUAUACAACAGUAUAUCGAUAUCACACACAACUUGUUUGUAGUCAUUAUAUCAUAAGGUCUAAACUCUAAAAUACUAAAUAAAAUGAGUGGAUUAAUUAGUUUUAUUUCUUUAUUAGCAAUUGCUAACUAGUAAAAUAAUGGACUUAAAAAUGCAAAUUUUAAGAUAAAAUAUAAACUAUAAUAGAAAGAAUGAUAAAAAAGACAAAUAAAGAAAAGAAAAGAUAUGCUAACAAGAAAAAAUAAUAAUAUUAACAAUAAAACAAAAGGUAGGAUAAUCUCACUAAUAUAUAAUAGCUUUACGGAAAUUGUAAAAGUGGAGAAGACAUUAACUAUACAGCAAGAGAUAAACCAGGAAAAAUAAAGGUGUUGGGCUCGAACCAUGUAAAUGCUGAAGUAACCGGACAUCUUUACCAAUCGUUCCAACAAAAUAAAUAGUCACCGAGCUACAAAAUAAUAUUUGAAAACUAGUCGGGGGCACGUGCCCCCGUUCAUGGUACUGUAGAUCCGCUCCUGCAAGCGGGUAAAUUUAAAUUUAGUAAACUUCUAACCUAGGGUGCUUAACACCAUUCCAAGCCCGUGGUAGCACUAUAUAGUAUAUAGUUAGGUUCCAUAUUACUAAGAUUUUGUUUUUAUUUUCUUUUCCUCGUUCAAUAUUUAUAAGUUGCAGAAUUUUUAGUUCCCAAGUGUUUUAUUUUUUCCAAUGGAAGACACUAUUACAUAUAUGGUUUUUUUUUGGAAGAACAAAAAAAUUGGAUUAAAAUGUAUCUAAAAACCAAACAUUUCAAAUAGUUGUGCUAAUUGCAACUAGAUUAUAAUUUUUGGAAUGAAAUGAUAUGGAACGGUUGAUCCGUUAAUUCUACAUUUUUAAACCAUUUACUCUAUAUUUUUUUUUACCUUUUAUUAUAUUGUGAAUAGAAUAAAAUCUUUAUUAAAUAAAAAUAAAUAAAUAAAAUACAAAGAAAAUGAUUUUAUAGCAAUUUGUUUAUGAAUAAAUAGAAUAAAUCUAUUCCAUUUUUGAUGUAUUCGGUAUUCCACUCCUAUUAUUCUAUUUUAUUUAACUACAUUAAUUCUAUAUUAGUUUACCAGUUACUGUUUACAGUGGUCUCCAUUAUCUAAAUGCUAAAUUUCUUUUACAACAAACCCCCUAAAAAUUAACAUAAAAUAAUUUUUCCAUUCACUAUUUUCAGUUACCAUCAACAUCCUCCUAACAAUACGUCUAUAAAUCAUCCUAAAACCCACCCUCCCAAAAAUAUAAAAAAAAAGCCAAUUACAAAGGUAAUAAAUUACAAUUUUCCUAUAAAAUAUCUUUUUUCUUUUUGUUUAAACAAACAACAAUGCAUCACUAGUCUUCAAGUGUACUGUCCAUGGAAUUAUCUCUCCUAUGAUUUUCCGAUAGUCCCGAUCUAUCUCCAGUCCGCUCAACACUAUACGCCACCGUAGGUGGAAGCAAGGGAGCCUUCUUCUGAUGUUUUCUGGCAUGUCUCACCUUAAUGACACGUGUCAAAACCUGCACAGCAUCCCUCAUGUUGGGGCGUUUCCUUGGGGCAUGAGAUAUGCAUUUAUAUGCAAAAGCCGCAACUUCAUUCACUUCUUGUAUAUCAAACCUCCCAUCUAAUCUCGAAUCCACAAUCUCUUCCCACCCAACCUUCUCCUCUGCAUUCAUAGCCGCCUAAAACAAAAACUUGUCUUAGUAAUGUUUUCUUCAAAGAAACAAAUGUGGAGUUGAGGAUCAUGUUGGUGCCUCUUUUACCAGUUCAACAUAUUCCAUUAGACCUUGUUGAGGGUUUCUUCCAGCUAUAAGCUCAAAAAGCAAAACCCCAAAUUUUAAUUCUUUUCUUUGUCUUGUUUUAUUUCCCUUUUCCCCCAUCACAAUAACAUAUAUAUAGAUUUAUACUAACUUAAUUUUAAAUUGAAUUUGAUAAAUUAAUCAUUAACUUUUUUUCAUGUUCUUUUGAAAUCCAUAUUGUCUGCCAUAUAUUAUUUCCUUCAUUAUAUAAUAGAUGACUUUAAAUAUUCUUAUAUGAUUUCCUUCAACAAAAAUGUUGCUAAAUACGGAAAAGGUAACAAAAUAUAUAAUAAAUGACGUAUAAUAUUCUUGAUACUGAAAUCUAAUACAAUCGGAAAAAUAUGCACCACACGAAACGAAACAUUUUGGCAGUCAAAAGAUUGGCGUACAAAGAGAAGUUUAAAAAAAAAAGUCUUACUUUAAUUGUAUUGAUUCAUUAAUAUCAUAAAGGAAAACGCAAUAAAUAGUAAAUAUCCGACCUAAAACUUGCCGUGGUGGGCAAGGCUACCCUCUGUACUAAUGGAAAGGUUUUAGGAGGAGAAGAUGGAAUAUUAUCAAUUCUCUUAGAGCUGUCUCAGUUUUUUUUUUCCUAAGAACAUUCAUGACUUGUUUCUUAGCCGGCUCUUGAGGCUCCGCCUUGUGAAACCUGCGUUGGUGAGAAGAUCAUCCUCUGUUUCUCUUCUUAUCUCUAACGGCUUCUCAACUACUUCCCUGCGGCAAACCCCUCCUUGUUCCGUCAUCGGCGCUAGACCUUGUGGAGACGAUCUCGGAGGACUCAUAGUUGCCUAUGCAGAUACACAUGCCUGGACUGAACUGGACAAAAUGGUACGUCUGGAGUUGGUGUGUAACAGUAUUAAUCAUGGAAAAACACUAACGAUCGGGGCUUCUCAUGGGUGGGUAGCUAGUUUGAAGGAAGAUGGAACCCUGUGUCUCCAAGAUGAUCUAAACCCGUAUGCAUCGUAUACAGAUCCUAAACGCAUCCCUCUGCCUCCUCUUGUGACUCUGCCACAUUGUCAAACCAAAAUCAUCACCAACGUGUCAAUGUCAUCAUCUUCUCCAGAUGACGAUGAGGACUGUGUCGUGGCUGUCAAGUUCUUGGGACCUCAACUCAGCUUUUGCAAACCAGCCGGGAAGAGUAGUAAACCAGAGUGGACCAACAUCAAGAUCGAGAACCCUUGCUUCUACUCCUCACGUGUCAUGUUUUCCAAAAAGGACAACAUGUUUCGUAUUCCCGGAUCUGGAGGCCACCUCAUCGGCUCAUUGGAUCUCUUCGAACCUAACGAUAAGCUCAAGUUGCAGUGCGUUGGAUUUGAAAACCUUCCUCCUAAGCUACCCACUCCCCUUAUGGAUUCAUGCUGCAUGAGCCAACACUUGGUGGAGUCAACAUCCACAGGUGAGACUUUCUUGGUUAAGCAGUAUAGGAAGACGGCCAAGAUCGUCGAAGGUGUUGCCCAAAUGAAAACACAAUUUUUAAUGGUGUUCAAGCUAGACGAUGAAGGAAACGCGGUCUACACUCGAGACAUGGGAGAUCUCACCAUGUUCCUCUCAAUGUCUGAACCUUUCUGUGUCCCUUCUACUUCCUUUCCUGGUUUGCUUCCUAACUACGUUUACAUCUUGGAUUUCGACGAAACCGCAAUGGUUAGUCUGGUGGAUGGUUUCCCCUUAGUCGCUACAAAUGGAAAAACGGAUGCUCCUUACUACAUUCCACCUCAAAAUAUAUUAGACUGAGUCUAAACUAUAUCCUCCAGCUUCUAUAUCUUCAUAAGUAGAUUGUACUGUUUCCUGUUUUAUGUAUGAAAUAUUUGUUUUAAACGCCGUGAAAAUUGUUAACCGUUCGGUGGUCUGUGGCCGUGGACAUUUAGCUCACAUCAAUUAUAUAAUUAGAGAUAAGAAAUUGAAUAUCGACUUGUAGUAUUUUAAGCUUAGAAAUGGAAAAUAAUUCAAAUUUUUCAUAACAAUGCUUAAACCAUGUAAAGAGUGAGUUAAACCCGAGUUUUGAUGAGGAUACAUUGAGUGGCUGCUACCAAAUGAUUUUGUCUAUAAUUAUAUGUAAAUUAUCUGAUUUUGUCCAUAAUUAUAUUAUUUAGCUUUUGUUUAUGAUAAAAAAAUGUUGUUAAAUUUAUUAUUAAUUAAAUAUAAUAUUUUGAUGAAUGUAAAUAUUACAAAUUUAAAUCUACAUUUUAUUUAUUUAAAAUACAAUUUUACAAAUUUAAACUACAUUUAUUUAUUUAAAAUAAAAUUUUACAAAUUCAUAAAAUUAAAAUAUGAAGUAAAUGAAAAUUGUGUCUGCGACAACCAAACAAACAAAACUAAAUCUAAUUUCUGCGGCUGCGGCUGCGUCAAUGUUUUGUGUCUUUGAAAUGAACAACAAACUGCGGUUGCGACUGCGGCUGCGUCUGUUCGUUUGGUUAUUGAUCGUUUUGCAAAAGGCUGCGGCAACCAAACGAGCAGCACUAUUAAAUCAGUCAUCUUUAGAACUGACUUCGUACAUCAUCAAACCAAUACAUUCAAUAUAUACCAGUUUUGUGUGGUUCAAUAUAUACAGAACUCGGACUUCAAAUUUUGAUAUGUUACUCCUGAACUUGGGAAACACAUUUUUGUGCAUGGUCAACACAUAUAUCAUCGUCCCUGCAACAAAUGACUAUUCAAUGAGCCUUGGAACGGUUUGUGGUGUUGUGGAAUGGUUUGAUGGCAAAUACAUAGAACAUCGCAAGACCCACCACAAUCUCCACCAAGCGCAUCUCCACCGCCAACUCCUCCCUACCCUCCGCCGGAUGCGGCGGCGGCUUAUCCGGAUGCUCGAGAUCGAUAGCGAAUCUCAAAGACGUGAUCCACGGGAGCAAACGCCACUUCGAGAAACCGCCGAUAAGCAGUCCUCGCUCCAUCGGAAGCAACGAGUUCCUCAACCCCAUAACCCACGAAGUCAUCCUCAGCAACUCCACCUGCGAGCUCAAAAUCACCGGCGUCGGAGACAUGGCUUCCCCCGCCGGAGCAACGGAAUCCGGCGGUGGCGGCGGAGGAAACGGACGGUCGACGACUUUUGUGGGGAUGCUGAGGCCGGGGACGCCGAUGCAUCAUCUGAACCACUCUGCUUCUCACCGGAGCCAUGCUUCGUCGACGGCGGCGAAAAAGGGCUCCUUUGCUUCGUCGGAGAGAGAGGUAAUAGGAGAAGGGUUUCACACAAAGAGGAGAGUUUCUUUGGAGAUGAACAGAGACUCCGCCGUUAACGGAGGCAAAUACUCUGUUUCUUGCCAUAAGUGUGGUGAACAGUUCAGCAAACUCGAAGCUGCAGAAGCUCAUCAUCUCUCUAAACACGCCGGUAAACUCGAAACUUUAACCAUUGGGAUUAUAUAAUUAAUGAAUAUAUUAUAAAGUUUUCACCUUUAUGAAGAUUUUGUCGCAUUUUUAUAAUAUACUCUCUCCUACUUCAUAAAAAAUCCAUGUUUAAAAAUUUUCAAAUUUUUUAAUAAAAUAUAUUAAAACUUAUCAAUAAAUACAUAUUUUUUUAUAAUUUUAUAUUUUCUAUAUUUUUAAACUAAUAAAAUUUUAAGAAAUGCAAUUAAUAUUUUUAAACUUUACUAUUUUUUAUUAUUAGUUGACAAAAAUUACAUUAGAAAUAUAAAAUAUGUAUAUUUUUGAAACAAAUUUUUUUCUCAUAUAAUAAAGUUUUGAACUUUAUGAACAUUUUCGCAUAUUAAUAUAAAGUAAUAAGCUUUGCUCAUAAUAUUACAGUGACGGAGCUCGUAGAAGGCGACUCGUCAAGGAAGAUAGUGGAGAUAAUCUGUAGAACGAGCUGGUUAAAGUCAGAGAACCAAUGCGGGAGAAUAGACCGUGUCCUAAAAGUACACAACAUGCAGAAGACACUAGCUCGGUUCGAGGAGUACAGAGAGACGGUGAAGAUCAGAGCGAGCAAGCUCCAGAAGAAGCAUCCGAGAUGUCUCGCCGACGGCAACGAGCUGCUCAGGUUCCACGGCACCACCGUGGCUUGCGGUUUGGGGAUAAACGGGUCGACGAGCCUCUGCACGGCGGAAAAGUGCUGCGUCUGCCGGAUCAUACGGAACGGGUUCUCGGCGAAGCGGGAGAAGAAUAACGGUGUUGGGGUUUUCACGGCGUCGACGAGCGGGAGAGCGUUUGAGUCGAUUUUGGUGGAGGAGGGAGAUGGGGAGAGGACGGUGACGGUGAGGAAGGUGUUGAUUGUGUGUAGGGUUAUAGCCGGGAGAGUUCAUAGGCCGGUGGAGAAUGUGGAGGAGGUGAAUGGGUUGAUGAUGAGUGGGUUUGAUUCUUUGGCUGGAAAAGUUGGGUUGUAUACAAAUGUGGAGGAGCUUUAUUUGCUCAAUCCUAGAGCUUUGCUUCCUUGCUUUGUGGUAAUCUGCAAGUCUUAAAAAAUAUUUAGCAUUUUUGUUUUGGCAGAAAGGUCAAAAUGUUCUUGUUAUUUGUUCAUAAUUUCAGUUUUUACCAUCUUGUUCCGAAUUUGUUUUCAAGGUGAAUUUGGAAUUUAAAUUUUUAAUUUUCGGCUAGUUUAUGUCUGAGUUCUUAAUUAUUCUUACCUAGAGAGACAAAAAUAUUUUGUUCAUAUUAUGUUAGAUAAAUUUGUAUUUUGGCGUAUAUUAUACUAACGUAAAAAGAUGUGGUAAGAGAUAGAUUGUAAAGUGUGUCAGAGUGAGAAUUUUAGUUUCACGGGUGGCCUGUUGGUAAAAGUGCUACUAUAAAUGCCAAGUUCAUUCAGUAAAAAGUUCUUACAAAAAUCGAUAAAUAAGAAAAAACUCAUCAACAAAUUAAACAAACAUGAUAAUUUUUUUUGGUCGACGGUAAACCUUUCAAAGAUUUGGAACAUGAACGUUUGCUUCAUUGCUUGUUUGGUUGAAUCGUGUUAAUUGUUCAAUAUGGAUUUAUGUUGUUUAAAGUGUUUUCAUAUUUUUUUUAACUUCUAUUAUAUACAUAUCAAUAAUACAUAAUAUAUGAUGUACAGUAGAACAUAUCAUAUAUGUAUAGUACUCAGACGACCCAAAGACAUUUGGUUUUCUUUAGCUUCAAAAUUUUGUUUGGAACCAUCCCCGUAUAGUCCUAGAUUACAUACAAAAUGAAUAUUUAUAUAAGAAAACAUGGCAUAUAAAAACAAAAAUAACAUUAAUGAUAAUUAGACAUUUUGCUAAAACGAAUAAAAUGGUCCAUACUAAAUUACUCGAUAGUUUUCAUAAUGUCAGCGAGACAAAGCUUACGUCAAAGGUGUCGACAAAAUUCUAUCCCAUGCAAACAUUUAUUUGGAGCUUUUAUUAGUUCUAUCUGCAAAAGCCACCCUCUCAUCAAUAUAUAUCCGCCGAGAAAAGAAAAAUCAGAAUAUGCGAGCCCAAUAAUAAUAAAAGUUUCAAAUCUUGAAAUUUCGAAUUUUGAAAACAAAUAUACAUUUUGUUUUUUUUUAGAUAUAUUAUUUCAGGGCUCUGCAAAAAUAUUUGUGAUAAUACAUUUUGUACUUAAAGUUGUUUGUGGACAAAGCAAAUUUUGUUUAAGAGGGAGCAUAGUCUAGUGAAAAUGAAUCAUAGAUAUCUCAAAAUGUGGCUAUUUCGAUAUUUGAUUACGUAUACAUACAAUGUAUGUUCAUUUUUCUUUUUUGAACUGACACAUAAUAAAUGUAUAUUUGAGAACGAAUGAGAAAUGACGAGGCCUGAAAUGGACAGUGUAUCUAUAUCAACCGCCGAAGUAACGGUGGGAUCAUACCACAUGCCGUCUCAGAAAAUUGUAUUCUAUACAAACCUUGUAAUUAAUUAUCUCCACUCGACAACAAUCUAUGUCGUCAUUUUCGGAUCUUUUAUAUAAUGACGAGAACGCAUUAGUAAUCCCCUAAAUAUGCGAAAUAUACAGAAGCUAAAAGCGAGCUGAUUAAGGCUUAAAGACCAUGGUUUAGCCACAUAUGAAAGCGUUUGUAGAUUCUUUGUUCCCUGUAAAAAGUUGAUUGUAAGAAACAUAUUUCGUAGCUUUGUAAGUGGAGAAAGUGUUUAUCUGGUACGAUUUUUACACUUUUAACUUAAAAUGGAUUUUCAAUAUAUCCAUCAUCAAAUACAUAGGUCCAUUAGUCUACAAAUCAAAAGUGCAAUGAAGAAGAAAUAAGGGAGAUGCUAAGAUGCUGAGCCAGCUGCAACUUGAGUUGUUUCUUUAUCCUUAGCCUCCUUAAGUUGCUUCCAUUUCUCAAUGGUGUCGAUAAGUUCCCCAGUUUUGAUCAGAUAUCUCACCUUCUGUCCAUCUUCGAGGACCUUGUGACCCACCCGGCUAACCACCUCCUUUUCUUUCGAAUACAGCAUCACAUUUGAGCUGUGAAUCGGUGCUUCAAUCUGGAAAACAUAAUGCAUUUUAGCACAAUCCUCAAUCAUCAUCACUGCCAAAGGCAAAGUGAAGGGAGCUACACGAUGUGGUUUCUGUUUUGCAAAUUAUUUUUAAGAGAGUCAUGUGAGUGGUGUCUGACCUUGAGAAUUUGGCCAGGCUCUCCCUCUUCACGGCUCUUCAUGUGUUUAGUCUUGAGGUUGACAUCUUUGAUGACAAUGGUGCUGUUGUGGGUAAAGAUCUUAGUGACUUCCCCAAUCUUACCCUUGUCUCGUCCAGAUAUAACUUUGACCGUAUCACCAAACUUGACAUGCAUUUUGUGCAGGAUUGGAAGACUGUUUGGUUUGCAUUUCUUCCGUUCCCAACGCUUAAGCUGAAAGAAAGAAAAAGAAAAAAAAACACAUCAUAAUCCUGUUAAUGCCCUUAGGAAUCAAUCAAGAGAUGAAACUCAACAACAUUACCAAAAGAAUGAGGUAAAGGAUCUUGGUUACUAACCUUUGCGUAAACAAGACAUGGGUUCUGGGCGGGCUUGACCUGCAAUGAGUUACAAAAGAAAAGCAGAGUAAUUAAGGAACCAAACCCCACCCCAACUGCAAACACUUUGCCUAAAAAAACGCUAAACCAUUCUUCUGACUCAGUAUAAGUUCGUUCGAGCAACAAAACCAUAAUCAACCAAAAUGUACAUCACCAGGUGCUAAAUGCAUUCUUUAGAUUCCAAAAGGUUCACCAACCAAUCAAUCAAACGAGCACACAAAAAUAAGAGAUCCUAACUUAAAAGUUUUAGAUGCAUCGCCAAGCCAAGUAGAGAUAAACAGUUGUCUUUUGAGAAAAAAAUCAAAGUUAUAGAAUUUAAAGUGUUCAUAACUUCAUCUCAGUUCAGUACUAACACAGAAAAAGACAAAGAGACAAUUCACAUUCUCCAAUCCAUUCUCCACUAAACAUAACUCAUAGCGCAGAAACACACAACAAAGUUUCAAUCUUUACUCCUUUUAGAGAAAAAAUUUAGAAUUGGCACCAAAAUUCACCAUACCAAAAGCUUAAUAAAUGAAACUAAUCAACAGGUCCAAUGAAAGAUAUCAAACCCGUUACAGGGCUAAAUGUUCGAGCUAAACGUGGCAAUGUCUUUGAUUAGAACGAGAAAUUCGAAAACGGGAGUUACCGGAGAAGCGGCGGAGAGGGAAAGCGGGGAAAGGAGACGCUGGCCGAGGAAGGAGGAGUUGGACUUGGAGGAUAGCGAAAGAGAUGUAAACGAGCUCUGAAGAGAAGUCAUCAUGGUCGCCAUUCUUUUCAGAGUAACUCCCGCUUGCUAAGUGGGGGGGCUAACACUUCAUGUCUCUGUUCGUCUCAAGGCGAUAAGACGAGGAUAACGAUUAUCUCUUUACUGUUAAACGACACCGUUUUAGUACCAUGAUUAACUUCACUGGUGGGUUUUUGGCUAAGGUUUGGGCUUAAAUAUUGUCUGCUUUGGUGUAAUACCCCAAACAUAUACUCCCUCCGUUUAUGAUGUUUUAGAAAUUUUUUGUUGUUUCGAAAUAGAUGAUGUUUUGAUUUUUUAUGUUAUUUUUAACUUUAUUGAAAACUGUGUAACCAAUUAGAUGUUAUAGUCAUUUUUAUAAUUGGUCGGAUGAUUUUUAAAUUAUAUUUUUUAAACUAUUUUAAGAAUAACAUCAUCUAUUUUAUAGAAGUUCUGUAUUUUUUUUAACUUUUUUUUGAUAAUUCGGCGGACCGAAACCUAACUGACUAAUAUCAUGGAAUCUGUCCACCGAUACUAAAUAGAUCCGGUUAUUUGCAAUGAGAAUUAAAUAUCCAUAUCACUUUGACCACACAAGCGGACAGUGGCGGAUCCAGACUAAUUAUUUAACGGGAGCACAUAAUAAAUAUAUAUAUAUAUUAAANNNNNNNNNNNNNNNNNNNNNNNNNNNNNNNNNNNNNNNNNNNNNNNNNNNNNNNNNNNNNNNNNNNNNNNNNNNNNNNNNNNNNNNNNNNNNNNNNNNNAAAACACAGAAAUUAAACAAGGUCUAUAAAAUAGUCAACUUAUAUAUAAUAGACUAAAUCAUUUCUAUAGCUCGUACAGUUCACAAGAACAUCUUGUACAGACUACUUGCUCUAAAAAAUGACUCACCAGAAACCAUAUGAUGUUACACGGAUGAAAUGCUCUCUCUCAUUUGCCCUGAAACUUAAAUCUUCGCUUCCUGCACUACGCUUUCUCAGUCUUCUGUUUAUUUUUUUCUGUUUUCAAACUUUUUUCUUGUUAAUGAGAGCAUUCGUAUGUGCUCUAAGCCUAUACUCGCUCUCAUAUUCUAUUGCUGAGCAAAAGUUUGUAAUACUCUUUUUUUUGUUGGUGUAAAUUUAACAUUUCAACAAAAAAAAAAGAUUUGUAAGAUAGUGUGCUAUGUGAAAUAGACAAACCAAACAACUUUUUACCAAUUUGCACCAUUAUAGUUGUUUUGUUGUCUUUCUCAUUUUUGAUCAUUAUUUGUUAGCUGUGGGAUAGGCUACACAAAACAUUAAAGAGGAACGUAAGGGAAUGAAUCAGAGAAAAAAAAUACGUAUACUUGUUUUCAGAUUAUGUACCAGUCUUCUCUUUUACUAUGGUUGUUAUAGAGAACGCUAUUUUGUUUUGUUUUGUUUGUAGUUUGAGAUUUUUUUUUUCUUGAUCUGUCUGUUUACAGGAUAAUGAUUCGUUGUCUUUUGUCUUCUUCCUUCUUCAAAUCUGUUUUUGUUAGAUGCAACGCACUGCAAGUAAUAUAAUAUAGAAAGAAUAGAUUUGUAAAUACCAGUUUUGUAGAUAUAUAGUUGAACAUACCUAUAGGUAUCCUUGUUGCUGUUAAAGCUUUGAAAUAAUAUGCUCAAGUGCCAUUUUUAACUUGAAAUAAACAAUUAAGAGAUUGUUAAUAGAAAAUAAGAAGAAACCAAUUUUUUUAAGUCCGUCGGGAAUCAUCCGGAAAUUCCUAAUGGUUUUCGACGGAUUUAAAUAAAUAUUUACUUUUAUAAAUUGCGUAGGAAAUUCACGACGAAUUCUCGAUAAAUUUAGGGUUUAGGGUAUAAAAAUAUGUAUAAAAUAGGUAAAAUCCUAUUCGUUAAAGAUCUCUGAAUUCUAUAAUAACAUUUAAAACUCCAUAUGAUAUAACAUAUCCUCAAUAUAUGAAUAUUACAAAAUUACAAAAAUUAAAUCAAAAGAAUCAACUUGAACGUUAACAUGUCAUAUACUUACAUUAAUUAUUUUGGGAACUCGUCCAUAGAACCAUAUGCUAUAUUACAGCGCACCUGAAACUCUCAUAAUCUCAAAUCAAUCCAAAAGUCCUUCUCUUCUACCUCAACUCCCACUACAAGAAAACAGCGGUAUUCUGACGGACGUUCUGACGGAAAAUGAAAUCCUCGGAAAAUCCCGAGGAAUUUCCGAGGAUAUUCCGAGGAAACACAAAAUUUGGUUUCCUCGGAAUUUCCUCGGAAUAUACCGACGGAAUUCCGAGGAAAUAUCAUUCCGUCGGAAUAUUCUUAUGGAAUACCGAGGAAAAUUGUAUUCCUCGGAAAAAACCGAUGAAUUCCGAGGAAAUAUUAUAGACGUUAGAGAGCCGUUGGGGGAUUUUAAAAAUUCCGAGGAAAUUCCGACGAACUAGCCGUUGGCAUCGGAAUUCCGUCGGAAUUUCCUCGGUCUGUCGGAAAGAUUUCAACUAUAAAUACAAGCACCCCUCUUCCUCUUCAUUCACUCCAUAUCUUCAUCCUCCCUCUCACUCUCUUUACACACGAAUUUGAUUCAUAAAAAACAUGUCUUCUUCAAAUUAUUUUCGUUCUUGGAUCGAUCGACCUCAUUUGGAUCUGAACACGAGAUUGCUUACGGAAGAAUACCAACGAGGUAUAACCGAAUUCAUGGGGUUAGUUCACCGACAACCGGAAGCAAAAACAGGUAUGUUAAGAUGUCCUUGUUCUAAUUGUAAAAAUAAAAAGGUUAUUAAAGAGUGGGAUGUUUGGACUCAUCUAUAUUUGAGUGGGUUUACACGAAGUUACAAAAUUUGGUAUCAUCAUGGGGAAACUGAUUAUGAACAUGGUAGUACUAGCGAACCUCAGCCAGCUGUUAGAUUAGAAGAACCAAUUAGAACAGAUGUAAAUUAUGGUGUAGGUACUGAGCAGAUGGUAAAUGAUCAUUUUAGAGGGGAAGAUUUACCCAAUGCCGAAGCUAGGAGAUUUUAUGAUAUGUUGGAUGCUUGAAAGCAACCAUUGUACGAAGGUUGCAGAGAUGGUCAUUCAGCUUUAUCAUCUGCUACAAGAUUGAUGGGCAUUAAGACGGAUUAUAAUUUGGCGGAAGACUGUGUGGAUGCGCUUGCUGAUUAUGUAAACGGUAUUCUACCCGAAGAUAAUGUAGCUCCUGGCUCAUACUACGAGGUUCAGAAUCUCGUAGCUGGUCUUGGUUUAUCGUAUCAGGUAAUAGAUAUAUGCAUAGACAACUGCAUGAUUUAUUGGAGGGCGGAUGAACAGCGGGUUUCAUGCAAAUUUUGUGGGAAGCCUCGUAGACAACUGCAUGAUUUAUUGGAGGACGGAUGAACAGCGGGUUUCAUGCAAAUUUUGUGGGAAGCCUCGUUAUAAAGAUACGAGUGGAAGAGUUCCAGUGCCAUAUAAAAGGAUGUGAUAUUUGCCUUUGACGGAAAUGUUGCAGAGGUUGUAUAUGUCUGAACGCACAGCGCAACCAAUAAGAUGGCACGCGGAGCACUCAACAGAUGGUGAGAUCAGACAUCCUUCAGAUGCAAAAGCGUGGAAGCAUUUCCAAUCAAAGUAUCCCGACUUUGCGUAUGAGAGAAGAAAUGUCUACCUUGGAUUAUGUACUGAUGGUUUCAGCCCGUUUGGCAAGAGUGGAAGACAGUAUUCUCUAUGGCCAGUCAUUCUUACACCAUACAACCUACCCCUAAACUUGUGCUUGCGACGAGAGUUUUUGUUUCUCUCGAUUCUCGUUCCCGGACCAGAGAAUCCUAAGAGAUCACUUGAUGUGUUUCUUCAGCCACUAAUAUAUGAGUUGCAACAACUAUGGGCUCAAGGUGCUGAAACAUACGAUGUUUCGUAUAAAGAAAACUUUCAAAUGCGGGCAGUACUAAUGUGGACAAUAAGUGAUUUUCCAGCAUAUGGUAUGUUAUCUGGAUGGACAACGCAUGGAAGGCUAUCAUGUCCAUAUUGUCAAGAUAACACUGAUGCUUUCCAACUAAAACACGGAAGGAAAACGUGUUGGUUUGACUGUCACAGGAGAUUUCUACCACCAGAUCAUCCAUAUCGUAGAAGUAGGAAUUUGUUUACGAAGAACAAUAGGGUGUUUGACAGUCCACCUCCGGAAAUUCGUGGGAAAGAUUUGAAGACACAACUUAGAGAUUUUGGUGCAGAAAGGACGCCAUACGUCGGUGGACAUGAGCGUUUUCCGGUAGAUGGUGUUGGAAACCUACAUAACUGGCACAAAAAAGUAUUUUCUGGAAUCUGCCAUACUAGGAGGAUCAUCUACUAAGGCAUAAUUUAGAUGUCAUGCAUAUUGAGAAGAACUUUUUUGACAAUCUCAUGAACACGAUCCUUAAUGUUCAAGGUAAAACAAAGGAUAAUUUGAAGUCAAGACUGGAUUUAGUCGAUAUAUGUGCUCGUUCAGAACUUCAUGUUGAUGAGAAUGGUAGGGCUCCUUUUCCCAUAUACCGACUUGAUGCAGCGGGAAAUGAUGCGUUCUUUGAUUGGAUUUCAAACGAUGUGGAAUUUCCAGACGGUUACGCAUCUAAUUUGCGUAACUGUAUCGACAGAAAUGAAGGAAAGUUUACUGGCUUGAAAAGCCACGAUUGCCAUGUAAUGAUGCAGCGCCUCCUUCCGUUUGCCUUCAAGGAACUAUUACCACGAAAUGUUCAUGAAGCAAUUGCAGGGAUAAGUGGUUUCUUCCGCGAUUUAUGCACGAGAUCAGUGACUCUUGAAGGUAUUGAAAAUUUGAAGACUAACAUAGCCGUGAUUCAGUGCAACCUUGAGAAGAUAUUUCCUCCCUCAUUUUUUGAUGUUAUGGAGCAUCUUGUUAUUCACCUGGUAAGAGAAUUGGAACUUGGUGGUCCUGUGCAGUAUAGAUGAAUGUAUCUGUAUGAGCGGUAUAUGUUCCAUUUGAAGAAGAUGGUGAAAAAUUUAAGUAGGGUGGAAGGUUCUAUAGUCGCACAGAUGAUCAAUGAAGAAACUUCAAAUUUUGCCGAGUACUACUUUCCAGCAGAAGUUCAGACCAAAAACAGAAGACCUGCUCGGCAUGAUGAUAGACGCGAACGGGCAACAUAUCAUUGGAAGGUUCCAGACAUUUUCACAGACGUUGGACGACUUAGCGGAAAACCAAAGGACCGUCGACUUACUGAUCAGGAGCGCAGUCAUUUGCAAACAUAUUUACUCACCAACUGCGAAGAUGUUCUUCAAUAUUAUAGGAUUUUCAUGGCAGAAAAGCGGUUCGAAUUUAGAUACGCCACAGAGGACGAACUAGAAGAAAUGAAGCAGAGAAUUUGGUGGAUGGAUGUUUACUUAUGUGAGUGCUGGUUUGGCCAGAGGUGAAACAUUUGACGAUUGGAUACGCGAGAUGGUCGUUGGACCAAACUUUGUUGUGAAGUCAUAUCCGAGAUUUUGUACUCGAGGAUAUGCAUUCACAACUCAGAAGAGGAGACGUUCGAGUACGACUUAUGAUGCUGGUGUUUGUUCUGCAUCAGGAGAUGAUGUAUACUACGGACACAUACAUGAGAUUUUGGAAAUCAAGUAUUUGGGCAUGGUUGGAUUGCGCUGUACUGUUUUCUAUUGUGAUUGGCACGACAACACUCCAGAUCGAGGUUUGAGAACAGAUGCAUUUGGUGUUACAUCAGUAAAUUCGAGACGGAAGCUGCAAUAUUAUGAUCAUUUCAUUCUUGCUUCUCAGGCCGAUCAGGUUUGUUAUAUCAAAUAUCCCCGGGUAAGGAACAGAGAUGAUUCAUGGGUUACUGUUACAAGACUCAACCCGAGAGGCCGAGUUCACGAAAGUUCUAAGCUGGAAGACCCACAACAACCAAGCACAUCCGGCAACUUAAGUGCAGCAGAAGAUUUAGGUGGAGUUGGCCUUGUAGUCGAUUUAACCGACUUCAGAGAGGAAGCCGCCGUUCACGUAGAGGAUGAACCAGUGAUUGGAGAGUUUCACCAAGAUCCAGAUUCAGAUUCAUCUGGUGAUGACGACUCGGAAACAGACUAGCGUCGACCUUUUUUUUUUAAAAAAAAAAAAAUAUAAAUACCGAGGAAAUUCCGAGGGCAGAUAGGUUUUCCUCGGAAUUUCCUCGGAAUAGAUCUUGUCGAUUUAGGGAUUUGAUUAUACAUUCCUUUUCCUCGGAAUCUCCUCGGAAUUUUCCGAGGAAAUUCCGACGAAGAUAAGGUUUUCCUCGGAAUUCCCUCGGAAAAUUCCGAGGAAAUUCCGAGGAACUUGGGGUUUUAAACCGAAAACAACUUUUUACGGAUUGAGUAACACGUAUAUAACCUUCAUUAAGUGUCUUAACCAGAUUAUGAUGUUUGGAACUAGGAACUUUGGUGUUUUACCCAAUAACAAACACUUUUACGAUUGCAUGAACGAAAACCACACAACAUAAGAGAAACACUUAUACACUUUAAUAAACGGUAAAGGGAAUACUUACAAUUAUUUUUGAAAUUUUGUUAUUUCAUGGUUUAUGAUCAUCUAUAAAAAGAAUCCUCAAUGGUAUGCAUUAUAAUUGUAUAAGAAAUGAAAUACGGCGAAAAUAAUCGAUGUUUUAAAACCCCAAACCCUGGUUCCUCAGAAUUUCCUCGGUAAUUACCGAGGGUAUUCCGAGGAANNNNNNNNNNNNNNNNNNNNNNNNNNNNNNNNNNNNNNNNNNNNNNNNNNNNNNNNNNNNNNNNNNNNNNNNNNNNNNNNNNNNNNNNNNNNNNNNNNNNNNNNNNNNNNNNNNNNNNNNNNNNNNNNNNNNNNNNNNNNNNNNNNNNNNNNNNNNNNNNNNNNNNNNNNNNNNNNNNNNNNNNNNNNNNNNNNNNNNNNNNNNNNNNNNNNNNNNNNNNNNNNNNNNNNNNNNNNNNNNNNNNNNNNNNNNNNNNNNNNNNNNNNNNNNNNNNNNNNNNNNNNNNUGGAAGGAGUUGUGUGCGCAUUGGGAUAAGGAAGAGACGAAAGAAACUUCUUCCACCAACUCCAACAACCGCAGGAGCGACCGUAAAGGGAAGGGCAUCUACAAGCAUAACUUGGGUGCUCAAUCUAUUGCCACUCUGGGGGAUCGCAUGGUAAGUUCAGCCGCUUUUUCUUCAAUUAUUUAAGUUUCAGAAUUUAUUUUUUGUGCAUUUUUUUCAAAUUUCUAAUGUUUGUUUAAUUUAUUUUUUUUCAAGGCGGAAGAAAAUGAGGGCGACCCGGUUGAUGAUCUCGCCCUAAUGAAAAGGGCGUAUACCAACAAGAAGACCGGCCAGAUUGAUGAUGGUCUUGUGAGGGACGUGGUCGACCUGGUCCAAACUCAGGUGUAUGACGAAGUGUCUCAGCUUCAAACCGAUGAUGACGAUUCGACGGCUUCGACCAACUUGUCCCGGGUUCGAAUCAACGAAAUCGUUGAAUUGGUAAGUUUUUUUUUUUUAAAGUUCAAUUUAAUUAUUUCUUGAUUUUUAUUUUAUCAUCAAUUUAUAUUAUCUAAAUUUGGUUAUUUAUAUUUCAGUCGGUUCCAAAGAAAAAGGGACGUUUGGUCGGUUUGGGUCGUCGCUCCCGGUCGGCUGCUCCUUCUUCUGCACCACCGGCAUAUGUUGAUCCAGAAGUUCUUACGGCUCAGCUGAAGGACAAGGAUGAUCGGAUAUCUGCGUUGGAGACCCAGAUGGCAGCUCAAUAGGCGGGCUAUGAGACCCAUAAGAGGCUGAACGAGCAGAUGAUGGAGAUGAUGAAGAGGAUGUACCCGAACGAGGUGUUCCCGAACAUUCCAGACCCGUAGUUUUUUUUUUACCAAAAACUCGGAAUCUUUUAUUUAACUUUGAAUAUUAUCUACUAUGUUUUAAUGUUUUAUGUUUUAUUCAAUUUUAAUUUUAAUUUUAAAUUUUCGAAUUUAAAUUUUAAAAAUUUUAAUUUUUUUAAAAAAAAAUUAAUUUUUUUUAAAAAUUAAUUUUUUCGAAAUUCCGAGGGAAAGCAUUUCCUCGGAAAUUUCCGAGGAACUUAUUUCCCUCGGAAUUUUCCGAGGGAAGAAGGUUCCUCGGAAUUUUCCGAGGGACUGAAAUUCCUCGGAAUUUUCCGAGGGAAGAAAGUUCCUCGGAAUUUUCCGAGGGACAGAAGUUCCUCAGAAUUUCCCGAUAAACAUUCCGAGGAAUAUUUCGUCGAAACUUCCGAGGAUUGGACCAUCGGAAUUCCAUCGAAAUAUUCCGAGGAAGGCGUCCCUCGGUAUAUUCCGAGGAACAUUCCGACGAACUUUGUGUCCUCGGAGUUUCCUCGGAAUUUUGUUUCCUCGGAAUUCCGUUGGAAAUUUCCGACGGAAUUCCGAGGAAAUAUGAAUUUCCGAGGAGAUAUUUCCAAGGACUUUUUUCGUCGGUAUGUCCUCGGAAUAGCGUUAUUCCGACGACAUAUCGACGAUUUUUUCCCUCAGUAUGCCGAUGUUUUCUUGUAGUGAUAUCACAAGAAAUUUUCUGUUUUCUUUGGUCUGAUAUAUAUAUAUAUAUUAUAUAUAACGUUUAGUGUAUAAAAAAUUAUGAAUACACGUGACGAUGUUUUUUUUUUUGCUAAAUUGUAAAUAUCAUAUAAAUGAAAAAAGAUUUUACAGAAGCAAGAUCUUAGUUUUGAAACAUCUUGGCAAAAAGAAAGAAAAAACAAGAUGAAACAACAACAUCCAACCUAUGGAUAACUUUAACACUUAUCGUAUCCACAACACCAUAAGUGAUCUGAAGUGCUUGUUCGACCUCCUAGAGGAAAUGAUAUUCCUCAUCUCCCUGUCUAAGGCCCUGAAGACAACAGAGUAAGGCUGAGAGAUAUUGUUAUGAACCAGGUUGUUCCUCUGCUUCCAAAGGUGAAAAAUGAGCGCUUGAGAGGCCAACUUCCUGAGGAGUAGCUUUCUCCUAGAGCGCGGUUCUCGGAUCCAAGCUAAGAGCUCCGCCCAGUUAGCAAAACUCCUUGCGGGAGAGCUGCAUCUAGGGAAGACUAGCGACCAUAUGUCAUUGGUGAACUGGCAGGAGAGAAACAGAUGGUCUCUCGAUUCAGGAUAAGAGGAACAGAAGGGGCAUGUAACUGGUAUCGCAAGCCCCCAGGAAGCCAGUCUCGCUCUUGUCGGCAACCUAUCGUAAUUGGCAACCCACAUAGUGAAGGCAUGCUUCGGAAUGGCCCCUUUAAACCAAACAAUAUCAUGCCAAGGUUGCGUCUCUUGUCGCGGUCUCAAAGCCUCCCAAGUAACCUGAGAAUUAAACACAUUCAAAGUGCAAUCAGCAACCCUCCAUUCAUAUAGAUCAGAGACAUGAUGAGCUAGGGGGAGAGAGAUGGUGGUUAAGUAAAUAUGUAAAUCCACUUCCUGUUGGGAUCUUGGGUUGGGUAAAGACCAGUUUGAAUUGGAGAUUGCAUCUGCCACCAAUGCGUUUUUCCUUACUCUCAGCGCUCGAGGACCAUUUUCACCAAUGUGCUUGAUCAGUUGGCCGAAAGGAGUCCAACAAUCAUACCAAAAACGCAAGGUUAAGCCGUUCCCCAGAACCCCCUUGCAGAAACGCAGAGCCAGAGGCCUGAGCUUUAAGAUUCUUUUCCAGGUCCAAGAGUCAGACUGAGACGGUUCUAUAGUCCAGAAAGAGUUUUCAGUUAAGUGGAUGCUCAUGUGCCAGUCAGCCCAGAGUGAAGGGGAGUUAGACAGUAGACGCCAGAUAAGCUUGAGACCGAGGACCUGAUUCCAGACGCGGAUGCUUCUGACUCCCAGCCCACCUUCUUCCUUAGGUAAGCACACAGUCGACCAAGCAAUUUUUGCAAUGCCCUUCUUCUCAGUAUUGCCAGACCACAGGAAGCGAGUACACAGAGCUUCAAUGCUCGAUAUACAACCGUUUGGUAACAUAAAGGCCGAGACCCAGAAGUUAAUUAAGCCAAAGAUUACUGUCUUGAGAAGCUGGAGUCGGCCCGCGAAGGAGAGUAGCUUAACAGACCAAGCUUGGAAACACCCGGUGAUUUUGGUCACAAGAAGGGCAUAUUCUGAAAUUUUCAACUUCCGACUCAUGAGAGGCAGUCCUAGAUAUCUGAUGGGGAGAUUACCAGAAGAGAAACCAUAUCUAGCAAUAGCAAUGGUUUCAUUCUGGUUAAGUCCCGCCGAGAAUAUCUCUGUUUUUGCUGCGUUCAUUUGGAGGCCAGACCAGGAGGCAAAAUCAUCCAAGCAUUCUGAUAUUCCAUGCAAACUGUUGCUGCUUCCAUCGAAGAAGAUCAUUACAUCAUCAGCAAACAUUAAGUGAGAAAUUUUAAGGUUCUCCGUUCUUGGAUGGUAGCCAAUGGUUCCGUCCUCGUAUCUAGAGAGCAGCAGUCUGGACAAACACUCCAUGGCCAUAACAAAUAGAUAGGGGGACAAGGGAUCACCUUGUCUAAUACCUCUAGUGCUCUGAAAGAACCCACCAGUUGCUCCAUUGAUUGAAACAGAGAAGGAUGCUGUAGAGAGGCAUUGAUAAAUAAGAUUAACAAACCUCUCAGGGACAGCCAGAGCCCUCAACGAAGCCAAAAUAAAGUCCCAUCUCACAGUGUCAAAUGCUUUCCGUAAGUCCACUUUAAGCAUACCUCUGGGAGUAACAGACUGAGUGUUGUAGCCAUUCACAAGAUCAGUUGCAAGUAGAACGUUCUCAGCCAGAAGACGACCAGGGAGAAAGGCAGAUUGUGCCUUGGAGAUUACCAACGGAAGGAUGUCUUUGAGUCUAGAUGCUAAGAGCUUAGCAAUCACUUUAUAGACAGUAUUAAGACAAGAGAUCGGUCUGAACUGGGAGGGAUGCGACGUGUUCGGGAUUUUAGGAAUUAACACCAGGUUUGCCGCGUUCCAUUGCUUGAGAAGAGAGCCGGAUCGAAAAAUUCUAGAAUUGCCUCAGUUACUUCCGGACCAAUAAUAGACCAUGUCGCUGUGAAAAACUCAGAAGAGUAGCCAUCCGGACCCCCUGUUUUGUUCUUGGGCAGGGAGAAGAAAGCUUCUCUGAUGUCUUCCUGUGAGAAAGCCUUCUCAAACUUGGCUGAUUGUUCCUCGGAGCACUUGAAGUCAAAGAGAAGGUCCAGGUCGCUCUGCUCAAAUAACGGAGGCGAAGUAGGACUUCCCAAGAUUUCAGAGAAGUAAUGAAUGCAUUCCGCUUGAAUGUCAGGUAGCGCAUCAAUACGGUCGCCAUUGUCAUUAACAAGGAAAUGAAUGUGAUUGAUUGCUUGUCUAGACGCCGCAUAUCUAUGAAACAGCCUGGAGUUACCAUCUCCAUAGGCCAGCCAGUUGAUCCUCGAACGUUGGAAGAAAAAGGCCGUCUCAGCGUUUGAUAACUCUUCCCAUUCUUGCCUCGCUUGGAUUUCUAACGCAGCAUGGGAGGAUGUGGGGCUGGCAAGCACAAGAUUCUGAGCAUUAACCAAGUUAUCAAGAGCAAGUGCUGUUCUUUUUUCAAUGCCAUAGUAGUUCAUCUUGCUAAAUUCCUUGAUACACUUCUUUAGUAACUUCAACUUGCGAGAGACCCUGAACAUAGCCGAACCAAUCACAUUUAUGGAGAACCAAGAGCAGCAAAUCAUGCCAAGAAAGUCCGGGUUCUGUAAGAUGAAGUUGUAGAAUCUGAAAGGCUUUUUGGUCUUCAGGGUGAGCGGGUCAAGAGCGAUGGAGAUAACAGCGUGAUCAGAAAAUUCGGGGCUACCAAAGUUCACAACAGAAGCAGGGAACUCAUAAUACCAAUUAUCAUUCACCAAUGCCCGAUCCAGCAUCUUUGCGAUGGGGUCGCUUUUGCGUUUGUUCCACCAGGUGAACGUGUUUCCUCUAUAGUUGAGAUCGUCAAUCUGAGCAGAGAGUAAGCACUGGUUAAAGUCCCGGAUCCUUUUGUCCAUGUUGAGAGAGGAUGGCUUAGAGUGUUCCUUUGGAUCUCUUAUCUGAUUGAAGUCACCUAGGAUCAACCAAGGCUUGUUCACCAGACCGUGAGUUGUUGCAAGCGCAUCAAUCUCCGACCAAAGGCUCACACGCUCGUCAACAUCAUUCGAGGCAUAGAUGACGGAAAUCGUGAUUACAGACUGAACAGUUGGCCAAGCCACUUCAAGAGUAAUCAUUUGCAGGGACUUGGAGAUGAUAGUAACUAACAGAGAAGGAUGCCAAACGAUCCAUAUUUUACCCAGGGGAGAGUAUCCAUAGUUGGCCUCGGAAGACCACCCCGGGAAGAGAUACGAGGUAAAUUUAUUCAUCUUGAGCUCUUUGACAUGAGUCUCAAGUAGUGCUCCAAAAAGAGGGGAGUGCUUCCUAUACCAUUUACGUAAUCCGCUGCGGUGGCUUAGCUUAUUUAAACCGCGUAUGUUCCAGCAAAAAAUGUCCGUCAACAUAAAAUUUAGUUGGUUUUGGGGCCCUUGCCCCGUUUUCCUUUUUGACCUGAGAACCUUUUCCUGUUGCGAACCACUUCAAAAUCAAGCUCAUGUUUACUAAACUCCCCCUCUUCUAGCUCCGGAUCAGAGGACUCAAUAUCAGAAGAGUCCGGCUGCAUUGUUGAAUGAGAAGAACGGGAAGUACCUGAAACGCUUCUACGAAUCGCUGACUGGAGGUAGGAAGGAGUAGCGCUGGAUUCACCUAUAGUCUUGUCUUUAUCAGUGCCCAAUUUUGACUGAUGAUUACUAACCACCAAGCACAACUCAAAAAGACCUGCCGAGGGAGGGGGGUUCGCUGCAGGUAAGAUGCUAUGCUGGGGAUUUGGAGUCUGCUCAGACGGAAUUGAGUUAUCCACUGGAACCCAUUUUUUCUUAGACCUCGAUCUGCUUCUCCUGGUUUUCCUACCACGAGCAUCCUUUUUAGGAGCUUGAGGACAGUUCGCUGCCAGAUGAUCAGUGGAGCUGCAGACAGAGCAAGGCUUGGGGGCUUUUGGGCAACGUCUAGUAGAAUGGCCAAUUUCUUUGCAGAAACCACACACCGGAGGCAUCCAUGGACUAGACACAAGCACUCUACUUAUAACUCCUGAAUCGAACUGAACAUUAACAGCCUCAGGAAGUGGCUUCCUCGGGUCAAUGACAGUGAACACCUUAGCAACCUCCAGAUUUGUUUUAUUAGCUGUCGCUGGGUGCAGGAAUUUGGGAUGACCUACCAGACCCGCUAUGCGCUCAAGGCCGUCUUCAUUGAAGAACUGGAACGGAACAUUUCGCAGUUCUAGCCAGAUGGGAGCGGAAGUAAGCUCUGGUUUGGUUGGAACGAUACCCGGUUCCCAGUUGUCUACAAACAUAGUUUGCCCUUCAAUCUGCCAGAGCUUCUGCUUUAUCACUCUACUUCUAGUAGCUGCAUUCGGAAUCCUAAACAGAAAGGAGAAGCCCUCCAUUUUUGACACCGCAAUAUCUCUGUAUUGUUUGCUCCAGAUUCCAUUGACAAUGUUAUGAAGAGUUCCUUGCGAUGGAGGGUCCGAAUAGAACUGACCGAGAACAAACGGUUCCCAAGCUUUGCGAUUCUUCUCUAUUACCGAGUUUGGGAUCUUGAUGCACGCUUCACCCGAAGGAAGUGUGAAAGAAUCGCCUUUCUUGGAUAGUUGCUUAACACCUUUAGCCCGAUCACACCAAGUGUCCUUGGCUGCGGUUUGAACCUCUGCUGGCGGGCUAGAUUGUGUAGGACUUGCUACUGAGAUGUUCCUAAUCUCCUUCACACCAGUUGUGUCGGAUGGGUCACUCAUAUCUUCAGCAAGCUGCGAGCUCAAAAGCAUAGCUUUGGCAUCAGCAUUCGCUAGUUGCUCAGAUGGACCAGCUACAACUGUGAUCUUAUUGACCUCUGUUACAGCUGGUACGGACGCAGAGGAGCUCAUAGGCGGCGCUACAAAGCUCGACUCCUUCUGGGGGUUCAAGACUUCGGUUCUCACAGAAGAUGGAUCUGUCGAUUGCUCAACGAUCACAGUCUUCUCAGAGAGGGAAUCAGUAAAUUGGGGGGUCAGAUCUGCGGAAUCACGAGUAGGUUGAGCAUCCACUUCGGCUGGGGAGCGAAGGUGGGCAUCUGAAACUUUCUCGAUGACCGGAGAGGGGACAUCAAUCGCAUUGAAAUCGACCAGAGACGGAGGGGGGCUGGUCGGAGGAGAGGAAUUGGUCGACGGAGGAGGCCCCGACGACCUCGAAAUCUCCAACAGCGAAGGUACUUUGGGUUUUUUCUUCUUCAUCUCCUUUGACGGAGACGGAGAGGCGAGUUGUGAGAGGAGCCGACGCCUAAUCAGACGCCGGUGAGAGGCGGACAGACAAGUCACGGUGGCUGCGAGAGUCGCAAAACAAUCGCCUUUUUAGGAGAGAGAAACUAGCCGUUUUUUCAAUGUAACUACUCCACGUGACGAUGUUAAUAGGGAUGUCAAAUAAAAACGAAGCCCUAGCUCCAAAGCUUUAAAGUUCUGAUAAUAAAUAAAGUUGGAUAAGCUUUGUUUGGACCAAAGCUAUCACGUUAGAGUUCUUUUUAAACAUUCUGUAGUUGUUGUUUUUUUUUUUUUGUUUUUUUAUUCUGUAAUUGUUGUUGGUUUAUGAUUUAGGAGUAAAUUCCAGUGAAAAUUCCGAUGAAUUUAUGGUCAUUGGAAAAGUGCAUUCACAGCGAAAGUUUAGCUCUUUUCAGUGGAUGCAUUGGAAAUGAAUCUUUAUCUGGAUCAGACUCACAAGAUAAUUUAAAUAAUAUUUCAAAACCGGGACUGAAUCGGGUUAGAUUGUCUUGAUUAACACCCCUAGAUAUAAAUCAAGAAUGAACACACCUCAAGUAAUUGUCGGGUCUUGGAUCAUGGAUUUAUAUAAUCCAUUUCACUAGGUGUAGAUGUGUGGGACAUAAAAGAACUUACAUUAAGCAGUUGUGUGUUUCGUCCUUAUAUUUUCAUUUGGCUGUACACGUAUAUGUUUCAUAAUACGACGCAUAAGCUAAUAGUAUAAUAAUAUACUGGUCGGGUGGUGAUGCCUCAGGCAGCUGUUACCCAUUGGUGCUGGUACUGGUCGGGUUAUCGAGUGCCAUUAUUAUUAUUUGGUGUUAUCAUAACAUGUAUGUAAUUUAAGUGUCUUUUAACUGAACUAUAUUGGUGAAAAAUAAAUGCACUACUCAUUUGAUGAUGUUUACUCAUUCAAAACAAAGAUAUAUACGUGUAUCCAAUAAUUAUAACGCACUUAUAAUAUAUAACUAGGUUAAGACCCGCGCCUUGCGCGGGAUGAACAUUAUAUAUAUAAAUUAUUUUAUAUAUUAUAUGUUUAUAACAUAUUAUGAAAUAAUAAAUAUAUAUUCAAUAAUUAAAAAGUCAUUAUCUACUAUUUAUAUAUUUAAAUUGGUGCAAACAUAUAAAUACAUUUUUUAAAUCAAACAAAUAUUUUUUCUAUUUGAUAUGCAAUAUAAUUAAAUUUAAAUGAGAGUAACAUAUAUACGGUAUAUUUUAAUAUCAAUAUUUAUUAGAUGAUGCUUUUUGCUCAUAUUUUUAUCAUUUGUAUUUGUAUCUGUUAUAAAAAAAAAUUUAAAUUAGUGAUAACAAAAUUUUCACUGUGGAUUAAUGUUUUAAGUAAUUUAUAAAAUUUAAAAAUUAAGUUGUCAAUAUUUUUUCAAAUUUUUUAUCAAAAAAAUGUUCAAAGUAAAUUUCAAAAUUAAGAUAUUUAUGUAUUUUUAUAUGUCAUAUAGUUUAAUUUAAAAUGAUACAUAUAUUUAUAUAUCUUUUAUUUUUGAUACUUAUUAAAUGAGACUUUCAACUUAUAUUAUUUUUUAUUAUUUGUAUCAUGUCAUAACAAACGUUUUAAAUCAUAGAUCACAAAAUUUGAAUGUGAAACUUUUAACAAUUUUAGUAAUUUAUACUCGUUUUUAAAAAUUCAAAAUAUAAUAUAUAAAUAAUUUUUUUAAUUUUUAUUAUAUGUUUACUAUGAUUGUUUAAUUUAUUUUAAUAGCUUAAAAUUAAACAAAUAUAAUUAUAAUACACACUUAUUUUUAUCAAAUCUUUAUUAUUCAAAAUCAUUAAUUGUCAUAUAUAUACUUUAGCCACAUUAGGCAAUUCCGUAAUCUUAUUUAAGGAAAUAAUUAAGCACAUUAAUAAUGUAUUUAUUGUGGUUUAAUAAAAAGUUUAUUAUAUAUUUAGAUGGACCAACCUAUUUUUCUAAUGAUUUUAAGAAUCAUUCUAGUGAUGACAUGUGGCUACAAAAAUAUGUUGCAAUGUUUCUCAAAUAAUAUAUAGGGGAUAUCAAUCACACAAGUGCUACAUGCAUAUAUAUACAAGUACUACAUAUAAUAGUAUGUUUAGACUUUAGCGGGUACUAUAUAUUUUGGCAGGGAGGUUUUGUCUAUGAGAAGGAUGAUAUUAUGUCGCUGAAAACUGAAAACAAAUAAAUACAUUUCUUCUGUAAUUAUUCAUCAAGCUUAAUUAAAAUAUUUGUACAAGCCCAACGAUUACAUAUUACAACACUAUGUAAGCGCAAAAAAAUGCUGAUGGCUGGUAAAAGGCUGAGAAAAGAAGUUAAAGAUCAAAAUUAACAAGAAAAGAAAGAUCAAGAGUUGUCAUCAGAAGAGAGAAGCAAAGUGAUGCAAAUUCUGAUUAUAUGAAGCUUUGCUCUCUGUUGUCUCAUUGUCCUCUUCAUCUUCUCCAACCUCUCCUUCAUCUUUUCCAUUAACUGCCUCAUCAGUUCCAGAUAUGUUGGAAACCCCACAUAUAUAUACAUACACGCGCAUACAUUUAUAUACAUGCAAACACAUGCUGACAUGCACGUAAGAACAUAAGAAACGACAAUCCCACACCUAUACAUUUAAGACCAACCUCCAACAAAUAUACAAAGUGCCCUAACACCAUCAAUCUCUGUCGGAAACCUACGUGCAGAAGAUACUUAUUACUAGUAUAAUAUAAAGGAAUACGGUUUAUAAAUGGUUUACACCAUACAGUAUUUUGUUUGUGGGCGUAUAUAUGUACAAUUAGACAUACAAAAACCGAUACUAAGAUUUUUUGUAUUGUUAGUGACUUAGUGUUAAUGGAUUGGCGCAUGGAUGGAGAGGGUCCACUUGUACGUUAAAGAGUGGAGCAUGUUCACGUGCCGAGCCUCAUGCAACUCUUUGAAUAUUUGCAUAAAUACACGUUCUUAAGCUCAUCCCUCAUUUAAUUCUGACUCGUCUUUUGUCCUCCUCCACUAACUUGGUCAGUUUAUUAACUUUCCAAUGUCGUUCAGUUGUCUCAAUUACUCAACAUUAUCUAUUUAAGUUAUUAUUUCAUUUUUAUUAGACAAAUGUCGUUUUUUGGACUGAUAGAUUAUCUUUGCUUGUUAAACUUUAAGAUUGUGAUAACCAGGUCAACUUCAGACCACAUAUUUAUAAUCUAACUAAAAUUUGUGAUAUAUAUAUUUUUGUAUCGAUUAAGAUAUGUGAAUGCAAGACGAUAAAUUAUUUACUGUAAUUCAAAUAUUCGAUUUUCUUUUAUCAAAAAAAAAUAUAUUCGAUUUUCUUGUUCUUUCAAGGACUAAAGAGCCACACAUGCAUCAUAACAAUAACGCAUGACGUCAUGUUUACGCAUACAUAUGGUUCAAUGCUUGUCUGAAGUCAUAUAAUGCUUAAAGCACUUAAAAACAUUGAUUCUUAACGGUAACUAGAUUUUGAUCCGCGCUCAAGGACGAAGACAGGUUAUGGGUUGUGUGUGCAUGUGCAACCAUAAAAAUAAUAAAAUUCUAACUUUUAGGCUUAAAACCAUUAGAAUUUGUUAGAUAAAAUGGUUAAAGUCAAGUUGUGCACCCACACUUACUCAAGUUCGAUUUUCUCCUAUGUUUUUCUUAUUAAUAAUGCACCCAUACCAUAAAUCUUCUGGCUUUGCCCCUGCCCGCGCUUCGAAAGCACGAGUUUUAUGGGUUAUUUACGAAGUUGGAUAUAAGAUAGUAUUUUGAGUAUAUUGUGUAUUAUUAUGUUAUAAAGUCGUAUUAUAUCGAAUACAUAAAUUUGUUUAAAAUUAUAUAACUUAUGUAUAAGUUUAUUUGGGAUUUCUUAUAUACACUCUUAUGUAACUCUUUCUUAAGUAUGAACAUUUUACCCAAAUUUGAUAAACGAACCAAACCAAUACAAAAUACAUGUUGAGGUUCGGGAUUGGGAAAAAAUUACCUAUUAGAUUUUUUUGGAUCUGCGGAUCUCUGUUGGAUACGGAUAACCAAAGUACCCAUAAUAUUUUGUUUAUAUUAUGUAUAUUUGAGUAAUUCAUAUAUGUACUCAGUAUAAAAUUAUUAUUAUAAAAUUUGGAUUCACAUUUUCUGUUAUAAUUUCAGGUUUUAGGUAAAAUUUCAAAAUUUAAAAAUAUAUUUAAAAUAUUGGAUAUUUUUGGUUCGUGGGUAAGAUUUUGGUAUUUUAGAUAUUUAGUUAUUUAUGGUAUUUUUUUUUAUUUUGGGUAUUUUUCGUGUUUUGAUUUUUUGGCUUUUCGGAUUCUUUAGAUAUUUUUGUCUGAAAUAAUCAAACCGAACUAGACUCAUUACGUAGCCAAAUUACAUAGUAAAUUUUACAGAUACUUGAAUUAUUGACUCAAACUGACCUGGAACGAAAAGGAACCGAUCUGAACAAAAAAAACAUUCAAAUACCUAGUUGGAUAUAAAUGCCCAAGACCCAAAGAACUUGGAUCUGAAAGAAACCGAUUUAUAUUUGACCCGAAGACCCGAAUGCCCAAAUCUAACAUUUCAUUAUAUUUUUUUGCAUUUUAUAAAAGUUAUAUUUGUUCAGUUAGUGAAACUUAAGAUUUAUUUGAGAUGUUUUAGGCUAAUUUAAUAGUAUAGAUUUGUAGGUUUUUUGUUGAGCUGUAAGAAAAAGAUUUGUUUGGUUUUUGAUAAUUUUAAACUUAUCUUAAAUACUAAAUUGUUAUUUAUCAAUAAAAUAAAAUUAACAUAAUAUAUAAUUUUUAAACUUAUCUUAAUUAUGAAGUUAAUGAGACAUAUUUAGAGAAGAGUAUAAUAAAGUGUAUGUGAUAUUGUAUUUUCGUAAACCAAAUUUAUGUGGUAGUAUAUAUAUGGUAUUUUCGUAAACCAAAUUUAUGUGGUAGUAUAUAUAUGGUAUAAUAUUUUCGUUUACACAAAGAUAUGGGUCUAAUAAAUAAAAGUUUUGACUAAAUGAUUGUUAGAAAAAUUUAAGGUAACAUAUUAUUUGUCCAAAUCAAAGUAAGACAAAUAUUAUUAGUUAAUGAAAAGGUCCAAACAACGUUUUUAAAUAGAUUUAUUAAAACUCUUUCUCUUUUAAUAGUAUUGAUUAAACCUAUGAAACUUAACUAAAAUUGAUAUAAAAUGUAGUGAAAUACUCUAGAAUAGCAGUAAACAAUAUUGUUUUGGAUAAACUAGGGUUGGCCCGCCCUACGGGCGGGAUAUUAGUUAAUUUGAUAUUCACUAAAUGUUCGAGUUAAAAUUUGUUUUAAGAUUCAAGAAUUUGGUUAUCUGUUAUGUGUUACUUAUUAGUAUGCGGUGGUAUAGUUGUUUUUCGAUUAUUCUUACUUUGGUAUUGUAUCAAAUUAACUAAUUGUCCAACUCAUAAUUAUAAAUAUACAAAUGUGGAUUUGUGAUAAAAUUUGAUGACAAUACUGUUUUUUUUAAUUCUUAUUCAUAGUAGAGUGUGCAUGUGUCAGAAAGAGGCAUAUAACAAUUUUUUUGUUUUACGUAUGGAUUUUAAAUAUAUAUUAUUUUGUAUAAUGCAUACUUGCUCUACAACAUUUGAUUGUAGACUAAAAAAACUGUUUUCAAUAUUUUUAAAAGAGAAAAUAUUUAGUCUAGAAGUAACAUUGACAUAUGUAUUGACUAUAUAUAGAAGUUGGGUGUUAUUUUAAAAUGACAUAUGUAUAGAGGUUUUUCAACCAUUACUUCACUGGUACAAAACAUUUAUAACUGCAAAUACCUUUUUUUAAAAGCAAAACUAAUAAAAGCGUGUACAACAAAUAUAUUUUGAUAUAUAUUAUAUGCAUCGAGUUAUAAAUGUUGAAACAUUGCAAAACUGUCUGGAGCAAAGUUUUUAACUUCACGAUCUUCAUCUUGACGUCAGUUCAGUGCCGGCCCUAGCCACAAGCAGAAGAAGCAUGGGCUUCCAGCCGACACGAUAAUAAAUAUUUUCGCGGCCACAUAUUUAUAAGAAGUGACUUUAACCUAGUGGUUCUAAGAGAAAUUACCAGUGCUAGAGGUGUUGGGUUCAAUUACCUCUGACUGCAUUCAUUUAUUUUUAACAUUUUGUUUUAUUUUGGCCCCAAAUAUAAAAUGGGACACGUGUCACUCCAUAACGCACGACUUGAUGACGUGCCAUCACAUGAGAGAAGCGAACAUAUUUAUAUAUAGUUAACUGUUUUAAUCACAAAAUAGUAAAAAUGAAAAAUAACUAAAAUAGCUUUUAUUAUAUUUAAAGACACAUAUAUAUCUCUAGAAUUAAUUGGGAGUGAAUUUUAGGGUUUGUGGCUUAGGAUUUCGGGUUUAGAAUUUGAGAUUUAAAACAUAAAAAUUAAAAUAAUAUUUUAAAACUAUAUAUUUAUAUUAGGUGUGUUAUUCACUAAAUGUAGAUUAGUCUUUUUGCUAUUUAGUGAAAACUAUUAUGGUCAUUUUUAUGAACUAUUUUCGUGAUUAAAUUUUUUUUAGGAUUCUUAGGAGAAUUACUCUAAAACAUAUGUAAAAAUUAUAUGCCUAAAACCAUUUUCAUGAACACCAGUCCCGGACCAACCCAUGAUACUGCUUAUUAAUUAUCUAUACUAUUAAAGCAAAAUACUUCUUAUGAAUCUGCCCAUGAAUUUUCCUAUUAAUUACAAAACAUUCCAUUUAUUUUUUCAAUUGUUUUUUCAACUGUUUUAAAUGUUUUUUGAAAAUGAAAAGCCCAACAAAUUUGCUACUUACAUUUUCGUUUUUAAGCCCAUUAAGUCAUUUUAAAUCCCAUUUACUCUGAGAUUUACGGAAUCAAAUCAAAUAAAAAAAAAAUCCCUCAACUUGAGGAACACGCAGAAAAAUAUUUUAACUGUUUGACAUGGUAACAUAAUUUUCCAAAACUAAUCUUAAAAUAUAGAGAGAUUCGAUUUUAAAGAAAAGAUCUUCCAACUUUCUCCCCAAGUUUCUCCUAAAACCUAACACCUCACUUUGAAUCCGAUCAAUAUUAUAAAUAGGCAGCACCGGUUUCCUAUUAUUAAAUAUUUAUGUUAUUAUAAUUUAAAAUUUAUGCAUUAAUUAAAAAUAUGUAGAAUGAAAAAUAGAAUGUCUAUUACAUUUUUCAUAUAAUAUUUAUUUAAUAAGUUAAAAUUAUAAAUAAAUAGCCUUACCAAAUAUAUCAUCACAAUAUGAUUAAAUAUAUUGAGUAGGAGUUUACCAUUUUAAAAUCUUUUAACUAAUUAAUUAUUACACAAACAAACAUUUUUAUUUUAAUAAUAAUUAAAAAAAUAAAGAAGAUAAUAUUAUAAAAUUUGACUAUAAACAAAUAAAAAAUCUAUUAAAAUAUAGAUUAGACAAAUAUUUAUUAAUUUAAAUGAAAUUUUAAAAAGAAUCGAUUCCGCGCUUUGAAAGUGCGGGUCAAAAUCUAGUUGAUUCUUAUAACACCUUCCAAAUCAGUGUGUUAAAAGACUACUUCAAUUUGUGUAUGUAUUUACACUCAUAUUUAUCGAUUGUGUUUGCAAACACGAGCAAUUAUAUAGAUUGAACCAAGUAUAUGUAAAUAUGUCAAGAAAAUUAAUAAAUACUAAGAAAUAAAAAACCAUGACAAUGAUAACAAACAUACAAAAGAAAAACGAGGACUAAAUCACAUAGUGAUAGCAAUGACAACCUUCUCUGUUUACAACUUUUAUCUUUAAUAAUCAGUUCCAGUUGGUUGUAUUAGCCCUACAAGCUGUCCGUUUCAUAUCUUGUACACAAUAUAAAACAUAUAAUGUUCUUGUCCUCCAAAAUCAGUUUCAUAACAGAAGUACAUCUCUCUAAGUAAUUAAUCGCCACCUAGCUUUACUUUUAGUUCUGAUAUUUUGUUAGAAAUAUAAUGAGAGGCCUGUGCUAUAUAAAUGCAUGGUAUCAUAUACAUUUUUGUGCUAUAUAAAAGUCAAAUAUACAUCAGCAUAAUUAAACUUACAUGUAUAAUAGAGCAGUAGAUGUAAAACCAACCAUUGAGUAUGUGUUCUUAAGCAGAUAACUUACACUUAACAAGUUAAAUCUAUAUUUAGGCAUAUACAAAACAUUUUCCAGUGGUGAUUAAAAAAAAGAUCUGGUUUCUCUCUCCUUCAGUAUUCUCUCUCGCCUCUCUCUGAAGACAAACUUUCUCAGAUCUGGUUUCUGCUCCGGCAUCCGGAGACAUCGGCGGCCGAGCCGGUGUGCGUUAGCUCCGACGCCGGAGGCACCUCCUUCCCCUUCGUCUCCUUUUUUCCUUUUGCUUCUUUCAUCCUCACCGUCCUUGCCAUGGACAUGUCUGGUCCUGUGGGCGUUUCUAGGCUUCGGAAUCCUAGGUUCGUUGGUCGUGUGGUCUUUUGGAGAACCAACGAAGCGGUGUGGUCCGUGGUGUGAAAGGAGUCGGCUUUUAAGGUUCGAGCAUCGUCGAAUCUCAUUUUCAAUUUGUAGAUCUCGAUUGUGUUCGUGGUGAUGUCGGCGCGUGAUGGUUCGGUUGAGACUAUCUCCUUCUGCUUCAUCUGGUAUGAUAGCCUUUCCAGAGUACAGGCUAAGCGGCGCAGGUCGUGUGUGGAGUGGUUUUGGACGGCGUUCUUUGUUUCCUAGGCUUGGUGUCUCGUCUCGGAUUCUGGUUCGCUGUCGUCUAGGCAAAGGCUCCAAUGGUUUGGAGGCACGUGCCUAGUGUUUCUUUCGGCUGUGUGGUCGUGGUUUCCCUAGGGUUUAUGCGUGUGAAGCUCGUGUGGUCCGGGAGAAGCUGUCGUCUAUGGCAGUCUGUCUUCCGAGGCUUCUCUUUGUCUGUCUCACCCUAUCUCGAAUCAUUGUCAAAUUGCUCGAGUCAUUCACGUGUGGCUCUGUGUUGUUUCGGUUUCACUGGUUAUUUCUCUUUAUUGUUCCCCAACGAUUGGAGUUUAUAAGCGUGUAGGAGACUGGUGUUGGGUUCUCCAACUCGGGCCAGGGCGUCAGUUUUAAGCUCAUAUGAGUCAGUUCGGCGUCGAUUGGCGAGGGGACUUGGUGGAAGUGUCGUCAUCCCAGUGCUUUGGAAGCUCCUUGGCCUCUAGAGUAGACUAAUCUUUUUCUUCUAUGCAGGAACUGAAGCCUUGAUUGUUUGGUUAUGUUGACAUUGCAGCCUGCAUUUUUGAUCCAUUCGACUCUAGAGCUUAAAGUCAGUCAAGAAUAUGGGUUUGAGGAGAUCUUCAGAGACAAGCUACAUCGGCGAUGACACGAAAAGAACCGGCAUCCGAGGCAACGAGGUAAACCUCACCCUUUUGUGGUCAUCAUCGUCGGUCGAGAACGGUCAAUGAUAUUCUAAAGAUUGUGGAGCGCUCUAGCGGAACAUGUUGGUAUGGUGGGCGAACGAAGCUAGUGUUGUGAUUAAUGAUUUAGAAAAUUUUGUUCAAAAUCAAAUUUGUAUUCGAGACUUUAAAUUCCCGUUUGAUGGGCGGUUUAUAUAUUAAUUAAUAAAAAAAAAGCAUUUUCCAGUGUAGUUUAUCACUAAGAAUGAUUGAACCUGUGCCAGAAAUGCUCACUGAGUUACCAGUUGGUAAAGUAAUAAAGGUGUAAGAAGAAGUUGAGAGUGGUAAAAAAUAUCAUUAUGACAGACAUGGUGUGUGGCUUCUGGAUCAUCAAUAACCCAAUAAUUAAUCAGUAGAAAGCACAGCAUUUCCAGAAGAAAGUGAUAGGCAUGUCGAGCAUGGAAAAAAUAUAAAAGGCAAGAAAAUACCAGACGCCAAUGGUACAACUGAAGGUGAAGGAAAAAUUCCAUGUAUUGCUCUGGUUGUGUAGAUGAGAACUGAAGUAACAAAUGAACUAUUGCAUUUUUCCGGAGUGAGAGAACUAGAGACGUAAGAAACUGAUGGAAUAACAGACUUGUCAUCAAAAGUUACAUCUAAACUUGCUAAAGUCUCUUCAGUACAAGCCAAGUUUUCUGAGGCAGAAGAAAAAGGCUUCUUAGGAGGGUAAAUUUUUUCUUUAUUCUUCAGUCCAAGAGGUUAUCCGUGAACCUUGUAGCAAUGAUUAAUAGUGUGACAGUUACCACCACACCACAGUGAGUGCAAACAGGACGAGGUUUGUAUGCAAAUGCAAUAUUAAAUUUAAAUGAUUAAAAUGAACUAAAUGAGAUACUGAAUACCAUUAAAAUCAUAACAUAUCAUAUUUCCAUGAGAAACUUGAAAGGUGGAUGGAUCCAUUCCACUAUCACCACUUGUCCUUGUUGUACGGUGACUAUCCUCUUGAUCAAGAAUGUUGUACACUUUUAAUAGAGAAAGCAAAAUUUUCUUCAUGAGUAUCUGACUGCAAAUGUGAUCAUAGCUGUCUUUGAGCUCCAUGAGAAAAUAAGUGACUGUUAAUUUUAUUUUUAGCCAAUAAAUCUUCAAUAGUUUGAGCUGGCGCAUGUAGAUCUGUUCAAUUUUCCCAAGGCGACUGAGUCUGAGUAUGAUAAGAGGAGAAAUCAAAAUUGCCUUGACGAAGAGAGUAAAGCUGGUGACAAAGUUUGUAUAGUCUUGGCAAACUUGAUUUGUAAAAUCUUGUGUGUUUAUCAUUCCAGAUAUCAUAAGCAGCUUUGAAAUAGAGAGCACUGGUAAAGAUCUUCUUUGAAAUGCGAUUAAGAAACCAAGAUUUGACCAUAUUGUUAUAAUGAUUCAGAAGCGAUAAUACAGAUCAAUUUCAGCAGGCAUAACAACCGAUCAAAGCUUAUUCUUCGCCUCUAAGCUAGCUGUCAUCGAAAUAAUCCAAAGACCAUAGUUCGUUCCAUCUAAGAGUUCAUAAGUAAAAACAAAACCAGGAUGAUCCAAAAUAUGAAGAUGACAUGGACUAUGAACAUUUUCCAGAAAAAUUGAUACCUCAAAGGAUUUGGAGCUCGAAUCGGACCUGAUUAAGGCAGAUUCUGAUGCGAAAUGAUUUAGUCUGAAGAUCCUGAAGCAUCGUGAAGAUAUUUUGAGCUAGGAGGCUUAUUGUGAUGCGUCGGAGUUUGAUUAUCUAAAUUUAUAGUUCAGUAUUUUGAAUUACACUUUCGUUUCCCCCGUAUAAAGAGUAAAUUUGAAGUUUUCCCCCCACUUCAUGAUAUUUAUCAGUUUUAAGAGCGGAGCAUGAAGAAGUUCCGGAGGAUUGAGAUAAGUAUCAACACCAGAUAAAUAUGAGAACAUUGAUGAUUAAUGAUAAAGUUGAGAUCUGCGAUGAUUGAUGGAAAAGAUGAAGAUCGAAUGAAAAAAAAAAUACCAUUGCGAUGAGCUCAACAGCAGCUCUAAGAGCAUAUCAUAUUAGGAUAAGAGAAAAUAUUCUUUAUUAAUUGUAAAUGAGUACAAUUUCAGCUACAUAUACAAGUAUCACUCUUCUACACCAACAUAUGUAUAUACAAUCUAAGUAUUUUAUACAUGUCAACUAAGAGCAUGAUUAAUCCGGUCUCUUAUCCGGGGUUCUUAACUCAUGAUUUGACAUUUUUUUUUACAGUUUUCAGCUAAGAAACGGCUCUUAAAUAUCUUAUUUAAGAGACGGUUCUUAACUUUUCUUAGUUAAAAUCUAAGAAAAACUAAGAACUGUCUCUUAACCGAAGCUAAGAACCCCAGCUAAGAGACUGAGGUUAACCAUGGUCUAAAAAUCUCCCUUGGUGAUUGAGUUUCAGAAUCCAAGAGCACACGCAAUGCUCCACAUUAGGCACCAUGAUUUAUGUGACAUCAAGAGUUAUUAAUCCUUCAUAUUGCUUCGCACGAUUCUUAUGGUUUAAUGGAAACUAGAGAAUGAUCCGUGCAUCUCCGCAUGUAUUGUUCUUACAGUUUUAUACAUUGAUAUUUGUAUUUCAGAAUUAGUGUUAUAUAUUUUUGAUGUGUCGUAAUAUAACUAACUGUGUUCAAACGACAUGGACCGAAUCAGGUAUAUGGUUAUUUUUUGUACAAAUAUCUGAAUCUGUUUCAGAUACAUUUGUUAUUUUGAUAUUUUUAGGUUCAUAUACAUCAUAAUCGAACUUAUCCAGACCCAUGAGGACCCAAAUCAAAACCCACACAUAAAUUUAUAAUAUUCAAGCAGGGUCUAAUUUAUAAAAAAACGAUACUCGGAAAGAACAACCCGUACCUAAAUGGAUAGCCAAUUUUCAAGUCUAACUAAUUUUAUAAACUAAUAAGGAUGACUCAUUCUAUGUGUUUGGCUAAAUUAACUAAAAUAUAAAGAGUUUUUUAUUUAGUAAAAUAAUUAUAUGGAGAGAAAAAUUAAGUGACAAUUAAUAUAAUACAUUUUUCUUAUUUUGAUUUAGGUUAUUAUUUUAUUCACAAAAACAUGUCUUUAAAUUAUGUUUUUGGCUACGUAACUUUUCACCGAUUGAAACUAUAAUUUGUUUUAGUAAAACACACUAAACUAAACGUUUAACCACAUGUAAAACCCAGUUAUUUGAUAUUUUUAUUUUAUAAUUGGUAUAAAGUUAAUGUUGAUUAGCUAAUAAAUAAAAAUUUGCACUAUUAUUUUUAUGGUAAUAUAAUUAACGAUGUGAUGUAUUGUUAAAGUAAAUAUGGUUAAUGAAAUUGUUAAACUGAGUGAAAUAUGGAACGACAAUUAAUGUACUUAUAUUAAUGAAAUUACUAAAGGACACUAUAUUUCUUUUUUUAUACUGCUAUCCAUGUUUCCAUACUAUUCUCAUUUAUAUUUCAAUCUAUGUUUAUAAACAAUAACAAAAUGUACUUCAGUUUUAAUAAUAUAGAUGCAUUCACAUAUAUAUUUAUAUUGUGUGAAGUCAUGAGUCUUUUCUUGCUUUUAAUUUGGUGUCUCGAUUAAGGUCUCGAAUGAAAAUAGCGAUUUGAGCAUUGCGGAUCAAGUGGACUAAGUGAAACAAGUGCAUAUCUAGAGUUUUAUAGCGGUAGAAGAGUGGAUCAAUCAGAUCUAGUGUGGUCGAAAAUAUAUGUAUGAAUGGUGGUAGCAGAUCAAAGACGGUUCAAAAAAAUUCAAAAAAAAUAAUUGUUCAUACAAGAUUUAAUUAAUAAAUAUUUAUUUAUGAUUAGAUUUUAGAAAAAAUUUAAUUUAAAAUAAUAUGUAUAGACAAAAUAUUUUUCUUUACAUUGUAAAAAUUUUAUUUUUAAUAAAUAUUUUACCCAUCAUACAUAUAUGUAUAUAUUAUUUUACAAAAUAUAAAUAAUAACAACUUAUAACUCAUGAUUUUGAGAAUACUACAUAUAUACCGUAGAUUUUAACAUUUGUGUUAAUGGGAAUUGUAUUCUUCACUAUAUAACUCAUAACACAAGAUUUUAAGAAUACUACAUAUAUAUACUUUAGAUUCUAAGAAUCAUUAGAUCAAAUUAUUUUCACAGUACGCAAAACUUCAACUCUUUCAAAAUUUAACAAAACUGUCAACUUUUAAAAUCAAUAAACUCUAUCUAAAUCUAGCUCCCACUAAUACAUCCUAUAUUCUCCAUUCAACAGAAAAAAAUUUUAAUGCUGGAUAAUUAUGCUAUAACAAAUUAUGAGAAAUAUUAUAGACGAUUCUACAGUCGACAAUUCUAUAUGUCUUAUGAUGAUUCACGUCUGACUGCAUCACCUGAUGCGCUCUAUGGGAUCCACGCUUGACGGUACUCAUUGCGCCAUGCUGCAGAUCUCUUGUAAGCCUUUUCUCCAUUAAUUCGCAUAAUUAUCCGUUGCGCCAUGCUGCAUAUCUCUUGUAAGCCUUCUCCGAGGAUAGAAACCCAAACUUUCUGGUGUAUAAGCAUUGAUGAACUCUUAGUCAAACCACUGAACUAAGGGAGAAGACUUCAACAACAGUUAUAUAGAAUAAUAAAAAAUUAAAUAAUAAUGAAUAAAAAAUACAAUGCUGCACAUGUGGUUCAAUUUUCUUAACAAAAUUUGUGGACUGCUCAAACACUCGUGUUUGAUUCGUCCGCAAGUGUGUUCUUUUUGUAUUGUUUUUGUUUUACUUUGAAUUGAAGUAAUAUUAUACAUUUAAUUUGAUUUCUAGUUUUAGUUAUUGAACAUAUUUCCUUUUCAUUCACUUAUCUCUUUAUUAGUUUAAAAUCUUAUUAAUUUACAUAUACUUGAAAUAAAAAUAAAUGUAAUAUUAUAUAUAUAUACAUAUAUAUAUUAUAUAUGUUAAUAUUUAAACAAAAAACACUAAAUAGUACUAUUAAGAAUAUAUCUAAUAAAUUUGAAAGUUUUGCAAAAAUGAAUCAAAACAAAAAGUCAAAUGUAAAGCUAACCCAUAAUUUUGUUUUGGAAUUUAAUUUGUCAUAUUCAUCCCAAAGGUUUGGAUUAUUAUGAAAAUGUCAUUAUUUAUUUUUCUCAUAAAAGUUUAUUUUAUUCAAUCAUCCUCAUAUUCAUCUUUUAUUUACAACAUUGACAUUGCUAUUGUCAUCAAUACGCUAACCACAAGGAACAAACAAUUUAAAGCUCUAAAUGCACAUAAAAUCAACAUCUACAUCUUCAUAUUCUUAUUUCUUACACACAAACCAUUUCCCUUUCACUUCCUCUCUUAUUUCAUCCAGAAAUUCUAACUUUUUUUAAUUUCAAAAUUUAUAACUUAUUAGAGUUACUCAAGUUCAUGAUUAUUGGUCAAGAGCGAGUGAGUAACUUUCAUUAAAAAGUUAUGUGCGCUUGAAGAAGAUAAACAUGAAUCUCACUGAAUCUAAAAAUGAUCUUUACAUUUUUUCAGAUUUAUUCACAUAAGUCUUCUCGUCAGGGAAGACUUCUAAGACUUCUACAGAAGUCCUUUGGUCAAUGCAUACAAUUGAGUUAGUUUUACAAUUGAGUUUUUGUGUGGUCUUAGAGAAGACUUUUGUGUGCUCUUAGAGAAGACUUUUCUGGAAGUCUUCUAACUUUUCUUUGUUAACAAAAAAAAAAGAGAAGACUUCCUAGGAAAUAUUCUCGGAUAAACAAGUUAGUUUUGCAAUUGACCGAAUUUUGUCAAAAUUUUGACUUCUAUAGAAGACUUCUCGAUUUUUUUAUUGGAUUCUAGUCAAACCUUUGGUUGUUGAAGAAGACUUUUACGGAAGUCUUCUGCCAAAAGACUUCCACAUAAGUAUUCUUCGAAAAUGUCAAUUAUCGUCAAUUGCAAAAGUAACCUACGCAGACUCUCACUGACAGUGAGCAGACAUCAUGUAACAAUUGAGAAGACUUCUUUCUUCUGUAAAAAAAUCAAAAUUCUAAUACAAUUUUCAAAACUAACAUGUUUAUCCGAGAAGACUUUCAAGAAACUUUUCUCUGUUAUUUUUGAGAUUUUGUGAAAUACAAAAGUAAAUGAAUAUUUACAAAGAAAGACUUCCGUAGAAGUCUAAUGUUGAGUAGACUUCUCUAGAAGACUUCCUUUGUAAAUUUACAAUUGCAAAAACGACUUAAAUGGAAGACUUCCACAUAAGUCUACUUCAAGAAUACUUAAUAAACUUUUAUUUUCUCUAAAAUUAAAAGGAAUUAUUAAUAUUUUCUUGUUAAUUCAUGUAUAUUAGUCAAUAUUGAAGCUUAUGAAAGAAAUUCAUAACUUAACUGGUUAUAAUUUUUAGGUUACAAAUAUUCAUGUUUAUUAAUGUUUCUAGCUAAUCUGAGAAGAUUUAUUAAGAUGUCUUCUACGUUAAUUUUUGUAAAACUAGUAAUUUAAGAGUAAUAUGUAACUUUAAGAUAUGCUUUUUAACUUUCAAAAUGUUUAAGUAACUUCAAGACUAUCAAGUCAUAUUGUUUAAUUUGUCUUCUUAGAUCAUAAGAUAUAUUUUUUUAGCUUUCAUGAGUUUAAAUUUUUUAAUUUUCACAUAAAAUUUAAGCUUCUCGCUUAAAUAUUAAUUUCCCAUUUAAAUUUCUUGCUUAUAUUUAAUUUUCUGUUUAUAUUUAAUUUCUCGAUUAAAAUGUUCCGCUUAAAUUUAAGUCUUCCGAGAAGUCUUCCCAAAAUACUUCUAGUGAAAGUGUUAUAUGUUUGAACUUAUGUAAUUUUUGAUCUUGUGAAUUUGACUAAGUUUUAUUGAGAAGUCUUCUCCCUUAGUUUUAGUAUAUUUGACUAAAUUUUUGUGUUGUUGUGUUUUGCUAUUGAAGUUGUAUCAAUAACUUUAAUAAUGUCAAGUAUUUUUGGCAAGAUAAUACUGUAGACAUGAACAUAUUUACCAAAUUCUUUUCAUUAACAUCUCUUCAAAUUUACAAAAGAAUCCACAACUAAAAGAGUACACUUACAAAUCACAAAACAUACCAUAAACAAAACUAUUACACAUGAAGUUAGAAGUCCUUCAUCUACAUAUAUAAGCUUGGACUCCACUUGACAUCAUCCCUUUGAUAGUCCUCCAUGUUAAGGUUUCAUGUUUUUGAAGACUUUCUGGAAUACUUCGGACUUCGCAUGCAUGAAGACCUCCAGGAAGUCUUCCCAGAAGUCUUCAAAAACCUGAAACUUCCAUCAGAUUCAACCCACUCAGAUAUGUUUACCAGAUGAAAUAAAUUCAGACAUGCAAACUUACCAAAAACGCUCAAAUUAUGUUUUGACUCCACCCUCAUCUUCAAUCUACAAAACUUCCUCCUCCACUUUGACACCUCCGGCAGCAACCUCAGAGGCCUCAUCCUCCAACUCGAACAGCUCUUCCACUUUGACAACCUCCGGCAGCAACAUAGUUUCGAAAAAAAAUAAGAGCUUUGAACAACAAAAGGUUACUAGAUGAAGAAAAUCAGACAUGAAAACUUACCAAAAUGCUCAGAUUUGUUAUGAAAGAGGAGAUAUGGAAAGUCUUCUGGUGCAUUAUAUGUUAGAUGACUUCCCAAAAUUCUUGCAAAGUGUGACUCAGAUCUGAAAAACAUGCAUAUCAAAAAACUUUUAAAUGACUUCAAAACAAAGAAAAGCUUUAAAAAUAAUUUUUUAUGCUUAAAUAAUAAAUAAAACAGUCACAUUAGGUUCAAUCUAUAACUUUUUAGAAUCUAACAUAUUAAAACACACAAAAUAUAUAUCCAAAAUUUAUAGGUCUACCUUUAAAAGACUGGAAGAUGAGAACCAUGUAACGAAAAACAUGCAAAAAAAAGAUAAAUUAGUGAGAAAGACAUGAGCAAAAAUGAUAAAUUGAUAUAAAAUUUGAUGUUUUCAAGUUUAAAGAAUUUUAGAGUGAGAAACAUUAUAUUUUUGUUAGAGCCGUUUGAGAGAAAGAGACAUAAUGUGUAAAAUUUUCUUUAUAUAAGGAGACAAAAAAUAUUUAGAAAAUUUUCUUUAAAUUUUCUUAGAAAAAUUCUCUAAAUUUUACUACACAAAAAUAAAAUUUUUAAUUAUGAUAAUAAUAUAUAUUAAUAUUAAAUAUAAUAAAAUGGUAUCUAGACUGCUCGAUCAGUUUUUGUUUAAUUUGAUCCACUUUUGUUUCACUCAAACCGUUAUAAACUAGAUCCACAAUGCUUAAUCUAAUUUUUUCGUUCCGACCCUAAAACUAGCAUUUUCAAUCCAAAUUAUAUAAUGACAUGUCCAGGGGCGGACCUAAUUCAAAGACAUAUCUAGGGGCUGACCCAGUUUAAAAAUAGGUGGGGCAAGUGCCACAUACAAAAAAAAAAAUCAUUAGUUUUAUUGACGAUUUGAGGAGCGCAACUGAUUUAAAUCUCUUAAUGCACAUUUGGUUAAGAACUCUGUUAUCUAAUAUAGUGUGCCACAUGUCAUAACAUUUGUUAGGUCCGGCCCUGAUGAUGUCACUUCAGUGAUGUUAAGCCAGGCAACGAAGAACAUAUUUAUAAUGAUCGCUUUUCCAGAAAUGAACAUAUAAGUUAGGGUCAAUUAGCCAAAUAGCCAAAAUUUGAAGUGAAAUUAAGAGAAUGGCAUUGAUUUUGACGUAAUUGGGUAACUAACAUUUAAGGCCCAUUUGAUCCGGUAAUACCCUUGGUUGGUGCAAGUAACCGGUGAAAGAUAGAAAGUUAGAUGACGUAAACAAAUUGAGGUAUGGCUAAUAUUUAAAUCACAUCUGAGUGAAUAUAAGGAACCACGUCACAUAUUUAUGACCACAAACAUAUGUUUCAGUGUUCUAUUCCACAUCACCGAAAUAAAACAGAUUUCUAACCUCACUCACAUACUCUAAUACUAAACAUUAUCCCAAAUCUAACCCAUAUAUACUAAACAUUAUCCAAAUCCCACCCCAACCCCUUAAUACUAAACCCUAAACCUUAAUCAAUAAACCCUAAACUCAAAUACAUAACUCUAAACCCAAAUAUAAAUUCUAAACCCAAAUAUAAAUUCUAAACCCAAAUAGAAUGAAACAAAAUAAAUAAUAUGGUAUAUAUUGGUAAAAUUAUGAUAUGUCUAUAAUUUCGUAGAAGAAGUUGAUGUUGAUCCCAACUAUACCUCCUCAUCUUCUAAAUACUAAACCCUAAACUAUAUUCACUAAUCCCUAAACUCAAAUAUAAACCAUAAACCCAAAUAGAAUGUAACAAAAUAAAUAGUAUGGUAUAUAUUGGUGAAAUUAUGAAAUAUCUAUGAUUUCAUGGAAAAGGUUAAUGUGACCCAACUGUACCCAACUAUACCCUAAACUUUAAUCCCUAAACCCUAAAUAUAAACCCUACACGGAAAUAUAAAGCCUAAUCCAAUGUCAACCCCAAUCUUUCAUAAACUAAACCCGAAUAGAACAAAAUGAUGAAAUAUCUAUGAUUUCAUGGAAGAAGUUAAUGCUGAAACCCCAACCAUAUCCCCUCACCUUCUAAAUACUAAACCCUAAAUUAUAUUCACUAAACCCUAAACCAAAAUAUAAACCCUAAACCCAAAUAUAAAUCCUAAACCCAAAUAUCAAAGUCUAAAAAAUUACAUAUAUUAUGUAAAAUUAAAUUAUAUUAUGUAAUAUUAAACUACACAAUCUAGAUCAUAGCACGAUAUUUACUUGUUCAAAAACUAUAUUUCUUAACAAAAUAAAACACUCUUUAGUAAUCAUCAAAUGGAAUGGAACAUGAUAAAAUAGAAGAGUAGCAGAAUAUAUCGCAUUUCAUAACAGGAAUAGAACAAACAUAACACAUAUUGUUUUACAUUUCUAUUCCAUAUGCGAAUAGAAUAGAACAAACAUAACACAUAUUGUUUUACAUUUCUAUUCUAUAUGCGAAUAUAAUAGAACAAAACAAACACUGUUUAUCUUCUCCGAUCAACUUCAUCCACGGCGAAAAAAUGUAACUGUAUCUCGCAACAUCAGUGGAGAUAAUACAUAUAACCGUAUCAGAGAGACAGAUUUUGUUGUUGAUACAGUAAAUAGAAGAGAAGAACAUACGGUGGUGACGGAAAAUGGUGCCAUUUGCAUAGAUGGAGGUGAUCGCCACUACACAGGUCUUUUCGGCAAGGAUCAACACAAAUUGGAAUGCGAAUCAGGAAGGGAUUGUAAUCAGAGAAUACGCGGUGGAGAGAAUCUGGAGUGAAACUAUUCAAAGGGGUGUGAAUUUGGAAGAGACACGACAUAUUUUUGCAAAAUAGUAAUUUUUAAUUUUAUUUUUUUCUAGCAGGUUUCUCCGGUUUCAAGCAGGGGUAAUACAGCAAUAUUAUAUAAAAGACAUGUGAAACAGUAAAAAGUUAGGGUAAUUGGCUACUCAAUCAAUUAUGCUUUUUUGUAGCGUCAUCUCACCUAAUUUCCCUAUAAGUUACUCCCUCCGUACCUAAAAGAUCACCUAAAAGAUCGAUGUUCUAGAAUGUUCAGACUUUUUAAUAAAAUAUAUUAAAAUUUAGCUAUAAGUGAAUAGUUAUUUUGUAAUUUUAUAUUUCUUAUAUUUGUAAACUAGUAAGAUUUUAAAAAUGCAAUUAAUAUUCUUAAACUUUACAACUUUUCAUUAUUAGUUGACAAAAAUUGCACUGAAAAUAUAAAAUAAAUAUCUUUUUGAAACAAAAAUUUUCACUAGAAUAUAGAUCUUUUAAGAAUGGAAGGAGUAUAAUUAAUAGAUAGAUAUGGAAAAGAGAAAUGAAGUAUAUUAAUGCACCCUUCUGAUCCCAUAUGACACUAUGAACUUAAUCUGUAAUAUAAUAGUACAGUUGAGUCUUUCCUGAAGCGACACCUCAACAUUUUGGUGGGUUCCACUUUUAAAAAAUGUGAAAAAAGUUCCAAGCCUAUGGCUCGAACCCAGGUUAUUGAGAUAUGAACACCAACAUUUAUACCACCAAACUAAAGACUAAUUUGUAUAUUGAUGGCCGAAACUAAUAUAUAUUUAUGAAGAUUGGAAACCUUUGCUUCUUCAGUUUUUUCUGUGGGUUGGGCCUACAAGUGUAUUAUGAGUUUCAUUUUUAAAUGAGGUUCAUCACGUUAUAUAAAAAAAAUUAUAGUUUUUCCAUAUUGUAAACUGUCUUCGUUUAACAUGAGUUAGGAUUCUUUUCAUCAUUGUCUUAUACAAGUCUGAGUUACAGAGUUGCGCUGUGUGUCUGUUUGUAAUCUAUUUUUUCACCUGUGAACUCUUCAUCUCUCCAUAUUAAAUCGAUUGAUCUUAAAUGUUCCUGAUUUGUAGCCUUUCUGUAAACCAUAUAUAUAUGAUUCUCAUCUUUGAUGAACCCAAUCUGCAUCUCCACAAAACUCAUUGAUUCCUCUUAGCUUUAACGAUCUUCUAGAAAAUGUCUCUCUGCCUCUCCAAUUCCUCAAACCGGCAUUCCCGGCAUCCGUCACUCAACCUUCGAGUCUCUCUGUGUUGGUCGUAGUAGUCAGAGCAUAGACUCUAACCUCCUCGCUUAUGGGAUUUCCUGAACUUCAAGAAAGACAAUGAGUUUAUGGGAAUCACGGUUUUCUUCAUUGAUGAAAAGGUAAGUUUAUUUUUGAUUUAUCACACUUAUUUAAUAUAAUUCUUUUUAAUUGAUUUCCUGAUUCUUUGUUAAAUAAUAUUAUUUGCAGAUUCCGUGAUUCAUGGAUUUAUUCCCACCGGACGUACUAAUCAUUACAUGCCAUCUUUGAAAGUCGGUUCCAUUAUGAAAGUCGAUCGUUUUGAGGUUGCUAGGUGCUCAAGCAUGUACAAGAUAAUUGAUCAUUCAUUCUUCAUUCGUUUCAUCUCACCAACUAUUAUUGAUGAAGUCAUCACGGAUGCUGCUGAGAUCAAUCUCCAAUCAUAAUUAGACUGUUUGACAAUUUCCAAAUGAUUGCGAACACAAACCUAGAACUCUCUCGUAUAUUAUCAUAUUGCAUUUGGGUUUAUAAUAUGUUUCGUUAUCAUAACUGAUAUUUAAACUCGCAGAUGUGGUUGGGCAAAUCUGUUAUGUCCAAGACUCUGACCUUAGCAAAGAAACAACUCGAGUCGUUAUCCGUCUCCUCAUUGAUCCGUAAGAAACUAUCAACACACAAUUCCCUUUAUAUUAUUAUCCAUAUUGUGCUAACAUCAAUAAUCAAAAAUAUUUCCUAUCCAAAUUUUGUGGUCGUCUAUUUAUCUCCCUUACUUAUCAAACUAAUUUUACACAAACUUUUAUUUUACAGCUUAAAGAAACCACAACAACCCAAACAAUCAAAACACCAAAAACUAGAAUUAAAAAAAAAAGACGAAUCAUUAAUGAUCACCUCUCUUUUUUGUUAAAUCUUAGAAAUAAACUUCAAAACAAAUAUACCAAACCAACCACCUCUACUAAAGCUCAACGACACAUACAUCAAGUCAGCUAAACAAAUACAAACUACACAGCCAGCUAUUUAACAAUUUACAAACUUAGUUUCGCAGCGAAUAAGACGAAGACGACAACCAAAAUCAAUGAAAUUACCUAAACAAAAAAAACAUAGUAAGUUAUGAACUCUGAUAAAUACAACUAACAAUGAUUUUUGUUUACAUAUUACCCAUCAAAUAAAAAAUAAACAAACACAGCCACAACAGGAGAUACAAGAGACAAUCCCGACAGACACAAAGGCAUCAACAACAGCUCCACCUGCUCACUCCUCUUGUCUUAUAAAAAUAGCUUACAUGUCCAAUGUUAACAGGCCAAUGCUAUUGUUUUCUUAUGAAAAAUACAUAAAUUCGUUAAAAACACAUUAAAACCCAAAUACUCAGGACUGUAUUUCUACAAGUCUUCAUGUAUUUGUUUUAAAGGUCCGGUAAGAGCAACAAGUUUAAAAAUAAAAUAAAAAUAUAUAACAAACAUAAUAAUGAUAAUAAAAAUUAUUACUUAAUACACACAACUUACACAACUAAACUGGAGAAAAAUAUCCAGAAACAAAAGGUACUCUCAACUACUUUAAUGUAAUUUAUAUACUCUCAAAAGUACAAGAAACAAAUUAAAAAGACAAACAAACAAUAAGUCUGAGUGACACAACAAACAACAACACGAACUAUAUCAAUCACAUUAUUAACACAAUUUAGUCCUUCAUAAGUGGAGAACAAUGCAUACACAGUUCAUCAUCACAAUUCUAACCCUAUAACAAUAAAAAAAACUUGAAAAACAACAUACGUUUUACAGAAUAACAAAAAAACAAGUGGCCACAUAAUGUCACGACCGGGUCACGUACUUGAUCCAAACAUAUGUUGCAGUCGAAGUCUCCUCCGGAGUCACCCAAUGCUGCUGAGUCUUCUACCUUCUCUAUCUCCAUUUUACUGAAAUGUAUAAGACAAACUCAUUGAUUUGAAACAAGAACUUUGUCCACAAUUAUGCGUUUGCGCGAGGGCAAUGCCCCUAAUUUAUAACAUGAGACAAGUAAAAAGUUGCCGCAUGCUUGAGAUAAUAAUACUUUGAGAAGUUUAUUUACGUUAUAGUCUUGCAAGAAUUUGUUUGUGACACUUUGAUCCAUUCCAUUUUUUUUUUGUAUACUUCGUAACAAUUUUUUAAUGGAGAAGCCCAUGGAAUAUUAAGGUGAGAACGACCACAAUAAGUAGCUAAAUCCUCGUAAAUUUCUGACUGGCUACGCAGCGCAUAGAUGAUAGUGUCACCAACAAUGUUAACAAUCAAUUCUGUUGGAAUAAACUAUUCACAAUGUCUGGGUUUAACCAUGGUUUUAGACAAAAAAAAUUGCUAACAUGAACAUAUAUACGAGUGUCACCAACAAUGCUAACAUAUACAUAUACUCAUCAUUAUCUCCGGGUUUUGUUAUCUCAUAGAUGUUUAUCUAUUUAAAAUUCUGAGGGUAAGCUACAGGGUGGUGGACUAGUGGUCUUGAGGCAGUUUUUCCGUCAAUACGGACCCGGCUUCGAAACUCGCUGUGGCCACCCGGGCCCUCCCUGCUAAUUCCUGGGUGGAAUUAUGUGGCUGCUGCGGGCUUCGUGGGAUUAGUCGGUUGAUUUCGAUCGCCGGAUCCCCACGGAUACCAAAAAAAAAAGAGAAAAAACUUCUGAGGGCACCCGCCAGUGAUGAAAGAAUGUAAAUUUCUUGCCUCAAAAUAAUAUUAAAAAACAGAAAAAGUAUGAAAGAGAAGACACAAAAGAAGAGAAUCUAUUACUGAUAAAGAAACGUUUUCUCAGUGUUGAGAGAUCAACAUGCCAUUUGUCUCUUUUUUAUUAGUUCAGUUUGUUUUUUGACAAUAAAAUUAAAACAUAUAAUAAAUUAUUUUAAGAGUGUCAAUAUAAUAAUCAUAAGAAACGUUUCUAUAUACACCUUCACUAAUAUAAUACACCUUCACUAAUGAUGCUCUGACUAUGCUUGUAUUUAAGCAUACUAACUAAAUUUCCACCCGCACAACCGUGCGAGUAUAUAUUUUCACAUUUAUAUAUAUAGAUAUUUAUUUUACAUAAUUAUUAUAUAUUUUUAAUGUUACUCACAUAUUUAAAUGUUUGUAUAAUUAUGCCAAAUAUAAUAAUUUUAUAGUUUCAUGCUGUAAAUUAAAAUCAUCACAUAUAUAUGUUGCUUAUUAUAUAUUUGUCUUAUUGAAUUUGCGUUUGAUUACUAAACUAAAUUUUUUAAUACACGAAACAACAUAUAUGAAAAUAAUUUUGUAUUUAAUUUAUUAUAAUCAUGAUCCAUAAUUCAAAUCGUAAUAUUUUAAGUAAUGUUUAUUAAUUUUAUAUAAUAAAUUACUGUAUAUUAAAAAGUUUAAGAUAAGUUAAAUUUUUAUACAUGUAUUAUAUUGUUUACUAAUAUUAACCUGUUCUACCAGCAUAUUAUAUUUUUAGCAUAAACAUUUUAUAUUAAUGAAAAUAAAAUAUGUUAACUUAUCAAUUUAAAAUAAUUUUAUCAUAUUUUGUUCAAUAUAACAUUUUUAUUUUAAAAUGAUAGAUAUUAUUAUAAAAUUGAUAAAAUAGGAUAUAAUCUUAUUCUUUUAGUAACAUUUCAUUACUAAUUGCAAAAUUAGUUGAAAAUAUUUAUAUUCAAUUUAUGACAAUUAAGAUCUUAUUAUAAUCUAUUUCAAGAGAUUUGUUAGAAUUUUUUUUUUAAAAAAAUUAAAAGAUAUAAAAGAUAUUAUGAUUAAAGUAGUUAAAAAUAUUAUGUAUAUUAGCAUUAGUGAUAUACAUUUAAUAUAAAAUUUAAAUGAUGGUCCAAAUAAAAAUAUCAUUCAUAAAAAAAUCAUGAUUUUUAUUUUAUUAGAAAACAAAUUUGAAAAAAGUAAAAUUAAAAUAAAUAUUUAUUUCUAACAAAAUCUUUAAAAAUUAUUAGUAAAUGUAUUUGUGAAAUUAAUUAAUUUCAUUUUAUUUAAAUUUUCGUUUAUAAACGAAAACUAUAUUCAAUUUUAAUUUCUAAUUAUAUUUUAUGAUAAUUUAAAUUAAAACUAACUAAUUUUGAAAGUAAAUUUAAAAAGAUUCUAAGAAGAUUUUAAAAAGAUUUUGUUAGAAUAUUUUAAAUAUAUUCAUUUGUAUUUCAAAUAAAAAGAUAAAGAUAUUAAAAAAUAUAAUAAUGAACUUAUGUUAAAUAUGAUAUUUUCUAGGAAUGGUCCAAACUAAAAAAAUCACACAUGAAAAGAAGUCAUGACUUCUGUUUUAAUAUAUAAGAUAGAUCCUAAUAUUAAAUUUCACAACUAAUAAAAAUAAAGGAAUAAGUUGCCAAACUAGGCAAUAGUAAUAACUCAUUUUCCAUAAUGAAAAGAUUAAAAUCAUUUUAAAUUUUACAUUGAAGUAUAAACCCAAGAAAAGAAAGAAAUACCAUAAAAAAAUUCACACAAAAAAAAAUUAAUUAUUUUUGGGAAUGUUAGGAAAUACAUUAUUUUUGGCAACUUAUAUAAUCUCACACAAAAGCAAAAUUAGUUAGUCAUUUAGUACUUGAUGAAAAAUAUUAAUUUAAACCACAAAAAGAACUCGUACGUUUUAUAAUUAGUAGUUUGCAGUAAAUCUUUUCAUUAUUAUAAAACUUUUCUUAACGAUAAAUCUUCUUAUUAUAUUAAGAUGGUGGAACUCGAGGCGAAUAUAAAACUAAACUUAGUGUCCAGUGUCCACCAAUGGAGAGCUCAUAUACUGACAUAAGCAGCACAAUCAUCGUCAGCAUUGACUAGAGGAAAUCGAUCUUCUUCCUUCUUCAUUAACGAUCGUUGUCUUCCUUUGCUGAAUCAGAUCGCUCCGUUGCUGUUCUUUCAUGCAGUUAGAUCACAGUCAGGUUGUUUCUUGCUAGAUUACAUGGUCCUCUUUGACAUUUCUGAUAAUUUAUUUCGCCUUUAACUUACGUUCAUCCUUUGAUAUCUCUCAUUUGGAGGAUUAACUUGAUUUUUAGUUUGACGUUAACGAGUUUUGGUGACUAUCAACCGUAUAGUUAUUAAAAGGAUUAGUCGACGUUGAGUUGACUUCUGGAUACAGAGCUUUGGUUUGAUUGAUUAUCAAUAACUUGUGUAAUAGCAUUCAUAUUUCAGAUAGAGGCUAAUUUGUUUUUUCUUUCUCUUGUUUGCUUGAAGAACUUAUAACUAAAAAGGUUAUAUGCGAACUUACUUGUACAACCACUUUGCAUGCAGAAGGAAGAGGGAAAAAACAUAGUCAAGAUGACAGUUAGUGGAGAUAACUCGGAAACUAUAGGUAUUGCUCCAACCGAAAUGAUUUUUGAGCCGAUUUUGGAGGAUGGAGUUUUCCGGUUUGACUGUUCCGUGGAGCAUAGGAAAGCUGCAUUUCCAAGUGUUUCAUUUAAAAACAUCAAAGACAGGGAAGUUCCGGUUAUAAGUCACAAUGUUCCAGCAUAUACUCCUACUUGUGUUUCUCUUGAGGAGAAGCAAGUUGUUACUUUUGAGGUUAUAAGCGUCUUCUAAAACUUAUUUUACAAUGUUAAUUUUGACAUGAUCCAAGAACAUACCAGUAUUUCGGUACUUAAUUGUAACUUGUGAUGCAGUUUCCUCCUGGCACGUCGUUUUAUGGAACGGGAGAAGUUGGUGGCGAGUUGGAGAGAACAGGAAAACGGGUCAGUCAUUCUCUUUUGCAUACAUCAUCUAUUUAUUUCACCUAACUAAUUUGGAAAAUAUAAAUGUUCAGGUGUUUACAUGGAACACUGAUGCAUGGGGAUAUGGCCCUGGAACCACCCCACUGUACCAGUCACAUCCAUGGGUGCUAGUUGUUCUUCCAACUGGAGAAACUCUAGGUGUUCUUGCUGAUACAACACAAAAGUGUGAGGUAUAUGAAUAGCUUAAUUUGUUGGUGCCACCUCUUUUACUACUGACCGGGCCCCUCGUUGCUAUGUAAUAUGUCUUCUUCAAUUAGAACAUAUUUUUGUUGUUGUCUAGAUUGAUCUGAGGAAAGAGGGUAUCAUAAGAAUAAUCGCUCCAACAUCAUAUCCAAUUAUCACAUUUGGUCCAUUCUCUUCACCCACUGCUGUCUUGGAGUCCCUGUCGCACGCCAUAGGUAAGUUUUUUAAUGGUUCUCCUUAAUCAUUUUUCGAACUCUUAAUCGUAUAUCAUCUGUUAACUUGGUUCAAUGACUAUAGAAAAGAUCACUAGUUAUGAUAAAUGUUUAAGCAAUUUAUAUGGUUUGAGACUAUUUUUUCGUCUUGACUUUUGUUCCUUAACAAGUAUUAUUCUGCUAUAAUACUUUAUACUUCUUGCAAAAGAAAAGUUAUGUACUUUCUUCUUUUUGGAUCAAAGUUAUAUACUUUCUAUUUAUCAGGAACUGUUUUCAUGCCUCCAAAGUGGGCCUUAGGCUACCACCAAUGCCGUUUUAGUUAUAUGUCAGAGAAGCGAGUGGCUGAGGUCAGUGUUUUUGUUUAUAUUCUGGUUGUUUGGUGAAUCUGAUGAAAUGAUGAAAGGUUAUAAGUGAUUGCAGAUAGCUCAAACAUUUCGUGACAAGAAGAUUCCUGCAGACGUGAUAUGGAUGGAUAUUGACUACAUGGACGGUUUUCGUUGUUUCACAUUCGACAAGGCAUUUUUUUUUGUUCUGGAUAUUUCAAGUAUAUUUUUACCAGUAGUUACCAUGGUAUGAAAUAAAAUUAAUAAUUUAUGGAAUAUAACGUUCAGGAACGUUUCCCGGAUCCUAGUGCUUUGGCAAACUAUCUUCAUAAUAAUGGUUUCAAAGCGGUAUGGAUGCUUGACCCUGGAAUAAAGAAAGAGGAAGGAUAUUCUGUCUACGAUAGUGGAAGCAAAGACGAUGUUUGGGUUAAACAAGCAGAUGGGAAGCCCUUCAUUGGUAUUUCACUUUGGUGUUAUGAUUUUCAUGCUAUCUUGUCUUGUUAUCUUGAUGUAUAUGCAGCAAAUUCCGGAAAUUUUAUGUUUGGUUUCAUUAGGUGAAGUAUGGCCUGGACCUUGCGUUUUCCCUGACUAUACAAAUUCCAAAACUCGGUCUUGGUGGGCUAGUUUAGUUAAAGACUUUAUAUCAAAUGGUGUUGAUGGUAUCUGGAACGAUAUGAAUGAGCCUGCAGUUUUCAACGUAAACUUUGUCUAACUUACUUUCAUCUUUUGUUAUUUUAUAGUCUGAAUCUUUUUCCAUUUUUCAUGUGUCCUUAUUUUGUCUAUGCGCAGACAGUGACAAAGACAAUGCCUGAGAACAAUAUUCACUGUGGAGAAGAUGAGCUUGGAGGUGUUCAAAACCACUCACACUACCACAACGUAUUUUUCUUGUUCUACUCAAUUUUAAAUUUUCCUAUGCAUUACUGCAUGUAUCACAUUAUCACAUUUGCAAUGAGUCCUUGCCGUUCUAGAUUAUCACAUUACAUAGUGGUUUUGUGUGUGUAAUAUAUAGAGUGAUAGACAGACAUACAGCUAGUACAAAUAUCUAUUAUUGCUACGACAAUUAUGAAUGUCUGUGUUGGUCUCUUAAUGUAUAUUUUAGCCAAAAUAUAAACAUUUUCUUCUUGCGGUAGCUGUCUUUUUGCAUGUUUUAGGUACAAUUCUAGGCAUUUGAAGUUAACACAUUGAAGAUUGUGUCACUGUCUAGGUCUAUGGGACUUUGAUGGCAAGGUCAACUUAUGAAGGGAUUGAGCUAGCUGAUAAGAAUAAGCGACCUUUUGUAUUGACAAGGGCUGGAUUCAUAGGGAGCCAGAGAUAUGCUGCUACUUGGACAGGAGAUAACCUUUCAACCUGGGAGCAUCUACAUAUGUCUAUAUCCAUGGUGCUUCAGCUGGUAAGAAUUUCAAGAGUUUGCUUCAUCUUUAUCACAACAUAAAACCAUUGACUGGAAUUAUCAUUCACAAUAAUUAGUAUUGAUCUAUUUUGUGUGACUAUUACGCCUAAAUAAUCUUGACAACUUAAAAAUUUAUAAACAUAAACAUUAACUAUAACUUUGCGCGGGUGUUCGGUUUCAUUUUUAUAUACGUAAAAAAGUUUUUCUACAUCGUAUGGUAAAUAUUCUUAACAUUAACCGUAUUUUCAAACGUUUGUAAAUCUAUUUUGGUUAAGAUUCGAUUAGAGAAAUCUAUAAUUUAAAUUAGGAAAAAACAAACAUACUUAAAUAGAUUCAAUAAAUAUCUUAAUGGCAUGAUAAAGUAAUAUAAUUUUGUAUUUCCCUUUUAAUAGAUUAGAUAACCGUCUUGUGUUCCUUAAGCUCCAAUGCUGCUUAUAACAUCAUACCUUUUUCUCACUUUAGUAGAGCUAGCCGCAUAAAUGAGUAAAAUAUGAUUUUGCUGGAAGGUUUCUCAUAUACGAUUGCUACAUUAUUUUUAACUAUGAUAUGUUAAAUUGCAUUCAGGGGCUUAGCGGUCAGCCCUUAUCAGGGCCAGAUAUAGGUGGCUUUGGUGGCAAUGCAACUCCGCGGCUAUUUGGACGUUGGAUGGGCGUUGGAGCUAUGUUUCCAUUCUGUCGUGGCCAUUCUGAGGUUGCCACUGAUGACCAUGAGCCAUGGUCUUUCGGAGGAGAGGUAUUGCUCCUACUAUAAGAAAGAUAUACACCUGAAAGUAUAACUUUUACAAGAUAUGCAUGCCAUCUUAUAAAGAAAGUCAACUUCUUGUUUUGAGAUUUUUAUUGUCACUUAUGAGCUACUGUCUUUUGAUUAGUGUGAGGAAGUCUGUCGUGCCGCAUUGAAGAGGCGCUACCAACUGUUACCACAUUUUUACACCCUAUUUUACAUUGCCCAUACAACUGGUGCUCCAGUUGCAGCUCCAAUCUUUUUCGCUGGUAGCUUUUUUUUUUUGUAAAAUAUUGUGUUCCAUCUCCUGAACUUUCGCAGUUAUAUAUUACUCUUCUCUAUAUGCAGAUCCGAAAGAUUUUAGACUAAGGACUGUUGAAAACGCCUUUCUCUUGGGUCCACUUCUCAUAUAUGCAAGGUUUUCUUCUCCCUAUUCAGAGUCAUUGCUUUCCUUUCCAAAAGCUUGUCAUGACUUCACUAUGUUAUGUGAUAUAUGUUCUGAUUUUGGCCACUCGAUUGAAGUGUUUAAUGCUAUUAGAGUGAAUUAUUGAAACAAGUGAUCAGAUAUGUUGAGCAUAAUGAAUAACAACUUAUGAGGUGUUGCACAAUUGAAUAACAACACUGUCAUCAGAAAUUUUCACCUUAUUUGUUUUUCUUUUAGUCAUUGUAACUGUAGAAGCUUUCCGGAAAAAUGUUUAUUCAUUAUUUUGAGUUGUUCAGUAGUUUAAUCUGCAAAGCAUAUACUCAUCAAGUUGUCUUUGGUUUGUUCUAUCAUUGUCUAGCACUUUAAAUAAUCAGGGAUCCCAUGAAUUGCAUCACAUAAUUCCCAAAGGAACUUGGCUAAGGUUUGAUUUUGAAGAUUCACAUCCGGUAUGAUUGCUGAUAGUUCUGACUCUCUCUCCUCUUCUUUCAUUGGUAAAUAACUUAGAUUUUUGUUUUAUGAUUUCCAAAUGUUGUUUACUCGUUUUUUGUGUCAGGAUUUACCGACAUUAUAUUUACGAGGUGGAUCCAUUAUAUCAGUGGCUCCUCCACAUCUACAUGUUGGGGAGUUUACUCUGUCAGAUGACUUGACCCUACUUGUGUCAUUAGAUGAAAAUGGUAAGUUUAGCUUAUGAUCCAGAUAGAGGAGAUCUGCUUUUGGCCUAGGCUAUGCAAAAAUAGUAUAUUAAACUGCUGAUUCUCUCACGCCUUGAGCGGAAAUAAAUUAGUUUUUUAAAGAAAUUGAUAAAAUAGUUUUUUAGAGAUAAAUAUUUGGGAUUACAAUUUAGUUUUGUUUUUGACUUCUUGGUAUCAAAUUAUAUAGGUUGAGUUAUAGGAAAUAAAAGAACACCAUUUGAAUUUUUGUUUUAAUUUUGCUUUGAAUUUAUUAGUAAAUAAGCUAUUUCGUUAAUGGUAAUUUAUAUUUUUCAAAUCUGAUAAGUAAAUGAGAGAACUAUAUUCCGAAAACUCAAUUGUAAAUAAUAGUAUAGAUUUGUUCAUCUUGCAACUUAUUACUGUUGUCAAUCUCUUCUAUGUCAGGCAAAGCUGAAGGCCUCUUGUUUGAGGAUGAUGGAGAUGGAUAUGGCUACACUAAAGGAAAAUUUCUAAUCACAAACUACAUUGCUGAGAAGCAUUCGUCCAUUGUUACUGUUAAGGUUUCAAAAACUGAAGGAGAUUGGCAGAGGCCAAAGCGCCGUGUUCAUGUCCGGCUAUUACUAGGAGGCGGUGCAAUGGUACCGCUCUUUCUCUUGUUAAGAAAAUCUUGUGUGUAAAACUAUAAGUUCAAAAAAAGUGAAUAUAAAAUAAUGUUGAACAGCUUGAUGCUUGGGGAAUGGAUGGAGAGACUAUCAAGAUUAAUGUGCCUUCAGAACAUGAAGUUUCAGAAUUAAUAACCAAGAGCAAUGAGAGCUUCAAACUUCAUAUGGGUAAGUUUAAAUCUCAUCUUCUAAAUAUGCAUGCAGCUGCGUGUGUAAUCAGUUUUGUAACUAGUGAGAUGUAUUGCUUUUUGGUACCUUGUUACAUACUGAUGUACACUUCUUUCAGAAAAUAUAGCUGCUAGCCUCUAUCUUAGUAUGUGUGGCUCAUCAUUGUAGCCUUUUGAUAUUUAGCCAUCUGCAUGAAUUUGCGAACAUAUUCAUAAGAAAUAGCUAGACCCAAAUUCAAAUUUACAUAGUUAUUUGUGAACUUAUAAAUAAUGUCUUCAAUUUGUAUUAUUAAAAUGUAGAAAAUACAAAAUUGAUACCUGAGAAGGAAAUGCUACCUGGACAAAAGGGAAUGGAACUUUCAAGAAUCCCAAUUGAGCUGAACAAUGGCAAUUGGAAACUAAAUAUAAUUCCUUGGAUUGGUGGAAGGAUAUUAUCCAUGUCACAUGUUCCAUCAGGUAAUAAUUAGUUUUCUUUUUACAAGUAAAGCUUAUGAGAAAGGUUGUGUCCAUGAUUACUUACAAUUUUUGUUGAUUACAAUUUUCAGGAGUUCAAUGGCUUCAUAGCAGGAUAGAUAUCAAUGGCUAUGAAGAGUACAGCAGUACUGAGUACCGGUCAUCUGGAUGCACUGAGGAAUAUAAUAUCAUUGAGUAAGUUUACUUUGACAAUCUCUUUCACACAUACUUAUUCUUUUACGAGGCUGAAUCUUGAUAUGAAAUACAAUAGUGCAAAGAGUUCCCUUCUGCAUCAGUUUCUCAUGUUAUGGAAGGCAACGCUCUCUGCAUUAAUUUUAUUUAUGUUAAUCUGAACUGAUUGUUUCAUCUCAUGUAGGACGGAUUUAGAACAUGCAAGUGAAGAAGAAUCUCUUAUCUUAGAAGGUGAUGUAGGCGGUGGACUGGUUCUUCAGCGUAAAAUUAACAUACCUAGUGACAACCCCAACAUUCUUCGUAUUGCCUCUACCAUUGAAGCUCGAAGUGUCGGUGCUGGUUCUGGUGGAUAUUCAAGGUUUGUCUACUUGCUUCAAGCUUUCCUAACAUUAUUGCAAGGUUACAUAACCGUAGCAGUGAAACCGUUUAGUAAUCUUUGUUGUGUAAUUUAAGUAGAGUUUUCAGACAAUAGGUUGCUUGCAAUUCAUUGGAAGGUUCAUUUGAUGAUGGUUACUAAACGCUGCAGGCUGGCAUGCUUAAGAGUCCAUCCAACUUUCACUCUUUUUCAUCCAACCGAAUCAUUUGUGUCCUUCACAUCGAUUGAUGGAUUAAAGCAUGAGGUUUGGCCAGAUUCUGGAGAGCAAAUAUAUGAAGGAAACAACAUCCCACAUGGUAAGUAGUACCUGUACGCUCUUCAUAUUGUUCUCAUGUUUUAGUCAAUAGCUGCAGUAGAAACACUUGCGCUUUGAUGAAUAACAUAAAAAAAAAAAACACUAGCAAAAGGGUUGGUUUAAAACUGGUGGAAAACCUUUCUUUAUUGAUCAACAGUAGUUGUUUGGCAAAUGAAUAACUUUCCAAACAUAUCGAGCAUGUAACAUAUGUUUAAACUCAUACUCCUAUGUUUCUGUUUUCUAGGUAAAUGGAUGCUGGUGGACAAGAGCCUCAAUCUACAGCUGGUAAACAUGUUCGACGUUAGUCAGGUUGUCAAAUGUAUUGUCAACUGGGACAGUGGAACGGUUAACUUGGAGCUAUGGUCUGAGGACCGACCAGUUUCCAAGGAAUCUCCUCUGGAAAUAGAGCAUGAAUAUGAAGUCACAAGUUUCCCAUAAUUGUACUGCAAAUGUGUUUAACUCAUUUCCUCAAUUCGCAAGAAUCUACUUCGCUAGUUGUACUUGGGUCGUUCAGUUUUCUAUGCACUAAUAAGCGAAUCAGCAGUGUUUGUUUAAGCAUAUAAAACAUAUUAACAUAUAUAAGUACUACUAGGUUAAGACCCGCGCCUUGCACGGAAUGAAUAUUAUAUAUAAAUUAUUUUUAAGUAUAAUAUAUAUUUUUUACAUAUUAUGAAAUAAUAAAUAUAUAUUGAAUAAUUAAAAAUUUUAGUAACUAUUACAUAUAUAAUUAAAUUGGUACAAAUACUUAAAUAAAUUUUAUUAAUCCAGACAAACACUUUUUCUAUUUUAUAUGUUAUAAAAUUAAGUUUAAAUGAUAUUAACAUAGAUAUAUAGUACAUUUUUAAUAUUUACAUCUGUUAAAAAAUAUUUUAUACUCAUAUUAUUUUUGAUUGUUUUAUUUCCGUAUAACAAAAAUUUUAAAUCAAUGAUAACAAUAAAAAAUUUGUGGGAUGUUUAAUAGUUUUAGUAAUUUCUAAUUUUAAAAACAUUCAAUGCAAAGUUUAAAAUCUAAAUAUUAAUUUGUCAAUAAUUGUUCAAAUUUUCUAUCAAAAAUAUUCAAAGCAAAUUCGAAAUUAAAAUACAUAUGUAUUUUAUAUGGUAUAUAAUUUAUUAUAAAAAAUAUUAAUAUGCAUAUAUAAAAUAUUUAUUAAAUAAGAUUUCAUACUUAUGUAAUUUUGCAAUCAUUGUAUCUUGUUAUAACAUAAAUUUUAAACCAUGGAUCACAAAAAUUUCAAUGUGAAAUUUUUAACAACUUUAUUCAUUUAUAUUCAUUUUUAAAAAUUCAAAAUAUAACAUAUAUGAAAAAAAUCUAAAUUUUUAUUAUAUAGUUAAUGUGGUUGUUUAAUUUAUUUUAAUAAGUUAAAAUUGUAAAAAAAAUGAUAGAGAAUAGGCUAAUUUUUAUCAAAUAUUUAUUAUUCAAAAUCAUUAAUUGUCAUAUAUACUUUAGCCACAUUAGGUAAUUCCAUGAUUUUUAUUUAAGAAAACAAUGAAUAACAUUUAUGAUUAAUUUAUGGUUAGUUUAAUAAAAAGCUUAUUAUAUAUUUAUAUGGACCAACAUAUUUUCCUAAGGAUUCUUAGAAUGAUUGUGGUGAUGACAUGUGGCUACAAAAAUAUGUUGUAAUGCUUCUCUUUUAAUAUAUAGGGGAUUAGAAGUAGUGGGAUACUUUGAACCGUACUUUGCUGGCAUGAAUAAAUAUGAGAAAUCUUUUUAUUACUAGGUGAUAAACCGCGCUCUGCGCAGAACGAGUGACCAAAAGAAUUUUUUUUUUUAAUUUAUAUAUAUUAAAAAAUUUAUAUAUGGAACAAAAGUGUGAAUGUAUAUAUAAUGUAAGCUUAAGUGUUUUUUUGAAAAAAAAAUUGUGUGUAAUUGGUUAUGUGUAAAUUAGAUUGAUGUUAUUUAAAAAAUAGGUUUAAUAGUAUGCAAUAACUUUUAUUAAUUUAUUAUGAAUUUAAGACAAAACAAAACAUAGGAAAUAGAAUUAUUGAUUUCAUAAUAAAAAAAAUAUGAUAUAACAUUCAAAGAAACAUAUAUAAUAGAAAAAUAAAAUAUGAUAGAAACAAACUUUAAAGAAACAAAUAAAAAGGGGUAUAGUGAGUCAAUGAAUUGUAGAAGGAGUAUAUUUAUAUUAAGAAAUCAUUGCCCAUGUGGUUAAUGAAACAUAAAAUAAUCACCGUAAUUAAAGAAAAUAUUACAUAUUUGAUUUCACGUAACUUGCGCUCCAAUCGUAAUCGCAACUUACCUUAAUUUUGUAAAUAGUUAAAUCAAACUUCCUUUAUAUGACACAAUUAAUAAUAAUAAUAAAACUCAUGAUUAUUAAUUAAUUACAAUAAUUUGAAUGCAUAAUCUAACUUCCUUAUAUACAAAAGUUAAGUUGUUGUUUCCAAUUUUGUAACCAUAAUCGACGUUAUAUUAUUACAAAAAAUGAUCAAAAAUAAUGGUCCACGCCUUGUUACCAUUUGUAAUUUAAAAAUAUAUCAAAGUUAUUAGAAGUUUCCUUUUAACAAUCAUUAAUCACGGUUGUGCUCGUAAAUCAUGUUUCUUUAAUAUCACCCAGAUUUGAAUUUGUAUUUUUUUUAAUUCAUGCUAUUAGACAACGUGAUUUCGUAACAAUCAUUAAAUGUGAUAAGUCCUUAAACAGAAUUAUACAGGUCAUCGUGAUUUUGUUAUAGUUAGACAUUUAAUUAAUUUGUAGACACUAUAAUUAGCCAUUUUUCUUGAAUUAGACUAUAUGUAGACAUUAUACUUAGAUUGUGUCUAACUAUCUAUAAAAUGCUAUACAAUAUAUAUAAUUGUAUAACUAUAUAUAAAAUGGUAUACAAUAUUUUUGUCUCAAUCUAUUUAACUUGAUCAUAGAUAUUAUAAUUUUAACGGUAAUAUUUUGUUACAUGAAAUCCGAUAUAUAUACACAUAAUGGUAUAAUCCGAAACAUCAUGAUUAUAAAUUGGUCAUGUGCAUAUAUAUAUAUAUAUAUAUCUCUUUUAUUUAACUAUUUAACUUUAAGAAGUAUAAUUUAUAACACGUAUAUUACCAAAAAAUUGUUAUCUCAUAUAUAAGUAACUUUGUAAGUAUAGGAAAUAAUAAUAAUAAUAAUAAUAAUAACAACGCAUUAAACAUGAACGUCAAUGUUUUGUUCGUCAUUGUAAUGAAAAAAAAAACAUAUAUUAUAUUAGUAAAGUUAUAAUCUAAUGAUCAAUGGCAAGUAAUGGCAAUUAUUGUAAUUAGUCUAGUUAACAAAGGAUUUUUAAAUAUAGGGUAUGAGAGAGCUUGUGGUGAUGCCACAUAGGAAAUGGCAAUUUUGAUAAUAACACAUCAACUUAAGGUUAGUUAUCUAUAAUGUUCCUCAAAUAAUAUAAAAGAGAUAUUUAAGAUGAUAAUAAUAUGAAAAAGAAAAUGAUAGUGGAAAUAAUCGUGAGUAAUAAAAAGGAAAAAUUGGAUAAAUAGGACACUUUGAACUUGGAUUUGUCACAUUAGGAUUUCUAGAAGAUAUUUUAGGAAAAUAGGAUUUUAGAUCUUGUAAAAUACCAAAGUACCCUUAAUUUACCAAUUAUGUUGAAUUUAAAUUAUAAAUUAUAAUAAUUUUCGUAAUAGAUUUUAAUGUUAAAAUUAAAAUCUAUAAAAAUUAAAAAAUAAAAAAAACACUAAAUGGGAAAAAAGGAGACGCGGGAUGCCGCAAACCUAAUUCCCCUUUCUCUUUGUCUUCUCCGUCGUAGACUCGUCGCUCUCCCACGGCGAUUUAGGGUUCAACGGUGAGAAGCUCUGUUCUUCGUCGGUGUUUCAUCAGCCCGUGGUCUCUACUCUCGUCUCCGUCACCAUCCUUUUCGAUCUCACUGAAGACACAACGGCUGCGAAUCGUUCUUCCUCUUCGUCGGGUCAAAUCGAUUUUCGAAGUGUUCUUCCAUCAAUUUCGCCUCUCAAUCUCACAAUUCUUCACAGAAGGUAUUGGAUUUCAUCUAUAGAUUCUCAUAUUAAACGAAAUCGAAGUGUUCUUCCAUUAAAGCUUGAUUUUUUUUUAAAAUGAUUUGCCGUGUUUCUUAAAAUAAUUUUGUUUCACGGAUUGGUUGAUAUUAUUGAAACCUUUACAUGUGUGAUGAUAUUGAAACCUUUACAUGUUGAACUAAUAAUUUUGUCACGGUUUGUAGCUAUGUCUGAGGAGCUACCGAAGAGGCUUUUUAAGGAGGGCGAGGAGCCCCGAGUUACUCAGAUCAACAACAACUGCAGGAUCGACUACAUAAUCCGAAAGUUCCAAGCGUGGCUGCCAAAGGAGUUGGAUGUCGUGAAGAAAGACCCAGUUUUUCAUCAGAUUUUUAAGCUCCAUGAGAAUGGUCUUGGAUACUCUGCGAGGGUGAUACACAGCUUCUUGUGUAGGGAGCUGGUGACUUUCUUACAGCACGAGCUAUGGUUUGUCUUUGCGAGGAGACCGCUUCGAUUCUCAUUGCAAGAGUUCCACGCCGUAACCGGGUUUGAAUGCGAUACUCACAUUUCGAUUGAGGAGUUUGAAGAGUGGAAAUAUGAUGGUGGUUUCUGGAGCAAGGUUUUGAGGAGAAAAGAUGGAACAAUUACACUCUUCAACCUGUGGACUAAGGACAAGGAAGCUGUAAAGAAAUGGAAGAAUGCAGAUCGCAUACGUCUUAUCUACUUGGCGAUCAUUCUUUGUGUGGUAUUGGCGAGAGAUGAGAAGGCUAAUAUCCCCCUGAAGUACAUCGCGGUGGUCAUGGAUCUUGACAGAGUUCGAAGGUAUCCUUGGGGAGUUGCUGCUUAUGACCUUCUCUGCAAAUCCAUAGCCAAAAAUCGUUCCCAACUGAAGGAAAAGACCACUAGCUAUGUCUUGGAUGGCUUCUCAUACGCCUUGCAGAUUUGGGCAAUGGAAGCGGUGCCAAAAAUCGGGAAGCUUUGUGGAAAAAAGCUGGAUAAGGGUUUCAAGGACGGUCCUAGAUGCAUAAACUGGAUGGGAGCUGCGAAGGUGUCAUAUGAGGAGAUCAUUCGCUUGGAGGAGAUUAUUACACCCAAGGUAAUUUUAUCUAUUUAUGACGACUCUUUCCGGUUUGAAAUGAGUAGUUAGUAUCUAACUGUAUUUCCCUGUCUUGUGUAGGAUGACAUCUACCCAUACAUCUCAUGGACAGGAAAUUAUGAUGUUGUCAAAGCUCAGGCGUUUCGCAGAGAUGAUGAUGUGGAGGAUGACAGAAUCAAGGUUCUGAUGGAGAUGAUAAAGAAGGGGCAUGAUUUUAGUGAGCAUGUUUGGGAAACUGAAGAAAAUGAAGUGAUUUCUUUAUCUCUCGAUGACGAAUCAGCUGUGAAUGAUGAAGCAAGCGUGAAUGUUGAAGCAGCCGAGAGUGAUGACGACUUUCAGACUCCGAAAGGAUCAAAAAACGUUGGUUCUAGAUCAAAGAGGGGUAAAAAGAGGCUUCCCGAUCGUGGUAUGGAGAAGAGAAAGCAUAAGGUUCUCGCAAGUGGCGCAAAGCAAGCUCCUUUUAAUGAAGACAUGAAGGCUUUUAUGACACAGUUGUUUGAGCACAACUUCUCUGGAAUGGAACAAAGGAUACAGAAACAGAUGGCCGAGACAUUUGAGCAGAUGCGGACAGAGCUUAAACAAUCACGUAAGGAAGCCAGCGUUGAAGUUGAGCUUGGAGAGCCUUCACCGACAAAGCCAUCGACGAGCCAGGCACCGUUGAGGAGGUCCACACGCGGGGUAAACAAACACUAGUCUUCACCAUCCUCUUCAAUGUUAUUUUGUCUUGUUUAAGUUCGUGGUUUGCGUGUCUGUUUGUUUUAUUGGCAUCUAAGUUAUCGGCCUGAAUUUUGUUGUACUUUAUAAGGUCUCGGUUUGUAUGUGUGCUUGGUGUGUAAGUGUUCUUGGUUUGUAAGUGUCUUGUUUGAACUUAUGUAAUGGUCUGGAACUUUUAUGUAAAAUAAUUAUUAAUGAUAAUGUAUUUUGGUAUCUCAAUUAUUGCUUAUUUGUCAUGAAAUAACAGGAUGGUUCCGAGACUACAUUCGAUGUGAAUUAUAGUGAAGCAGAUGAUUUGGGUCGCGGGAUAGGUACACAAGGGGUUGAAGGGCUUUCUCAGACGUCGUAUGUGCCAGGCUUUGAUCCAUCUCAGGACAAAAAAGAAGAAGACUGGUGGACUCCAAUGACUUCGGUCCGAGGUUCAGUGGAUAAUCCAGUAAAGAAAGAAAAGACAGAGAUGAAUACAGCUCCACCGCCGUCACAGUGGGAGAAAUGGUGCAAAAGAAAAGGUCAUGGACUUCAGCUUAGCGAUUCACCAUUGCCAGAAGAUGCUUCUCCGCAGGCGUCACUUUAUUAUAUCUCCGAAGAGUCAUGGAAAGGAUUCACGGAAUGGGCAUUAAAGCCUAUACCUUUAACAAUUGGUCCUACAUGCUUUAAUUUGUCUGUAGCUACAAGAGUAGUAAGUGCUGGAAAAUGGCUUGGAAACGAGGUAAUGAAUCUUGUACUAACCUUUAGUGAAUUUAUCUUCCUAACACUUCUUAUAUGCUAUAUUACUUAACUUUCAUUGUAAAUUUUUAGGAGAUGGAUGCGGUUAUGUUUAUAUGGCGUGUGAACACUACAUUGAAUCGUUGGGCCCCUCGGCGUGUUGCUUUCAUGAGUGCUAUGUUUUGCCUCCAAGUAGACGCUGCAUACAAGAAGUUUUUACCAAACAAAAAAGCCUAUCAAUUGCCUGAUUUCCUUCUUGGGUACGGCAGAGGAGAGCUUCCAUCUCAUGGGCGGACUGAUCUAGUUUGGGGUGUUGAUGUUGAUCGACUCUACUUUCCUCUGUUUGUAAAUGGUAACCAUUCAGUUCUUUUUACAUCCUAGUAUACAUUUCUUCGUUUACAAAUUUUUGUGGACACGAACGCAGGUAAUCACUGGGUUGGUGUCUGUGUAAACAUCAUUGAAAGAAAAGUAGAAGUCUUUGAUUGCGGUCGGGGAAAGAACAGACAGUACGUUGAGAAGUUUGCUGCUAUCAUUCCUAGGAUUGUGAAGUCCGUUGCACCACAAGAAAGACAGAAGCAGCUACUCCUCUCAUCAUAUUCUAUCGUGGAUGUGCCUAUGAAGUUGAGAUUGAAUAAAAGUUGUUGUGAUUGCGGUGCAUACGCUUUGAAGCACUUGGAAUGCUCGCUGCUUGGUCUUGACGUCAGUUUAGUGGAUGAUGAAAUCAUUAUGGGUUGUAGACAGAAGAUUGGAGUGGACUUAUGGGAGGCUGCACACGACCCCAUCUUUGCUGAGGUUAUGACACGAUAUGUGCCUUCACCAUGGGAGAGGUCUGAGGUCUUUGACCUGGAGGAUGAUUGAUUAACUGUGAUUUUAGUAGUUUGGUUUGUUAGAAUUAGAAAACAACUUUGGCUUUGGUAUUUGAUUUGAAUUAAGAAACAACUCUAGCUUUGAUUUUGUAUAAAUUAUGAAACAACCCUAUAAAGAACAAAAUCAUAAAAACUGAGGACCCAAACCCUAAACAAACCCUUAACUAAAACCAUAACCAUAGACAUACCCUAACCAAACCCUUAACUUAAACCAUAACCAUAGACAUACCCUAACCAAACCCUAAAACCAUAAUACAAUCAUGAUUCUUAAUCAUACCCUAAACAAACCCUAAAUCUGUAAUUCAUAGUCAAACCCUUAACCCUAAAUAAACUCUAAAACCAUAACCGUAGACAUACUCUAACCAAACCCUUAACUAAAACCAAAUACAAAUUAAUCCAACGCCUCAAACACACACCUAUUUAUUGAUUAUUUUUGUACAUUGGUCACUAUCUAAGUACGUCCGUCCACUAUGUUUGAUAGAUGUUUAAACACUAAUUUAGAGGGUUCAAAGACAAAGUUCUUGUGGUGUUAUCGAUAAAUUCAAAAUGAUUUUUUUCUGCUCUGCCUUAGCUAGAAUACGCGUUCUGGGAGUAUGAAACGACGUAGUUUUGGUUAUUUUUUUGACCUAAUCUCUUUUCUUCCUCAUUCUUCCUCGACAGAGAGAUUGCAGCGGCGAAAAUUUGGAGAUCGACUCCCUCAUGUCUUCAGUAAAUUCUUCAUCCACUACAAGAGAUCGCCUCGCGAAACAACGGGGAAUUCCCACAAGAUGCAAUUGCGGUGAGGCAGUGAAUCGUUUCACUUCAAAAACAAUUCAAAAUCCGGGAAGAUUAUUUCAUUGUUGUCCUUUGGGAUCUCAAAAGGUUAGUCAUGUUAUCAUAUAACUGUCUCGUUGUUGUCCGAUGAGAGUAGAAUUAGUCAAUCUAAUUGUGUAUUGGAUGUUACUGAUGAAGGACAAAACCCACUUGUUCAAAUGGACUGACAAGUCAGUUGUUGAGGAGAUUGAAGACUUCCAAGACCUGUUUGACGUGUUACUCGUUGACAAUUCCGAGUUUCAGAAAUCAGUGAGAGCUGGUGAGGCCAUGAUGACACGCCAUGAGAGUAGAAUUCAAGAGAUGGAAGAUGCAAUGUGCCAUUGCGAAGAGAAGACCUUGGAAUGCAUUAGGGAACUUAGGGGCAUAAAAGCUUUGUUUGUGUGUUGUUUGGUGAUGGUCUUCUUGUACCAUAUCUAUGCAUGAUGUUCAACUACUUUUAUGUGCUUCCUCAACUUGUUGUUUCUUAUUUUCAAAGAAGUUAAGACCAUGUUUCUUGUUAUUUCGAGGUGAUCAUCAUCUACUGAAACGAAUUAUUUUGCAAUUACUUUGAUUGUUACUAGAAUAAAUCGAUUUGUCUCUAUAGUUUAGCAAAUACCAAAUUGUCAAAUAGGUUCUUAAACAGAAGAUCAAAUUGUUUCAAAAGCAAUAAAGAAAAAAACAGAGACAGAUGCAGACACAUAACAAACUAGAUGGGUAAAUCGCAUGUUCCUCUCUUGUGUCCUUCAGUUCCACAACGGCUACACUUAUGCUUUUUAUUCUUCUUUGAUCCUUGAGAAGAUGCGAUCUUGUCUUCUACUGAUUCAUACCUUCUCUUUACUGGUCGACCAGCACUCUUUCUUGUCUUUGGUGGUAAAACCUUUGCAAGUUUAACCUCAGCAGGGACAUUCCAUUCUGACUCUACAACUGCUAUUGGAUUAAUGGAAUCUGCAUAGGCGGUUCUCCACGCUGCAGUGCUGUAUAAGGCGUCAGUGAAUCUGUGCACUUCCAUACCUGUCAAUCUCAAAAAAAACUUGAUCAAUAUGAAGUCUAUAUGAUGAAAAUCCCGAAAAUAAAUAAUUCUCAAGUAUUCAUGUGUUUAUACUUCCAUACCUCGUGAAUAAAUUGCAGGAAUGGCGUGUCGGCAAGGAAUUUUUCCUAUAUCAUACUUACCACAUGUGCAUGUUCUUCUUUCCAAAUCAACAUGACAAUCAUAUAUGUCUCCUUUUACAACCGAUCUGAAGUUGUCAACCUUGUAAACCUGGAAUCCUUUUGCCUUCACAAUUCUCCUAUCAAUCUUUCUCUCCACCUUAGCGGUUAAAGGAUCUAGAUGCUUUGAGCUUAACAAGCGACGCUCAUAGAACCAUCGAGUCAACAGUUCUCUUAUACUAUCAAGCAAAGGAAUAACCGGAUAUUCUCUAGGUAUUCUAAGAACUGAAUUUAUAGACUCUGCAGGGUUCGUGGUCCUAAUGUCAUACCUGGAACCAGGGAAGAGAGAACGAGCCCAUUUGCGCACAUCAGCCUCCCGUAGAUAUCUUCCAAGCUCAGGACUCAUAUCAAAAAUUUCGGUGAUACGUUCUUGAAAUUCAGUGUAUCUAUAUGCCCGUGAAGCCUUUUCUACCAACGCAGUCAAUCCUUUUGUCUUGAAAAAUGAGACCACAUUGGUCAAUAAGUGAUGAAUGCAAAUUCCAUGUGCUGAUCGAGGGUAGACAGUCCCAAUAGCUUUAGAAAUAGACGCAUUUCUAUCUGAGACAAAAGCUAGGUCUUGACAAUCAGCAAUAACCACUUUCAACUGUCUGAAGAACCACCCCCAAGAAUCGUCAUUCUCUGAAUCAACAACCCCAAAUGCAAUCGGAUACAAAUUAGAGUUACCAUCUACAGCAGUAGCAACAAGAAGUGUCCCUUUGUAUUUAUUUUUCAGAAAAGUUCCGUCAACAACAAUCACCCUUCGCAUUGCAUUGUAGAAUCCUCUAACUGAUUGCCCAAAUGACAUAAAUAGAUACAUGAAUCUUCCUUUCUCAUUAGUUUCAUAGUGCGUAUGCGUACCAGGAUUUGCUUCUUUAAUCAUAUGCAGAUAUGCUGGUAUUUUAGAGUAACUGCGAUCUGGUAUACCUCUAGCAGCUGCAAUAGCAAACUCACGAGCUUCCCAAGCGUGCCAAUAAGUAAUCUCACAACUAUGCUCCAUUCUCAUAAAUUGAAUGAUGUCAUUCGGUUUUGGGCCAUCGUUUGCAUCAUCAAAUCGAUGUUGUAUCAGAGUCCCAAUUGUUCUUGCUGAUGCUGUUUUUCCGAAUUUCCUUUUCUUUGAAGGAGCACAUGAAUGUCUUCCAUCACAUUGGUUGAUCAUGAAAUAUGUAGACCCAUCUAUUCCUUCUGCACGCACAGUCCAGUUGCACAAUGCAUCUUUACAUCGAAUAUACCACCAUUUUCUCGUGGAUUUGAUAACAGUGUAAUCGAAAUUAUUCUUCAUCGCUAAAAUUUCCAUUGUUGCCUUCAGAACCCCUUUACUUGUGAAAAUUUGAUCCUUCUUCACGAAGUCUCCUCUCCAAGCUCGACCAUCCUUAUCACUGUCUCCAUUGUUUUGAAAAAGUUCAAUGUUUUCACUCCUUAAAGGACCGCAACCAUCUGCAGCGACAUGAUUCGUUCUUUUAACAAAAGACUCCUUUGACGGCUUGACAAACUCUGCUCGAUUUAUCUCAGGAACUUCUUCAUCCUCAACAUUACUUGAAUCGCAAGGCUCCUUAUUCAAAUCGAUAUUGACUCGUUCCUUUUGAUUUACACCGGAAACAGAGAACAUCACACACAAGGUAGUAGACGAUUCCCUCUUUGCAUAGCCCACAAAAUUAGAUGCUUGCCGAUCAUUGGUGAUAAUAAUAGGAGGAUUCCCUUUUUGAUUCAACAACGAAUAACUGAACUCGGCAUUAAUGGCAUUAUGGUCCACCCCAUAAUCCUCACACACCAUUAUCUUGAGCUGCUUCAACGUAGUAGUAGUUGCUAAUGUUACCAUUCGACCACGCCUUUCUUUGUCUACCACGAAACUCCAGUCAUCACCGCGACUACACAUCCAUUCACCCGAUUUGACAUAGAUUAGAACCAUGUUGUAUUGAUAGAGAAAAGAGAGAUGAUUAUGUCGAUGAAGAAGAGAGAAACACAAAGAACGACGACAAAAGAUCGUGGGAGAAGGAGAAAAACGUGGGAGAAAAUAUUCUUGGAGAUAUUUAGGGAAGAUUUAGUUUAGAUUUAGGAAACAUCUUUAACCGAUUAUGGAAGUUUCCAUAUUUUUCGGAUUUCCUGUAGAAUGUAUAACCUAUGUAAGUCAGAACACAGUAGAGUAGAUGUGAAACAUAUUCUUCCCUAGGCGCCACAUAAGGUAAAAGGCAGACCACAUCAUGGCUCCAAAUAUAGAUAGGGUAUAUCAACGCAUUGUGGCUACAUGUCGUAACCAAGCUAAAGGUAUAAGAAAGACAUCUUUCUUGAUUAUAACGUAACGUAACCUAGCUUUGGUUAGAAUAUAUAAGAAAAGAUAGGUUACGUUGUAUACCAAAGAUAUAUCUAUGUAUAAACAUUAGUAGCCGAAUUCUAGACUAAGUAGAUGACCAGAAUGAGUAUUAUAACUGUAGCUAGAAGAUGAAAUAAAAUAUGAUUCAUUUUAAAAAAAAAACAAUUUAAACAUAUAUAUUGUCAUACUUAUGUUUCCAAUAGUUUUGAUAUUUUUUAACAUUUUUAAAAUUCAGUUUACUAUUUUUUCUAUUAAAAAGGGUAAAAUAUGUCCAGAAUUGUCCAAAAUAUCAGAAAUCCUAUUGUGACAAAUAAAAGUUCAAAGUGUCCCAUUUUUCCAAUUUUCCCUUAAUAUUAUAUAUUUAGCAAUAAUAACCAAUCUUUUCUUUACAAUUUCUCUUCAUCUUCCAAUAAGAGAGAGUAAAAGAGAAUCAAAACAUGGCUAAUCUUCGUCUAAUGAUCACUCUAAUCACCGUUUUGGUUUAUUUACUUCCGAGCUUUGCUAAAUCGUCAGAAAGCACUAAAGUUAUUACUCUACCUAAGUCCCUAAACCUCACCCUCCUCACCGAUCCUUCAACCAUCUCCACCGCCUCUCACGAUUACGGAAACGUUACCACCGUGACACCCGGCGGCGUCCUCUGCCCUUCCUCCUCCGCCGAGAUAUCCCGUCUCCUACGCUACGCCGCCAACGGAGAGACUAUAUUCCAAGUGGCGGCUCGCGGCCAAGGCCACUCCUUAAACGGCCAAGCCUCCGUAUCAGGUGGAGUGGUUAUCAACAUGACGUGUCUCGCUGACAUAACUGUUUCAGAAGACAAAGAGUAUGCUGACGUGGCGGGCGGGACGUUAUGGGUGGAUGUGCUUAGAGAGACGGCGGAGCAAGGCGUUUCGCCGGUUUCUUGGACGGAUUAUUUGCAUAUUAGCGUCGGAGGAACGCUGUCGAAUGCUGGAAUCGGCGGUCAAAUGUUUAGAAACGGUCCUCAAAUUAGUAACGUCCUUGAGUUGGACGUUAUAACUGGUACGCAAACGCAAAAAAUUCUAUAUAUUAUAUACUUAUUAGGUGUAGCAUAUUUCAUGUUUUUAUAGUUCUAUACUACACUUUUUGCACCACACGCAAUGGAAUCUUCGAAACAUAAAAUGUGUAAUGCAUCUAGCUAAGAUACAUCUUUAAUUAAUGACUAGUUUGGCCACUAUUCGCAAUUAGUAGUAUCUCUUGCAUGACGCAUGUAAAUGGAACAUUUUGCAUUUUGGAGAUUUUUGUUGGCUUUCAGUUUUCUCCAACUAUGAAUGAUAUUUUGUCUAUUUACUAAUAAUUCAAACAUCAUCAUUACGUCAGGUUUCAAUGAAUUUGAGCAUUGAACAUAAUUAGAAAUAUAUAUAUAUAUAUAUAUAUAUUCGUAGUUUUUCCACCAUAUAUUAUUUCCAAGUAAAUAGCAAUAAUUAUUUCACCUGAUUUUUUUUAAAUGUUAAGUUGUGCUUAAUUAUUAUUAAGGACUUUUAUAUAUAUUUCAGGAAAAGGUGAAACGUUAGCAUGCUCGCCACAGUUAAAUCCAGAAUUAUUCUAUGGAGUAUUAGGAGGUUUGGGUCAAUUUGGAAUAAUAUCGAGAGCCAGAAUUGUUUUGAACCAUGCACCUAGAAGGGUAAGUACCAUCAGUUCUAACCUAAUAUUUGUGUCUAUUAAAACUACAAAUUUAUUCAACAUUCACUGAAGCUUUCAUGGUCAGUUUUAAAAUCAGUUAGAAAUUUCCCUUCAUUUUUUAAGAAAAUAGAAAAUUCAUUUAUUUUUGUACUUUAACACGCACUGAGUCAUUCCUGAGUUGGAAUUUCUUUGAAACAUUGCCAAACUAAAAACUAUUCAUAUGAUUUUAAUCUAGAUAAAAAAUAUCAGCUAUCAAAGAAAAAAAAUCACUUUAAGGACAGUAAGCCAAUCAUUUAUAUAUAUAAGCUUUUGUGUGUAUAUAACACUAAGUAGUAAUCCGCGUCAUGCGCAGAAUAAAAUAAUUGAUUAGAUUAUUUAUGUUACGUUGUAAUAAUAGAUUUGUCGUAUAGUUUUUCAAAAGAUGGAUAUUCAGAUAUCUAUUCAAAUUCAGUUGAUCUAUUCGGAUUUUAGAUUUUUAGAAUUAGAAAUUUAAAUAUGAUUCAGAUAUUUACAAAUUUUGGUUUGAAUUUGAUUUGGGUUUUGUUCGAAUCAUUGCAGAUUCUGUUUAGAUUCAAGUUCGAGUAUCCAUUUUAAUUAUGUAUUUUUUUAACAAAAGUUCAAAUAUACUUUAUCCUCAAAAUUCGAAAAUAAAAUAAUAUAAAACAUAAAAAUUUGAAUAAUGUAAGACUAAGUACUUCAAUUUACAUAAAAAUAGUGAGUGAAUACAUUAAAUUGUUUACGAUAGAGUUAAGAAAAUUAGUGUGUUAACACAUUAAUUGCUAAAUGACUGUGAGACUAACACGUAAGCAUUUUAAAGUUGAAAUGAAUGUGAAUCUAACACAUGUCAAUGUGUGUGUGAACACAUUUAUUGCAAAUACUUCUCUUUAAGUAUAUUGGAGAUUAAUAUUUACAUAACAAAAUCAUUAAGAAUAGUUAAUUUUUGUAUGACUUAUUGUUUAGUGUAAGGUAUUUGAAUGGAGUUUCGGAUAUUGGGGUCUAUAAUUGCCUAAUUGGUUACACAUUGGAUUACAUGUGAUAAAGAAGCAUUUCGUGACACAAAAAGAGUUAGAGACGUGUGGAUCAUAACUCCUACAAAUUUCUUAGAUGGUAGCCCAAAACUAUAAUUAGGUAUACAAUAAAUUUGGUACCAAUUAGGAAUAUAGUCAAAGGCUUAUUUUCGCAGUAAUUUGAACCAAAUCUAUGCGUUGAAUGAAAAAAUGAUUUGGCCUAUAUAUAUUUUAUUACAAUUUAUAAUCAUAGGACUUAAAAUAAUAAUAAUAAUAAUAAUCAUAGGCCUUAUUAUAGUCCAGUCUUGUCGUAUGUCAUGCAAAUCUAACUGAUAUCAAUAAAUAAUUCUUUUAUUGUAGUAUUUAAAAUAUGUGCAACUAAAUGGUUUUCUAUAUUGUGUGAGUGCUAAUUAAAUGAGAUUUUAUCAAAUGAAACUAUGUAGGCGAAAUGGUUUAAAAUGCUGUACAGUGAUUUCACAGCUUUUACAAAGGACCAAGAAAGUUUGAUAUCAAUGAACAAUGACACUGGAGUUGACUACGUAGAAGGUCAACUAUUGAUGUCAAACGGCAUCGUCGACACUUCCUUUUUCCCACCGUCUGAUCAAUCUAAAGUCGCUGAUUUAGUGAAAAACCAUAGUAUCAUCUAUGUUCUCGAAGUAGCCAAGUAUUAUGAUGAUCCCACUGUUCCCACCACUGGCCUGGUACAAACAAAUUUUACAUAUUCAUUCUAUGCGCAUAUUACAUAUUAUAAGAAAUUUAAAAGGAUCAUCACUGUAACAUAUUAUCAUAUCAUCGUCAAAUCAUGGCAUCAUCAUUUUGGUUUUAUAUGUCAGAAAAUACGGGUUCAUUGGAUCUUAAACUUUGUCACUGAGAUGCAGGGCAGGCAAUGAGUUUUUUUUUUUGUAAAUUUGGGAGCAUACAAAAAAUUUCUGGGAACUUUUUGCUAUGUAAUUUUUUCCAAAAUUUUUGGGGAUCUAAAACCAAUGUUUCGUUAGGAUUUGUCUAAGAUUGGUCCUGCUGAGAUGCAUCAUUAGUCGUAAGUGUAAUAACUGUGAAGAGACUUCAUAGAUUAUGAUAUCAGCUUGACCAUAUAAUUCUCUUAUUGGUUUUAGAAUGGUUAACAUUUAUAUGUUAUUAUUUAAUAAAUAUGAAUUGCAUUCUCAUAUUUGUAACAAGUUGCAUUAAUAUUAUUGGAAACUCACAUAAUUUUUUUAUAUGACUAUGGUUUUGUAACACAUCAUCAAUGAACAUUUGAACUGCACAUACGCAUAUAAAUCAUCAAAUAGAGCUUUAUGAUUCAUACCAAUCAAUUUGUUUAUUUUUGUAGGUGAUUGACAAGUUAACUAAAACCCUAAGUUACCUGCCCGGGUUUAUAUCAAUGCACGACGUGCCCUACUUUGAUUUUCUGAACCGUGUACAAGUUGAAGAAGAUAAACUCAGAUCUUUGGCUUUAUGGGAAGUCCCUCAUCCAUGGCUUAACCUCUAUGUCCCUAAAACUCAGAUACUAGAUUUCCAUAACGGUGUUGUAAAAGACAUUCUUCUCAAGCAGAACUCGACUUCUGGCGUUGCUCUCUUCUAUCCCACAAACCGGAAUAAGUAAGGUUAUUCAUACUAAUCUUCAAGAACAAGUAACUAGAUCUUGACAUAAUGUUUUUCUUGUUAUUAUUUAGAUGGGACAAUCGUAUGUCAGCGAUGAUACCAGAUGAAAAUGUUUUCUAUGUCGUGGGACUACUACAGUCAGCUAGCUCACAAAAUGUGCAAGAAGUGGAGAGUGUAAACGAGGCGAUCAUUAGGUUUUGCAAGGACUCGGAUAUUAAGAUUAAACAGUAUCUAAUGCAUUUCACCAGAAAAGAAGAUUGGGUUGGACAUUUUGGAUCUAAAUGGGGUGCUUUUUCGAAGAGGAAAGAUCUGUUUGAUCCAAAGAAACUAUUAUCUCCAGGGCAAGAUAUUUUUUGAUUCACUUAACUUAGAUAUGUAACCAGAAUAAGUAACGAAAAUAAGAUUUAUUAAUAGCAGAUCGAGACUACAGCCAAACAUGUCUAACCGGGGAAAUAUAUUUGGUUGUUGUCUUGUAGACUACUUAAUAUAUAUUUUAAACAACAAAUUAUUUUUAAUACAUUUUACUUUCUUCAAUAUUAUUUUGCUCAAUAUAAACAUGAUUAACCUUCAAAUAUAUAUAAACAUGAUUUCCCAUUCAUCCAUAUUUACAGAAUUUAAAUUUAACUGGUUUUGAGUUUUGACAAAAAAUAUAGCUUAAUCUGGUUUGUGCUACUUUGUUAUAGAGUUUUAAAUAAAAAAUAAUUUAGACUAGAACGUUUAUUCAACUAUAAACAUAAUAAUUAAUAUUGUGAUAGUGGAUGUUUCCUCUUGAAGGACACACUGAUUAAGCUUACAAUAUACCACUUGGAUGUUUUCUUUUUUGACCAAACCACUUGGAUGUUAUCCAUAAAUUAUGAAUCGUUCGUUCUCUCUCUUCUCUGGACAGAUUUUUUUCCUAUGGCUAUACGUUUUCGUUGUGUCAACAUAUCUUAUUUUGUUCGCUUGUAAAUGGAAGCUAGAAUGGAUCUUCAAUUUUGAAAUUAUUAUUAUUACUAGGGUCGGUGUCCGCGCUUCGCGCGGAUUACAUGCUUAAUAAAAGUCAGGUCAAUUAAAAUUUGGAGUUUUGAAGUUUCUGAGAGGGUAAAUUAAGUUUUGUUUAUUUUAUUAUGGGAAGAUGUUAGAAGCGGUGAUCAUUAUUUUUUUUUAAAACAACAGUAAGUUUGAAUAAUAAAUUGUUUUGAGGAAUUCACUAUUCGUAAUAAAUUGUUACGUCGAAUAAUAAGAAGUAAUGAUGGUUUACUUAGAAAAUGUAGAAUUUUAAUAUGUUGUUGUAUAAUUAAUACUGUUCAUUCUUUUUGAUAUAGUUGUAUAAAUCUUUGUUGUCGCUGUAUGAAUUUGUGAUUAGGAUUUCAGUUAUAAGUCUAAAAAUAUUAAAUUAUUUACUUUUAAAAUUUGCAAAAUAAUAUUAGAGAUUACAAAAUUAGCAAAAUAAUUCUGCAAUAUUAUGUUAUGCAAAACAAUAUUUAAUUCUAAACAACACAUUAUUCUGGGAUAUUUAAAAAUGUCGAAGAGGUUCCACAUGUUUCUUUAAUAAUAUGAUACCAAAAUACAUUUGGUUUAUUUCAUAUUAAUUAUUUUAAAAUAAAAAGCAUAUUCUACAUAAUAGGAAAAGCUACAUUUGCAAACAAUUAUAAUGAUGAAAUAUAUCUAUAAUAAUAAUGUAUAUAUUUGUUAUUAUUAGAGUUUUGGAUGAAAGUAUGAAAUUAAUAUAACAAUACUAAUAAUGUUUUUAUUCAAAAUGAAUUUCUAAUUUCAGAAUACCUCCUAGAGGUGGAGGAUCUUGGGAGGAUGGUUUGACCAUGGUGUUGUGAGAGAACUGUUAAUUUAACAAAAUGAAGAAUAUGAAAACAAAUAAUCUUCGCACUUUCUAAACCACUCCUUAAACAAAAGAAAUCACUUACACGGAUUACUUUUCAAAAGAAAGAAAAUGGCACAAAUAGAUAGGAAUGAAAAGCGAUGAGUGGAUGGUGAAAUUCUUCAAACUGUGAGGCGGUGGAUCUGUGAUUUUGAGAUUACAAUAGUUGAUGUUAUUUUGCAGGAAAUAUGUUUAAUGUCGACAGUCAUUUGACUUAAUGGCAUAAUAUAUUUUAUUUAAUUCUCAAUAAAUGCAUUAGAUAUUAUUUGACUCAUAAUUUACAGUCAAAUAUGUGACCACACAUAUAUAUUGACAACAUAUACGAAUCAGUAUCCAGCUAAUAUUACAUUUGCUUUAAUUACAUAAAGCCACUUUGUUAUGACCUGGCAUAUUGAUUGGUCAUGAUUAUUUUGCCUAUGUGGAUAGCCUUAGGAAGCUAGAAAUUAGCUUCUUUUAUAUAGUAGGAUUAUUAUUAUUAUUAUUAUUAUUAUUAUUAUUAUUAUUAUUAUUAUUAUCACCACUGUGCAUGGGCAUUUUACCUAGGCUAACAAAUUCAAACUCAAAAUCGAUCCGAAAGUAUCUGAACUGAAACCAAAUUGAGAAUUUACAAAUAUCUAGAUGUGUUCAAAAAUUUUCUAUCCAAAAGAACUAAAAAUGAAAAACAAGACUCAAACAAACCUAUAUCCAAAAAAACAACACGUAAAAACCGAUACAUAGCCGAUCUAAAAACAUAAAUACCAACAAUUAUGACUUUAUGUGUUCUAUUUUCUUAAUUUUAAAUUAUGAUUUAGUUGUAAUGAUUUUUUUGUUUGUACUUUUCAUUAUUAUUUUGUGACAUUCUAAAGUAAUAUGAAAUUUUAAAUGUCAAAUUUUGGAGUUCAAAGUUUAAUUUCAAUUAUUAAUAGUUUAUCCAAUGUUAUUUUAUAAAAUUUUAGAUAAAUUUCGACGAAUUUUGGAUAAAAGAACUGACCGAACUAAACUAUUUUUUGGGGUAUUUAUAGGUGUAAACUUUUUGGAACCGAACCAACUCAAAAGGAAGAGAAACCGAUCCAAGAUUUUACAAAUGUCUAGAUAAAUCCUAACCUCUAAGAUCCGAAGAAUCCGGACCCAAUUCUAACCCGAACCGUCAAGCCUAAUAUCACCACUGUUGCAUAGAAGUAUUGUCCUGAACCUUGGGUUAUACUAAAAAGUCAUUGCAGCUAUAAGAAGUUGUGACCCUUCACUUGUCUUCUGAUUAUCAUGACGCCUUAGAUUGAUUGUUUAAUCUUUAUGUGCUUUAUAUCGGUUGCACAUCUUAAUCGAAGUACAAGAUCUAAUUCAUGUCACAUCAGAUAAAAAAGAUUAGCUCACACUAAAUUACACGGGAGAGUGAAACCGAACCCAAUCCACAUUAAACCGAAAAAAAAAACUAAACCAAAAGUAGAAUAUUAUCCUUAACCGGAGGUGACUGAUCAUGAUUCAACUCCUGCAGCAGCAGCAGCAGCAACAACUGGAGCUGGUGCUUCAUCAUCUGUGCUCUCAGAAGAAACCAAAACUCGACCAGAAUCUUCUUCUUCCUCAGAUUCAGACUCCUUAUCUGCAGCUUCAUCAACGAUAAGCUUCUCUUUGAGCUUGGUCAUGAGCUCUUCUUGAACAGGUUCAUUCAGUCUCAGAAACUUCUUCAACGCCUCUUUCCCAUGGUAGUUCUUCCCGUUUAGAUUGUAGAACGUUCCGUUUUUGGCAAUGAACUUGUGCUUAAUGCUAAGCUCGAUUAUCUCCGUGACCUUGCAGAUUCCUUUCCCAAACUCAAGCUCAAACUGCGCUGUUCUAAACGGCGGUGCCAGUUUGUUCUUCACUAUCUUUACAGCAACUUGACUUCCUAUUGUCUGCACACACAAGUAUACAGUUUCAAAACACAAGCAGAUGCAGUAUGGUAGGUAUUUCAUAUUUGGAUACUUACAUCCUCGCCUUUCUUGACAAGUCCCACUCGCCUGAUAUUCAGACGCAUAGAAGCAUAAAACUUCAAGGCAUUCCCACCACAUGUUACUUCUGUUGGACCUCCAAAUCCUCCGAAUGUAGAAAGCUUUGCUCUCACCUGAACAGAAAACAAGAUACAUUCGCAUAAGAGGUACAACUUAUCUACAAAUCUCAGUUACACAAGUUAUAUACCUGAUUUAUAAAGAUGAGAAGUGUUUGGGACAACGACAAAGAGUGGCUUAGUUUACGCAAAGCUUGGCUCAUCAAUCUGGCUUGCAUAGCCAUAUGAGCAUCACCCAUCUCUCCCUCAAGUUCUCCUUUAGGUACAAGAGCAGCCACCUGUAGAAACAAAAUCACAAGAAACCGUGAGGAGAGAUCUAUAGAGCCGGGACCAUAAUCAUCAUCCAUUAGCUACCCUAAAAAUGAAUCACCUUACUUACACUGUCAACAACAAUCACAUCAACCGAACCGCUUCUGAUUAAAGUGUCAACAAGACUAAGGGCCUGUUCACCACAAUCAGGCUGUGAUAGAAGCAGAUUCUCUGUGUUUACACCAAUUGCCUUAGCAAGUGACGAGUCAAGAGCAUGCUCCGCAUCUACAAAUACACAGGUUCCUGUACAGCAAAGAAUCAUUUGUUAGAAUACAAUACGGUUCUGUAACAAACAUAGCAGAAGAGUUAAAUGAAAAAGGCAAUAACCUCCUUGUUUCUGUGCUUCAGCAAUAACAUGAAGUGCAAGCGUUGUUUUCCCAGAUGCUUCAGGACCAUAUAUCUCCACAACACGUCCCUAUAUUGAGUGUACAUAAGCAUAACAAUAAGAAGCUACCUAAACCUGAGAGUCCAGGACUCUUCAAAGGAUACACAGACCAAUCAAUCUAUGUACCACUAAAUGAACCAAUCUAAAUAACAAGAAGACAUAUUCUAGAGGAAAGAGUAAUAUCAUACCUUGGGGAGGCCACCAACUCCUAGUGCUACAUCGAGGGCAAAAGACCCGGUAGAGUAAACGGGGACAUCUCUAGGAGAAACAGCACGACCGAGCCACAUGAUGGAGCCUUUGCCAAAAGAACUGGUAAUCUGAUCAAGUGCUUGCUGAAGAGCAAUCUCCUUCUUCGACAUACCUUCCUCAGACGAUGCAUUUCCAUCAGACUUAGACUUCUUCUUAGCUUCAAAAAGAAACAAAAACAUUGCCUUGACUGUAAGAAGGACAGUGAGCCAAGCAAUCAGAAAAGUAAAAAGGAUAUAGCUUUAUCAAAAACCAUCAAACCAAUCAAUUUAAUAGACACAAAGGUAAAAGCUUUAGCUAACCUUUGGCAGCAAAACCUCGAAGCUGAGACGAUGUGCCAACCACAGCUCUAGUAAACACCUUACUCAAAACAAUUACCCAUUAAAAUCAAUAAGCAGACUUUGACAACAAAGAUACAACAUUUGAGACCCAAUUAAGCAAACAGAGUGUUUAAUUUCUCUCGCAAAACCCAAGUGGGAAAGAAGAUGAAUACCUCAGAGGAGAAGAGAGAGCGUCUCAGUAAAGACGCGUUUCGGAGAAUCCCAGCCAUUGCUAAGUAAAGCUUCUUCUUUUUCAAACUACAGGUAAACAGAGUAUUUCGAAUACUAUGGCGAAUUCGAAGCUGCCCAGAAGAGAGGAGGACUCAUGCGAACACUGUUGUUUCCAACUGUAGAAGCAGAGAAAAGCGAGCACCUUUUAGGGUUUUAGGUUCUCUCGCGAGAGGAGGUUUUUGUCCUCUGUUUUUCCAAGGGAAGUAUAAACCCGAUUUAUUACUCCUUGGUUUAUCAUAACCGAUAAAUUAAAUUGAUCGGUUUAAGUAGUCUCAGUUUAAUAUUAUUACCGGACCAGUUACCGGCCCAAAUUGUUUUAAUCCCCUAAACAUUACUACUAUUACUUGUGAAAACAAAUUCGCAUGCCCAUCACUAUAUUCAAUCUCAAAAAAUAACAUAACAUCAAUAUAAUUGUGAUACGUACCAUUUUUCUUAAAUCACAAUAAUAUAUUUUUUCUAUUUAUAAAUAGACUGAAAAAAUACAUUUAUGAUUUUAUAUUUUUCAACAGGCGAAGUUAAAAUAUAAAAUAAUAAUAUCUAAAUGUAAACUAAAAUUUUAUUUAAAAUAAAAAUAUUAUAUUUAAAAUUAUUAUUUCUGUAUAUGCCGCAUGAAAGUAAACUCCUAGAGUGUGUGAUGAAAUAAAACAAUAUNNNNNNNNNNNNNNNNNNNNNNNNNNNNNNNNNNNNNNNNNNNNNNNNNNNNNNNNNNNNNNNNNNNNNNNNNNNNNNNNNNNNNNNNNNNNNNNNNNNNNNNNNNNNNNNNNNNNNNNNNNNNNNNNNNNNNNNNNNNNNNNNNNNNNNNNNNNNNNNNNNNNNNNNNNNNNNNNNNNNNNNNNNNNNNNNNNNNNNNNNNNNNNNNNNNNNNNNNNNNNNNNNNNNNNNNNNNNNNNNNNNNNNNNNNNNNNNNNNNUCAAUAUAUGAAUAGUACAAUUACAUCAAAUUGCAUUAAGUUAUAAAAAAUAAUAUAAUAUUAUGUAUAAAUAAAUAAAAAUAUUAUCAAACAUCUAUAUUAUAAAAUAAAAUAAUAUAUUCUACUCUAUAUGUAUGAAUUUUUUAUUAUCAAACCAGUGGUUUAUGAUUUUAUGUUAAACAUAAAUUAAAUCAAGCACCCGCGCGGGAGCGUGGAUCAAGUUCUAGUUAUUAUUUAAACUCAAGUACAAAAUUGGAGUGUUUGGAGACUUGAAUAAGACUAUUAAAAAAAUUUGGAGUGUUUGGAAACAUGGAUCACAGUCUUUUAAAAAAAAAAAUUUUUUUUUUGAAAACAAGGAUAGUAGUAUUAAGAAAAAAAGUAAUGGACUUAUGUUAUUAAGAAAAAUUGAAAGUCCAUCAUAUUAUAAGAGUGAGCCAGUUUUAAAAUAUACGAAAAUAGGUCAAUCAAAUUGCCUAAAACUUUUUUUUCUAAACUAGCCAUAAAACAAAAUUUAAACUUUAUAUACAUAUUUCAAAUCAAAAUAAUAAUUCAAAGUUGAUUUAUAUCAAAAAUUGAUUCAAAAAUAUACAUUCAAAAAUAGAUUUUUACUAAACUAUUUUUCAAUAACCAUUAUAGAAAAAUGUCGUCAAUAUAUAUAAGAAAAAUAAAAUACAAAGCCCAAUUUGAAUAACCAACUCAAAUUACGGUUUUUAUAUUUCAUAUUAAGUUUUAAAAAUAUAAUAUAUGUAAUUAUUUAUAUGAUGGUACGUAUAAAAUACAUUAAUUAUAUGAUGGUACGUAUAAAAUACAAUUAAUUAUAUGAUGACAAUAUACAAUAUAUAAUAAUGAGUAGGGAUGAGCUUUCGGGUACCCAUACGGGUUUGGUUCUGAUCGGUUUGCGUUUCGGGUUUUCGGAGUCAAAGGUGUUAGCCAUAUUAGGAUUUUUUUAAAUUUUGGUUUGAGUUUGAUUCAGAUCUUUGUGGAUUUGGUUCGGGUUUGGAUAACCCGUUUAAACUAUUUUUAAAGUUUUAAAUCAUUAUAUAUUUUAAAUUUCUCAAAAUCUAUAAAUAAAAUAAUAUAUUACCUAUAAAUUUGAAUAACAUAUGUCAGAAUACCUAAGCUUAACAUAUCAAUUGGCUCGAUUCAAAAUUUUGGAUACAUAAUCAAUAAUUAUUUUAAGUAUUUUUGGUGAUUUGAGUUUACUUUAACUAUUUCAGAUAUUUACUUUUGACUAUCUAUAUAUAUUUUUCAAGUAUUUAAACCAAUUUAAAAGUAUCAUUCUUGAUGUUUUAUAUACAUUAAAUCUAAAAAUAAUUAAUAUAUAUAAGUAUAUAAAUCUAUUUUUAGAUAAAUUCGGGUACCCGAAUACUUCGGUUCGGAUCAUAUUUGAUUCUCUAAAUAACAAAAUUUUGAAUAAUUCGAAUAUUUAAUCAAUUUAUGUUCGGGUUUGGUACUAUAUUUUCGGAUCGAUAUUGGUUAUGUUCCUCGGAUUCAUUUUGCCAAACUCUAAUAAUUACAUGAAAAACAAAUAUCAACAUAUUUUUUAAAAUAUGCACCCGCACAGACGCGCGGAUCAAAGUCUAGUUCAUAUUAAAACAUCAGGAUUUAUAAAUUAGAAUCAAUCUUACAACAAAGGUUGUUACUUAGGAUAAAUGACAACGGAAGAUGAUGAUCAAAAUCUUAACCGGAUUUCAGAAAAUGAACAUGGUUACCAUAGUUUCUUUUUUUACCAUAGUUUCUAGUUAAAAGCAAUCUUUAUGUUUUUUUUUUGUUGUCAACUUUUUCAUUCACACAAUCCAACUAAACCAUGGAAAUUAGGGGUGGGCACUUUAUCCGAUACCCGAAGCCGCACCCGAACCCGAUCCGAAAAAUCCGAACCGAAAUCCGAACCGAAGUAGCAAAAUACCCGAACGGAUAUUAAGUUAGGAGAGAUUGGAUAUCCGAACCCGAACGGGUAAUAUCCGAACCCGAAUGGAUAUCCGAAGAUAACCGAACAUAUGUAUACUUACCCUUAUAUAUCUAGUUUACAUCUCUUAUUUUAUUUAAAAUAUUUAUAUUAAUGUUACACAUACUUUAAGAUCAUAUAGUAUAUCUAUAAUUAUGGAGAAAAUAAUUUGAUAUUCAUUUAAAAUGUAUAUCAAAAUUUUUGUUUUAUGUAUUAACAAAAGGUACAUCCAAAGUUUAAAAACAAUAGCCAAAUUAAUAUCUAUUUGUUUUUAAGAUAUUAUCUCCAAAUCUAUUAAUCAUUCAAUCUAUAAAAAAUAAAAAUAAAUCAAUUAAGUGAAAUCUAUAUUUUUAAAUACAAAAAACUUAAAAGUGAAAAUUUUAUUUUUUUCUUUUAAAAUCUAAAUAUCCGAAACUCGAUCCAAAAUAACCAAACCCGAACUAAAAAUACCCGAACCCGACCCGAAGUACAAAAAUACCCGAACGGGUUCUAUAUCCCUAUACCGAAAUAUCCGAAAAUCUGAAAUACCCGAUCCGAACCCGAACGGGUAUCCGAACGCCCACCCCUAAUGGAAAUUUUACAAAGCCAACAAAGAGAAGCCCAAUAAUUGGGAUUACACAUUGAAAAUGUUAUCUUUAUUAUUAGGAGAAAUAUUAUCUUAGACUUUAAAUGUGUAAAUGCUAAAUCUGAUUCUAACUCAGGGAAGAAAAUGCAACAAGAAAGACUGUGGUUCCUGACAUAUCCUCCCUGCAGUAAUCUUGACAUGCCCUUUUGCUCGUUUUCAGCUCUCGAAAGACUAUCAAGCAUGGGCUUCUGGAGACACUUCAAGGCAACCUCUUUGUACAGGCGAGAUCUGAUAAUAAAGCAAAAAUGUACCUUACCUGGUUCAGAGAAUAUAGGCCUCCUUGUUAGAAAGGCUGUUAAAUUAGUUGGGUUCACAAACAACAUUGGACGGCCACGGCCUAUCUUGUUCGGUUUAAUACCGAGGCCCAAAGGCAAAAAUGGGCUAAAAAUAAUAACAGAAUCCCACAUCGGUUAUCAUCAAAAUAUAGUUUUUAAUAUAUAAAGAUGCAAAUCCAUUCAUAUGAUUGUCAAUUGGUGUUAGUAGUUCUUUGGUCUAACCGCCCGGGUUAUCCUACUCUCGUCAAUUGACUUUUUGAAAUAAUUAAAAAAUUUUAGACUUGCAUGGCUCCUCUUAAAUUUAAGUGCCUACCUUUUUUUUUGUGAAAAAGUUUAUUAUACUAAUUUUUAGUUUUUCACAGAAAUUACUAAAAGAACAAUUGGAUGUCUCCUCUUAAAUAUGAGAUGGAGUUCGUACUUUUUUUUUGUAAGAAAGUUAAAUUAUUAUACUAACUAGGAGUGGAACCCCCGCAAGCGCGGGUUCGGUCAUGGACAUAGAUGUUAUUCUAUCUAAUGAAUGUAUGUAAGUCGUGUUUGUGAUUUUUUUCUUUUGUUGUGGUCACUGAUUUUCGAAAAUUUGUAUUGUAAAAUUGUGAUGAACUAUGCUUUGGAUACCAAUCAUAAUUAAUUUGAAAAACAUUAAAGGAUUGACUUAUCGCCAAAAGCUAAACUGAGACAAACGUUUACGGUGGACUAAAUGGCCAACACUUUAUUUGCAUACAAUAAAGUCCAAGAAAUAAAAUUAACUAACUAUUGGCACAAUAUAUGCUAAUAGUUAUUGCAUAUGCGGGUGAUACAAUUAUAAGUUUACUUGUACGUUUAUCUAGUCUCUCCCCAUAUGGCACAUAAGGAUUCAAAGCUGGUUUAAGACUAACUAUUGGAAUAUAAAGAUGAUCGCGAUGAAAUUUUCUUGAAGAUUAAAUGAAAUAAAACUCUUAAUAUAUAUGAAACUUCAGGUUCUUUUCAAUCAAACCCAUGCAACUAAUAACCUGCAAAUAUAAAAGGAAACAAUUGUUUUAUUUUAAAUGAAAGAAUCUUCGAGCAUAAUCUACAUGAAAAGUUACAAAAAUAUAGAUUUCUCACAACCGUCAAACAAAAAGAUCCUUGAAAAGCCUAUAUAUAUAGUUAUGGAUAAUAUUGUUCGUCUUCAAAAUGCAAUUGUAGUACACAUAAAAAGUAUGAUGUGAACUCAGGUGAAAAUAAUUUAAAGUGAACCUGCCAAUGGAGAAGAAGAUUAUAUAUAUGCACAAAUUUCUUUGGUUAGAGACUCUUCUACUACCUUAAUUUAAAACAACAUCUUUGGCUAAUUCUACACAAGUUUCUCAAUACAACUCUAAACAAAUCAGUAGCUAGUACCUCAACAUGUGUAAGCCUUAUCAUUGCACUGAUCUUGCCAUAAUUCAGAUUUUUGGUACCUGUACGAAAGGCCUUGCCAAGGCUGAUUACUAAGGAAAUCAAAGGUAAAGAUGUAAAUAUAUCAAAUGGAAGCAAAUAAAAAAUAUUAGGUAAAGUAAGGAUGAAAACAUGGUGAUUGUACAAGAAUCUGAGUGAACUUGAAGAUUAUUUCUAUUUUAAUUUGUUUUGGAAGCUGAUCUUGAGUAGUUUUAGGCUUAGAAGUAUUGAAUCAUAUAAGACAUACAUAUUUAAGAUUCUCUCAAUUUUUAUAUCUUGUUACCUUUUAGAUUGUUGAGAAGAGGAAACUGGUCUCAUCUAUAAAAGAGAGCACUCCUGAACUUGGAUGUUCGAAAAUCUUUUUUGAAAGAAGAGUAUGGUUCUUCUGUGAAUGCAAAUAUUGAUGGAGAGAGGGACAAUAUUGUUAUCUGAAACAGUUAUGGAAAGUCAUCUUUGAACAAAGAACGAGAAGGUAAGACAUUACCUCUCAAUACCGCACCCAUGAAGAGCAGCAAACAAAGCUCAACCUCUGCAAAAUUCUCUUCCACAGUAACAUUUGUUGAUCAAGCAGUAACCUCAUGUGUAGUCUUCCACUGGAAAUCUAAGAAAUUCUCUGCUACUGCAGUUUGGUUAUACCCACAACCGGACUAAAACACCUCAAACAUCUAGUAUAAAGACAUAGAUAAAGAUAACACAUGAAAAAGCUAGUGGAACCCAAACCCAUUGAAGAAGACUGACCAAAAGAGUGGAACCCAAACCCAUCUUCCCCCAUGUUCAUUGGAGUUUGCGGGCCACCACUACCACCACCACUUAUGCUAAAGAGUCUCAGCAGCUGCUGCAUAUCAUCGGUCUCAAGCAUUUCAUUAUUGCAAGCCCUUAUCUCUUCCUCUGAUAAAAACCCAUCACCUCCUCUGUUGCCUGCAUUUAACCAAUCAUCAAAAGGCUGAACCAAGUGUUGGUUUUGCAAAAGUCUUAUCUAAUGUCUCAGUAUCUAAACCAAAGUCAAAUGUUUUUCAUCUCUCAAUAUUUUUGUUCCAGUAAAACUAAAAUACAUUAAAAAAAAUUAAACUUGCUUUCUCAAAAUAAAUGUUCUGCUAAGUGGCUUUUUGCUUUUGCUUGAAGGUAUCAUACCAUUGGAAAGAGACAGCGUUGACGUUAUGCUUCUCGGGGGAGAUUGGGAAUGGUGUCUCUAAAAGGCAGAGAGUUUUGUAAUAAGAGAUGUGAAGGUCUCUUCGGGCGGAGGGAGAGGAUCGCUAACACGUUCUAUAUCAGAGGGGAAGUUCAUUAGGGUUUCUAGAUCGUCUUCUAGAAGCUGAGCUUGGGCGCUCGGACUAAGUGAAAGCAAUGUAGUUGCGGAGAGGACGUUAGAGAUCGAGUGAGCUUGUCUUCUUAUAGUUAAUGCCGAGCAUCAGAUUAGAAGGCCCCGACGAAGCUUUGGCGCUCUCGUCUUCUUUGUCUUCUUCUGAUGAUCGCUCUUCCAAUUGUUUGUGGAAACCCAAAGGAUCACGCUCUCUUUCUCAGAUAAGACUGAAGCGAUGGAAACCCUAGGGCCAGUUCUUUUUUAUUUUCGUAAAGAAGCCCAUUUAGAAAAACCUAAGACAAGGACUAUAACUGAAAACAUUGUCCCUUGCUGCCUCUAAAAGAAACUUAUGUCAUCCCCUAAGGGACCGAUAAUAUAGGUUGGUGGUGCAUGUAUAAAGAAGGGCGUUAGGGGAUGGAAAAUAAGAGCAUGCGGUUCAGUCUUAAGACAAAAGACUAUAACUGAAAACAGAUUCCUUACCCACAGGCUUACAAAGAUUUAUUACCCACGACUUACACAUGUCUUAGACAACGAAAAAGAUUUAUUACCCACGGCUUACAAGUCUUAAAGACCAAAGACUUUUCUGUUUUCAGUUAUUUGAAUGGUACAGUUUGAGAAAGUUCUAAGACAAGGACUAUAACUGAAAACAAUGUCUCUUGCUGCCUCUAAAAGAAACUUAUUUCAUCCCCUAAUGGACCGAGAAUAUGGGUUGGUGGUGCAUGUAUAAAGAAGGGCGUUAGGGGAUGGCAAAUAAGAGCAUGCGGCUCAGGCUUAAGACAAAAGACUAUAACUGAAAAUAGAUUCCUUACCCACGGCUUACAAAGAUUUUUACCCACGGCUUACACAUGUCUUGACAAAGACAAAGAUUUAUUACCCACGGCUUACAAGUCUUAAAGACCAAAGACUUUUCUGUUUUCAGUUAUUUGAAUGGUACAGUUUGAGAAAGUCCUAAGACAAGGACUAUAACUGAAAACAUUGUCCCUUGCUGCCUCUAAAAGAAACUUAUGUCAUCCCCUAAUGGACCGAGAAUAUGGGUUGGUGGUGCAUGUAUAGAGAAGGGCGUUAGGGGAUGGCAAAUAAGAGCAUGCGGCUCAGUCUUAAGACAAAAGACUAUAACUGAAAACAGAUUCCUUACCCACGGCUUAUAAAGAUUUAUUACCCACGGCUUACACAUAUCUUAGGCAAAGACAAAGAUUUAUUACCCACGGCUUACAAGUCUUAAAGACCAAAGACUUUUUUGUUUUCAGUUAUUUGAAUGGUACAGUUUGAGAAAGUCCUAAGACAAGGACUAUAACUGAAAACAUUGUCCCUUGCUGCCUCUAAAAGAAACUUAUGCCAUCCCCUAAUGGACCGAGAAUAUGGGUUGGUGGUGCAUGUAUAAAGAAGGGCGUUAGGGGAUGGCAAAUAAGAGCAUGCGGCUCAGUCUUAAGACAAAAGACUAUAACUGAAAACAGAUUCCUUACCCACGGCUUACAAAGAUUUAUUACCCACGGCUUACACAUGUCUUGACAAAGACAAAGAUUUAUUACCCACGGCUUAAAAGUCUUAAAGAGCAAAGACUUUUCUGUUUUCAGUUAUUUGAAUGGUACAGUUUCAGAAAGUCCUAAGACAAGGACUAUAACUGAAAACAUUGUCCCUUGCUGCCUCUAAAAGAAACUUAUGUCAUCCCCUAAUGGACCGAGAAUAUGGGUUGGUGGUGCAUGUAUAAAGAAGGGCGUUAAGGGAUGGCAAAUAAGAGCAUGCGGCUCAGUCUUAAGACAAAAGACUAUAACUGAAAACAGAUUCCUUACCCACGACUUACAAAGAUUUAUUACCCACGGCUUACACAUGUCUUAGACAAAGACAAAGAUUUAUUACCCACGGCUUACAAGUCUUAAAGACCAAAGACUUUUCUGUUUUCAGUUAUUUGAAUUUGACAAAGACAAAGAUUUAUUACCCACGGCUUACAAGUCUUAAAGACCAAAGACUUUUAUGUUUUCAGUUAUUUGAAUGGUACAGUUUGAGAAAGUCCUAAGACAAGGACUAUAACUGAAAACAUUGUCCCUUGCUGCCUCUAAAAGAAACUUAUGCCAUCCCCUAAUGGACCGAGAAUAUGGGUUGGUGGUGCAUGUAUAAAGAAGGGCGUUAGGGGAUGGCAAAUAAGAGCAUGCGUCUCAGUCUUAAGACAAAAUACUAUAACUGAAAACAGAUUCCUUACCUACGGCUUACAAAGAUUUUUACCCACGGCUUACACAUGUCUAGACAAAGACAAAUAUUUAUUACCCACGGCUUACAAGUUUUAAAGAUCAAAGACUUUUCUGUUUUCAGUUAUAUGAAUGGUACAGUUUGAGAAAGUCCUAAGACAAGGACUAUAACUGAAAACAUUGUCUCUUGCUUCCUUUAAAAGAAACUUAUGCCAUCUCCUUAUGGACCGAGAAUAUGGGUUGGUGGUGCAUGUAUAAAGAAGGGCGUUAGGGGAUGGCAAAUAAGAGCAUGCGGCUCAGUCUUAAGACAAAAUACUAUAACUGAAAACAGAUUCCUUACCUACGGCUUACAAAGAUUUUUUACCCACGGCUUACACAUGUCUAGACAAAGACAAAUAUUUAUUACCCACGGCUUACAAGUUUUAAAGAUCAAAGACUUUUCUGUUUUCAGUUAUAUGAAUGGUACAGUUUGAGAAAGUCCUAAGACAAGGACUAUAACUGAAAACAUUGUCUCUUGCUGCCUCUAAAAGAAACUUAUGUCAUCCCCUAAUGGACCGAGAAUAUGGGUUGGUGGUGCAUGUAUAAAGAAGGGCGUUAGGGGAUGGCAAAUAAGAGCAUGCGGCUCAGUCUUAAGACAAAAGACUAUAACUGAAAACAGAUUCCUUACCUACGGCUUACAAAGAUUUUUUACCCACGGCUUACACAUGUCUUGACAAAGACAAAGAUUUAUUAUCCACGGCUUACAAGUCUUAAAGACCAAAGACUUUUCUGUUUUCAGUUAUAUGAAUGGUACAGUUUAAGAAAGUCCUAAGACAAGGACUAUAUCUGAAAACAUUGUCCCUUGCUGCCUCUAAAAAAAACUUAUGUCAUCCCCUAAUGGACCGAGAAUAUGGGUUGGUGGUGCAUGUAUAAAGAAGGGCGUUAGGAGAUGGCAUAUAAGAGCAUGCGGCUAAGUUUUAAGACAAAAGACUAUAACUGAAAACAGAUUUCUUACCCACAGCUUACAAAGAUUUUUACCCACGGCUUAUACAUGUCUUGACAAAGACAAAGAUUUAUUACCCACGGCUUACAAGUCUUAAAGACCAAAGACUUUUCUGUUUUCAGUUAUUUGAAUAGUACAGUUUGAGAAAGUCCUAAGACAAGGACUAUAACUGAAAACAUUGUCCAUUGCUGCCUCUAAAAGAAACUUAUUAUGUCAUCCCCUAAUGGACCGAGAAUAUGGGUUGGUGGUGCAUGUAUAAAGAAGGGCGUUAGGGGAUGGCAAAUAAGAGCAUGCGGCUCAGUCUUAAGACAAAAGACUAUAACUGAAAACAGAUUCCUUAUCCACAGCUUACAAAGAUUUUUAUCCACAGCUUACACAUGUCUUGACAAAAACAAAGAUUUAUUACCCACGGCUUACAAGUCGUAAAGACCAAAGACAUUUCUGUUUUCAAUUAUUUGAAUGGUACAGUUUGAGAAAGUUUCGUUAAUAUAGUCCAAAUAUCCAAUACACAGUUUUUUAGUGGGUCCCACACGCUUGCCUACAUGGACAGCCUUUGGAGUGAAGAAACUCCCUCAUUAUAAUAUAGAUUUUUGGUUUUCGGCGAGAACAAGUAACGGACAAUGCAUAAUCUAAACUAAACAAACAACUACACACAUUGGCAUCCUCAACUUUGUGCAUAGAAGAUUCACUUACUUAAAAACAUCUUCCUAAAAGACUACCAAAGACAAAUCAUUGAAGAUUCGGUUUGGUUUGGAAGACUUUUUAGAAAGUCUUUUAACAUAAAUUACAUUAGAAUUUUUUCCAACAAGUCUUCUAAACUCUAAAUUACUUGUCGUUUUCGAAAACUUCCCAAAAAAUAUUCUAAUUCAUCGGAAAAUUUUCAAAAUAUGACCUAAACCUUAAAAUCAAAUAACUAACUAAAUAAGGACAAACUUUUCAUUAAAAUUGAUAUCAACUUAUAAAAUGUUUGAAAUACACAAAACUAAACAUAUUUAAGUCAAAUUAAAAAUUUUAAAAAUAAGAUUCUAAAAUCUAACAUUAACAUUGCAUUCACUCACUCAUCCAUGUUGAAAACAAUUCAAUUUUAAUAAAUAAAAUUUUCUAUCAUUUAGAAUUAUUUAUAUUAUCUGAUUUCAAUUUAUUCUCCGUCACAAUAUUUUUGUAUAUAUUUUAUCAAUUAUUUUUAAGAUUAUAUAUUGUGAAGUAAUCAUCAAAGUGAAUACAAUUUUUUUUUGUUUGAUCAUAAGAGCCCAAAUUAUUUUUGUUUGAUCAUAAGAAUCUGAUUGUAAUUUCACUAGAUUUAUUAAUUAUUUUUGCAUUUGAUUAAAUUUAUAAUAUUUUUUUUUUGUAUUCAAAAUAAAGCUUUAGGUCACUUUGGCAAGUUGACCCAUUUUUAAUUUAGAAAUUUUACUGUAUAUUUCCAAUUUGUUUAUUAGUAUGUAUUAUUUUUUAAAAUGUUGGAAACUCAUAAAUAUAAAUUGUUGACAUUUGACCAACAACAAAAUGCUAUUGCUCAAACCAGUUCAUGAAGAACACAUUACAAAUGAAAAAUCAGACGCAACCAAAACCCAAACCAGAGAACAAUUUUUUUUCUAGCAAACCACCACCCAAAACUUGAUUUAUAUCAUAUAAACCGACGGACCAUGACUCUUCAAAUUAAGAAAACACAAAGACCAGACUGACUCUUCUUUCUUUCUUCUUCUUCAUCAUUACUCACUGCUGCUUACACUCCGCGGGCCUCUCACCUUGUUGACCUUCAGCAACUUGACUUCUUCCAGACUUCUGUUCACAGAGAAAAAAGCCUCAGGUUUAUCAACAUCCCUUAAAUAUUCAACAAGAAAGAGAUCAUACGGUCUGAGAUUUGAGUGAUUGUUAAACCUUUUGCCCAGCUGAUGACUGCAACAAAACAACAAGAAACCACCAAGAUCAGUUUCCAACGUUUUCAGUUUUAUAUUAAAGAGAAACAGGAAGUUAAAAACGUUGUACCCAUAGUACCUUCUUUCUCCUCCUCUUUCCUAGCUCUGCCUCUUCAUCCUCGUCGUCUUCCUCAUCGUCAUCAUCCUCGUCCUCAUCAUCGUCCUCAUCAUCGUCCUCGUCCUCCUCAUCAUCUUCAUCAAUCUCAUCAUCAUCGUCCUCGUCCAUCUCAAGGUCAUCUGGAUCAACAGCUUCACCAGUGAACCAUGACACAGCAUGGGAAAUGAUUUUCUCUUUAAUGGUUGAUCUACAUGAUAAAACAGUGGACAGAUUCAGAUCCUAAAAAGUAAUUUAAGAAGCAAAUAGAACUGAAGAUGAGAUAUAACAAGGUACAUACCCAAUAUCAUAAUCAUGCUCCAUUUGGCCUUGGAGUUCAUCAGCCUGUGCACGAAUAAAUUAUCAGAUUAGCAUUUAAAGCAUUCUGACGCACUGAGUCCAAAACUAAAACAGCUUUUGUGGAUGGCCAUACCAUGUCAUCAUCAAGAUCAUCUUCGUCCUCAGGAACUUGAGGUGGACUGAAGAAGUUGAAGAAACUCUCACAGUCCUCAGUCUUAGUGAUCGGCUUUGUGUUUUUGGAUCCCUUCUUUGGCUUCUUUUUCAGGAUCUUCUGAGUCAAACAUUUUCCAGGAUACCACUCAAUCUCCGUCCUGUACAAUAUUAGUUUAACCAUCAAUAAGACUUCUUUGUCUUUUAGAAACAAAAAAAAAGAAAAAGCAAAUAUAUAGAUAGAGAGCAAAGGAUCAUACCCAAUGGCCUUCUCGAGGAUAGGCUCAUCCUCAUCAAUCAUGUGAUAUGUCUUGGUCAAGACAGUGUUCUUGAAGUAAGGGUUCUCAUCAAAGAAAAACUCGAGCUUGAACCCUUUUGGUUCUUCGACCCUGUUCCACUUGAUAUCCUUAAGAUACUUGAGAGCACCUUCAUCUCGCUCAGUUAUCUACAAUCAUGCGAAACAAAAACAAAAAAAAAACAGCAAGACUAAGAGAGUAGACUCUUCAUAAAAAGAAUUAUAGUAUCCAAAUAAACGAACCUCCUCAGCGGUAAUUUCGUUGUUCUUCAGUGCGAUAAGCCAGAAAUCCGGUACUCCUUUCUCUGCAGAGAUUAAAAAAAAAAAACAGAUGAUUUCACUAUAAUUGGAAGCUAAAAAAAAAAAACAAUAGUUUAGUCUAAGUAACUACUGAUAACAAACCUUGAGCAGCUUUAUCUGCUCCUUGUUCUGUUUUCACUUCCUCAGGUAAACCUUCAACUUCAACCACACCGGUCACAAUCUCACAACGCUGAAUAUGAUCAUCACGUUGGAAAAGCAUAUAAUCAUUAUAAAUCAUACAAGAGAGAGAGAGAGAGAGAAGUCUUAUUGAACUUUUAUUAGUCUUAUUCUAACAAUGUCGGGAAAGCAGAAAAGCAUGAAUAUCAAGUAUAAUCAUUAUUAUUGAUCAAAGAAAGUACACUAAGUAGCAACUGAGAGAAGUCAUAUCAUAUGUUUCUUCGUCGAGAUUUCAUGUGAUGAAAGAACCAAAGAUCAUUUUUUGCAUACCUUGGUGUAGAAAGGCUGAUACAACUUUUGAUACUUAGCUUCUAGAGCUGCCCUCUCUUCGAAGAACUUUGCUUCAAUUUCAUCAUGUUGGUUCUGCAAUGUAGCAAAAAAAAAAAGAAAGAAUCAGAUAAAAUUUCAUCAGGGGGCCAACUAAUUCAAACUAAAUGCAAAAUCCAAGAUCACAAAUAAAAAAAAAAAGACAAGGUCUAUAGUGAUCUAGCUGGAAGGUUAACUCACUUGAAUCUCUCUUAGAACCUCAACACGCUUCCUGACUGCCGGAGUCAAGUUCUCAAGGACAUCCGAGUGUUGUCCAGCCAAAUUCUGCAACUUAUCCUGCAAACAAACACAAAAAAAAACAAUCAAAUCAAGAUGCAGAGACAAUCCUUUAUCUUGAAAUGAUCAAGUUGCUCUAAACCAAUCAAGAUGCAGAGAUCAAGUUGUUCUCUCAAAAAACAGUAAAAAGCACAUAUAUAGCAACUGUAAGUUACAAACUUUCAAAGUAAAGAUGCAGAGAGAACAAAUCCCAACAGUAAACCCAAAAAAAGAACUCACCUUGAGAGCAUUAACAAGGCCUGCUCGAUCCUCCUCGUUAAGAGCUAAUAAAGCAAAAACAUAAGCAUUUUAAAAUAAAUCCACAUGAAAACAAAUAGAAUCCGACGUCGUUCUAUAGAGAAAGAGAGAGAGAGACAUACCGGCGGUGAGAGCGGACAUGUUCAAGUUGUCUUUGUCGUUGCUCAUCUUCUCGCAAGCAAGAGGAGAAUCUGGCGGAGGAAACGGAGGAUAAGAGUGAAAGACCCCUUAAAACCCUACUCUUAUGACAGCCCAGAGAGAUUAAAUUAUUUAGAUAUGAAAUGAGCUGACACAAAUAGCUGGGGCACUUUAUAAGACCCACCCUACGCGGCAAUAUCUUUUCCUUUCCUUCAUUUUUGAUAUUUGUUUCCCUUAUUUUGAUUUAUUUGAAAAUUAAAGGUAAAGUAUUGUUUGGUUCUGUAACGCACCGAGAAAGUACGUAAUGAAUGAAUUUGUGAAUUUGAUUCCUAAAGAAUAGAUUUUUAAGUUUUUUCUGGAGAUUCCGAAAUCUAAUACCUUAAAACUGAGAUUUUCUUCUUCUUUUUUCUUUCUGAAAUUUCUACAUUUUCUUUUUAAAUAUAAUUGUAGUAAUUUAUAUAUCAGAAAUCACAUACAAAAAAACAGAUAUUUCGUAGAGUUUAUUUUAAAAAGAAGAGUUAUUUUACAAUUGUAAAAAGAAGAGUUUAAAUUACACUAGAAUUUAUAAAUAAAAAAGGGAAAAUCGUAUUUUAAACCCUGUGAGUGUCACAUUCUCGUACUUUAAGCACAAAAAGUUUUUUAUUAGCACUUUAAACCUUGAAAAUGACAUUUUUAUCAUAACAAAUCUUCAAGUCAAUUUGGUGACAUGUACUGUUCAUUUUGAUGGCGUGUCGGUUUUUUCUUUUUUUCUUUUAAAUAAAAACUAAAAUACAUAAAAAAUUCAAAAAAAAAAAAAAACUCUAAAAAUCUAAAAAAUUCAAACAAAAUCUAAAAUUUCAAAAAAUAUAAAAAUUAAAAUUUCAAAAUUAAAAAUAAAUAAAUAUUUUUAAAAAUUAAUCCAAUUUUAAACCAAUAAGUAUAUAUAAUAUAAUAACUUGAAUGGUGAUUCUAGAUUCUGGUUUUUGGUUUUUGAUUUUUUUUUUUAAUUUUUUUAUUUAUUAAUACUUAACUUGUUAAAUUUUUAAAAUUAAUCCUAUUAUUGGUAUUAUUUAUUAAAAUGAUAUUUAUUUUAGUAAUUUUAANNNNNNNNNNNNNNNNNNNNNNNNNNNNNNNNNNNNNNNNNNNNNNNNNNNNNNNNNNNNNNNNNNNNNNNNNNNNNNNNNNNNNNNNNNNNNNNNNNNNNNNNNNNNNNNNNNNNNNNNNNNNNNNNNNNNNNNNNNNNNNNNNNNNNNNNNNNNNNNNNNNNNNNNNNNNNNNNNNNNNNNNNNNNNNNNNNNNNNNNNNNNNNNNNNNNNNNNNNNNNNNNNNNNNNNNNNNNNNNNNNNNNNNNNNNNNNNNNNNNNNNNNNNNNNNNNNNNNNNNNNNNNNNNNNNNNNNNNNNNNNNNNNNNNNNNNNNNNNNNNNNNNNNNNNNNNNNNNNNNNNNNNNNNNNNNNNNNNNNNNNNNNNNNNNNNNNNNNNNNNNNNNNNNNNNNNNNNNNNNNNNNNNNNNNNNNNNNNNNNNNNNNNNNNNNNNNNNNNNNNNNNNNNNNNNNNNNNNNNNNNNNNNNNNNNNNNNNNNNNNNNNNNNNNNNNNNNNNNNNNNNNNNNNNNNNNNNNNNNNNNNNNNNNNNNNNNNNNNNNNNNNNNNNNNNNNNNNNNNNNNNNNNNNNNNNNNNNNNNNNNNNNNNNNNNNNNNNNNNNNNNNNNNNNNNNNNNNNNNNNNNNNNNNNNNNNNNNNNNNNNNNNNNNNNNNNNNNNNNNNNNNNNNNNNNNNNNNNNNNNNNNNNNNNNNNNNNNNNNNNNNNNNNNNNNNNNNNNNNNNNNNNNNNNNNNNNNNNNNNNNNNNNNNNNNNNNNNNNNNNNNNNNNNNNNNNNNNNNNNNNNNNNNNNNNNNNNNNNNNNNNNNNNNNNNNNNNNNNNNNNNNNNNNNNNNNNNNNNNNNNNNNNNNNNNNNNNNNNNNNNNNNNNNNNNNNNNNNNNNNNNNNNNNNNNNNNNNNNNNNNNNNNNNNNNNNNNNNNNNNNNNNNNNNNNNNNNNNNNNNNNNNNNNNNNNNNNNNNNNNNNNNNNNNNNNNNNNNNNNNNNNNNNNNNNNNNNNNNNNNNNNNNNNNNNNNNNNNNNNNNNNNNNNNNNNNNNNNNNNNNNNNNNNNNNNNNNNNNNNNNNNNNNNNNNNNNNNNNNNNNNNNNNNNNNNNNNNNNNNNNNNNNNNNNNNNNNNNNNNNNNNNNNNNNNNNNNNNNNNNNNNNNNNNNNNNNNNNNNNNNNNNNNNNNNNNNNNNNNNNNNNNNNNNNNNNNNNNNNNNNNNNNNNNNNNNNNNNNNNNNNNNNNNNNNNNNNNNNNNNNNNNNNNNNNNNNNNNNNNNNNNNNNNNNNNNNNNNNNNNNNNNNNNNNNNNNNNNNNNNNNNNNNNNNNNNNNNNNNNNNNNNNNNNNNNNNNNNNNNNNNNNNNNNNNNNNNNNNNNNNNNNNNNNNNNNNNNNNNNNNNNNNNNNNNNNNNNNNNNNNNNNNNNNNNNNNNNNNNNNNNNNNNNNNNNNNNNNNNNNNNNNNNNNNNNNNNNNNNNNNNNNNNNNNNNNNNNNNNNNNNNNNNNNNNNNNNNNNNNNNNNNNNNNNNNNNNNNNNNNNNNNNNNNNNNNNNNNNNNNNNNNNNNNNNNNNNNNNNNNNNNNNNNNNNNNNNNNNNNNNNNNNNNNNNNNNNNNNNNNNNNNNNNNNNNNNNNNNNNNNNNNNNNNNNNNNNNNNNNNNNNNNNNNNNNNNNNNNNNNNNNNNNNNNNNNNNNNNNNNNNNNNNNNNNNNNNNNNNNNNNNNNNNNNNNNNNNNNNNNNNNNNNNNNNNNNNNNNNNNNNNNNNNNNNNNNNNNNNNNNNNNNNNNNNNNNNNNNNNNNNNNNNNNNNNNNNNNNNNNNNNNNNNNNNNNNNNNNNNNNNNNNNNNNNNNNNNNNNNNNNNNNNNNNNNNNNNNNNNNNNNNNNNNNNNNNNNNNNNNNNNNNNNNNNNNNNNNNNNNNNNNNNNNNNNNNNNNNNNNNNNNNNNNNNNNNNNNNNNNNNNNNNNNNNNNNNNNNNNNNNNNNNNNNNNNNNNNNNNNNNNNNNNNNNNNNNNNNNNNNNNNNNNNNNNNNNNNNNNNNNNNNNNNNNNNNNNNNNNNNNNNNNNNNNNNNNNNNNNNNNNNNNNNNNNNNNNNNNNNNNNNNNNNNNNNNNNNNNNNNNNNNNNNNNNNNNNNNNNNNNNNNNNNNNNNNNNNNNNNNNNNNNNNNNNNNNNNNNNNNNNNNNNNNNNNNNNNNNNNNNNNNNNNNNNNNNNNNNNNNNNNNNNNNNNNNNNNNNNNNNNNNNNNNNNNNNNNNNNNNNNNNNNNNNNNNNNNNNNNNNNNNNNNNNNNNNNNNNNNNNNNNNNNNNNNNNNNNNNNNNNNNNNNNNNNNNNNNNNNNNNNNNNNNNNNNNNNNNNNNNNNNNNNNNNNNNNNNNNNNNNNNNNNNNNNNNNNNNNNNNNNNNNNNNNNNNNNNNNNNNNNNNNNNNNNNNNNNNNNNNNNNNNNNNNNNNNNNNNNNNNNNNNNNNNNNNNNNNNNNNNNNNNNNNNNNNNNNNNNNNNNNNNNNNNNNNNNNNNNNNNNNNNNNNNNNNNNNNNNNNNNNNNNNNNNNNNNNNNNNNNNNNNNNNNNNNNNNNNNNNNNNNNNNNNNNNNNNNNNNNNNNNNNNNNNNNNNNNNNNNNNNNNNNNNNNNNNNNNNNNNNNNNNNNNNNNNNNNNNNNNNNNNNNNNNNNNNNNNNNNNNNNNNNNNNNNNNNNNNNNNNNNNNNNNNNNNNNNNNNNNNNNNNNNNNNNNNNNNNNNNNNNNNNNNNNNNNNNNNNNNNNNNNNNNNNNNNNNNNNNNNNNNNNNNNNNNNNNNNNNNNNNNNNNNNNNNNNNNNNNNNNNNNNNNNNNNNNNNNNNNNNNNNNNNNNNNNNNNNNNNNNNNNNNNNNNNNNNNNNNNNNNNNNNNNNNNNNNNNNNNNNNNNNNNNNNNNNNNNNNNNNNNNNNNNNNNNNNNNNNNNNNNNNNNNNNNNNNNNNNNNNNNNNNNNNNNNNNNNNNNNNNNNNNNNNNNNNNNNNNNNNNNNNNNNNNNNNNNNNNNNNNNNNNNNNNNNNNNNNNNNNNNNNNNNNNNNNNNNNNNNNNNNNNNNNNNNNNNNNNNNNNNNNNNNNNNNNNNNNNNNNNNNNNNNNNNNNNNNNNNNNNNNNNNNNNNNNNNNNNNNNNNNNNNNNNNNNNNNNNNNNNNNNNNNNNNNNNNNNNNNNNNNNNNNNNNNNNNNNNNNNNNNNNNNNNNNNNNNNNNNNNNNNNNNNNNNNNNNNNNNNNNNNNNNNNNNNNNNNNNNNNNNNNNNNNNNNNNNNNNNNNNNNNNNNNNNNNNNNNNNNNNNNNNNNNNNNNNNNNNNNNNNNNNNNNNNNNNNNNNNNNNNNNNNNNNNNNNNNNNNNNNNNNNNNNNNNNNNNNNNNNNNNNNNNNNNNNNNNNNNNNNNNNNNNNNNNNNNNNNNNNNNNNNNNNNNNNNNNNNNNNNNNNNNNNNNNNNNNNNNNNNNNNNNNNNNNNNNNNNNNNNNNNNNNNNNNNNNNNNNNNNNNNNNNNNNNNNNNNNNNNNNNNNNNNNNNNNNNNNNNNNNNNNNNNNNNNNNNNNNNNNNNNNNNNNNNNNNNNNNNNNNNNNNNNNNNNNNNNNNNNNNNNNNNNNNNNNNNNNNNNNNNNNNNNNNNNNNNNNNNNNNNNNNNNNNNNNNNNNNNNNNNNNNNNNNNNNNNNNNNNNNNNNNNNNNNNNNNNNNNNNNNNNNNNNNNNNNNNNNNNNNNNNNNNNNNNNNNNNNNNNNNNNNNNNNNNNNNNNNNNNNNNNNNNNNNNNNNNNNNNNNNNNNNNNNNNNNNNNNNNNNNNNNNNNNNNNNNNNNNNNNNNNNNNNNNNNNNNNNNNNNNNNNNNNNNNNNNNNNNNNNNNNNNNNNNNNNNNNNNNNNNNNNNNNNNNNNNNNNNNNNNNNNNNNNNNNNNNNNNNNNNNNNNNNNNNNNNNNNNNNNNNNNNNNNNNNNNNNNNNNNNNNNNNNNNNNNNNNNNNNNNNNNNNNNNNNNNNNNNNNNNNNNNNNNNNNNNNNNNNNNNNNNNNNNNNNNNNNNNNNNNNNNNNNNNNNNNNNNNNNNNNNNNNNNNNNNNNNNNNNNNNNNNNNNNNNNNNNNNNNNNNNNNNNNNNNNNNNNNNNNNNNNNNNNNNNNNNNNNNNNNNNNNNNNNNNNNNNNNNNNNNNNNNNNNNNNNNNNNNNNNNNNNNNNNNNNNNNNNNNNNNNNNNNNNNNNNNNNNNNNNNNNNNNNNNNNNNNNNNNNNNNNNNNNNNNNNNNNNNNNNNNNNNNNNNNNNNNNNNNNNNNNNNNNNNNNNNNNNNNNNNNNNNNNNNNNNNNNNNNNNNNNNNNNNNNNNNNNNNNNNNNNNNNNNNNNNNNNNNNNNNNNNNNNNNNNNNNNNNNNNNNNNNNNNNNNNNNNNNNNNNNNNNNNNNNNNNNNNNNNNNNNNNNNNNNNNNNNNNNNNNNNNNNNNNNNNNNNNNNNNNNNNNNNNNNNNNNNNNNNNNNNNNNNNNNNNNNNNNNNNNNNNNNNNNNNNNNNNNNNNNNNNNNNNNNNNNNNNNNNNNNNNNNNNNNNNNNNNNNNNNNNNNNNNNNNNNNNNNNNNNNNNNNNNNNNNNNNNNNNNNNNNNNNNNNNNNNNNNNNNNNNNNNNNNNNNNNNNNNNNNNNNNNNNNNNNNNNNNNNNNNNNNNNNNNNNNNNNNNNNNNNNNNNNNNNNNNNNNNNNNNNNNNNNNNNNNNNNNNNNNNNNNNNNNNNNNNNNNNNNNNNNNNNNNNNNNNNNNNNNNNNNNNNNNNNNNNNNNNNNNNNNNNNNNNNNNNNNNNNNNNNNNNNNNNNNNNNNNNNNNNNNNNNNNNNNNNNNNNNNNNNNNNNNNNNNNNNNNNNNNNNNNNNNNNNNNNCAUGUUAGUAAGUACAUUGAAAGUGUCAGUAGCCUAGUGGUAAAAUACCUUGCCACUUGACCAACCAACCUGGUUUCGCAUCCAGGGGUCUACAUAUCUUUAAUUUCAAAUCAUGUAAAACGAUGUUGUUUCAUCUCAUUUGAAAACGACGUCGUUUCACUUCACGAUGUCAAAUAUUUCUGUUAAAUUUGUUGAUGGCGUGCUAAAUUGGCAAGUCAGCGAAAACAUAAACGAUGUCAAAUAUUUCUGUUAAAUUUGUUGAUGGCGUGCUAAAUUGGCAAGUCAGCGAAAACAUAAACGAUGUCAAAUAUUUCUGUUAAAUUUGUUGAUGGCGUGCUAAAUUGGCAAGUCAGCGAAAACAUAAACGAUGUCAAAUAUUUCUGUUAAAUUUGUUGAUGGCGUGCUAAAUUGGCAAGUCAGCGAAAACAUAAACGAUGUCAAAUAUUUCUGUUAAAUUUGUUGAUGGCGUGCUAAAUUGGCAAGUCAGCGAAAACAUUGUUAAUUAAUUCUAAAGUCAAUGAAAGUUUGGUGUUUUUUUGGUCAGCUUAAAAGUUCUUUUUUUUUUUGCCAAUUCGUGCAAAGUUGAAGUUUUUUUGGCCGAAUUCUCAAAUAAAUUUGUACUACUGUUUGUUCUUUGUUUUAGGGGUAAGAGAAGACAUUUUUGAAUAACUUUUGUUUCAUGUAUUUUGGCAAAACUAAAAGUUCGAAUUUUGGGAUAGUAAUCCGAUAUUUUAAAUAUAGCUUUCUACUGUGAAAUUGAUUUUUUUUUACAACGUCAUUCUUUAUUAAAUUAACCUUGAGUUUACAUAAUCAGCAUGUAGCAUAUAAGAAACAAAAGUUGGGACAUAUGAAUGAAAAACGAAAGAAGGCGCUCCAGGCUUAUGCUCCUUUGCCAAUUUAUCUGCUACACCAUUUGCUUCUCGAGGAAUCCAUUGUAUUUUUAGCUCCUGCAUUUUUGAUUGCCACCAGUGUAUCUCUCUUGUCCAGUUAUAUAAAUCAAAAUGUAGAGCUCUGUUCUGUAGAAUAUCAAUAGCUUUUUUGCAAUCACUUUCAAUUAUCACCUUUUUGUAUCCUUUGCUCCAACAGUAAUGAAUUGCCAUGAGUAUUGCCUGCAUUUCACUUUCCAAUGAACUCUGAACUUUUCUACCAACACAUUGAACUGCUCCCAUAUACACGCCUCUAUCAUUCCUCAAUACCCAACCAGCUUUACUCUCAACUGUAUUCCUAAGGAAGGAUCCAUCGACAUUGCAUUUUAUCCAUCCAUCCGGUGGUUUUCUCCAAAACUUAUGAUCGGAUCUACUGUACGAAGAAACAUUACCCAGUCUGAUGAAUCCUGAGUUCUCCCAAGUAUUAUCCUUCCAUUCCAUUGCAUCAUUCCUUGCUAAAUGAAUCAAUAUCUUCUAAUGUAUCUGCUUCUGUUGAAAAAUUAGGUGGUUUCUACUCUUCCAUAACCUCCAUAAUAUCCAGAAAGGUAGUUUUUGUAGAUGUGCCAUUCCCGGUGUACAACAUGAGAAACAAGCUUUCAUCCUUUCCUCAAAGGUCGCUGUUUGACCGUUAAUAGUCAUGUUAGAAAUUCUUGAUCCCCUCCAUACCAUCUUUGCAUAAGGACAUUGAAAGAAUAGAUGAAGUUCAGUUUCAACGUCCUGACAGCAACGCUUACAUAUUGGCUGUUGUAUAACAUGUCAUCGUUGAAGAUUAUCUCCUGUCGCCAAUGACUUUGAUAGCAGUUUCCAGACAAAGUGCUCGAGUUUAAGAGGCAUCUUGUUUUUCCAUAUUUUUUGUUUAAGUUGUGGAUCACCAAAGACCGAUAGGAUCACCUGAUUAGUAGGUAAAUGAGUGCUGAGCCAAUAGCCUGAUUUAACCGAAUACAAACUAUUCUCAUUGUAGUGCCAUCCCAAUAAAUCUUGUCUUGCCUUCCCACCGAUUUUUAAAAUAAGCCGAUAUUUUUAAAAUAUGCUGACAAAAGAAAAUAAAAAUAUAUAUAUAUUUUUUUUUGGUCAGAAUAAAGAAAUAUAUUUAAAUGUAGAAGAAACUUCAAGGCCCUCAGGUCCUAAACAGUUAAACAUAUAUUCUAAUUUAAGAUCUUUUUACCUUAAAUACAUAUACUCCAUCAUUCAACUAGAUUUUAACAAAUGGGACCACCAUUCAACUAGAUUUGUUUUCAUACAAUCCCCAUGCAUUUACCACAUUACGUCUUUUUCUUGUUCAGAAAUCUAGGCAGCAAAGUUUUUUACUAGAUUUGAUAUAACAAUAAAAACCUAAAUUUCCAAAAACAGAAAAACAAAAUCCAACAUCUAAACCCACUUUCCUUUAUGGGCUUCUUGUUAAAGAUAAGAAGCAGCAGAUCAAGUGAACAGACAAGGAGGAUAAAGAGAAACAUAACUCAACAUGAUUCUUUCUCUUCUAAGUCUGUGUAACACUACCAAAACUUUUGCUGAUACACACUUUAUUUUUCUUUCCUUCUUCAAUUGACAAUUUGUAAGAAGAUUAAAACACACCAUUUUCCCCUGUUUUAGUAUCAGAACAUACACAUCUAUGACAUCUUUCCUUUGCGGUUCAUCAAGUCGUGAUAAUAAAGAAGCACACACAUCGGUUGUCCGAAAAUGCAGAAGGUAAACCAGAAUAUCAUGUUUCCCACCUAAUCAUCACAUUCCAAAAACAGAGUUUUUUUUUUUAAGUUUCAACAUGAUGAGUUAAAGAUGUGUAAGUGACUCCUAUCCAUCAGAAAACAAAAGAGUUACUUUUCCAGUUUAGAGAGCAUACCAUGGAGCCAAACCUUUCUUGUAGAUAGUUUGUGAUAAAUACCAAAGGCACCUACUCAAACACACAUUGCAUGAUCAGAAAAUGUAACUAAAGGUGACAGAAGCUUCAAGAUUGUUUGUGAAAACUGACUGAGGAAAUUUUGUUAAUUCUUUUAUACCUGAAACAUAAUCCCCAAGAAAGCCCAUAGUUUGAAGAGACGACAAGGAACUGCGAUGCAUAACUGCAAGAAAAUUUGUAACACACGAGAAUAUAAGUAAGAACAAUACUUUUGAGUGUUAGCCUUUAUUUUAAUAGCUAGAGCCAGGGUUAAUGUGGAAGGUAUGUAUUAUACCUCAUGAAAGACUGCAGAGACUAAGAAAGCAAGGAUAAUAGCGGGUACCUGAAAAAAAAUGAGUGGAGGGUUAAAUUUAUGAAGCACAGAAAACAAUCUCGAUCAUCGCAAUUAACUACACUCACUUUCGGUAUGUUUCUGCGAAGGCACGGAAAGUAUACAUGUCGAACCAUCCAUUUAUGAACAGGCUGUAAGAAAAAAACAAGAUCUCAAUAAGAUUUUUUAAUCUGUUUUUUAUACAAAAAGGAAGGGGAUGUUUCAAGAAGAGAACCAUACCAUAUUCCACAUUCUCCAAUACUGACAAAGGUAGACAGUGCGUACAUGAAUUUUGGUUAGUAACGUAGACAUAAUAUGAUUUUUGAGUAAGACAAGAUUAAUGAAAACUCACAUCUCCCACGCUUUUUGCAUUCCACCAAUCUUUGUAGAAUUCACGAUCCCCGAAGCAGAGGAGCUCUGCCAAUAUGUUUAACCUGUGGACAAGAACAAUUCCAAAAGAUUUGUGGUCAGAAACUGACAUUAACACUCUCAGACUCUGAGAAACUAAUACUAUCAAAUUCUUGAUGAGAUAUCCUUUUAUUUUGUGUUCGUCAACGAAAAUCAUGUUAAAGGAGGAGGGGAUUGCGGCCUUACCAAAGGUGGAAGAAGCAGUAGAACAUGCAGAGCCACACGUAUAAAUUUGGAACUGAAAGCUUCAACACUCUUUCAAUACCGUAUAAGAGAUCCCCUUUCAAAGGAUGUUUUGAGUUCCUAACAAUAGGAUUUAUAUACUGCAACAAAGAAGUAGCAACAAGAACAUAAGAUCAAGCGGGCAAAAAUGGAGAAGUGAUGAUUUUCACAAGGAAAGGUUAAAAACGCACUUGCUCUAUUAUAAAUCCCAUGAAUCCAGUGAAUAUGAUCAGCUUUGCAAAUUGACGAGCCACCCAACCCUUCCGGAUACAUGGAGAACGUGGAUAGCUCGGCUGGGUAAAGCAAAGACGUAAGGGUUUAGACAAGAAACUUUUGCAAGUGAAAGAUAAUGUUUGAUACAAUUAGCAGAAGACGCAUCACAUUACCUGAUAACACAAUGUGGGAGCAAGCAUGAAAUAAGCCAAGCUCUUCAAGCUAACAUAGUAGGAGACUUCAGGAUUGGCCUAAAGUUUUCAACAGUGUCUGGUCAAAAUAGUAAAAAAAAAAUGCAAGUGACCAAUAUUAUAUCACUUCUUCUACCUUAUCAGAUGAAUUAGCUAGGGUUCUUAUGUCAUAGUUAGUAUGAGCGUAAGAAACCAACUUCAGCCACACAAUGCAAGUGAGGAGCAUCAACGUGACACCUGAUAAGAAGGCAGAAUCACACCUGUCCGUUUUCAAGAUCAUCUAGUCAGCCAACAAAACUUUUAACAAAAAAAGAGUAUCACAAGCUUAAUUCUCACCUUAGAGUGACAUAGACUGGAUACAAGACCUCGGUCAUGGUGAUAAUAACAUGAAGAAAGAUGACAACCUUCAGAAAGAAACUUAUAAGUUGUUCAGGAUAAAAAUAUUGUCGUCCUCAACAAACAAUCCAGUAAAGGAUAGACUGUAGUUUACUCACAGGUUCAGAUAUGCAUUUCUGAAGUACUAAUUUCUCGACGGUAAAGGCAGCCAAAGGAAAGAUUGAAAGGGAGAGACUGCCACACAAAGUUCAAAACUUGAACAAAAUCUGAAUCACUAUAUGUACAAAGAAAGAAGAAGCAUUUGUACCAACACAUGAAAAGCGGCCAAUCUCGCAGCGACGUUGAACUAAACCAGAAAUCAGUUCUGAUCAACCAACCGUACUACAUGGAUGAACAAAAGGUAAGGUCUCAUAAGUUUGAAGGAAGAGGAGAAAGAAGUAAGUGACAAACCUUCAUGAGAUUUUCGAUGAUGAGUCUACUGUUUACAGCAACAAGAACUACUACACACAGGUUGAACAGUCCAGCAUGGCUCUGCCAUGAUGAAAACAAAUCACAUUACUCAAAUAAAAAUAAUUAAAAAAUAAUAAGCAAGUCAAGAAGUUAAGAAGUCAAUUUGAAAUUCUCCUUAGGCUCCUAAUGUUUCUAACCGCUCUGCCCCGCACGGCACUUAACAGUAACAAAGAUCUCUACAUAUACCAUAUAUCUAUAUGUUUUUAUAAUUGUUAAAACCAAACCGCAGUUGUACCGUUUAUCCCGCACCGCUCAAUCGUUAUUACCUUUCGGAGCAUAAGAUUGAUUACCUGUUUGAAGAUGGCGUCAGAGCUGAGUGGACUCUCCCUCACCCUCCGAUGAGCUGGAACCGACGGUCGAUACGUGUACCUUACAUCCACGUUUCCCCCUGCUUCUCCGCCGCCUCCACCUGAUUCCCUAAUUUCGUUUUCUCCGGCCAAAUUGGCUUUUCCUUGAGUAUCCUCAACAGCUGAAUCAACCCGAUCCCUCACGUCAGCAUCAGAAACAGUUACGGAAUCAGGAAGAAGUCCGUUGGAGGAAUCCGAUCUCGGUUUCCGGUGACGAAGCGUAUCGAGAUCGGCACCACCGUUCUCCGUCGGCAUAGUGACGCCUCCAGAAUCCAAAAUCUCCAUUUGCAAAGAGUUAGGUUUUAAGAAACGAAACGCAUGCAGAGGGAUUGUUGUUAGUGAAUCUAAGGAAUCUUAAAGUGGAUUCUAGGAAGAUUGCUGAAAAGAGGAAAUGGCACGGGGAAGCUGAUGAAUCGGUGUAUCGUGUCUCCUUCCUCGAAAGAGAAUCACGAGAGACAAAGCGAGGAAGAUGACAACAAUGGUGACGAAAGCCUUUACUGAAUAGCGGUGGAGAUAUUUUAUUUUCUUAUUUUCUUUAAGUCCCAAACAUAAUUAAUUUGUUUAUUUUUCUUCUAGUUUUUGAAUAUAUUUUCACACUUUGGGAUUUUGGAUGUUAUUCAUCAGUGAUUUGUACUAUUUUUUUCAUCGAUUUGGAAAUAUUAUAUUCUGUUUUAAAUAUUUGAAUAGAAACGGCUGGUUUCACAAUCAUGUGAAUGAACGCAAUUUUACUGCUAAGGAACAAAAAUAUUUACAAUAAAUACCAAUGGAACAAGGAAUAAUGGGCUGAGAGACUGUUACUGUCAGUGAAAACAAUGGCAUGCAUGGGUGUUUUCAAAUCUUAAAUCUCUACCUUUGACCACCUUAGCCUUUUUUACACAGUAUCAUUGGUUUGGGUAUCUUAUAUGACUUUCAUAAUUAUAAAAUAUUAAUUGCAUUAAAAUUAUAAAACAAAAAAACUUUAUUCAUAACUUGACACAUAGUUUUAGAUGUUUUCCAUAAUUGUUUAACAAUCUUCCAAACAAUAAAUUAAUCUUGUUAUCUCUCUUGCUUCUUAUUUUUUCAAGUUUUAAAAAAAAAUUAAUGAUAAGAAAUUCAUGCACCUCCAAUGCUAAUGAACUUUAUGCCUGGGAGUUUUUAUUUUCUUUUGACUAAUGAUGAUACUCCCUCCGUUUCAAAAUAGAUGAUGUUUUGGAGAGUUUAAAAUGUUUCAAAAUACUUGAUGUUUUGAUAUUUUUAUAUUAGUUUUAGUUUUACAGAAAACUGUGUCACCAAUGAUGUUUUAUAGUGGGUUUUGUGAUUGGCUGAAUUAGUUUUACUUCUCUAUUUUUAAUGUUAUUUUUUAGGAGAAAGAGUAUGUCUUAAUUCUUGUGCAUUCAUCUAAAACAUCAAAUAUUUUGAAACAGAGAGAGUAUAUAGUAAACAAAUCAAAAAUAUCUUCUUUACAAAAUUAUGUUGCCAUAUCACCAGACUAUUUAUCCUCUUCCUCAUUAUAAUUAUUUUUCAAAAGAAGAUCAGAUAUUUUAUUGAUUCACUUAAAAGCUUUUGUAUUCUAUUUCCAAAGCAUUAUAUCAAAAGAAAAAGUCAUGUAAUAAAAAUGUACACGAUUAUUUGUUGUUUAAGAUGUUUAGCAUUAAAUGAUGGUCAACUUUGUCUUCUUAAAAAAUGGUUAAAAUAUGUUUUCGACACACUUAUCUAAGAGGAUAGGACUCAGCAGAAAAAUUAAAGGUCAAAAGGAAAGUGUAUUAAGCUUCUCCCAUUCAUACGAGAUUCAGACUAAACCGACUCAAUAGCCUUGCGUUAGAAAGAGUUCACAUUCGACACCAACUACUGAACCACGGACCUUUUCCAAUAAUUUGGUCUAAAGUCAAAUCAAGCCGAACCGGACCAAAAACAUUACAGUUCCACUAACCACAACUGAACAUUUAUGAAACGGAUGAAAUCUUGUACUCUUUUCCAGGGGCAAGAACUUAAGAAAGGCUAAUAAAAAGCUUAUUUUAAUACCUCUUUAGGGUUAUUGGGCCAAACCGAGAAACUGUAAAGAGAUUCACAAUAAGCUACUACGAAACGUGCAGAGAUGGCUUCCAAAUUGAGAGAUGACAUCAACCAGACCUCCAUAGCCUCCCACAGCAACUACCUUUAAUAUACACAAGCAUUGGAUCAAAGGGUUAAACAUCAAGAGCUUAUACUCCCAAAAGAGGAAACAACUUCGCAAUAGCAUAUACAACAAUAACAUAGCUUUAUCUCUGGAUAUUUCGAUUUGUUGAGUUGAGGCUUGGAUGAAAAUAAACUAAAUAUAGGACAAGGGAUGAAAAGAAAGACGUGUUGAGAAAAAGGACAAGAAACUUACUCCUGCUGGAUGCAAAGAAACUGAAAAUGCUGAACUAGGAGCACAAUGAAUUUGAGAAAGCAAAGCACCAUUUAAGUCGAAACGCCUUAGAAGUGGUUCUGCUCCUACACUCAAUAUCUGUUUGUCUGAUACUCGUUAGUUUAUGUGUUGAAACAACGCUACAAAACAAAAUGUUCUACCAUUUCAAAGGAAUUAACACUAUGGAUUCAUCAGCGUUUCCAGUUUUCAAAAAAAAAAAUCAGUAUAUCUUUUUUGUUCUGUUUAUCAAUUUUAGCUGCACUGAUACUAUAAAAGCCUACUGAGCCUCCCAAUAUUUAGAUUACACUGCUUAGAUUUUAAUCUAGUUCUGCUUACCUGCUUUUCAUCAAACAUCACAUCUUGUACAUGAGCAUGGGAGGAUAUUGUUAAUACGCAUUCUGAGGCAGGAAGAUUCCAUACAGCUAUAUUUUUACCCUGUCCACAUGCCUGAAAAUAGGAGACAAUCAGGUCUUUAAACUUCUUAAUGAUCAAGUAAGGAACAUACAAUGAGUUUUCCAUUUGCUUAAAUCUUACCAACCAACUUUCACUUUCAUCGAGAGCGAUAGAACUAAUGCGAAACCGGGACUUUUUUUCCUGGGAACCAAUCACUUUAAUGCAUUUCCCUGUUUUGCAAUCUGGUUGACAAACACACAGGGCUUACGAACUGAGUUUUGAGAAAGCAUUCAACAAAAUUGAGGAGCAUUAAAUCCCCAAGCACCAACAUGAAGACUUAAAUGAUUUCAAUUUUUUUUUUUAAAUCGCAGAUGAAUUAAACAAUAGUACUAGAGAUUACAGGAGAAAAUAGAAAUAGGCACGAGAAAGAUACCCCAGAUUCUUGCCGUUCCAUCCUCCGAACCCGUCAAUAUCUGGUGCAAGAGACUUGGUAGGAUCAGACAAAACCGCAAACGUGAUAUGAAGCAAGCUGCACUUGUAAUAGAUAAUAUAUAUCGAAACACCAUUACCUGGCUUGCAGAAUUACGCGAAACUAGACAAUGCAAAUAGUCCGAAUGCCCCUUGAAGGUCAUUUUGAUUUUACCACUUUCCUAAAAAAAAGUUUGUUACAACAAAUGAUUCUUGGAAGUUAAGAUCUGUUGUUGUAAAUACAGCAGUAGACAUUCAGCACGAUAAAAUACAUACCACGUCCCAACAGUAUGCGCAAGAAUCACCAGCAGCCGUAAAUACACUUGCUGACUAUAUCAUAAACGAAAAAUGAUGGAGAUCUGUAAGCAAGCAAUGAGAAGCACAACACUACAUCAUCAAGGUGAAACUACCAAAUAGAAACAGAGUUCAAACCUGAGGAUCAGCAGAAAUGGCAUUGAUCUCUGGCAUUGGUGAAAGAGCACCCCAAGGACCUCUAUGACAAAAGAAAAACAAUGGUGACUAUAAGCAUUUCUACAUCAGUACAACAGAGUCUUAUCAAAACACUACUACGGAGACUGACACUAGUACACAGAACUACUAACAAUUCGCACACCCUAAUACACUCCUUGUAGCUUUAACAUCUGCACUUAACAGAGGCUGAUAAGGUAGUAGAAUCAAAUAAACAAGACUCACUUGUGCUGUGGAUUAGUCAAUUCAAGCAAUGGCUUGACAAGGUUCUCUGUAGAAUCAGCAAAGUCUCUCCAUUUCCAUCCUCGAACUCUACCAUCAUCCCCACAACUACAGCAUUUUCCAGAUUCCACAUCAAUCCCAGAGCUUUGAAUUAACGAACAGUGAUUUAGAUCUACCUGAGGAGCAAAGCAUCCUCGUCUUCGCCAUAGAACUUGACAUCGUACGCGGGCCCUUCGUGUGCCCUAACCACUCCCUCAGGUGCAGCCACCAUAAAGUCCUCGCCUUUCGAGUACCCAAACGCCGCCGAUUGGGAAACAAGCGAGCUCAUCGAGUGGAAAGCUAGGGUUCCGUCGCUCGAAGCGACGACAAAGGCGUCCGGAUUGGGGGUUGGAGCCCAGGCGGUUCGAAAGACGGUACGAGUCUGAAUCUCUCGUUCCUUCAGGAUUGAUUCUCUAUACUCAUCCUCGUUCCAAUUCGUAGCGUCUCCGUACAUUUUCUUCAGAUGAUUCUUAGUGGUGGGAGAAGAUGAGCAAGGAGGAGUAGAGUUCCCUCUAAAGAAUUCUACUAAAUUAGUUUUUAGUCCCUAACAUUAGUACUAUUUAGUACUUUUUCCUCUGGAUUCCUUGGUGUUUCAUAAACCCCCAAUUUCCCUGUGAACGAGUCAGAAGUUCCCGUCGUCGCAAAAUGUAAGCAAUUUUUUUUUGUCAACUUUUUUAUUAUAAGCCCAUAAAGGCUAAACAAGCAAGAUCAAGCCCAUAAUUAUACAUUCAGUUUUAACGAUCAAGGUCCAAGAUUUGUACAAGCUAAAAUGAAUCGUUGCAGUUCCAGACGACACGAAAAGGCUGUUCGUUUGGUUGCCGCAGGUACCGGCAGCAGCGGCAGCGUUAACAUUCUGCGUUAAUUCUUGUUCGUUUCGUUGAUGCAGGAAGAUGCGUCUGACGCCGCGUCCGAACGUCGCGUCCUGCGGCUGACGCUGAAAAAACCUGCGGUCGCGAUAUAAUAUGCGACAGCGUUAGCGUCUGCGAAACGAACAACAACAACUGUCUUCAUUGACGCUGUCGCCGCCGCUGACGCCGAAACCUAAGGCAACCAAACGAACAGGACUUAUAACUGAAAACAGAUUUUUUACCCACGGCUUACAAAGAUUUAUUACCCACGGCUUACACAUGUCUUAGACAAAGACAAAGAUUUAUUACCCACGGCUUACAAGUCUUAAAGACCAAAGACUUUUCUGUUUUCAGUUAUUUGAAUGGUACAGUUUGAGAAAGUCCUAAGACAAGGACUAUAACUGAAAACAUUGUCCCUUACUGCCUCUAAAAGAAACUUAUGCCAUCCCCUAAUGGACCGAGAAUAUGGGUUGGUGGUGCAUGUAUAAGGAAGGGUGUUAGGGGAUGGCAAAUAAGAGCAUGCGGCUCAGUCUUAAGGCAAAAGACUAUAACUGAAAACAGAUUCCUUACCCCUGGCUUACAAAAAUUUUUACCCACGGUUUACACAUGUCUUCACAAAGACAAAGAUUUAUUACCCACGGCUUACAAGUCUUAAAGACCAAAGACUUUUCUGUUUUCAGUUAUUUGAAUGGUACAGUUUGAGAAAGUCCUAAGACAAGGACUAUAACUGAAAACAUUGUCCCUUGCUGCCUCUAAAAGAAACUUAUGCCAUCCCCUAAUGGACCGAGAAUAUGGGUUGGUGGUGCAUGUAUAAGGAAGGGCGUUAGGGGAUGGCAAAUAAGAGCAUGCGGCUCAGUCUUAAGACAAAAGACUAUAACUGAAAACAGAUUCCUUACCUACGGCUUACAAAGAUUUUUUACCCACGGCUUACACAUGUCUUGACAAAGACAAAGAUUUAUUACCCACGGCUUACAAGUCUUAAAGACCAAAGACUUUUCUGUUUUCAGUUAUUUGAACGGUACAGUUUGAGAAAGUCCUAAGACAAGGACUAUAACUGAAAACAUUGUCCCUUGCUGCCUCUAAAAGAAACUUAUGCCAUCCCCUAAUGGACCGAGAAUAUGGGUUGGUGGUGCAUGUAUAAAGAAGGGCGUUAGGGGAUGGCAAAUAAGAGCAUGCGGCUCAGUCUUAAGACAAAAGACUAUAAAUGAAAACAGAUUCCUUACCCACGGCUUACAAAGAUUUUUACCCACGGCUUACACAUGUCUUGACAAAGACAAAGAUUUAUUACCCACGGCUUACAAGUCUUAAAGACCAAAGACUUUUCUGUUUUCAGUUAUUUGAAUGGUACAGUUUGAGAAAGUCCUAAGACAAGGACUAUAACUGAAAACAUUGUCCCUUGCUACCUCUAAAAGAAACUUAUGCCAUCCCCUAUAGCAAGAUUGUUAAAUGGACCGAGAAUAUGAGUUGGUGGUGCAUGUAUAAAGAAGGGCGUUAGCCCUAUAGCAAGAUUGUUAAAUGGACCAUGAAUAUGAGUUGGUGGUGCAUGUAUAAAGAAGGACGUUAGGGGAUGGCAAAUAAGAGCAUGCGGCUCAGUCUUAAGACAAAAGACUAUUUGAAAACAGAUUUCUUAUCCACAUCUUACAAAGAUUUAUUACCCACGGCUUACACAUGUCUUGGCAAAGAUUUGUUACCCACGGCUUACAAGUCUUAAAGACCAAAGACUUUUCUGUUUUCAGUUAUUUGAAUGGUACAGUUUGAGAAAGUCCUAAGACAAGGAUUAUAACUGAAAACAAUGUCCCUUGCUGCCUCUAAAAAAAACUUAUGCCAUCCCCUAAUGGAUCGAGAAUAUGGGUUGGUGGUGCAUGUAUAAAGAAGGGCGUUAGGGGAUGGCAAAUAAGAGCAUGCGGCUCAGUCUUAAGACAAAAGACUAUAACUGAAAACAGAUUUCUUACCCACGGCUUACAAAGAUUUAUUACCCACGGCUUACACAUGUCUUGACAAAGACAAAGAUUUAUUGAAAACAGAUUUCUUAUCCACGGUUUACAAAGAUUUAUUACCCACGGCUUACACGGCUUACACAUGUCUUGGCAAAGAUUUGUUAUCCACGGCUUACAAGUCUUAAAGACCAAAGACUUUUCUGUUUUCAGUUAUUUGAAUGGUACAGUUUGAAAAAGUUUUAAGACAAGGACUAUAACUGAAAACAUUGUCCCUUGCUGCCUCUAAAAGAAACUUAUGUCAUCCCCUAAUGGACCGAGAAUAUGGGUUGGUGGUGCAUGUAUAAAGAAGGGCGUUAGGGGAUGGCAAAUAAGAGCAUGCGGCUCAGUCUUAAGACAAAAGACUAUUUGAAAACAGAUUUCUUAUCCACAUCUUACAAAGAUUUAUUACACACGGCUUACACAUGUCUGAAAACAGAUUCUUUAUCCACGGCUUACAAGUCUUAAAGACCAAAGACUUUUCUGUUUUCAGUUAUUUGAAUGGUUAUGGUUUGAGAAAGUCUUAAGACAAGGACUAUAAUUGAAAACAGAUUCAUUACCCACAGCUUACUAAUGUCUCGACAAAGACAAAGAAAAUGUAGGAGGUUUAAGACUUGUUGGAUUGGAAAUAACGACCAACAACCCAGAAAAAAGCCAUUAGUGGAUGGAAAAUAAGACCAAUGGCUUAAGAAGAUCUCUCCACGGCUUACAAGUCUUAAAGACAGAUUUAUUACCCACGGCUUACAAGUCUUAGGGAGAAAAGACUUUUCUGUUUUCAGUUAUUUGAAUGGUACAGUUUGAGAAAGUCUUAAGACAAGGACUAUAACUGAAAACAUUGUUCCUUGCUGCCUUUAAAAGAAACUAUGCCAUCCCCUUAUGGACCGAGAAUAUGGGUUGGUGGUGCAUGUAUAAAGAAGGGCGUUAGGGGAUGGCAAAUAAGAGCAUGCGGCUCAGUCUUAAGACAAAAGACUUAAAACCAAACGGCUUAUAAGUCUCAAGGCAAAAAAAAGACUUGUGAUUUACUACCCACAGCUUUUUCCAAAUCUGUUUUCAGUUAUUCCAAUGGAAUGGAGUUAAUGACCACAGUUUGAGAAUUUCUUAAAGACUGAGACUAAGAACUGAAAACAGAUUCCUUACUUUACCACCCACGGCUUAUAAGUCUAUAACUGAAAACAGUUUCCUUACCCACGGCUUACAAAGAUUUAGUACUCAUGGCUUCAGAGAAUUUGUUUUCAGUUAUUUGAAUGGUUAUGGUUUGAGAACGUCUUAAGACAAGGACUAUAACUGAAAACAGAUUCAUUACCCACGGCUUACUAAUGUCUGGACAAAGACAAAGAAAAUGUAGGAGGUUUAAGACUUGUUGGAUUGGAAAUAACGACCAACAACCCAGAAAAAAGCCAUUAGUGGAUGGAAAAUAAGACCAACGACUUAAGAAGAUCUCAAGACAGAGACUACUAAUUGAAAGCAGAAUCCUGAUUUCACUACUCAUGGCUUACAAAAGACAGAUCGGUAAAAAGACAUGUUGGAUGGGAAAAUGAUAUGAAAGACAAUGUCAAUGGGGCAGUUCUAAGCCUUGCUGGAUGGAAAUUAACGACCAGCUGCAGAGAAAAAGUUGUUUGGGGAUGGCAAAUAAAACCAAACGGCUUAUAAGUCUCAAGGCAAAAAAAAGACUUGUGAUUUACUACCGUAGAAAAAGUUGUUUGGGAUGGCAAAUAAAACAAAACGGCUUAUAAGUUUCAAGGCAAAAAAUAUUUCUAAACUUCAUAAAAUAUUUCAAAAGUUUCAGUAUUAUAUACCUUCAAAAUUAAUUAAUUUUAUUAAAAACUGAAUCAUGAAUAUUAUAUAUAACUAAUUUUAUACAAUUAUCAAUACAAAAUAUCAAAAAUAUUUAAAAUAGUCAUAUUUAUCUUUUUUUAAACAAUUAUUCUUAAAAAAAACUUUUAACAAAAACACAUAAUGAUAAAAAUAUAUUUUAAUUCGAAAAAUUAUAGUAAAUAUACUGUUACAAUAUGGUAAAACAGAACCGUACCGAACCGAACCGAAAUAGAUAAUAUGGUGUGGUUUUGGUAUAUACCAUAUAAAAACCGUAGGAUUUGGAUAUGGUUUGGUUUAUAACCGAUUAAACCGAAUAAACCGAACAAAACCGAUCAAAAGUAAAAACAUGUAAAUAUGUGCAUAUUUUAUAACUUCACAUGAAAAUCUAUUUGUUAUAUAAGUUAUUCUUUUGUUAAUAAUUAUUGCCACAUUUUUCUAUAGUAAUAAAGAAUCCUAAUUUGAAAAACACUUAAAAUAUAAUUAAAUAACAAUUCAUCGCAAUUGAGGUUUCUUAUUUUCUUAGUCUUUUUUUUAAUCAUUUUUCUUUCUUUUAGCAUUGAUUAAAUUGAAGUGAAGGUUAUAAAUUUGAUGGAUAAUAACUAGAAAAAAUUCCUCACAACUUUUUUCUUAUUUUUAAACGAACAGAGUUUCACUCGAAGAAGCAUGAAUUUGAUGAACACUAAAAAUGAAAGAGUGGAAAAACUUUUCUAUCAUACUUCUCUUUUGUUUUUUUUUUUGUUUUUUUUUCAAAAUUUCGAGCUUUGAUUUUAAUUCUAGAUUUGAUUAUUUCAUCUGAAGGUAUAAGCGUUUUUAUUUUUUUGUUCUUUUAUUUAAAAAUAUAAUAUUUCUUUAAUAAAUGACUGCGAUGAUAAUAUGACUCUAAAAUUUAUAUAAUAUGAUUCCAAACUAAUUAAUUAUGUUUUGGUAUAAAACUGAAUAAACCGAAAACCGACGGUAUAUAAACCGAACCGGCCCGAAGUAAAUAUGGAUUUAGAAUGAUAGUUAUAUUUUACUAAUCGAAAACCGAAAAACCAAAAAAACCGAACCGAUAUCCGGAUUGAACACCCCUAGCGGACACCCACCUACUAUUUUUAAAUGCAAAAAAUAUUGUCAGAACUAAUUUCCAAAAUUUAUUCAACAUAGAUAUUUAAUAUUUAAUGAUCUGUAGAUUUUGUAACAUAUUCUAUUUCCGGUUUGAAUCUAACCUCACAAUAAAUAGUCAGAAAAUAUUCUACAGAGCGAAAAUAUCUUCAUUUUAAAUGUAGUUUUCCAAAAAUCGAAAUAACGGUAGAAUAAUUCUCUUAAAUAUAUCUAUAAUAUUUAAAGAGAAACAUUCUGAAAAAUCUACUUAAAUAAAGUUGUUAGACUCUUUCAUUUUUUAGUCCAACCUAUUAUAUAUAACCAAAUCUUAUAACUAUAACCUAUUUUAUAGCAAUCAAAUAAAAUUCUAUUACUCUCCAUAUUUUAUCUGUUACGAUAUAUUACAACUUUAUUUUUCAUCCCUUAUAUCUUGGACUCAUAUCUCUAUCUUUAAUAACUAAAAUCUACGGUUACACUAUAUAUUUGUACCUGUGAAAUAAUAUGAUCGUGACAUGUUCAACUACAAUAUAUAUAACAACUACAACUAAUUAAUAACAUUCUUCAUGACAUAUAACAUUUCUUUUAUAUAACAUACUAUUUAGUAUAGUAGAAUAAUAUCUAUGAAAUGCAACGGACAUAUGCCACACCCAGACUUAUAUCAAGUUUAGUGGUAGACCAACUUAAUAUAUUAUUAGUAUAGUAGAACAAUAUCUGUCACGCAUCAUAUAGUUCCAAAUUUUUGCAAACUUAAACUUAAUAAAUCAAACCAUCUGUUAAAAACAAAAUUAUAUUUUCUUUUACUUUAAAUUAACUUUUUAUAAAAAGCAUUUAUAAUAAAAUUUGUUAUUUAAAAUAAGUUUAAAACUAUUAAAAACCUUACAAGUUUAUACUAUUAACUUAGCCAAAAAUAUGUCAAAUAAAUCUUAAGUCUCAUCAAUUCAGCAAAUAUAACAUUUUUAAAAUACACACAAAAGUUAAUGAAAGAGAAUAGGUCUGAGCAUUGGGUUUUAGGAUAGGUACGGAUCAUUUCAUUUUGGGUUCAGAAAUUUUGAACAUAACUAGGUAUUUUUUUGGUUCAAGCUUGGAUUGGUCCCUUUUGGAUCCGGGUCGGUUUGAAUCCAUAAGUCAAAUAUCUAUAAAAUCAAAAUACUCAAAUAUACCUAAUAUACACAAAAUAUUUUAGGCACUUGGGUAUCCAAUCAGGUCUCGGGUAUGAUUUGGACUCGAAAAGAGACAUGCGGAUCCAAAAAAAUUUAAUAUGUAAAACUGGACUCAAAACCGCACCUAUAUUUCCAGGUCUAUUUCAAUUUGGUUUUCCGGAUUUGGUAAAAUAUUCAUGUCCAAGGGAGAGUUUUUUAAGUGUACAUACAAAUUUUAAAUAAACAAAUUCAUGAAUUAUAUAAGGUAAACAAAUUAUCUUCUUCGAUAUCAUAUGAUUUUGUAACAUAAUAAUGUAUAAAAAUUUCAAAAUAUUAAUUCACAAAUUUUGUAUACAAUCCAAAAAAAUCCGCUCUUUUGAAGCGCGGAUCAAAAUCUAGUUAUAAUCUUAAAAGUAUAUCCAAAACAUAUUUUACAUUAGAUAUUUUUGUUUAAAAGGAAGAGAUACUAUGAAAAUAUACUAUAUUCCAGAUCUACUUAAAUCGCGGGUGUGGGUCAAAUCUAUUUUAUGCGUGGCGGGUGUGGGUUGGUUGAAAUUGAAUUGCGGAUACCUGCCAAUCCACAAGAUAAAAAAAGGUUUUUUUUGAAAACAAUUCUUUUGAAAAGGAAAAAAAAAUAUUGAUUUUCACUAAAAAUAAGAAAAAAUGGAAAAUUAAAAAAUAUAUUUUUUUUUAUUAUUAAAUAUAUUUUUAUGUUAAUUUUUUGAAAAAAUAUAAUUAUUUUUAUUAAACAAUUAUCCGCUGGUUACCCGCAAAAUUAAGUGGGGCGGGUGCGGGUAUAAUGUUUUCUUCUUGCGGAACAUCCGGAUCAAAUUUUUGAGUCAAAAAAUGACUCAACCCACAGCGGGGCGGAUCGGGCGGGUGGGUUUGACCCGCUUCCCAGACCUAACGCUCUAUAACUUGAAACUCCAUAUGAUCUCUCAUAUCUGUAGUAAAUUUGAAUAAUAUAUGUACAUAUAAAAUUACACAUUUACAUAAAAUUUGUAAAACUAUCCGCACUUUUAAAGCAAGAGUCAAAAUCUAAUUUGUUAUUUAAAACAAUAAUUGUAGUUAAUUUUGUCACACUCCGAACAUAUUAACAUACCAACUAAAGAUAAUUGAAGAAAAUGUUUUUCAUUAGCAUAUAACUCAUAAAUUCAUAACCAAUUUUUUAGUUUGAUGAAUCCAAAAUAAAUAAAACCAAACACCAAAUCAAAGUUGUCAAUCCCAAAGUAAAUAAAAAAAUACCAAAUUAAAACACCAGCAGAGCUCAAAUCAUCGGAGUUCGAAUCAUCAUCACUGGAAAUCGAAUCGUAAUCGCCGGAGCUCGAAUCUUCAUCGCCAGAGCUCCUUUCAUUUUCUCGGAGAAAGUCACAUGAAUCACUUUCUUUUCACUCUCAUUUUUUUUAGGUAAAACAAGAAAUGAAGAAUAAAACACGGGUCCUUGUAAUCCUGCAUGGCCUGUUUUGUCCCAUUUUGGAAAAGUCCAGUCCUCAUGCGAUGCCUGCUAAUUUGCGGGUCUAGAAAUUCCCGACCCAGUACCAUUCCGCGACAUUUUUUUAUAGAUCAGGCUUGCAGUCCAGGUCCAAGAUUGCCACCUCUACAUGCCACAUAAAUAAAUGAACAAUUGGUAUCUAUUAUUAGGCACGACGUUCAUGUUUUUGUCAUUGGUUGACUGAUUUCAAUUGUUACAAAAUAUCACAAAAUUUUAAACUUUGAAUAUAGAAAAAGCAAACAAUUCGUAAACUGUUGAGAUGGAAAAAGAAAUUAUUCAAGGCUGUAAAACAAUCUGGAUGUUCUGAUUCCUUUUAGAUCAUUUUUUAUUCCAAAAACAAAUCUAUCAGACUAUCAAAAACAAUUUCGAAGUAAAUAAUGAGAUUAAGCUCGGGUUAAAACAGAGUUUCUUAAUACAACAACAAGGACAACCCGCAAGUCACUAUGAGCCUACAGGCUUCCCGUUCAGUUUAGGGAAAGGAUCUUGCUUGCUUAGAACUACCACUUUGCUCUUGUGUGCCAAAUAACCUUUCACAAGGUUUUUGUAAAUCAAGAUCGUCAUUAUACAUUCCACCUGCAAACAACAGUAUCAGAGCUGUGAGUUUUAUAACAUUUCUAUGCAAAGUAAUCAAAAGCAACGAAUGAGAUGGAAACGUAGAAGAAACCUCAUCGAGAUCCAUGUCUAUCUCAAGCCAUCUAAGUGCUUUAGCAAUCACUUCAAGUUUCAGUUGGUGAGCUCUUGCCGGAUCACUUAGCUUCUGGAUGAUAUAACUGAAACAUAAUUUAAAAAAAAAGAGUUAUGAAACUGUGAAACUGAAGUAAUCUGAGAGUGUUUUGUAACUACUACUUACAUUUUCUUCAUGAGUCUCUGGUAGACUUGGAGCUCCAGCUUUUCCAAGACAAGGUACACACCAGACCUCAAGAACCUGAUUAGUAUUAAAGUUGUUCAGUGAUCUAAUAAUCAAAACUAAACAAUUUUUUUAUGCGAUAGACUAACAAGGGCAUCUCCACUCUCAUUUAACCUUUAGCUCUAUAACUAACCAGUCAUUGCUGAGCUGUCAACACAGCUACAAUACACUAGAAGCCACCUACGCUAAUCACAAUGCUCGUACACUACUAGUUUAAGACAAGGACCUAACAUUAAGAUGUAGAUAAGUACAGUAAGAUGUCAACGGAAAGACAUACCUAUCUUCGUGUUCUUGAAGAGCAUGCCGAAGAAGCCUGAGAUCACCCUUUCUCAGAGCUUGCACAACAUUCAUGUACUGGACACAUAGAAAAGUUUGAUUAAGAGAGAUAAGUUUGACAUAGCACUGAGGAGUAUUUUUGAAAACAAAAAGAAUGGUUGUUACCUCAUGAAGAUUAUACUUUUGUAAGAGCUCAUCUUUUGGUAUGACUCCUAAAGAAAGUUUCACUGGUAUUAAAUACUUCAAUAUCAUCCUGAAUAUAAGCCAAUUAUCCUCAUUAAGCAAUGAAACGCAUGGGGUUAAUCACUAAUCAGAGAGUAAACCACAAACAUACCUUAUAUUCCGUUCUCUUUUGGGGUUGCAAUGUUGUAAGGCAUAUGAUAGCUUUGUAUCAGCCUGCAAGAUUAUUAAAACAAGAACAUGUCCUUAUCCAUAUUUCAACUAAUACUACAAAAUGAACCACAGAAAAUCUAUCAGUGACUCACAGCAGGAAAAUUCUCGUUGAAGACUUCUAAUCUUCCGGUAUAAUACAUGUAUGUAACCUGUAUAGUUUGUGAAGAAAAGAAAAGCAUAAGAAAAAUGCAUAACCGAAUCAGGAGGCCAGAAACUAUAACUGAUUGCACAAGACCUUGUCUCUUCUUGGAAACUCCUCAAAGUCAAAUAUCCGAGCAGUCUCAAUACUUCUUAUUACACUUCGACAAAGAUUGACAGUUCCAAGCUGAAAUAGAGAAACAUGGGGACACAUUUUUAGUAAAUGGAAAAUCAUAUAACAAGUAAUAAACAAACUAUUUAUCCUGAGUUUCACCUUGAAGUAGGUCUUGAACAAUUGGCAAGUCACAUACAAUGCUCCAACUCGUUUUGGACCUUUACCCUAUAGUUAAAAAAAAACUAAAUAAGGAUCCUCAAAAGAAGAAACUCAACACAAAAGUUAAAGAUUAACAAAGACUAAGGAAGCUUACAGCAAGAACUCCAAAGACUUUCAUGAGAAGAGAUCCUGCUGCUUUCAGUUUCUCAGGGGAUUUUCCAUUAGAGGUCAACUCUUUAUCAGCCUGCAUUGCCAUUGAAAACCUUCAGAAAAUGUGAAACUAAACUAAUCUAUGAUUUUGGAUGAGUGAUAUAAAAGUGAAAGACUACCUUUUCAGCAAGAAUACGAACUUCAUAGCAAACUACAUAGAGAGCUUCCAAAGCCCAAGCAGAUUCCCAAUUACGAAACUCCUGAACAAAAGCGCUGCACAUAUAUAGAAUCCCAAUAUCAGACAUUGUCAACACACAAAAAGAGAGAGAAGCUUAUCUAUUCUUCUCAUCAAUGCAGCAGAGAGGGAACAAGAAAGCUUUACUUGGCAAACUUUUCAAAAGCGAGGUAUGCUUCGACUAGAUUCCCAACGCGGUAACUUUGUAGAGAACGAAACAAGUGAGCUAGUAUCUCGCCGUAUUCAGAGAACUUAUCAGAUUGUCUUAUCAAACUGCUAGCAUCCUGCAUCAUUAAAAAAAUAGUAGAUUUCACUGGAAUAAAGAUUUUUUUUUUUUCUAACUUCAUCAUUUUAUUAAUUAAACCUUGAUUGUACAUAAUCUUCAUGUAGAAGGUUUGUUAAGAACACAGGCACGUAAUUAUGAAAACAAUAUGAAGACAUAUCAUGUAGCUGAGUUCUCGCCAACGAAUCUGCCACUUUGUUAGCUUCCCUCUUGACCCACUGAAAUGAGAUGUUCUGAAUCUUCUCUGCCCACCACCGUAUUUCUCUUUUCCAGUUGAAAGAAUCAAAGUGAAGUACCAGAUCAUUUAAAAUAUCAAUAGCUUUCCUGCAAUCCGAUUCUACGAUAAUCUUGUUGUAGCCUUUUGUCCAACAGAACUGUACAGCCAUUAGAAUAGCUUGAAGCUCACUCUCCAAUGGAGAACUUACCGUAUUGCCCUGUAUCUGAACAGCUCCUUUAUAGAUUCCAUGUUCAUCUCUAAUAACCCAUCCUGCUGAGCUUGGUUCUCUUGUAUCAAUAAACGAUGCAUCCACAUUGCAUUUUAACCACCGGUUUGGUGGAGUUUGCCAUCUUUGUGAACUUCUGCUUGUAGGAGAAAUGAUAUGACCAUCCGAAGGAUUAUUAUCUUGUGCUUCAAUAUUUCGCCAUUCCCUUGCAUCACUCCUAGCAGCAGACAGAAUAUUCCUCCAAUGAAAAGCUCUCUGUUGAAAUACUAACACAUUUCUACUUUUCCAAAGCCUCCAGAGAAUCCAAAUAGGCAGGUCUUGAUAAUGACACAGAGAUGUUGCUGUUGAGACUUGUAAACAAACUUCUAAUUUUUCUUCAUAUGUAGACACUGUGCUGUCUAAAACCAAAUUAUUGAUACCUGAAGCCCUCCAAACUUUCUUUGCAUAAGGACACGUAAAGAAAAGGUGUUCUUCUGUUUCCUCUUCUAGCCAACAUCGCUUGCAUAUUACAUCAGGAGUAACAUGACGACGUUUCAAAUUAUUUCCUGUUGCAAUGCUUCUUGAAGAUAUUCUCCACAGAAAAUGUUUCAGUUUAGCCGGCACUUUCACUUUCCAUAACUUUUGCUUCAAAGCGACUGAACCAUACGUUGGCGGAAUGUAGUUAUUAUCAGGGAGGUGAGUUACUAACCAGUAACCAGAUUUCACUGUAUAGAGUCCAUUAUCCGUGUAGUGCCAACCCAUAAGAUCCUGCCUCGCCUUUGAGCUUAUCUUUAAUUCUAGGAUCUUCCCUACAUCUUCUUGAAUGACGUCUUCUCUGAGUUUAUCCAAGUUCCAACCCCUUCCAUUAUUUAAAACAUAAUCACUAACCUUACUGGUAAUAUUGACUUCUCCUCGUGGUCUUGGAGGUCUUGGUGGGUGAAGACUUAACCAGGAAUCUGUCCACAUCUUUGUUGACUCCCCAUUGCCAAUGAUGUAUCUCAUUCCUUUAACUAUCAACUCCUUUCCAUAGAGUAUUGAUUUCCAGGCAUAAGAAGAUUUGUUCUUUAGAGUAGCUUUUAGGAUAUCACCAUCUGGAAAGUAGCGUGCUCUCAAAACUCUUGCCAUCAAACAAUUUGGAUUUUGCAUUAUUCUCCACACUUGUUUUCCUAAAAGUGCUUGAUUGAAAGAUUCAAGAUCUCUGAAUCCAAGACCUCCUUCUCUCUUUGGAAUGCAUACCCUUUUCCAAGCAUACCAAUGUAGACCCUUUGACUCUCCUGUUCCCCACCAGAAUCGUGCUAGUAUAGCAUUGAUUUCCUCACAAACUUCCUUUGGUAAACGGAAUAUAUUCAUCGAAAAUAUAGGCAUGGCUAGAGCAAUAGAUUUUAGAAGAACUUCUUUUCCUCCAUGUGUAAGGUGUUUCUGCUUCCAUCCAUGCACGACCUUCUUAACCUUAUCCACAAUAUAUGCAAACAUCUCACCCUUUUUGGAUCCAAACUGCUCAGGCAAACCCAAAUACUUCCCAAUCCCUCCUUCAUUAUGAAUCCCUAAUACAUUUCUCAUUCUUGUUUUGACCUCUGCACCAACCUUACUGCCAAACGUGAUUGUAGAUUUACUCAGGUUGAUUGCCUGGCCCGAGACUGAUUCAUACUUGGAGAAUAUAUCUUUUAACUUCUUUGCCGCUUUAGGAUUAGCUAAUGAGAAAAACAGAGAAUCAUCAGCGAAGAGCAAAUGAUUAACUGCAGGAGCUUGUAUAGCAAUUUUUACUCCAAGCAGGGAACGAUCCCUCAUUGCUUUGUUACAGAGGUGAGACAACACUUCAGCACAGAGAAUAAACAGAUAAGGAGAGAGGGGAUCUCCCUGUCUUAAUCCCCUCUUCGGUGUAAUAAAACCCUCUGGAGCUCCAUUAAUGAGGACUGAAUAUGUAACCGUAGAGAUACAAGCCAUGAUCCACCCUAUCCAUUUUUCUCCAAAUCCCAUAUACCUCAUUGUUUCUUGAAGAAAUCUCCAUUCAAGACGAUCGUAAGCCUUUGUAAUAUCCGUCUUAACCGCCAUGUAUGAGUUAGCUUGUCUCUUCCUAGCUUUAAGGCUGUGGAAAAUUUCAUGAGCCACCACAAUAUUGUCUGAAAUCAAUCUUCCUGGUAUGAAAGCGUUCUGAUUUUCUGAGACAAUAUUUGAUAGAUGAUACUUCAACCGGUUCACUAGAAUCUUUGAGAUAAUCUUGUAAGAGACAUUGCAUAAAGCAAUAGGUCGAAAAUCCUUCAUUCCCGCUGGAGGAUAAAUUUUUGGAAUGAGACAGAGGUUUGUGUGGUUGUGCUGUGGGUCCAAGUCACCAGAGUUGAAAAACCUCUCUACUUCUUCCAGUAUAUCAACUUUACAAUCUUCCCAAAACUUCUGAUAAAAAGCUGCUGAGAAUCCAUCUGGUCCAGGAGCACGAUGAGGUCCCAUAUCAAACAGAGCUGCUUGAAUUUCAUCUUCAGUGAUCGGUCUUACCAAAUCAUCAUUCAUUUCCUGAGUAACUCUUGAUGUAAAAUCUGAGAAAACCUCUGUGUAGAGCUCGUGGUUUAUUUCUUCAGACGCAUAUAAGUUCUGGAAGUAUGAAGUAGCAACAUCUGAAACCUCCUUAUGUCCUUUACGUAUAACUCCUUGAUCAUCUUGAAUAGAUCUUAUAGUAUUUCUGACCCGUCUGGCUUUUGUAACCUCAUGGAAGUAUCUUGUAUUUCUAUCUCCUGAUCGCAACCACAUAAUCCGGCUUUUCUGUUUCCAAAAUAUCUCCUCCUCAAGAUAAGCCUGGUUAAGUUCAUCCCUGAUAGCAUUCUUAUCCUCUGUCGUGUAAUUAUUGGAAAUAAAAGCCUUAUCUAGCUUGCUUCUUAAUAUCCCAAUCCUUUCUUCUGAAUUAUUGCGGUGAAGCUUUUUCCAUUGCGAGAUAUGCUGUCUACAUCUUCUGAUCCUUUGUGUUAAUGGCUCCCUGACCAGUUGAGCUUGUCCCAUUCCUCUCCAUCCUCUUUUAACUGAGUCUUGAAAACCUUCCUUAUUUAACAUACGCAUAUCAUAUCGGAAGUAUCGUCGAGGUAUCUCUCUUUCUGCUGACAUAAAAGUGACCAUUGGAUGGUGAUCUGAUUCACCUAUUUCAAGAUACUCUGUGUGAGAAGCUGGGUAAAGAUCAAACCAACUGCUAUUUGCCAUGGUUCGAUCCAAACAACAUCUAACCACAUGAUCUCCUCUUUUUCCUGCCCAUGAGAACCUGUCACCUACUGACUGAAGAUCCGUGAAGUCACAAACUCUCAUCAUGUUUCUGAAGUCAAGAAAAGAAGCCUCAGACCGUAUCCUUCCCCCUAUCUUUUCCUUAUUACUAUAAAUCUCAUUGAAGUCCCCUAGUGCAAACCAAGGUUCACGCCUUCUGUUGAUGCUAAGUCUCAUCAGUUUCUCCCAAGUAUGAUGCCUAUACGCUUGAUUUGGAUGACCAUACACAAACGACAAGUAGAAGAGAUUUUCAUUGCAGGAAACUUUACAAUCGAUGAGAUUUACAGAACUGCUAAUAACUGAAAGCUGAACAUGAUGCUUAAAAAAGAUAACCAAACCACCCCCUAUUCCAACCGGAGAAACUAAAACUGAAUACACAUCACCAAGUUGAGCGCCAACAUCCCUAACAUAAUCAUCUGGUUGCUUUGUUUCUGAGAGGCAUAUGAUGUCCGGGAGAUAUUUCCUAUCUAUCUCCUUAAGGCGUCGAACUGUCGAGUCACAGCCUAGACCUCGACAGUUCCAACUGAGUGUCCUCAUGGCGGCAGAGGUGGUUCUGGGCCCACCGCGCCUCUCUGCACUGCUUGAGUAGCUUCAUUUCCUUCCUCAGUCUCGUACUCUCUUUGGCCUCUCUGUCUCUUACCUGCGUUACUUCCGCUUGCUUCACCAGUUUCCAAAGUAGUAAACUUUGCAACAUUUUCAUGAGCUUCUUGCAUCCAAGCUUUCCUCUUCUGACUUACGUGGGUCGACACCCCCUGGCCAUUAUCUGGUUCCACACUUCCUCUUCUGCCGUCGGAGAUCUGCGACUCUCUGUAGACACCCCUCAAAAGCGCUUCAUCUUCAUUCUCUGCCAGGGACUCAUCCGCAAUGCGCUCAUGCUCUGUCUGCACAGGAUCAUCCGCUUGAUCCUCAUCAGGUUGUACCUCUUCCUCUUGGAUUUCCUCAAUAAUAAUCCCUUGAUUAGGAACCAUUUCGUCAUCCUCAUUAUCGUUGCCAUUAUCUUCAUCACCAUCAUCUGGGCCACCAUCUGGUCCAUGUCCACCAUUGUUGAUGAUGCAAGCCCCUGUAUCAUGGGAAAGCAUCCCACAGGCUUCACAAAAGCCCCGCAGGCGCUCAUAUUGGAACUUGAGCAGUGUGUUUUCCCCCGGGAUAAACUGAAAGUUCCUCCGAAACUUCAGUGGGUGAGUCACAUUCCAGUUCAAUCUGACACGCACGAAUUCUAGUCUGCCACCCAAUUCUUCAUUAUACUCCAUCUGGAUGUACUGACCCAUCUCCCUUGCAAUGUGAACAAUCACCUCGCGAUUCAUGAACUGAUAGGGAAUUCCUCUGAUUUGUAUCCAAAACGGAAUGAAGUUAAGUAACUCCAAAUCCAUCAAUGGUGUCCACCGUUGCAGGACAAGCAUACGUUCAGCAUAUGCCCAAGGACCCCUGCGGAGGACCGUUUCCAUUGCUUCUUCUGAAGGAAACACGAACUGAAACCGUCUCCCUUCAAUGAUUCGACCACGCACAAUUCCUUCGAGCCCCCAAGUUCUAGGCAUUGCGGCAAUAAUUUCUCGGAGAUUCUGACGUCUUGGCAUGACCGGUCGUCCAAUUAUGGUGAAACGGUUCUCCUCUUCUGCUUGUCUGGUCACCUCUCUUGGAAGAACAAAAGGGGCAUCAUCGCAUCCCAAAUUGAUAUCCUGGAUCGACCUUCGUAACCCUUCCGCCAUUUGUUUCAGAAAAAAGAUAAACUUCCAGAGGAAAAUCAAAAGGUUUGCUAACGAAUUGGUUGAUAGUGUAGAUGUGAGAAUCCCUGACAUUGGGAUUUUAUACCCACAAAAUCGAAACCAUCGUUGAGCGGUUACAUCAUCACCAAAGGAAACAAACUCCUUCGUGGAGAGAACUGACAUCAUGGGUAAGUUCCAACAAAAACGCCCCACUAUGCCAUCAAAAUCACAUUCAACCACGAAGAUCGUGGUGAGAAAAUUCAGGAAUUGCAGAGGAUCGAAAAUCGCCUUUUUCAUCGCCUUUUAAGUCCGUUUUCUUAUAUUUUUACUGGAAUAAAGAUUUAAUUGAUGAAAAUACUUUCAAAUUUUUGUAUUAGGCAAAUCAAAGAAAGAUCAAAGUUACCAGCAGAUCUUAGUGGGUUUGGGCCCGAUGGUACAAAUGAUUUGUCAGCCUUCUGAGAAGCUAGAGGCCCAAAGUUGGACAAGUAAAAAAAUUUAAAAGAGCUUAUUUAAUUAAUAAGACUAAAAAUAAAAGAGGGAAAAAUAAGAUAACUGUGUGAGUACGUUUCGCGUGUGUUCGCUGAUAGGUAUCGUGACGUCUCCCACCCCGAAUUGAUUCUUUGGAUGAUGUUUUGAUUUCAUUGAUGCGUGUUUGGCUUCCGGAAUAAGAUCUGUAUGUGUAUCAUUUUUUUUUUCUGUUAACUUUCGUUUCUAGGGUUUUGAAUCGGAUCCGAUAAUGGCUUCAAUCUCAGAGAACGUUGUUCCUUCUCAAGGUACCUUUUGUUUUCCUGAUCUGAAUCGUAUCCAAUGGCUGUUUAUCUCAAUUUGGAAGCGGUUUAGUUAGAUUCGGUGGUUUUGGUUCUUCUCCUCCGCAGAUUCAAUUAAAAGGAAUUUGGAUGCUUUAGAUUUCCCAGGAAUGAAAGAUAUGGUCGAUUUCGAUGUAACUACUUACCUUAUCUCUUGUGUGUGUUUAUUGCUAUUAUCUUCCUUGUUUCGGGUGAUUGAAAGGUUGUUUAUAUAUGCAGUCAUCUGAGGAGCUUCGUAGUUCUGUGCCAGCCGCAUGGUUACAGGGGAGAAACUCUGAGUUACCUGCUCUUGAGGAGAUGUUUCAGAACCUUCGUAACCACAUACUACAGGUGGUAGUCUAUUGCUAUAAACUCAACCAUGAUCCGAUCCUCACCAGGUGAUUAUUUCACUUUCUUUGUCCAGAAUCCUCAAGCGCCUCUGGAGGAGAGUCUCAGGAAACCUGGAGCAUUGGAGCAAGCAUCUGUGCGUGUGGUUCAAAUGAUAAACGAUCCUGAACUUGAACCGAUUCUUGCGGAGUUAGGCGGUCAUGUUCCUACUGCUCAGGUAUGUGUGUGUUCAUCGAUAUUAUGUAUUCUAAGGCCUUUUCAUGUCUUUUACAAACUUAUAGAUUAGCUAGCACGUUUUACAUACUAUAAAGAAGGUAGCAACUUGACAUUCACCAUUAAUCUAAUGAUCUAAUCUAUCUGCAAAUUCCAUUUGUGGUUUUUGGAGAUCAUUAUUAUAUUUUCAUUUAACUGUGUACUUCGUAUAUAUACCCUUCCGUUUUCAGUAGUAGAGUUGUCUCCUCUUUUCCAUUUGUUUCAAUAUUAUUAUUAUUAUUAUUCUCCCUGUUGAUAAUUAUGCAAAUUUGCAGUUGUAUAACAGAAACAGAGAAUAAAGGCUUCAUUCAAGAAGAAGAGACCUUGAACAAGAUUCAAGUGAUGAAGCGUGAUUAUGAUGAGACGAAAAUGAAGGAGUUAGAGCAGAUCAGCGUGACAACUUAUAACAUCACCUCAAACGCAAUGAUGAUAAGUAUAUAUUUCUAAUCCCUUAGUGCAUUUUAAUACCAUUACGUACGAGUUCUUGCUAUAGACGUUCUUGUGGUUUUUCAAACCCAAAAAAGAUCUUAGACAGACACUAAUCUAAUAGUGUUCUGUCAGAUUCUGAUUAAGAGAUUGACUGGCUAUGUUAAUGGUCGACAAGAGUUGAUAUAUAUAUUCUUUUGUGUAGCACAGGUUGAAACAGUAGCUCAGUUUGGUGUAAUCUUUCUUCUUUUUGCUUUAGGAUUAGAAUUUUCUGCAGCAAAGGUUUGCAUGUUUCCACCCUCUUACACUUUUCUGGUUUCUUUGUUCUUUUGAAACUUUUGAGAUAGUCAUUGAUUUAUUGUACUUUGUGGUCGCAGCUUCGUGUAGUUCGUGCAGUAGCUAUUCCAGGAGGUCUUCUUCAAAUAUUUUUGUUCAUGUGCUUGAGUGGGAUAACAGCCUCGGUAUGUUCUAGUUUGUAAAUAGUAAUAGCAAUUGAGUAAGAAUGAGUUAUUAGGCUUAUUGUGUAUAAAUCAUGAAAAGGAAUGCAUUGGGUUGACUUGGCUGCUUCUUCAUUGCAUUGCAGUUAUGCGGUGGUAAACUAACAGAAGGAAUAUUCGUAGGUGCUUUUCUUUCGAUGUCGUCAACAGCGGUGGUAUAUUCUAAUAUCACUUUUGUAUUCUAAACUGUUAUAAUUUACUCCAUGUGCUCUCACUGUAUUAAAUUCUUUCUUUUGUUGUACCAGUUAUGUUUCCCUAAGUUUCUCUUUAGGGGUGAUCCUCAUAUGUUAUUUUUACCUUGCCAUGAUUCUUAUAUCAGGUGUUGAAAUUUUUAAUGGAAAAAAGAGCAUAAGUGCUCUACAUGGCCAGAUAACCGUUGGAACACUUAUCCUUCAGGUAUCUCAGUCACUCUCCAAACAAUAGCAUAGUAAUAUGAUUUGUACAGGCUACUGUUUCCGCUUACUCUUUUGUAUGCUACUGGAUUUCAGCUAUUAGUAUGUUGUAUCCUACAGUUGCUUUCAUUAGAUUUUUAAUAUAUGGCUUCAUGAAUCUCUAGGAUUGUGCUGUGGGUUUGCUUUUUGCUCUCCUUCCGGUUCUUGGUGGCACAUCUGGUGUCCUUCAAGGAAUGUUGUCCAUGGCUAAAUCGUAUGUUUUCUAUUUUACUGGAAGUUCUGUGAAAAUGUCGACAAUAUCCUGCUUCCUUUUUCACUUGUUAUACUGUUGUUCAGUGAAACCAAGUUUUUGAUAUUUCAUUUCUUUUGACCGUGCGGUAAUUUCUUUCAAGGUUGGCUAUUUUGAUUGCGUUUUUGGCUGCUUUGUUUGUACUGUCACGUACCUGGGUACCUUGGUUUCUAAAACUUAUGACAAGCCUUUCUUCUCAGGUAUACACAUAUUUUUACUUGCUUCCGUUUUUGGUCUUUAAAAUGUUUAUCAACUUAAGCGUUCGUCAAUCUUUGACAGACUAACGAGCUCUACCAGUUGGCCGCUGUAGCAUUUUGUUUGCUUGUUGCUUGGGUCAGUCUGAUCCUUUGUUCUUCUUAUCUAUUGGCUUUUUGCACAUGUGCUAUCUCAAAUUUUCAGUUCAUAAACUCAGUAUUGUUUUGGUUUCUUCAGUGUAGUGACAAGCUCGGUCUAAGUCUUGAGCUGGGUUCCUUUGCGGCAGGAGUGAUGAUCUCAUCAACGGAUCUCGCCCAGCAUACUCUUGAACAAGUAAGAAGUCAAUUUUGACUCUUUCGGACUUGUGGAUCUUUUCGCAUUUUAUUUGAACAUUCUUAUGCCACAAGUGUCUUUUGUGCUAUAUAUCUGUUGGUGACUUUAUGAAAUGCAUUUCUCUUUUUUGCCACAUAGAGCUCUUCUUAUCAUUCAUGUGCUUCCCUUUCAGGUAGAACCAAUCCGCAAUUUUUUUGCAGCGUUGUUCCUUGCUAGUAUUGGAAUGUUGAUACAUAUGCACUUCUUGUGGAACCAUGUUGAUAUUCUGGUAGCAGCUGUGUUACUGGUGAUAGUGAUAAAGACCGUGGUCGUUGCAAUCGUUGUUAAGGUCUUUGGAUACAAUAACAAAACUGCAGUACUUGUAAGAAGUGAACCCUUCCUUUUUGCUUUCACAUUGCUCCAAACCUUACUCGUAGUGAGAGCCCUUACAGUUUUCUUCUCUAUAGGUUGGAAUGUCGCUUGCGCAGAUUGGGGAAUUUGCUUUUGUUCUGCUAAGUCGAGCAUCUAAUCUUCACCUUAUUGAGGUAAGCAAUCAAAUGAAACUGUGUUGUGCAACUACGGUUAUAUCUUCCCGACUGUGUGGUACCAUAAUAGGUUGCUCAUAAUUUUGCUUUUGGUGGAGUGGUAACAGUGAAGGGUUUUGUGUUUAUUCGCAGAGCAAACUGUACCUCCUGCUUCUGGGAACAACUGCUCUAAGCCUGGUAUGGUUCACAUUCACACCAUUUCAGUUAUAGAACGAAUAUUUUGACAUGUACAUUAAAGUGAAUAUGUUGCAGGUGACGACACCAUUUCUAUUAAAGUUGAUACCGGCCGUUGUACAUUUAGGAGUGCUCUUACGGUGGUUCUCUCCCGAUAGCUCAACUGAGGUAAAUCAAAAACAUCUUUGUCGUCCUGUUUCUCUCUGCACACCUUUGGCACAAACUCAGCUUUUUGAUUGUCUUUUCUCUUCUCUGCAUGUCCUUACACUUUCCCGUUUUAUUUUGAAGCGCUUUUAUCCCGGUUUUGUUUUGAGAUUUUUGAAAUCAGGAUUCCGUUUUGAACUGUUUUUUAUUUGACUACGAUUUUCCUCUUUUAACAGGACUUUUAAAGCUUUUUGUUUUCUUGUGGUUUUAUCAAACCCAAGAGAUUAGGCAGACGUUCUUGUAAUGUUCUUGCUAUAGACGUUCUUGUGGUUUUUCAAACCCAAAAAAGAUCAUAGACAAACACUAAUCUAAUAGUGUUCUGUCAGAUUCUUGUUUGGGAACAUUGUUUUGGUUUUAUUUUGUUUUUGUUUUUGUUUUUCAAACCAAAAAAGAUCAUAGACAGACACUAAUCUUAUAAUGUUCUGUCAGAUUCUUAUUUGGGAACAUUGUCCCUUGCUGCCUCCUUGGUUCGAAAAGGCGUGUGGCGAGAAGAAGCGAAGAGACUGGCGCUUAGCGCCUAGCGCCACGGCGCCACAAAGCAAGCGCUUCAUGUAUCCUGCAAUAAGAAGGUAAGUUCCUAGACCUUCUAUAUGUAUAUCAUGCUGCACAACUGAAAAAACCAAAUCCAUAUAAUAAAAUUCAAAGAUUCUUAGAGCAAAACACAACUGAAAAUACCAAAUGCAAACACCAAAUUAAAAAAAAAAACCAAAUUCAAAAGCAAAUGAAACACCAGUAGACAAAGCUCUACUCUGAUUCAGAAUCCUCAUACUCCAAUUCCCUGUCAUAGCCAACACCUUCCUCGCCUUCAAUGUCAUCCUCUUCAUCAACCAACUCCAACUGAGAAGGUGAUGGACCAUAGCAUUUCUUCUGAGUUGAAGAGCUUGCUAUUCCUUUUCCUUUGUCGUUUUUAGCUGAAGUAGGAGUCUUUGCUCCUCUAGUAGUGUAGCUUGGCUCUUCAGCUCCUACUGCCUCACUCACCAUGGUCCAAGGCAGCCUGCCUCUAAAAGAAACUUAUGCCAUCUCCUAUAGCAAGAUUGUUAAAUGGACCGAGAAUAUGGGUUGGUGGUGCAUGUAUAAAGAAGGGCUUUAGGGGAUGGCAAAUAAGAGCAUGCGGCUCAGUCUUAAGACAAAAGACUAUAACUGAAAACAGAUUCCUUACCCACGGCUUACAAAGAUUAUUACCCACGGCUUACACAUGUUUUGACAAAGACAAAGAUUUAUUACCCACGGCUUACAAGUCUUAAAGACCAAAGACUUUUCUGUUUUCAGUUAUUUGAAUGGUACAGUUUGAGAAAGUCCUAAGACAAGGAUUAUAACUGAAAACAAUGUCCCUUGCUGCCUCUAAAAAAAACUUAUGCCAUCCCCUAAUGGAUCGAGAAUAUGGGUUGGUGGUGCAUGUAUAGAGAAGGGCGUUAGGGGAUGGCAAAUAAGAGCAUGCGGCUCAGUCUUAAGACAAAAGACUAUAACUGAAAACAGAUUCCUUACCCACGGCUUACAAAGAUUUAUUACCCACGGCUUACACAUGUCUUGACAAAGACAAAGAUUUAUUACCCACGGCUUACAAAAUUUUUGUAUUAGGCAAAUCAAAGAAAGAUCAAAGUUACCAGCAGAUCUUAGUGGGUUUGGGCCCGAUGGUACAAAUGAUUUGUCAGCCUUCUGAGAAGCUAGAGGCCCAAAGUUGGACAAGUAAAAAAAUUUAAAAGAGCUUAUUUAAUUAAUAAGACUAAAAAUAAAAGAGGGAAAAAUAAGAUAACUGUGUGAGUACGUUUCGCGUGUGUUGGCUUACUCUGAUUUUUCCUCUGCAAGUCGCUUCUUCGUCUUCCUCGUUCGCUGAUAGGUAUCGUGACGUCUCCCACCCCGAAUUGAUUCUUUGGAUGAUGUUUUGAUUUCAUUGAUGCGUGUUUGGCUUCCGGAAUAAGAUCUGUAUGUGUAUCAUUUUUUUUUUCUGUUAACUUUCGUUUCUAGGGUUUUGAAUCGGAUCCGAUAAUGGCUUCAAUCUCAGAGAACGUUGUUCCUUCUCAAGGUACCUUUUGUUUUCCUGAUCUGAAUCGUAUCCAAUGGCUGUUUAUCUCAAUUUGGAAGCGGUUUAGUUAGAUUCGGUGGUUUUGGUUCUUCUCCUCCGCAGAUUCAAUUAAAAGGAAUUUGGAUGCUUUAGAUUUCCCAGGAAUGAAAGAUAUGGUCGAUUUCGAUGUAACUACUUACCUUAUCUCUUGUGUGUGUUUAUUGCUAUUAUCUUCCUUGUUUCGGGUGAUUGAAAGGUUGUUUAUAUAUGCAGUCAUCUGAGGAGCUUCGUAGUUCUCUGCCAGCCGCAUGGUUACAGGGGAGAAACUCUGAGUUACCUGCUCUUGAGGAGAUGUUUCAGAAUCUUCGUAACCACAUACUACAGGUGGUAGUCUAUUGCUAUAAACUCAACCAUGAUCCGAUCCUCACCAGGUGAUUAUUUCACUUUCUUUGUCUCAGAAUCCUCAAGCGCCUCUGGAGGAGAGUCUCAGGAAACCUGCAGCAUUGGAGCAAGCAUCUGUGCGUGUGGUUCAAAUGAUAAACGAUCCUGAACUUGAACCGAUUCUUGCGGAGUUAGGCGGUCAUGUUCCUACUGCUCAGGUAUGUGUGUGUUCAUCGAUAUUAUGUAUUCUAAGGCCUUUUCAUGUCUUUUACAAACUUAUAGAUUAGCUAGCACGUUUUACAUACUAUAAAGAAGGUAGCAACUUGACAUUCACCAUUAAUCUAAUGAUCUAAUCUAUCUGCAAAUUCCAUUUGUGGUUUUUGGAGAUCAUUAUUAUAUUUUCAUUUAACUGUGUACUUCGUAUAUAUACCCUUCCGUUUUCAGUAGUAGAGUUGUCUCCUCUUUUCCAUUUGUUUCAAUAUUAUUAUUAUUAUUAUUCUCCCUGUUGAUAAUUAUGCAAAUUAAUGAUCAUUAUUAUUUUAUGGACUUUUUUUUCUCCCAUUACUGUUAUGAAUCUAGUGAUAAUUAUUUAUUAUAUAAGAACAACUGUUCUGUCUGUUUGGAUGUGUGCGUGCGUGUUUGGCUUUAUAUUCCUCUGCAAAUCUCUUGUCCGUCUCUACCUUGUUCGCUUAGGGUAUCGCUUUCGCCGUUUGAUUGAUUAAUCGGAUGAUAUUUCGAUUUAAAAUUGUUGGCAUUCUGAAUUAAUUUGUUUUUUGUUCUUUUCUAGGGUUUUCAGACAGAUCAGGCGAUGGCUUCAUGUUCAGAGAGAACUCUUCCUUGUCCAGGUACUUUUGCUGUCUCGAUCUAAAGCGUACUAGUCAUAUGCGAUUCUUGUUUUGUUAAAGAUUGGGUGGUUUUGUUUCUUCUUCUCGGCAGAUUCGAGUAAAAUUACCUCGCCUGCCCUUAAAUUCGAUGCUUUGGAUUUCCCAGCCAUGAAGGCUAUGGAAGAUUUCGAGGUAACUUCUCUUUUCUUUUCAUUCUUACAUGUUUUGUUUUGGGUUAUUGAAAGGUUUCAUUCUUUUUUUUUUGUUGAUGGUUUAUUGUGUCUACUUGGCUUAAAAGGUGUCAUCAUCAGAAAUGAUGAUAGGUGUCGGAAACAUGUCUGGUACGAUCUGAUCAAACUCAUGCGGCUGAAAAAGAUCGGCAAGUAUAGGACUAGGCGAAACGUCGAAAUCCUCCAUAACUCCAAAUCUCCACCCUACCACACCAGUACAGCAACCUGCGGAAUCAUGUCGCAAUAUAUAUGGGUUAGACAACAAGCUAAUAAUAAAAUAAAAUCUCUCCUACCCCUCCUAAACGAUUGGACACGACCGGAUUCCUAAAGAGUGCAUUGGCGACUCCUUUUGACUCGAAAAACAUUGAAAACAUUUGAAAAACCAUGGGAACCAGUGAGCAUAAUCGUAACCAUGCUCUGAUACCACCUCUGUAACACCCCCGAACCGUCCUAGGCAUAGGUCGACCCACCGGCCAACAAUCAAACAAGAACAUGACCGACAGACCAACCAACACCAAGGAUUGGAGAUGAAAGGCCAACCGGCCAGCCAACAAUCAAACAAGAACAUGACUGACCGUCCAACCCAACACCAUGGUCCGGAAGCGCUACGUGACGAGCUAGGGACGAUCCGGUCCGAGUCACAGAUUUAUUUCGCAACCUAGACUAGUUCAUCCACUAACACGUCCCGCUAAAUCAAAGCUUAAGGCUUUGCAACCUGUACCAUGAGUUAACGGUUCCGUUAGAUCGAGGCCUAAGGCUUUUCAACCCGUACCAAGACCUAACGUUGUGUUGGUUCGGACUAAACCAAUAUCAUAUUGGACCCGUUAAUUUUUUUAAGAUUUAAAUCCAAGACUUUUAAGAAUAUUUGCAAUACUUUAGGGAUCCCAAAUCCGAUAAAACGCAACGGAAACAUAAAUCGUAUAAAAAUCAAACCGUAGCCAAAUGCACUGCAAAUCUAUUCCGGUGGCCUACGCGUCCAAUCUCCUACAACCUAAACUCCUGCAAAAAGGACAACGAGAGUUGGGUGAGUAACAGAAGGUCACUCAGUGAGCUGGCUACCUAAAUACCUAAACCUAGUAGCUAGCUCAGACAAUCCAAAAAUAACAAUCAAUCUAGCCUAAGCGCAGAAAAUAAAGCUUUAAGGCUAAUCCCCAAAACCGCACCGAUUAAGGUAUGCUCGACCUUAAUCUAAUAAUACUAAUAAUAGACAUGGCCAAACGACCAUCUACUCAACGGAUCCCUAAUCUAACAAUCAAGACUCGAUCAACACCGUAUCUCGGUGCUAACACUAUCUCGAGGGUUCCUCACCCUCAAGACGACACAAUAAAACUAACUCGACACACUAUUCUAACUCUAGACUCAAUACUCUAACAUGGGUCCUGGUGAUCUCGUGUUCCUCCUCAACAUCGGCAAUAUCCUAUCUCCCUACCACAAAGGCCAGAAGAAGGAACUUUCAACCGACCGCGGCCCACAGUCCUUCGGGUCACCGCGCGACAGCCCACAGUCCUUCGGGUCACUGCCACAUUACACCGUCGUGUAAUAACUCAGCCAUAGGCCAUGAUCCCGUCUCUCUGAGUCUUCCCGAUUCAACGAAUAAGGGGUUUCCUUAAACCCGCUGGGUACGAGGCUGAGGAAACACUAAUCACCCUUAAACAAGCCUAGUAUGGACGGGUUACGCUCAUACUGUCGGCUACAACACACUAAUCCUAGUAAGACCAAGACUCCUACCACAAACUUAAAUACACUAAGGAGUCUACGACACUAACAGCUGUACUUGUAGUCCAGCCUAUAUGGCAUAGGAUUCGUAGUACUAAACUCGACAUGGAAGGAAAUCGGCCUAUAUGGCCUAAGAUCUCCUGAACAAUACCAUCCCUGCACAACAACAAUCACUACCAAACCAAGCAUUCAAUAGUCCUAAUAUCUCUAAGGCAGGUCUACUCCAUUACUAAACUACCCAUAAAUAAAUAAAGGAAAACAUGCAUCUCAAUCUUAACAAUUCAGCUACGCCAUAAUUUAUCAAACUAUACCGGUUAAUGCAUCAUUCAUCCUAGUCCUAGUCAGGUUAUAACUCAGUCUUAAUUCCAUUAUAUCUCAGCUUAGCCCAUGCUAAACUGAGUCCAAUUCAUAAAUAAAAAUAACCCUAGGACUCUAUCAUGCAUCAGUGUGAUAUUACUACUCUAUAUGCAACUCGAUCUAUCCUAAGUUCCAAGUGGAACUCAAACAAACCAACUCACGGUGUUCUUGCAGCUGGUUGAUCGGAGAGAGCCUAGCCAAAACCCAAUGCCUCUGUCUUCAAUGGACUGGUAUGGACGAAUCAGGACUUGGACAGAACCUCCUCGGACUUCUGGAUCUUCUUCUCGGACUUUCGGUAGAACAAUGGCUCUUAAAAAUGCUCUAACUUCUUCAAAACAGCUCCAAAUCCUUCACUUCCUUUUUCUACUUCACUUUCUCUCUCUAGCCCAAGUUUUAGAGUGAUGUUUAAGUGUGUGGAAUGAAUGAAACGAGCUGGGGGAGCUGGGUUUAUAUAGAUAUGGCCAACCAUUGAAAUGGUGCCACUCCAUCGCCUGUGUGUCGUCCCGCAUGCUUCCGGUCGCAUGCGCGGCGACACACGGGCGUCCAAAUGUCACCAUGCAUGACUCCUCUGCAUGCCAGAAGCCAGCACCACGUCCAGAUGUCAUUCAGCAUGGCUGGAGCUCAUGCAUCGCGACACACGGGCCUCUGGGUGUCAAGACGAUGCCAUGUCGUGCUUUGGGUGUCAUGCUGCAUGUGAGGCUUCAUCCUGCGGAGACAUGUCGUGCUACGGAGACACUAAGAUGCUUGGAUGAAGGACAGCACGUCCUGAUCUCUCAGAUAGGGCCACCUCGAGCUUCCCGGUUGAUUUGUGCGAUUUCNNNNNNNNNNNNNNNNNNNNNNNNNNNNNNNNNNNNNNNNNNNNNNNNNNNNNNNNNNNNNNNNNNNNNNNNNNNNNNNNNNNNNNNNNNNNNNNNNNNNNNNNNNNNNNNNNNNNNNNNNNNNNNNNNNNNNNNNNNNNNNNNNNNNNNNNNNNNNNNNNNNNNNNNNNNNNNNNNNNNNNNNNNNNNNNNNNNNNNNNNNNNNNNNNNNNNNNNNNNNNNNNNNNNNNNNNNNNNNNNNNNNNNNNNNNNNNNNNNNNNNNNNNNNNNNNNNNNNNNNNNNNNNNNNNNNNNNNNNNNNNNNNNNNNNNNNNNNNNNNNNNNNNNNNNNNNNNNNNNNNNNNNNNNNNNNNNNNNNNNNNNNNNNNNNNNNNNNNNNNNNNNNNNNNNNNNNNNNNNNNNNNNNNNNNNNNNNNNNNNNNNNNNNNNNNNNNNNNNNNNNNNNNNNNNNNNNNNNNNNNNNNNNNNNNNNNNNNNNNNNNNNNNNNNNNNNNNNNNNNNNNNNNNNNNNNNNNNNNNNNNNNNNNNNNNNNNNNNNNNNNNNNNNNNNNNNNNNNNNNNNNNNNNNNNNNNNNNNNNNNNNNNNNNNNNNNNNNNNNNNNNNNNNNNNNNNNNNNNNNNNNNNNNNNNNNNNNNNNNNNNNNNNNNNNNNNNNNNNNNNNNNNNNNNNNNNNNNNNNNNNNNNNNNNNNNNNNNNNNNNNNNNNNNNNNNNNNNNNNNNNNNNNNNNNNNNNNNNNNNNNNNNNNNNNNNNNNNNNNNNNNNNNNNNNNNNNNNNNNNNNNNNNNNNNNNNNNNNNNNNNNNNNNNNNNNNNNNNNNNNNNNNNNNNNNNNNNNNNNNNNNNNNNNNNNNNNNNNNNNNNNNNNNNNNNNNNNNNNNNNNNNNNNNNNNNNNNNNNNNNNNNNNNNNNNNNNNNNNNNNNNNNNNNNNNNNNNNNNNNNNNNNNNNNNNNNNNNNNNNNNNNNNNNNNNNNNNNNNNNNNNNNNNNNNNNNNNNNNNNNNNNNNNNNNNNNNNNNNNNNNNNNNNNNNNNNNNNNNNNNNNNNNNNNNNNNNNNNNNNNNNNNNNNNNNNNNNNNNNNNNNNNNNNNNNNNNNNNNNNNNNNNNNNNNNNNNNNNNNNNNNNNNNNNNNNNNNNNNNNNNNNNNNNNNNNNNNNNNNNNNNNNNNNNNNNNNNNNNNNNNNNNNNNNNNNNNNNNNNNNNNNNNNNNNNNNNNNNNNNNNNNNNNNNNNNNNNNNNNNNNNNNNNNNNNNNNNNNNNNNNNNNNNNNNNNNNNNNNNNNNNNNNNNNNNNNNNNNNNNNNNNNNNNNNNNNNNNNNNNNNNNNNNNNNNNNNNNNNNNNNNNNNNNNNNNNNNNNNNNNNNNNNNNNNNNNNNNNNNNNNNNNNNNNNNNNNNNNNNNNNNNNNNNNNNNNNNNNNNNNNNNNNNNNNNNNNNNNNNNNNNNNNNNNNNNNNNNNNNNNNNNNNNNNNNNNNNNNNNNNNNNNNNNNNNNNNNNNNNNNNNNNNNNNNNNNNNNNNNNNNNNNNNNNNNNNNNNNNNNNNNNNNNNNNNNNNNNNNNNNNNNNNNNNNNNNNNNNNNNNNNNNNNNNNNNNNNNNNNNNNNNNNNNNNNNNNNNNNNNNNNNNNNNNNNNNNNNNNNNNNNNNNNNNNNNNNNNNNNNNNNNNNNNNNNNNNNNNNNNNNNNNNNNNNNNNNNNNNNNNNNNNNNNNNNNNNNNNNNNNNNNNNNNNNNNNNNNNNNNNNNNNNNNNNNNNNNNNNNNNNNNNNNNNNNNNNNNNNNNNNNNNNNNNNNNNNNNNNNNNNNNNNNNNNNNNNNNNNNNNNNNNNNNNNNNNNNNNNNNNNNNNNNNNNNNNNNNNNNNNNNNNNNNNNNNNNNNNNNNNNNNNNNNNNNNNNNNNNNNNNNNNNNNNNNNNNNNNNNNNNNNNNNNNNNNNNNNNNNNNNNNNNNNNNNNNNNNNNNNNNNNNNNNNNNNNNNNNNNNNNNNNNNNNNNNNNNNNNNNNNNNNNNNNNNNNNNNNNNNNNNNNNNNNNNNNNNNNNNNNNNNNNNNNNNNNNNNNNNNNNNNNNNNNNNNNNNNNNNNNNNNNNNNNNNNNNNNNNNNNNNNNNNNNNNNNNNNNNNNNNNNNNNNNNNNNNNNNNNNNNNNNNNNNNNNNNNNNNNNNNNNNNNNNNNNNNNNNNNNNNNNNNNNNNNNNNNNNNNNNNNNNNNNNNNNNNNNNNNNNNNNNNNNNNNNNNNNNNNNNNNNNNNNNNNNNNNNNNNNNNNNNNNNNNNNNNNNNNNNNNNNNNNNNNNNNNNNNNNNNNNNNNNNNNNNNNNNNNNNNNNNNNNNNNNNNNNNNNNNNNNNNNNNNNNNNNNNNNNNNNNNNNUAACCUCGAGGUUUUCGGUCAAUAAAUCUUAUACAUAAGAAAUAUCAAAACGCCUUUGCAAGGAUAAUAAAACUACCGCUGGCUAAUGCCGUUCCUUCCCGUCCUAGAGUAAAGGUCUCCCACCUACUGGUUACCUGCAUAUCAAAUGAGUCAUGAGUAACUAGUUUACUCAGUGAGUCUAAUCCCACACCCCAACAUAUAUUAAUAAUAUCUCAAGCAAUCAACUUCAUUUGUAUGCAGUGGAAAUAUAUUCCAUAUCUAGAUAUUUAUAUAUAAGGACUAUCCUUCCAUCAUUGUGAAUCUAAUCAUAUACCUCACUUCCUAUUCCCGUCUCUCAUAUCAUUCAUAUAAUCAUAUUUAUAUAUAUAUAUAUAUACCAGACCCGAGAAACCACAAAGGCUAAACGAGUCUAGCAAGUUAGCAUCACCAUCAUCGCCAUCAGAUAUUCAAAAAUUGAACAUCUAACGCUGCAUGCAGUUACACGGCCUCCAAGGUGCGACCCCAUCAUCGUGUCUUUGUGACCUUGUUCCAUAUCACAGGACCAAUUCACGGUAAUCAUCAUUCAUACGGGAAUAUUUUGGAAGACAGGUUUAUAAUAAGACUUCACAUGAUUAAUACUUCCAUACUUAAUUAUAUUUAACACUAUACAUAUGUAUUAGUACUUGAGAACAAGUACUAAGGUUUGGAAUAAACCUCUAUGAUCAUUCAUAAAUAUUUAAUAAGUGUUUACACUAAGUAAACACCUUACCAAUUCAAUAUUGAUCAAGAGACAAAGCCUAUCAAUCAUCUACAAUCAGUACGUUCAAUCAAGAAAUAUUCAUUCACUACUCAUCAAUCAUCUAUCUAGACUCACCUUUGAUUCUUUGAGAUUGGCUAAUCAAGACUAGACUCGAGCUCAAGCUAAUCACACUCCAUUUCCGGUACACUUGAGAUUCAAAACGGUCACAAUUAUCUGACUGAUCCGACCACUCUCCUUGAUAUCUGAAUUCAAACCAAGUGACUGAGCGGCUACAAGGAGUGACUGGACCGAUCUAGCAAAACUCUACAACCAACUAGACAGAAAACAGUUCUAUUUGAUGAACCAGCCUUAUCCUUGAACUUUACUCGACCACUGACCUGAAACAGAGCAGUUCAUAACAUGAUCUUCAAUCCAACAGUUCGGUUCUGAAGAAGAUAUUUAAAUCAGAUCCUAACAGCUCGGUUUACAACAAGGUUAAUCAGUUCAGCUUAGGUGUAGUCCAGACCAUGACCAGUUCAUUUCAGAUUAAAUCCAAUCAGUUUAUAAUAGAUGAGAUAAUUCUAUUCCAGCAAACUGAUUUAUUCUGAAAUAAAUAAAUCUGAACCGAAGACAGGUUAGACAAUUGAUCCAUGACAACCGCUUAACUAAAUAACAUCUGAUUCUGAUCAAGACAUGUCUGAGACAAGAGAUUGAAGCUUACAACAGCAACUGAUGACCAUAUGAACUCAGAUAAUCCUCCCCUUGAAACUGAACUCAUGGCUGGACUGUUUUAAAAGGAUAAAUCAGAAUUGGUUCAUCACAAAAACAGAACAAGACCUAGGGUUUACUUUGGGUACCUCACCUUCUGAUCUUCUACACAGCAGGGAACUGAGCUAGAGGAUGGAACAAAGUCAUCUAAGGACGUGGCUAAUUUUCCCAUAUUUUUUGUUCUGAUUUUUCUCUCACUUUUUCUCUUCUUUCUCAUUGUUUUCUCUCUAAACAUUUCUCUUGUUAUGCUGCAGGUUAUGAACGUCCAGAGGAGAGAAGAAGGUGUUUUAAAGCAUAAGGAGUUACUUCAGAUGAGGGUUUACUCCCACACAAGGCAAAGCUGAGGCUAGACAGGUGGAGACAUGCUUCAGCACACCAAACAGAACAAGCAGCUGAACUUUUCCUUCCCAUGAAGAAAGCUACAAGCAGCUGAAGCAAGUAGCUUGUGACCAGCAUGUGACUUCUAAUGAGCAACCAGGCAAGCAAGUAGGUGCAGGUCAUGUGACCUAAUUACUGAGGAAGCAAGUAGGCUAGAAGGUGCAAGGCAUGUGACUGCUCAGAAAUAAUUUUCAGAGUUUUGUCGAUAUUUUUCAAACUGUUUCGACUAAAUAUUUUUCAUCAUUCGAACCUCGUCCUGCUCUGAAUAAACUCGUCCAGCAUGAAUAAAAAUCGACAAUAAUAAUUAACACUCGACCAGAACCAUCAAGAGAUGGUUUUUUGACCAAAAGACAGCCCCGUCGAGUUUAAUUUACCGUGUCGAUUUUCAUUUAAAUUCUGAUCGAUCAAUCUUCAAACUGAUCUUAAAGAAUUUUCUCGACCAAAAUUAUAUCUGCUCGUGAGGGUUACUACAGUGAUCAUGUAGCGUGUCCCUCUGGCGAAGAAGGUCAAAGUGCCAUCUCCCGCUACCCUCGCAGCUGAAGUCCUGUAGGUGACCUCGACAGUGGCCAUGAACUGGCGGACGAGAUCGGGGUAGAGGUCGUAAGCGUGAGAGGGCAUGGUACCGAGUCCUAGCUGUGUGAUCAUGUCCUUAACAUCUCUCUCGAUCCCGAGUUUCUUCAUGAUGGGUCGGUCAAGGAAUUUGGUGGGCUCGAUAGAGAUUCCUAGCCAGGCAUUGUAGAAGAGGCUGUCGUAGUCGUCCCAGUUAUCGGAUAGAGGAUGCUGACGGCACUCGUUGCUGUUGAUCGCUGCCUUAGGAUCAGCAUAGCCCGGAACAUCGAAUGGUGUGUUUUCUGGGCGAGGCCAUGGAUGACGCUGUGCGUUGGAGGAGCUGCUAGUCUCGUCGAACCUCCUUUUCGACCUGAGUUCCCUGUUCGUGUGUUUGUCUCUGAGCUGCUCAUCUGAAACCAAGAAGAAAAGAAGGUUAUUAUUGUCGAUAAAAUGUAAUAUCGAUCGAUUGGUUAUACUGAACAUCGAUCGAUAUCGUCGUGUCGGAACAAUCAGACAAGAGAGCAUCGGUCGAUGCGAACAAGUUCAUAUCGAUCGAUGUGGAAUCGCGAAACCUGCAAAAUCACUCAACUCCAAAUCGCGUUUAUACGAAUUUAAAUGCAUGGAAAUCACAAACCGAACUCUAGAUAAGCAAUAUGAACUACAAAAACAUCUCUUAAUCGCACUAAAUCAAGCGUUCUAAUCCAACUCAAAACGAAACCCUAAUUUUUUCAAAAAUUGAAAAUUUCAAGUGCAUACCUUGAUUGUUGAUUUCGGGAGUGGAUUUAACAGUCACAGAGUGAAAAAUCGAGUGGAUUUAGGUGAAGAACGGACGAAAUCCGUCUAGAAGGAGAGAGAAAAUAGGUGUUUUUGUUUUCGGUUUCGUUUGUGAGUGUGGAAGAGGAAGUGGGUUGAUGUCGAGUGAAGUUAGUUGAUAUACCUUGGAUUUGACCCAUUUUUAUCCAUGGUAUAUAAGUAUUUUACUAUAUAUAUAUCUAUGUUUUCUACUCUUCUAGGUAUGUUUUCAGGUUCAGGUGCAUUUUGGAGUAAAGCUAUGACUUUGGAGCAUUUUGGAGCUUUAAGGACAUUUCACCCGAGCUGACCACUUAGAGGUGGACGAGAGGAAGAAUAAUCGAUCGAUGCGCAUCAGUGCUGACGAUCGAUAUCAGGAAAUGCCUCGACAGAUGAAGAUUAAUAUCGAUCGAUGUACACAAGUACCAUCGAUCGAUGUCGAGACACCAGACGCGACAUUUUGGAUUCAGCAGACUUAAAAACCAAGGCCAAGCCAAAUUACCAAAAUGCCCUGACGAGUUUUUAACCUAUUAGAAUAUAUACUGCCUAAGUGUUUUGACGGCAGAGAACAGAGCUUUUUCUAGACCUAGUUUUGUUACAAGUUUCAUUUGGGAGCGAAGAUCGCUUUUGAUUGGAACUCCUUGUUUCUAUUUCUUUUAAUCUUAUUCUAUGAGUUUCUAUUUCUCUAUUGAUAUGAAUUGCUUUGCUAUGUCUGAGUAGUUCAACUGUUAGAUCCAGGGUUCAGAUAGGUUUGUGGGAUUAGCCCCAAACUAGAGAUCUGCCUUGUUGUGAUAUUCAUGAUAUAUUUGUAUUCAUUGCUUGUUUUAGCCUUGCUAACUAGAACUUGAUCAUAGGAUUGCAUAUUCAAGCACCAUUGUUAUCCCAUCCUGACAUCUAUCUAUCAUAUUAGGAUUGCUAGAGAGGGCUAACCGCCAAUUUAGAAUCUUAGUAGGGCAUUUCAUACUCGCGCAUAGGCCUGGCUAGAACCCGUCGAUCGAUGUCCUCAACUGACAAUCGAUCGAUGUUGGCAAAGGUGUAUCGGUCGACGUCUUAAUAGACUAUCGAUCGACACUCUCUUGUGUCUGCAUCUAACCGGUGAGACACAAGAUCUAGUCUGUUAACCAGUGGUACAUGCGACAGCUGAUCACUGAGUUAAGCGAAUGAGCUCUAAUAUAUCAUGCAUGCAACAGUUAGGCAUCUAUAGGAAUUAUAAUCUCCAACACCUGAAUAGUGGCCCUGCAUCUAAUAUCAUUUCCAACCUAAGUUACAUUUAUCAUUUACUCGCUAGUUACUAUUGCUAUUUUAUUUAAAACAUUACAACCUUUAGAAUUAAUAAACACUAGAUUUAAUUGUUCCCUAGCUCCUUGUGGAUUCGAUCCCUAAGUACUACAUCUGAACCUCUUUUGAUGAGAGUAACACUCCUUAGGGUAAUUUGAGUGGUAUCAAAUUUGGCGCCGUUGCCGGGGAGCUUUGAUCGCCAUUAGAUUUAGUUUUAUUAAUUCUUAUUCUUUUCUUUACCCCCUUUCUAAUAAUCUUUUUCUUGUCUUUUCAGGUGCAUGCCCAGCGGUACCAGAAGCAACAAGGAGAAAGACUUGCUGUUCUCAGACGAUCCUGCUCAUUUGGAACGCACCAUCCGUAGAGGUCAACGUUCCACAUCGCUCGACGCAACAACAUCGUCGUCGAUCGAUACGCACAACCAACCGUCGACCGACACCAGACCGUCAUCGUCGAUCGAUCCCAAUCGUUCGACAACGAUCGAUACUACACCGCGUACGUCGAUCGAUACCGUGUCGUCAAAAAUGGUAAACAUUAUUAUUCUAACACAGGACGAGAACGAAAACCUGUAUGACCAGGACGGUCAUCUGCGUAAUGCAACAGGUCAGAAAAUAGACGCUCAGGGGACUGUAAUCCCUGAUGCUGAUGCUACAGGAGCUGCUCAACCUGUAGAUGAGGACGCUCGAUCGAAACCACUGGCCGACUACAAUCGCCCAGAUGAGUACUAUUCCAACAGAUCAGCGAUUCGACUUCCGGAGAUCCAGAAGCAGAAUUUCGAGCUGAAGCCUCAAUACUACACUCUCGUGUCGCAGAUACCCUACUCUGGGUUACCGCACGAGCAUCCUAUGGACCAUUUGGAACGGUUCGAGGAUCUAAUCGCUGCCAUUCGGAUGGAAGGAGUCCCCGAAGAUUACCUGCUGUGCAAGCUCUUCAGAUACACGCUGAAUGGAGAAGCGAUGCACUGGCUUAGGCAGCAACCCACAGGAUCUUUAACAUCCUGGAGCGACAUCAAGAAUGCUUUCUUACGAAACUUCUUCGAUGAGGCGCGCGCUGAAGAACUUCGGAACAAAAUUUCCACAUUCUCGCAGAAGGCUGGAGAGUCCUUCAAAGAUGCGUGGAUUAGAUUUAGGUUCUUCCAGCGAGACUGUCCACACCACGGAUUUAACGAAGUGCAGCUGCUAAGCACUUUCUUCCGAGGUCUCGCCUUACAGUAUCAAAUGGCUCUUGAUACGGCGAGUGAAGGAAACUUCACUACUCGGAAUCCGUUGGAAGCUGUGAGACUUAUCGAAAACCUUGCUAACAGCAGCAGCACCAAAAACACUGACUCUGAACGGAAGAAGUCUGUAGCCUCUAUCGGGAAGGAACAGAUGGACGAAGUAAGAGCUAAGUUAGAUGUGGUGCACGAGCUUCUUAGGAAGCAAGUCUGUUCAGCUGAAGGAGAAGUAGCAGAUACGGAAGGAGAAGAAAAUGUGAACUACAUCGGAGGUACCGGAUUCCAGAAAUUUGGAAACCAGGGCGGAAACAGAAACUUCUUUGGAAAUGGCCAAAGAAGUAACCAAAGUUCACAAUUUCAAAAACCCUUCAACAACAGCAAGAGCUACUCGAACUCUUACUACCAAAAUCCACCACCCCAGACUCAGGAAAGCAAGAUCGAAGAGAUGCUUGAUCGAGUACUGUUGGGACAACAACAAAUCACUGUGGAUUUCAACGGUAAGAUAGACUCCGCCUACAACAAUCUGAACACCAAAAUCGAGACCUUAGGGACUCAGGCGAGAAAACUUGAAACCCAAGUAAUUCUGACGGGCGAGACUAUAAAGAGGCAAGAAGCUUUCGCUAGAGAGGCAGGAGCCGACAAAGGAAAACACCACGUAAAUGCCAUCAUAGAUGAUGAUUUCUGGCAAGUGGUGAGAAAUGAAAAGCUUGAGGAAGGAGAUUUCAAAAUCGAAAGCUCCAUGAGUCUCGGCGGAUCCCAAUGGUGUCGACCGAUGUCGAUGAACUCGCAUCGAUCGACAGACCAUGAUGAAGAUUGAUGGAUGGAUUACUCCAGUCAUCGAUCGAUGUCGUCUGCCGAAUCGACUGAAUGCAAUGCGGUUCGAAUUCUAACUCAUGAAGAAUUUGCAGCUACGCAUCAUCACCCACUCUCCCCUUUCUAUGACAAAAUCGAUCGAUCGAUUGAGCCAGCCAUCGAUCGACAGAGUGAGUCCGACGUCGAUCGUCACAAUACACCUCCCAUCGAUCCACAGGCACCUCUGACAUACCGAGUGCGGUUACCCUCAAUCGAUAAUGAUUACAUCAAUGCACUCAGACCACCACCUAAACCAUUAGCAAACCCACCCGAACCAAAACCCAACCCUUUAAAUAGUUCACCAGAAUCAGUUCAAGAAGAACAAGAAUCUGAAGGGAGAAGGUUAAGGAAAAGAAAGGAGAAGAUUCCUAAAAACCUUAAGAGGGAAGCUAACGAUAAGGAGAUGGAUGGUUUCACUAAACGAGUCCUCAGAUUCCCAAUCGAAAAACCUUUUGAUGAAGCUUACUUCACACACCGGUUGUGGAUGUUCUUCAGAGAAACAAAGGUAACUGAGGAGGACAUUAGGAGAAUGUUUCAUCAAGUCAGAGAGAAGAUGAAACACAGGAUCACAUUGACGAAGAAGAGUGAUCCUGGGAAGUUUGCAAUACCAUGCGUAGUCAAGGGUGUUGAAUUUCCCCAUUCAAUGUGUGACACAGGAGCAUCAGUUAGUAUCCUCCCUAGGAUCAUGGCAGACCAGCUUGGUUUGACCAUCGAACCCUCAACAGAAUCCUUCACCUUCGUGGAUCUUUCAGAGAAACGAUCAGGAGGCAUCAUAAGAGAUCUGGAGGUACUGAUUGGUAAUGCCCUUGUCCCUGUAGAUUUUCAUGUCUUAGACAUCGAGCUUAACUGGAACUCUUCACUUCUGCUUGGAAGAUCUUUCCUAGCUACAGUAGGAGCUGUAUGUGACAUGAACAAAAACAAAUUGUGUCUAACGCUCAUAGACCCAAACAUCCACUACGAUCCCAUCCGACCUAAGAGAAAGGUAAUUAAUUCUGUGGAUUAUGGGAAAGAACUUGGCUUCAUUGGCGCAUGCCAUUGUGGAGCAGAGUAUGAAUCGGAGUACGAAACAGAGUACUCGGAAUCGAUCGACACCCCAACCUUUCCAUCGAUCGAUUCCAAUGUGUCAAUGGUGACCGAUGACCACAACAACACGUCACUCGACGUAAUGCACCCACUUGACCAUUUCGCUUCACCUAAUCAUUGUUACCAACAUUUUGCCUUCCAACCUCCAACCAGGAGAGGACAUGAUGAUUAUUCCAUAGGCAGUUGGGCAGACAGUGGUUUCCAUGAAAGUUUUGCAGUUGACACUGUAAUUACUUCACCUAAUGAGGAACAUACCGAGGAAUACGAUGAGGAUUACUGGAAAGAACGUGCAAUAGAAAUGUCUUUGCAGGAUGAAAGACUUGAAACACAUAAGUUCACCAACACGUUUCCAACAUCGUUCGACGCUGUGCACUCCACAUCGGUCGAUACCCACCCUCGUCCAGCAAAACAACCGCUCACAUCGAUCGACACCCCUAAAGGAACAUCGAUCGAUAUUCGCGCCGCAGCGAAAAUUCAGGAGCAGGAGAAUAUUCCCUCCCCAACUAGGUUUAUAGAUACCUAUAUAAAUCGUUUUGCACCUCCGAAACCACCUACACACAUCAGAGCAAACACACAAGCAAAAAAGAUGAACACUCUUCCUUCUACAUCAACAGAAAAAUCCAUGAAGAGCAAUCAUCUCAAGAACACAAGUUCUGCAGAAAUUACACUGCCAUCGAUCGAUGUAACUGUAUCUACAUCGAUCGAUACUACUCUAAACCCUAAUCUUUCUAUUUCUAAAUUGAAUGAUUAUGCAAACAUUGAUUACGGUUUUCUAACACCUGAUGAAUUUGGUAUUUUCAGGGACCCAGAUGGCAACGCACGUGCAAUGGAUGGAAGGAUUUUACAAGUGUCCAGAGAGGACAUAGCAGACAUCCUUCAAGUAGCCAAUGGACCCGACAACCUAUUCUCACAGCAACGUGGCACUCCAGACGUCAUUCAAACAGAUCCUAACAACCACGCAGGAGUCGCCACAACAGAGAUCAACCCAGAUCUAUCACGCCUACCAAAAGGGCAAGCAUCGAUCGACGGUACAACGGAGAAAUCGAUCGACAGGGUAACACCAACGUCGAUCGAUAUAUAGAUGAACCGACGUCGAUCGAUAUAGAUGAACCGACGUCGAUCGACAGACGGUAUGAAUGUGGGAAUCGCCCUUUCGACAUGUACGGAGCCAGAAAGUUCACUUGGGAACAAAGGGACAAGUAUGGAGUCUACAGAGAUGAGCGUGGACACGCACGAAGCGUAGCUGGUGAGAUGAUACCUGUCACAAAGGACAACAUCAGGAAAUUACUGGAAAGAGCAUCUCUUUUUGAAGAAAGCCACAUCUGUCUUCCAGAACAUGCCACUUCCUUCACACUCACAAGACUGGCACCAGAACUCUACACCAAAGAUGAAAUCGAUGAGAUGGUGUUUGGUAUUUGUGGAGCUCAGGAGAAACUGGGAGAGGAGCUCAAAACAUUGGUAGAAGAUACACAUCAGCCUUUGGAUAGAGGCUGCAACGAGCUUUUCAGAUGUAUGGCAGAAAUGAGGACAGAAAUUGAGAGUUUACGUCAGCAACUUGAGAAGGAAGCUACGACCUCAGCAUCGAUCGACGCACCACAUGCAACAUCGAUCGAUGUCAGUCUUCCUACAGCUCAGAUCCCUGCAGAACCGCAAUGUUCAACACAACACAGGGAUGAAUGCGAAGUAUCAUACAUCGACACGAGGAUAAACGACGUUUACUGCCCUCUCAACAACAACGUGGACGGGCUAAGCACUAAAAUCAAGCUACUACAGCAAGAUCUGGACACCAUUCGCAAGAAGGACAAACAACCAGCCACAUCGAUCGACAUGUGUACCUUCACAUCGCUCGACGCUAAAGUCUCAGCCAUGAAUGAGAGGCUGAGGACUUACGAGGAUAUGCAUGACCGNNNNNNNNNNNNNNNNNNNNNNNNNNNNNNNNNNNNNNNNNNNNNNNNNNNNNNNNNNNNNNNNNNNNNNNNNNNNNNNNNNNNNNNNNNNNNNNNNNNNUGAAUAUGUUUAUUUUAAUGAUGAUUUAUUAGUUAUUUCCAUAUUUUAAAAAAAUUUCCAAAAAUAUAAAUUAACAUUAAAUGUAAUAUAUGAGAUAUUACCACAUUUUAAAAAGUUUACCAAAAAUAUAAAUUAACAUUAAAUGCAAUGUAAUUGUCCAUGUCAUAUUAAGCUAUAAGACAUGUCAUCAAUUUCAAUAGCCAUGUCAUAUUUGUUUUGUGAAAUUGAUUGUAGAAUUAACAUGUGACAAAAUCACUUUGCAAAUAUAGUAUAGGGGAUUGAUGUUAUUUGCUUAAAACUUUUUGUCACAUUUUUGACGUUAUAUCCUUCUAAUAAUUGUAAUUAGUUGGCGGCAUGUUUUAAAUGUGUAUAUUUCUAAGUUUUAAAAUGGUUAUAACAUGUACUCCCAUUCGUUUUCCUGUAUCUGCUAAUGUACUUUGUAUAUUUUUAAAGAUGUCAAUAAUCUAUAGGUUUUGAUUUACAAUGUUGUAUCUAUUUACUCAUUGAAAAAGAAGCUGACUAAAUUGUGGAUAUUUUAUUAGAUACAAUAGCUUUACAUAUGUAAUUUAUGCCAUUCAAUUAUUUUGGGGGGGUAAUUCUAGCAAAUUUAUUAGGUUAUAUUUUGUUGUUUAUGUUCAAUAUUUUUCAAAAAUAUUAGUUAUCAUUCAAUAAUUAUUAAUUGUGAUUUUCAUGAAUGAUUAUAUUUUAUUUUUCGAGUUGGGUUGUGAGAGGAAACAAUUAUUUUUUCUGUAAAUGUGAUCUUAAAGAAUGCACUCUACAAACGUUCUCUUCAAGGUUUUUUUUCCUGUAAAUGUGAUCUUAUGAGGAUGCAUACAUACCAUUUUUCACUAUCUUGUUAAAAUAAAGCUCGCUUGAAAAUAUAGUAAUGGUCAAGUUUUGUGUUUGUUAGUGAACAUGUUCGAAUUAAAUGAAUUAAGAAUAUGUUGAAUUAUGAAAACCCCUUAAUAACGCUUCAUUAAUAAUUCAAAAGACAAAGAAAACUACAUAAGAGAUAAACCUUGCAGGGGCAAAAAAAAAGUUUUAAAUGAGAAACAAAGAUGAUAGCAAUUUAAAAAACUACUCACUGAAACAGAGGUUGACGGGAUGAUAUGAAUAAUAAAUUCCUAUCAUUACGGUGGCGCUUGCGGGUGUUUUCAAUACUUGCGGGCUAAUAUGUUGAUUUGCUGCGCUACAUUCCAUUCAUACCUUCUUUCCCACAACCGCCACGUCCGAAGAUGAUGCAGUUAAUCCCCUGGCACCUUCACUGCUUGGAAGAAUGUUCUCAGCAGCCUCUGAAAGUGAUGUAUAAAUAAAAGCUGGGAAAACUAAAGAUUCACCAGCAAGAUUACAAACGUCGGCCUGGUUGUCAAUGAUGAGAUCUUCAGUGAUGGUCGAGACACUGAAGGUAUGGUGGUUGGGUGUGAAGUUAUAAAGUGUCACACGGAUCUGAAACACACUCCUUGCCAGUAAGCUCUUCAAGGGAAGUAGCUCAUCCUCUCCACCGUUUGGUAGCUGUAGUAGGGCAGUAGUUUCAGAGGCAUUGGUAGUGCAUGCGAAAAUGCCAAACAAACUGUAAAUGUUUUGUGGGUAAAUGAGAAUACCUCUUUAAGCGGAAGGACAACAAAUUCUUUGUUGGUAAGCUUUGUCAUCUCCUUAUCAAAGACAACAAACAUAGCCGGUAUCUUUGCCGUCAUCCACAUCAAGCUCAACACGGAACCUUAGAUAGAGGAAUCCCAAGGUUGUUGACUACUUAAACUGAAGGUUUGCUUUAAUAAAUGGAGAAGAAAUUAAAAAAAAUAGAGAAAAGGGAUGUGUACACACCUCACCUUAGCUCUACUCUCCAUGACGAAUCUCAAGACACCAUAGCAAGCCCUAUACAAUACAAUAUCAUUCCAAAAUCAGCAAGAGAAAUGAAAACUACACAACAACUUUAGAGAAACUGCCACUGUCCCUAUGAAGGAAAUGGCUUGAUAACUAAACUAAGCACACUCUCUCUUUUGGGAUGUGAGCAAAAUCAAGUAUCAGUUGAUGAAUAAUAUUUUGCAGUAAGCAUUAAAAACUAUACUUGCCAACGGCAAGACCACCCCACUCAACUCAGCAAAGAACACACCGUCGGCUACAAACUACAGAAACUCAACACAGAUACAAUUCAAAAUACGAUUCCGCGAAGGAGAUCAAUGAGGACAGAAAAGGACACAAUGAAACUCACCUUCCUCUUCUUGCUGAUUUGCGUCGCCAUGAUGUUAAAGCCGCUGAAACCAUAGGGUUGGUUCGAAGAGCGGUCACGGGCGGAUAUUUAGAGGUGUUUGCCGACGACGGAUAGUAAGAGCGGUAGUCACGGGCGGAUAUUUAGAGGUGUUUGCCGACGACGGAUAGUGGUAUCAGAUCUCACCGAUGUCAAAGUAAAACACCUAAAUCACAAAGAACUCAAAAAAGUCAACACCAGUAGAAUAAGAGAGUGAAAGAGAGAUGACAGAGACAGAGUUAAUAAGGAACUUUGGAAUCAAGCUGCAACUCUUUGCUCUCGUGCUCGUCGGACAUAGUAAUUGAAGAGAUCGAGGAACCAGGAGAUGCCGGAGGAAGGAACGAUGAUAGUUGACCUCGAACCCGACGUCUUCUCCGAUAUCUUCAGGUACUUCCCGCGAGGAUUCUCCUUGAGAUCUAAGUAGAAUAGCUUUUGCUCCACUUGCAACGUCUUGCUCACCAAUUCAAGCUCAUUGAGGACCUGUCAGCACCUUCCACCUAUAUAUUUUCAUGUAUUGAGAGUUGCUUACGCUCUCAAGAGAGUUUAAAUAACAUCAAAGAAGAACUGUUUCUACGAUUUACCUCAGAUAUCCUCAGGAAAUGGCCCCUGUUAUUAUUCCCAAGAUCAAAGAAGAACCGUUUCUGGUCAGAUCUGAUUACCUUAGAAACACCGGUUUCAUCCUGGCCUGUCGAGUCAGUUGCUCGAUCAACAGUAGAAGAGGAGGGUUGGUUACCAUGGUCAGGUAUAAAUCCUACGCCCACAUCAUCUGAAACUCCAACCAGAUGUUCCUCUGCAUCAGAAGGCUUCUGUUUUCAAGAGGAAGUGAGAAUAAGACCCGAGAGAAACAGAGAGCUUAUUAGUUAACACCAGUAGAGAGUAUCCCAACCUGAUUCGGCACCAUAAGCCCUGAUGCUUCAAGGAUCUCAGCCAAUAUGUUCCUGAAAGCCGCCCAUCCUUAAUCAGAGAAAAAGGGUUCAUCUGUUUAGAUAGAGUAUAUAUAAAGUGGAAUGCAGGAGGUGUUAUGAACGUGAUCCAUUAUUGAUUAACAGAGAAAAGAUGGAGACGUGGAGGUAGAGUAAGAGAAACUGAUUCAUGGAAACACAAACAGUCGCUUUGUGUUUGGAUUAGUUAACUCCAUUGAAGAGAACGUUUCGAAACAGAAGAGAUCUACUGGGCCAUAUAAAUGAUUUUCUUUAACCAAAGUCCAUUCUAAGACUCAGGUUUCUCAAAACUAAUAACAUAAUACGAAGCUCGUUAACAGACCAGUCCAAUAAUGAAAAAAAUCACGGAUUAACAAAAGAAGCCCGAUUCUGUACAAUUUAUGGAUCAAAAAAAGACAGUCCAAACCGUGUCUGACGUGGAAGAAACACACAACCCUAUUGGCUAAAUAUUUCAUCCGACGUGGAGGGCCUAAAUGAUGAGGAUAUCCCCUUUUAGUAUAGUAUAGAUAUCAUAUGAUCAUUGGUAAUUGGUAAAUCAACUUGUCAAUCAACAACUAUUUAUAAUAGUGGGAAUCCUAUGCUCAUUGUACGAUGCAAUUGAUUGCUCUUUAGAAAUAAAAAUAGAUGGCUUUUAAUAAUGGAUUUUGAAAUUUUAUACAAUUAUUAUCGUUAAAAAACUCAAUGAUUAUUUUUUAUGUAAUUAUUUAUUUUUACAUGUUUAUUACGUGAAUAAUAGUAAUACUCAUUUGUCAUUCAUAGUAAAUUGAUGUGUUUACUGUUUAGAGCAUUAUAAUGAACAUUCUCAACAAUGUAAAAUCCAAACUUGAUGGCUUCAAAAAGAGUCUCUAGUCACUUGAUGGUAAACCACGACUUUCAGAAUCCAUUUCCAAACCACUACAACAUUACAAAGCAAAAGCACAAGAUAUCUAUCUACCAAUAAUAGUUUGCAUCUCAGUGCAAAAAGCUUAAUAACCUAACAUUCCAAUUGAAGAAGUGUGUACACACAACUACUAAAAAACGUUAUCAAGUAUAACUUUCCCCAGUUUGAUCCAAAAAAAGUAUAACUUAUUAACUUUCCCAGCAAAUUUUUAAAACUGACCCAUUGGAUGAUGUUGUGCAAUCACUCACAUGAUCCACUUGCUGUUCCUGUCUCUUUAUGUGGUGGUGUCCUUUUCAUACAAAGCCAUCGAGGGGUUUUGUGCAAUUACAGUCCUCAGAUUCUCUGUGAUCUCUCUUUUUGAAGUUAGAACAUUUCGUACCAAUCACUUUAUCUAACUCCUAUUUACUACACUGCUUCACAUGCCCAAACAUUUGUACCCAGUAACUUUUUUUUCUUUUUUUGUUCACAUCCGCCGAUGUCUUAAUUUAUUUUCCUGAUAAAUUGAUUGUUUUGGUUCUAAAGUACUUUCUCUUUAAUUGCCCGGUUAAGGAAAAUUAAAAUCUACCUAUUACGAAUUAGUAUGUUGGUAAGUACUAAGUAUGUAGAGAGAGGGGGUGUAAUAAUGAGGCGUGGGGUGUUGUGAAGUAUGGAGAAAAGUGGCGCUCACUUGCUUGAAACUAUUUUAGAAUUUUUACCCAGAAAUUAUUAAUUAUUUUAUAGUAGUAUUAUUGUAAGAUAUUUAUCUGUGUAAAUAUUAUUAGAGAUUGACAUUGGACCACUGAUCACAAAGUGCGAGAGGAAUAAAUUUUUACGGAGGCAAAGCGAAUGUGUAACAACAUACCUUAGAAGUCAGUGAAGAUGAAUUCUUUGUCCAGGUAAAAAUAUUUUUGCUAGUUAUACAAUUCAUGGGAAUAAUGUUAAUAAUCAAAUAUAGAGUUGGGUUCAAACUUAGGAAUUAGCAAUACACCUUCACUAAUUUUUCUUCUUUUUGUUUAAUAAAAUCAUUUUCUCUGCACACUAUGUCACUACGGAAUCCUACUGGUACUUAACUCAUUAGUCUGAUUGCAGAUAAAGAAACUCAUUAAUCUGAUUAUUUAUAUUUUGAAUGUCCGUCGUACGUUUUCAAUAUAUUUUCAAUUGAAUUACCAUCAUCUGAUUCUUUUUAGUUUGGUGUAAUUGUUUGUAAAUCUACACUAAGAGAAUACCUGUAUAAUUCAAGUUCUAGCCGCAACUUAGUUGAUCAUUUUCCGUAUAUUUCUUUGGCCAGUUUGUUAAUGGUGUUACUUAGAAACUUAUGUUUGUCAUUUAUCAUAUUUUGAAAAUUAACCGCAGUGUUUUAGAGCUUUUUGUAUGUAAAGGAAAGGAAAAUAAAAAUAAAAAUAAAAUGUAUAUACUCUAUUUAGAUAUUAAUAUUCUGAAAUAAAAUAACGUAAUAUUUUCAGUAGAAUUUUACAUGAUUUUAGGUGCAGGAACAGAAUAAUUGUUCUUUUACAUGGGUACAGAACUACACGAAUAUACUCAUAAUGAAUGGCUAGAGAGGCAUAAUUGGGGUGGGUAUAUAUAAUUAACAAAAAUAACAAUUAUACAAAAAAAAAUGCAAGAUAUUUGAUGAGAAUUGGUGAAGUGGAGCUGGAGCUGGAGCUCAGACCCGUCUUGUUUAGUUAGAUAAAUGUUAUCCUAUCUUUCACGACGUGGUGCUAUCAGAAACAUGUCUGGCGCUCGAAUACAACAAUUUCAAUUCGUAUACUUGUAACAAAUAUAUAAAAAACAAAUCAGAAGAAACAAGAUAAAUGAAAGGAUUGGUAUCGACCAAAAUUCCACCACUUUGUUGAAUCGAUCGUAUGCAUUAUAAGGACAAGUCUUUUCUGAUAAGCUUCUUUUGGAUCAUAUGAUAAUUGAUCAUCUUUGCACUAUACAUUAAUUUACACACACCUAUACAUAACAGUGUAUUUUAUAUAAAAAACAAAUUAUUAGUUGUAAAAGAAAAAAACUGUGGCGACAUUAUGGGUUGUCAAAAUAAUUAAAUAAACAUUAUUUUUAUCUACAUGUUUUUUUUCUGAAAAAAGCUUAUUUUUAUCUACAUGUUGACUCACUAAAAUAUCUCAGCGCCUCUCAAUAUUGCAUAUAUUUAUCGAAAUUUUUUUUGUAAACUGGCUUUCAUUCAUAACUUAAAAGAAAAAAAAGAAAACAUACAAACCAAGGUGGGCUUAAGUUUGUGAAGAGAAUGACUCAGUGUUUUUACUCUUAAGAAAUACACAUAUCAGAGGAACUAAGGAAGCCCAGUUGUAAUCAGGAGAAGGCCCAGUUGUAACUUUGAACCCGAGAAAAGAAGUGGAGUAGCAGAAGAGACGAUCAAAGGUUUUGCGCAGUGUUCAUCAUCGCCAACUCCGCUCAGCUUAUGAUCCCUGAAACCAAAGUUGAAUCAUCGCCGAGGAGGCCCGCGGGUUAGUGUUUCUGAAACUCUGAAGGCGAUUACGAAUCUGCUUGUCAAUUGUGGAGAUGAUCGUUUCUGGUGACUUGAAGACUUGUUGGUGAAGUCUGGAGUUACGUUCAGUCCAAAUCCAGUAGACGGUGGCUUGCACAGCUAGCAGAGUGAGUCGGCGGGAGUCUCUAUUUGAGCGAAGAGCCUGCAGUUGAUUAACGGUGUCGACCCAAGUGGAGAGUGGUGGUAGCUGGCAUCUAGUUGCGAUCUGAGUCCAGAUGCGAUAGCUGUAGGAACAUUCAAAAAAGAGGUGGUUCUUACUCUCAUGGUUAGUAUUACAAAGCAAACAGGAGGGAUCAACAUUAAGCCCCCAUCCAUUUAACCUGUCUCUUGUAGGGCACCGGUCAAGCACUACCAGCCAAGUGAGAAAACUGUGGCGAGGAAUACCAUAUAUUUAUCGAAAUUGCUUAGUAUUUUAAGUUUUCCUUAAACCCGUGAGCCGCGACCCUCCUUCGUGUCAUGUUGCUUGAUUCCUUCAACUCUCUUAUAUAUUACACAUGUUUUUGUCGCUAGCACACCCCUUACAGAUACAUGCACACUUAAAUUCGACGAUUACGAAUGCACGUUAAUGAGUAAAAAUGUAGUGUACAUGUAUCCAGAAAUUGAAGUACAGUCUUUAAUUAGUCCAGCUAUGUUCACACUUCACAGUCAUUUAGUUUGAUUUUAUACGAACAAAUCGCUUGGAUUUAGUAGUUUAGGAACACGUCAGAGAUUUUGAAUAUCAACGUGAAUUGAGACUUCUAAGAAGAAAAAAAACGUGAACUGAGACUGACAUAACAAACUAAAUAAUAGUACAAAUUUAUACAAGGAAUAUGGCAUAUUCACUCUUAUUCCCUGCCAUUUUUUUCUUGAACAAUUUAAUACAAGCCGUUAAUUGUUGUGUGUUUUCGUUCCCGCUAUUGAUUUGAUUUUGAACUAUGUGAAUUAAGGUUAAGCGAAAACGCGAAGAUGCAAAUAUCACCCGACUUAUAGAACAAUUUAAAAUCAAUAUUUUAUGUGUGGAAUCAGAUAAAAUAAUACAGACAAUAAAACUGAUAAUUGAAACAAUUUAAUAAAAGCGUUGGAUUCCAAUGUAAAAUUCUAAUUUUAUUUUAAAAAUUAAAUAACUCCAUAAUAGAGUUGAAUUUAUUAUAACCUUACUUUACAAACGGAACGAAGAAUAAAAUAAUGAAACAAAUAAAAUAAUCAUUAUAUUUAUAGAAUAAAUCUAUAUUUAUUCUAUUAUAAAAUAAAAAUGGAAUGAAAUAUAAACAUUUCAUAUUCCAAAUUCUAUUUUGGAAUAAAUUAUGGAGUUAGGUUAAAAAUACCCUAAGCAAUUCAAGAAGGUUUACUUUAGGUUAAUAGUAGUACCGUAGAACUGUAAGGCAGCGUGUCCUUCAGUUAUUGGUAGUCAAAGACUUUUAGUUUUAGGCUUUUAGCGUACUUGCUUAGUUAUUUGUCAAAGUGAUCUUUACUUUGCUUCGUAUAUCAGCUUUACGUGAGCCAUUAAAUUUCCUCUUUUUUCUCUCCAAAAGUCAACACGCUUAUAACUUUUAUAAUGGGACUGUGACUGACCGUAAGGAGAAAAGCAAUAAAACAAUAAUAGGAAAGGUAAAAGUAAAAGUUUUCCAAAUAUGAUCAACAGAAGGGAAACAAAUAACGGAGAGUCCAGGUUCUAUUCCAAUGCAUAAUUGAUUUACGUUUGGUAGGUUUUUAUAUGAAAAAGCGUUUGUAAAAGCAAAAACAUGGAUUGACCAUUUCGGUGGGUGGUUACAAAUACAAGUAAAUGCAUAAUUAAGGAAUGUUUCACCUUUAUUGCAAUUUCUAUCAACUAAGAAAACUCGAAAAUGUUCCUAGACCGAACCUGAAAUUAGCUUAUACUAGUUUUAUUUUAGAUCGACGUUCCCUUGUUUUGUUAACCACAAAAUUAACAUAUCAAAUUCAAGACACUAGAUUUUGGAACUUUCUCUUAUUUCUUUUUUCAGUGAACUUUAUACUGCUUAGUUUAAACUUUACAUAUAUACAUGAGACACUAUAUACACUAGAAGAGGUUUCGGAAAACAUGUAAUUAUUCAGUAUGUUAAUACCACUCGCUUAUGUUAAAUCAAUAUCUGUGGGAUAUAAAAUAAAACCCUCCUCUUUAGAAUGCCUUCACAAAAAAAAAAACUCCUCUUUAGAUAUUAAUUUUUGAAGCAAAAAAGUUGAAAGCGCUUACUUUAUUUUUCUGAGUGUUCUCGCUAGCUUGCUGUCAAACGAUUCAUCGUUCAUGAGAUCUUGAUUUCCAAAUAAGACAGAUUUGACUUUUGUUGGUUUGUAAUAUUCACUCUUACAUCAUCGGAAACACAAGCAAGUCUCUUCAUGUGCUCAUUUCCUUCUCCAUUAAUCUCUUUUCGGGGUUCUCAAUAUCACACACUCUCUUUCUAUUUCCUUCACAUCCAUCUCUGUAUUUUAACAUCUUCAAAAAACUUGUAUAGAAUGUUUAUUUCGAACCAACAUGUAUUUUUAUUAUUAUGUCAAAGAUUAUAUAAAGAAGGUUAGACCGUUUAUUCUAUUUUUUACUAUAAAAUAGAUUAAUUCUAUAAUAGAGUUUAGUUUGCUCUAAUUGUACUAUAUUUUAAAGUAAAAAAUAGAGUAAUGAACAAAAAAAUAUAUUUUAUAUUUGGAGUAAACCUAUUUUCACUCUAUUAGAGCAUCUCCAAAAGACAUUAUAUUUUGAAGUUUCUAAAACUCUAUAUUCGAAGUUUAAAAGUGUUUUUCUCCAAAAUAAAAAUUUAAUUUCAAAACUAUUUGUAUUUUAUCUUAUGGUCCUUAUAUUUUUUAUAAUUAUUUUAAAUUCAUAUAAAUUUUGUAAAUAACUAAGCACAUAUAUACAAAUAUUACAACAAUUAACUAAUAAAAUGUUAUAUUAAAAUACAAAUUUUAAAUAGAAAUAACAUAAUUAUUAAACUUCAAGAAAAUAAUCAUAUUAUUCCAUAAAACUAUUUUCGUAAUACAUAUAUGAUCAACUAGUAUAUCUCUAAGUAAAAAAUAACUCUCUUUAUUUUUAAUUUGUAGAUCACAAAUUAAAAAUUGUUGAAAUCAAGUGAUUUUAAACUUGUAAAUACACUAGAUCUGAACAAAAAAGUAAAAGAGGAAAAUAAAUAUUGCUAAAAGACUUAACUUCUAUCAAUGAUAUUAAAACUCAGUGAAUACAUUCGAUCUGAUAAAAAAUAAUCAUACAAAUUAAACAUCAAAACAAAAACCAUCUUCAGUUACACCAAAUUUGUUUGGCCAAUAUUUUGGAGAUUUUGGAGGUUCUGAAUCAAUUUUACAUGACUACUAGUGUUGUAAUAUUUAAAUUUGUGUAAUAGUUAUGUCUUCAUGUAAUUUUUGAAAAGAUUUUUUGUUGCUAAGUUUCUUUUGUAUUGUUGUUGUUUAAAUCUAGUUUUAAAAUAUUUUAAAUCUUAUUUUAAAGUUGUGUUUAAUUUUAUGUGUAAAACUUAAAUUUAUAAUAAAAAUUGAAAUUUUAUGAGAUAUGAAUUUUUUUAGAAUUAGUACAAUAAACGAAAAAAUAUUUAAGAAUUAUAAAUAUAAUAUGUAAUUGUAGGGAUCAAAAUGCAAUUAAAAUAUGAAACUUCAAAUUUGAAGUUUUGAAAAGUGAAACUUCAAUAUAGAGUUUCACUCCUCAAAACUUCAAAUUUGAAGUUUUUUUUUAGAGAGCCAAAAACUUUAUAUUUGAAGUUAUAGAGUAUAUUUUAGAGAUAGAGUAAAAAAUAAAGUACCAUUAAAAUAUUUUUUUUUUAUUUUAACAGUAAAAAAUAGAAUGAAGUUGGAAAUGCUUUUAGGGAGCUUUUUUGAAUCAUCUUUCCCAACACAUCACCGAUACAUAUAUAUAUGGUCGAUACUGGAUAUUUGUUUGACAAAUUUGUAUGAGAAAAUUUGGAUGUUCUUCUAUGUUAAAAUACGGAUUUGAAUACUUAGAUUUUGUGGAUAUCCGGAUAUCAUCUCCAGUUUAUAUGACCCAUAUUGGAAUAUAUGUUUACUCGUUUAGUAUUUAGAUAAAGUUUUGGUCACAUAUUAAAUUGGUGAUCAACUUAGACUGGACUCCACGAUAGUCAAAUAAGCAUAAGUUAAAUUAACGAAUAGGUGAAUCGGCUAGUGCCCGCAAUUCGAACGGUAUGCAGGUUUCCAUGGUACGGAUAGGGAACAUUUGCGUUAAUUUAUAAAGCUCCUUUGUUUUUUUCUCUCUCUCUGAAAGUAAUUAUGAAGCAUACCAACUUUAUAAAUUAUUUAGCAAAAAAAAAAAAACUUUUAAAAAUUACGUGACCCUUGUAGUACUAAAUUCUUAAAAUUUUGUCUUUAUUUAUCCCGUAUAUGUGACAUGACAACUAUGGCAAUUUAACGGCGUUAACCAUCUCAUAACUCAUUCGUAACCGGCGAGCAAGCAGGGUGAGUGAAGGAACUCAGGUCCCACGCGUCUCCUCGAAUGGCGAGCUUUCUCUCUGGCGCCAUCUGGUCUGUGGGUUCUACAAUCGGACGGCUGUGCUGCAGACGUUAAAACUCUCAAUAAUUCAAUGUUGAUGACUUGGCAUUAUAUCACUGGACAGCUACUGAACACGAAAGUUAUCUGACUAGCCAAGCUCGGAACAGAAGCUAACCUCUUUAGUUUCAUUUACUCUAGUUAUCAAAAUUUUGGCAAAAACUAUUAGUAAUAAAUAUUUAUAAAACAACUUUUUAAAUAGGUUAUGGUUAUAAUAAGAGAAGCUUCUUAAAUUUGUAGAUUUAUAGGUGAUUGUUGUAGUUCUUUUCUUUUUAUAGCAACUAUAAUUUUUUAUUCUAAGAGUGCAACAAGUGUAUUUAUCUCCUCAACAGCUUUAAAAAUGACGGGGACAUCUUACCAGCAGUUUAUGUUGACGUUUUUACUCGAAUUCAAAUCCAAAUAAAUGCUUGAAUUAAAAAAAACUUCAAACGCAUAUGUUUUUGUGAACACUGAAAAUUAACCUUUUUGCUCGUAGUCUAAAUGAAAUGAAAUUAUGAAACUAUAUGAAUUGACAAAAAGGUAAAGAAACUAUGGGACCCAAAGUGAAAAGAUGGGUUUAUUUGUCAACACCGUAACGGGUUUGGGUUGGUAAAGUGUAAACGCAGUUUUGAGCCUUGCUGGUCUUCUCAUUACACCGUUACUAGUUUGGUGAUUCACCAUGGGGAUAACGCUAGAACUGGAAAAACCAACAACCUAUGAACAAGUGUCGGAAUUUGAGCAGACUGUUCUGAGCCUUGCUUGUCUUCUCACUGCAACGUUACUCUGGUCCAAACAAAGAAUUAAUCUGAUUUAUGUGUGUAGUAACUGCCGCAUACAAGAGUUUUAAAUUAAACAAAAAAACCCUUAAAGAAAUAAAAGGCAGAAUACGUAUGAAAGAAGCAAAAUCUUGACGAAUCCAAAACGCUUCUUUUAUAAGUUUGUGUGUGAUAUAUACAUCGAAAACAUUUAAAACAGAAAAGCAUGAGAAGGAGAAGAAACGUGUGCUGAGUCUGUGACGCAAAUCACUAAUAACUGCCGCAAGCAUCCAUUUAAUUUCACAUAUAGGUCCCACUCAUCAUCCAUAUCAUCAUCAUCAUCCUUGAUCCACUUCAUUCACAACAGUAACAUCAUCAUAGUGAUUAUGAUGACGAUGAUGAUCAUCUGUAGUUUUUCAAUAUACGCUUUAAGUUUUGAAGAGAUUGAACCGGCCUAAUCACACAUUAGCAACCCAAAGACUAAUCACCCUAACGUUUAUCGCAAGCAAAUUAAGCUCGUUCACAUAUGCCAUAAAGUAUCAAUGAAAUAAAUAGAUCAAGAAAUAUUAAGUUUAUUACUUUUUUUUGGUCAGCGUUUUAUUACUUCUUUUUCACUAAACAAGUAGUCUUGAAAAGCAGAUGUUGUCAUAUCCUCACAUUGAGCGUUUUUUAUUGUUUUUCUUUUGUAAAAAAUAAACUGAUCUGUUUACUUUUAGUCUUUGUAAUCUUUUUUUCCUUUUAGAAAUCUAUUCAAACCUGAUAAUAAAAGCGAAAGACUAAAGCUAAAACCAAAUGGACAAAAUGAUCUAAAAUAAUAGUGGGUGGGACAAUUCCAAUUCCAUUUCUCCAUUAUUUUGGCCCAAUUUGAAAAAGAAAAUAAACAAACAUUAAUUGUAAAAAAAAUAUAUAAAAGAGUUUAGUGAAUUAAAGGUGUCAAUAUCACUAAAUACCCACAUAUUUUAAUUUCAGAAAGGGUUUGGUAUCUAGUAUCUACCAAACUUGUUCAACGCAUUUGAGUAUAUUCUUUUUACGACUAACUAAUCAUAUGAGUAAAGAACUUUGCAUAAUAGAAAACACAUUCCAUAUUUAUUAAUUUCUGAAACACAUAAACAACUAUGAACACCAGGGUCUCAUUAAGAAAGCAAGAACCCAGAGAAAAAAAAACAAGAACUGCAAUGUAAAAUAUUUGUUUGAUUUUAUAUUAUCAUACUAUAUAUAUUACUUAAGAACUAUCACAAAUUAGAAAUAAAUCCUAAUAUAACUUAGGAUUCGAUCCGUUGGAGUAAAAAAAAGAAGGAUUCUAACAACCCCAAAUAAUUAAGAAAAACCCCAUUUCCAUGUAUAAUCACAGACGAGAAGGAUACACAAACCAUGGAAGCUUUGUUUUUUUGUUUGCUCACAUAAUAUUGCAGCUUGAUGUGUUCUCAUCAUUGAAAUAAUUAGAAUACUGAUCACCACCAUGAGGCGGAUAAGGGUAUGGAUACGGGUACGGGUAAGGAUGUUGUUGGUGCGGUUGAGGUGGCAAAUAGUUGACCUCGGGUGGUGGCCGAGCGUACAUCAUCGGUUGGAACCGCUCGUUGCCCAUGGCUCGUUGCUGGUUCAUAACCGCUGCUAAGUAUUGUUGCUGUUGUUGUUGCUGCUGCUGUUGUAAGUAGGGAUUUCCCGGCAUUGAGUCUUGGCCGCCUCCCGAACCAGCAUGGCCUUGGAAAUAUCCUGGCGGGGCUCCUGCAGCUGAGCCACCACCGCCACCUCCUGGACCCAUCGCAGGUAAUCCUUGAACCGCUUGCAUAUUAUUACCCAUUGGACCAGGACCACCACCCAUUGAUGGUAGACUACCCAUUGGCCCACCCAUUGGCAUGUUCAUGGUCUGAGGUCCGCCAUUGCCACCUCCCAAUGGACGGAAACCUGGCGGGAGUCCUCCACCCAUGGGUCCUCCUCCGCCUCCGCCACCACCACCACCACCAGCACCACCCUUUUUGCCUCCGUUGGGACCACCUAUCAUCUGGCCUCCUCCUUUAUUAUUACCGUUAGGACCUCCACCACCUCCGCCAUUUUUUACAUCUAAUGGAGGACCACCACCGUUUUUACCGCCGUUCUUUCCUCCGCCUUGAUUUGGAUUCCCCACAUUACCGCCACCACCUCCACCGGGGGGACCUCCUUUCAUACCACCAUUACCUCCGCCGCCGCCAGGCAUUUGAACAGGAAAAGGAACACCACCGGGGCCUCCUUUACCCACAAUUUUGCCACCGGCGGGCCCCGGCCCACCACCGCCGUUAUUCUGAGCGUUGGGCAUCAUCAUCAUGUUAGGCAUCAUCAUGUUACCUCCACCACCACCCAUCAUAGGCUUCAUCUUGUUAGGCGGAGGGUGGUCGUCAAACUCGUCAUCGUCCAACUCAUCAUCAUCAAACUCGUCAUCAUCACUGAAAUCGUCGUCAUCAUCUUCAGGAACAUCAAACUUCACAGCCUUCUGAUUAGGAUUCUGAGGGUUCUUGUUCAUAGGAACAGAGCCAGGUCCCGGACCCUUUAACUGAGGUGGAGGAAGCUUCAGAUCUUGAAACGCUUUCAUCUGCUGAAGCUGUUGAAGCUGCUGAAGUUGCUGAGGACUCAGCUGCUGCAUCUGUUGUGGAGUUAACUGUGGAAGAAUCAUCUUCGGCGGCCCACCACCGCCACCUCCACCGCCUCCGCCACCUCCGCCACCGCCACCACCUCCCUUCUGGCCUUUGUUAUUGUUUCCACCGCCGCCACCGCCACCACCUUUGCCGCCGUGGUCAAUCUGCAUGCCUUUGAGCUGAUUAGCCAAGUUGGGUUGGUUCUGAUUGGUGUUAUUUGCCUUUGGAGCUCCCCAGAUUUCGGCAUGUUUACCAGAUUUCAAGAGCUUCUUGAUCAGGACCGAAGGUUCAACGUUUCCGGACACUGUCACUUUCCCUUGCUCUGCGUCUAUCUUUGUCGUGAAAACACCUGUUUCAGGUCCGAAAACAACAUAGCGUAAGUCAAUUGAAGUCUUUAGUCAAAUCAGAAUUAAAGUGAAAAUUUUCGCAAGUCAAAAUGUAGAAGGUGAUAUUUUGGAAGAUCUUUGUUUUUUAGCUUCUCUACCUUCAAUCUUCUGCAAGAUUUUCUUCACUUUCUGCUUACAACCAUCACAGUGAAUAUUCACUUUAAGAACACAAGUCUACACAAGAAAACAUCACAACAACAGAGUAAGCUCUCAUAUUAAAUAUUAGAAUAAUACCAUCGAAACAGGAAGAUAUAAUGUGGUGAGCAAACAAACCUGUAUCUUCAUAAACUCUUCUUUACUCAUUUUUCUAAUUUUAAUUGAAAUAUUCUAUCUCGCUAGAUCUGAGAAAAACUCCUCUGGUUCUUGAAAGUUAGAUGUGCACAAUCAAGAACGUAGAACGAUGUAAAGGAGAAUUAAAACGAUUAUGAAUUACAUAUAGUAAUAGAGAGAGGGAGGAGGUAGUAAUAAUGAGGCGUGGGGUGUAGUGAAGUAUGGAGAAAAGUGGGGCCUACUCACUUCUAAAUCCACCGUACAUUAGAAAGAUUCCCAUAUUAGAUACAUGGGUCCCGCUACGUUUCUAGUAACUGACGAUCCUCACCGUUGAUUAUUAUUUUCCCAUAUCGAGUUUUUUUUUUAGUCUGCGUUGCACCGAAGUAUUACUUACUACUACUCAUCGGCUCGACCCAGCUCGGCUCUUCGAACCGGUUUGAUUUUCCGGUACACUUAUAGGUAUUUUUCUCUCGUACUUGUAGGCUUUAACUACCCUUUUGACCGCUCACCUACAUCAUGCAGAUAGGAUGAUAUCUUGUUAUUCGCUCUUUUUGACAGACGUAACAAGCAAAUCAAGAAUCUGUUGAUUUAUUCAUCAGUUUAAUAAAAAAAGGAAAAAUUGAAGUUAGAAUACUGUUACGACUUUCCCAUUCUUUAUUGUUUCUUUUUGAAGCUACAUAGAUCUUGCAUUAGUUAUGAAACACUUAGACGAUCGGUUGCAGUAUGCUUUCGAUAUAUGAGACAUUGUAUUGAUAGCCAUCACAAGACCAAACGGCGCAUGCAUUGUGUCAUCUCAAACAGUAGUCUUAGUAUGGCCAAAACGAACUCAUCUCUGUAUGCAAAUGAACGUUAUCUGGAACAAAGAUUUUCAGGUUUUUCUGAAGAUGUUGCAUCUAGAAUUCUCUUCGUAGGCUGUGGAUGAUGUGACUGUGACCUGCCAUGCACGUUUUGAAUGUCGCGGUUAACAGGUUGAUCGACCUUCUUUUGAAAAUGAUAAUGUUUGUGAUGUUCAUUUGUCAUUAGUUGGUUUAUAAUUGGAAAAGUAUCCUUAUAAAAAAUAAAACAAUGCAAAUUUAAAACUAGCGACGAGUGUGAGUGACACGAGCUAUAUAGAGAUUGACACUGGACCACUGAUCAUAGAUUGUGAGUGAAAUUAAAUUUUAGUUUUUACCAAGGCAAAGCGAAUGUGGUGUAACAAUAUACCUUAGAAGUCAGUGAAGAAUUAUUCUUUGUCCAAGUAAAAAACAAUUAGCCUUUUCAAUUCAAGGGAAUAAUGUUAUUAAUCAAAUACAGAGUUGGGUUCAAACUUGGGAAUCAGCAAACAAUAUUAAGAAAAUAAUCAGGCAUCGGACCAUAAUUAAAGGGUUUUGUCGGUCAUGUUUUAGACCAACCCAUCUCUUUUGUAGGGCUAAGUAACAAUUAAUACGUUCCCAGCCAUCCAACAUAUAUUUAUAGUGUUAUUAUGUCGAUAAUUUAAUAUACUGGGUGUAAGUAUUUAUAUAGUAGUACUAAGCAACUUGUUCAACCAGUAAAUUCUAGUGACAAUGAGAAAGGACUUCAGUGUUCAGAAAACAAACUUUGCAAAUCGCAACAAGCAUAUGUCCAAACACAUGACAUUAAAUUGCGUAAUUUUGUUUAACUUUCGCCAGUCAGUAAGUCGAUGGGAAGAGGAAAAUGCUAGCCGUUGAGAUUGAAGAAAGGAUAGCCGGAAGCAGCAAGUGUAUUGGACAUUGCCAUGUGAGCAUCACUGACACUAGACCGUGUUGGGUCUUGAGCCAUCUCUACUUCGAACUCCUCACUUUGACUCUUACAAGUCUUACUCUUCUUUUAACUCACUUUAUCAUUUAAUUAAUUUAAACACCUUCACUAAUUUCUUCUUCUUUUCUAAAUAAAAUAAUUGUUACCACCCUCCCUACGAGCCUAACCCGUACUUAUUAACGCAUUAAUCUGAUUAUAUUAUACCAUCUCUAUAUUUAUAAUGUCCGUAGUACGUUUUUUAUAUUCUUACAGUUGAAUUACCAUCAUGUGAUUUUUUUAGUUUGGUCUUUUUAAAUUCACACAAAGGACAAUAUUUAAUUUAAGUCUUGACCAAAACUUUAGUUGACCAUUUUCACUAUUUAUUUGGCCAAUUUGUUUAAUGGUGCUAUUAAUAAAAUACUGUUUGUCAUUUAUCACAUUUAAAAAUUAAUCACUGUAUUUAGAGGGUUCUCGUGUGUGUAAAGGAAAAAUAAAAUAAAUCAUAUACUUUAUGAGUAAAGGCAAAACAAAAAUAAAUCAUAAGUAUACUACUUUAUUACAAAUAUAUAUUCUUGUAUAAAAUGCAUCGGUAGUUGUAAAAGUAAAUUAACAUAUAAUCUUGCCUUCUUGGUAUAUAACAGAAAAUAAAUCAAUAUUUAGAAUAAAUACAAGACCAUAAUAUAUUCAAUAGAUUUCUCUGAUUUUUUUUUGAAAAAUAUUUCCUCUGAUUUUACGUGCAGGCAAAGAAUAACUGUUAAAUUUCCUUUUAGACAUAAUAAUAGAUUUUAUUUUAUUUUGGUACAGAACUACACAAAUAAAUAAGUUAUAUGUAUUUCAUAAUGAAUGGCUAAUAAAUAGGCAGAGAUUAGGGUGAGUACAUGAUAUCAUAAAACAAAAAAAUGCAAGAUAUUUGAUGGGAGUUGGGUGAAGUGAGUUCUGAGCUGUUUUGUUUAGUUUUUAUUUUUAUUUUAUAUAAAUGUUAUCCUAUCUUUCACGUGGUGCUAUCAGAAACAUGUCUGGCGCUCAAGUUGGCAAUUUCAAUUCGUAUACUUGUAACAAAAUAUAGUUAACAAAAAAACAAAAUAUAUGAAAAAGAAAACAGAAGAGAAAAAGGAAAUGGGAAUUCGGCCAAAAAAAACCUCAACUUUACACGAAUUGCCAAAACAAACAUGAACUUUGGGGCUGGCCAAAAAAACACCAAACUUUCAUUGACUUUAGAAUUAAUUAACAAUGUUUUCGCUGACUUGCCAAUUUAGCACGCCGUCAACAAAUUUAACAGAAAUAUUUGACGUCGUUUAUUGUUGACGUUAAGUGAAACGACGUCGUUUUCAAAUGAGAUGAAACGACGUCGUUUUACACGAUUUGAAAUUAAAAAUAUGUAAACCCCUGGAUUCGAACCCAGGUUGGUUGGUUAAGUGGGAAGGUAUUUUACCACUGGGCUACUGACACUUUCAAUGUACUUACUAACAUGUUUAUUUUUAUUUGGUACAUAUUAAAUAUAAAAAAUUCUCUAAAAACUUAAUAACAUCUUUAAAAUUCCAAAAAAUUAAAAAAUAAAGAAGAUUUUUAUAAAAUUAAUUUAGAAAUUAAAAUUAAAAAUAAGAUUUUAUUUUUCUUUUUAAAAAAUAAAAACUCUUCCAAAAUUUUCUAAAAACUUAAAAAGAUCUUUAAAAUUCCAAAAAAUUGAAAAAAUAAAGAAUUUUUUUAUAAAAUUAAUUUUGAAAUUAAAAUAGAAAAUAAAAUUUUAUUUUUUCUUUUCAAAAAAAUAAAAAAUCUUCCAAAAUUUUCAAUUUUUUUAAUACAUUUGCUAAAAGUUGAAAUUAAUUAUACACACAUAAAAAGUUGAUAAUUCUAACUUUAAUUUUUUGCAUUUUAUUAUAAUUUUUAAAAAUUUGGAUUUUUUUUUUAAAAAAUGAAAAUUUUGGAAUUUUUUUGAUUUUUUAAAGAAAAACAAAUAUUUAAUUUUAAUUCAAAAUUAAUUUUAUGAAAUUUUUGGAAGAUUUUUUUAUUUUUUUUAAAGGAAAAUAAUUUUUUAUUUUUUUUAAAGAAAAAUAAAAUUUUAUUUUCAAUUUUAAUUUCAAAAUUUAUGUUAUAAAAAAUUUCUUUAAUUUUUUCAAUUUUUUGGAAUUUAAAGUUCGUUUUAAUUUUUUAGAAAGAAAAAUAAAAUCUUAUUUUUAAUUUUAAUUUCUAAAUUAAUUUUAUAAAAAUCUUCUUUAUUUUUUAAUUUUUUGGAAUUUUAAAGAUCUUAUUAAGUUUUUAGAGAAUUUUUUAUAUUUAAUAUGUACCAAAUAAAAGUAAACAUGUUAGUAAGUACAUUGAAAGUGCCAGUAGCCCAGUGGUAAAAUAUCUUCCCAUUUGACCAACCAACCUGGGUUCGAAUCCAGGUGUUUACAUAUUUUUAAUUUCAAAUCGUGUAAAACGACGUCGUUUCAUCUCAUUUAAAAACGACGUCAUUUCACUUAACGUCAACAAUAAACGACGUCAAAUAUUUCUGUUAAAUUUGUUGACGGCGUGCUAAAUUGGCAAGUCAGCGAAAACAUUGUUAAUUAAUUCUAAAGUCAAUGAAAGUUUGGUGUUUUUUUGGCCAGCCCCAAAGUUCAUGUUUGUUUUGGCAAUUCGUGUAAAGUUGAGGUUUUUUUUGGCCGAAUUCUCAAAAGGAAAUGAGAGGAUUGGUAUCGACCCGUUAAAGCCAACCCACUAAGUUGAAUCAUUCAUAUGCAUUACAAGGACAAGUCUUUUCUGUGAGCUUUCUUGGAUCAUAUUGAUAAUUGAUCAUCUUUGCACUAUACAUUAAUUUACAUACAAAUAUACAUAACAGUGCAUCUUACAUAAAGAACAAAUUAUUAGUUGUAAAAUAAAUAAAAAACACUGUUGCAACCUUCUGGGUUGUCAAAAUAAGCAUUAUCUUUAGCUACAUGUUGACCCACAAAAAAAUCUCAGUGCCUCUCCAUAUUAUAUCUUAGUAGAUAUUGUUUUCUAGUAUUGCAAGUUCCCCUUAAGCCCGUGACCCGUUCGUGUCCUAUUGCUUGAUUCCUCCAACCAUCUUAUGUAUAUAUACAUGUAUGUAUAUAGUGUUAUACACCACUUACAUUUGUUACAAAAAAAAAUUAUACACCACUUACAGAUACACUCAUACUAUAAUCUGAUGAUUACGAUUGCGCGUUAGCGAGUAAUAGUGUAGUACAUUUAUACAGAAACUGAAGAACAGUCUUGAGUCCAGCUCUGUUCAGGACAUAAUCUAAAAAUUUGGAGGCCAUAAACAUUUUUUAAGAACUUUUGUAAUUUUUUUUCUUCAACCAUCUUAUGUAUAUAUACAUGUAUGUAUAUAGUAUUAUACACCACUUACGAUACACGCAUACUAUUAUCUGAUGAUUACCAGUGCGCGUUAGCGAGUUAUAGUGUAAUACAUUUAUACAGAAACUGAAGAACAGUCUUGAGUCUAUCUCUGUUCAGGACAUAAUCUAAAAAUUUGGAGGCCAUAAACAUUUUUUAAGAACUUUUGUAAAUUUUUUCUUCACAAUUUUGAAACCUAAAUCUAUGUAAAAAAUGUCAAAAAGUUUCGGAGCCAAAUCCAAUGUUUUAUUAGAUUUGGAUUAAAUCUGGCUGUCUUUGUUCACUGUUCAGUAAUAUAACUAACUUAAUACGGAUUGAUCAAACUUUAUAAUACAAGAAAUAUGAUUAUUUUUAUUCUCUUAUUUUUGUUUUAUGUUGAAAAUUGAAUACUAGCCGCUAAUUUAUGUGUGGUUUCUUUGCCCGUUACAAUUCGUUUUUAUUUUCCCGCGAUUAUUUCAUGUUGCUCGAAAAGAAUUGUGAGUCCAAGUUAAGCGAAAACUCGAGGAUGCAAAUUCUACUCAGCUUUUAGUGUUAGUGUCCAUUUGCAUAAUCAAAUGAUAUUUAAAAAGCAAUACUUUAUUUGAGGCAAUAGCAGAGAAUAAAGAGAAAACAAUACAGGCACUAAAACUGGUAAUUAAAAAAAAAUUAAUAAGUAAUUUAAGAUUGUUUUGUUUAGAGUAAUAGUACUAUGAAACUGUAAGAAAGUGUGUGGUUCAAUUAUUGAUAGUCAAAAGACUUUUAGCACACUUGCUUAGUUAUUUGCCAAAGUGGUCUUUGUUUUGCUCGUAUAUCAGCUUCACGUGACCCAUUAAAUUUUCCUCCUUUUUUCUCUCCAAAGUCAACACAUCAAUAACUUUUAUAGUAGGAUAGUAAAUAAAUUGAAGGUUAUACGAGAGGAAAAAUAACAUCUAUAUUAUUAAAAGUAAAAUAUUUUUUUGAUACUGUUUAGAAACAUAAAUGUCGGUAUAGAAAUAUGAAUAGAAUUAUUACAUUAAUUGUAUUUUCAUAUUUCAAUGUGAUAAUUUCAUUAAUUAUAUUAUCUUGCAAUACUUCAUAUCAUUAAUCAUAUUACCAUAAUAAUAAUAAUGCAUAUUUGUAUUUAUUAGUUAAACAAUAUUAACUUUGUGCCAAUUAUAAAAUAAAAAAUGUAAAAUAACUAGAUUUUACAAAUGGUUAAAUGGUCGGUUUAAUUUGUUUUACUAAUUUUUUAUUCUAGUUUUAAUCGGUGAAAAAUUACAUAGCCAAAAAAUAAUUCAAAAACAUAUUUUUGUGAAUAAAAUAAUAAAAAUCUAUUACAUUUACUAUAACUUAAUUUGUCACUCCAUAUAAUUAUUUUACUAAUUAAAAAACUCUUUCUAUUUUACUUAAUUUAGUCAAACACAUAGAAAGAGUCAUUUCAUUAGUUUAUAAAAUCAGAGACAUGAACAUUGGCUAUCCAUUUAGGUGCGGGUUGUUCAACGGAUAUCAUUUCUUUUGUUUUGAAAUUAUGCCCGCUUGAAUAUUAUAAAUUUAUGUGUAGAUUUUGAGUUGUGUCAUUCUGGGUCUGGAUGAGUUCAGUUCUGAUGUAUAUGAACCUAAAAUAUCUAGAUAAUAAAUGUAUCUGAAACGGAUUCAGAUAUUUGUAUCAUAAAUAACCAUAUUACCCGAUUUGGUUCAUGUCUUUUGAAUACAAUUAAUUAUAUUACGGCACAUCCAAAAUAUAUAACACCAAUUAUGAAAAACAAAUAUCAAUAUAUAAAAAUGUAAAAACCAAUAUUCGCGCGAGUCAGUCUUUAGUAUAGUUUUAUUUGAAUGCAUAAGGUGAACGAUCUAUUUCCCCACGAGAACUAUUGUAUAGUAUCGGGUCUCCACGAAACUAUGACCAUGUGCUAAAAUUCUAUGAAUUUUAAUUUGUAAACUUAUUUCUCUCUAAAUUAUAAGUUUAAAUUUAUUUCUCCCCAAACCGAUAGUUUAAAACUUAAUUAUCCAUAGAUCAUUAUUUUAAUCGGUAUACUAUUAACCCACAAAUUUUAAACUAAUUAAACCAAAGAAAAUCUUAAAUUAAUUUUUAUUUAAAAAAAAAACUGAUUCACAAAUAAAAAAAAUGAUUUCAAUUUUUUUAAUAAUCAGUAUAUGUACAUUUUCCUUCGAUCUCAAUCACACGUAUCAAAACUGUGUACUUGUGUUUUCUAAACAAAGCAAGAAGCACCACUCUCUUAAGCUUCUCUGAACUGUGGGUGAGUGGCGAACUGCGGUGGAUGAGUGGCGAACUGUUACAGGUGGGUAUUGCUCGCGAUUGUGGAGGGAGGAGGGCGAGUGGUGAUUGGUGAGACUAAGCAAAUUAAGAAAUCGUGAGUGUUGCCCGAAGGCUAUGGCUGAUCGGUGUUGAGAGUGAUGGACAGACAAACAAUUUUUUGGCAAUUUUUGUUGAUUAGAUUUUUUUUUGAUGAAUCAGUUUAAAGAAAAAAGAAAAAAAAAUAGGUUUUCUUGGGUUUGAUUUGUUUAAAAUUGGUGGGUUAAUAGUAAACCGAUUAAAACCAUCGCAUAUGGACAAUUAAAUUUUGAAUUAUCGGUUUGGAAAGAAAUAAAUUUAUAAUUUAUAAUUUAGGGAAAAAUAAGUUUGCAACUUUAAAUUCAUGGAGUUUAACACAAAGUUAUGGUUUGGCAGAGAUCUAAUGCUAUACGAUAGUUUUCACAGGAAAAUAGAUCGUUCUGGUGAACGCAUACAUUAUUUAAAUUUGUUAGGCUCUAUAUGAAAAUGUUUGUGAUAAUGCGUUUAUAAAACAAAAGUAUGCAUUGACCAUUUUGGUGGGUGGUUAGAGAAUAUUGACAUAUACAAGCAAAUGUCAAGCAGAAAAAGAUAAAAGGAAUGUUUCACCUUUAUUGGAAUUUCUAUCAAUAAAUCGAAAAUGUUUACGAGUUUUAUUUUAGAUCGAUGUUCUCUGUUUCAUAUAACCACAUAAUUCACACAUCAAAUAUAUACAAGAAUCUGGAACUUCCUAUUACUUUCUUUCCACAACUAACUUUUUACUGCUUAGUUUAAACUGAAUAUACAGUAGAUCCUAGACACUAGACGAGGUUUCGACAAAAAUGUUUCUAUUAUUCGCACAUGUUCUUAAUAAGCAUUUUUUUUUUGCUACUAAUAAGCACUAGGAUAAGACCCGCGCCUUGCGCGGGAUUAAGUUAUUAUUUUUAUUAUAUUUUUGAGAAUGAAACAAUAGUUUGGCUUCAUUUGGAUUACAGGUGUUCAAUCCGGAUAUCGGGUUGGUUCGGUUUGGUUCGGUUUUUUCGGUAUUUGGUUAGUAAAAUAUAACUACUAUUCUAAAUCCAUAUUUAUUUUGACUUUAGUCUUUCACAUACUUUUGAAAGAUUUCAACUGGACGACUAAAUUGAUCAGCCAAUCUUGUUGCUUUAAAUCAUUAGUGUUUAUAUAUAUAUAUAUAUUAUUUAGUUUGAAUAUUUAUUAAAUAAAAAUUCAUAAAUCAUUUGUAACUUAUUAUAACAAAAAAAUAAUCUAUUGAUCACAAAAUUUUCAGAGUGGGAAUAUUCAAAUUUCUAAUAAUAUAUAGACGUUUUGAAAAAUUCAAAUAUAACAUAUAAGAAAAAAUAUAAAUGUUUUUAUUAUAUAUUUAAUGUGAUUUUUUAAUAUCUUUCAAUAAUAUAAAAUUAAAAAAAAAAAACUAAGAUACCAAAAUUGUUAUCAAAUAUUUAUUAUUCAUAAUAAUUAAUUUUCAUAUAUACGUUAAUCAUAUUAGGUAAUUUCGUAGCUUUUAUUUAAGGAAAGUGCAAAACAUUUUUUGGUACGUUAUUUAUCAAUUCGAUAGUUAGUUUAAUAAAAAAUGUAAUAUAAGUUAAGAUGGACCAACCUAUUUUUCUAGGAAUAGUAUAUUUUGUAGAGUUAUUUAUUAAAUAAGAAUUUAUAAUCAUACGGUUCUAUGAUCGUUCAUAUCGUUUUAUAACAAAAUAUUUAAAUCAUCGAUAACAAAAUUUUCAAUCUGAAAUCUUUAAUAAGUUUAUAAUUUAUAAAUGUUCUUGAAAAUUCAUUGAAAGUUUUAAUAUUAAAAUAUUUAUGUAAUCUUAUGGUAUAUAGUGUUUAAUAUACAUAUAUAUAUAUAUUUAUUUUAUUAUUAAAUGAUAUUUUUUACUCAUAUGGUUUUAAAAUCAUCUGUAUCUUCUUAUAAUAAAAAUGUUAAACCAUUGAUCAUUAAUUUUUAACAUAAUAAUUUUAAUAGUUUUAGUCAUUUAUUUUCGUUUUUAAAAAUUCAAAAUAUAACAUAUACGAAAAAAUCUAAAUUUUAUUUUUAUAGCUAAUUUGAUUGUUUAAUUUAUUUUAAUAAUAUAAAAUUAAACAAAAAAUGAUGGAGGAGAUAUACAUUGUUAUCAAAUCUUUAUUAUUAAACUCAUUAAUUGUCAUAUAUAUAUUAGUCAUUUAUGGUAAUUCCGUAGGUUUUAUUUAAGGAAAGAAAAUAUCAUAUCAUAUCAUUAUAUCAUAUAGUUUGACCAACUUAUAUAUCUAACAACAUAUAAAAAUCGAAUGUGGACCUACUUAUUUUUUAAUUGAAUGUAAUUGACUACCUAAUUGAGUGCCACCUAUGCAUUGGGGCUUCUUUUAAUUAAUACAAAAUUGAGGUUACAUCUUUUCAAAUGUUCCUCAAUUAAUAUAUAAGGGAUAUUAACUAUUUUAUGUACACAUACGUCGAUAGUCGAGUAGUGUAUAGUGGUUUGUGUGUUAGCGAUGUUGAUAUAUUACCGUCCUAAAUUCAAAUUUGAUAUAAACUAAUUGUACGUUGUUGACUAAAAUAGUUAUCAUUAUAAACUCUCUUUCGUUGCUACCAUACAAAUUCGAGACUAUAACAUUAUAUAGCUGUUCUAAAAAAAACAUUAUAUAGCUUGGAACAUGUCACCCAAACAUACAAACUAGUUUUACUCUUAGUACCAUUAUAUCUUAUAUAAUAUUUCGAAUUCAGAUGUAGUAACAUAUUUUGUGAAUUGUAUACUUAAAAGUAAAACCUUUUAACAAAAAAAGAAAGAAAGUAUACUUAAAAAUAAUGUUCAAAAAAAAAGUAUACUUAAAAAUAUAUAGUCAGUUCUAUACAAAAUUUCUAUUAAUUUAUUGUAUUUUUGACAUACUGACCACCUUAAAAUGAUAAAACUGAUGAGAGUACAAAUACAAAUAUAAAAUAGCGAAUUUUCUAUUAUCUGAUAUUUAUGCAUAUAAUAUAUGUUAAUUUUGUAUAUUUUCCAUAGAAGAGGAAAGGAAAAUUCCAAUAAACUAAUAUUAUGAUGAGAGGUUUGACUUUAUUAGGAACGUCAAAUUUAAUGAACCUCUCUUCUUCCUUGAACGCAAAGGAAGUUUCUGAGUUGGAAAACGCUGUCUCCAAUUCAUAGGUUCUCUAUCUCUAUACCUAUAUAUAUGUGUUAACACAAUAUUAUUUCCUAUAUUAUCUUUGAUGGUCAUAUGAUCGUUAAUUAAUCUCCAUGGCCACGAGUAGAGUCUCCCACGUCAUAGGGUUUCUUCUAUGUAUCUCUCUUCUUCUCCUGUUGGUCUCUGAAGGUUUCUUUGUUAGGCUCAACUCCAUGUCCUCCAUAAAGCCUUUUCCAUCUCCGGUUAUUAGCUCGCUGCGACCAGGAAGAAGAGCUUUUGUGGUAAGUAAGUUUGACUUCACACCGUUCAUGAAAGACCUUCGCCGAAAAGAUCAUCAAGAUGUUUCACGGCUGGGAGGAUCCGAGAUCGACCCAAGAUAUGGAGUUGAGAAACGGCUCGUCCCAUCUGGUCCAAACCCCUUGCACCACUGAUUGUCUUCUUAUAUAUAUUUUACUUAAAUUUUCUUAAUUAAUUUGUUUCUUUCGAAUUGAUAUAAACACUAAAAAGGAUAUACUGCACAUAAUUUAAUUCAUAAAAAGCUGCUAAUAUUUCUUUGGGGAGCAUAUGUAUUGAAUUAUUUAUUCUUCUUUGUCAUGUGAAGUAUUUGUUUUAACUUUCGUUGUAAAAGAUGAUAUUUAGUUUUUUUACUCACUUUUUAUUGCAUUUGUGAUUAGGUUGUACGAAUAAAACAUACUAUCAUUAUCAUAGUUUAGAUCAAAACGAGCAUGUACACGUUUGUAUAAAAUAAAUGUCUAUACUAGUAUGUACACAUUUAUUAAUACUAGUUAGUAGUUAGAACCAAUAGACAACUAUUAUGCUUUCGAUAAGAGGAGUGCCUGAAUAUCCAGUAAAUUAAUAAAUGCAGUUAACUAACGGGGAAAUAAAUUAGCCUCGUUGAGAAGAAUAUGGAGAUCGAUACUUAAGACCACGUGAAGCAUUGACUUCAAUUGGUUACGGAAUCACCGUUUCCAGAUUUUCUGUAAAGUUGUCUCGUUCUAGUCCAAGGAAGGUAGACAAGGAGUAAAUGAGCUCAUUUACUACUCAUUUGGCAAAAUUAGUGUUGUGGUAUUUGAUCUGUAUUUAUUUAUUUGGUAAAUUCUCUCAAAUAAUUAUUUUUAAGUUUUUGUCACAAAAAUAAUUUUAAAUGAAAAAAUAUCAAAACAGUCCAUUUUUAUUUUCAAAUUUUUGAUAUUUAUUUUUUAUUUUUUUUAAAUUUAAAAUUCUAUCUCCAAAACCAUGCAUUAACUCUAAACCUUAAGUCUAAAUUAAUUAAACUUAAAGUAAAAAUACAUAUUUACCCUUUAAUAAAACUUAUUUUAAACAUUUUCUUCAUUAAAUGUUAUUUUGUACAAAAACUUAAAAAACACUAUCAUAUGGAAUUUCUUUAGUUUAAUUUUGGGGGUUUGACCAUUUUGAGUAAUAUAGAUAUAUGAAUCACUAAGAUAUUUAUAACAUUUGGCUAGUUUUUUUUUUUGUUGAGUAAUUUUAUUUUCUUUUUAUUUUUUGAAAAGAAAAUUUGUUUUUUUGGAUAAAAAAUUUCGAAUAAUUUCAAUGUUUGAUAUAUAAAUAUUUAAUUAUUUUACAAUUUAUAUCAUAAAUCUUCUUAGUACUACAUAUUAUAUUCUAGAUGUUCAAAUUUUUGUUGGUUUUCGAUAUUUUAGUUUUGGUUUCCCAUAGCUGGUUUACUUCGAACCAUACGGGUCGGGUCGAUCUCCGGUUUUCCAAUUAUUCGUUUUAUCUCAAACCACAAACCAAUGUUGAGGAACGAUUAACUGGGUUUUUCGAAUAGCUUCUUCCAAAUUACAGAACAGAACAGAUAGAGCGAGAAACCUUCAGCUAGAGAGAGAUAUAUACAUCGGCUUGAACCCGCUGCGUAGCAAAAGCCCCUUCAGUAUCGUUAUGUUUUGACUAAGCGCACUGAUAAUCAAGAGAAUUUGCUUCAUUUCGGAUAAUUGAAGCGCUUGUUCGACCCUAUCGCUUAUGUAAACGGGCUUGCUUGCGUAUUGGUAACACUUGAUUUGAUGCAAUUUUGUUGAAUUUCAUUCGUCCCCGUUCAUCAAAAGCAAAGAUUUUUCUUUCUGGGUUUUCAGUUCUGAAUCAAACCCACAUCAUAUAUCUUAGUGAAUUUAGCUGUAUCAAGAUGGCGAGAAACGCUAACAGUAACGUGUUUCUCGAAGAAUGGUUGAGAGUUGUGAGUGGAAGCAGCGUCUCUAGUGGUUUAGUGAAGCAGGACUCUGCACCAUCUGCUAGGUCUAUUAUUCAAGCAUGGUCCGAGAUUCGUGAGUCUCUUCAAAGCCAGAGGUUCGAUACACGUUACCUUCAAGCUUUGAGAGCUUUGGUUAGCUCUGAGUCCACUAUCCACGUCGCUGAUCCCCAAGCAAAGCUUCUUAUCGCUAUACUAUCUUUAAAAGAUGUCUCUCUUCCGUAUGAGUCUUGUACGCUUGUUAUGAGAUUACUCUAUGUGUGGAUUAGGAAAGCUUUUAGACCCUCUCAGGCUCUUGUUGGUUCUGCUGUUCAGGCUAUUCGUGGCGUUGUUGUUGAUGAUGGUAGGAGUAAUCUGCAGCCGGUGUUGUUAGCGCAGAGCGUUCUGGUGGCUGGUGCUUUUGCGAGUGUGCAUUCUCUGUCGGGAGAGUUGAAAGUGUUGACCUUGGAGUUGCUAUGCAGGCUUUUGGAAGGAGAGGGAUCACUGGUGGGAUCUCGAGGAGAGCUUGUUCCUGUAGUGCUUGCGGGAAUCGGGUAUGGUUUAUCGUCUUCGUCUGAUGUUCAUUACGUUAGGCUAUUGGAUUCCUUGUUUGGCUGCAGCAUUUGGUUGAGUGGUAGUGUCACUCACGGUCUGAUGAUUCUUCAUUUGGUAGAGUGGGUUGUGUCAGGUUACAUGAGGUCUAAUUAUGUAAACAAGAUGUCUCUCUUUGCAAACGAGGUACUAGAGACUUCUAAGGCAGACUACACUCCUUUUGCUGUCUUAAUGGCAGCAGCGGGAGUACUCAGAGCUUCCGCGGCAGGAUCACAGAAUCUUGAGGUUGUUUCUAAACUUAGAAACUCAGCGGAAAAACGUUUAGACGCUAUAGCUCAAAUUUUAGUUGCUAAUGGUUCAAUCACUCAGAGAGAUGAUCUUCUGUUGAAGUGCUUUGCUAUAGCAUUGGCUCGAUGUGGGACUGUUUCUCCCUCUCCUCCUCUGCUUCUGUGCCUCGCUUCUGCAUUGUUAACUCAGGUGUUUCCUCUGGACAAUAUAUAUGAAUCGUUUUGCAAAGAUCCUAUUGGACCAAGACUCAUUUGGGUGAGGGAGCAUCUUUCUGGUGUUCUCUUCAAGGAAUCAGGGGCCAUAACCGGAGCUUUCUGCAAUCAAUACGCAAAAGCAAAUGAAGAGAACAAAUACAUUGUGGAGAAUAUGGUUUGGGACUUCUGUCAAAACCUCUACUUACAGCACCGUCAGAUCGCUCUACUGCUUCGUGGUGUAGAAGAUACAUUGCUUGGAGACAUAGAGAAGAUCGCAGAAUCAUCUUUCCUCAUGGUUGUGGUCUUUGCGCUAGCUGUAACGAAACAGUGGCUGAAUCCAAUAGUGUCUGAAGAAAGAAAGAUGGAGACAUCCGUCAAGAUAUUGGUUUCGUUCUCAUGUGUAGAGUAUUUUAGACACAUUCGUUUACCUGAAUACAUGGAGACAAUUAGAGAGGUGAUCUCAUGCGUCCAGGAGAAUGAUGCAACUUGUGUUUCAUUUGUAGAGUCCAUCCCUGCCUAUGGUAGCUUGACGAAUCCGAAAGGUUUGAGAAAUCAAUUUGUUUCUGCAGUUUCAAUAUCACAUUAGUAAGAUUUGAGAUCUCUUUUUCUUUUCUUUUUUUGUCUGCAGACUUGUUUACGCAGAGGAUAGAGUAUGAAUGGUCAAGAGAUGAUGUGCAGACAUCUCGAAUACUGUUUUAUCUUCGAGUGAUCCCAACUUGCAUUGGAAGGUUAUCUGCUUCUGCCUUCAGGAGAGUUGUUGCAUCAACCAUGUUUUUGUAUCCUUUACUCUGUUUUGUUUAAACCAUGGCUAUGAUCUUUAAGAUUCCUUAACAAUCAUGUGGUUAUAGAUAUAUUGGACAUCCUAACAGGAAAGUGGCACGAGCAUCUCAUACUUUGUUUGUAGCAUUCCUCUCUUCGGCAAAGGAGUCGGAAGAGGACGAAAGAAACCAACUCAAAGAAGACCUUGUUUACUAUUACAUGGAAAGAUCUUUGGAGGUACCUAACACUGGAUGCAGUGUAGCUCUUUUUUUCUGUUGUUCAUUACUAAUUGUGUAUGGUUCAGGGUUAUCCUGAGAUCACACCAUUUGAAGGUUUGGCUUCAGGCGUUGCAGCCUUGACCCGGCAUCUACCUGCUGGAAGUCCUGCUAUAUUUUACUCUGUCCACAGCCUUGUUGAGAAGGGUUCAACGUUUAACACCGAUGAGUCCCAAGGAAGAAAGUCUGAUCCUGGUAGUCAGAUUCUUGACUUGCUUCUGAGACUCGUCUCUUUGGUUGAUAUACAAGUAAGUUUCGUUUCCAUCAUCUCCAGUUUAAAUGGCUUAUGUGUUAAUGUUCUCUUUGUCUUUGUACAUUAACUUGCUUUUGUUUUGGUUCAGGUGUUGCCGUAUCUGAUGAAGUCAUUAGCACAGCUUAUUAUAGUGUUACCAAAAGAAAAGCAGAACAUGGUGCUUGGUGAACUGUAUGGUCAAGUGGCUGAAUCAGACGAUGUGAUUCGCAAGCCUUCUUUAGUCUCUUGGCUACAGUCACUGAACUACUUGUGUUCUAAUAACCGGACUCAAGGCUCAGGUUCUGGACCAACUAUAGACACUUCGAACCAGUUGGCUGCUCGGCUCUAGGAGGAAUCUCCUCAUAGUUUAGCAAACAUGUAAUAUAGAGAAUAAAAAUGUAGUUUUCCUAUAUGUUAGCUAAGUUUUCAUGUAGUAAGCAGAGUCUGGAAUAUAUCUCCUAUUGAUGUCAUAACUCAUGUUCCCAUCUUGUGUGGGGAGUCGGGCAUUCCUUAUGUCGAUGUUCCCUCAAAGGAGGUAAAAAGCUUCCCAUUUGAUUUCUGCAUUGAUUCUCAGAAUUUUGAAGAGAUUAUAAAUCUUUACAUCAUUUACCUUAUAGGAUCUUGCAACUGCUGGAGAGACGAAGCGGCCAACAUGUUGCGUUCUUAUUCUAACAAAGCCUGCCAAAGGAGAAUUAAGCCAGAAAGUUCAAGAGAAACUUAAGACGGACUAUGAUCAUGUUGUUGAAGAUGUCAAAGAGCUUGCUUCUUCUACUGUGUAUUAGGAUUGCAUAAUGAUUUGUAUUGCUCUUUGCUGUCUCAUGUCUCACUGUCUCCAGUUUCCUUAUGAAUAGUAGUGUAAACGAAUCAGUCUCUUAUGUGGUAAUUUUUUCAAAUAUUGGGAAUCUUAUAUGUUUCUACAAUCUCUUAAAGAUUUGGUAUUUUCCUCAGAUCUCCGCAAUCUUUAUCUUUCCUAAAAUAUCUUGGGAGUCUUUAUCCUCUCUUUUUUGUUUCUAUGAUUUUCUUUUAUUUUUCUCAAAAUUAGGAAGAGAGGUGAUUAGUUUGUAAUUUUAUAAGUUUCUUUUAAAGUGCUUCCUUAUUUCUUUUGAGUUAGGAUCUUGAAAAAAACUGUAUAAAUAUUAUUUGUUGGGUGGUGACGAAGUAUAAAAAAAAACAAGUUUUGUGAUAGAAAUUAGUCGUCAAGUUCCAAAACCCUAAUAAGAAAUAGAAUAAUGGAGGAUCAAAAUCAGACGAGUUUCACAUUUAUGAUAGAUAACUUGUCGGACAAGAUAACAGAAUCACCAAAGUUCUUAAACGGCGGCUGGGAAUGGUAAUUUUUGUUAUUGACUCAUCUUUCAGACUCAACGAUUUUUUUUAGGGUUUAAUAUGUUUCUUCUUUUCCAACAGGGUUGUUGAUGUUUAUUCCAAAGAGGAAGACCACAAGUUAUAUGUGUACCACUUCCUUAUGGUUGCGAAUCCUGAAUCCUUGAGACCUGGAUUGAUAAGACGAGUUAGUUUCUUCUUCGUUAUACUGAAUCAAUCCGGCAAAGAGUUAUACAGAACAAAUGGUAAUUAACUAACUCCUGCUUCAGGCCUUGGCUAAAAACCUCUAUUAUUUUUCAUAUAACUUCUUAAGUCUUUGCUUCUUGAUCUGGUUGUGAAUUUUAAAUCAGUCUUUUCUGUUUUUGUCUUAAUUAACAUACAGAAAUAUGCAAAUUGUUCUGCGAUAAGGUCAGUGGAUGGGGUUGCUACGAGCCCCUGCCUCUUGAAUUCGAGACGAAUAAAAUCACCCUAAAGCUCGAAGUCGUAAAAGUAGUUGAAGUUGUUGAUUGGAAUGAGAUGAUAGAAUUUAAUGGUUUCCAGAUUCAUUAUUCUCAGGUAUUUUCUACUUUUGUUUUUGAGAUUUAUAUGUUAUCCUUUCUAGGAUGACUUAGGAAUCAAACAAUGUUCUGUCUAUCUCGAGUUAUGAGACAUAUAUAUAUUUUUUAUUGCUGGCAGGUUGAAUCAGUUAAUUCGCUUUUCCUGAAUCACCGGGGCUUUGAAAUAAAUUUCCGUCUAAAGAACGAAUUGUUGAAGACAACAUACAUGAACGUUCUCCUUGCUCUCGUCUGACACACUGAACAAGCCUCCACAUAGCUUGACCGAGACUGAGCUAAGCAACGCUCGCAGCGACCUGGUCGAGCUAACAGAAGCAGGUUUCAAGCUAAACUGGUUAAAGACAAUGCUUGAUGAGGUUUCCUUGGAUAGGAAUAAAGAAAAUAUUGCUGAUCAUGGGUCACAAGUCGAACAACACAUCAAGGAGAAGGUCGAGGCUGCUAGAGAUUGGCUCGAGGGUGCUAUUCACUCUUGGAAAGGACGUUUGGGAUUUGCUCCUCUUCGUAAUGAGAAAAUAGACUGAAGAUUAAUUUAGUUUUUUUUCCAUAUAUAUAGUUUCAUGGAUCUCAUAUUAACUGGAACGAUCAAACCAAAGAGUUCUUUUUAGUCAAGUCAGAUUCAUAUUGCUCUAAUCCCAGUCUCAUGCGUCCACCAACCUUAUCUACAUAAUUAACAUAUAUAUAACUCUCUCAUGUCUCUCUAUAGACUCAUGUGUCUCUAUAGACUCGAGUGUGUAUCCCAAACUCUCAUGUAUCAAAAUUUUAUUCUUAGUUCUUGAUGUAUUAGGAUGAUAAUAAUUAUCACUUAUAGAUUGGCACAUACCACUUGAAAGAUAGUUCAUCUUUUUAUGCAAACAUUGAAUUUAGAAAUCCUGUUUUGAAUGCUAUGUAUCAAAAUCUUUUCAGUUCAUGAUGUAUUAUGAUGAUGAUGAGAUUUUAGAUAAUUAUCACGUUAUAAAUUGACACAUAUCCUUUGGAAUAUAGUUCAUCUUCUUUAUGUAAACAUUGAAUUUUGAAAAUCCGAUUUUGAAUGCUAUGUAUCAAAAUAUUGUUCUCAAUUCUUGAUGUAUUAGGAUGAUAAUGAGAUCUUAGAUAAUUAUCACGUUAUAGAUUGACACAUACACAUUGAAAUAUAGUUCAUCUUAUUUAUUCAAAUAUUGAAAUCAUGUAUUGAAUGCUAUGUAUCAAAAUCGUAUUCUCAGUUCUAGAUGUAUUAGGAUAAUGAUGAGAUCUUAGAUAAUUAUCACAUAAUAGAUUGGCACAUAUCCUUUGGAAUAUAGAUCAUCUUCUGUAUGUAAAUAUUGAAUUUUGAAAUCCGGUUUUGAAUCCUAUGUAUCAAAUUUUUAUUCUCAGUACCGGUAUACUAUGUGUCUAUGCUCGUUUUCAUUAGUGUUUUUGUUGCAUACUACGCCAUUGACAAACAACACUUUUUGAGGCGACUGAUCUCGGAUGAACUAUCUGUCAUCGUGGGAUCAGUUGCUCUUAUCAAGUAUAAUUCUCAUCUAUUAAUAUUUGUGACCAAUUUGUGAACUUGACUUAAAGUCAUAUAUUGGAAUUUGAACUGAUUUUCCAUAUUUUAGGCCAUAUAUAUUAUCAAGAAGUGUAUCAUAAUCUGUCAACCGUGGUUCUGCAACAAAAAACAAUAUAGUAAACAUCUCAUAUACCUAACUAAGAAAUGACUGAAUCAAAGCCAUAACAAGAAGGUGCGUAACAUACCAUCAAAGUUCCAUCGAUACGAGUACCAUCAUUAUAGUUGUCCAUGUUGAUGAUACUAAUACUAGGGAUGAAGUUGAUGAUUUUCUUAACGAAGACAGAUUUGAAAAUUGAAUUAAGAAAAAUGAUGGAAAUUUUGAAAGUAUAAUAAUCAAACAGUAAACCAGCAAUUUGAAAAUUGAAUUUAAAACGGGUUUUUUAUUCACUUGGUUAUCAACCAUUUGACUGGAAACUGAAAUUCUGUUUUUACUUCAGCUUUGAUUGAAUGAACCGGGAUAAACCGGAAGUGGAUUAGCGAAUCAUUGUGAGCCGUUACUCCACGUAACCACUUUGACCAUCACAUGGUGAAGCAAGGGACGACGUGGAAGAAACUAAACCUUCUUCAAUUGUCCUUCGUUCUCUCUCUCUCUUUUCCUCUUCCACUGGAAAAAUCGCGAAAAUGGCGAAGCUUCUACUUGUUCACGCGCCUCAAGUAGUCUUCAGCAGUAGUAGGUCACUAGUCUCGGCGACGGCUCUAUACAGAAGACCUCUCCCGGUGAACUCCAAAUUCACCUCUUCGGAUUCGCAUUCACCCCACAUCGUUCCUCGUCUUCGUUCUCGGAGAUUCUCGGCUCGUGCCUUUGACGAUUCACCUGCUGAGUUGGAGAAAGAUGAGCCCCGGGAUGGAGUGGUAAGAGAUGAGGAGUAUCCUACAGGAGAGAUGGUGUAUGAGGAUAGAAACGCGUGGGAGAGCAUUGUAGUCAAGUUCCGGAUGCUCUUUGCUUAUCCUUGGCAGCGUGUUCGCAAAGGAAGCGUCUUGACUAUGACUCUGCGUGGCCAGGUGAUCUACAUAUAGUACAAUGCUUGUUGUUGUAUUAUUUUGUGUCUACAGCUAAAUUGAGUUUUGUUUACUCUCUAUGUUAUGUUUCAGAUCUCUGAUCAGCUGAAGAGCCGUUUCACUUCAGGCCUUUCCUUGCCCCAAAUCUCUGAAAAUUUAGUGAAAGCUGCAUAUGAUCCUCGUAUAGCUGGAGUCUACCUUCACAUUGAGCCUUUGAGUUGUGGAUGGGGAAAGGUUGAAGAAAUUCGAAGGCAUAUUUUGGAUUUUAAGAAAUCAGGUAGCUAGCUCCUGAAUUCUCUACUAAAUAUCAAAGCUCAUAUCUUUCCUACUGCAAGUCCAUUUUUCUAAGAGCUGAUCAAACAUUUUUUUUUUUCAGGUAAAUUCAUUGUUGGGUAUAUCAACAUAUGUGGACUUAAGGAGUACUAUCUUGGCUGUUCAUGCAGCGAGCUCUAUGCUCCGCCUAGUGCCUAUUCCUUUCUUUAUGGUUUGACUGUUCAAGCUUCUUUCCUUGGAGGUAAAGAUUGUUUGUUUCUUCUUUGGCUCUGUUUCUCGCAUUUAAAAUAGUAAUUAGAAAUUGUAUACAAUCUGCGCACCAUCCUUCCUUCAUUGAGACAGAUUUGCUAACUGAACUUUUACAUAUGUAAUUGAAUUGAAUCUCAAAUCCUGUUCUCGUCAGUGGAGGUCCUAAAGCUGACUAUGAAAGAUGCAAAGACUUGCAUAUUCACAUUUAUCGUUAACUAGUUACUUUUUCAAAAGUGUAGGUGUAUUCGAGAAAGUGGGGAUUGAACCUCAGGUUCAAAGAAUUGGAAAGUACAAAAGUGCAGGAGAUCAGCUUGCUCGCAAGAGUAUAUCCGAGGAGAAUUACGAGAUGCUGAGCGUGCUACUUGAUAACAUCUAUGCAAAUUGGCUGGAUGGUGUUUCUGAUUCAACAGGUUCGAGACCUUUUUCACAAUCUUGUUAUGGUUUUUAACCGUUUAGUUCUCUCCUUGAGUGGCUUCUGCUUAGAACCAUGCAGGGAAAAAGCGAGAAGAUGUUGAAAGUUUCAUCAAUCAAGGAGUUUACGAAAUUGAAAAGCUAAAGGAAGAGGGACUGAUAAAGGAUAUUCGAUAUGAUGAUGAGGUAAUACCAUGUCUAUCCUCAUAUUGUAAAUGGGGAAGCUAGAAGUGAUGAUGCUUGUUAUUUCGUCUUUUAUUAGGAACUUUUUUAAUGUUUUAGUAUCCUCUCAAAAUUAUUGAAACAUAGUUAUAAAGUUUCCCUGAAAAAACUCUUUAAAAGAGAUUUAGAUAACGGCCCCAUACCGUUUCUGAUCUUUUUGAGUCAAUUUGAAUGCCCCCUGCAGGUUAUAUCAAUGCUGAAAGAGAGGCUUGGAGUUGAAAAGGACAAAAAGCUUCCUACUGUUGAUUACAAGUAACUAUCUCUAAAUUGAGUCUUACUGAAUCUAGAGCUAUUGUCUUUGCAUGUUCAAUUGGCUCAAACCUUAUACUAUUUGGUGUUGUAUACAUAAUGGCUACUAUCCCCUAAUUGGUUCCUGCAUUAUUGCAUAAUCUUGAUUUAUAGUUAGUGUAAUAAGAACUGAACAUUCUCAACUGAAAUACUUUAUGUAGGAAAUACUCAGGUGUUAAGAAGUCGACUCUUGGUCUAAGCGGUGGUAGAGACCAAAUAGCUAUUAUUAGAGCAGGGGGGAGUAUCUCUCGGGUUAAGGGUCCGCUGAGCACUCCUGGUUCUUCUAUUGUAGCAGAACAACUAAUUGAGAAGAUCCGCAGUGUAAGAGGUAGGUCUGUUAAUUUUUCAUCUACAAAGUAUACCUGUGCUCUUCAACAGCAGCCCAAAACUUUCUGUUUCUUUUGAAGAGAACAAAAAAUAUAAGGCUGCGGUCAUCCGAAUUGACAGUCCAGGAGGCGACGCACUCGCUUCUGAUUUGUAAGUAGUUUUAGUUAAUCUUCAGUGCUGUGUAAUUGUACCUUAUAAUAUGCUCGUAUGAUGAUUUAACAUGUCAUGGAUGGUUUCACUUCACCUUUUAAUAUGAUGAAGUCAGAAUCAUUUAUUUAUUUAUUGAAGUUUGGAUGGUUUUGCUGCACCUUUUGGUUUUAUCAUAAUACUAAUGUAUUGGUAUACAGAAUGUGGAGAGAGAUCAAACUAUUGGCUGAAGCAAAACCAGUGGUUGCAUCAAUGUCAGAUGUGGCAGCAAGCGGGGGCUACUACAUGGCAAUGGCUGCAAACACCAUUGUUGCUGAAAACUUGACAUUAACUGGCUCAAUUGGAGUUGUCACAGGUGAUCUCAUCUUUGUACAACUAUCUCUUUCACCCUCCCCAUUGCUUGAUUGCUCUUGUAUGCUCUUGUUGUUGCAGCAAGAUUUACCUUGGCAAAACUAUAUGAAAAGAUUGGCUUCAACAAGGAAACUAUAUCUAGAGGCAAAUAUGCUGAGCUUCUCGGGGCUGAGGAAAGACCUUUUAAGUAAGUCACCGCACUCCAUUUAUCACACCUGUAUAAGACUUCUUUUUUUCAACCAGUUGAUGCCAAUUUGGUUUCUGUUGUCAUAUUUGAUCCUCGGGACUGCUCUGUAAGAACCUGUAAGUUCUUUAAUUCACAAUUAUGUUUUCAGGCCAGAGGAAGCUGAACUAUUUGGGAAGUCGGCACAGCAUGCAUAUCAGCUUUUCCGGAAUAAAGCAGCUUUGUCAAGAUCGAUGCCUGUAUGUCCUUUCCUGUAUUGCUGUUCUCCAAUGCCUUUUCAAGACUAAUAUUUUGUUCUGUCACUUUCUUAGGUUGACAAGAUGGAAGAAGUAGCACAAGGUAGAGUCUGGACCGGUAAGGAUGCUCACUCUCGUGGUCUAGUUGAUGCUCUCGGCGGACUCUCCCGAGCUAUAGCCAUCGCUAAGCAGAAAGCUAAUAUUCCUCUUGACAAGAAGGUUGGCCCAUUAAAGAUCUCUUUUGCUUAACUGAACUCAUCUUUGUAUAGCUUACAAUUAGAUACUUUGGUUAUUCUUGUGGUAAAUACAGGUAACUCUUGUCGAGGUUUCUCGGCCUUCUACAUCACUACCAGAUAUCUUAAGCGGUAUAGGAAGCUCGGUGAUUGGAGUAGACAGAACAUUGAAAGGACUACUCGAUGAGUUAACAGUCAGCGAGGGUGUACAAGCUCGAAUGGAUGGGAUCAUGUUUCAGCAACUUGGCCGAGAUUCUUUAGCAAGUCCUAUCAUUGAUCUUCUUAAAGAUUACCUCAGCUCUCUCCGAUGAUUCCAAACCUUCACUUGAUCCGUUACAAAGAAACGUCUUCAAAGCCAUACUUAAUAAUAAAGACUUCAUCAAUGAAAUUAAACUGAUAUCAAGUUAAAACCGAUUAUACAUGAAGUUAAUGUGAAAGAAGUUUCAAACAUAUAAAUAUGUACCUGCAGUGUCUCUCUAAUAACACCAAGCAAAUAAUGAAGACCUCAAUGACCACCGUUUUCUUCCUCGCAGUCGCCCUCUCCAUUUCUGCUAUCUCCUUAGCCAAGGAGAGCCCUGUGGAAGAUUGCCUAAGAAGAAUCAUCGCCCCAGCGCUCACUCCUUCUCCUUCAGACAAACCCACAACAUCUAAUCUCAAGCUUGAAGACGAGUUAUGCAAAGACGAGACACGAACCGUCAUGUUCUUCUUGAAACUGCACGGAAGGUUCCCACGUUACUACCUCAAGGCAAUGUGCAAUGUAUUCGAAAACGAUGAAAAGAAAGUGAAAGAUUACGUUACCACAAAAUGGUUAGAUCAUUCGGAGAAGCUCCUCAACAGCUUAUCUUGCAUAACAAGGACCACCUUGGUGAUCAAGAAGAGUCCUCUGGAAACUUGCAUUAAGAGAAACACUGAUGAAUAUAUCACUCUUCCUCUUUCAAAGGAAACAAAAUAUCAUCUAGAUGUCGUAGAUAUCAUAGGAGACGAUUACUGCAGAGACGCUGCACGAGACAUCUUGUACUUCUUGGAACUCCACGGUACGUUCCCACCUUACUACGUCCAGGCAUUGUGCAAUGUAUUCGAAGACGAGGAGAAGAAAGUGAAGGAAUACAUUAUGAAGAAUUGGUUAUAUCGUUCGGGCAAGCUCAUCGAUAGUUUAUCUUGUUCUUCUCUAUAAAAAAAUCCGUAAACUUUUUGAUGAAUUAAAAGUAUAAAAAAACUUUAUAAUAUAUUCCUUUCGUUUAAAAAUGAUGUAUUUCUCUGGAGUUCUGAUAAUAAAUUUUGAUUAUACUUGCAUUGUUUUUUGUGAUUAACUAAUUUCAUAAUUUUAGCCAAUCAAAUUUAAUAAACAUAAUUAAUUUCUUGAAAAUUUACAAUUUACCAUUACUGUCUAAUAAAAUACAAGUAUAAGAUACACAUAUAUAUAUAUAUAUAUAUAUAUAUCUAUAUAUAUUUUUUUUUUCUGAAACAAUUUUACUUUUUAUGUAAAAUAUAUAUCAUUUUGAGAUGGAACUUGGAAGCAUUAUUAUUUCUGACAUCUUUUGUUACAAACUUACAAUAUUACAUGUUACCAACAAAGUUGGUCGUGAGUGUUCCGACAUAAACAACACUUUUAUAUUCAUUCACUUCACUAACUAACGUAUCUCCAUAAUAUUCUCCUAGAGACAUACGCCGUAUAAUCUCACCGCCGGCGUUGACUUUCACCGCUGACGGCUCGGUAGGGACUACUAUAAGCUUCACGGAGUUGGAAGCGAUCCAGAAAUCUCCACCGUCUGUUUUCCUUAUGUUGUCAGGACCAGGGAUCGAAGGUACGAAAAUCUCCCACGUGUUGGCUUUUGGACCCUUGAUCCAAUACCUUAAGAUUCUAUUCCUCAAGAACUCUCCCACCAGAACAAACUCUCCGUCGGAGCUCACGGCGCAUCCGGCGGAGCCACUUAGACCGCUUAACAAAACGGUUACGCUUUUAGUCUUUGGAUCGUACCUAAAGAACCUCCCCGUUGCAUCGUUAACAGCAACCGCCAAGACAAGUUGACUGUAAUAACAAAAAGAAAAAAAGUUACGUUUGUUCGGUUUAACUAAACCGAACCGUUACGAAAUCGGAUUAUAAGUAACCUGGGGCCAAAUCUUGUGCUGAAAGAUGUGAAGUAAACCGAACCGGUGACUGGAUCUACAUCUAAACCGUCAAGGAAUUUAAAAGGUGAACCACCUGCGCUAUCGGCUAGGCGCUUGGCUUGGCCACCGCGGCGUGAAACCAGGUACAAACCCAAGAAUGCAUCGGCUAUGUACAAAUCUCCGGUUAUCUCAUUGAAAGCUAAACCGACUGGUCUACCACAUAUGUUACCAAGAAAAGUCCCUACUGCUUUAUCACACAGUGACUUGUUCCUAUGAAAUAAACAUUGGAGUUGUUACAAAAAGAUAUGUGUAAUGUACUUAUGUACUAAUGUAUAUAUGUAUAGGUAUAUCGAAUUAAAACAUACGCGAUUGAUGUAAUAUAAGCGAACUCUGUAAAGCCAAGUUUUGGUCCUUGGUAUUUUAGGAUCUUGCCGCCGGAGACUCCAGUAUAAGGUCCUCCACCGUGAGAAUCGAAAGCAAAAGCUUCUGGACCAGAGGCUCUUGGUGGCAGAGGAAUCUUCUGGAAGGUUUGAAGAGCGGAGACAAAAGAAUGAGAUGUGAAGAGAAUGAGCAAAAAACAAAGGAUGAAGACUCUCUGUGUUUCCAACAUUCUGACUCAUCAAUGGAUCACAAUGAAACAAAGCAAUAUCGUUUUUGUAUGCAUACACGCACAAAGUCUUUGGCUUAGUUGGAUCGUAACCGAUUGGUAAAUGGUUAUUAACCGGUUCAUGAUUAGCUUAGAUGCUCUUCUUGAGAUAUGUCACAAGACUUUUGUCUUUUCUCUACAGUUUCCAUUGUUUUAAACUUAACAAUUUGUUUUGUCUUUUUCUGACUCUUUUUCACGUGAACAUGGCCAACUUUCCAGCUAAUCCGAAUAUAAAUACUGGAAUUUUCAUUUUUCAUUACUUUAAUUUUUUCCUAAAUCACGUACUAUUAUGUGUAACCUAUCUUUAAACAAAAAUCAUAUAUAUUUGACUAUUUGAACAAGAUCAACAUUACAUAUCCGGUUUAUUUAGAAACAAUAAUUUUACAUGUCUAAAAAGGUUUAUUAUUCUGAAACAAUCACUAAACUUCUUAAUGCCUUAUUCUCUUAAUAUUAUACAUAUAAUCACUUUAAAGCUUAAGGAUUCCGGAAAAAGGACCAAAUAAAGUUCCAAUAUAAAGCUUUCCUUGGGACUCAUUAACCUCACUGACCAGAGUAUCCCCAAACUCAUCCUUAAGCGAAAUUGUCUGAAGCACUUUGCCAUCAGAAUUAACUUUAACUGCCGACGGAUUUGUUAUUCCUGUGGCUGUGCUCACAACGGAAGCAACCCAAAAAUUUCCAGUAGAACCGAUUCUCUUGAUAUUGUCAGGGUUCGAGACAGCAUUGGUGAAGUCUUCAGAAGAACCAGCUUUAGGUCCCUUGAUCCAAUACCUCUUGAUGUUACUCUUGGUGAACUGACCAACCAGCACGAACGAACCAUCUGAGCUGACGGCACAACCAGCUGAGCCGCUUAGACCUUCUAGCAAUACAGUCACAACCUUUUUUGCUGGAUCGUAUUUGAAGAGUUUUCCAGUAGCGUCUUUUGAUGCCACUGCUUUCAACACAUCGCUAUAUAUAUGCAUAACCAUAGUAAUUGAAAAUAUAGAUCAGUGAUAAAUAGAUUUCGAAUGGAUAAUAUACUAAAAUAAAUGAAUAUAUAUUAUUCAAACAAAAUGUAUAGCAUCGAUCUGUUAACGUAUAAUCUUACAAAUGUAAUUUGAUAAACGAUAUGUUUUGUCUUUAUACUUGACAUAAUUUCUGUUACGGUUAUUUUAAAAUGAAGUGAUAUACUUAUUUUGUUUUUAAAUUGUAUGCAUGUAUUUUUAAAUAGAGAAGGAGAAUGGAAGUUUACCCAGCGCUAAAUUUUGAGCUGAAGGAAGUGAAAUAGACGACGCCGGUAGUGUUAUCAACGUCGAGACCAUCGAGAAACACGAACGGUUUGCCGUCAACACUGUCGGCUAUCUUCUUGGCCAUACUGCCGAAGACAGCAUGGACGACGUGAAGACCCAAUACAGCAUCGGCCACGUAGAGCUCUCUUGUAAUGUCGUUGAAUGCUAAUCCCGCAGGCCGGCCGCAUUUUCCGGCAUUAGCAGUUCCAAGGGCUCCAUCGCACCAUUGCGACUUCCUAGAAUAAAUAAAACAAGAUAGAAUGUAAACAAGACUAGUAAUUUGGCAGAAGAUCCAGUUGUAAAAACAUCACAAACAAAUACUUAUAAGGUUAAUCUAAAAAGGGUUAGCACUUUCUUUCAUUGGUUUUUUUCCAGCGUUAAAGAAUGAAACUAUUAUUUAACGAAUAGUUUACAAAAAUAUUUCUAUUUGACAAAACAUUUUUGAUGAAGGGACCUGGACCAUAAGAGGCAAUAAAGGGCUUUCAAUUGAUGAACAAAAAGUAGAUUGGUCUAGUUGCCGACCAUUGUGAUGAAACAAGUAGCUUACAAUCAUUUCUAAUUGACAAAAACCAUAACAUGAUAUAUUUCGACAACGAAGUAUCGUCAAUGUUAACUAUCUCGUUUUAAAUAUAACCACUUCAUUCGCUUUAUGCAUGUGAGACGAAAGUAUUAACUUCUUCUUUUUGGUAUGAACGAAAUUAUAACUUUCAUAAGGAUUUUCUGAUCAGAACAAUCUUAUCAUGUAUCAAUGAAAACAUGUUUUGUACCACAUUUUAGCAAAAAUAAAAAUAAAAAUCAAAACAUGUUUUAGAGUUGUGGCUAAUGAACUUAAAAGCAUAAUUCUAAUCAAAGUUGUGUGUCUGUGUGAUUUUGGAGAUCAAAAGAAUAAAAACCUACGAGGAUUUCGUCAUAUAGGCAAACUCGAUAUAACCUUUCCCUGGAGUAUAGCUGAGGAUUUUACCACCGGAUACUCCGGUAUAGAAACCUUUUCCGGUGGAAUCAAUGGCGAAAGCUUCAGUGCCUGACCUAUUUCCCGGCACCGGAAGUUUUUGGAAAGAUGCGUCAUCGGAGAAUACAACCGGCGAAAGAGAGAGAAGAGAAAUCAAGAAGAUAGAUAACGUCAUAACUUUUGUUGGUUUUGUUUUGUUGCUAGAUUGUGGCUUGUGGUCUGUAUUUUUAUAGCUUUGAUUUUUGGUAUUUUUAUUUCCUUUUAUUGAACUUUCUUCUUUUGAUUUCAAGUAUUUAUAGAGAUUAAUAUUCAUAGAGCAGCAGAUCAGACUAAAAUUAGCAAUUAUUUUAUAUAAGGAGAAAAAAUAUGCCUAGAUUGUGUUAUAAUUUCAACAUUGAUUAGAAGUAGAUUGCUGAAAUAUAUGUGUAUCUUAGAGACAAUUGGUUGAAAAGUUAAUAUAGGUGAUGGAUGUGGUAUACUGAACUGUGAUUCUGAUAUUUUAUACCAUUCAUAGUAUUUGUCAAAGUUUUAUGUACUUUUAACUAUUUGUCAUAGGAUCGUGUGAUAUCUUUGUCUCGGUGUGCCCUGCUGGUUUUACUUAAAACAUAAAUGUCAGUUUUGAGGGAAGAGAUAGAGGAGGGGACAGAAGAAACUAUUGGCUGAACCUUAUCGUCUUCCACGCCACGUACUCUGCAUGCAGUUCUAACCGUAUGAACAACAUUCUCGUGACUUGUCAUAAAUCAACUUUUCUAGCAUCCGUUUUGCUAGAAUCGAACAUCAUUUUGUUUUUAUUGUUAACCUAUUCUUCUAGUCUCAUUAGUAAAAAAAUCUUAAAUUUAUUUGAAACUGUCACAAACACUUCUAACAUUUUGAUUACCAAAAAAACCCGGUUUACGAUAUACGUUUGUCACUACUAGCAAAAGAUGCAUGAUUUUGUAUGUACUUAUAUAUGUAAUAAAGAGGGAAACAACAUUGGUCAGAAACCUUCAAAAUUUCAUGAAAUUAAUCUAAAACAUAUGACGUCCAACCAGUUUUCUUAAAAAAACUUAUUAAGGAAAACUUCGUCCUCACUGAAUAUAACCAGGAAAUAAGAAGAAACGGAAUUUAUAAGAACGUGUAUAAAAUGACAAAGAAGCUUGAAAUCAAUUGUGAGUUGAUAUAUAUAACUUUAUUAUAGACUGAAUAAUUGAAAAAACUUUUUCAACAUGAUCUCAUUAACAAUCAUAAUUUUGUAAUACCAAAUUAAAGUUUCAUGAUUCCAGCAAAAGGUCCAGUAAGUGUCCCAAUAUAAAGUUUGCCGUCUAACUCAUUGGCUUCACUAAGCAAAGUGUCCCCAAACUCAUUCUUGAGAGAAAUGGUCUGAAGAACUUUUCCAUUAUAAUCGAUUUUCACAGCCGAAGGAUCCGUUGGCACGACCACCUUGUUCUUGACCGAAGCAACCCAAAAGUUUCCAGUAGCACCGAUCCUCUUAAUGUUGUCAGGGUUCGAGACAGAACUUGUGACAUCUUCCGUCGAUCCAGCUUUGGGUCCUGUGAUCCAGUAUCUCUUGAUGUUACUCUUUAUGAACUCCGUAACCAGCACGAACGAACCAUCUGAGCUCACGGCGCAACCAGCUCCACCACUUAUACCUUCCAUUAACACCGUCACUGCUUUAGUCGCUGGAUCGUAUUUGAAGAGCUUUCCGCUCGCGUCUUUUAGUCCAACUGCGAUCAACACUUCGCUGCAUUGCAUAACCAACAAAUAUUAGUACGCAAGUUUAAUAAGAAAAUCAUAUAUAUAUAUAUCAACUACACCAAUUUAAAAUUUAUUUUUGAAUACCCUAAAUUUGCUAGAGUUUUGAUUAUUAAUAAUAUAAAACUAUGAUAAAAUAAUAAAAUAGUUUAUAUUGGUGCCGUUAUAGCUCAUAAUCAUGAAGUUACGUGCAUGUCUAAGUUACACACGACAGGAAAUAUGUGCAUAGAAGAUCGAAUAUAUAUGCUCUACCUGGGGCUGAACUUUGAGCUGAAAGAAGUGAAGUAGACUACGCCUGUGGUGGGAUCAACGUCAAGACCGUCCAAGAACUUGAAGGGCUUUCCAUCGACACUAUCGGCGAUCUUUGUGGCCAACCCUCCGGCGGGAGGGAUAACGUGAAGACCCAAUGGAGCAUCAGCGACGUAAAGGUCACCUGUUUUGGGGUUGAAGGCUAUCCCCGCAGGUCGGCCACAUUUCCCGGCCAGAGCGGUUCCAAUUAUUCCAUUGCACCAUGACGAAUUCCUAUAGAAACCAAACCAAUUAUAAUAUGUAAGACGUUAAUAUAAGAAUAUUAUCUUGCAAACCAUAAUAGAAAGGCAAAAUAUGUAAUCUUAGUGAUCGUGCUGUAGCCUUGUAGGUCAAGUUUAAUGAUACUUACGAAGUCGUGGUGAUCUCGGCAAAAUCUUCGAAACCCUUGUCGGCUGUAUACUUGAGGAUUUUACCACCGGAGACUCCGGUGAAAAAAGCUUUUCCGAUGGUAUCGAAGGCAAAAGCUUCAGGGCCAGACCUCUUCCCUGGUAUUGGGAGUUUCUGGAAAGAUGCGUCAUCGGAGAAAACGGCCGAUGAAAGAGAAAGAAGAAGAAGAGAAAUCAAGAAGACAGACGAAGUCAUUGUAUUCUUAGCUUUGUUCUUGAUUUGAUAUCAACGAGAUAUAGAAUUUACUCUGGUACAAGAACCUGUUUGUGUCUGUAUAUAUAGUGAGACAAUUGGUUUUAAAAGGAAAGUAUCCCCAAUAUAUAUUUCCUUUGUUGAUGAACAAAAUAGAAAAGAUUUAUUUAUUUCCAUUUAUAGAUAGGGAAUUAUAUACUUCUUAUUCUGGCGGAUUCAACAGAUUUAAUUACAUUCAAUCCAACAUUAAAUGCUAAAAUUGGAAGUAUUUAUAAAGUAUCAAAUCAGACCAAAAAGCAAAAUAUCAGAAUAAAUAAAGAAACAAAUAUGCACAAGUUAUACUAGUUUAUGUGUAUGUUACGUUUAGUAAUCUUUUAGAAAAUACGAUUAGUAUUCUUUCCAUUAAAUUUUCAUUUGAAAUUCUUAUUAAUUAUAAUUUUUUGAAUUUUUUUUGUACACUAUAUUCAUUAUUAUUAAAUAAAUCUUUGAAAUCACUCAAUAUUCUUUUUUUAGUUAUACAAAAUUAAAAAAAUUACUUGAUUAAUAUGUAGUUAGUUACGAGUAUUUUUUAAUUUAAAUUUUUUUAUUAAAAAAUAUUUUUGGAUAACAAGACAAUAUAUAUAUAUGAAUUAUCUUUUUAUUUUAAAAUAUAUAUUUUAAAUUUUGGAUAAUUGUUAUUAUUAUUAAUUUUAAUAACUUAUCUAAUAAAAAUGUUAAAUUCGUUUUUAUUUUAAGACUAAUUUAUAUAUUUAUUCACUAAGGGUAUAAACGAUAUUAACCACUCUAAUUUUUUUUUUUUGCUAAAAGGUAAAUAUCAUUCUUUUUUUGUGCUAGUUAUUUUCAGUUCUUCAAAUUUUCACAAUGUAAAUCUUGUGAAAUUUUAUACUGAAAUUUGUUACAAAUCUCACGUUCAAAUUUGUUUUCAAGAUGUAACACAAACUGUAAGACUCUAUGAUUGAUUAUACGGCAAAAAAGUUUUAAAAACAUGUAAUCAAAAGAUAAUCGAACUUGAAACUGUUCUACUUAGGAGCGAAUAGGACAACGAGGAUCGAUACAACACUUGAAGAGUCGAGAGAAAGAGCACAAACAAGAUAGGCAUAUAGAGAGACCCGAUAACCAAAGAUUGAGAGACACGACUCUAGCAUGAAGUUGUUUCAAACACGAACUUAUUUAUGGGAUCUCUUAUAUUAUUUACUGUAUAUGAUUUUCUCAUAAUAUAAGCAUAACUAAAUAUUAAUGAAGAAUUUUUUUUUGUCAACCAAUAUUAAUGAAGAAUAACUAAAAUACUUUUGCGUUUUGUUUGGUAAAAAACUUUUGCAUAUUUGUUUCCCUUGGUGGAAUGAAUGACGCCAAAUGGUACGCUCCGUUUGAUUAUCCAAUGAAUCCGAAAAAUGAAAGUGUCAACAUGAGCAUCAAUCACAUUACAAACAAAAGACUCCGAGUGGAAAAGCUGUUCCGUUUUAUUUGUUUUUUUUUUCAUAAAGAAAACUUAAAGAGAAAGCUACAAAAGAUGAUACGAAGCAGGGCUCAUUUGGUUGUUACAUAAGCAAAAGCCAAUGAAUGCCUUUCUCAAAUCUUCUCACGGUGAUCUGAAAGCUUCCCCGGCGUAACGCACGUUGCCGAGUUCCUCUUCAAUACGGAGAAGCUGCAACAGAAACAAACCAAACUUAUUGUGUAAGUGGCUGUCUUAAGAUUUAUAAGAUUUAUUGUAUAAGUUUAGAUGUCAGUUAAUAUUACCUGGUUGUAUUUUGACAAGCGUUCACUUCGGCAAGGAGCACCAGUUUUGAUCUACAUAACAUAUGUUGUUUGAUUAGAGAAUAAACACUCCAUGAUACAGACAUGUUCAGAGAAUAUGUUACCUGUCCACUUGCCAAACCAACAGCAAGAUCAGCGAUAAAGUUAUCCUCUGUCUCUCCACUCCUGUGACUAACCAUCACACCCCAGCCUGCAGCUUUGGAGUCAAGUGCUGCUUGAAUUGACUCAGUCACUGUCCCAAUCUGGUUCACCUGUGAUUACAUGGUUUUAGAAAAAAAAGGUAUAUACAAUUGGAGAAGGUAAUGAAUCAUUACUGACCUUCAACAAAAGAGCAUUGCAAGACUUUUUCUUGAUAGCUUCAGCUAUCCUCGUGGGGUUAGUGACCAACAAGUCAUCACCAACGAGCUGGAUAUCAACAGAGGAUUGCAACGAAGCCCACGAGCUCCAAUCAUCCUGGUCAAAAGGAUCCUCGAUAGAUACAAUAGGGAAAUCUUUGAUGAACUCUCUGUAGAGGUCAGCAAGACUCUCAGCUGACAAAACAUGAGCUCCAUCGUUGGGCUGCUUCUUGAAGUUCAAAUCGUAUCUACCAUCUUUCGUGAAAAACUCUGACGCAGCUACAUCCAUUCCUAUUUUGAUCUGCAACAGUUAAUCAAAAUUAUGUGAACGGUGUGUUACAUUUGACACCAAAAGGAUUUUGAAAAUAGGAGAGAGCUUGGUUUACCUUUCCGGUGUAACCAGCUUUUUCAAUAGCAUCUAUGAGCAGAACUAGUCCCUCCCUGUUAUCUUGAACAUUCGGAGCAAAUCCUCCUUCAUCUCCCACAUUACAAGCAUCUUGACCAUACUUGCUUUUGAUUAUCCCUUUCAACGUAUGGUAAACUGUAAUCAACAAGAUUACAUUAAGUCCAUUACUAUAAAUAAACAAUGCUUAAACUCAAAUAUCACUGACGUACCUUCACUUCCCAUCUGAAAUGCCUCAGAGAAAGAAGUUGCUCCUACAGGUAGUAUCAUAAACUCUUGCAUAGCCAAACUGUUCCCAGCGUGACUGCCUCCAUUGAUGACGUUGAAAGCAGGAACUGGCAUAACAAGCUCCUUUGUUCCAGAGAGUUCCUGGAUGUGUUUGUAGAGAGGCACUCCUUUGGCUCCAGCACCUGCCCUGCAAACGCUUAGUGAUACUCCUAGUAUAGCGUUAGCCCCGAGUUUCGCCUUGUUCGGGGUUCCAUCCAGUUCCAGCAUAAGAGCAUCAACAUCAGCUUGGUUCCUUCAAAAAAAAAAGAUAAUAAACACGGCUUGCCUAUCACCAAUCACCAUUUCAAGAUGAUUCAUAAGCAGAUAACACAAAGCAAAAUUGAAAUAAAAGCCAUUGUUAUAAAGGAUGCAAGAAAAACAAUAACGACAGAGAGAUUUAACGUGGUUCAUCAAUACAUGUAAUACAGAUAAAGAGAGAUCUUACUAUCGGAAGCGAUGUUAGUAUAACUAAGGUUAUAAGAACACAAUUUAUAUUUAAGAGUAUACCACAUCUAAAACCCUUUCGCUAACAGACUAACACUAAUACUCAGUGUUCUAAAAAUUGGUCUAAUCGACACGUAGGCCUACCCCUAGUCGGCAGAUUGGACAUAAACAAAAGGUCUAUAUGUUCAAAAAAAUCAGUUUAGACGUCUGCCUAAUCAAUAAUCUUUGCUAAUACCAUAUGGGCUCAAACAAGAUUCAAGCCAUAUCAACAACCAUAAUCAAACUCAACAAUCUUUACUACAUUUUAAAACCAGAUUAACCAAACAGCUGUUUAGUAGAUCUAAAAAAUAAGAACAGCAACAGCAACUCUCAUGUCUCAACGAAGUUCUUUAUUAAAUUGUUACCUAACGUCAACUCCAAUGAGUUUCGGAGCCACUAGUUCGUUAAUGUUCUUAAUAGCCUGUAAGACACCUUUACCACCGUAUACACUCUUGUCUCCAUCUCUAAGCUCGAGAGCCUCGUAGAUCCCGGUAGAUGCACCACUGGGAACAGCGGAACGGUACAGAUCAUCGGUGACCAGAUCAACCUCCACCGUAGGAUUGCCUCUGCUAUCAAUAAUCUGCCUCGCUUUCAGUCCCUUCACUCUACACUCCUUAGCCACCACCGAGCAUUGCACACCUGUGCGGCGGAAACUCAGGCAUGACGGCGCGGAUUCAGAGUAGCGUUGAGGGGAGACGCGGUGGCCGGAAGAGAGGAACGAUCUCUGGAGUUGGUGAGGCUUCGUAGUCAAAGCCAUGAUUGAAACCUAACACUGACAAGAAAGCAGAAACUAGAAAAAGGAAGAAUAGGUGGCGAUGGUGGAGGUGUUAUAUAUUUGAAAAACGUCCUUACGAGGGUUGGUGUAGGCGAUGAAAACUAAGAGAAGUCAAAGGUCAAGUGUAAAACCGGUUCAAUCUCAAUAUAGUUCCGGUUUUAAGAGAAAACCGGUUUGUCUAUUAGGCAAUUUUUCUUUUUAACACUUGAUAGCACAUUCCAUAAUAAUACAAUUUCUAAUUCUAUUAAUAUAAUGAUAAAACAUGAUAUUGAUGAACAAAAACAUAUUAGUAUUCCAUGAUAAAAGCUCUCCCGGAAUACUUGGAUCGACGAAUGGUUCUGCAUGUACAAUAUUUUCGAUGGACAUAUUUUCUCUUUUUGACAACCACAUCAAACUUACUCAAAUAAACUUCACAUAAUAAUCUGCAAGAAAUUGCAGAAAUCGAAUCUCAGAUCUGGAUAUAAAAGUUUAUAAACUUUAACCACAAAGUUAUGGUGCUCCGUGCUCCACAGUUUGUGUUUAUAUAAUAUAAACUGUAUUUUUAUACCAUUUUCAUAAUUUUAUUUUCAAAUCUAUGUGUUCAAAAAAAAUUCCAAUUCUAUUUUUUUAGCUAGAAAAUAACUCAAUGCAAUUACUUUUUUAAUUUCUCUAUUUCAAAAUGAUAUAAGUUUUAUGAUUUUCGCACAUUAAAAAUAAAUAUUAAAUAGCUAUUAUUAAUAUUUUUUGUAACUAGUUAUUUUCCAUAAUUUUUAGUAACCAAUAGAAUUUUAAUAAACAUAACUAUCUUUCUUCUUAAGUUUACAAUAUGUAUCAUUAAAUAACAUAUUGAAAAAAUGUAAGAAAACAAAUUAAAACAAUUAACAAAUGAAGUAUUAAUUAACUAUUGGCAAGUGCUUUACAAAUUCGAUCGUUUCAUGGGUUGCGUUCUCUAUCAAAAGUUGCGUUUACUAUAAAAAUCAAUCACCGUUUUUUCUUGCUACUGAAAUUAAGAUUGUAUGUAUAACUUACUGAAAACAGAAAGUGUAGAAUAUAUAAACCAAAAGUGUAAGUCUCUCUCGUAGGUGAACAAGAACAAAAAACAAUCAUUAACAGUGUAUAAGACUUGAGGAGACAGAUAUUCUGUAAAACUCAUUUGUUGAAGUUUAGGAAACAAGCUCAUGUGGCUUCAUUCCUUGUUUCAGUGAAAACCUUGCGCCGAGGUAAUACAUGUUAGUUGAUAGAUGUUUUUUAUUUCGACAAUAUACUUUCAUAUGGUUAAUAUAUAAUAACAUCACUAUUCUUUGUAUGAUCAUAUCUGAUGGUUUAUAGUUAGUGUGUAGUUUACCAAUUCUUUUUCCUUUAGAAAUCACUAGAAUCUAUUAAUAUCACUUUACUAGUCAAACAAAUACAUUACGUGGUAGUUGCAGAAACUAAAGUCAAAAAUCAGAUCAAGGGUUAGCGUUUGCUUCACCUCUAAGAGAACAAUGGAUGUUUGUUAUAGUAUUAUAGUUUGAGAAGCUUUACAUGAAGCUGAUGAGGAUUUCUCCACUUUAUUCACUUUUCCAUGUCAUUCUUUAACAAACACUGGUCGCCUAAAAGCUUUUCAAAAGACUAACGUUCAUGUGCACAUGCGCUAUAUAUAGAUCUUCAUCCGCAGAUAUGCAAAUAACCAAAGAUCCCAUUGUUAUAUUUCUAUCGACAAAUAUUGAUAUUCAAGAACCAAAACAUCAUAAGCACCAAUGGCAAUGACUAGUACUAGUAGCAGCACUUCGUUGUAUCCUCCGGCUCAACAACCGCAACAGCCAUUAGUAAGCAAUGAGAUUGAACCUACGGCGACAAAUGCUAAUCUGGUGGCCGCACCAAACGGCCCAAACCACUACUCGUCCGGCUCCAUUGGACCCUUCUUUGCAGUCAUCUCUGUUCUUGUCGUUCUUGCAGUUCUCUCCUGCUUCUUGGGCCGGAUAUGCGCACGGCGACGACGGCAGAGAAGUGGUGUAGUGGCUGAAGUAAAUCCGUUGGAGAUGAUAAAGAGUCGUGGGCCUUUAGGGUGGCUGAGAAGGAAAUGGACACGGUGCUUGACCGGAGACGUGGAGGCUGGAGCUAAAGUUACUGAUUGCACCGGCAAAGAAACGCCUAAAGAUGGUGAUCAUACUCGUCUAGAAGCUCCUCCAGCUUAGAACUUCGAUUUAAAAUAUGUAUGAUUGAGAGAGAAAAGUAAUAAACAUUUUUAGAAGCGUUUCAACUAGAACGUAAGCAAAUUUUAUCAUAUUCGAAAUGUUGUUUCAGAUCUACAAAACCCAUCUCGUAAAUUUUAGUCUCACUACUUGGAUCAUCAGUUCAUCACCAUGUGAAUUCUUGUGGAACUUUAUACUUCAUUGUUACAAAACUCACGUUCAAGAACAUGAUAUAUAAAAUAUAAAUAUGUAAAACAAGAAGCCGAAAAUUGUCUAUGAUCGGUGAACAAGAAACAAGAGCAAGACCAACCGUUCAGAUGUUAAAAGCUAAAGGAGACAAACAGGCCUUGAAAUCUAGAAAACAAGCUCAUGUGGCUUCAUCCCUUGUUUCAAUGAGAACCUGGCGCCCAAAUAAGUCUUCAGCUCAGGAACUGCUUCAAUGGCUUUGAUCAAAGCUGCAUCCACAGCCUUCUGGUCAUCUUUCUUCCCUUGUGGAAUCUCCUUCUUCUCCUGUGGGAUCAAAAACCCAUAAAGUGGUCAAGAGUAGUUGUAGGUUAAUGUACAAAGGAGAGAAGAACUUGUGAGUUUUAAUACUCAAAGGGAUCUGAGAGAGUAAGGCGAGAGUGGACUUGAUAUACCUCUUUCUCUGCUUGGAAGAACUCUCCUUCUCCCUUCUUGUUCUUCUUCUCAGCAACUUUUCCAAAAUACUUAUCAUCAAAUUUAUCAAGGCUUACUCCAGAGAUGUCAACCUUUGUGGACGUGCCGAUCACAUAAGACUGGUUAACACGUCUCAAAGGAACACCAUUGAUCUUGAACGGUCCUGAAAGCCCAAUAACAAAAACAGGAACAUGUCCAUUAACAAAAGUAGUGAAUGAGCCUUGAUUCAAACGGAUCAUAGAAAGAGUCAAAAGAAGAACAAACCGGACACAAGAAGUAAACCAGAAGGAAGCUGCUUCAAGAAGACAACUCUCUUGCCCUUGAACCGACCAGCAAGUAUAAUCAACACUGUCCCUGGAGUGAUGCUUGAUCUGCAAUGCAGGUCAUAAGACCGAUCAGAUUACUACAGCACCAUAUGGAGAUUAAACUGGUUACGAUCAGACAUUUUUUCAAAAAGAUAACUUCGCAAACAAGAUUGAUCUAAACAAAAUCAAACAAAACAUAAUGAAGACAGUCACAUCGGUCUGAAUAAAAGUGCAAGAGAGACUUUUUUAUAAAGUACCUGAGCUUGGUGGGUUUUGGGUUGCGUCUGUUGGCAAGAGGUUUCUUAACGUCUUCAGCUGGAUAGAACUUCGGAGGCUUCUCCACCGGAGCAUCAGCCUUGGACUUGGCGUCGUGGCGAGGGAAAACGCCGCCGUUUUUGGCCUUGAUAGCCCACAGACCUCUCUUGUGGUACAUCUGAGACCUCGAGUAUUUACCUACUCCCCUGAUCAGAUCAGGGUUUCGGCUGACCUUCGCCGUCCUCUCUUUCGCCGGCAUCGUUGAAGGUGAUGACAAGUCUUUUUUUUUUCCCCGGCUGCGAAAAUGAGGGAGAAGGAGAGACUGUGAUAACGAAUUGGAAAAUGACAUUAUAAACCCUAUACUAAUAUGGGCCAGUUAUGGGCUUUAGAGUUUUAUUGGGCUUUUGAUAUGUGGACCAUUCAUUAAAGAGGAAGCCCAAAUAUAGAACAAUGGUCAACCGAGUAAGCGAGCCUACUUCUCACGGUGGCGGCCAGUUGAGGACAAAGAGUUUGGUGGUUUUAGGACAUUGCCAAGUCACAUCACAUGCAUCAUGCAUCUAUUGGAAUAAGAAUAUUCCAAUGAUGCAUUCAUUUAAAUGAGACUCCUUAAGAAAACUUUUUUUUUUUUUUUUUUUUUUUUUUUUUUUUUUUUUUUUUUUUUUUUUUUUUUUUUUUUUUUUUUUUUUUUUUUUUUUUUUAAAAUUUUUUUUUUUUUUUUUUUUUUUUUUUUUGAACACCUAUUAAGAAAACUUUAUUCAACAAGUCUAUAUGAUUGAUUACUUAGUCUAUAUUGAUCCAUUUAAGUUAUAUAUCAUCUCUUUUUGUUUUCAUCGCCUGAUCGUUGAUUUGGUUAUAUAUGUUGUCUAGGUCCGGUGUUUUUAGGGGCCAAGUUGUAGGUUAGUGGUUUCUUUAAAACUGCAACGACGUCGACUACAUAAGUACAUUACCACUUUCCUUGAACUUUCAAUAUGUUGUAUAACCAAGACCGCCAACUAGUUUCGUAUUUCUUAGUUACUUAUCAGAACUAUUUUCUCGUCGUGUAAUGUUUUUUAAACAUUUUUUUUUGUUUUGUUUCUUGUUUGUUACUACAAUGUUACUAUCGGUCUCUCUGUUGAAAAGUCUCGCACUCCAUAUUUUACAGUUGAUUUUAUUCUAAACAAAUAACACUGUACAUGCAUGUACUCUUUUGGCUUUUGUUGCUCUGCAUAUCUCGAGGUAAGUAUUUUUUUUUCUCGCAACUCGUGUGGCACGAAGUCGUGAGCUAUGACUUUAGACAAAUUUUAACUACAAUAACUAAUGGAUAUUGAUGACUGAUGAGAAAAUUCAACUAAAGGCAUUAUGAUAGUAGAGUACUAUACGUUCAACGUUCCGACUCUGUUCAUUACAUUUAACAUAUGGUUUGGUGCUCAAACCGGUAAUUUAAGUUUAGUUUGGAUUGGAUUGGAUCGGUUUUUGGUAAAUCAGAACUGAACAUCGUAACAUUAAAUUAAAUAUACGUUUCUCUCCACGUAGUUCUGACUAUUCUAAUGUUGAAUCCAUUAGCUGGAAAAAAAAAAGAUCUAACGUUUUAAACAAUGAAUUUAGACUUCGGACAAGGUUUUAAAAUUGAAUUAGGAAAAGAUAAAACACCACGUCUUGAUGUGGACGGAGAAUAAAAGAUGGUACGGGUUUGUAGCAGCCACAUGCGAAAUAGUAUCCGUCAAUAAUCUUAUACUGAAAUAUUUCUUUCAAGCUACGUAUUGGAAAAAGGUAGAAGUUAUAUAGGACUUGUAAUGGUACAACAUACUGGAUUUUUUUUUUCCUUUGGUCCAGUGAUGUUCCGAGCUUGGAUCCAGAACUAUAUGCCAUACAAGUUAGUAUGGAUACUGUAGUUCAGUAUUAGUAACUGCAAAGGAUGAAACUCCUACGAACGAUAAGAAAGAAACUUUCAAAAUAAAAGAAAUAAUAAUAUUGGCUAGCUAGAAAAUCAAUAAUACGUACAAGAACCUCCACCGCAAUCUUUUCGCACUGACAAAGUCUACACAUUUUUCAAUAAGAGUAGAGAUAUUUUAUAAUCUAUAAAAAGGUUGAAAUCCACGUUUCCAAACAAUUAAAAACGACGCCGUCGUCUGCACAGAAGCCACGCACGCAUAAGAUAAAAAGCUCACCGCUCCUCCUUGAAAUUUCUCACUUGCCUUAGCCAGCAGCGAAGUGAAAGGAAACAAAGUUCUCUCUUCUCUCUUCUCUCUUCUCUCUUCUCUCUUCUCUCUUACUUUUCAUCUCAAAAUACGAAAAUAUAUGUUUUUUAGAAGAAAAUAUCAAGUUUUAUGUAUAUUACAAAAAGCGUAGUCUCGAGUAAGAACAAUAUGUCGAUAAGACGUAUCUAUCCAUGCCUUAAUGUUCUCAUCAAAAGAUCAUGUCCUUUCUUUCUUUGAUCUAUCACCAGACCACAACACAAAAUCUUUCUUUUUUUCUUUUUUCUUUUUUCUUCUCUCUCUCUCUCUCUCUCUUUUUCUUUCUCUAGCUUCUAUUGUAACGAUCAAAAAUCAAGAAUGGUACGGACACCGUGUUGCAGAGCAGAAGGGUUGAAGAAAGGAGCAUGGACUCAAGAAGAAGACCAAAAGCUCAUUGCAUACGUUCAACAUCACGGUGAAGGAGGUUGGCGAACCCUUCCCGACAAAGCUGGUAUAUUAUUUUCUCAAAAUUAAAUUAUUAAUUCCCCCAAUUUGGCAUAUUCAGUCAGCUUUUCUUUGCAUUAUACAGUUUCAUUAUUAUUUAAUGCUUUUAAAUCAUAAAAUUAUAGGACUCAAAAGAUGUGGAAAAAGCUGCAGAUUGAGAUGGGCCAAUUACCUUAGACCUGACAUUAAGCGUGGUGAGUUUAGCCAAGAGGAGGAAGAUUCCAUCAUUAAUCUCCAUGCCAUUCAUGGCAACAAGUAAGUAUUUAAUUUUAGAAUAUCCCAUUUGCUUAAGGAAAUUAAACUAUGCUAAAUAAUUUCAGUAUUGAUUUGCAUUUGUUAUACUUAUAUUUAUAAAAUUGUUUAUAUGGUUUGUGUAUGAUAUCAUAUUAUAAUUUAAUAUUGUCAAAUAAAAAUAUUUGUAAGAUAUAAACUGUAAAAGCCAAUGCCAAUACCAAACUCAUUAUAUUAUUGUUAUAAGAAAUUAUUUUAAAAUAAAAACAAUUGAGCAGAAUAAUUUAGGUGUAAAAGUAGAAUAAUCUAAAAAACCUACCCCCCCCCCCAUUAUACAAUGUGAUGCCAAUAUGCCAUGUAGUAAUAAAUAAUGUUUUGAUGAUCAGAUGGUCAGCCAUAGCUCGUCGAUUACCAGGAAGAACAGAUAACGAGAUCAAGAACCACUGGAACACUCACAUCAAGAAACGUCUUAUAAAGAAAGGCAUCGAUCCCUUGACCCACAAAUCACUUGACCAAUCCGAGACAUUACCGGAUAAAAGCAUCGGUCAUCAGGAGGAUGAUGAUGAGAAGUCAAACAAUAAAAAGUCCUUAGGGCCAUCAUCAGCUCGGUUCCUGAACAGAGUAGCAAACAGAUUUGGUAAGAGACUCGACCAGAGUGCUCUGUCUGAUAUUAUUGGAAGUGGUGGCCCAUUUACUAGUCACACUACUCCAACUACUAGUGCUUCUGAAUGUGAGAAGUCAACAAGUUCUCUCUCCACACCAAACUCUUCGAAUCUCCACAUGAUCCACGAUGCAACAUCUUUGUCCUCGUCUACGUUCUCUAACGAUACCUCCGCUCAGUUAGUGUACGACAAUAUAUUUGACGACAUAGAAGAUAUGACGGGAUUUUCAUCAAAAAAUUUGAAUGAUAUUGUUUCUCAUGAUGAUGAAGAUUUCUUGAUGUUGGAUGAAUCUUCUUCAGACAAUACUUUGUUCAUGAAGGAACUUACAAUGUUUCUUCAAGGGGAUAAAACUGAGACGAUGUCGCUUAAUGAUAGCCACCUGGCGCCCAUCAAUGUUGUUGAUGACUACUCCUUUGAAGGGAUUGACAACUGGUUUGGAUAAAGUAUAUGUACAUAAAUGUUCAGAUGUUUAAAAAAUGGUUGAGAUAUUAGUUUCCUGCGGGAUUGACAGUCCACAUUUUAUGAUGAUGAUGAUGAAAAUAUGCAAGUAUAUCAAUUAGAAUUUGAUUUUGCUGAGUUUAAAAAAAAAAUAGUUUGAGUGAGUUUCUAAAAUGAUUGUUAUGUUUGUUUUGUAAGAAAUUUCAAAUCAAUAAAAAGUUACGUAUGUUAUAAAUUCUACAAAUUAAUAGUCGAUAAAUUAAUAAACACCAUAAAUUAAUAAUUUUUUCCGGUUCCAAGUUGGAUCGGUUCAAAUAUGACACAAAUCAAUAAAAUAAUAAGAUAAUAAUAUUACAGAAAAUCAUAUGUAAAUAUAUGGUCCCAUUAAAAUUAUAAGUUAAUAAUUUAUUUUAUAUAAGUAUAUACCAACCAUAAUAUUAUUUGUUUUAUAUUCACAAUGAAAUUAUCUUUAUAUUUUCUUAACUUUUAAUAUAUUUUGAUAAAAUUUAGUAAAAUUAUAUUUAAAACCACAUUUGACUUCUAUGAAAAAUAUUUUAUACACACCAAAUAGUAAUAAAACUAAUAAAAUGUCGAACUUCAAAAAGUUAAUUAAUAUAUAUAUAUAUACUAAAAUCAAAUAUAUAAUCAUAUAAAUUAAUAAAUCCAUAAAUUAAUAAAUUAAUAAAAUAUAAAAGUCUCAAUAUUAUUAAUUUAUAGAGUUUUUACUGUAUAUGGUAUCGUGUUUUAAUCGGAAGAAACAAUCUCUGAUAUAUAUUAACCACUAACUAACAAAUGAACAAAUUAUUUACAGAUAUUAGAUUGUUAAGUUCAUUUAACUCUCUGGAAGAUAUCGUUUAGUUCUUUUUAGGUUUAGUAUGCAUAAUGUUCCAUUCACUACAAAUGCUGUGAUGAUAGUGAGUGGACUAUGAAUAGUGGAGUGGACUAACUAGCUAACUGCUACAAGAAGCAGGUGAGAUUCGUGAUAAUUUAUAUAUUAUUCUUUCUGUUCCACUUAUGUAUUAUUUUUCAACCGGUUUUCAUUUAAUUGACAAUGAAUAUAAUAUUAAUUAUAUUAUAUUAUCGCAAGAUGACAAAGUUUAAAUAUAAAUUAUGUUCAUGUACAUGUUUUAAUUAAGCGGAAACGGUGCAAAAUAAUAAUUUUAAAUUAAGCUAAAUAAUUAAUGCAGCAUAUAUAUAUAUAUGUUAAUUUUCAUAAAUAAUAUAAAAUUAAGAAAUAAUUAUUGUAAUAAAUCUGAAUGAUUAUUUUCAGUAACUAAAAAUAUUUUGUGGAAUAAUAUGAUUUGUUAACGAAUAAGACACACUACCUAAAAUUAGAAAGUGUCUCCUACUCACCAAUUGCCUUGGAUCCUUUAUCCCAAAGAGGACAUCCUCUAGAGGUUCAAUAUGUUAACAUGGUGUUGUGCGUGCACACUAAUUGCUAAAUGAGAAUUCGGCCAAAAAAAACCUCAACUUUACACGAAUUGCCAAAACAAACAUGAACUUUGGGGUUGGCCAAAAAAACACCAAACUUUCAUUGAACAAUAUUUUCGCUGACUUGCCAAUUUAGCACGCCGUCAACAAAUUUAACAGAAAUAUUUGACGUCGUUUAUUGUUGACGUUAAGUGAAACGACGUCGUUUUCAAAUGAGAUGAAACGACGUCGUUUUACACGAUUUGAAAUUAAAAAUAUGUAAACCCUUGGAUUCAAACCCAGGUUGGUUGGUCAAAUGGGAAGGUAUUUUACCACUGGGCUACUGGCACUUUUAAUGUACUUACUAACAUGUUUACUUUUAUUUGGUACAUAUUAAAUAUAAAAAAUUCUCUAAAAACUUAAUAAGAUCUUUAAAAUUCCAAAAAAUUAAAAAAAUAAAGAAGAUUUUUAUAAAAUUAAUUUUGAAACUAAAAUUGAAAAUAAAUUUUAUUUUUCUUUUUAAAAAAUAAAAAUUCUUCCAAAAUUACCUUUUCAAUCAUCUAAGGGGCGGUAAAGAUUCCAAACUAAUUAUAAUAAGUCAUUUGCUUAAACCAAAAGUACGAAAGCAAAAAUAAUCCAACCCUACCAACCACGUGACUCCGUGAAUGCUAUCUAAUUAAGUAAUUACUAGUUACAAUACUAUUUCAUUCUUUUUUUCCUUUUUUUUGUCGGCCAAUACUAUUUCAUUCUGUGAACACGAAAUACUCGUUGCCUAUUUUCACACCCUUAAAAAUUUGCUGAAACGUCAUAAUCCCUUGGAUUUACAGUACAAAAAUAUAACAAACGAAAACGUGCAUGGAAUAUGUUAAAGGAAAAAUUAACAAAGUUAAAUCCAUUGGAACUUUGCGUUAAAUCAUAAAUGACUUAUAGUGAUUAGUUUACUCCAAGUAUAAUUUUUUUUUUUUGAAAGAACUUUAAGUACGAAAGUUACAUCCGCUUUGGCCUUUCAACGACAACCUAAGUUUAUGCAUUUUUCUCUUUCUCUCUAAGACCAUUUCUAAUAGUUAUUCUCAUUUUUUCUUUUAAAAUGAAUUUAAAUUUUACUCUAAUAGUUUCACUCAUUAUAAAUUUAUCAUCUUAUAAAAACUUGCUUUGAAAUGUUUAUUAAGGUAACUUUUAAAAAUCGGUGAUACUUCAUAUUUAUCGUUUAAAAAAUUAUAUUAUUAUUUUGAAUCGGACAAUGAGUUGAACACGAGUAACGAAUAUUAAGACAUCCACAUUGGUGUAAUUUCUCGCUAAGAGAUUCAGUUGAGUUUAUUUCUAAUGCUGGUGGCUUUAACGUCUAGUUCUAGUCUAGUAUGUAAUAGCACGUGUUUCUGAAUUGUGACUCUUGACUAUUCAAUGAUCCAUGACGUGAAUUCCUACUUAAGAUAUGUGUAGAUGGACACAAGAUUUGCAUAGUUAGAGCAUCUCCAAAAAGGAACUCUAUUUUGAAGUUUCCAAAACUUUAUAUUUGAAGUUUCAAUGUGUUCUUCUCUAAAAUUAAAACUUCAAACCUAACUUCAAAAUUAUUUAUAUUUUACACUAUGAUCCUUAUGUUUGUCAUAGUUGAUGUAAAUUCAUAAAACUUCUAUAAAUAACUAAUACAUAUAUAUAAAUAUUACAGAAAUAUUAAUUAAAAAAAAAUCUUACACUAAAAUAUAAAAUUAUAAAUAAAAGUACAUAAUUAAAUAUUAAACUGCAAGCAAAUAUUACAUUAUUGCAUAAAAUUAUUUCCAUAAUGCUCCCAUAUAUGAUCAACUAUUUCGAAGUAAGAAAUGAUUCUCUUUAUUUUUUAUUUGUAGAUUACGAGCCAAAAAUUGUUGAAACCGGAUAUCCUCAUAAUAUGUCUGCUGAUAGUUUGAUAUCAUCAAACGAAAAAAAUCCUUGAUCUUUUAAACGAAAGUACAACAAGCAGGGAAAAAGGUCAUGAGAUGAUUGAAUUACGACUGCAAAAUGAAGCAAAAAAGUUGGCUUUUAAAGAAAUAAAAGAGGAAAAUAAAAUAUUGCUAAAAAACUUAGCUUCUAUCGAUGACGUUAAUAUUCGUGAAUACAUUCGAUCUGAACAAGAAAGAAUCAUACGAAAAAUGCGUCAAGAGCAACAACAACAAUCAUCUUCGGUUACACAAAAUUUGUUGAACAAUAUUUUGGAGAUUUUGGAGGUUCCGGAGCAAAUUUACCAGACUAUUAGUCUUGUUAUAAUAUUUAAAUUUGAGUAAUAAUUAUGUCUUCAUGUGUCUUUUUAAUAAGUUUUUAUUAUGGUUUUUUGUAAUAUUCUUGUUGUUUAAUUCUACUUUUAAAAUAUUAUAAAUCUUGUUUUAAUUUUUUUAUAUUUAAUUUCAUGUGUAAACUUAAGUUUAUAUAACAAAUUUGAAAUAUUUAUGAGAUAUAAAAGUUUUAAGGAUUAAAACAAUAAACAAAAAAAAUAUUUAAGAAUUAUAAAUAUGAUGUAUAAUUGUAAGGACCAAAAUGCAAAUAAAAAGAUGAAACUUCAAAUUUGAAGUUUUGAAAAGUGAAACUCUAUAUUUGGAGUUUCACUCUUCAAAACUUCAAAUUUGAAGUUUUGAAGUUCCUUUUUGGAGAGCAAAAAACUCUAUAUUUGGAGUUAUAGAGUUUCUUUUGGAGAUGUUCUUAUUUAUGUCACAGAUAACUUUCUAACAUGUAUACGGUAACCUAUUGGUUAAGCUUUAAACAAAUUUACAUCUAGGGGUUUGAAUUCUAGACUAUACAAUUUUUUUUAUAUUGCAUAUUAUAGGAAGUCAAUGUUUCAAUUUCCGAAAAAAAUGAUUAAUUAAAAAAUUAUACAGAUUACGAAAAAAUAUUUAAAAGAGAUCUUCAACAUGAUGCAAGUAAAUCUGGCCAAACGUGUGAAUCUUUGUAGGUUAGUCCAAAUGAUGCAGUUAGACAUAAAUCUUCGCAAUGCAUAUAUUAUUAUUUAUUAUUGAAUCGUUUAUGUAAUGUCUUUCCUAAUUAUAAUAUCAUAAUAAAUCAGUUUAAAAAAAGAAUAACUUUCAACAUUGGCUCCUUUCCACUUGGCAUUUGACGGGUUGUUCGCAUGAGAUCUGCUUGAUUCCAUUUUCCAUCCAACUCGAACAUAGUGAUCACCAUAUAAAAACGUCUUUUUUGUUGGUAUGAUUGAUGAUACUAUCUUUCUGCAGCACUUCAUUACAAUUUUUUUUUGUAAAACGCACUUCGUUACAAUUAUAAACAAAAUUUUACAAUCAAUUAAAAAAGUGUAUAACGUGAUUUGCUUUUUAGAAAGUGAAAUCACCAUCUGACGUUCCAUGCUACUCCGAGCCUUCCUAGACAAGAGUGAUUCAUAUUUCCUCUUUUUUUUUCUUGUUAGUUGCACAUUACGAACGACUUGUCUACACUAAACUACAAGAGUUGGUAAAGUGGAGGUUUCUUUACGGAUUUCAAACAACUAUGUCCAUAAUACAAUGUUGUAGAGUGUUUUCAUUUUUAUUUUUAGAGAUUUAUUAUUUACAAUGAUGGAUUUAGGUGUCGACCUUAAUUUCGCAUUUGGUCCAGGACCAACACUUGUUAUUAUUUUUAAAAUUCAUUAGCUCUGGAUUUUUUUUUUUUGACAAAAAAAAAUCAUUAGAUUCCACAUUGUUUUUUAAUAUAUUAUGAAAUACAGAUAUUCACAUCAUAAAAAAACUUAUAUUUCUUCCAUGUAAAAAUAAAAUUUUAAUUUGUUAUAUUUAUGAUUCAGUAUCAUCAUCUCACUUGUUAAUUCUUGUUGAAGCCUUAUACAAAAUUAUUGUAUGAUUUAUAUUUCCAUAUAGUUAACAAUACCGUUAAAAAGCGUUCUAACAAAUUUGAAGUGAUACGUGAUUGCCAUUUACUAACAUUAAACUAACACAAAGUAAAACUUCUUUUAGCAUGCUAGACUCAAUCAUAAUUCAGAGAACAUGCAAGUUCUUUUGAGGUUAAAUAUAUUUUCUGUAAUUAACCAUCAAACAACAAAGGGUGAUUCUUUCUAUGAACUAAGUCAUCUCACAAAGUCUUAUCUUCCUUCGGAGAACCAAGCAGAUAUUAGCCCAAUCAAAAUUCUAAAUCUUGUUGAGUAUAUGCACUAAUGCAUAUAUAUUGGGCACGGACGAACAAUAAGUACCUGCAACUUCUAAGUUGGGCCUAUACUUAGUAAAUUGUAGAUGUUACUAAUCCAUUAAUCAAAAUAAAUGAUAAAAUAAAACUUGUAAGUUGUACUAUCUUUUAACUCUGUUCCUUGAUCAAGUCACAUUAGACUGAGAUUUAUGCUACAUAUUUUACGCAUGUGUGCCACCAAACCAACAACCUACGAAUCACAAACUAACACGUGGGUGAAAAUAGCUUCAUUACUUAAAACCCAAUCCGAUCUUUGUCCGAAUACAGACCAUCAUCACUCAUCUUCCCACAAAACACAAGUCUUCAAAAUUCUAUAGCUCGAUGGAAUCAGAGCCCUUAACCGGAACGACCGUACCGAACCAAGACGAGGCUAAAACAGAGUCAUCAGAGUUCGAGAAGAAUCAAGAACGGUACCAAACAAUAAUCUCCACGUUCACACACGAGAAAGGCUGGAGACCAAAAGAGCCCUUCAUAGAGUACGGUGGUCACUGGUGGGUACAGCCUCUCCUCGAAGGCUGCCUUCACGCGCAACAGUUCUUCCAAGCUCGACCCGACGACAUCUUCGUCUGUAGCUACCCAAAGACAGGCACCACUUGGCUCAAAGCCUUGACAUUCGCCAUCGUAAACCGAUCACGCUUCGACGAUACCUCGAACCCUCUCCUCAAACGCAACCCUCACGAGUUCGUUCCUUACAUCGAGAUAGAUUUCCCUUUCUUCCCUCAAGUCGAUGUUCUUAAAGACAAAGGUAACACUCUGUUCUCAACUCACAUCCCUUACGAGUCAUUACCGGACUCAGUUGUGAAGUCACGUUGUAAGCUGGUUUACAUCUGGAGAGACCCAAAGGACACUUUCAUCUCCUUAUGGACGUUUCUACACAAAGAGAGGUCAGAGCUUGGUCCUGUAAACAACCUCGAGGAGGCUUUUGAUAUGUUCUGUCGAGGUUUGUCUGGAUACGGUCCUUAUCUUGAUCAUGUCUUGGGGUACUGGAAAGCUUACCAAGAGAAUCCGGAUAAGGUUCUGUUUCUAAAGUACGAGUUUAUGAGAGGUGAUCCUCUGCCGUAUGUGAAGAAGCUAGCUGAGUUUAUGGGGUAUGGAUUCACGGAAGAGGAAGAGGAGAAGGGUGUUGCUGAGAAAGUUGUGGAUCUUUGCAGCUUCGAGACGUUGAGGAAUCUUGAAGCUAACAAAGGGGAGAAAGAGAGGGAAGAUCGUGCUGCUGUUUACGCGAAUAGCGCAUAUUUUAGGAAAGGUAAGGUUGGAGAUUGGUCGAACUAUCUGACUCCAGAGAUGGCUGCUCGUAUUGAUGGGAUCAUGGAAGACAAGUUCAAGGAUACAGGUUUGCUUGAACAUGGUCAUUGACUUGUUCUUGAUCGUUAUAUGUGCUUGUUUGCAGCAGAAGUUUACUCCUUAUGUCAGUUUGAUUCUAUAAUGUAAUAACAAGUUUUAUAUAUUGGAAGAAAUAAUAAUAAUUCUUGAUUCUGUUUCUAUAAAAGGAAUUGGCUUUGUAGCCAUUCAUCUUUGCUGGAUAUGUCUUUGAUAUUACUGAGUGAGCAACACUUAAAUAUUCUAGUGUUUCCUUUCUAUAACUGAAUUUUAUUCAGGAGUGUAUGCAUAGAAGAAAUAGUGAAUGAUUCCAUGUUCUUUGAAAACUAUAGUAAAAGCUAAUUCUGAUACAUUUUUUACUAAGAACUAAUUUAAUUACAACAUUAUAUUAGGGGUUUGAACAUGUUGAAAAACGUUAGAGAAAACACAAGCAACAUCACUUUUGUUUAUGAGCAAGCAACAUCACAUGUUCAGGGCCAUGCCUAAUGAAACAUUUGCCACAUGCUCCCAUUUCUAUAGGUUCUUGUUUAGCAAAAGUUCAAAUUCAUUAUACAUAUGAAUAUACGAGAAAACACAAGCAGCAUCACUUCCUCCUAUCCAAUUAUUUACGAGAAACAGUGAUUGUUUCAUAAAACUAAUAAAAGUAACGUAGAAAUUGUACUAAUAUAUGACUGCGUGCAUGAGAAAUUGAUUAAAUACAAACUUAUUAUGUUUAUUUAUGGUCUUCUUAUUAAUACAAAGAAAUCAGAAAGAAACAAGACGUAAAACUUACAUACAUUUAUAUGACUACUACAGACUGCGUGCAUGAAGGACCAUUAGUUGAUCAACACACACAUGCUUUAAAUUUAUUGCAAACAAAACGUAAAAAUAAGUUGAAGAAGCUGAGAAAGCUUUAUGUUUGGAUAAGGAUUCUCUUGUCACUCUAUGUUUCUCUUAUUAUGGAUUCCAUGUUGAUUUGUCUUCUUGCGCACAUCGUGUUCUCCUGCAAAGUAUAUAUACAAUAUACGAUAUAAUCAUAUAAAUAUUCUCAUGCAUGCAUCCAUGUAGGGUUUUUACUUGUUAACUUAAUGAGGUGUGUAGAUAUGUAAGUAUAGGGAGAGUUAUUACCGUGACAAAGAAUUCUAAUAGUGGUAUGGAGGAGGAGGAGAUUUGUAGAGGUAAAGAUGGUGUGGGGGAAAGUAGUGGCGGACUGGAGGAGGAGGUGAUUUAUAUACGUACUUUUUCUUUGGUGGUGGUGGGGAAUGGUAAACUAGACGAGGAGAAUAGUGCUUAACCGGAGGAGGAGGGGAUUUGUAUACGUAAUGCUUCUUUGGUGGUGGUGGAGAGUGGUAAACCUGAGGAAGAGAGUAGUGCAUAACCGGAGGAGGAGGAGAUUUGUACAUGUAGUGUUUCUUUGGUGGUGGUCGAGAGUGGUAAACCGGGGGAGUAUAGUGUUUAACUGGUGGUGGUGGAGAUUUGUAGACGUAGUGAUUUUUAGGUGGGGGUGGAGAAUGGUAAACUGAAGGGGGUGAGUAGUGCUUAACCGGAGGAGGAGGAGAUUGGUAUACGUAAUAUUUAUUGGGUGGUGGUGAAGAGUAGUGCUUAACCGGUGGGGGUGGAGAUUUGUACACGUAGUCUUUCCUGGGAGGUGGUGGAGAGCGGUAAACCAGAGGAGGAGAAUAGUGUUUAAGCGGAGGAGGAGGAGAUUUGUACACGUAGUGUUUCUUUGGUGGUGGUGGAGAAUGAUAAACCUGAGGAAGAGAGUAGUGCAUAACCGGAGGAGGAGGAGAUUUGUACACGUAGUGUUUCUUUGGUGGUGGUGGAGAAUGAUAAACCUGAGGAAGAGAGUAGUGCAUAACCGGAGGAGGAGGAGAUUUGUAUUCGUAAUGCUUAACAGGUGGUGGAGGAGAAGAAUAGAAGUAGUUAGCAGUUGAUUGAUAUACAGAGGUGAGAGGAGAGAUUGUUAAAACAAGCAAACUUGCUGCAAAAGAGGCCACUGGAGACCCCAUUGAUUGUUUUGUUGCUCUAGUUUAUGCUCUUAAAAGCAUCCCCUUCACACCCUUUAUAUUACUGUUUCUGUUUUCACCUUUUUCACUUUGGCACCUCAUUAUAAAUUAAGUAAUGUAAAAAGGUACAAGCAGCUGUUUCAGCAAACAAAUAUAAUAUUAUGGAGAAAUAAAGUGAUAUUGAUGAUCUCUCCAACUCAUUACUAUUAUUGUUUAGCUGUCGAUGAUUGACAUGUUCUCAAUGUUGGAGCAACGUAUCGAAUCUUAUGAUUUUCUUAAUAUAAAGUUAGAUCUAAUCUUUUUCGAAAUCUCGAGACUUUUAUUAUGAUCCUUUUGAUCAAUUCCUUUUGUGAAAAUUUUACUUGAGAACAAUUAUACAUUAUCACAAAAAGCGUGUAAAUAAUGAUGGUAAAACAUUCAGAAAAUUAGAAGACCGGGUAGAGAUUUGUGUUCCUAUACAAGAUGUUUCACGUUUGUAGAUCUUUGAUCCAAUAUUAGUAGCCAAAACCAACGAGACCACUUAUUUCAAAUCUAUCGAUCAUGUAUUUUACUUAACAGAGUUUUUUUUUUUUGAGAAAGUUUUUACUUAACAAAGUUAUUAAAUUGUCGCCUCCUUUCUACUUUUACAUCUUUUUUUUGUUAAAGUACAUUUGCAUCUUUUCUGAUAUUUUCUAUAGCUAUUCCAACCAUACUUCUGUUCAUAGUUUCAGUUUCAACCCUUACAGCUACGCCUUUUUAGUUGAAGAUGGUAUUUUUAACUUCAGAUCUUCAGAAGAUCUAAUGAAUCUGAGGAAUAUCAGGAGGUUUUCUGUGGUAUUAUUGGAUUGGUCUAUUGGUAACCAUUCAUGUCAGCAAGUUGGAAGCCCAGCGCAAACAUAUGCGGUUGGAACAGUGUAUGUUCCAACUCUAUCCGUACAUCCGUAAAUGUAAGAACGGGUUUGAUGGGAAUCCAUCCAUACCUUUCAAAUGAGAACGGUUGAUUUUUUAAUGCUUUUGAGAGUUGGGUUUUUUUUUCGGAUACAGUUCUUGUUGGCACCUUGUGCUUUUUUUUCCUAAGAAAAGUUGAAAAAUAAAAUUAUUCUGAGUAUGAAAUAACUGUUAAGAAACAGCGUCUUAAUUCAAAUGGUUGACCAAAUGUCCACUAAUUUAUCUUUUUUUUUAAAUUACCAAAUGUUUCUUUAUUCAAUAAUCAUCUAUAAUAUAAUAAACUAGUUUAAAAUCCGCGUCUUUUGUGGAAUGAUCAUUAUAUAUAAAAUUAGUUUUACGUACUAUUACUUAUUUUAUGUUUUUACAUAUUAUAAACUAACAGAAUAAUAAAUAUAUAUUAAAUAAUUGAAAAAAAUGAAAAAAAUUAACUAUAAAUAGUUAAAUACUAACAUACAACCCAAGUGUUUGUAUACCGAAUAUUUGUCUCGCACAAGGUGUGAAUUUUAAUCUAGUAACUAAUCCAAGCUUAAUUUUCUAGGAAAAUAAAAAUAUAAAAUAUGUAGUAUUGACAAAUUUAAGAUUUAUAUAUUAUCGUUAUUUUUUAUAUGUAUUUAAAAUUUUGGAUUGUCUAUAUAACCAUCUAUACAUUUGGGCCAGGAACAAUUGUAAUUGGAAUUGUUGAUCAAAACUUAAAAUUUAUUAUAGUCCCCAUUCAUAACCCUUUUCAUUGUUUUAAUGUUCGAGUGGAAAAUGAGCCGUCAACAGUCCUUGGUCUUGUUAAGUUGUAAACACUCGUUGAUCUUGUUAAGUUAUAUAACUAGCUCAAACACAAACACCUGUGUCAAGCUCAAAGUCUUCAUUGAUAUUCUUGUAAAUAUUUCACACUUGGAAAACCCUGAAAAAACGCCUCAGCAAUCCAUCAACCCAACAGAAGCUCCAUAAGCGACACCGCUUAUUAGCUGUCCAAUCACACAGUUUCACCAUUAAUUCUGUCAAAACCAUAAGUCUGUUGCAGUGACUGAAACAACCACUUUAUCCCUCUGCAAAACCAUAUUCCCUUGCUAGUCAUUGAGUUGCAAAUCAUGUCAUGAAACACCACUCAAACCUGUAGCUUGAAACAACUGCAGAAAACAGAACACUAUAAUGUGUUAUUGUGACAAAUUACUGAGACGAAAGUUAUACGUAACAAAUAUGUGACGUUUUAAAUACGGUAAUGUGACUAAAUUUUCGUAAAAGCUAAUUCUGGUACAUUUGCACAAUGAACUGCUUUAAUCACAACACUAUACUGAGUUUAAACAAGUUGAAAAAGGUCAGAGAAAACACAAGACCCUAUUAACAUAAACGCAAUCCUCUACAGUAGUGAAAAAGUAACAAUAUCUUUCAAUAAACUCAACAGAUAAUGGAUUCCAUACAUCCAAGUGAACUAAACUAAAAGGAAAUACAAACAAUUGAUUAUCCGACACAAAAGGAAACCGCUUCCCUUUAGCUAAAUGACAUAUGAAACAAUGACAUUCUAACAGACUCGAACGAGGUGAUAGCCAUAUAAAAAAAACAUUAGUUAUAAAAAUAUAUAGUAAUUAUUUUUAUUUUCACAGGAUUAAUAGAACUUUUGUCAUUAACUCAUAUAUCUAUUUCUUACUCCUUCUGUUUCAUAAUAAGUGUUAUUUUAGGUUUUUUAUUUUGUUUCUAAAUAAGUAUCAUUUUACAAUUUCAAUGUAAUUUGUAUAUUAAAUCUAUUUUUUACUCUUUUGAAUAACAAUAAAAUUUUAUUUAAAUUAUUCUCAUUUAAUUAAUUAUAUAUUAAAUAGAGAUAUAUUAUAUAAUUUUCUUAAUCUCCGUCAAAUAUCAAAGUGACACUUAUAAUGAAACAUGGAGUAUUUGUUAAAUAAGAUAAUCAAACCACUCAUCAAAAACUAGAACGUUAAUCUUUAAGCAAAAAAAAAACUAUAACUGUCAAAUGUCAAUCUUUAAUAAUUAACAAUUGUCUACAUUUUUGUUACUUAAGAAACCCUGUUUUCAUGAUUUCAUCCUAAGUCAAUGUUUUUCUUUAUCCUAAUUACCACAACGCUUUCAUCAUAUGAAGUUAUGAACUCAUAUUUUUAUAACUAUAUAUACCCUUGAUCUUUACCUAAGAUUAGUAAAAGAUGUCCUUGAUCUUUUCUUUUGCUAUAAAAGGUCAUUGAUCUUUUCUUACAAAAAUAGAUGUGGCAGGCAAAAGUAUUAAUUUACAUACAUGCCAUAGACCAUGCCAUGUCUUGAAAUUAGGUUAUGACAUGAACAUCGACAAUAAGUGACCGAGAAUGCGGCUGUGAUUCACUACGAUGCGAACAUGAAACCGUGGCCAAAUAGUAAGUAAAAACUUUACUCUGUGAUAGAUACUUGAACUGGAGCCGCUGUUAUCUGCAAGAUUGAAUCACAGCUGAAAGUAGUUAGAGACUCUUUUCUUAAUCAAGUAAUUAGACGAAGAUUUAUGCUAGUGAAGACUGGAGAAUGUAAUUAUAUAUAGAAAACAAAAGAAAUAAAAGAGUUUAGCUACUUAUUAAAGGCGUUGUGCCACUAAACCAACAACCUACGAAUCAGAGACUAACACGUGGGUAGAAACAGCUUUAUUAGUGGGCAACCACGUGACAGCUACGGAUUCUAACUGAUCGUUUUUUUCUUUUUGUAUUACUGAUAGCCUAUGAGAAACUACUAUCAACAUGUACUUAUUUAACCCAACUCCUAGCUCUGUCCAAACACAAACUAUAUCACUCAUCCCUCACAAAACACAACACAAGUCCUCAAAAUCGUACAGCUCCUUUGCCUUUCUUUUUUUUCUGUCUCCAAUGGAAUCAGAACCCCUAACCGAUACGACAGGAGGACCAAACCAGGACGAGACCAAGACCGAAUCAUCAGAAUUCGAGAAGAAUCAAGAACGGUACAAAGCUCUAAUCUCCACGUUUACUCACGAGAAAGGCUGGAGGCAGAAAGAAGCCUAUAUCGAGUACGGUGGUAGCUGGUGGACACAAUUCGUUCUCGAAGGCUGCCUUCACGCGCAAGAAUUCUUUAAAGCACGACCCAACCACUUCUUCGUCUGUAGCUACCCAAAGACAGGUACCACUUGGCUCAAAGCCUUAACUUUUGCAAUCGUAAACCGAUCUCGCUUCGACCAUUCCUCGAGCCCUCUCCUCAGACGUACCCCUCACGAGCUUGUUCCUUACAUUGAGUUCGACGUCUCUUCCUUCCCUCAAGUCGAUGUUCUCAACGACAACGGUAACAACACUCUGUUCUCAACUCACAUCCCUCACGAGCUGUUACCGGUCUCGGUUGUGACGUCACGUUGUAAGCUGGUUUACAUCUGGAGAGACCCAAAGGACACUUUCAUCUCCCUAUGGACAUUCCUCAACAAAGCAAGGGCAGAACUUGGUUCUGUAAACAAUCUCGAGGAGUCUUUUGAUAUGUUCUGUCGAGGUCUUUCUUGGUACGGUCCUUAUCUUGAUCAUGUAUUGGGGUACUGGAAAGCUUACCAAGAGAAUCCGGACAAGAUCUUGUUCCUCAAGUACGAGUUUAUGAGCGCUGAGCCUUUGCCUUAUGUGAAGAAGGUAGCUGAGUUUAUGGGGUUUGGAUUCACACCAGAGGAAGAGGAGAAAGGGGUCGCUGAGAAUGUUGUGAAGCUUUGCAGCUUCGAGACGUUGAAGAAUCUUGAAGUUAACAAAGAAGAGAAAGAGAGGGAAGAUCGUGCUGCUCUUUAUGCGAAUAGCGCUUUUUUCAGGAAAGGUAAGGUUGGAGAUUGGUCUAAUUAUCUGACUCCAGAGAUGGCUGCUCGUAUUGAUAGUAUAAUGGAUGAGAAAUUCAAGGAUACAGGUUUGCUUGAACAAGGUCAAUGACAGGUUCUUGAUCUUUAUCCUCCAUUUGUCAGUUCAAUUCUAUAAUGUAAUAAUUAUUGAUUCUGUUUUAUUCAAAUGGUGUUGUUUCUAUAAAAGGAAUUGGCUUUGUAACCAAAGAUCUUUCUCUUGUUAUAAAUAAGAUGAUACAGAGUACAUAAAAUACAGAACCAAAUAGAGAAACAGAGUAUCCUCUGUUCCAAACACAAAACAGAGCAUCCUCUGUUUUGUACUUAAUAACAAAAGAGAUCAAAGACAUGACAUUUCACUGAUCAUGUUGAAGCAAGCCAGUAUCUUUGAACGUCUCUUCCACUAACCCAUCGAUACGAGCAGCCAUCUCUGGAGUCAGAUAAUUCGCCCAAUCUCCAACCUUUCCUUUCCUAAAAUACGCGCUAUUCGCAUAAACCGCAGGACGGUCCUCCCUCUCCUUAUCUCCUUUGUUAGCUUCAAGAUUCUUCAACGUCUCAAAACUACAAAGCUUCACUACAUUCUCAGCAACACCAUUCUCCUCUUCCUCAUCACUAAACCCAUAACCCAUGAACUCAGCCAACCUCUUCACAAAGGGCAAAGGAUCAGCUCUCAUCGUCUCGUACCUCAGGAAGAGAAUCCUCUCCGGAUUCUCUUUGUAAGCCUUCCAGUAACCCAACACAUGAUCCAGAUAAGGACCGUACACAGACAAGCCUUUACAGAACAUAUCAAAAGCCUCUUCGAGACUCGCUAGCUGCUGACCCUCUUGAGACUUCUCCUUGUGGAGGAAAGUCCACAUGGAGAUGAAAGUGUCCUUCGGGUCUCUCCAAAUGUAAACCAUCUUGCAACCGGACUUCACUAUCGACUCCGGUAACGACCCGUUGGGUAUAUGGGUGGAGUAAAGCUGGUUCUUGCCGUCUUGAAGGACGUCCACGGUCGGGUAGAACGCGAAGUCUAUCUCGACGUAAGGCACGAACUCGUGAGGGUUACGUUUGAGGAGCGGGUUCGUUGCGUCGUCGAAACGUGAACGGUUUACGAUGGCGUAAGUUAAGGCUUUGAGCCAGGUUGUGCCGGUUUUGGGGUAGCUGCAGACGAGGAAGUCGGUGGGUCGUGCUUGGAAAUGGUCUUUGGCGUGGAGGAGGCCUUCGAGGAGACAUUCUUGCCACCAGUGUCCGUUGUAUUGGGUUAGGAUCUCGUUUGGUCUCCAUCCUUUGCUCUUUGGGAGGGCGGAGAUGAAGUCUUGGUACUUCUUUUGGGUUUUCUCGAACUCUGAGAGCUUGAGUUGGGAUCCGUUUUGGGUCGUGUUGGGUUCCAUUGGGGAUGAUGUUGAGUGAUGGAGUCAGAGGAUGUUUCGGGAAGCUCUUGUGGAGUUGUGGAGGAUGAUGAUGUAAGAAGAA
rnacentral:lncRNA from 1 species